rnacentral:lncRNA from 1 species
UAUAACUCAAAUCCAAUUCCUCUAAUAGAGUGAGGUUACCCAGUGAAACAGGUAGCUCACCAUAAACAUCACAUUCAGAUAUACGGAGGUAAGUGAGUUUUGUAAGCAUACCUAUCUCAUCUGGGAUGGGACCAUAGAUGGAAGAAUGGCUAACGUUGAGAUGGAGGAGGCUGGGAAAUGAAGAAAACUUCAACUGGCUAAGCUCAACCAUUGUACCAUCGAUAUAUGAAUAGGUAAUCUGAAUAACAUGUCCCUCCCUGUUGCAGGUGAUGCCGUCCCAUGUGCAAUGAUGAGAAGUAGUGUUUUCCAUGUACCACCACCAAGUGGAGUUGCGGAGAGCCUCGGCCUCAGCCUCCACCUGUGCGUCAGUUGUAGCAGCAGCAGCAGGAGGUGAUGAGAUCAAGAGCAUGUUAUAUGAUAACAAUACCACUGAAACCACCAACACCCUACAAGUAUUAAUGGAACACCACUCCAUUCUUUCUUAUUUUGGAUUAAUAUUGCUAUAUAUGCCCCAGUUGAUGGUUUUAUAGAAGGGGUGUUGGUGUUGAUCCAACAACCGUCUUCUUUCACCCACACAGCAUCUCAAGCAAGUCAAACAAGUCUUCUCCCAACUCUCCAUUGGACAUUAAUUUGUUGGGAAAUGAGGACGUUUAUUUUGGAAAUUAUGUUUUAUGAAAAAGAAAAUUUGUAAGCAAAAAUUAAAACCAUUAGUAACCAUGAUCAAACCAUAUUUAAUUUUUUUUUCAAAAAUAAAUUUUAUGAUGGGAAAUUAGUAAUCAUGAUCAAGCCAAAGCCCAAGGUUGUACACGUCACACAACUGUCUUUUCAUGAAUGGUGAGGUGUGCUUGGAUGGGAGUUCGUGACCUGCAAAAGCCAGAAAUUUUAUAUAAUAGUAAUGAAUAAUAAUAAAAUAAAAUCACAAAACAUGUUUAAUAUUGAUAUAAACUAAAAAAUAUUAUAUAAAAGUAAUAGUCAAAAGGCUGCAUUUUUAUUAUUUGAUUGUUAUUCCACUUCAUGAUUAGCUUGUCUAACAUUUCAUUUGAAGUUUCUUUCAAGCAAAGCAAGUCAACCAAGUCUUCUUAGGUCCACUUCUUAGACUUUUGAUUAUUAGAAGUUUAUGCUGCUAAUUAACUUAGAAAUUUCUUUAUGAUAGUAACAUGUAAGGACCACAAAGAAAGCUUAAAUUUGACUUGGAUCAAGCUUAAAAAAUUAUUAAUUUUACUAAUUUUAAAUAGGAAUCAAUUUUUAUUUUAAAUUUUAAUUUUUUUCUAUUUGUUAUGCAAUCAUCAAAUAUUUAUUUUUUGCUUUUUUUUUACUAAUAAAAAAUAAAAUUAGCUCCUACAAGCUGUGCUCUGUUUUUUUCUAUCCUAAACAAAGCAACCCUCCUCAAAUCAUUUUUAAAACACGAUAUUGAAAAUUUCCUAUAUUAUAUGUGACAUGUGAGACUACACAAAAAAGAACACAAAAUAAUAAUAAUAAAUAAAUAAAUGCAAAAAAGUCUUUCGAGAUUGCAAAGUUUAUUAUAUAAGGAAUUAAUGAUUUGAAAUGUUAAAAGUUAAUUAUAUUUUAUUUUCCAUGCUAUACAUUUUUUAUCAUGCAUCGAGUAAGAAAAAUUUUAAAUUCUUUUUUCUUUUCUUGCUCACUUUCUAGAAUUAAUGAUGCCUUCAUAACUCUUGUUUUAGCCACGCAACAAGUCAAGCAAGUCGUCUUCCACUCUUGAUUGGAAAUUUAGUGGGAACUAAACAUAAUUAUUUUUAAAAUUUUUAAAUAAAAACUCAAAUGAUAAUUAUAUAAAAAAAUGAUUAUUCACAAUUUUUUUUAAAACAUGAAUUGUGGGAAACAAUCAUACCCCACCUGUAUUUGGAAAAUGAUAUGUUAGUUUUUUUUAUGUAUAUAUAUAAUUCCAAAUAAUAAAGAUAUUACAAUUUUUAACAUUAUAUUGUAACUAAAUGUUUUAUUUGUCUUAUUAAUUUCACUAAUUUUAAAAAGGAAAACAAAAUAAUUUUUUAAAAAGGUUUUUCUAUUUGCUACAUAAUUAGUAAAUACAUAUUUUUUAUUUUAAUAAUAAUAAAACAUAAAAUUAAAAUUAUUAAAUAUUUUAAUAUUAAUAUAAACUAAAAAUAUACUUUAACCAAUAAUUUAUUUGGUUCUUUUCCAAGUAAUAGGUAGACAAGAAAGUCUUUUCAGUCUCAUUAUCAAUGAUUUUUAAUUUUAUUCUAUGUAAAAUUCCACAAUCGUGUGUCUGUCACUAUGUUUGGAAAAGUCGUUCAAAAAGUGUACCAUCCAUAAAUUAUGUUAAUAUUUUUUCAUUUUUUAUUUUACUUUAAAUCACACCUACUUUUUCCUUGUGCAAGUCAAAGCAAGUCUUCUUAGACGCUCAGAAGCAUAAGCGUAUACCUAACAAAAUAAAAAGCUCUAAUAGGAAUAUUAUAGAAAUCCUGUAUUCCAACCAUACUCAAUCAACAACAACCCAAAAUAAAAAUAUUUUAAUUAACUUUUAAAAAUUAAAUCAAAUUUUAAUUUUGAAAAACUCUCAAUUUAGGUUUACAACCAAUCAACAACAUUUGGUGUCAUAUCGUAUUAUUCUACCAAAUAGAUAUCACGUAGGUAUAUAUUAAAAAAAUAAUUAAAAAAUAACAAAAAUAUAAAAUCGAUAGAGAGGGAAUAUAAUUGAAAGUGAGAGUUUGCAUGCACAAAAUACAAACUUUUCAAUUCUUUUUUAAUUUUUAUUUAUUAUUUUAGAAAGAGUUUUUAAAAUGUAAUGUGUAACUUGAUAAAUAAGAGAAUAAGAAAUAAAAAUCAGUUGAAUACAUUCCACCAUUUUACUCAUCAUUCUCUAAAAGAGGAAUGUAAUGUUGAAGAUUUUUGUAACUUGACAUGUUGAAGAUGAAUUUCUAUUUUGUGAUGAAAGAAUAUAAAUAAAUUGAAAAAUAAAAUUAAUGACAUUGUUCACCAUAAUACAAUAACCGUUAUUGGCAAAUACCAACAAGAAGGUAGCACAUUAUAUUAUUUAAUCUAAAUUGAUAAUUUUGUUUCAUUAUCCGCAAGUAGGGCAUUUUACAUUACUAUAUUAUACGUUUUAUUGAAGCCUCAAGGUUGCUGCAUAAUUAACCAAGAUGUAAUACAUGUAAAUAUUCUAAUUAACAUUUUUAUAUAAUACAUGUAACACUUCUCAAAAAGAUGAGAAUAGAAGGUUGAAGAUUUUUAUAAUUGCAACAAAAAAAGAAAUAAAUAAGUUCAAAAUUGUUUAUAUAUAAAAUAAAAUUAGAUCCUAUAGGCUCUCUAUAUAUUUCUCUACUAGACAAAGCAAUUUAAGUCAAGUCAAGCAACCCUUCUCAAACACUUCUAAAACACUAGGUUGGAAAUGCUCCAUUUGUUUAUUAGAUAAAGCAAUUUAAGUCAAGUCAAGCAACCCUUCUCAAACACUUCUAAAACGCUAGGUUGGAAACGCUCCAUUUGUUUCUCUCCUAGAAAAAGCAACUUGAGUCAAGUCAAGCAACCCUUCUAAAUCAACUUCUAUAAGGCUAGGCUCGAAAUUUCUUAUAUGAUAUGUGACAUGUAAGACCACAUAGAAAGAGCACAAAAUAAUAAUAAAUAAGUUCCAAGAGGUCUUACCAAAUUUGACCCCAUGUAUACAUAUUAAUAAAUAUUCUAAAAUUUGAUAAAUAAUUUUUAUAAACUUUAUUAUUCCUUAUUUUUCAUAGCACAUGUGAAACAAAGCUAAUUUUGAUUAAAAAAAAACACUCAUGAGGAGAUGAGUGAAAAUAACUAAUGAAAAUGAUAAGAUAUUUAUUUAAUAAAAUUUUAAACUAAUGAGAACUAGAUGUAUUUAAUCAAAACCUUAAAUGAGGAAAACGGACCAAUGGAUGGCUUUCCCGUCACUUUAUGUUGUUGGUGUUCAAGUGCUCUUUGUGAUCUUGGGUUUAUUUCUUUACAAAUGUUCUAAAUUCAAUUUUUUUUUUCUUUUAAUUUACAACAACUUGAAAAUACCCUAAAUUAUGUGUGACCAACUAGUACAUGAAAGAUACAAAAAAAAAAAAAAAUAUAAGUUAAAUCUCAAUAAUUUUUUAUAUUCCAAGAUGUAAUACAUGUAAAUAUUCCAAUUAACAUUUUUAUAUAAUACAUGUAACACUUCUCAAAAAGAUGAGAAUAGAAGGUUGAAGAUUUUUAUAACUCGACGUAUUCAAAAUGAAUUUCCUUUUUGCAACAAAAAAAAGAAAUAAAUAAGUUCAAAAUUGUUUAUAUAUAAAAUAAAAUUAGAUCCUAUAGGCUCUCUAUAUAUUUCUCUACUAGACAAAGCAAUUUAAGUCAAGUCAAGCAACCCUUCUCAAACACUUCUAAAACACUAGGUUGGAAAUGCUCCAUUUGUUUAUUAGAUAAAGCAAUUUAAGUCAAGUCAAGCAACCCUUCUCAAACACUUCUAAAACGCUAGGUUGGAAACGCUCCAUUUGUUUCUCUCCUAGAAAAAGCAACUUGAGUCAAGUCAAGCAACCCUUCUAAAUCAACUUCUAUAAGGCUAGGCUCGAAAUUUCUUAUAUGAUAUGUGACAUGUAAGACCACAUAGAAAGAGCACAAAAUAAUAAUAAAUAAGUUCCAAGAGGUCUUCCCAAAUUUGGCCCCAUGUAUAUAUAUUAAUAAAUAUUCUAAAAUUUGAUAAAUAAUUUUUAUAAACUUUAUUAUUCCUUAUUUUUCAUAGCACAUGUUAAACAAAGCUAAUUUUGAUUAAAAGAAAACACUCAUGAGGAGAUGAGUGAAAAUAACUAAUGAAAAUGAUAAGAUAUUUAUUUAAUAAAAUUUUAAACUAAUGAGAACUAGAUGCAUUUAAUCAAAACCUUAAAUGAGAAAAACGGACCAAUGGGUGGCUUUCCCGUCACUUUAUGUUGUUGGUGUUCAAGUGCUCUUUGUAAUCUUGGGUUUAUUUCUUUACAAAUGUUCUAAAUUCAAUUUUUUUUUCUUUUAAUUUUAAACAACUUGAAAAUACCCUAAAUUAUGUGUGACCUACUAGUACAUGAAAGAUACAAAAAUAUAUAUAUAUAUAUAUAUAUAUAUAUAUAUAUAUAUAUAUAUAUAAGUUAAAUCUCAAUAAUUUUUUCUCUCAUAAUUUUUAAACUUGCAUUAAAAAAAAAGGCCAGUUAAUGAUUUCAUUGGACAACUUGCAUAUUGGUACUCUUUUUUUUUCACCAUUUAAAGAUUCCAUUUCACGGACUGCCCUUUUUUUAAUUAAAAAAAAAAAGACUUUUGUUAAUUAUAACAAGAAGUAGAGAUUGAUGUUAUUCCUUGGUUCUAAAAUGUUAUCUUUAUUAAUUUAUAUUAUUAUUAUUAUUAUUAUUUAUCAAAUAACAUCAAAACUAUGGUAUCAUCUUUCUUAUUUCAAUUCUUUUCUAGAGUAGUUCGGGUGUGCAAUAUGUUUUUGAAUAUUAUAAUUUAAAAAAUAACAUUUAAGAUUUAAGCAAAAAAAAUGUAUUUAUUAGUUGAAUUUUUGUUCUUCAAGAUAAAAUUUAAUAUUUAAGCUAGCGAAAAAAUGUUGAACAUCGAUCCGUUUAACCAUAUCCACUAAAAAGUACAUGCAUCCCCAAAUGUAAUCCUUGUUAUAAAUAACUUAUUAAUUGUUUCUUUAAGCAGCUAUCGAAGUCUUGUUUGAAUAUAAUAUAUAUAUAUAUAUAUAUAUAUAUAUAUAUAUAUAUUUAUUUUUUUUCUUAAAAUAUUUUUUUUAAUAUUUGAGAUAGUUAAUUUUUUUUUAUAUUUAAAUUGUAUUUAAAACCUUUACUUUUAUAUAAGUCUUUAUAGAAUUCUUAUAUUUUAUAUAAAAAUUACUAUUAAUUUAAGUUUUUAAAAACAAAAAAUAAAAAAUGUACCAAUUUAUAAAAAUUAUAAAAUAUAUUUUUGAUAAGUAAAAUAAAACCCGAUAAUCUUUAUAAAAUUUUCUAUUAGAUGGGACAUCUAUAAUUUAAAAAAAAAAAAACGAAAUGUUGAAAGGAAUGUCCCCAACUUUCACGAUAAAUGAUACAAUAACCAAAUUAUUGAGGCAAAUAUUCGGACAAGAUUUCUUGUCAAACAAGCCUUCUCUACUGUUGAUUGGGAAUUGAGUGGGAAAUGAGUGGAGCAUAAAUAUAGACAGACUAAUUGGGGUUCGAGCUUUUUCUAUGCACAAAUUGGAUGGUGAAAGAAAAUAUACUAUUAAAAUAUUUAUAAUGAAUAAACUUAAUUAAUAUAAGCAUAUUCUACCAAUUUAAUCAUAUAUAUAUUUUACUUUUUAAAGAGUACGUCAACCAAGUCUUCUUAGUUACCCUAAAUAAGAGAGUUAGUCAUGGGUUGUGAAUGAAAAUUUUACAAGGUCAUUCUUUGGUAGUUUUAUAAGUCACUGAGAAGACAAAUCAUGUUCUCCCUUCUUCUUUCCCAUCUAGCAUGCUGUGCUUCCCACUAUUUCAAUUAUCAAGAUGGAAAGUCCACUCCAAAAAUGUGGAAAAUUAAAAUGAGAGGCAUAACCGGAUGAUAAUCAUAAGUAAUAUUUUUUUUUUCUUUUUUUCUUAAAAAAAUUUGAUUUGUUAUCCCAAUUGACGGGUAAGCUUAAGUCAAGUAAGUCUUCUUUGGUGACUUCUCCGACUCUUGAUUGGAAAUUAGGUGAUAAAUGAAGAAAAUAUCCAUUUUAAAAGCGGCUAAUUGUGGAAAAACAAUUUAUCUUAUUAAAUUAAUAUUUUCAAUAUAGACAUGUUAAUAUGGAUUUAUAAUAAUUUAUUUAUAAAACACUCCAAAAAUACAUGAUAAUCAUGGAAACUAAUUUGACAAAAAGUUAUAGAAUCUUUAUAAAUUUUUAAAUUAUGCUACAUGGCAUAUGGAAAGAAAAUAUGCAAGUCAAAGAAAGAAUUUAUAAGGAAUCCACCUCAAUUGGUAGAGGGAUAUUCUACCAAUGUAGAUUUGCCUAUAAUUCACUUAUGAUUAUGGAUUUUCAAAUAGUAGAUAGACUUGUUUCAUGAAUUCUUGAAGUGAUAGAAAGUGAAAAAAUACCUAAGCUUCUUUAAAGGCCACUAAAUGCGGAAAACAAUUUAGUUGUUUUGUUUUUGUUGAUUUCCAUGUGAAUAUCCCUAAUUUGUUGGGAUUUUGAUUUUGAAUUCAAAUCGGGAUUUGUUUCCCACUUUCUAUUUUGAGUUUUUUUUCCUUUUCUUUCAUUUUCUUAGGCAUGUAUCUCCUAGAUAGUAGAUAGAUUUUUAUUUGGUAGAUUCGAUUCUUAGCUUGUUGUUGAUGUUGUACAUGCUCUAUAGAAAAAUAUAGAAAUAUAUCAAGUUUUUUGCAUGGUACCAGAGCGGUUUCCCACUAGGACAGACUCCUAUUAUCUAGCAUUUGUUUUUUUUUGGCAACAGGCAACCUGAAGCCCUUGCAGCUAUCUCGUUGUGAAUUGUCUUCUCCAACCUAGUCACAAUUUGUCCUUCGUUCAUCAGUCCAGCCAUGAUUUAGUCAAGAUGUGAUUUGAUCCUGUUACGAAUUGAUCCAGUCCAGACAAAUCUUUUGGAAUGACUAUUGAUAGUAAAAAAUCAGUCUCUAAAGUGAACUCUAGGUUGAAGACUGUCACUUCCAAUGACCAUGGAGGAUCCGAUGGCUCUUUUCUUCCCAUCAUAGGUCACAAGUUGAAUGGGAAUAACUAUCUACAAUAUUCUCAGUUCGUUCUUAUGUUUAUCAGUGGCAAGGAUAAGGACGGCUACCUCACUGGAGAAAUUGUUCAACCCAAAAAUGAUGAUCCUAGAUUCGGAACUUAGAAGAUAGAGAAUAAUAUGGUCAAAUCAUGGCUUAUCAAUUCCAUGACCAAUGUGAUUGGUGAAAACUUUCUUCUCUAUAAGACCGCAAAAGAGAUGUGGGAUGCAAUUAAAGAAACAUAUUCCACCAAAGAAAAAACAACAUAACAGGUUGAUAUCGAGACUGUUCUUCAUGAUCUCCAUCAAGAGGAUUUAAUCACCACCAAUUACUACAAUAUUCUUGGUCACCACUGGCAACAAUUGGAUGUUUGUAAGGAGUAUGAUUGGAAUUGCCCCAAAGAUGCUGCCAAGUAUCAAAAUAUUGUGGAGAAAAGACGACUUUUCAUGUUCUUAUUAAGCCUCAACAAGCACCUUAAUAAGGUUCAUAGGAGGAUCCUUGGUACCAAACCCCUUCUAACAAUCUGUGAAGCCUUUGCCACUAAAUACCUAAGCUUCUUUAAAGGCCACUAAAUGUGGAAAACAAUUUAGUUGUUUUGUUUUUGUUGAUUUUCGUGUGAAUAUCCCUAAUUUGUUGGGAUUUUGAUUUUGUAUUCAAACCGGGAUUUGUUUCCCACUUUAUGUUUUGAGUUUUUUUUCCUUUUCUUUCAUUUUCUUAGGCAUGUAUCUUCUAAAUUGUAGCUAGAUUUUUAUUUGGUAGAUUCGAUUCUUAGCUUAUAUAAUGUCGAUGUUAUACAUGCUCUGCAGAAAAAUAUAGAAAUAUAUCAAGUUUUCUGCAUGGUAUCAGAGUGGUUUCCCACUAGGAUCGACUCCUAUCCUCUAACAUCUAUUUUUUCUGGCAAUAGGCAACCUGAAACCCUUACUGCUAUCUUGUUGUGAAUUGUUUUCUCCAAUUUAGUCACAAUUUGUCCUAGGUUCAUCAGUCCAACCACGAUUCAGUUCAGACGUGAUUCGAUCUUGUUACAAAUUGAUAUAGUCCAGACGAAUCUUCCAGAAUGACUACCAAUAGUAAAAAAUUAGUCUCUAAAGUCAACUCUAAGUUGGAGAUUAUCACUUCCAAUGACCUUGGAGGAUCCGAUGUCUCUUUUUUCCCCAUCAUAGGUCACAAGUUGAAUGGGAAUAACUAUCUCCAAUGGUCUUAGUUCAUUCUUAUGUUUAUCGGUGACAAAGAUAAGGAUGACUACCUCACAGGAGAAAUUGUUCAACCCAAAAGUGAUUAUCCUAAAUUCCGAACAUAGAAAAUAGAGAAUAAUAUGGUCAAAUCAUGGCUUAUCAAUUCCAUGACCAACGAGGUCAGUGAAAACUUUCUUCUUUACAAAACCGCAGAAGAGAUAUGGGAUGUAGUUUGAUUACUACUCAAAAAGUGCUAUUUUGUACCUUGUAAUUAACUCUUUUAAACACUUUUGAGUAGUAGUUAUUACCUUUUAACUCAAUUAGCAUAUUAAGUACCUUUGCAAUCAUUUCUAAUCAAAUUGUGUAAGUUUUGGUGUUUUUGAUAGUAAUUUGAUCACCAAAGCAAUCCAAGAUCGAGGAGAGUUCUAUGGAAUCCAUGGCAAAGCAAUUGGAAGUUCAUCAACAUGAAGAACCAAAUAUUUGAAGCUUUAUAGUCCUUUUCCAUAAGCAAAUCAUGAAUGCAAGGAGGGAAAGCAAAGAGAGAAAUCUAACAUGAAGCAUUCAAGAGGACAACAACUGUUAGACUCUUUUGAAGCACUUCCUGGAGCUUAAUUGAUGCAUAUUAUAUGUUGUUUCCAAGCUCGGGAAGUCAGCAAUCCAAUGCUUCAAACGGUGCACGAUUCGGAGUUGAAAUGAAGAAGUUAGAGCCAUUGGAAGCCGAUCACACCAAGCUGAAGGCCAAUUUCGCAGGCUGCGAAAUUAGCCUUUGGCUGCGAAAUGGUGUCCUUCAGGUUGCGAAAUUUCGCAGGCAUCUUGCACGCCUACGAAAUCAUCCUGAGUGCUUCUAGAUAUUUGUGACCGACAUUUUUAGAUUUUUUGCUUCAGAUAUUUGAUGUCUAAAUCCCCAUUCUCUCCUUGUAAUCCACCAAUUAUAGGAUUCCUUAGUUAUUAAGUAAGAACAAAGGGUAAAUAGCCUCAUAUAUAUUAUUUGUAAUUUCCAUUACAGAUAUAUCUUGGGAGCUUGUUCUCAGAGACAUCAACUUUUUGUAUAGUUUUGGAAGGAAGUAAAAUACAGAGCUUUGCUCUGCCUUACCUACCCAAUUUGAUUGUAUUGUAUUUAUUUUUUCUUACUAGCCAAACAAGCUUUGAGGAUGUUUCCUUAGAGAAUGAGUGGCUAGGCUUUUAGUUUCUUGGAGCUAAGAUAGCCGCGUAAGGCCCUGAAUGCAAGAAUUGGUAGUUUUGUUGUUUCAGCUAUUAAUGAAGAGAAAGUGUGACCCGUUAAUGAUUUCUAUGUUUUUAGUUAACUUAAAACGCCUUCAAUUCACCUGGGCCGACACUUGGUAAGGCAAGUGAUCUCCGUCCAUGGAGAUGCACUAGUUUAUCUCUUGCAAGCCUUUGGGUGGUGACUUGAAGGUAGGAUUUUCUAGAAUUGCCAACACUUGGUAAGCUUUUGGACUCUAAGGAGACAUCCAUUAGUUAUCUCUUGCGAGCUUGAGAAGGGAAGUCCAAGGUUAAUGAUCACCUUGAGUGGCGAAUGCUAGGUGAGAGGCAUGAGCCAUUGCAAGUUGCAUCAGUGAGAGGGAAUUAGUGCUGAAAUCCAUUAAUGGGAAACAUCUGUACAACACCAGUUAGAGAAUUAACUAUAUGUUAAUUCUCUAAUGCGAGGAAAAGAUUCAAGUGACCAGAGCUCUGUUUUUGCAUGAGGAGCUUGACCCCAAUGAACCUAAAACUCCAAGGAACGCUUUUCUUCAUAUGUAAUUCCCAUUACUUUCUUUUUAGUUAGCUUAAAACAAAUCCUUUUUCAACCAAAUUUUAUGUUUUCUUCUUAAGCUAACCUUGAAAUGAAAAAACACCAAUUCAACUUUGAAUUGGUAUCAGUUGUAAGUUGAAAACCCUUCCCAGUGAACGAUCCUAGAGCCACUAUGCUAUAUUAGCUAAGGCUAUCCUAGUGCAUGGUGAUAUAGGUUAUAAAUUUUGUUGAUUACUCCUGUCUGAGGACCAAACUCAAGGUACACCAACUAGGCACGCGAUCAUAGUUAAAGAAACAUAUUCCACCAAAUAAAAUACAACAGAACAGGUUGAUAUCAAGACUAUUCUUCAUGAUCCCCAUCAAGGGGAUUUAACCAUCACCAAUUACUACAAUAUUCUUGGUUGCCAUUGGUAACAAUUGGAUGUUUAUGAGAAGUAUGAUUGGAAGUGCCCCAAAAACGUUGCCAAGUAUCAAAAGAUUGUGGAGAAAAGACGACUUUUCAAGUUCUUAUUGGGCCUCAACAAGCACCUUGAUGAGGUCCGUGGGAGGAUCAUUGGUACCAAACCCCUUCCAACAAUCUGUGAAGCCUUCACAGAGGUAAAGAGAGAGGAGACCUGGAAGAAACUCAUGUUAGGCAAGCAAACUGCUAUAGCUACUACUGAAAGUUCUACUCUUGCAACUCGAGGUCAGUUUAGCAACAAUUGAGGAAAUCAACAGCAACAAAAGUGAAGACUUUGGUGUGACUAUUGCAAGAAACAUGGUCAUACAAAGGAUACAUGUUGGGAUAUCUAUGGUAAACUUGCAGAUUGGAAAUCAAGGUCAAAUAGACGUGAUAGUCAAACAAACAAUGCCACCACCGAUUCCACCUCCUAACCCAAAUCAAACCCGCUUAGCAAAGAACAAUUAGAUCUUUUAUAGAAACUACUCUAAUAGUCACAACAACCUAAACCAGCUCAACCCACUUCCAUAAUUGGUACUGGUUUUAUUGCAUAAAAAUGUAAUUUCUUGAGUGCUCUAAAUGCUAAACAGAAAAGGACAAGACCAUGGAUUGUUGACUCUGGUGCAUCUGACCACAUGACGGGAGAUGCAAAUGUUUUUGACACAUAUGAUCCUUGCUCUUCGAAUUAUUUUGUCCGCAUUGCUGAUAGAUCAUUGUCUAAGGUUGGUGGUUCCGGUUCAGUGACUAUUUCACAGGACUUAACUCUUCACUCUAUCUUACUUGUUCCAAAUCUAGAUUGCAAUUUGUUGUCCAUUAGUAAACUGACAAAAGACCUUAAGUGUGUUACUAAAUUUUUUCCUAAUCACUGUGAAUUUCAGGUUAUGGAUUUGGGGAUGAUGAUUUAUUUCAAGUUAUGGAUUCAGGGAUGAUGAUUGGCAAUGCUAAGGUGCAUGAGGGACUCUACCUACUUCAAGCUAAUGAGUAUCCUAAUCCCAGUCAUUCUCAAGCUCAUUCUAUUCAGUCUUCCAAUUCUAUUCUUUCCAUUCGUAGUGAUAAUAAAAAUGAUGCCAUAUUGUUGUGGAAUUAUAGAUUAGGCCAUCCAAAUUUUUUUUAUCUUGAGAAAAUGUUUCCAUCAUUAUUUAAUAAAAAAUCCUAGUCUUUUUAGUGUGAAAUUUGUCAAAUGUCUAAACAUGUGCAUAAUUCUUAUCCUAACCACGUUUACAAGACUUUUCAUCAUUUUUCAAUGAUACACAGUGACCAUUUGAGAUCAAGAACAUUUCUGGAUCAAGAUGGUUUGUCACCUUUAUCGAUGAUCAGACUAGAUUCACUUGGAUAUUUCUCAUGAUAGAUAAAUCUAAGGCUGGCCAAAUCUUUAUAAACUUUCAUAAAAUGAUCCAAAAUCAAUUCUAAGCCCAAAUUCAAAUUCUCAAGACCGUUAUUGGAAGAUAAUACUUCCAUUAUGCUCUGGGUACUUAUUUGAUGAAUAAUGGAAUUAUAUACCAAAGUUCAUGUGUUGAUACUCCUCAACAAAAUGGACUGUCAAAGUCCUUGUCAAGUCCUUCUCCAAUCUUAUCCUAAUUCUCGGCUAAUCUCCUCCAUUCCCAUCAAAGUGUUUGGUUGCAUUGUCUUCGUCCAUAUUCAUUCCCAACAUUACUCCAAACUUGAUCCAAAAGUUGUCAAAUGUCUCUUCCUUGGGUAUUCUCUUAGCCAAAAAGGGUAUAAAUGUUAUUCUCCUACUCAAUGGAAAAUUUACAUAUCCAUGGAUGUAACAUUCUUUAUUAUUCAACUCGUUUACCCUAAAACUGGUAUUUAGGGGGAGAAUGGACUUAGUGAAUAUUAGUUUUUGAACAUAAAUACUGAUUUUCUUGAUACAAGUUUUGAUUUUUCCUGCCUUUCUUCAUCUUUUCUUCCACUUGAGGUUGAGACAUCUUCUAAUCUUCAAUCAAAAUCCAUUUUUAAGACCAUAUAGCCUGCACAAUCUUCAAGUCCUGACCUUCCUCCUGACCAAACUCAACAUCCAACCUCAUCUAUUGUCUAUACCAGAAAAAAAAGGCUUAGAAGGUGGGAAAAAUCCAAGUGCAUCCAAUGCAAAACUAAGAGUUUGAAUCAGAUUCAAAAGAUUCUGAAAAUUGACUAGGUAACACCACUGUUGAACCUCUUUUGGAUGAAAUUUCUAAUGAUUUAGAUUUGCCUAUUACUCUAAGAAAAAUGGUGAGGUCUUGCACUAAACAUCCUAUUCAGAACUUUGUGUCCUAUAAUGAGCUAUCUCCAUCAUAUAGGGCAUUUUCAAUGAAGAUAACUGAAGUGCAAGUUCCUAGAACUAUUCAGCCAAUCGGAUUGGAGAAAAGCUAUUUUUGAUGAGAUGGGUGCUUUGGAAAAGACGGGUACAUGGGAGAUUGUUGAUCUACUGAAAGAUAAGAAUAUGAUAGGAUGUAAGUGAAUCUUUACAGUCAAACAUAGAGCUGAUGGAAAUGUUGAUAGGUUGAAGACACGACUCUUUCCAAAACGAUUUACUCAAGCUUAUGGAGUUGAUUACUAAGAGACAUUUGGCCUAGUUACGAAACUCAAUACUGUUAGAGUCUUACUAUCUCUUGUUGCUAAUCUGGACUGGUCACUAAACUAGUUAGUUGUGAAGAAUGCCUUCCUCAAUGGUGACUUGGAGGAGGAAGUGUAUAUGGAGAUUCCCCUUGGCUUUGAAAGAAACAAUGACUUUAAGAAGGUAUGUAAACUCCGAAAAGCAUUAUAUGGCCUUAAAGAAUCUACUCGUGCUCGGUUUGACAAAUUCACAAAGGUCAUAAAGAAAAAUGGUUAUAUUCAGUGUCAAUUUGAUCACACCUUGUUUGUUAAGUUCUCUAAAGGAGGAAAAAUAACUAUUCUUAUUGUGUAUGUCGAUGACAUAAUUCUUAUUGGAGAUUAUGAUGAAGAGAAAGUUAGUUUGGAAAAUCUCCUCACUAAGGAAUUUGAGAUAAAAGAUUUGGAUGAUCUCAAGUAUUUCCUAUGAAUGGAAGUGGCUUGAUCUAAGAAAGGAAUUUGUAUUUCCCAAAGAAAAUACAUCCUUGAUCUUCUAGAGGAGACUAGUAUGCUUGGGUGUAAACCCUUAGACAUCCCUAUGGACUCUAAUGUCAAGCUUGGCUUAGAUCAAGAGGGUCCUUCAGUUGACAAAGGGCGAUAUCAACAACUUGUAGGGAAGUUGAUAUAUCUUACCCACACAAGACCAGAUAUUAGAUUCUCUAUUAGUUUGGUUAGCAAAUUUAUGAAUAAUCCUACCAAAGAACACUUAGAUGUUGUCUAUAAAAUCCUUCAAUAUCUUAAAUGGGCUCCUAGAGAAGGGUUAUUUUUAAAAAAGAACUCUAACAGAGAAAUUAUGAUCUACACUAACAUAGAUUGGGUUGGCUCUUCUAUAGACCAUAGAUCUACAUCUUAUUAUUGUUCAUAUGUUUGGGGCAAUCUCGUUACAUGGUGAAGCAAAAAACAAACUGUUGUUGCUAGGAGUAGUACUGAAGUUGAAUUCAGAGCUUUAGAAAAUGAAAUUUGUGAGGGCAUGUGGAUUAAAAGACUAUUGGAAGAACUCAAGUUUCCUAUUGAUAGUCCUAUGAGAAUUUUUUAUAAUAAUCAAGCAACAAUUAGCAUUGCUAAAAAUCUUGUUCAUCACGACAGGAUUAAGCAUGUGGAGAUUGACUGUCAUUUCACUAAAUAGAAGAUUGAUGAGGGGAUUAUCACUCUUGCAUACAUGCUAACAACUCUUCAAACAAUCUACAUCCUUGCCAAAGCACUUCCUAGGGUCAACUUUGAAGAAAUGAAGUCCAAGUCGGGCAUGCUAAACAUUUAUAGCCUAGCUUGAGGGGGAGUGUUGAUUUUCGUGUGAUUAUCCUUAAUUUGUUGGGAUUUUGAUUUUGUAUUCCAACCGGGAUUUGUUUCCCACUUUCUGUUUUGAGUUUUUUUUUUCCUUUUUUUUCAUUUUCUUAGGCACGUAUCUCCUAUAUUAUAGCUAGAUUUUUAUUUUGCAAAUUCGAUUCUUAGCUUAUAUAAUGUCAAUGUUGUACAUGCUCUAUAGAAAAAUAUAGAAAUAUACCAAAAUUUCUCCAGUUUUAAAUCAUAUCAAAUUUUUUACUUCAAAAUGAUUACAUUGAAAAACUCCUAAAUUUUGACUUUGAAAUGAUUAACCUUCCAAAGAUUAUUAAAAUUGUUAUCCAUUAUUUCCAUUUACAUAGAAUUUGAGAAGGACUAUAUAAUGCUUGAAAAUUUAAACAGUAUAGAAUAAAAAUAUGAUCUAUAUUGAAUUAGAAUUUUUUUUUAAAAUAAAAUUGGGACAAGCUACCUACUUAAGGAAUCCUCACACACACACACACACACACACACACACACACACACACACACACACACAUAUAUAUAUGAUCUAAGUUGAAUUAGAAUUUUUUAAAAUAAAAUUGGGACAAGCUACCUACUUAAGGAAUCCUCAUAUAUAUAUAUAUAUGACUAAGAAAAAUGAUAAAAAAGGGUGUACAAAUAUCACAUGUUAGAAAUUUUCAAAUAAAAUUGUAAUUUUAUUAAAUUGUAGAAAAAUCUACUUCAAAUCUCCAGUUUAAUUUCAAAUUAUUCUUUCAAUAAUUGUUGACUAAGUGCUUGCAAAAUUUUGAUCUCAAGUUCUAUUGAAGAUUUGAUGUUGCUUGCUUGAACUUCAUUUAGACUUUAACUUGCUUAUGGUUUGAGUUUGGAUUGGCUUAUUUUUUACUUACAUUUUAGAAAUGAACAACAUCUUAGUCUUUGAGAUUUGAAGCUUGAUUUUAUUCUUGGCUAGGCUUGUUAGGCUUUGACUUCAUUUGAGCUUUGGCUUAAACAAUCCUAACCAAGUGCUUGAGUAAUAAUCUUAGACAACAAAAUUUAGAAGAUUUGGCUAUUAAAGUUUGAUUCUUGAUUUUUUGAAAGAUAUUCAUGAUUUGAAAAUAUUUUGAAGAAAUUAAAAACUCAUCAAAGAAAUUUUGAAGAUUUGAGAAAACUUUGAAAUCUCUUUUGAAGAUUGAAAAAGCAAUGAAUACUUUCAAAGAAGCCUUCAAUUUCCCAUAAAAAUGUUUGGGAAGCUUUAAAGGAGACCAAAUUUUUUUGAAGAAGUUUGAAGGCCAUCAUAGAAGCUUUUUGAACUUAUAAUAAAGCUUUCGUUUUACCUUCUUAAUUAUGUAUUUUUUACUUAUUGUGUGAAAUAUACCUUCAAGGUGGUUUCCUUUAUUAAUAAAGAUAGGAAUAACAAUACUUAAACAAUUUUCUAGCUCUUGAAAUAUGUUUUUAAUUAUUUAACUAAACUUAAUUUUUAAGGAGAUAUAAAAGAACAUAUUUAGAUGGUCUUUAACCCCUUGAAAACUAUUCUUUAAGGAGAAUCGGUGAUUAACCGUUUUUUUUAAAAUCAAGUCCAUUAUUGUCUUAAUUUAUUGUAAUAAUUUUCUUUUUGUUGUCAAUAUUUAUCUUUUCUCUUAUUUAAUCUAUAGAUAAUUUUUUGAGGACCCAUUAAUUUGUACUUAAAUAUUGGUAUAGAAAGUUAAAAUUAUGUUUUUAAGAUAAAAAGGAGUAAAAAUCAUUGUUUUUACCUUCAAUAUGUUAACACCCUAUUUUGGUAACUAAUGUGCUAUAUUGUGGGAACUGUAGCAAAGAGAAGAUAAAAACAUGUUUUUGUUAGGAUAGAACCCUUAAAAACAUGAUAUGAAGUAACAAAUUUGGAAUUCAUUAUUUAAUGAUAUUCCAAUUUCAUUUUUAUCUAUUCUUGUUCCAUGCAUUACACUUUAUAAACAUUCUUGCCUAGCAUCUUUUGCAUUGUACGUGAUUUGGGUGCAUUAGGAAUUUCCCAAAAGAUCCAAAUAUCGAGUUCCUUGCAAAUAGAUAACUUUUUCAUAAUCGAUUCAGGUCUAGGCAUCAUGAUAUCUCAUGGUGAAAGACCACCGAAAGUCUAAUAGGGAACAUCCAAAAAGGGAAAGAGGAGUGAAUGGGUGAUAUGAAAAUUAAAAUAAAGAGUUAUAUAUAUUAUAUUAAAUUUUUCUUACCCUAAAAUUUUUUAGGGAAGUCCUAAUUAGCACUUUGGGCAAAUGUCAAACAUAUACUCUAGUAUCUUUGGAGAAUAAGGGAUUAUAUGUUUGUGAGUCUUUGUGAUGAGUUGCUACUCUUUUCAUACCGAGAAAUUGGACUUCAAUAUGAUAAGAACUCUUGUAGGUCUACCUUUGGGUGUGUGUGCACUAUAAGUGGUUUUUAUUUUAUUUCUUUAUUUAUUUAUUUUAUAGAAACAAAGGAAGCCUUUUGGCUUAUGGGUAGUUCCCUUGACCAUAAUGUCUAAGAUCCUAUUAUGUAAUAAUAGUGGGUUGGUGGCAUGGUCUAAAAAACUAAAGUACCACUAGGAAAGGAAACACAUAUGGAGGAAGUGUAACCUUAUUCUGAGAUAAUAUGGAGAGUUGAUGAUACAAUGGAGUAGAAUUCUUUCUACGGUUCCCAAUCUAUUUUUUGGGCUAGUGGGAUUUUGUUGGGAUUAUACCCCUAAAAACAAGGCAUGAUGUAACAAAGUUAGACUUAACCAUCCCCUUGCUAUCCUUUUUGGUGUAUUGACAUUGCCUUGAGCAUUUAGCCCAUGUCUUAUACAUUGUACAUGACUUUUGUGUAUUAGGAGUUAUACAAAAGAUACAAGUCAUGGGUUCCUUGUAAGUAGAUAAGUUGUCCACAAUCGGUUCAUGGAUUUAAGCAAUCCAAUAGAGACUAUAGUGCAUCACCUUCUAAUUAGAGGGAUGACUUAUCUUGGUGAUUCGACUCAUGGUAGCUUAGCUUUAAAGGCGUAUCAACAAAAUUUAUACCUUAAAUACUAUUACUAAAGUAGCCAAGCUACUAUAGCAUAGUGGUUCUAGGAUCGUUCACUGGGAAGGGUUUUCGCAAACACUAGUGAUAUUCAAAUUAGGAAAAUAGGUGAUUUUCUUAUGGAUGUUAGCUUUAAAAGAAGAUGUAAAUGUUUUAGAAAGAUUUAAACUAAUCUAAGCUAACAUUAAAGACUAAAAUGAAAGGGUGUAAAAACAAGUUUCUCAAAGAUAGGAUAGCUAUGCUCUGGCUCUUAUGCAAAUUGGAAAUCUCAGGAUAGGCUCCUCGCGUUGGGGUUGCAACUAUGGUGAUGCUUGCUUCCCGAACCGGUAUGGAUUUAGCAAAUCAAGUUUUAAUCCUUUAAAAUGGCAAAACAGAUGAUAGUGAAUUUCAUCAAUGGUUUUUCACCUUAGACUUCCUUUGAAUGGCUCGUAAGAGAUAACUAAUGGUCUAAAGCCAAAAGCUUACCAAAUAUUGGCAACUCAAAGUCAUUCCAGGUGAUAAACUCACCUUUCAAUGGCCAUUGAAAUUGGUUCUAACGGAUUAAUGCAAAACUUGGAAUUGAAAACCUCACCUUCCAAUAGCUCGUAGGAGAUAACUAAUGGAUAGAAAUCCAAAAGCUUAUCAAGUAUUGGCCGUUGGAAGUUGUCCAAAGGAAAUAAAAACCAAACUUUGCAUUAAUGAACCUUUAAUGAAAAACGACUACCUUACCUUCCAGGUGCGAGAAAUCUCCAUGGGAUUGCAUCCAAGCCAUCACAUAACAUCCAUACUUUGAGAAACUAAAAGUUUUAGCCAAUCAUCCUCUGAGGAAAAGCCCUCAGAGGCUGUUUGGCUAUUAAGAAAAUAGAAAUGGGGAAGAACAAGAGAAGAGAGAAAAAAACAGAGCUUUAUAUAUUUCUAAGUUAAUGUACAGAGGAUCGAUCACCCAAAUCUCCCUUCUUUUGGAGGUGUUGUGCACCUCUAUAUAUAGCAAAAUUACAAGAUAAAGCCUUAUGUUGGCUGAAUACAAGGUUACAAAAGGAAUUUACACGAGAAAAUAUCAAGCUAAAAAUAUCUGGGAAGUCGGUGGUGCGUGCAUGGAGAAACAGAGGAAAAUUCACACCACGCAUGGGCUGUGCGAAUUUGGAAGGUGUUGUGCGAGUGUUGUGCGAGUUUCACACAAGCUUCGCACAACCUGAAGGUGUUGUGCGAAUUUCAAGGUGUUGUGCGAAUUUCGCACAAGCCUGGAGCAGUUGUCUUCCGAAGGCCAUAUAUUCCUCAUUUCACCUCCAAAUCGUACACGAUUUGAACCGUUGGAUUCUUCACUUCCUGAGCUUUGAAAUGGUAUAUAGAAUGUAGAAAAUGAACUUUGGGAAGUGCUCCAAAAGUGUAAAAGAAGACUACAGCUGCUGUCCUCUGUUUUCUUCACUUUGCUUGCUUUUCCUCUUUGCUUCUCUUUGCUUCUCUCCUUUGCUUGGCUUGUCUUAAUGAUCCAAAAAGCUGUCAAAACACUAAAAAUAGCCACAAAUAUGAUUAGAAGUCAUUGCUAGGUCCUUAACAUGCCAAUUGGGAUAAAGAUGGAGAACUACUACACAAAAGUGCUUAAAACAUAAUGAAUUAAAGGUGUAAAAUAACACUUUUUGGGUAGUAAUCACUUGGCCAUCAAGAUGGGUUUCCCAUGGUGAGUGCACUAGUGUAUGUGAUGCAAAUUGGACAGGACCUAGGGUGAAUCAUGACACAAAACUAUCAAUUAUCAUGAUUCACCAAGCUACUACACUACAUAGACUUUCAAACUUGAGAAGAUAUUGAGCUUGUGCAAAAAUCAAUAGGAGGCUUUGACUUAUGGGUAAGACUUUAAAGUGGUCAUAUAUCCCUAUGGAUUUGGUCACUAUUGAUGGAGGCUGGUGGCAAUGGGUAUUCUCAAUAGAGACACCAUGAUAUCUCAUAAGAUUGAGACAAUGUGUCCCCUUGGGUGAUCUAAAAACAUGUGAUCGUGAAAUCUGUGGCCAUAGUAAUUACUUAAGUGGAAUUUGACAUAUUCUCUUCAAAGCUAGAGUAUGUUAUUUGAUCACAUAAUAAGUGGGAUCUAUAACUCAAGGAUUUGAGAGGUAAUCUUGAUAGGUGAAAACACUAUCUUGUUAGAUUAUGAACACUAGUUCAUGGGGAGUCUACAUGCAGUGGAUAGUAGGUCACAAACUCAAAUACUUGGUGUCUCGUUUUAAUAUAUAUAAGGUACUGGAGUGUAGUUGACUCUCUAUAGUGGGAUGCUAAGUUAAUUUCAUAAUUGUUUAUAAGAGAGCCAAUACUCCUAUGGGUCCCAAUGGUCCUCGAUCUGGGGUCAUAUUCCUUGAUGGCAUGGUUUAUGAUGGUUAGGUGGAUUUUGAAGGGAAAAACUCAGAUCACUCCGCUUCCCAAGCCCAGAUUUGGUUAGCAACAUGCAUAACUAUCCUAGGCCUUUUCUAAAUCCUAUGCUCAAUGAAAAAAAAAAUAACAUUUUUAAACCUUAAAAGGAUUCAUAAAGAGCUAACGAAAACCAUAUCUCAGAUUCCGAUGUUCCUAAAUCAAAUCCAAGUGGUGAAAAUGAAGAAUGAAAUCACAAAAGUCUCAUAAACCCGAAGUCUUCCGUGCAAUGAAUUGAAUUGAUCUUGACACACCUCCAGUGGGGAUGGAAAGGAAUGUGGAGGCUAUAACUCUUUCUUUUUCUCUUUGGAGAUGGAAGAUGGCUCUCUAGAAAAACUAUAUGAACUUUAAGCCCUAAGAUGAGAUUUAUAGGGUUUUCUACUAGGCUUAAGUAACUUGAGCUCACUAAGUGCUUGGGUCACUUAAUCUAGCCCAAAACGGGUCCUAAUUGAUUAAUUAACUCAAUAGGGCAUGCUAAUUAAUCAAUUAGCCCAAUCUAGAGACCUUGCUCACUUACCCUUGUGCAAUCUUUGUGUAAUUACCAAAAUGGCCUUAUGCACAAAAGUGAACUUAGAGCUAAUUCGACUCUCAUUACCCAUGCCAACAAGGUAUAUGAGCUCAGAGCAAGGACUAUUAGAACCCAUAUGAAUAUUAGGUCCCUCAUAAUCCAAUUCUAAAGUUGAUUCAACAUCCCACUAGAAAGAAUCAACUGAACUCCAGUAUCCUAUGUAAAUAGCAAUGAGACAUUAUGUGCUCAGGUUCUUGACCUGCUAUCCAUUACAUUUAGUCUCCCGAUGAACUAGUGUUCGUAGUCUAACAAGAUGAAAGCUAUCAACCUUUCAAGACUAUCUCUACUAUCUUUAAGUUAUAGAUCCUCCUAUUGUAUAUUCAACUGACACGUCUUAGCUCUCAAAGAGCCUAUGUCAAGUUUCACUUAAGGAAUUACUAUGACCAUAGUUUCUAUUAACACACCUCCUUAGGAUCACCUAAGGGGAUACACUGUCUCAAUCCCAUGAGAUAUCAUGGUGCCUACAUUGAGAAUACUUUUUGCUACCAACUUCUAUCAACAAUGACCUGAUCCAUAAGGAAUAUAUGAUCAACUUACGAUCUCACCCGUAGGUCAAAACCAUUGCUAACUUUAGCAUAGGCUUAAUAUUCUCUCAAGGUUGAGAGAUAACACAAUGAAGCAACUUGGUGAGGUCAUGACUACUUGAUAGCCUUAAGUCAUGACUCACCAUAGGUCUUGUGCAAUGUGUAACCAUACACACUAAUGCACUCACCAUGGGAAACCCCUCCCCAUAGCCAAGACAAGUCAUCACUCCAAUUAGGAAGUAGUGCACUACAACCUCUAAUGGGUUGCCUAGACCCAUGAACUAGUUGUGAACAAGUAAUCUAUUUGCAAGAAACCCAUGACUUGGAUCUUCUGUGCAACUACUAAUGCACCUAAGUCACAUACAAUGCAAAAUAUGCAAGUAAGAAUGCUCAUAAAAUAUAAUACAUGGAAUAAGGAUAGACAAAAGUGAAAUUGGAACAUCAUUUAAUAAAUAAUGAAUUCCAAAUUUAUUACAUCAUGUCAUGCUUUUUAGGGCUCUAUCCUAGCAUUCUCCUACUAGCCCUAAAAGCAUCAUGCCUAUAAAGCAUGCCAAAUACUCAUUUGAAACCUAUGCUAUCCUUGUGACUAAUAAAGACUCUCCUUGUCAAUGUCUUGGUGAAGGGAUCCACCAGGUUCUCCAUAUAAGGUAUCUUGUCCCAUAUCAUGUCACCUUCUAAACUAUUUCAACACUUUGGAGCACAAGCACAUAAGCACUCGUUCUCCUAAGAUACUUCAGUAUAUGCUUGAUAGCAGUUUAGUGUUUUGGACCUGGAUUAAACUAAUAUCUACUUACCAUACCCAUUACAACAAAAUAUUUAGCCUAGUACAUAGCAUCGCAUGCAUAAGGCUACCCACUAUAGAGGCAUAGGGUAUUGAUUGGAUGCGUUUUUUCUCCUCAGGUGUUUUAGGACACUGAUCCCAAGAAAGAAGAAUUCCAUACCUAAAAUGUAACAAACCUUUCUUGGAAUCUUGCAUCACAUACUUGACCAAAAGCUUAUCUAUGUAGGUAGCUUGAGAUAGCACUAGUUUCUUAUUCUUACGGUCCCUAGGGACCUUAAUCGCAAGAAUAUACUACACUUCUCCCAGAUCCUUAAUCUGGAAUUGAGUAGAUAACCAGAACUUUACUGAUGACAAUAACCCUACAUCAUUACCAAUGAGUAAAAUGUCGUCAACAUACAAGAUCAUAAAGACCAUCAUGCUUCCUUACUCCUUCUUUUUACACACAAGGUUCAUCCUCAUUUUGAUCAAAGUCAAAGGUCUUGACUGCUUGAUUGAAACAUUUAUUCUAUGAGCGAGAUGCUUGUUUUAGUCCAUAAAUGGAUUUAUGCAAUUUGUAUACCAUAUGCUCUUAACCCUUUGCUACAAUACCUUUUGGUUGCACCAUAUAGAUGCUCUCAUCAAGAUUUCCAUUUAAGAAUACAAUCUUGACAUCCAUUUUCCAUAUCUCGUAGUCAAGAUGUGCUGCAAUGGAUAGGAGUAUUCUAAUGGACUUGAGCAUGGCUAUCGACGAGAAGGUCUCAUCAUAGUCAAAACCAAGUUUCUGACUAUAACCCUUCACUACAAGCCUAGCCUUAAAAGUCUCAACCUUUCCACCCACUCCUCUCUUUCUCUUGUAGACCCACUUACACCUUAUGGGUUUUAUACCUUCAAGUGCUUCUACAAGCUCCUAGACUUGGUUAGAAUGCAUAGAUUCUAACUAUACUUCCAUAGUCUUUUGCCAAAAAUGUGCAUCCACAUCGCUCAUUACUUCAUCGUAACAUGUGGGAUCGAUCUCAUGUUCCUUUAGAAUGACCUUAAAAGACUCUCCCAAAACAUGAAUUGGUCUAGUUGUUUAACAACCCUCCCACUACAACGAAGCAUCAGUGUACUAGAAAUGAGAAUGGUUGGUACUAGAUCCAUAGUAUUUGUAGAUUGUUUGCCUUAUUACAUGUUAUAUAGUCUUCAUAAAAAAUCUAGUAUUUGUAGUAAGCAGCACCUUUUGAUAAUCCUAACUAUAAAGUAGUAAUCCUGAAAUCCUCUUAGAUAUCCUAUAAACUAAUACACCUCUUUAGAAAAAGAAGAGGUAUUACACAGUCUUUUGAUAUAUCCCCAAAGAAUAUGGGAAGUAAUGAGAAACCAAUCACCGAUCUCACUUUGUCUACCAAAGUUUAAUAUAUUCUUUCCAUUACUCCAUUUUGCAAUGGAGUCCUUGGGGCACACAAUUGUGAUAUGAUCUCAUGCUUCAUUUGGAAAGAAUCAAACCUACUAGACUAACCACCUCAAUCUAAUCAAAGUGCCUUGAUAUGUUUACCCAUUAGGUUAUCUAAUUCUGCCUUAAAUUCAAUGAGUUUAUUCAAGGCAUCAUAUUUCCUAUCUAUAUAUCCAAAGCUAGAGUAUUUAUCAAUAAAAUGAUCAAAGACUCACACUUUCAAUAUAUAAACACAAAAAGGUUCACAUACGUGAGUAUGCACUAACUCCAAACAUUCCUUGGUUCCAAGUCCUUUAAAAAUAAAAGGGUCUCUUAGUCAUUUUACCAUCUAUAUAAGAUUCAUAAACUAAAAGAUCUUCUAGAUUAAGAAGGUCCAAACUUAAUUAGUAUUUGGAUCAAUAUGACUUAGGCAUUAGAAGCCAAAUGUUUGAUUAGUUCUAGGUUCUUUCUUUUGGUGAGAUUUAACUAUUCUCAUUACUUGGCAAAGUGAUAAUGGAGUCUCACACAGAAAGGGUAAUACCUCCCACUAACAUGCACAACUAAUCUUACAAUUGAAGCUGAGAUAAGUACAAUCCCAUCAUGUGACCUUCUCACUUGUUGAAAACCUUGUAAAGAACUACAGAUAGUGGGCCUGGAAUCUAUCCACCACUAUGUAUUCAACAACAAGAACAUGAUGUGUACUUGUCUAUUCUUAAACACUCCAAGCAUUCCAUUUUUAAGUGUCCUAAAAGGCCACAAAGGAAUCAUUGCCCAUGAGUUUGUUCUCUCAUUAUUUUUCUUGAACUUUCCUUAUUUGGUGUUGUUCUUUUCCUUCUUAGUAGAAGAACCUAAAGAACCUUGACUUCCAUAUGAACACCUUUCGACUCUUUGAGAAUCUUCUUAACCAUACUAAAGGAAUCCGGUAAGAUCUCUAGGAUAACAUGAAUCUUGGUGUUCAUAAUAGUCCUAAGGGCAACUUGUUUAGUUGACUUACUCUUAUUACCAAAUAACCCUUUCAACUUUAAAGAGAAUAUCAUAGACUAUGGAAAUAGACAUAUGUUGUUUUUGCAACACUUUAUCUAAAGACCCAAGUAUGAGAGACUUGGCCUUUUGAUCUGUCUUAUGCCAUAUUUGAUAUGUUUCUCUUACUUCAUGAUAGGUUUGUUCAAUGGAAAUAACAAACUCUACCAAAAUCAGCUUCUAUGCAAUUAAUACUAUACCCAGAUUAUUUAUAGUCUAUCAUUAGGUCCAAUUUAAACAAAAGAUAAUAGGCAACAAGUUAAAAACAUGAUAUCUAUAACAAAUAUAAUAAUUCCAUGCAUUAAUAAAAAGAAAUUGAGCAUUCAAGGAAAAUUGGUAAUUAAUUUAGCAAAAAAGUAGUGUUCUCAAACUACAUAUCCUUUUGAAAGGUAUCCUAGUAUCAUAAGAAUCAAGCCAACUUUAUGUAGGUCACGACUCUUAUUACUAAGGUAGAGUCCCUCUCUAAUUGAUCAACUCUAAUUAAACUUUAAAAGUUAUCCUAAGGCAUUGAUCAACAUACCUUUAUGUUUAGCCCUUAGUCCAUGCAAGUGGGACCACUUUAGGUGAUUUUACCACUUUAGGUGAUUUUACCACUUCAUGUCUAAGUUAAGUAUGUAACCAAGAUCCUUGACAUCAAUGUUACCAAGUGAAGAGUUCCAUCUUUAGGAUUGACUACUCUCACUAUAAACAUAUAUAGUCUUGUCCAUAAAGGAUAGUCUUUAUCCCUUGAUUCCUUGGGUCACCCUAUCUUUAGGAUGGUGAUGCACCCAAAAUCAAGAUGGGCUUGAUCUUGGAGGUUAUGGGCUUGCCUAUGGCCUACUCUUACUUAAUAUUUUGGAAAAGAGGCUUUAAGAUAAUUUUGGUAACUAUCUUAAAAUAAAUUAUCUAUCAUGAGAAUUUCCAAAACUUUUAUUUAUCACUUGAAUUGGGACUCUUGUACCAAAUAGGGAUAUAUUUCAUAUUCCUUAUCCUUGAACUUUCCUUUUCAAACUAAACAAAUUCCUCAUUCUCUCAGAUGAGAAGAGGUUGGAAGACCAAUUUAAUUGUCAUUCUACUUCUCUCUAGGGAGGAAGGCUUGGAAAACCACUUAAGCCAAAUAAAGAAAAGUCCCAAAAGGAAUUUGAAAUUCCAAAUGACAACAACCAAUUCCUUAAAUAAAUAAUAAUGGAAAUAAAACUCAUGAAAAUGUAUUCUUUUAAGAAAAUCCAAAAUUACCAUUUUAAUUUAUUUUAUUUGAAACAACAUCUUGGUAAGCUAUAUUAAUAAUGAAUCAUCUAUCAUAUAUUUUUCUAAAAAUAAUUUAUUUCUUUAAAUUAAAAUCUUGUGCUAAAUAGGAAAGAUUUUAUUUCAUAAAGGCUUGGAAAACUAAAACUUCUUCCUUAUAAUAAAAAAAUUCUUAGAGAUCUAAAAUUUAAAAAAAAUUAUUUUGGAAAAGAAAAUCUCUAAAAGUUUAAUUUUGAAAUGGAAGUAGGUUCCUUAUUACUUUCCAACUUAUCUUUUCCUAAAAUAAAAUUUUCCUAAUCCCUAUCACAUUCCAAUUUAAUAAAUUAUCUAAAACAAGAAAAAAAAUGAAAAUUCAUUUACUUAAGAAUGCCAAAAUAUAUUCUAUGUCAAAAAUAAAAAGGCAUAAAAGAUAUAAAAGGAAAUUAAAUAAAUAAUUUUCAUGGUCUUAUGGAUCUUGCUGCAAAUUUGGAUAAAAUCCAAAUUAUCAAAAUAGUCCUGCAACCAAAGAUAGGGUUAAUGAAAAAAGAAAAACCCAACAAGCCCAAUUGCCACAAAAAAAAAGCCCAAAAAGAGGCCCAAAAAAUUGAGUUCAAACAACCAAAAACAAUUUGGCCCAAACUCAAUCCCGUAAUUGCAUGCCCUUUGAGCAGCCUUGCUUCAAUCAGCCAUAUCUCCCUCGUUUCAACUCUGAAUUGUGAUAUGUUUGAAGCAUUGGAUUCCUGUAUUCCUAAGCUUGAAAACCAUAUAUGGUUUUCCCCAAAGAUCUCAUGGGAGGUAGCCCCGAUUUUGAGUUAAAUUCAGCAUCACUGUGCUGCCAUGGUCUUUGCGCAACCUUACUUCAAUCGAUUAUAACUCCCUUGUUUCAACUCCGAAUUGUGAUCUAUUUGAAACCUUGGAUUCCUGACUUCCUAAGAUUGAAAACCACAUGUGGUUUGACCUAAAAAAACUCAUGGGAAGGUAUCCUGAUUUUAAUCGUAAGAUGACAAAAUUGUGCUGCCAAGGAUCUCAAAUCAAGAAUUUCCAAGAAUCUUUCUUUUCCCUUAAAUCACCAUAGGAACUUAUGAAAGAAACUUCAAGAAGCCUUAUUUUCUCUUUUCCAAAAAAGGGAAUGUGCGCGGAAAUUUUGUGAUGCUUCAGACUGCUUCCAUAAUCUCCAUAUGUUACAAAAAAUGAUAAAAAAAAAAGGAUUUGGAGUUUACAUAUCAUUCUAAGAUAAAAAUGGGAUUUUUACAAAAGAACAAAAAUCCUAUGCCUCUUUUGAGGCUUACAACCCAUCUAGAAAAAGUAAACAACAAUCCCAGUAAUUAUUACAUCCCUAAUAAAAAACAAUCACAAUAAUAAAGAAUCCACAUUAAUUAUCCCUAGUGUCAUGGGAUAAACACAUACCUUACAAAAUAAAGUUAGCACACCCUAUAAUGGUUCUAGCACGAUUACUAACCUAUGGCUCUAAUACUAGUUGAUGGGAAAAACCUGGAUAUUUCCGUUUUCUAAGCUCGAAUCAGGUUAGGAACAUGUAUAACUAUCUUAGGCUUUUUCUAAAUCCUAUGCAUAGUGGAAAAAUAACAUUUUUAAACUUUAAAGAGAUUCAAAAGGCGCUAAAAAAAACCAUACCUCAAAUUUGGAUGUUCCUGAAUCAAAUCCAUAUGGUAAAGAUGAAGAACGAAAUCGCAGAAGUCUUGUAAACCCGAAGUCUUCUGUCCGAUGACUCAAAUCUUGAUCUUGACACACUUCCGGUGGGGAUGGAAGGGAGGGUGAAGGCUACUUUUAGGAUAGAGCCCUUAAAAGCAUGAUAUGAUGUAAUAAAUUUGAAAUUAAUUAUUUAUUUCAUGAUGUUCCAGUUUCACUUUUAUCUAUCCUUAUUCCAUGUAUUAUACUUUAUGAACAUUCUUAUCUGCAUCUUUUGCAUUUUAUGUGACUUAGGUGCAUUAGGAGUUGCAUAGAAGAACUAAGUCAUGGGUUCUUUGCAAAUAAAUGACUUGUUCACAACCGGUUCAUGGGUCUAGACAACCCAUUAGAGGUUGCAGUGCACCACCUCCAAAUUGGAGGGAUGAUUAGUCUUGAAUACUGGGAUAGGUUUUCCAUGGUGAGUGCACUAGUGUGUAUGGUUACACAUUGGAUAGGACCAAUGGUGAGUCAUGACUUAAGGCUAUCAAGUAGUCAUGAUCUCGCCAAGUUGCUUCACUGUGUUGUCUCUCAACCUUGAGAGAAUAUUGAGCUUGUACUAAAGUUAGUAGUGGUUUUGACCUAUGGGUGAGAUCGUAAGCUGAUCAUAUAUUCCCUAUUGAUUGGGUCAUUAUUGAUGGAAGUUGGUAGCAAUAGGUAUUUCCAAUAGAGGCACUAUGAUAUCUCUUGGAAACUAUGGGCAUAGUAGUUCCUUAAUUGGAGCUUAACGUAAGCUCUUUGAGAGCUAAAACAUGUCAGUUGAAUACACAAUAGGAGAAUUUGUAACUUAAGGAUGGUAGAGGUAGUCUUGAAAUGAUGAUAGCUUUCACCUUGUUAGACUAUGGACACCAAUUCAUGAGGAAACUAAACAUUAUGGAUAGCAGGUCACAGACUUGAGCACGUAAUGUUUCAUUGUUAACUUAGGAUACUAGAGUUUAGUUGAUUCUUUAUAGUGGGAUGUUAAAUCAACUUCAGAAUUGGAUUAUGAGGAAGCUAGUAUUCCUAUGAGUCUUAAUGGUUCCCGCUUUGAGCUCCUAUACCUUGUUGGCAUGGAUUAUGAGGGUCGGACUAGCUCUAAGUUCACUUUUGUGCAUAAGGGCAUUUUGGUAAUUAUAUAGGUUGCACAAGGGUAAGUGAACAAGGUCUCUAGAUUGGGCUAAUUGAUUAUUUAGUAGGUCUUGUUGGGUUAAUUAAUCAAUUAGGACCUAUUUGGGCUAGAUUAAGUAACCUAAGCCCAUGUGGGCUUAAGUCACUUAAGCCCACUUAGGAACCAUAUAUAUACCCUUUAGGGGUUAGGGUUUGCAUAGUUUUUGUCUUCCACCAUCCAGAAAGAUAGAGAGUCAUAGCCUUCACCAUUUUUUCCUUCCCAUCGGAAGUGUGUCAAGAUCAAGGUUCGAGUCAUCGGGUGGAAAACUUCAGGUUUAUGAGACUUCUGCUAUUUCUUUCUUCAUCUUCACUACGUGGAUUUGAUUUGGGAACAUCCGAAUCUGAGGUAUGGUUUUCUUAGCAUUUUUUUUAAUCCCUUAGAAUUUUAAAAAUAAAAAUUUUAUGUUGUAUAUAUCCUUUAGAAAAGGCUUAGGAUAGUUAUGCAUGUUCCUAACUUGAUCCGGGCUUGGAAAACAGAGAGAUUUAGGCUUUUCCCAUCAACUAUGGCUUUCUAUCUUUCUGGAUGGUGGAAGACAAAAGCUAAUGAAACCCUAACCCUUGGGAUAUUUAUAAGGUUCCUAAGUUAGCUUAAGUGACUUGAACCUACAUAGGCUUGAGUCACUUAAUCUAGCCUAAAAUGGGUCCUAAUCGAUUAAUUAACCCAAGGAGGUCUACCAAUUAAUCAAUUAGCCAAAUUCAGAGACCUUGUUCAGUUAUCCCUAUGUAAUCUUGCGUAAUUACAAAAAUGCCCUUAUCACAAAAGUGAACUUAAAGUCGAUCCGAUCCUCAUAAUCCAUGCCAACAAGGUAUAUGAGCUCAAAGAGAGGACCACUAGGACCCAUAGGAAUACCGGCUCACUCAGAAUACAAUUAUAAAGUUAAUUCAACAUCCCAUUGUAGAAAAUUAAUUGAGCUCCAAUAUCCUAUGUAAAUAACAAUGAGACAACAAGUACUCGGGUCCGUGACUUGCUAUCCAUUAUGUUCAGUCUCCUUAUGAACUAGUGUUCAUAGUCUGUCAUGGUGAAAGCUAUCAACCUUUCAAGACUACCACUAUCAUCCUUGAGUUAAAAACCUCCUAUUGUGUGUUCAAUUGACAUAUCUUAGCUCUCAAAGAGCCUAUGUCAAGUUCCACUUAAGGAACUACUAUGCUAUAGUUUCCAUGAAUACACCUCCUUAGGAUCACCCAAGGGGACACACUAUCUCAAUCCCAAGAGAUAUCAUGGUCCUUCUAUUGAGAAUACCUAUUGCUACCGACUUCCAUCAAUAGUGAUCCAAUCCAUAAGGAAUAUAUAAUCAGCUUAUGAUCUCACACGUAGGUCAAAGCCACUGCUAACUUCAAUACAAGCUCAAUAUUCUCUCAAGGCUGAGAAACAACAUAAUGAGGUAGCUUGGUGAAGUCAUGACUACUUGAUAGCCUUAAGUCAUAACUCACCAUAGGUUUUAUCUAAUGUACAACCAUACACACUAGUGCACUCACCAUGAGAAACCCAUCCCAAUAGCGAAGACCAACCAUCCCUCUUAUUAGGAAGUGGUGCACUAUAACCUUUAAUGGGUUGCAUAGACUGAUGAAUUGGUUGUGAACAAGUCAUCUAUUUGUAAGGAACACAUGACUUAGAUAUUUUGUGAAACUCCUAAUACAUCUAACUCAAGUACAAUGCAAAAGAAGCAAACAAGAAUGCUCAUAAAGUAUAAUACAUGAAAUAAGGAUAGAUAAAAGUGAAAUUAAAACAUCUUUAAAUAAAUAAUGAAUUCCAAAUUUAUUACAUCAUGUCAUACUUGUAAGGGCUCUAUCCUAACAGUUGUCUCUCAACCUUGAGAGAAUAUUGAGCUUGUGUUGAAGUUAGCAAUGACUUUGACCUACAAGUGAGAUCGUAAGUUGAUCAUAUAUUCCCUAUGGAUUGGGUCAUUGUUGAUGGAAGCUAAUAGUAAUAGGUAUUUUCAAUAGAGACACCAUGAUACCUCUUGGGAUUGAGAUAGUGUCUCCCCCUUUGGGUGAUCAUAAGAAGGUGUGUUCAUGGAAACUAUGGUCAUUGAAGUUUCUUAAGUGGAACUUGAAAGACUGAUAGCUUUCACCUUGUUAGACUAUGAACACUAGUUCAUAGGGAGACUGAACAUAAUGGAUAGUAGGUCAUGGACCCAAGCACUUGGUGUCUUGUUGUUAUUUACAUAGGAUACUGAAGUUUAAUUGAUUCUCUGUAGUGGGAUGUUGAAUCAAAUUUAGAAUUGGAUUAUGAAGGAGCCCGUAUUCCUAUGGGUACCAAUGAUCCUCGCUUUGAGCUCACAUACCUUAUUGGCAUGGGUUAUAAGGAUGGGAUUGACUCUAGGUUCACUUUUGUGAGUAAGGGUGUUUUGGUAAUUACGUAAGGUUGUACAAGGAUAAUUGAAGAAGGUCUUUAGAUUGGGUUAGUUGAUUAAUUAGUAAGCCUUGUUGGGUUAAUUAAUCAAUUAAGACCCCAUUUUGGGCUAGAUUGAGUGAUCCAAGCCCUCAGUGGGCUCAAGUCACUUAAUCCUAGUAGGAAACACUAUAAAUACUCCCUUAAGGGUUAGGGUUCCCUUAGUUUUUUCUAGAGAGUCGUUUUCCAUUUCUAAAGAGAGAGAGAGAGAGAGAGAGUCAUAGCUUCCACCCUUCCUUUCAUCUCCAUUGGAAGUGUGUCAAGAUCAAGGUUCGAGUCAUUGGGUGGAAGACUUUGGGUUUACAAGACUUAUGCGAUUUUGUUCUUCAUCUUCACCAUGUGGAUUUGAUUCGGGAACAUUUGAAUCUAAGAUAUGGUUUUUGUUAUUACUUUAUGAAUCCCUUUAAAGUUUAAAAAUGCUAUUUUUCCAUUGAGCAUAGGAUUUAGAAAAAGCCUAAGAUAGUCAUGCAUGUUCCUAAUCUAAUCUAGGCUUGGGAAAUGGAGAGAUUCAUAUUUUUCCAAUCACACAUAGCAUCGCAUACUUAAGACUAUCCAUUUUAGAGUCAUAGGAUACCGCUUUAAUGUGAUCUUUUUCCUAUGAUGUCCAAGGACAUUGAUCUUGAGAAAGAUAGCCCUAAACCCAAAGGGUAACAAACCCUUCUUGGAGUUUUACAUCAUGUACUUGACCAAAUACUCAUCAAUGUAGGUGACAUGACAUAAUUUUCCUAUUCUUGUAGUCCUAAAGGACCUUAACCCAAGAAUAUAUUAUGUCUUUCUCUAGAUUUUCAUCUAGAAUUGAGUAGGCUAGUAGGUCUUUACUAAUGAAAAUAUCCUUACAUCAUAUCCAUUGAGUAGAGUGUCAUAUACUUGUGCUCUAACCAUGCUUCCCUACACUUUCUUGUACACAUAAGGCCCUUUGCUAUGAAAAUAUUUGGUUGUUAUAUCUUAUAAACGAGACACACUACAAUAGAUAGGAGUAACGUAAUGGAUUUAAAUAUGACAAAUGUUGAAAAGGUUUUCCAUAGUUGAAACAAAGUUUCAAACUAUAACCUUUAGCGACAGUCUUAGCCACAUAAAACUUAAGUUUUCCAUUUACUCCUAUGUUCCUCUUGUAGACCAACUUACACCUAUAGGUUUUAUCCCUUUAGAUGCUUUUAUAGGAACUCAAACUAUGUUAGAAUAUAAAGAUUCUAACUACCUCUUCAUAGCUCCUUGCCUUAAUGUGAGCAAAACACUGUUCAUUGCUUCAUCAUAAUCUAUGAGAUAUAAAACUCCCACUACGAUGAGGCACUAGUAUACUAGAAAUCAUAGAAAAUGUAUGCCUUUAAUCCUUUGGCUCUGUGGUAUCCUAUAUAAUGUGGGACUAUCUUCUAAUAUAUCCUCCAAUCUGUCUCACUUUUUACCUUAUUCCUUAUCAUAUAAUCUUCAUAAAAAAUCUUAUAUUUGUGUUAACAAAUAUCUUCUAAUGAUCUUAACUAUAAAUGUAAUGACCAAAAAAUCUUCUUAUAUAUCCUAUAAAUUGAUAUACCCCUUUAUAAAAAAUAAUAAUUAUACAAUCUAUAAGAAAUAUCUUGAAAAAAAUCUGGGAAAAUAUGAGAAACCUAAUCCAUGAUCUCACUAUUUCCAUUAAAGUUUGAUAUCUUCCUUUCACCUCUCUAUUUUAUAAUAGACACUAGUGCAUGUUUUUGGGAACACUGGAUUACUUUGUUCCCAUGCCUAGGAUCAUGUAGGGUGCAUUCAAAUCUAUCAUAAGCUCUCUAAAUCUAUCGCGAUGAAUAAACAAGUAUUAAAAAAAAUAAGGAUACCAUAGAAAAGAUAGAAAUAUAUAAUAAAACAACAUACCUUUGAUCCGGAUGUUCCCGAAUCAAUUCUAAUCGAUGUAGAUAACUCCAAAGUCAUAAUGAAUCUCAUAAACACCAUGAUUUUCUGCUCAAUGACUCUUCCUUGUGUCUAGGCACUGAGAUGGUAGAUAUCUCAAGUGUGGAGGUUAGGGUUCUCUCUCUAGAUUGAAGAGGAGAAUAGCAAGAAUUAGAAACCCUAACCCUAAAAGGGGUAUUUAUAGGCUUCAUAUUAGGCUGAAGUGACUAAAGCCCACCAUGGGCUUGGGUCACUUAAUCUAGCACAAAAAGGUUGCUAAUUGAUUAAUUAACCAUACAAGACCAUAUUAAUCAAUUAGCCCAGUUAAAGGAUAGCACUCACUUAUCCCUGUGCAACCUUAUAUAAUUACCAAAACACCUUUAUGCAAAAAAGUGAAUGAAAAACCCAUCCAACCCUUAUAAGUCAUGCCAAUAAGGAAUAUGAGCUUAGAGUGGGGACCAUUGAGACCCAUAAGAGCACUAGCUUUCUCAGAAUCAAAUUCUGAAAUUGACUUAACAUCCCACUACAAAGAGUCAACUGCACUCCAAUACACUAUGUAUAUUACAAUGAGACACCAAGUGCUCAGGUCCGUGACUUACUAUCCACUGCAUGCAGACUCCAUAUGAAUUAGUAUCCAUAAUCUAACAAGGUAGUGCUAUUACCUAUCAAGAUUACCUCUCAAAUCCUUGAGUUACACAUCCCACUUGUUAUUGGAUCAAAUAAUAUAUCCUAACUCCAAGAAGCAUAUGUUAAAUUCCACUAAAGAAAUUACUAUGGCCAUAGAUUUCAUGAUCACAUGUCCUUUAGAUCACCCAAGAGGACACACUGUCUCAAUCCCAUGAGAUAUCAUGGUGCCUCUAUUGAGAAUACCUAUUGCCAACAAUCUUCGUCAACAGUGACCCAAUCCAUAAGGAUAUAUGACCACUUUAAGGUCUCACCCAGAGGUUAAAUCCUCCAAUUGAUUUUGGCACAGACUCAAUAUCCUCUAAAGGUUGAGAGUCCAUGCAAUAUAGUAGCUUGGUGAAUCAUGAAAAUUGAUAGUCUUGUGUUAUGAUUCAUCGUAGGUCCUGCCUAGUGUGCAUCACAUACACUAGUACACUCAUCAUGGGAAACUCAUCCUGACAACCAAGACAAUUUAUCUUUCUAAUUAAGAGGUGGUAAACUAUAGUCUCUACUGGAUUGCUCAAAUCUAUGAACCAAUUGUGGACAAUUUAUCUACUUAAAAGAAACCCAUGACUUGUAUCAUUUGUGCAACUCUUAAUACACCUAAGUCAUGUACAAUGUAAGAGACAUGGGUUGAAUGCUCAAAUCAAUGUCAAUACACCAAAGAGAUAACAUGGGGAUAGUUAAGUCUAACUUUGUUACAUCAUGUCUUGAUUUUAGGGGCUCAAUCCCAACUAACUUCCACUAGCCCCGAAAGCAGAUUGGGUACUAUAGAAAGAUUCUGCUUCACAAUCAUAUCACUUCUCUGUACUAUCUCAUAAUAAGGCUACACUUCUUCUUUAUGGGGUUCUUUUUCUAGUGGUAUUUCAGUUCUUUAGACCAUGCAAUUGUCUCACUGUUAUCACUUAAUAAGAUCUUAGACGAUAUAGCCAAGGAAACUACCUAUAAGCCAAAAGGUUUCCUUUGUUGCUAUGGAAACAACAAAAAGCCAUUUAGAGUGUACACAUACCCAGAAGUAGACUUGUGAGAGUCUUUAUCAAAUUGAAGUCCAAUUUUCCGAUACAAAAGGAGUACUAACUCAUUGCAAAGACUUACAAACAUAUAAUCCCUCAUUCUCAAAGACAUUAGAGUAUAUGUUUGACAUCGAACCAAAGUUCUUAGCAGGAAAUGGACUAAUAUCCACUUAUUAUUCCUAUAACAAAGCUGAUAUUUGGUUUAACACAUAAUAUUGCAUACUUAAGGCCAUCUAUAGCAGAGGCCUUAGAUACCGCCUUAAUGCGAUCUCUUUUCAUAAAUGUCUAAGGACAUUGAUCCUAAGAAAAACAACUCCAAAUCCAAAGAGUAACAAACCCUUCUUGGAGUUUUACAUCAUGUAGUUGACCAAAUGCUCAUCUAUGUAGAUGACAUUACAUAAUUUUCCUAUUCUUAUAGUCCUAAAGGACCUUAACCCCAAGAAUAUAGUGUCUUCCUAUAAAUUUCAUCUAGAACUAAGUAGACUACCAGAUAUUGAUUGAUGACAAUAUCCCUACAUCCUAUCCAAUGAGUAGAUUGUCAUCUACCUGCAAGAUCUUAAAGCAUCACCACGCUUCCCUUUGGUUUCUGGUACACACAAGGCCCUUUGCUAUGAAAAUGUUUGGUUGUUAUAUCUCAUAAAUGAGACACACUACAAUAGAUAGGAGUAAUAUGAUGGAUUUGAGUAUGACCACUAUUGAAAAGGUUUUCUUUGGUUGAAACAAAGUUUCAAACUAUAAUCUUUAGCUACAGUCUUAGCAACAUAAACCUUAAGCUUUCCAUCUACUCCUAUGUUCAUAGGUCUUAUCAUUUUAGGUGCUUCUAUAGGAACCCAAACUAUGUUAGAAUACAAAGAUUCUAACUACCUCUUCAUAGCUCCUUGCCUUGAGUGAGCAUAAACAUUGCUUAUUACUUUAUCACAAUCUAUGGGAUAUGAACCUCCCACUAUGAUGAGGCACUAGUGUACUAGAAAUCAUAGGAAUGGUAUGUCUUUAACCCUCUGGAUCCAUAGUAUCCUAUUCAAUAUGAGACAAUCUUCUAAUAUAUCCUUCAAUUUGUAUCACUCUUUGCCAUAUUCCUCAUCAUAUAGUCUCAUAAAAAAUCUAACAUUUAUGUCAACGAAUAUCUUUUGAUGAUCCUAACUAUAAAGGUAAUAACCCAAAAAUCCUCUUAGAUAUCCUAUAAACAGAUAUAUCUUUUAGGAAAAAGAGGUAUUACAUGGUCUAUAAGACAUAUCCCCAAAAGAAUCCGGGAAAAAAAAUGAGAAAUCUAUCCAUGAUCUCACUAUGUCCAACCAAAUUUGAUAUUUCCACCUCUUUGUUUUGCAAUGGAGACCCUGGUGCGCAUGACUAGGAAAUAAUCUCAUGCUUUAAAGGAAAGAAUCAAACUUACUAGACAUAUCACCUUGAUCUAAUCGAAGUGACUUGGUAUGUAUGUCCAAUAGGUUAUCCGAUCCCGCCUUAAAUUUAAUGAAUGUAUCUAAGGCAUCAAAUCUUCUAUGGACAUAUCCAAACCUAGAGUAAUCAUCACUAAAAGUGGUGAAAUACCCAUACCCUCCCCAUGCAUAGACACUAAAAGUUUCAUACAUGUUAGUAUGCACUAACUCCAAACAUUCCUUAGCUUUAAUCCUCUUGGUCAUUUUACCGUCUAUACAGGAUUCGUAAACUAAAAGAUCAUUUCAAAUUAAAGAGUUUAGACAUUACCAAUCUUUGGAUCCUAUUUAGAUUAAUAUGACCUAGGUCUAGAAACCAAAUGUUUAAUUAGUGCUAGGUUUAAUCCUGAGAUUUGACUAUUCUCAUCACUUGGCAAAGUAAUAAUGGAAUACAUAUAAAGGAAGAAGAUAUUACCUCCCACUAACAUGCAUAAAUAACCUUGCAUUUGAAGUUAAGGUAACUAUAAUCCCAUCAUUUAACCUUCUCAUUUGUUGAAUAUCUUAUAAGGACUUACAGAUAGUGGACCUGGAAUCUAUCCACCACAAAUGGUGAAAUCCACCACUAAAUAUUCAACAGUGAGAAAAUGAUGUAUACUUUCCUUUUUCCUUUAGGUAAACUGGCCAUUUCUUUUCUAGUGCCUAAAAGGUCACAAAGGAAUCACUUGCCCUUGACCUUGCUCUCUUAUUCCUUAUCUUGAACUUUCCUUAUUUGGCAUUGUUCUUCUUCUUCUUAAGAAGAACCUGAAGAACCUUUGACUACCAUAUGAACACCCUAUAAUCUUUGAGAAUCCCUUUAGCCAUCUCAAAGGAAAAUGGUGAGGUCUCUAAGAUCAUAUGUAUACUUGGUGUUCAUAAUUGUCCUAAGAGUAGCUUUUCAAGGCUGAUCUAUCCUUAUUACCAAAUAACCAUUGCAAACUAGAAAGAUAAUAUCAAAGUCUCUAAUAGUAGAAAUGUGUUACUAUUGCAACACAUUAUCCAAAGUUCCAAGUAUUAGACGCUUGGUCUUUUGAUCCAUCUAAUACCGCUUUGAUAUUCCACUCUUUUCUCUUGCUAGGCUAGUUCAUAAGGAAUAGCUAGCUCUACCUAAACUAGCUUCUAUGCAAUUACUUACUAUAUCUAGAAUACAAUUAGUCCAAUUGAUUAGUUAGGUUUGGCCUAUUAUGAGAAAAAGAGUGAUAAUAAAACCAACAUGAUAUCCAUAACAAAGAAUAUGACCAAGCAUAUGACAUAAUUGAGCAUUCAAGGCAUUUGGUAAUUAAUUUAGCAAAAAUGUAGUGCUCCCAAACUAUAUAUCCUUUUGCAAGGUAUCCUAGUAUUAUAAGAAUCAAGCCUAGGUGGGAUAGGUCAUGACCUUAUUACUAGUAAGAGACCCUCUCAAAUUGAUCUCCCCACCUUAUCCAUAAAAGUAUCUUAAGGCAAGAUUAACAUAGCUUUUAUUUAGCCUAUAGACUAUGCAAGUGGGACCACAUGGGGCAAUUCUACCACUUCAUAUCCAAUGUCAAGUGUAUAACCAUUGUCCUUGAAUUAUCAAUGUCACCAAGUAAAGAACUCCACCUAGGGGUGGUCGCUCCCACUACAAACAUAUCUAGUCUCGUCCAUGUAGAGAGUCCAUAUCUCUUGAUUCUUAAGGCUAACCCACCGUAAGGGUGGUGAUGAACCCAAAUCAAGAUGGGCUCAACAAUGGAUGUCUUGGGCAUGCCUAAGGCCUUCUCCCACUUAAUGUUUUGAGAUAAAUAAGAGCAUUUUAAAACCAUUAGUAAUUUCCCUGAUGAAUAAAUUAUCUACUUUGAAAAUUUUCAAAAAUAUUUAUUUACUAAUUGGAAGCCUAGUAUAAUAGGAGAAGACCAACAUGAAAAAUUUUAAAUUUCCAUGACAGUAAUUUUCAAAAAGAUUUUUUAUAAAAUAUCCACUUUCAAAAUUUUAAAAUCUAUUUUCAUUACAUUAUCCUUCUAUAUAUAAUUCCAAUUAAUAAAUAUUUUAUCUAGGAAAUGUUUCAAAUAAAUUUAUUUCCAUCAAAUUACUAAGCCUUUUGCUAAUAAUCUUUUAAUGAUAAAUUAUCUCUAAUGAAAAAUUUCAAAAUAUUUAUUUUCCAAAUUGGAAACUCUUGUGUAAUAAGAAAAUUACUAAUUCAUGAUAUUUUGAAUAAUCUUGAGAGCAACUUAUCCAAGAAAGGAACUUUUGCUUCUCAUAUUCAAAAAUCCUCAUAAGAUUUACUUUCCUUAUUCCUUACACUUUUCCAAAUUAAUAAAUAUUUCCAUGAAAAUUUCAUAAUAAUUUAUGUCAUUAAUUACUACCAAAAGUAGGACCUUUUAAUAAUUUCUUAAUAGAUAAAAUAUUCUCCAUGAAAAACUCCUAAAAAUGCUUAUCUCUAAAAAGGAAUUAAACAGUCCAUUGUGGAAAGUAUUUUUAAAAUAUUUUAUAUCUUCAUUAAAUUACUAAAACUUUCCAAAGUUAUUUUGGUAACCCUUCUUAUCAUGAAAUCUUUAUCAUGGGAUUUUCAAAACCUUAAUUACUUCUAAACCAAGAUUCCUGUGCUAAAAGAAUUGCUUUCUUAUUCCUUAUCAUUGAAUUAUCCAAACAGAAUGGUUUCCUCCCUCUCUUUGAGGAAGAGAGCCUAGAGGACAAACUGUAGGUAUAGUUUAAAAAAUAGAUAGUUCUAAAGAAAUAACAAUCUUCAUAGCAACAACAAAUUUAAAAAGAUAAUCUUAGAAAAUAUCUUCUCAUGAAAAUUUACUAAGAAUACCAAAAAACUUUUCUUUAGGUUCUAAAACUUAUUUUGGUAACCACUCUUAAUUAUAAGUUAUCUAUCAUGAAUUUUCAAAAUUAACUUUUUUUCUUUCAAUUAGAAAUCCUAUGCAAAAUAGGAAAAAUACUAUUUUACAAAGAUUUGGAAAAAUAAGAGCUUUUCCUUAAGAGAAAGAUUUUAUUCUUAGAGAUCUCAAAGAUUUGAGAAGAUUUUAAGUAAAGUUCAAAUCUCAAAGAAUUAAAUUUAAAAGGGAAGAAAGCUCUUAAUCCUUUGCCAACUUAUCUUUUUCUUUAAAAUAUAAUUUCCUAACUAUACACAUUCCAAUUUAAAUAAGUUUUCCAAUUUGAAAAAAACACGAAAAUUUAUUUUCAAUUAAGAAUACCAAAAUAUCUUGAGGCCACAUAUACAAUCUAUCAAUAUAUAUAUAUACAUAUAUAUAUAAGGGAAUAACUAAAUAGAAAAAUUCUCAUGGCCUUUAAGGAUCCAAUUGCAUAUUUGGUAAUUAAAAUUUGGAUAAAAUCCAAAUUACCAAAAAUAGUCCUACAACCAAAAAUAGGGUUAGUAAAAAUAGAAAACUCAAAUGGCCUUAUUGCCACAAAAAUUGAGCCCAAGAAGAGGCCCAAAAUUCAGCCCAAACAACGAAAAGAAUCGGGCCUGUAUGCAAUCUCGUAACAGCAUGCUCUUUGAGCAGUAUUGCUUCAAUUGGUCAUAUCUUCCUCAUUUAAACUCCAAAUUAUGAUUCGGUUAAAGUAUUGGAUUCCUAACCUCCUAAGCUUCAAAACCAUAUGUGAUAUGCCUCAACAAACUUACUGGAAAUGGCUGUGAUUUUGACUCAAAUUUGACAUCACUAUGCUGCCAUUCACUUUGCACAACCUUGCUUCUUUUAACCAUUUCUCCCUCAUUUCAACUCCGAAUUGCAAUCUACUUGAUCCAUUGGAUUCAUGACUUCCCAAGCUUCAAAUCCAUAUAUGGAUUGCCUCAAGAAACUUUUAUAAUGUAGUCCCAAUUUUGAGUUCAAUUCAACAUCAUUGUGUUGCCAUGGAUCUCAAACCAAGAACUUCCAAGAUUGCUUCUUUCUUCUUUAACCACCAUAGAAUCACAAAAAGAACUUUCAAGAUUCCUUCUACAAUAGAAGGAUGCAAAAAAUUGAAAUUUUUACACCAAUAAAAAUUCCUAUGCUCCUUUAAUGGAGCUUAUAGCCCAUCAAUUGAAAAGAAAAUAUUUUUACAUUCAAAUAAAAAUCCUAUACCCCUUUUGUGGUGUACAACCCAAUCUAGAAAACAAAAGGUAAAGAAGAUAUCCAUUCAUAUUCAUUGAUUCAAAUGAAUCAAUAACAAUAAACCAAUCCAAAUAUAUUAAUACAUUAAAAUGAUUCUCCAUUCAUUCAUCCAUUAGGGUCAUGGGAUGAAUAAAACAACCCUGCAAAAUAGAGUUAGCACAUCCUAAACAGAUCUAACAAGAUAGAACCUACCCUAGGGCUCUGAUACCAAUUGUUGGAAACCCUAGAUUACUUUGUUCCCAUGCCUUGGAUCGUGUAGGGUGCAUACAAAUCUAUCCUAAACUCUUUAAAUCUAUCACAACAGAUAAAUAGGUAUUAAAAAAAAUAAGGAUACCAUAGAAAACAUAGAAAUAGAAAAUAAAGCCACGUAGCUUUGAUCUAGAUGUUCCCAAAUCAAUUCUAAUCAAUGUAGUUAACUCCAAAGUCAUAAUGGAUCUCGUAAACACCAUGAUCUUCCACCCGAUGACUUUUCCUUAUGUCCAGGCACUAAGAUAGUGGAGAUCUCAAGGAUGGAGGCUAAGGUUCUCUUUCCAUACUAAAGGAGAGGAUAGUAAGACUUAGAAACCCUAACCCCAAAAGGGGUAUUUAUAGGUUACCUGUUAGGCUUAAGUGACUUAAGCCCAUCAUGGGCUUGGGUCACUUAAUCUAGCACAAAAAGGUUGCUAAUUGAUUAAUUAACCAUAUAAGGCCUAAUUAAUUAAUUAGCCCAGUCAAGAGAUAUUACUCAUCCAUGUACAACCUUACAUAAUUACCAAAAUGCCCUUAUACACAAAAGUGAACGAAAAACCCAUCCAACCCUCAUAAGCCAUGCCAACAAGGAAUAUAAGCUUAGAACGAGGACACUAGGACCCAUAAGAGUACUGGCCACUCAGAAUUAAAUUAUGAAAUUGACUUAACAUCCCACUACAAAGAGUUAACUACACUCCAGUACCCUAUGUAUAUUACAAUGAGACACUAAGUGCUCAAGUCUGUGACCUACUAUCCACUGCAUGUAGACUUCCCAUGAAUUGGUGUUUGUAAUCUAACAAGGUAGUGUUAUCACCUAUCAAGAUUAUCUCCCAAAUCCUUGAGUUACAGAUCCCACUUACUAUAUGAUCAAAUGACAUAUCCUAGCUCUAAUAAACAUAUGUCAAAUUUCACUAAAAGAAUUACUAUGGCCACAGAUUUCAUGAUCACAUGUUCUUUGGAUUACCCAAAGGGAUACACUAUCUCAAUCCCAUAAGGUAUCAUGGUGUCUCUAUUAAGAAUGCCUGUUGCCACCAACCUCCAUCAACAGUGACCUAAUCCAUAGGGAUAUAUGACCAUUUUAGGGUCUCACCCAUAGGUUAAAGCCUCUAGUUGAUUUUGGCACAUGCUUAAUAUCCUCUCAAGGUUGAGAGUCCAUGUAGUAUAGUAGCUUGGUGAAUCAUGACAAUGGAUAACCUUGCAUCAUGAUUCGUCAUAGGUCCUAUCCAGUGUGCAUCACAUACACUAUUACACUCACCAUAGGUAACCCAUCCCGAUGACGAAGACAAGUCAUCCCUCCAAUUAAGAGGUGGUGCACUACUGUCUUUACUGGAUUGCCCAAAUCCAUGAACCAAAUAUAGACAACUUAUCUACUUACAAGGAACCCAUGACUUAUAUCUUCCAUGCAACUCCUAAUGCACCCAAGCCAUGUACCAUGCAAGAGAUAUAGAUUGAAUGCUCAAAUCAAUGUUAAUACACCAAAGAGAUAGCAAGGGGAUAGUUAAGUCUAACUUUGUUACAUCAUGUCUUGCUUUUAGGGGCUCAAUCCCAACAUACAUAAUUGGGAAAUAAUUCCAUGCUCUAAUAGAAAGAAUCAAACUUAAUAGACAUAUCACCUUAAUCUAAUCGAAGUGACUUGGCAUGUAUACUCAAUAGGUUAUCCGAUCAUGCCUUAAAUUCAAUGAAUGUAUCCAAAACAUCAAAUUUCCUAUGUACAUAUCCAAACCUAGAGUAAUCAUCACUAAAAGUGAUGAAAUACCCAUACUCUUCCCAUGCAUGGACAUUAAAAGUCUCAUACAUGUUAGUAUACACUAACUCCAAACAUCCCUUGACUUUAUUCCUUUUAGUCAUUUUACCAUCUAUACAGAAUUUGUAGGCUGGAUGGUUUUUUGGAAUCAAAUAGUUCAAACUUUAUCAGUCUUUAGAUCUUAUUUAGAUUAAUAUGACCUAAGUCUAGAUACCAAAUGUUUAAUUAGUGCUAGGUUCAAUCCUGAGAUCUGACUAUCUUCCUCACUUGACAAAGUGAUAAUGGAAUACAUAUAAAAGAAGAGGAUAUUACCUCCCACUCACCUGCAUAACUAACCUUACAUUUGAAGCUAAGAUAAGUAUAAUCCCAUCACUUAACCUUCUCACUUAUUGAAUAUCCUAUAAGGACUUACAAACAGUGGGCCUAGAAUUUAUUCACCAUAAAUGGUGAAAUCUACCACAAAUGGUGAAAUUCACCACUAAAUAUUCAACAACGAGAAAAUGAUGUAUACUUUCCUUUAGGUAACUGAGCAUUCAUUUUCUAAUGUCCUAAAAGGUCAUAAUGGAAUCACUUUCUUAUGAGCUUGUUAUCUUAUUCCUUCUCUUAAACUUUCCUUAUUUGGUGUUGUUGUUCUUCUUCUUGAUAGAAGAACCUGAAGAACUUUUGACUUCCAUAUGAACACCUUAUAAUCUUUGAGAAUCCCCUUAGCCAUCUCGAAGAAAAAUGGCAAAGUCUCUAAGAUAAUAUGAAUACUGGUGUUUAUAACAGUCCUAAGAGUAGUUUUUCAAAGCUAACUUACCCUUAUCACCAAAUAACCAUUGCAAACUAGAAAGAGAAUAUCAAAGUCUCUAGUAAUAGACAUGUGUUGCUAUUGCAACACAUUAUCCAAAGAUCCAAGUAUUAAACACUUGGUCAUCUGAUCCAUCUAAUACCACCUCGACAUACCACUCUUUCUUUUUCCCAAGUUAGUUCAUAAGGAAUAACCUGUUUUUCCUAAACUAUCUUCUAUGCAAUUAAUUACUAUAUCCAGAAUAAAAUCAAGUCCAAAUGAUUAGUUAGGCUUGGUCCAAAGUGAGAAAGAGAGUGAUUAUAAAUAACAUGAUAUUUGUAACAAAGAAUAUAACCAAACAUAUGACAUAAUUGAGCAUUCAAGACAAUUGGUACUUAAUUUAACAAAAAUGUAGCGCUCUGAAACUACAUGCCAUUUUGCAAGAUAUCCUAGUAUCAUAAGAAUCAAGCUUAUGUGGGUAGGUCAUAUAACUAGUUAGAGACCCUCUCAGAUUGAUCUCCUUGCCUUAACCAUAAAGGUAUCUAAAAGCAAGAUCAACAUACCUUUUAUUUGGCCCAAGACUAUGCAAAUGGGACCGCGUGGGGGAAAUUCUACCACUUCAUAUCCAAUGUCAAUUGUUUAACCAUUGUCCUUGAACUAUCAAUGUCAUCAAGUAAAGAAACUCACUAUAGAGUGGUCACUUUUAGUACAAACAUAUUUAGUCUUAUUCAUGUGGAGAAUCCAUAUCUCCUGAUUCUUAAGCCUAACCUACUGUGGGGUGUUAAUGAACCCAAAUCAAGAUGGGCUUGACAAUGGAGGUCGUGGGCAUGUCUAAGGCCCUCUCCCACUAAGUCUUUUUAGAUAAAUAAAUGCAUUUUAAAACAUUAGUAAUUACCUUAGUGAAUAAAUUAUCUUCUUUGAGAAUUUCCAAAAAUAUUUAUUUCCUAAUUGGAAACCUAGUGUUAUAGAAGAAUGUCCAUACGCAAAAUCUAAAAUUUCUAUGAGAGUAUUUUAUCCAAAAAGGAAUUUUGAUAAAAUGUUUACUCUCAAAUUUUAAAAUCUAUUUGCAUAAAAAAUUCUCUUUCUUCACAUAAUUUCAAUUAAUAAAUAUUUUGUUUAAGAAAUAUUUUCAAAGAAAUUUAUUUCCAUCAAAUUACUAAAUAUCUUCUUUGUUAUAACCUUUAAUGAUAAAUUAUUUCUAAUGAAAAUUUCCAUAAGAUAUUUAUUAUCGAAAUUGAAAACUUAGCGUAAUAAGUAAACCUCUAAUUUAUAAAAUUUUGAAAACUUGAAAGCACCUUAUCCAAUUAGGAAAGAUGUAAUUCUUCAAGGAUUCUCAUAAUUUUUUUUAAAAAUAUUUUAAAUCCUUAAGAAUAAAUUUAGAAAUGAACUUUAGCUCUCAUACUCAAGAUUCCUUAUAAAUUUAAUUUCCUUAUUCCUACAUCUUUCCAAUUUAAUAAAUAUUCUUAAAUAUGAAAUCUAAUUUUCAUAAUAAUCUAUUCCAUUAAAAUUACUAAAAAUAAAACUUUUAAUAAUUCCCUUAAUGAUGAAUUAUCCAUCUUGAAAAUUUCCAAAAACAAAUAUUUACUCUCCAAAUUAAGGAUUAGUGUAAUAAGAAAGUUUCCAAAAACUUGAAAAAUAAAAACUAGAGAGCUCUUUAUCCAAAAGGGAAACUUUUAUUCUACAAGAAUUCUUACAAAAAAAUUUAAAGAAAAUAAUUUAGAAUCCUUUGAAAUAAUCUAGAAAAAGAAACUUUGCUCUCUAAUUUAUUUCCACAAUUUUUUUUUCUUAAUCUACACUAUUCCAAAAUUAAGUAAACAACAUGCUUUGGAAUCUAAUUUUCAAGAAAAUUUAUAUCCAUUAAGAUUACUAAGAGUUUCAUAGAACUUUCAUAAGAAGCUUUCAAUAAUUUUGGUGACCUUCUUAAAAUAAAUUAUCUAUCAUGAGAAUUUUCAAAAGCUUUGUUUAUUCACUAAAUUGGAAUACUUGCGCUUAUAAGGAAUAUCCAAUUUUAUAAAAAUUUUAAAAUAAAAGAGUAUUCCCUUAAUAUAGAAACUCAAGUCCUUGAAGAUCUCAAAAUUAGAAACUUUGAAAAAGAGAUCUUCUAAGUACUUUUUGAAAAGGAAACUAGAUUCUCUCACAAAUUUUAAAAUAUCUUUCCAUAUAAAAAUUCCUUAAUAGUGACAUCAUUCUAAUUUUGAAUAAAACUUUAAUUUGUAAAUAGCUUUCUCAUAAAAACUUAUUUUCCAUAAGAAAAUCCAAAAUUAGUAACUUUCAAAGCACUUCUCAUCACAUGAAAUAUAACAAUAUGCAUAAAAAAAAAGAAAAAAAAAAGAAAUAUUCAAAAAGAGAUCCCAUGGCCAAGGGAUAUUUUUUACAACUUUCCAAUUGUGAACCAAAGCCAUUUGUCUUCAACUUGACACCAAUAUUUGGCAUCAAAACUUGCCAAAAGAAGCUCUUGCAUAGCUGCCACAAUUCAGUAACUUUCAAGCCCAACAAGUGGCCUAAGAAAUGAGUCCAAACAAGCAAAAAGAAUCAGACUCGUAUGCAAUCCCGUAAUAGAAUAACCUCUUUGCAACUUUGCGUCAAAUGACUAUAUCUCCCUCUUUUCAACAAUGAAUCACAAGUCGUUUACACCAUUGGAUUCCUGACUUCAUAACCUUCAAAACCAUAUGCAACUUGCCUAAAGAAAAUCAUAAGAGGCAGCCCCGAUUUGGAGUCAAAUUGAAUGUUGCUAUGCAAUCAUGGAUCUCACAAAAACAAAACUUUUUUAUUAUUAUUAUUCAAUCAAAAGAAGGAUUCAACCUUUCUUCCACAUCCAUUAAAAUCCUUGAAUCUUCAUAAAUGAUGCUUUAAUAAAGAUCCAAUCUUUAUUGACAUCAUUAAGGAAUUCUUCUCUUGUAGCUCUCCAUAGAUAAAAAAAAACAUGACUUUAUAUCAUAAAAGAAAUCAUAUGCUCAUAUAAUGGAGCUAAUAACCCAAUUUAUAGAAAAGAUUAAAACUUUACAAGAGAAGAAGAAAACUUAUGCUCCUUUAAUGGAACUUACAACCAAAUCUAUGAAGAAACGAAGAAAACAAAUUAUCCCAUUCAAUCAUCACAAGCAAUAAUAAAAAGAAACAUACAUGCUUCUCUUGUCCAUGGGAUAACAUCAAGGUUGCAAAAAAGAUAUUAGCACGCCCUAAAUAGAGAUCUAAGCAUGUUUAUAACAUUAUGCUCUAAUACCAAUUGUUAGUAUCUUAGAUCUAAGCAAUACUAAUUUUUAUAAAAUUGAUCUUUUAGGGUUAAAGUAGUAACCUUUAGGUUUGGAUGUUCCCAAACCUUAAAUUCCACUUAUUGAAGACAACCUUGAAGUUGUUGAAAGUCUUAUAAACUCACAACUCAUUCUAUACUUGAUCAAAGAGGUAGACUUCUUAAGUUGAACUCAUAAAGUUGACUUUGAUUACUUUCAAAGGAUUUGUUGUCAUGCUCAAACCUUAUUAUCCACAUACCUUGUUUGACUAUGAUUAUUAUUUGUUUCCCGGGGUGAGUCAGUACAAAAUAUUGAAUCUUUGGUUAAGCAAAACUCUUUUACUUUUAUCCAAGAUUUAUGCUCUUAAAUGUAUACUGCUCACUUGUAACAUUUGAAAACACCACCAAAGUGGACACAAAGGCAACCAUGAAUGAAAAAAAAUAAAAAAUCAAUUGACCAUGGUGUACAAUGCCUUUACUUUCAAAAAGAAAAAGAAAAAGAAAAGAAUAGGAGGAUGAUAUCAUACUAAGGGGGAGUCAAGUUAUGUUGUAUGUAGAUCAACGAGGCCGUGUUAAAUAUAAAUCUGGUGAUCUUAGUUCAAAUUGACUGGAUGUGUUCUUUAAUUUGACUAAAGGCAUGAGUAGAUCUCUUCUAAGUAAUUAAUUUUGAAAUAUUGAACUAGACUAUAAGUCAUAUUUCCUUGAAAAUCAAUAUCAAUGUUGACUCUCUUAUACAUUUAUAGUUAUGCAUUAGGUUUUCAAAUAUGAAAUUAUGAUUAACUCUGAUCAUUGAUCUUGAAAUUUCAUUCUUGAUGGAUCAACAUAUACUAUAUGAAGUAACAUACUUCAUCUAUUCCUAAUUCAGCUAAUGUUGAAGGUUUAUGACCUUAACUAUCUACUCUUUAUCGUUAAAAUUUGUUUCAAUUGGUAUCAAUCCUUGUUUAUAUGUUAGUUAGUUGAGUAUUCUAUCCAUUGUUAGAACUUUUUUUGGCUUUGGUUGCUCAAGCACUAUAUUUAGCGUCCUUCAUGCUCAAGCACUCAAGCCUCAUCAAACGUCUCUACUACUCAAGCGCUCUAAGUUGCAUCUAGUGGCGCAUCCAUCGAGCGUCUUGUUCGAGUGUUAAUCUGUAUCGGUAUGUCUGAGUAUAAAAAUCCAUUCAACAUGUCUUUUUUCUUUUCAAACAUUUUCCUAUUCUCUCAAGAGCUCUGGGACUUUUUUUAUUUUUAUUUUUUUUAUUUUUAUCAUUUGAGGUCAAGUUUCCUUGUUUUUCACAUUUUUGACUUCAUGGUAUUGCUCUACACAUUGUUUAGGGCAUUUCUAGCUGUUUAGAUUUUUUCUGAAAUCUUCUUGGUUUUCGAAUCCUUUGGUAUUCUCUUGGAUAUGGCUAAGAUGACCCCAUCUGGGACACCUAAACCCCUUAAAGGAUUUUCACUUCAAUUUUCUUUCGACUUUAUGGCUCUACCAAUGAAUUUUUACUUUAUCAAAAGCCCCUAGUUCAAUAUUAUUUUUUUAUCCAUUGCUGUCACAUUGUGUUUGUGGGUUCAUUUCCUCAUUUGACCCUAGAACCUCAUAGAAUCAUAUUAUAUAGAGAUGGUGUCAAUGAAGUUCAACUCAUUCCAGUUUUGAUGCAUAAGAUGAAUUCAAUAAGAAAGGCUUGUGCAUCACUAGAGGAUGAGUGUUACUAACUCUUCCCAUACAUAUACUUUAGUAUCGCCUUAUCCUUAGUAUUUCCCAUCUUCACAUGCAAUUUUUUUUUUUUGUUGAUCUUAUAAUGGCUAUAUGCGUCAAGUUUUGCUCUGCCGCCACUGAACCUUUAGUGAAUUUGUUUUUUUUUUUUAUCUAGAUGUUUAUUCAUUACUUAUCUUAUGUAUCAAGAAUCAUAUUUUUAAUAUACAUAUUUUGUUCAUCUUUCUUCUUAUCUCUUAUGUGCUUUGGUAGUUAUAUUUCUAAUACUUUGUCAUUUUGUGACAAAAAAAAAAAAGAUAAUUGCAUAUUUAAUAUUUAACUCUGUUAAAUUAAGAUAAAAGGGAGAUAACAUUGAAUAUUUAGUUCACCUAAAAUGAGGAGUUAAAAAAUGGUGAAAAUAAAAAACUCCUUGAUUUAAGGGAAGUUAGUUUUUGAAUUCUUUGAUUCAUUAAUUUAGGUAAUUUAAUUGAAAUAUUGGAGGAAACUAAACAUAAGACACUGAAGUAAAUCAAAUCAGCCAUAGGAAAUAUGACUUUACGAUUCAAGAGAGAUACCUAACACGGAUGUUUCCUGCAAAUUACUUUUGUUAGAAUUGUCGAUCUCUCUCUAGAACUAAUCCUAGUUGUAGAAGCUUUUUCCCAAGGCUUUCACUACUUACCUUAUUGCUGGAGAAUGCCCCCUGCUCUUUACUAAUAAAUUAUUGGGUCUCAUCUAUCUUCGAAUAUGUUUGGUUGAUUUGCAUACAUUCAAAUUCCUCUCGACCUUUUCUUUGUACCUUGGUGUCAUUAAAGGACUCUGUUUUUUUUCAUGCUUUCAUAAGACAUCAAUCAAAGUCUCCAACUAUCCUGUUUUGUUUUCAUAAUAUUAUUUUAUCCCUCACACUACUUUGCCUUUGGUAUAAUUUCUUGUAUGUGUUCAGGUUACAAGGUUGGAAGAUAAGUACUUCAAAGCAUUACAAAGUUUUCCCUUAAUUCAAUUUUAGUUGAGUGUUAAUGUGUGUUAUGUAAACUCCAUUAUGAGGAUUGGUAUUGAAAGGCUUAUGGCAUUGCAAAGUACUUCAUAGGUACAUCUAAAAAAGUUUGGCUUAUGGCAUUAAAAGACUUAUUUGAGGUAUAAAAGGAUCGGUAUCAUUUUUUAACUUAAAAUGUUUUUCAAAAAGCAGGGACCACUCAAGCAAUUAAUCUCGCUCAAGCAGUAAGAGAGCUCAAAUGGUUAAUCUGCUCAGGCAGUCAGCCCAUUCAAGCAGAGAGCUCUCAAGCAGUCUAAGUUUGCUCAGGCGGUCAUGACAAUCCUAUCGAGUUUAAAAAUGUAUUUUCAAUGAAUUUCAACCCAACUAUAAUUUGGAAACUUAAGAUAUUGAUAUCCUUAUGGCUUUUGCCUAUAAUUUUUUAAAUCACCCAUUCACUCCUCUCAUCUCCCCCCUUCUAGGUGUUCCCUAUUGGACUUUCAGUUAUUCCAUUUUUUUUUAUAAUUGUAAGAUUUACUUAUGUGAUAAAAAUUGAGAAAAUAAAAAAUCGAUAAAAUCUAAGGAAAACCAAGGAAAGUGCAUGUCAAAGGAAAAUGACAACAACAAGUAUUUAAAAAACAGAAUUUUAUCAACCUAGGAUGUCUAAGUGGGAAUGUGCAAAAGUAGAAAAUUAAUUCAUGUGANNNNNNNNNNNNNNNNNNNNNNNNNNNNNNNNNNNNNNNNNNNNNNNNNNNNNNNNNNNNNNNNNNNNNNNNNNNNNNNNNNNNNNNNNNNNNNNNNNNNGAAAAACAUUGAAAAUCAUUUUAAAAUCAUGGAAAUCACAAAGAGAACAUAAGUUAUGCAACCAGAGAGGAAGACAACAUCUAUGUUGAAGAAAGAGUGUGCAUUAAGGAGAAAACUGUGCAUUAAGGAUGAAGACACAUGCAAAAGUAAACUAUGCGCUAAAAGAGUACACAGGAGGAAUUGUGCAUCGAGGGAAGCGCCAAGUGUGCAUUAGAAAAUAAAAGAGGAGCACCCGCAAAAAGAUAGUGCACUAAAGUAGCUUGCAUGCUUGGGAAUCACAUGCCUAAGAAGCACUACUAUGCGGAUGAAAGUGCGUGUGAAAAUUAUGCACUGAAGAGCUACACUAAUGUGCGCAAUAAUGCACUAAAGAAAGUUAGACUAUGCAUUGAAAAGUGCACACUAUAGGACACCAGUGUGUGCACUAGAUUAUGCAUUAGAUGAAAAAGUGUACAUAAUUGCUUGUGUACUGAAGAACAAGUUGUGCACUAAAGGACUUGCACAUAUGAAAUGUGCACCUAAAUGAAGGCUAAAGAGCACAUAAAGAUUGUGCAUUAAAGAGGAGCUAUUGUGUCAUGGGAAAAUCCUAAACCUCUAUGGUCCCCAAGCCUGAAUCAAGUUAGGAACAUGUGAAAAUAUCUUAGGCUUUUCUAAAUACUAUGCACAACAAAAAAAAAAAUUACAUUUUAAAACUUUAAAAGGAUUCAAAAAGUGCUAACAAAAGACAUACUUUAGAUUCAAAUGUUCCCAAAUCAAAUCCAUGUGAUGAAAAAUGAAGUUGUAGAAGUCCCAUAAACCUAGAGUCUUCCACUCGAAGACUCGAACUUUGAUUUUGACACACUUAUGAUAGUAAUCAAUUAGGGUGGAGGCUAUAGCUCUCUCUCUAAAGGAGAAAGAUGACUCUUUAGAAAAAGCUAUGAAAACUCUAACCCCUAAAGGGGUAUUUAUGGGGUUCCCCAUUGGGUUAAUUAACUUAAGCCCACUAAGGGCUUGGGUCACUUAAAUUAGCACAAAAUAGGUCCUAAUUGAUUAAUUAACCUAACAUAACCUACUAAGUAAUCAAUUAGAUAUGUAAUCUUGCACAAUUACCAAAGUGCCCUUUUGCAAAAAAGUGAACCUAGAGCUAAUCUAACCCUCUUAACUCAUGCCAACAAGGUAUAUUAGCUCAGAGUGGGGACCAUUAUGACCCAUAGGACUACUGGCUCCAUUAAAAUCCAAUGCUGAAGUUGAUUCAAUAUCCUACUAUAGCGAAUCAACUAAACUCUAGUAUCUCAUGUAAAUAACAAUGAGUUGGGUCUGUGAUUUGUCAUUAAUUAUGUUCAAUUUCCUAAUGAACUAGUGUUCGUAGUCUAACAAGGUGAAAACUAUCAGCCUUUUAAGACUGCCCUACUAUCCUUAAGUUGCAAUCCUUCUAUUAUGUGUACAACUGACAUGUCUUAGCUUUCUAAGAACUUAUGUCAAGUUCUACUUAAGGAACUACUAUGGUCAUAGUUUCCAUGAACACGUGUUCUUAGAAUGAUCCAAGGGGACACACUAUCUCAAUACCAAGAGAUAUCAUGGUACCUUUAUUAAGAAUACCUAUUACUACCAACUUUCAUUAAUAGUGACCCAAACCAUAGGGAACAUAUGAUCAGCUUAUGAUCUCACCCAUUAAUCAAAAGUCAUUGCUAACUUCAACAUAAGUUCAAUAUUCUCUCAAGGUUAAGAGAUAACAUAAUGAAGCAGUCUAGUGGGGUGAUGACUACUUGAUAGAAUUAAGUCAUAACUUACCAUAGAUCCUAUCCAGUGUGUAACCGUACAUACUAGUGCUCUCACCAUGGGAAACCCAUUCGAUAACUAAGACUAGUCAUCCCUCCAAUUAGGAGGUGGUGCACUACAACCUCCAAUAGGUUGCCUAAACCCACAAACCAACACGAACUAAUCAUUUAUUUACAAGGAACCCAUGACUUAAAUCUUUUAUACAACUCCUAAUAUACCUAAGUCACAUAUAAUGCAAAAGAUGAAACCAAAGUGCUUACAAAGUAUAAUGCAUGGAAGUAAGAUAGAUAAAAGUGUAAUGUAACUUUAUUAAAUAAAUAAUAAAAUCCAAAAGUCUAUUACAUCAUGUCAUGCUUUUAAGGGUUCUAUCAUAACAGCAUGCACAUAAGAACUAUGCAUUGAGAAGAGAAGGUCUAGGUACUAGGUAGCAUGUGGAGGGAAAUGUGCACUAAGAAUAAGAAUGGCAUACCAAGAAGCAUGCACACGUAAGAUAAAAUCACACUAAGAGGACAUAGAAUGUGUGCAAAUAUAUGAAAUAUGCACUUAAAGAACUGCCAAUGCUUAUAUGCAAAGACAUUGUGGACCGAAAAUCGCAUACUAAAGAAAAGUGUGCUCACAUAAGAGAAAAAGAGAGACAUGCAUGCAAGUGUACAAAUUGGAAAACAAUUCAAGAUGUACAUACUGAGAUAAGGAUGCUCAAAAUACAACCUAAAUAAAGAGAUGCACACGUGUAAUGCACACCAAGAAGUUAUGUGCAUGAGAAAGACACACAAAUAUUUCAUCUAAAGAGGAAAAUUGUGCACUAUUCAAUGCACCAAAACAAGACAUGAAGUGGGCAUAAAACAAUACGCAAAACAAAGCAAGACACCAAGUGCAAGCCUACUACUCAAGACAAAGAACAAAGUAUGCAAACCAAAAAUGCAAAAUAAGAGGAUGCACUAAUAGGGCAAAUGACUUGUGCAAUUUGACAUGCAAUACAAAAUGAACGCUAGAAAAAGAAAUAGACGUGCUCAACCCAAUUCACAAACAUAGUCAAACAUCGGUUGAAUGUACAACUUAGUGCAUAAAAACAAAAUAGAACAUGCAAUCCUUAGCACAACAUGAAUAGAAUAUAGGGAGCAUGCAAUCUAGGUUCACAGUCAUGAACAUCAAAUAGACUAACAAAAAUGCGCAAAUCCUAAGAUGUGAACACAAUGAAACAAAGCCUAAGAUAUGCAGUCUUGAUGCACAAUCUUGAGCACUACAGAAGACCAAAGCAAAUAGGUAGCCACAGAGAACCAACUACAAAUGAGUGGCUUCAAAAUUCACAAAACAAACAAUAAACAGAAGAAAAUCAAAUGAGAAAAAAAAACUCAAAAUAAAAUAGGUAAAAAAUAAGAAAAGCCUCAUAUCUUGCAUUAUUAGUGGGCUUAAAAAAAACAAGUGAGAUAUCCAAACUAGAUUUAAAAAAAGAACAAAAACAAGAUUUCAAGAUGUUAUAUGGAAAGAACGAACUAAAUUCAGGUUAAUCUCAAAUAAACUAAAGAAAAAUAGGGUGAAUAGAACAAUGACAAGCCUAUAAACAUCCCAAAAUUGACAAAUUAAUGUGUGGCCUCUAAUAUCCAUAUCCAAUCAACAAGCAACUUUUAACGAUAGCUAAUGAAAGAAAAACAUAACCAAAUAUGGGUCUCAUAAUGAAAAGAGCUUAACUGAGAAGAGAUGUAUUAGUUAACCUUUUCUUCUCUUUGUUUAGUUCUUUACUUUCCUUCUCUUUCCUUUUCUUCUUUCUCUAGUCCUUUUCUUUUUUUCCCUAAGCUCUUUCUCUCUAUCUCUCUUUUUACCCAACAAAUCCCUAAUGACUAGAAUAUUUUUGUGCAUCUCUCUCUCUCACACACACAACAAUGUAGAAUGUGCUCUCACACCUCUUAAAAAUGAGAGAAAAAGUCCUCUACAAAAUGCCAAAAGGACCUUCCGAGCAAGGAUCUUAAGUUAAGGUUCAUAACCAAAUUAAUGAAUGUAGGUUAAACCUAAGGUGCCAUAGAAAGUCAUGAUAGAAUCAACAAAAAUUUCCCUAAUGGUCUCUAAAAAAUUGCUCAAAUAACAACGAACUACCAAGGGACAUGAUAAAUGGAAGGGAUCCUAAGUGCAUGUUAUGAAAGAGUAUAGGGCAAGGGGAAAAUAAACAUGAAAUAAUAUGUGAGGGUCCGUAGGUUCCACAAUCCAACUGUUUGGAUAUUACCCUUAAAAGCAUGACAUGAUGUAAUAAAUUUGGAAUUCAUUAUUUAUUUAAUGAUGUUCCAAUUUUACUUUUAACCAUUCUUAUUCCAUGUAUUACACUUUAUGAACAUUUUUACCUACAUUUUUUGUAUUAUACGUGACUUAGGUGCAUUAGGAGUUGCACAAAAGAUCUAAAUCAUGGGUUCCUUGCAAAUAGAUGACUUGUUCACAACUAGUUCAUGGGUCUAGGCAACCAAUUAAAGGUAGUAGUGCAUCACAUCCUAAUUUGAGGGAUGACUUGUCUUGGCUAUCAGGAUAGGUUUCCCAAGGUGAGUGCACUGUGUGUAUGGUUACACAUUGGACAAGGCCUGUGAUGAGUCAUAACUUAAGGCUAUCAAGUAGUCAUGACCUCGCCAAACUACUCCAUUGUGUUGUCUCUUAACCUUGAGAGAAUAUUAAGUUUGUGCUAAAGUUAGCAGUGGCUUUGACCUAUGGGUGAGAUCAAAAGUUGAUCAUAUAUUCCCUAUGGAUUAGGUCCCUACUAAUAAAAUUCGGUAACAAUAAUUAUUUUCAAUAAAGGUACCAUGAUAUCUCAUGGGAUUGAAAUAGUGUGUCCCCUUGGGUGAUUCUAAGGAGGUGUGUCAAUGGAAACUAUGGCCAUAGUAGUUCCUUAAGUGGAACUUGACAUAGGUUCUUUGAGAACCAAGAUAUGCCAAUUGAAUACACAAUAGAAAGAUUUGUAACUUAAGGAUAGUAGAGUUAAUCUUGAAAGAUUGAUAGCUUUCACCUUGUUAGACUACGAACACACCAGUUCAUCGGGAGAUUAAAGAUAAUGGAUAACAAGUCACAAACCCGAGCAUGUAAUGUCUUAUUGUUAUUUACAUAAAAUACUAAAAUUCAGUUAAUUCUCUAUAGUGGGAUAUUGAAUCAACUUUUGAAUUGGAUUCUGAGAUAGCCAACUUAUGGGUCCUAGUGGUCCCUACUCUGAGCUCAUAUAUCUUGCUGGCAUAGAUUGUGAAGGUCAGAUUAGCUAUAGGUUCACUUUUUUUCAUAAGAGUGUUUUGGUAAUUAUGCAAGGUUGCACAGAGGUAAGUAAACAAGGUUUUUAGAUUGGGCUAGUUGAUUAAUUAGUAGGCCUUAUUGUAUUAAUUAGUCAAUUAGAACUCAUUUUGGGCUUAAUUAAGUGACCUAAGCUCAUGAGGGCUCAAGUCACUUAAGAUUAAUUAGGAACCUUAUAAAUACCACCUAAGAGUUAGAGUUUCCAUCACUUUUGUCUUCCACCAUCCAGAGAGAAAGAGAGCCAUAACCUCCAACAUUUUUCUUGCUUAUCAAAAGUGUGCUAAGAAUAAGAUUGAGUCAUCGGGUGAAAGAUCAUGGGUUUACGAGACUUCUAACAACCUUAAGGUCAUCUUCAACACUUGGAAUUUAAGAUUUGGGAACAUCCAAACCUAAAAGGUUAGUACUUUAACCCUAAAAGAUCAAUUUUUUAAAAACUGAUAUUGCUUCCAUUGCUUAGAUCUAAGAUGUCAACAUGGAGUGCAAGAUCACGGUUUGAGUCAUCAAGCGAAAAAUAUUAGGUGUACGAGACUUACAAAUUCAUUGUUCAACUCAUUGUUCAACACCUUCACUAUGUGGAAUUGAUUUGGGAACAUCAAAAUCAAAGGAAAAUUUCUCUAAUGACUUUUCUCUUGAUCCUAGAAUGGUAAAAAAUUGAUUUUUGCUUCUGUUGCAUAGGAUCUAGAGGCUUAGGGUAUUUUUGCAUGCACCUAUACGAUAUAGGGUAAGGGAAUGAAGAAAUCCAAGGUUCCUAGCAACGUCUCCUUUCCAUAAUUUUCUUUCUCAUUUCUCAUGUGAUUCGACUCAUGGUAGCUUAGCUUUAAAGGCGUAUCAACAAAAUUUAUACCUUGAAUACUAUUACUAAAGUAGCCAAGCUACUAUAGCAUAGUGGUUCUAGGAUCGUUCACUGAGAAGGGUUUUCGCAAACACAAGUGAUAUUCAAAUUAGGAAAAUAGGUGAUUUUCUUAUAGAUGUUAGCUUUAAAAGAAGAUGCAAAUGUUUUAGAAAGAUUUAAACUAAUCUAAGCUAACAUUAAAAACUAAAAUGAAAGGGUGUAAAAACAAGUUCCUCAAAGAUAGGAUAGCUAUGCUCUGGCUCUUAUGCAAAUUGGAAAUCUCAGGAUAGGCUCCUCGCGUUGGGGUUGCAACUAUGGUGAUGCUUGCUUCCCGAACUGGUAUGGAUUUAGCAAAUCAAGUUUUAAUCCUUUAAAAUGGAAAAACAAAUGGUAGUGAAUUUCAUCAAUGGUUAUUCACCUUAGACUUCCUUUGAAUGGCUCGUAAGAGAUAACUAGUAGUCUAAAGCUAAAAGCUUACCAAAUAUUGGCAACUCAAAGUCAUUCCAGGUGAUAAACUCACCUUUCAAUGGCCAUUGAAAUUGGUUCUAAUGGAUUAAUGCAAAACUUGGAAUUGAAAACCUCACCUUCCAAUAGCUCGUAGGAGAUAACUAAUGGAUAGAAAUCCAAAAGCUUAUCAAGUAUUGGCCGUUGGAAGUUGUCAAAAGGAAAUAAAAACCAAACUUUGCAUUAAUGAACCAUUAAUGAAAAACGACUACCUUACUUUCCGGGUGCGAGAAAUUUCCAUGGGAUUGCAUCCAAGCCAUCACAUAACAUCCAUACUUUGAGAAACUAAAAGUUUUAGCCAAUCAUCCUUUGAGGAAAAACCCUCAGAGGCUGUUUGGCUACUAAGAAAAUAGAAACGGGAGAGCUCUGUAAAAUUUUCUAUCUAUAUAUCAAUAUAUCGAUAUAUCAAUAAUAAUUGUUACAACGGAUGCAAGGGGAUAUAAAUAGAGAAGUUUUUCCAACCUUCCUAGCUAAGAAAUCUUAUGAUUGGUGGAUUACAAGGAGAAGAAUGGAAAUUUAUACAAAAAUAUCUAAAAGAAAAGAUCUCGUGUGGAGUCGGCAGAAACAGGGGAAAAUUCGCACGUUGGAGUUCCAAUUUCGCACUUUGGUUUGAGGUGUGCGAAAUUCCCACACUUUGGACUGAGGAAUUCGCACCUUGAUUUCCAUCGUGCGAAAUUAUCCCUCAGCUUGAUGCAGUUGUCUUCCGAAGGCCAUAUCUUCCUCAUUUCAGCUCCAAAUCGUACACAGUUUGAAGCGUUGGAUUCUUGACUUCCUGAGCUUUGAAAUGGUAUAUAGCAUGUAGAAAAUGGACUUCGGGAAGUGCUCCAAAAGUGCCAAAGAAGACUGCAGCUGCUGUCCUCUAUUUUCCUCUUUGCUUCUCUUAGCUUCUCUUUGCUUCUCUUUGCUUUUCUCCUUUUGUUGGCUUGCUUUGGUGUAGCUAAAAGCUUGCUUUAACUUGUCCAAGUAGCUCCUCCAUCAUUUGGCAUGCUUGAAUUGAUUCAUAAGCUGAUAUAAACAUGUAAACUUGCCACAAAAUGGUUAAAACCAAUUACUAAGGACCUUAAUGAAUUAAUUGGGUUAAAUGAAUAUGAUUACUACACAAAGGUGCUUAAAACCAUUAUAAUUAGGUCUACAAAAUAGCACUUUUUGGUAGUAAUCAUCAUGCUAUGCAUUCCUUUAUUUGUCUUUGUUGCAUUUUUUCCUACUCUCAAACUUGAGACUUAUCUCAAAAUAUAUGGAUAGGGUCUUUUAAAUAAUUCAAGUUAAUUCAGGUAUUAAGAUAGAGCCCUUAAAAGCAUGACAUGAUUUAAAAAAUUUUGAAUUCAUUAUUUAUUUAGUGAUAUUCCAGUUUCACUUUUCUAUAUCCUUAUUCCAUCCAUUAUGCUUUAUAAGUAUUCUUACCUAGAAUGUUUUGCAUUGUACAUGACUUGGAUGCAUUAGGAGUUGUACAAAAGAUCCAAGUUAUGGGUUUUUUGCAAGUAGAUGACUUGUUCACAACUGAUUCAUGGACUUAAGCAAUUCAUUUGAGGCAAUAGUCUACUACCUCAAAAUUAGAGGGAUGGCUAACCUUUGCCAUCGGGAUGGGUUUCCCAUGGUAAGUGCACUAAUGUGUAUGGUUACACAUUGAAUAAGACCUACAAUGAGUCAUGACAUAAGGCUAUCAAGUUGUCAUGAUUUCACCAAGCUCCUUUAUUAUAUUGUCUCUCAACCUUGAGAGAAUACUAAGCUUCUGGCCAACUUAGUGAUGGCUUUGACCUAUGGGUGAGAUCUUAAAGUGAUCAUAUAUUCCUCUAUGGAUUAGGUCACUUUUGAUGAAAGCUGAUAGCAAUAAGUAUUCUCAAUAAAGGAAUCAUGAUAUCUCAUGGGAUUGAGAUAAAUUGUUCUUUUGGGUUGUUAGGACAUUGAGUCUUGUUUAUAUGUUGUUAAUUUUGUUCUUUUUUAUGUUUGGUCAUAGAAGUCUUUUUAGAUAGUAACUUGCUCUCCAUUGAAGAUCAAGCGUUGCAAUCUAUCUAAUCGGGAAGUCAUAAGUAUGUCUAAAAAGGUUUAACUUGUGGCAAUUGAGGAUCCAUUGAAGUAUAAAGAGGAUUGGUAAGUUUUUUGAACUUAAAAUUAAUUUUUGUCAAGUUUUUGAAAAAUAGAGGACACUUAAUGAUUCGUGCCCAGCUGGUGUAUGCCUUGUUGAUUGGUGUUCAAUCAACUGGUGUACUCUGAUUUCGGUCCUCAGAUGGGAGUAAUCAACAAAACCUAUUUCACCAUAUACUAGGGUAGCAUUAGCUAGCAUAGCAUAGUGGCUCUAGGAUCGUCCACAGGGAUGGGUUUUCAAAUUACAAUUGAUAUUAGUUCAAAAACUGAAUUGGUGUUUUUUCUUUUCAAGGUUAGCUUUAAAAGAAAACAUAAAUAUGUUUGAAAAGGUUGGUUUUAAGUGAAACCAAAAAUAAAGUAACUAAAAUUACUUACAAAAAAAAGUGCUUCUUAGAGUUUUAGAUCACUAGGCUCAGGUUCGUCAUACAAAAAAGGAGAUUCCAGUCACUUGGAUCUUUUCCUCGCAUUGGGGAUUUAACAUAUAGUUAUUUCCCAAACCGGUGUGGUACAUAUGCUUCCCCUUAAUGGUUUCAAACAUUAAAUCCCUAUCACUGAAUCAUCUUGCAAUGGUUCAUACCUCUCACUUAGUAUUGGCCAUUCAAGGUGAUCCUUAACCUUGGAUUACCCGUCAAAAGCUCGCAAGAGAUAACUAAUGGAUGUCUCCUGGGAGUUCAAAAGCUUACCAAGUGUUGGUUAUUCUAGAUAAUCCUACAUUUAAACCACCUCCCAAAGGCUCGCAAGAGAUAAACUAGUGUAUCUCAAUGGACGGAGACCACUUGCCUUACCAAGUGUUGGCCUAGGUGAUUUUAAGGGAUUUUAAGUUAACUAAAAAGAUAAAAACCAUUAACGGGUCACACUUUCUCUUCAUUAAAAACUAAAACAACAAAACUUCCACUUUUGCAUUGGGAACCUUACCUAGCUUUCAUCACUCCAAGAAAUAAAAAGCCUAGCCACUCAUCCUCUGGGAAAACAUCCUCAGAGUUCGAUUUGCUAGAAAUAAAAAUAACGAGAAAACAAAAUGAGAAGGUAAGGCAGAGCAAAGCAUUGUGUAUUACUUUCUAAAAAACUAUACAAAGUGUCAUCUCCGAGAAAAACUCCCGAGAGAUCCUUUUAAAAGAAAAAUUACAAUAGAUAUUAUAUAGAGAGGCUAUUCACCCCUCCUGCUAACUUCCCAACCAAGAAAACUUGUCAUUGGUGGGUUACAAGGAGAAAAUAGGGAUUUACACACAAAUAUCUGAAGAUAAAUAUCAAACGGAGUCAGUGCACAAAUAUCUCAAAUUAUAGGUGGAUUUCGCAAGUUCAAAUGCAACUUGCGAAAAUUUCGCAAGUUGAAAUUAUCCAUUUCACAAGUUACGUAAUUGUCUUGCAACUUAUUAGCUCUCUGUCCUGCAGUGAUUCCUUUCCUCUUCCUAUUUCGCAAGUUACGAAAAUUUCGCAAGUUGGAUUCCACAACUUACGAAAUUGUUGGAUGGUUGAUUUCUUCUGUGCUUUUCCUCAUUGCAUCCUUGUUUGGUUUUGGCGAAGGGUUAUGAAGCUCCAAAGCUUAGUUUCUUCAGGAAUUUGAGCUUCAACUUGCUUUGCCAUGAACUAUACAAAGAUCUUCCUCACUCUUGGAUUGCUUUGAUGAUCAAAAGCUAUCAAAAACACCAAAACUUAACACAAUUUGAUUAGAAACGAUUGCAAGGGUCCUUAACAUGCUAAUUGAGUUAAAAGGUAAUAACUACUACUCAAAAGUGUUUAAAAGAGUUAAUUACAAGCUAUAAAAUACACUUUUUGAGUAGUAAUCACUCCCCCCAACCGACACAUUGCUAGUCUCUUAGCAAUGAAGGAGAGAAAAAUAAAAAUAAAUAGUACUAUAAUUUACAACAUCAUGCUGAUCACUUCAAAAAAUUUCAAGUGGCAUGAUGAUCAAACUUUCACAUGGGACAUUAAAGAUAUAAAACUCAAACUUCAACAAGAGUUAUCAAAUAACUUGCCUAAUCACAAUUCAUAAAGAGAAGACAUUAUGCAAAUUUUAGUUUUAAAAGAAUUUCCACUCCCAAAGGGUCAAUCCUUACUUUUCCACAAAAAUCUAAGUGUUACUUAUUAGUUUCUGAAUAUAGUAUGCUGAACUAAUCUCUCCCCCCAACCUAGUUCUUUUUCAAAACUUAGCAAACUAACAACCUCCAAUAGGCUAAGAACGCACCUCAUUUAUUUCACACUAUUUUUUUCUUGUAGGAGUAUAAAGCUUAAAAGUAUUCUUUUUUAAAUUGUCCAUGUAACAGGGGUCCAUCGAUGACUCCCAACCAAUUAAGGUUUAGAGCAUCAAGCUUCAAGGAUCUUUCGACCACUAACUCCUCGGAUUUUACCCCGGACGUUUGAGAUUGGAAUUCAAUACCUAAGCACCUACACUAUGUUAAACUCAACCUAUUCACCUUUGUAACGAGCAUUGAGGUUGGUGACUCCCAACUAAUGAUGGCUUAAGGCACCAGGUUUUAAAGAUUUUCACCAUAUACCCCUCAGACCUUGCUCGGGUUUCAAGGUAAGUAAACAUUAAAGGCUCAUUGGCCUUUUCUAAGGUGUCCCAACACUAUUAAAAUGAGGUCAAAGGUACCAAGUCUAAAAUUUCCUAAGUCAAGGGGCGAAAUAGUUUUUCAUCUUAUAAUCGGAACCUAGUGUGCACAGUGUGUGGUAAGCUUAAAGUGGAAGAAAUAAGGUUGAAUUCAACAGAAGUUUCAACAAUUCAACAACUUUAAUAAGCAUAAUACAAACUCUAAGUCAAGUAAAAAGACAAAAAUUCAAUUUUUCCCAUUUCAUUUUGAGAAUUUUUCCUUGAUAACCAUGAAGAGUAUUCAAUUUUUUUUUAAAAAUUUAGACAAAAAGUAACUAAAUUACCAUUUAUAACCUAGCAUUAUAAACAAUACUUCCUUCGUCAACUCCCCCCAACCAUGCUGAACAUUGCCCUCAAUGUUUGAAGAGUAAUUGAAAAUAAAGGAAGGAAGUGGUACAUUCUGAGUGGAAUAGAGUCUGAAUUGUAUAGGAGAAACCACAUGAUUCAAGAAAACAAAAAAAAAAUGAGUAGAGGAAAUAAAAUAAAAAUAUGCCAAGUAUAGUAAAAAAUGAUGGAUAUGUAUUACUUUAAGAAAGUACAAUAUGAAAUAUGCACAAGUAAUACAUCCAAUCCCAGUAUAUAAAACAUAAAGAACAUGAGAUUAAGAGUUCUACUAUUAUAAGUAAAUACAAAAAUUAGAUAGAUGAUCAAGUAGUGGUGGGAGGAUCAUGUGGAGACAAUGGCUCUACUGUGGUCUCCUGAGUGCUCUAGAUAGGAGUCUCGACCUCUGCUGUAGUAGUCUCCUCAUGGGGCAUAGUCUGCUCUGCUGGAGUAGCCUCCUGAGAUGGAAUAGCUUGCUCAGCUAGAGUAGCCUCCUCAGAUGGAGUUGUAGGCUCUGAUGGACCAGGCAUAUCAUGCUCAGGUGGUGGUGGAAUACCUAAAUGCUACCGUAUCUGACUAAGGAUGGCAGUAUGUUGGGUUUGCAUGGCAAUAAGUUGAUCCUGACGUGCACGUAUGACUGUUAUCUGUUGGGCAAGAACACUUUGAGUAGUACUCAAUGUCUGCAAUGUAUGACAUAGGCCUCUAAACUCUAAACUGCAUAUAGUGAUAGAAGACUUAAAUGGAGGAGGUGCUGAUGUAGCUGGUACAACUGGUAGAGCUUCAAGAGUGGUAGGAGGAGCAAAAAAUGUAGCCUCGAGCGUGGGCACUGUAGAAGGUGCUGCAGGGGCAGGUAGUAUGAUCUCUGUAGGUAUCUCAGCCCGUUGUGCCUGUGGUGGCUGCUCAUCCUAUGGUAACUCUGGAGGUGCUGGCAUAUUUGGGGCUCCUGGGGGUGCAACAUAGGUCGUCAAACGAUUCCAUUUGUCGAGAGUGAAUAGCUCUCGAAAAAUGAGGCGGUGCUCAAGCUGAGGCUCAGAAGGAUAGCCCAAAUGCUCUAAUAUCUAAUAGAGCAGGUUGGGAAAAAGUAAUGGAAUGGCAUUUGCUCUCUGGAGCUUCUUCCUAUGGACCUUCUCUUUAAAGUAGAGAAGAGAGGUCAUAAUCAAAAUAUGAGGGCCAAAAUAGAAACCCUCUGAUAUCCGGAAUAAAGCCUCCAGUAUAGCUCAUAUCCUCUGCACCAUAUGCUGAAGUGGAAAUAUGUUGGGACGCAACACCACAUCUAGAAGAAGCAUCCCAGGUGGAAACUCCUUCCUAAGAAGAAAUGAGCGUGUAGAGGUCCCCUUAGACAAUAUACGGACCAUGUUUCUCUGAGAGAAAUGGGACCACUCUCUGUAAUCUGCUGGACUCAUAGGCUCAUAUGGCAUGUGCAGGGCCUCUGCAAUGUGUCUAGCUCUUAGGAUACCAUGGCGUCCAUCAAUAGUGAAGUGGAUGACAGUAGGAUCCCAGACGCGAUGAGUAGUCAUAGACUGAUAAAACUCUAGUGCUACUUUGGGAUAGAAAAAGUCCCUAGGAGUCAUCAGGUGCUCCAAAUGGUUUCUCUGCAGUAGGCAAAAUGAAUCUCUAAGUUCUGGUUGCUGUCUGAAAGUCUCCAUAUCAAAACAUAGCUUGGAGUGGAAUGGCCUAGCUCGACAAUCCAAAUUUCCCUCUAUAGGUGGCUGUGUAACCAUAGGUCGCCUGAUAAUCACUUCUAGAGUCAUCCUAGAAGGAAUUUGAGACUCUGUAGCAGGGGGCUGAGGCUGUGGAGGUGCAGAUGACUCUCAUGGGCCUGAAACUCUGGCUUUCUUUGCAGAAGGGCGAUGAACUGAUUUCUUGGGGUGCGAAGUGCUUGCCCCAGGUGUAGUGGGUGAUCUCCUCGUCUCGUACCUAUGCUGAGGAGGGCUAGAUGGCACUCCAACCUCAGAAGGUGGAAUGGUAAAGGCCUGUGGAGCCUCAGAUGUGGAAUCCCGCGUAGGUGAAGCUCUUGGCAUUGGAUUGCGGGUUGAUGGAGAUGCGAUGUGGGCUCUUCUUGUCUUGGCCAUGGCUGAAAUGGAGAGGCUUGUGUUCCACAGGGUGAGCGGAGGUGCGCGAAGUGGUUCUUCUUCAAACGCACAACCUCUGGGCUUCCUACUAUAGAAUUUGGGGGGUUUCGCAACUUAUAGGGUUAUUUCGCAACAUGAAAGGGUUGUGCGAAAUGAAAAUGGAAAAAAUCAGAGGUUUAAAUAUGAAUUUAAACGUCGGUUGGCAUUUUCGAAAGUUAGCCUAAAUUCGCAAGUUGGUUCGCAAGUUGCCCCUUUUCGCAACUUGAUUCACAGGCUGUGAAACUUGAAAUUGAACUUGCGAAAUGGCACACGUGUGCUUGGAGGUGCUUUCGCAGGCUCCAAAAAUUUUCGCAAGUUGAAUAGUGGACUUACGAAUUUGAGCUUUGAGGAUUUCACAAGUUGGACCCUAUUUUCACAAGUUGGAAUUUUAGCUUGCAAAAUUUUCGCAAAUUGAAAUAUUGCUCUAUUUUUCAGGCUUUUUCUCCUUCUUUGGUUCUUUAAGGCUUUCCUCCAAUUCCUUUGAAGUUCCUCCUAAUUUUGAUCAUCCAAAAAGUCUACGUUAGAUCAAAAUAAAAUAAAUUCAAGCUAGAAUUAAAAUUAAAACAAAUAAUAAAGCUUUUAAAUCAACAAAAUUGAAACAAAAAACAUGGACUUUGGUUAGUCUUCAAAAAGACUAAGUCCAUCUACUCCUUUUUGGUUAAGAUUGUUGUGGCUCAAGAAGACUGACUUCCUCCUUGUCUUGAUUGAAAGGCUUCAUGAAUGGCUUGAAACGGUGGUCAUUGACUUUGAAAGUGUCUGUGCUGUUGGAAUUGAGUAGUUCAACUACUCCAUUGGAAUGCACUUGGUGAAUAAUGAAAGGGCUUAUCCACCUUGAUUUUAGCUUUCCUGGAAAGAUGUGGAGCCUAGAGUUAUAGAGUAAGACUCUUUAUCCCUUUUGAAAUUCUUUGUUGGAGAUUAACUGAUCAUGCCACCUCUUCAUCAUAUGUUUUGAAAUUUUGGAAUUGAUGUAGGCAUCAUUUCUCAAUUCCUCCAUCUCAUUAAGGUCUAAGCACCUCUUCAUCCCGACUCUGUUCAAGUCCAUGUUUACCUUCUUAAUUGCCCACCAAGCCUUGUAUUGAACUUCCACAGGGAGAUGGCAUGCUUUACCAUAGACUAGGCGAUAAGGAGACAUGCCAAGAAUAGUCUUGUAAGUUGUUCUGUAUGCCCAUAGUGAAUCAUGGAGCUUAACAAACCAAUUUCUUCUACUUGUGUUCACCACCUUCAUCAAUAUAUUCUUGAUUUCCCUGUUUGCUAACUCAACUUGCCCAAAAGUCUGAGGGUGGUAAGGUGUAGCUACCUUGUGCUUCACCCCAUACUUGGCUAAGAGAGUUUCAAAAGGCUUGUUGCAAAAAUGAGUACCUUCAUCACUGAUUAUGGCCUUGGGCACCCCAAAUCUUGAGAAGAUGUUCUCUUUGAGAAACUUGAGAACAACUCUGUGGUCAUUUUGUUUACACAGGAUUGCCUCAACCCAUUUAGAAACAUAGUCUACCCCCACCAAAAUGUAAGAGUUACCAAAAGACAUAGGGAAAGGUCCCAUGAAGUCAAUGCCCCAAACAUCGAAAAAAUCAACUAUAAAAUGGGGUUCAUAGGCAUUUGGUUCCUACAUGUUAACUUCCCAAGCCUUUGGUAUCUAUCACAGCUCUUGCACAUGGCGUGAGCAUCUUUGAAAAGUGAUGGCCAACUGAAACCUGAUUGCAACACCUUCAUGGCUAUUUUCUGAUAGGCAAAGUGGCCUCCACAUGCACUUUCGAGGCAAUGACUGAGGAUCCCCUGUUGCUCUUGUUCAGGGACACACUUCCUUAUUAUUUGAUCUGCACAAUACUUGAAAAGGAAAGAUUCUUCCCAAUAGUAGGCAUGAAUUUUUGUAAAGAAGUGCUUCCUAUCUUGUGCUUUCCACUCACUUGGAACUUCACUAGUAACUAUAUAGUUAGCAAUAUGAGCAUACCAAGGAGCAUCUUCUAACAACAUGAGUGACUCCUUCGGAAAAUCAUCAUUAAUAGGAAAACCAUGGGAAUUAUGCGAUAUAGCCAGCCUAGAAAGGUGGUUAGCUACCACAUUCUCCACUCAUUUCUUGUCUUUGAUUUGGAGAUUGAACUUUUGUAGUAAGAGAAUCCAUCUAAUCAGCCUUGCUUUUGCAUCUUGCUUUGUCAAUAAGUACUUCAAAGCUGAGUGGUCAGUGAAAACCACAAUGAAAGACCCUACCAGAUAAGCACGAAAUUUGUCCAAGGCAAAAACUACAGCGAAAUAAUUCUUUCUCUAUGGUUGUGUAGUUUCUUUGUGCUUCAUUUAAUGUUUUACUUGCAUAGUAGAUCACAUAGGGCUUUCCAUCAUCUCUUUGACCAAGAACAACUCCUAUAGCAAAGUCAUUGUGAUUACUACUCAAAAAGUGUUAUUUCAUAGCUUGUAAUUAACUCUUUUAAACACUUUUGAGUAGUAGUUAUUACCUUUUAACCCAAUUAACAUGUUAAGGACCCUUGCAAUCAAUUCUAAUCAAAUUGUGUUAAGUUUUGGUGUUUUGAUAGCUUUUUGAUCACCAAAGCAAUCCGAGAUUGAGGAGAGUUCUUUGGAAUCCAUGGCAAAGCAAUGGAAAGCUUAGAAACAUGAAGAACCGAAGCUUUGAAGUCCUUUGCCAUAAGCAAAUCUGGAAUGCAAGGAGUUUGGGAUCCUCCCUAAAAAAUGCCACGUGGCUCUCUCUCCCUUAUGUUGAUGCCUUGCGUCCUAGUGAUCCACGUAGCUACCAAGUGGACGCACGCUUUCAACCCUGAUUGAGUUCUGGUUCAGUCUUCCCUACAAAAGAUGUCCGGACAGGGCGUCCGGGCACACCAUCGGAGGGCGGCGGAACGUGGGCUGUGGCAGGCUGUUGAUUACUACUCAAAAAGAGCUAUUUGAUAGCUUGUAAUUAACUCUUUUAAAUACUUUUGAGUAGUAGUUAUUACCUUUUAACCCAAUUAACAUAUUAAGGACCUUUGCAAUCACUUCUAAUCACUUUGUGUAAGUUUUGGUGUUUUUGUUAGUAAUUUGAUCACCAAAGCAAUCCAAGAUUGAGGAGAGUUAUUUGGAAUCCAUGGCAAAGCAAUGGAAAGCUCAGAAACAUGAAGAACCAAAGCUUUGAAGCUUUAAAGUCCUUUUCCAUAAGCAAUCCGGAAUGCAAGGAGGGGAAGUAAAGAGAAAAUCUGCCAUGAAGCAUUCUUGAUGACAGUCAUUUUAGCCACUUUUGGAGCACUUCCUAAAGUCCAAUUUAUGCAUUCUAUGUGUCGUUUCAAAUAUUAGGAAGUCAAAAAUCCAAUGCUUCAAACGGUUCACAAAUCGGAGUUGAAAUGAAGAAGUUAGAGCCAAUGGAAGCAGAUCACUCCAAGGUGAGGGCCAAUUUCGCAGGGCUGCGAAAUCAGCCUUUGGCUGCGAAAUGAUUUCGCAGCCAUCUUGUUCGUCUGCGAAAUUUCGCAGCCAUUUUGUGCGCCUGCGAAAUUCUCCUGAGUGCUUCCAGAUAUUUUCGACCGACGUUUUUUGAUAUUUUGCUUCAAAUAUUUGUUGUCUAAAUCCCAAUUCUCUCCUUGUAAUCCACCAAUUAUAGGGUUCCUUAGUUGUUAAGUAAGAACACAAGGGUAAACAACCUCUUAUAUAUUGUUUUUUAAUUUUCAUUUUCUAUGGAUCUCGGGAGCUUGUUCUCAGAGAAUCAACUUUUUGUAUAGUUUGAAAGGAAGUAAAACACAGAGUUUUGCUCUGCCUUACCUUCUCACUUUGAUUGUAUUUUUCAUUCACUAGCCAAACAAGCUCUGAGGAUGUUUCUUCAGAGGAUGGGUGGCUAGGCUUUUUGUUUCUUGGAGCUAAGGUAAUCGGGGAAGGGCCGAAUGCAAGAAUUGGUAGUUUUGUUGUUUCAGCUGUUAAUGAAGAGAAAGUGUAACCCGUUUAUGAUUUCUAUGUUUUUAGUUAACUUAAAACGCUUUCAAUUCACCUGAGCCAACACUUGGUAAGGCAAGUGAUCUCCGUCCAUGGAGAUGCGCUAGUUUACCUCUUGUGAGCUUUUGGGAGGUGACUUGAAGGUGGGAUUUUCUAGAAUUGCCAACACUUGGUAAGCUUUUGGACUCUAAGGAGACAUCCAUUAGUUAUCUCUUGCGAGCUUGAGAAGGGAAGUCCAAAGUUAAUGAUCACCUUGAAUGGCAAAUGCUAGGUGAGAGGCACGAGUCAUUGCAAGUUGCAUCAGUGAGAGGGAAUUAAAGCUGAAAUCCAUUUAAGGGAUGCAUCUGUACAACACUGGUUGGAGAGUGAACUAUAUGUUAACUCUCCAAUACGAGGAAAUGAACCAAGUGACCGAAACUCUGUUUUUGCAUGAGGAACCUCCCCUGUGAACCUGAAUGAUUACUACUCAAAACAUGCUAUUUUGUAGCUUGUAAUUAGCUCUUUUAAACACCAUUGAGUAGUAAUUAUUACCUUUUAACCCAAUUAGCAUGUUAGGAGCCCUUGCAAUCGUUUCUAACAAUUGUGUUAAGUUUUGGUGCUUUUUGAUAGCUUUAUGCUCACCAAAGCAAUUUAAGAAUGAGGGAGAGCUAUUUAUAGUUCAGGGCAAAGCUUUUGAAAGCUUAAAUUUAUGAAGAAAUCAAGCUAUGGAGCCUCAUAAUCCUUUGCCUUAAUCGUUCAAAGUUUACAAGGGAGAAACAAUGGAGAAGAAGAAAACAGGGGAUGAAAACAGGGGACACAGCUGCAGUCUUUUAGUGCACUUUUGGAGCACUUUCCAAAGUCCAUUCUUUACAUUCUAUAUACCAUUUCGAAGCUCAGAAAGUCAAGAAUCCAAUGGUUCAAACCACGUAUGAUUUGGAGCUGAAAUGAGGAAGAUAUGGACUUCGGAAGACAACUGCAUCAAGCUGAGGGACAAUUUCGCACACCACUGUUUAAGGUGCGAAAUCCUCAGUCCACUGUGCGAAAAUUUCGCACACCUCAAACCAACAUGCGAAAUUGGAACUCAGCGUGCAAAAAUUGGAUAUUUUUGCCGACUCUUUUUCUUCUGAUAUUUUUGUGUUUAAAUUUCCAUUUUCUCCUUGUAUUCAACCAACCAUGUAAUUCCUUAGCUAGGAAGUAUCCAAGGAAGGGUAAAACUACCUUCCUAUAUAAAUUCUCUUGUAAUCACUGAAAACAGAUCUUCGUCGGGGAGCUUUCUCCAGGAGACCAACUAUUGUAAAUUUGUUACUUAGUGAAAUACAGAGAUCUCUUUUACUUUCCUUUUCUCUCUUCUAUUUUCUAUUUUCUUGCAAGCCAAACACCCUCUGAGGAUGUUUUCCCAGAGGAUGAGAGGCUAAGCAUUUAGUUUCUUGGAGUAAAGGAAGUUAGGUGAAAAGUCCAGAUUAAAAGGUGGAAAGUUUCCGUGCAUUAAAUUCAGGUAGUUGGAGUCCAUAAAUGGUUUCUAAAGCCAAGGUUUUGCCUUAAAUCCCUUAGGAUCACUUUGACUGGCCAAUACAUGGUAAGCUUAAGGUCUCUGUGGAUGCUUAUUGCUAGAUCCAUAUCAGUCCAUUAGUUAUCAUGUACGAGCCAUUGGAAAGUGAUUCAAGGUGAUAGCCCAUAGUGUCUUAAGCCAUUAAUGGACCUUGAUUACCAUCUCUAGUGAUUUUUAUGGAUUAAAACUUCAUUGUCAAACCUAUACCGGUUCGGGAAAUAACUAUAGGUUAAAUCCCCAAUGCGAGGAGAAAAAUCCGGAAUUUUCCACUUUGCAUCUGGAACUUGAACCUAGCAACCUUUAGCUCCGGGAGACUUUCUUUCUUCCACUUUUUACUUAGUUCUAUGUGAGUUUAGUUUAAAUCACCACUUUCAAAACAAUUUUAUUUUCUUUUAAAUUUCAAGUUUGUGCUAAAGGAAAUCAUCAGAAUCAAUUUCUAAUUUAGAGUCUAUCAUUGGUAGAGUGAAAACCCAUCCCUGAGUUCGACCCUAGAACUGCUAUACUAUAGUAGCUUUGCUACGCCAGUAUAAGGUCAUAGGUUUUAUAAAUGUUUUUGAUUAAAAGAUCCGGCUGGGAAGUCAAGCGAAGAAUCACUGAACCUCCAAGGAAUGUUUUCUUUAUAAAGUAAUUCCCAUUACUUUCUUUUUAGUUAGCUUGUAACCAAAUCUUUUUCAACCAAAGUUUAUGUUUUCUUUUGAAUCUAACCUUGAAAUGAAAAGGCACCAAUUCAACUUUGAAUUGGUAUCGGUUGUAAGUCGAAAACCUUUCCCAGUGAACGAUCCUAGAGCUACUAUGCUAUACUAGCUUAUGCUAUCCUAGUGCAUGGUGAUAUAGGUUAUAAAUUUUGUUGAUUAAUCCCAUCAGAGGACCAAAAUCAAGGGCAUCAGCUGGGAAUACACGAAUCAGCUGUCGGAAUGACGUAGCAAGGCUUGCUCACUUUAGUCAAUGAUCCGGACAACAUAUCCGGAUAGGAUAUGCUAUCGUCCGGGGUGUGAUGAUCGCGAGUACCGUGUGCUUCUCCCUGAGGGAGUCCGGAUAGGGGAGCGCGCCACGUGUCCUCUUGGGGAAUUCGGAUGGAGUGCUCCGGAUAGCAAUGCGCGCUCCGUGUCAUCAGGGGGAGGGGUCCCUACACCUUGCACACGCAGACGGUCCCCCUUGCGACGUUCCACCUUCUCCGGAUAUCUCACAUCCGGAAUUCUGUCCGGCCGACGUUCCACCUUCUCCGGAUAUUUCACAUCCAGCGCCUGACGCCGGAUGGGAGAGGAGGGCGUUUCAACUUCCCCGGUCAGACAUAUCCGGAUCCUCUGAUAGCGCUUACCCGGAGAGUUUCGCAGCCAUUUUGCAUAGUGCCGCGGUGUUCUCUUGAAGCUUCCCGAUAUGUGCGACCGACAUUUUGAGAUAUUUUUCUUUAGAUAUUUGAUGUCUAAAUCCCCAAACUCUCCUUGUAACCCACCUAUCAUAGGAUUCCUUAGUCUUUAAGUAAGAACAAAGGGUGAAUAACCCCUUAUAUAUAGCUUUGUAAUUUUCUUUACAAGAAAGAUAUAUAAUGUAAUCUCUCGAGAGCUUGUUCUUAGAGACAACCUUUUGUAUAAGUAAGAAAUAUAUCUACAGAGCACUUGCUCUGCUUUUCAUAUAUAUUUUUGUUUUCUCGUUAUUUUUCUUUCUAGCCAAUCAAACUCUGAGGAUUUUUCCUCAAAGGAUGAGAGGCUAGGCUCUUCGUCUCUUGGAGUGAAGAAAGCUGGAUAAGUUUCCAAAUGCAAGAAUUGGAAGUUUUGUUGUUUUAAGUUUUAAUGAAGAGAAAGUGUGACCCGUUAAUGGUUUUUAUCUUUUUAGUUAACUUAAAACGCCUUCAAUUCACUUGGGCCAACACUUGAUAAGGCAAAUGGUCUCCGUCCAUUGAGAUACACUAGUUUAUCUCUUGCUAGCCUUUGGGAGGUGGUUUGAAGGUAGGAUUUUCUAGAAUAGCCAACACUUGGUAAGCUUUUGGACUCUUAGGAGACAUCAAUUAGUUAUCUCUUGCGAGCUUUUGAUAGGUAAUCAAAGAUUAAGGAUCAGCUUGGAUGACAAAUGCUAGGUGAGAGGCACGAGCCAUUGCAAGAUGCAUCAGUGAGAGGGAUUUAGUGUUUGAACCCAUUAAGGGGAAGCAUCUGUACCACACCGGUUAGAGAAUUAACUAUAUGUUAAUUCUUUAAUGCGAGGAAAAGAAACAAGUGACCGGAACUCUCCUUUUUGUAUGAGGAACCUGAGCUUAGUGAUCUAAACUCCAAGAAACACUUUUCUUAGUAAGUAAUUUCCAUUACUUUAUUUUUGGUUUCUGAUUCGUGCCCACUUGGUGUAUCAACUGAUUCAUGUCCAACUGGUGCUCCUUGAUUGAGGUAGUAAUCAACAAAAUUUAUAACCUAUUACACCAUGAACUAGGGUAGCAAAGACAAAGCUACUAUAGCAUAGCGGCUCUAAGAUCGUUCACUGGGAUGGGUUUUCACUCCACAAUUGAUAUCAAUUCAAAGCUGAAUUGGUGCCUUUUCAUUUCAAGGUUAGCUUUAAAAGAAAACAUAAAGAUGUUUAAAUGAAAAAGGUUUGGUUUUAAACUAACCAAAAAUAGUAACUAAUUUUACUUACAAAGAAAAGUGUUUCUUGGAGUUUAGAUCACUAGGCUGAGGUUCCUUGUACAAAAAGGGAGUUCCGGUCACUUGUUUCUUUUCCUCGCAUUAGAGAAUUAACAUAUAGUUAAUUCUCUAACCGGUGUGGUACAAAUGCUUCCCAUUAAUGGGUUCAAACACUAAAUCCCUCUCACUGAUGCAUCUUGCAAUGACUCAUACCUCUCACCUAGCACUUGCCAUUCAAGGUGAUCUUUAACCUUGGAUUACCCGUUAAAAGCUCGCAAGAGAUAACUAAUGGAUGUUUCCUUAAAGUCCAAAAGCUUACCAAGUGUUGGCUAUUCUAGAAAAUCCUACCUUCAAACCACCUCCCAAAGGCUCGCAAGAGAUAAACUAGUGAAUCUCAAUGGAUGGAGACCACUUGCCUUAUCAAGUGUUGGCCCAGGUGAUUUAAAGGCGUUUUAAGUUAACUAAAAAGAUAAAAACCAUUAACGGGUCACACUUUCUCUUCAUUAAAAACUAAAACAACAAAACUUCCAAUUCUUGCAAUUGGAAACUUACCCGGCUUUCUUCAUUCGAAGAGACAAAGAGCCUAGCCUCUCAUCCUCUGAGGAAAAAUCCUCAGAGUUUGAUUGGCUAGAAAUAAAAAGAAUGAGAAAACAAAAAUAUAUAUGAAAAGCAGAGCAAGUGCUCUGUAUUUUACUUCCUUCCAAAACUGUACAAAAGAUCCGUCUCUGAGAACAAGCUCCCGAGAGAUUGAUCAUAUAUAAAGAAAAUUACAAACUAUAUAUAAGAGGUUAUUCACCCUUUUUCCAAACUUAAUAACUAAGGAAUCCUAUGAUUGGUGGGAUACAAGGAGAGUUUGGGGAUUUAGACAUAAAAUAUCUAAAGCAAAAUAUCUCAAAAUAUCUCAAUUGUCGGUCACACAUAUCUGGAAGCUUCAGGAGAAUACUGAAGAAAAAUAUCUCAAAAUGUCGGUCACACAUGUCAGGAAGCUUCAGGAGAACACCGUGGCACUGUGCAAAAUGGCUACGAAACUCUCCGGGUAAGCGCUAUCAGCGGAUCUGGAUAUGGCUGACCGGAGAAGUUGAAACGCCCUCCUCUCCCAUCCGGCGUCAGGCGCCGGAUGCGAAUAUCCGAAUGGAAUGGCGGCGGAGCAAAAUUCCGGAUGUGAGACAUCUGGGUGGAAUGGCGGCGAAGCAAAAUUCCGGAUGUGAGACAUCCGGGUGGAAUGGCGGCAAAGCAAAAUUCCGGAUGUGAGACAUCCGGGUGGAAUGUCGGCGGAGCAACUCCAUCCGAAUUCCCCGAGAGAACAUGUGGCACGUUCCCCUAUCCGGACUCCCUUAGGGAGAAGCACACGGCACUCACGAUCAUCACACACCCGGACGAUAGCAUAUCCUAUCCGGAUAUUCUGUCCGGAUGAAAAGAAGAGAAAAGAGCCCACAUUCCGCCGCCCACCGAUGGUGUGUCCGGACGCCCUGUCAGGAUGAUAGCAUAUCCUAUCCGGACAGCUCUUCAUUGCUUUGCCAUGGAUUCCAAAGAACUCUCCUUAAUCUUGGAUUGCUUUGGUGAUCAAAUUACUAACAAAAAACACCAAAACUUACACAAUUUGAUUAGAAUUGAUUGUAAGGGUCCUUAAUAUGUUAAUUGGGUUAAAAGGCGAUAACUACUACUCAAAAGUGUUUGAAAGAGUUAAUUACAAGCUAUGAAAUAACACUUUUUGAGUAGUAAUCAGUUUCACUUAAAAACCAACCUUUUUCAACCAAAGAUUAUGUUUUCUUUUAAAGCUAACCUUGAAAUGAAAAGGCACCAAUUCAUCUUUGAAUUAAUAUCAAUUGUGAAGUGAAAACCCAUCCCAGUGAACGACCCUAGAGCCACUAUGCUAUGCUAGCUAAGGCUAUCCUAGUACAAGGUGUAAUAGGUUAUAAAUUUUGUUGAUUACUCCCUUCUGAGGACCACAAUCAAGGGACACCAGCUAAACACGAAUCAGCUAAGACACCAAUUGGAAACGAAUCACAUUGGCAUCACACAUCACUUCAAAAGGUAGUUGCCAGUUAGGAGCCCUCACCAUUGGAGCGGUUGUCAAGAACUGCUUCAGUUGCUCAAAACUCUUUUGACAUUUUUCAUCACAUACAAAUUUAGCAUCCUUCAGCAAUAGUUCACAAAGAGGCUUUGAAAGUUUAAAGAAAUCUUUAAUAAACCUCCCGUAGAACCCAACAUGGCCAAGGAAUUGCCUCACUCCUUUUACAGCUGUUGGGGAUGGCAAUUUCACAAUAAGUUCCACCAUUGCUUUAUAAACUUCAAUGCCUUUCUUGGAGAUGAUGUGGCCAAGGACAAUUUCUUGUUGUACCAUAAAAUGACAUUUCUCCUAGUUAAGCACUAAGUCUUUUUCAAUGCAUCGGUUCAGAACAAUUCCAAGUUGACUAAACAUUCCUCAAAUGUGCUUCCAUAUAUGGUGAUAUCAUCUAUAAAAACUUCCAUAAUACGCUCCACCAUAUCACUGAAAAUGCUUAACAUACAUUGUUGGAAUGUUGCAGGUGCAUUGCAUAAACCAAAAGGCAUUCUUCUGUAGGCAUAUGUGAUUACUAAUCAAAAAGUGCUAUUUCAUAGCAUGUAAUUAACUCUUUUAAACACUUUUGAGUAGUAGUUAUUGCCUUUUAACCCAAUUAACAUGUUAAGGACCCUUGCAAUCACUUCUAAUCAAUUUGUGUAAAGUUUUGGUGUUUUGAUAGCCUUUUUGAUCACCAAAGCAAUAUGAGAUUGAGGAGAGUUCUUUGGAAUCCUUGGCAAAGCAAUGGAAAGCUCAAAAACAUGAAGAACCAAAGCUUUGAAGUCCUUUGCCAUAAGCAAAUCCGGAAUGCAAGGAAGGGAAGCAAAGAGAAAUCUGCCAUGAAGCAUUCUUGAUGACAGUCAUGUCAGCCACUUUUGGAGCACUUUCUAGAGUCCAAUUUAUGCAUGCUAUAUGUCGUUUCGAAGCUCAGGAAGUCAACAAUCCAAUGCUUCAAACAGUACAUGAUUCGGAGUUGAAAUGAAGGAGUUACAUCUAUUGGAAGCCAAUCACUCCAAGUUGAAGAAAGAAUUUUACACGGCUGCGAAAUCACCCUUUUGUUGCGAAAUGAUUUCGCAGCCAUCUUGCACAGUGCUCUGGAAUUUCUCCUGAAGUUUCCCGAUAUUUGCGACCGACUCUUUUAGAUCUUUUCUUCAGAUAUUUUUGUAUAAAUUUCCAUUCUUCUCCUUAUAAUCCACCAACCAUAAGAUUUCUUAGUUAGGAAGGUUGGAAAAACGUCUCUAUAUAUAUUCCCUUGCAUCCACUGUAAAAGAUAUAGAUAUAUCAUAUAUAGAAUCAACGAACAGAGCACUUGCUCUGUUUUUCAUAUAUAUUCUUGUUUUCUCGUUAGUUUUCUUUCUAGCCAAUCAAACUCUGAGGAUUUUUCCUCAGAGGAUGAGAGGCUAGGCUCUUCGUCUUUUGGAGUGAAGAAAGCCGGGUAAGUUUCCAAAUGCAUAAAUUGGAAGUUUUGUUGUUUUAGUUUUUAAUGAAGAGAAAGUGUGACCCGUUAAUGGUUUUUAUCUUUUUAGUUAACUUAAAACGCCUUUAAAUCACCUGGGCCAACACUUGGUAAGGCAAGUGAUCUUCGUCCAUGGAGAUGCACUAGUUUAUCUCUUGCGAGCUUUUGGUAGGUGGUUUGAAGGUAGGAUUUUCUAGAAUAGCCAACACUUGGUAAGCUUUUGGACUCCAAGGAGACAUCCAUUAGUUAUCUCUUGCGAGCUUUUGACGGGUAAUCCAAGGUUAAAGAUCACCUUGAAUGGCAAAUGCUAGGUGAGAGGCACGAGCCAUUGCAAGAUGCAUCAGUGAGAGGGAUUUAGUGUUUGAACCCAUUAAUGGGAAACAUCUGUACAACACCGGUUAGAGAAUUAACUAUAUGUUAAUUCUCUAAUGCGAGGAAAAGAAACAAGUGACCGAAACUCUCCUUUUUGUAUGAGGAACCUGAGCCUAGUGAUCUAAACUCCAAGAAACAUUUUUCUUUGUAAGUAAAAUCAGUUACUAUUUUUGGUUAGCUUAAAACCAAUCCUUUUUCAUUCAAACAUCCUUAUGUUUUCUUUUAAAGCUAACCUUGAAAUGAAAAGGCACCAAUUCAACUUUGAAUUAACAUCAUUUGUGAAGUGAAAACCCAUCCCAGUGAACGAUCCUAAAGCCACUAUGCUAUAGUAGCUUUGUCUUUGCUACCCUAGUAUAUGGUGUAAUAGGUUAUAAAUUUUGUUGAUUACUCCCUCAAUCAAGGAGCACCAGCUGGACAUGAAUCAGCUGAGACACCAAUUGGGCACGAAUCAAAUGGCGCCAUUGCCGGGGAUGGUGCCACUUUACAGUGAUAUCACCUUUUCAGAGUACUUGUGAUCUUCAUCACAAGUUUGGUGACUUUUCUUUUCCUUUUACUAACUCUUUUUAUUGUUCAUAUUUUAGUAUACCUUUUAUUUAGUUUUUAGUUUACCUUAAUUUUUUUUCUUUGAAUUGUUUUUCUUUUGUGUUCACUGUUUUAAAUUCACAAAUUGCUAGUUGUGCAUGCCAUAUUGAAUACCAUAGCAGAGAAAGCCAUGAACUUCAUGAGUUAUGUGGUUGAAGUCUCAAGAGGAUGGGAUGAACCAAAUGCUAGAGAUAUGGGAAGAAUGACGUCUCAACCUAAUGCUAAGGGUGAGAUGUAUAUUUUAAAUGACGGCAUAGACAUGAGGACAAAGUUUGCAGCUAUGGCAAGGAGAUUAGAAGAGCUAGAAAUGAAGAAGAUGCAUGAAGUGCAAGCCAUCUCUCAGACACCAUUGCAACCUAUGCCCUGUUCCAUUUGUCGAUCUUUUGAGCACUUGGGGGAAGAGUGUCCUACCAUUCCAGCCGUGAGGGAAAUAUUUGGUGAUUGCAACACCUACAAUUCCAAUUGGAGGGACCAUCCAAAUUUCUCUUGGAAACCACAGCCACCUCAGUAUCAGCAACCUGCUCAAGCACCACAGCAAGCCUCAAGCCUUGAACAAGCUAUGGUGAAUCUUAGCAAGGUCGUGGGAGACUUUGUUGGAGCUCAGAAAUCCAUCAAUGCUCAGUUCAGUCGAAGAAUUAACAGUGUAGAGAGUUCAUUGAUUAAAAGGAUGGAUGAAGUGCAAAAUGAUCUAUCUCAUAAGAUAGAUAAUCUCCAAGAUUCAAUCUCAAGGUUUGCCAACCUCAACAUAGUGCAAGAGAAAGAAAACUCUCCUUCUCAACCUUAUCAAAAUUCCAUGAGUAUCCAUGAAAUGGAGGCUAAGGAGGGAGAACCUUCACAAAAGAGGGAAGUUAAAGAAGUGAUCACUCUGAGGAGUGGUAAAGAGGUUGAUCUGCCCACAUGCAAGCUAGAGCAUAAGGUAGAGAGUGAAACAGAGAAAGAAAAGAGGGAGGAAAUCAAAGGAAAUAAAAAAGGGAAAAGCAUAGAGAAAGAUGACUAUAUAGAUGAAGAACCACAGAGGAUAGUCAUCAAGAAAGAAUUGAUGAAGAAACACAUGCCUCCACCUUUUCUCCAAGCUUUGUAUGAGAAAAUCAUACAAACCAAGUCUCAAGUGAGGGAUGCAAGCUUCAUAUGGGAUCCGGGCAAGUUAAAUCAGGAUCAAAUUUUUUUUAUGGACUUAGUCUUUCUAAAGACUAGCUAGUCCAUAUCUUUUUGUUUUACUUAUUACUUGUUUUAAUUUUGAUUUCAAUGCUUUAAUUCUAAUUUGUUUUUAUGUAAUAUAGGUUUUUGGAUGAUCAAAAUCAGGAGGAAUUGCAAAGAAAUUGAAGGAAAGUCGUUUGGAGUAAAAACGGAGAAAAAACAGGGCAAAAACAGGAGGAAAACAGGGGUCUGCGAGAUUUCGCAGCCUCAGGCCCCUCUCUGCGAAAAUUUUCGCAGCUGCGAAACCAAGUUUUGGCACACGAGUGCCAUUUCGCAGCACAGUGACUCCCAUUUCGCAGCUGCGAAACGGUUGCGAACCACCAAAGCAUGAAAGAUCCUAUUUUCGCAAGGAAAGCUCCAUUUCGCAGAGGAUUUCGCAGCUGCGAAACCACUUUUGGCACACGAGUGCCAUUUCGCAGCACAGUGACCCUCAUUUCGCAGUUGCGAAACGGCUGCAAAAUGCCAAAGCGUAAAAACUUCCAAUUUCGCAGCCAAAGCUCCAUUUCGCAGGGUGUUUCGCAACUGCGAAGCCACUUUUUGGCACACGAGUACCAUUUGGAAGCCCCGUACACUCAUUUCGUAGCUUUGAAAUGGCUGCAAAACCUCCACACCUUAAAAUCCUUCAGCGCGCACACCAUAAACAGACAUGUCACAACCGUACCCCCAUUUCGGCAACUGUUGGACACAAUUCGAUCACUUACUGAACCUCAAAUUAUACAUACCAUAUCUUGUUUCAAAUCUUGGGAAGUCAGGAGUCCAUAGCUUCAAACAGUGCUCGAUUUGGAUUUGAAACGGAAAAGUUAUGGCCGUUUGAAGAUGACUGUGCAAACCAUAAGCGGAAAUGUCGCACCUCCAUUUUGCUACUGUUGAACACAUUUUUGAAACACUUCCUGGAGCUCAAAUUAUGCAUACCAUAUCUCUUUUCAAAUCUUGGGAAUUCAGGAGUCCAUAGCUUCAAACGGUAUGCGAUUUGGAGAUGAAAUGAAGAAGUUAUGGCCAUUUGAAGACGAACAUGCAAAGCUGAGCGGGAAUUUUCUUCCCAUUUGGCUGCGAAAUGAUCUCCAAGCUUCAAAAUGGCUGCGAAAUCACUUUUGAGCAGCGAAAUGGCUAUGAAAUGAUCUCCAAGCUUCAAAAUGGCUGCGAAAUCACCUACAAGCUUCGAAAUGGCCUUCAAAUUGCGAAAUUGACUUGCAAAAUGGAGGGUGAUUUGCAAAAACACCUUGCAAAGCCAAGGAAAGUUGCUAAAAUGCCAACAGAGCCCCGCGACCAUGCAUAUGAAGAGGAGAGCCCCGCGCACCCUGAGAUCACACACACUAAGCCUCUCAUUCCAUUUCUGACUUCCUAAAACCAUCAGAGCCCAUAGCUCCAGCUCAGAGCUCAUAGCUCCAACUGAGAGCUCCAGUUGAAGAGACUAUGCCACCUAAGGAGACUACCAGAACAGAGGCCAAAGUCCUGAUCCAACCCAUUCAAGAGGCCACCACAGAUGCAUCAGCUCCACAGGACCCUACCAUUGCUUGAUCAUCUUUUUACUUUUUGUCUUUACAUAUUAUAUUAGUAUAGAUAAUUCCAUGUUUUGAUGUCUUAUAUUCUGAGAUUGGAUGUAUUACUGAUAAUACAUCAUAUAUAGACAUCAUUUUUGUUUAAACUUAGCAUUUUUCUAUUUUCACUAACUCUGUUGUUUUUUUGAAACAUGUGGUUUCUCCUAUACGACUCAGACUCCAUGUCACUCAGGAGGUACCAUUUCCUCCCUAUUUUUCAAUCGCUUUUGUCACAUUGAGGACAAUGUUCAGCUUGGUUGGGGGGAGAUUUGAGGAAGUAAGUAUUGUUAAUAAUGCUAAAUUAUUUUGGUAAUUUAGUUGCUUUUUGCUUAAUUUAAAAUUUUUUUUCUACUCUCCAUGGUUAUUAAGGAAAAAUUUUCAAAAUGAAAAGGGAGAAAUUGAAUUUUAGUCUUUUUACUUGACUUAGAUUUUGUAUUAUGCUUACUAAAGUUGAUGAAUUGUUGAAACUUCUAUUGAAUUCAACCUUAGUUCUUCCACUUUAAGCUAUUCACACACUGUGCACAAUAGGUUCCGAGUAUAAGAUGAAAAACUAUUUCCCUCUUGACUUAGGAAAAUUUUAGACUUGGUACCUUGACCUUAUUUAAUAGUGUUGGGACACCUUGUAAAAGGCCAAUGAGUCUUUGAAGAAAAAAAAGAAAGAAAGAAAAAAUGUUUGCUUGCCUUGAAACCCGAGCAAGGUCUGAGGGGUAUAUGGUGAAAAUCUUUAAAACCUGGUGCCCUAAGCCUUAAUUGGUUGGGAGUCACCGACCUCAAUGCUCGUUACAAGGGUGGAUAGGUGGAGUUUAACAUACUGUAGGUGCUUAGGUAUUAAAAUUCAUUCUCAAAAGUCCGGGGUAAAAUCCGAGGAGUUAGUGGUUGAAAGAUCCUUAAACCUUGAUGCCCUAAACCUUAAUUGGUUGGGAGUCAUCGAUGGACCCCCGUUACAUGGACAAUUUAAAAAAGAAUACCUUUAAGCCUUGUACUCCUACAAUGAAAAAAUUGUGAAAAAAGAGGUGCGUUCCUAACCUAUUAGAGGUUGAUCAGUUUGCUAAGCUUUGAAAAAGAACUAGGUUGGGGGGAGAGAUUAGUUUGACAUACUAUAUUCGGAAGCUAAUAAAUAACACUUAGAUUUUUGUGGAAGAGUAAGGUUUGACCCUUUGGGAGUGGAAACUCUUUUAAAGCUUAAAUUUGCAUAAUGCCUUCUCUUUAUGAAUUGUGAUUAGACAAGUUAUUUAAUAACUCUUGUUGAAGUUUGAUUUUUAUUUCUUUAAUGUUCCAUGUGAGAGUUAGAUCACAUCAUGCCACUUGAAAAUUGUUUUUUGAUCAGCAUGAUGUUGUAAAUUAUAGUAAUGAUUAUUUUUAUUUUUCUCUCCUUCAUUGCUAAGGGACUAGCAAUAUGUCGGUUGGGGGGAGUGAUUACUACUCAAAAAGUGCUAUUUCAUAGCUUGUAAUUAACUCUUUUAAACACUUUUGAGUAGUAGAUAUUGUCUUUUAACCCAAUUAACAUGUUAAGGACCCUUGCAAUCACUUCUAAUCAAUUUGUGUAAAGUUUUGGUGUUUUGAUAGCCUUUUUGAUCACCAAAGCAAUAUGAGAUUGAGGAGAGUUCUUUGGAAUCCUUGGCAAAGCAAUGGAAAGCUCAAAAACAUGAAGAACCAAAGCUUUGAAUUCCUUUGCCAUAAGCAAAUCCGGAAUGCAAGGAGGGGAAGCAAAGAGAAAUCUGCCAUGAAGCAUUCUUGAUGACAGUCAUGUCAGCCACUUUUGGAGCACUUUCUGGAGUCCAAUUUAUGUAUGCUAUAUUUCUUUUCGAAGCUCAGGAAGUCAACAAUCCAAUGCUUCAAACGGUGCAUGAUUCGGAGUUGAAAUGAAGGAGUUACAGCCAUUGGAAGCCAAUCACUCCAAGUUGAAGAAAGAAUUUUACACGGCUGCGAAAUCACCCUUUUGUUGCGAAAUGAUUUCGCAGCCAUUUUGCACAGUGCUCUGGAAUUUCUCCUGAAGUUUCCCGAUAUUUGUGAUCGACUCUUUUAGAUCUUUUCUUCAGAUAUUUUUGUAUAAAUUUCCAUUCUUCUCCUUGUAAUCCACCAACCAUAAGAUUUCUUAGUUAGGAAGGUUGGAAAAACGUCUCUAUAUAUAUUCCCUUGCAUCCACUGUAAAAGAUAUAGAUAUAUCAUAUAUAGAAUCAACGAACAGAGCACUUGCUCUGUUUUUCAUAUAUAUUCUUGUUUUCUCGUUAGUUUUCUUUCUAGCCAAUCAAACUCUGAGGAUUUUUCCUCAGAGGAUGAGAGGCUAGGCUCUUCGUCUUUUGGAGUGAAGAAAGCCGGGUAAGUUUCCAAAUGCAUAAAUUGGAAGUUUUGUUGUUUUAGUUUUUAAUAAAGAGAAAGUGUGACCCAUUAAUGGUUUUUAUCUUUUUAGUUAACUUAAAACGCCUUUAAAUCACCUGGGCCAACACUUGGUAAGGCAAGUGAUCUCCGUCCAUGGAGAUGCACUAGUUUAUCUCUUGCGAGCUUUUGGUAGGUGGUUUGAAGGUAGGAUUUUCUAGAAUAGCCAACACUUGGUAAGCUUUUGGACUCCAAGGAGACAUCCAUUAGUUAUCUCUUGCGAGCUUUUGACGGGUAAUCCAAGGUUAAAGAUCACCUUGAAUGGCAAAUGCUAGGUGAGAGGCACGAGCCAUUGCAAGAUGCAUCAGUGAGAGGGAUUUAGUGUUUGAACCCAUUAAUGGGAAACAUCUGUACAACACCGGUUAGAGAAUUAACUAUAUGUUAAUUCUCUAAUGCGAGGAAAAGAAACAAGUGACCUAAACUCUCAUUUUUGUAUGAGGAACCUGAGCCUAGUGAUCUAAACUCCAAGAAACAUUUUCCUUUGUAAGUAAAAUCAGUUACUAUUUUUGGUUAGCUUAAAACCAAUCCUUUUUCAUUCAAACAUCUUUAUGUUUUCUUUUAAAGCUAACCUUGAAAUGAAAAGGCACCAAUUCAACUUUGAAUUAACAUCAUUUGUGAAGUGAAAACCCAUCCCAGUGAACGAUCCUAGAGCCACUAUGCUAUAGUAGCUUUGUCUUUGCUACCCUAGUAUAUGGUGUAAUAGGUUAUAAAUUUUGUUGAUUACUCCCUCAAUCAAGGAGCACCAGCUGGACACGAAUCAGCUGAGACACCAAUUGGGCACGAAUCAAUAUGUUCCAAAUGGACAUGUGAAAGUGGUUUUCUCCUGGUCUUCAACAUCAAUUUCUAUUUGAAAAUACCCGGAGAAGCCAUCCAAGAAACAAUAGAAAGGAUGGCCUAAGACUCUCUCCAACACUUGAUCAAUAAAUGGCAAUGGAAAAUGAUCGUUCCUUGUCACAACAUUCAAUUUUCUAUAAUCAAUACACACCCUCCAACUUGAAGUGAGGCGUGUAGCAACUUCUUCUCCCUUAUCAUUUUGCACUACUGUGAUCUCUGAUUUCUUUUGCACUACUUGAGUAGGACUCACCCAUGGGCUAUCUGAUAUGGGGUAGAUAAUACCGGCCUGAAGUAGCUUAAGAACUUCAGUUUGCACCACCUCUUGCAUAUGAGGAUUCAAUCUUCUUUAAGGUUGACGAAUUGGCUUAUUUUCUUCUUCUAUGUACAUAUGAUGCGUACAGACUAAAGGGCUGAUACCUUUCAAGUCAGAUAUUUGCCAUCCUAUUGCUUUCUUACAUCUCUUGACAACUUCAAGUAAACACUCCUCCUGAGGAGUGGUAAGAGAUGAAGAUAUAACAACAAGGCACUUCUUAUUCUCUUCUAGGUAUGCAUACUUCAACUCCGUGGGUAAUGGCUUCAAACUAAGCUUUGGGGCCUUCUCUUUAACAGCUUCUUGUAUCUCCUCCUCAUUGAACAAAGGUAGAAUUUCUUUUAUCCUCCUCUAACCUGGUAGAGUAGCAAGCAAAUUUGAGGGUUCAGGCAACCCUUCAUCAAGAUCCCUAAGACUUUCAUUCAACUUCUCUUGUAUUUUCUAAUUACAAUGCUCCUCCACUAAAGUGUCAAUGAUGCACACCUCUUUUGGACCUUCUUAUUCUUUCAGCUUGAUUGGCUUCUUGGACAUAUAGAAGAUAUUGAGUUCCAAUGUCAUGUUCCCAAACAUGAGUUGCAUGAGUCCAUUCCUACAAUUGAUGAUUGCAUUUGAUGUAGCUAGGAAUGGUCUUCCAAGUAUGAUAGGAACAUAAUUCGUUUCCUUGACAAUUGGGUCCGUAUCAAGAACAAAAAAAUCCACUGGAUAGUAGAAAUUGUCAACUUGAACUAAGACAUCUUCAAUCAUCCCUCUUGGAAUCUUCACUGAUCUAUCUGCUAGAGAUAGAGUGAUUGAUGUUGGCUUCAAUUCACCAAGUCUCAAUUGCUUGUAGACAGAGUAUGGUAGCAAAUUCACACUUGCCCCCAAGUCCAACAAAGCUUUCUCCACUAAAGUCCCUCCAAUCAUCACUGAGAUGGUAGAGCAGCCUGAAUCUUUGUACUUCACUGGAGACUUGCACUGUAUGAUGGCACUUACUUGCUCAAUCAAGAAGGUUUUCUUAUUCACAUUCAACCCUCUUUUGAUAGUGCACAAGUCCUUCAGGAAUUUUUCAUAAGUCGGCACUUGUUUGAUCAUGUCUAGCAAUGGGAUGUUGACCUUCACUUGCCUCAAUACUUCAAGAAUUUCUGAUGCAUUGCUGAUUCCCUUUUUCCCAUGCAAAGAUUGAGGAAAAGGUGGAGGCAUGUGUUUCUUCAUCACAUCUCCAUUGAUAACUAUCUUCUCUGGAUCUUCAUUCACUAUUGAAUCAUGGUCCUCUUUCCUUCCAUUGCUUCAUUUCUUCUUUCCUUUGAUUUCCUCCAUUUUCUCUGUCUCUUUUUCACUCUUUGUUUCAUCAUGUGGCUUGGGUGUUGGUAGCUCAACCUCUUUACCACUCCUCAGAGUGAUCACGGCUUUGAUGUCCCUCACAUGUGAAGAUUCUCCCUUAUGAGCUUCCACUUCAUGGAUACCCUUGGGGUUUUGGUGAGGUUGAGAAGGAAACCUUCCCUUCUCUUGCACUGUGUUAAGGUUGGUGAGCCUUGAGAUUGAGUAUUGGAGAUUAUCUAUCUUUUGAGAUAAAUCGUUUUGCAUUCCAUCCAUCAUUUUAUUCAAUGUAUUCUCUACACUGUCAAUUCUUUGAUUGAGUUGAGCAUUGAUAGAUUUCUGGCCUCCAACAAAAUCUCCCACGAUUUUGCUUAGAUUCACUAUUGCUUGCUCAAGAUUUGAAGCUUGUUGAGAUGCUUGGCCUGGUUACGUGUACUGAAGUGCUCUUGGUUUCCAGGAGAAAUUUGGAUGGUUCCUCCAAUUUGAAUUGCAGGUAUUUCCAUAUGAAGCAUUGUUAUUGGUCUUGAAUUGUCCAAUGAUAUUCGCUUGAUCCCCAAACAUUUCUCUAACACCUGGAAUUGUAGGACACUCCUCCACCAAGUGCUCAUAAGAUUGACAAAUGGAACAAGGCAUAACUUGCAUUGGUGUUUCAGAAACGGCUUGCAUUUCACGUAUCUUUUUUAGUUUUAGCUCCUCCAAUCUUCUUGUCAUAGCUCCAACUUUUGCUUUCAUGUCAAUAUUUUCGUUCAAGGUAUACAUCCCAACCUUAACUUUAGGAUCAUUUGGUUGAGACUUCAUUUUUCCCACUUCUCCCUUGUUCGGUUCAUCCCGUCCUCUUGAAACUUCAUCAACAUAAUUCAAGAAAUCCAUGGCUUCCUCCGGAUUCUUACUCAUGAAAUCUCCUCCACACAUAGUCUCUAGGAGUUGCUUCAUUGAGGACGACAUACCGUCAUAAAAGUAGCUUACCAAUAGCCAUGUAUCAAAGCCAUGGUGAGGACAAGCAUUGAUAGCUUCCAUGUAUCUCUCCCAACACUCAGAAUUUCUCAUUCUCUUUAGCUGAGAAGUUUGAAAUUUGCCUUUUCAAGCCAUUGGUCCUAUGAGUAGGAAAAAAUUUCUUGAGAAAUUUAGCUUGCAAAUUAGUCCAAGUUCGGAUAUUCCUUGGCCUUAAAGAAUUAAGCCAAAUCUUGGCCUUAUCCUUUAGAGUGAAAGAAAAUAGUUUUAGCCUCAUCAAGUCAAUUGAAGCUUCGGCCUCUUGGAAUGUAUUACAAACAUCUUCAAAGUCUUUGAUGUGCGCGUAGGGAUUCUCACUUUCCAUCCCAUGGAAAGUAGGUAGAAGUGGCACAAUAUGCAGUCUGAUUACUAGCUGCUCUGUAAGAGGCACUAUGCAUGAUGGUGCACUCAUACGAGGUGUAUGCAUGCGGUCCCUCAUUGAUCUGAAUGCAUUGGGAUUGUCCUGUUGACCAUGGUGACUAUGUUGAUCUUCAGGUGUAGCUUCCAUGAUGUUCAAGCACAAUUCCAACUCUGUUUAGUGAGGUGUUUCAAUUUUUACAAGUCUUCCUCCACUGCCUCGUAUCCAAUAUGGCAUACACAACUAGUAACAACUGUAACAAAAACAAAGAAAACAAUACUACAAAAAAAAAAAAAAACUAAGAUUAACUAAAAACUAAAUUAAAAGAUAGGCUAAAAUAUGAACAAGUAAAAGAAACAAUUAAAAAUAGUUAGUAAAAGAAAAGAAAAAUCACCAAACUUGUGAUGAAGAUCACCAAACUUGUGAUGAAGAUCACAAGUGUUUUGGAAAAGGUUAUAUCACUAUAAAGUUGGCACCAUCCCCGGCAAUGACGCCAUUUAAUUCGUGCCCAGCUAGUGUAUGCCUUGUUGAUUAGUGUUUAAUCAACUGGUGUACUAUGAUUUCGGUCCUCAGACAGGAGUAAUCAACAAAAUUUAUAAACCUAUUUCCUCAUAUACUAGGGUAGCAUUAGCUAGCAUAGCAUAGUGGCUCUAAGAUCGUCCACAGGGAUGGGUUUUCAAAUUACAACUGAUAUUAAUUCAAAAACUGAAUUGGUGCUUUUUUUUUUCAAGGUUAGCUUUAAAAGAAAACAUAAAUAUGUUUGAAAAGAUUGGUUUUAAGUGAAACAAAAAAUAAAGUAACUGAAAUUACUUAUAAAGAAAAUUGCUUCUUGGAGUUUUAGAUCACCAGGCUCAAGUUCGUCAUACAAAAAAGGAUAUUCUGGUCACUUGGAUCUUUUCCUCGCAUUGGGGAUUUAACAUAUAGUUAUUUCCCGAACCGGUGUGGUACAGAUGCUUCCCCUUAAUGGUUUCAAACACUAAAUCCCUAUCACUGAAUCAUCUUGCAAUGGUUCAUACCUCUCACCUAGUAUUGGCCAUUCAGGGUGAUCCUUAACCUUGGAUUACCCGUCAAAAGCUCACAAGAGAUAACUAAUGGAUGUCUCUUGGGAGUCCAAAAGCUUACCAAGUGUUGGCUAUUCUAGAUAAUCCUACCUUUAAACCACCUCCUAAAAGCUCGCAAGAGAUAAACUAGUGUAUCUCAAUGGACGGAGACCACUUGCCUUACCAAGUGUUGGCCUAGGUGAUUUUAAGGGAUUUUAAGUUAACUAAAAAGAUAAAAACCAUUAACGAGUCACACUUUCUCUUCAUUAAAAACUAAAAUAACAAAACUUCCACUUUUGCAUUUGGAACCUUACCUAGCUUCCUUCACUCCAAGAAAUAAAAAGCCUAGCCACUCAUCCUUUGGGAAAACAUCCUCAGAGUUCAAUUUUCUAGAAAUAAAAAUAACGAGAAAACAAAAUGAGAAGGUAAGGCAGAGCAAAGCUCUAUGUAUUACUUUCUGAAAAACUAUACAAAGUGUUGUCUCCGAGAAAAACUCCUGAGAGAUCCUUUUAAAAGAAAAAUUACAAUAGAUAUUAUAUAGAGAGGCUAUUCACCCCUCCUACUAACUUCCCAACCAAGAAAACUUGUCAUUGGUGGGUUACAAGGAGAAAAUAAGGAUUUACACACAAAUAUCUGAAGAUAAAUAUCAAAUGGAGUCGGUGAGCAAAUAUCUCAAAUUACAGGUGGAUUUCACAAGUUCAAAUGCAACUUGCGAAAAUUUCGCAAGUUGAAAUAAUCCAUUUCGCAAGUUGCGUAAUUGUCCUAUAACUUAUUAGCUCUAUGUCGUGCAGUGAUUCCUUUCUCUUCCUAUUUCGGAAGUUGCGAAAAUUUCGCAAGUUGGAUUCCAUAACUUGCGAAAUUGCUGGAUGGUUGAUUUCUUCUGUGUUUUUCUUCCUUGCAUCCUCAUUUGAUUUUGGCAAAGGGUUAUGAAGCUCCAAAGCUUAGUUUUUGCAGGAAUUUGAGCUUCAACUUGCUUUGCCAUGAACUAUACAAAGAUUUCCCUCAUUCUUAGAUUGAUUUGGUGAUAAAAAAGCUAUCAAAAACACCAAAACUUAACAUAAUUUGAUUAAAAACGAUUGCAAGGGUCCUUAACAUGCCAAUUGAGUUAAAAGGUAAUAACUACUACUCAAAAAUGUUUAAAAGAGUUAAUUACAAGCUAUAAAAUAACACUUUUUGAGUAGUAAUCACUCAAGCAAGGAGCAGUGAUCAACCCACCAAAGUGGGCUUGAGAGGUAAUGAAUUUUCAGCCAAGAUUCUUUCACAUAAAUUUGAUUUGGAAGUCUUUUAAAACCAAACCUCUUUGAGAUUUACUCCUAUGUAUACCUCCUUAUAAUCCCUUAAGGGUUAGAGAUCGAAAAGAGAUCAUAGAGAGUUUAAAGAGAUUUCAAAAUGGAGUCUCCUAGAGUGAAAGCCUAAAGGGCCACAACAUUCAUAAUCUCUCAUUCAAGGAUUUGAUAUUUGAAUCUUGGUUUGAAGACCUUCAUCCCUUCAACAAGGCUGAAGUGUAUUCAUUGGAGCAAUCAAAGGUUGCUACAUCGUAGAUGUGGUUCAAGUUGUAGGUACUGAAGAGCAAGUCUUUAGGGUAAAGGAGCCAGGUAAAUCUGUGUAACUUGAUUUCAUAUAAUGGAUUUAGAUUAGUGGGUCUUAGACGUCAUGGUUUUUUAUCUCCAUAGUUAAUGUGGGGGGUUUUCCAUGUAAAAAUUCGAUGCCCAUUGCAUAUCUGUUAAUGUCAUUACUAUAUCUUUGAAUACUUGAUUAUCAUUGUUAUCCCUAACAACUUGUAGGUUAUCCCUAAUAGAUUAAAACUAUAUUUUAAUUCUUAAAGAUUUCAAGUAUAAUUCAUUUGGUUAUACAAGGUAUCCUUGGGAUCUCUUAGGAUAAAAUUUGAGGAUAAUAUAUAUAAAUAUUUAUUUUAAAUUUUAAAAACACCCAUUCAUCCCCCCUUUGGGUGUUCCCUAUUGGACUUUUGAUUUUUUAUGGGUGAUCCUAAAUUAAGGAAUUACUAAGAGGUUGUGAUUUUGGUAGUAUUUAAUGGAAUAAAUUCUUAUGAAGUUUUCAUGAGAGUAUUUAUUAAAUUGGAAAGGUGCAAGGACAAGGAGAGUAAAUUUGUGAGGAAUUUUAAAUAUGAGAGAAAAAUUUCCUUUAGUAGAUAAGGUGCUCUCAAGAUUUUCAAAAUCUCAUAAAUUGUUAAUUUCCUUAUUUCACUAGAGUUUCCAAUUUGGAAAUUUUCAUUAGAGAUAAUUUAUCAUUAAAAGAUUAUUACCAAAAGGCUUAGUAAUUUGAUGGAAAUAAAUUUUUUUUGAAACAUUUCCAAGAUAAAAUAUUUAUUAAUUGGAUUUGUGUAAGAGAAAGAGAAUUCAUUCUCUUAUUACACUAGGUUUCCAAUUAUGAAAUAAAUAUUUUUGGAAAUUCUCAAAAAUAGAUAAUUUAUUCAUCAAAGUAAUUACUAAGGAUUUAAAAUGUUCUUAUCUAUCUUAAAAUAUUAAGUGGGAGAGGGUUCUAAGCAAGCCCACGACCUCCAUUGUCAAGCCCAUUUUGAUUUGGGUUCAUCACCACCCUUUCAAGAUGUAUUGGAAAAAAGAACUAGAUUGUGUAAUGAUGCACUAAAAAAGAAUACAUGCCUAAAAUAUAUGAUCCUUUCUUGAGUAGACCAUAUCAUGGAACAAUAAAAAAAAUGUUUUCACCUUCAAUCAUAAAUGACACUUCUAGAGAAAAUUAUAUUAGACAUGUUUGCAGUGGGAGUGACCACCGCUUCAAUGAGGUUCUUUACUUGGUGACAUUAAUAGUUCAAGAACAAUGGUUAUACACUUGACAUUGCAUAUGAAGUAGUAGAAUCACCCCCAUGUGGUCCUGUUUGCAUUGUCCAUAGGCCAAAUUUAGAAAGUAUGUUGAUCUUAGCUUUAUAUACCUUCAUGUUUAAGACAGGAAGAUCAAUUUGAGAGAGUCUCUAACUAGUAAUAAGGUCAUGAUAUGCCCCACGUAAGCUUGAUUCUUAUGAUACUAGGAUACUUUGCAAAAGGACAUGUAGUUUGAGAGCACUAGAUUUUUGCUAAAUUAAUUACCAAUUGCCUUGAAUGCACAAUUAUGUCAUAUGCAUGGUUAUUUUCUUUGUUACAUAUAUCAUAUUGGUUAUUUAUUAUCACUUUGGACAAAACCCAACUAAUCAUUUGGACUUAGUAUUAUUCCAGAUAUAAUAACUAUGUACUUGCAUAGAAGCUAGUUUAAGUAGAGCUAGCUAAUCCUUAUGAAUAACCUAGCAAAAAAAAAUAGUGGCGUAUUAGAGGUGGUAUUAGAAGAGUUAGAAGACCAAGUGUUUAAUACUUUAUCUUUAGAUAAUGUGUUGCAAUAACAACAUGUGUCUAUUAGUAGGGACUUUGAUAUUCUAUUUUUAGUCUACAAGGAUUAUUUGGUUAUAAGGGCAGGUUAACUUAAAGAAGCUACCCUUAGGACUAUUAUGAACAUCGGAUUUUAUAUGGUCUUGAGGACCUUGCCAGUUUCUUCAGGAUGGUUAAAGGGAUUCUUAAAGAACAUAGGGUUAUAUAAAUACUUUCUUACCAAAUCAAGAUGACCCUUUUGGGCUAGAUUAAGUGACCCAAGCCUUGAUAGGCUCAAGUCACUUAAGCCCAGUGGACAAUGCUAUAAAUACCCCCUUAUUCAAUUAGUCGUCUUCCACUUUUAGAAAGAAAAAGAGAGCUAAAGCUUUUUUCUUUCCAUUACCCAUAGUUUGGAAUGCCAAGAUCGUGGUUCAAGUCUUCGGAUGAAAGAUCUUGGGUGUAUGAGACCUUUAAACUUUUUCUUUUCCACGUGGAAUUGAUCUAGGAACAUCCAGAUCCAAGUAUGAGUACUACAUAUCUAGAUCUAUAAUUAAUGAUGAUUUUUAUUGCCAUUUUACUCACUAUGAUAGAUUUAAAGAUGCCUAGGGAUAGAUGCAUGCACCCCACAAGAUCUAGGGACAAGGAAUAGAGAUAUUUAGGUUUCCCAACACUAUCACCAAUAACACACUAAGAGCUAUAAAUUAUGCACUCAGUGAAAUAUGAUGAGAAUAGCACCCUCUAAGGGUGAUAAACAAUAUUUUACACUUAGAGAGCACUUCAAUAGCGCAACUUUAAGUGAUAGUGUAGAUUGCAUGUUUAGGAAGCCACCAUAUUACACACUUAAAGAACUCUUCUCAAAUUGCGCUUGGUUAAAUAGUGCACAUUUCUUAGGCAUCCAACAAUGGCACACCCAACAUAGGAGAACCCUUUGUAGGUUGUGCACUCUAAAGGCAUCAAUCCACAUUGUACACUUGGAGAAGUGCACUUAAAGUGUACACCAUUGAGUAAAGGUUUAGAUUGCUCACCUAAGAGUUAGGCUACAUAGUGUACCUCCUAUUAUGCACUAGCAGAACCUCUAUCAAGCUAUGCACCAUUCAAGCGCACCUUAUCCCAACAUGUAUAGUGCUCACAAAACUAGUAACCAUUAGUGCAUUAUUCAUUCAACAAUAAAUCAAAUGCAUAUCAAUAUUCAUUAAUGCGCAAUUUUGUCACCAAUAACUUAGUACACUUCCCCUUAAUAAAGCGUCUUCUCUCACUUCAAGAAGUGCACCCCAUAACUCAUCUCACUACAUUAUCCUAAUAACUUCACCAGGCAUGAGCUCCAAAAAUUAAUCUUUCAUCAAGUUGCAUACCAAAUAGUGCCCCUAAGGCUCCUAAAUGUUCAAUCAUCACAUCAUUAUGUUGCCACACUAACAAAACAAGAAGUGCAACCACCAUUCAUACUACACUGACAUGUUUUGACUAAAACGACCACAUCGAUACAUUACUUAUUAGGAUAGAGCCUUUAAAAGGAUGAUGUGAUGUAAUAAACUUUUGGAUUUUAUUGUUUAUUAAAAAAAUUUCUAGUUCACUUUUAUAUAUCUUAAUUUCGCACAUUAUACUUUGUAAGAAAUCUAAUCUGUAUCUUUUGCAUUGUAUAUGACUUGGGUACAUUGGCAAUUGCAUGGAAGAUUCAAGUCACGAGUUCCUUGCAAGUAGAUGACUAAUUCACAACCAAUUUGUGGGCUUCCCAUUAGAAGUUCUAGUGCACUACCUCCUAAUUCAAGAGAUGGUUGGUCUUGGUCAUUAGGAUGGGUUUCUCAUGGUGAGUAUACUAGUACAUAUAGCUACACAUUGGAUAAGACAUACGACGAGUCAUGAUUUAAGGCAAUGAAGUAGUCGUGACGCUACCAAGAUUCUUUAUUAUAUUGUUUCUCACCCUUGAGAGAAUAUUAAGAUUGUGUUAAAGUUAGCAGUAGCUUUGACCAAUAGGUGAGAGAUCAUAAGUUGAUCAUAUAUUUCUUAUCGAUUAGGUCGCUAUUAGUGGAAGUUGGUAGCAAUAUGUAUCUUGAUAGAGGCACCAUGAUAUCUCAUGGAAUUGAAAUAGAGUGUCUCUUUGGUGAUCUUAAGGAGAUGCGUUCAUGUAAAUUAUGACUAUAAUAAUUCCUUAAGUGGAACUUGGCAUAUGAUCUUAGAGAACUAAGAUAUGUUAGUUGAAUACACAAUAGGAAGAUCUAUAACUCAAAGAUAUUAGAGCUAGUAUUGAGAUGUUGAUAACUUUCACCUUAUUAGAUUAUGGACACCAAUUUGUAGGGAGAUUGAAUGCAAUAGAUGGUAGAUCACGAACCCGAGCACUUAAUGUCUCAUUAUUAUUAACAUAAGGUAUUGGAGUGCAAUUGAAUCUCUAUAAUAGGAUGUUGAAUCAACUUUAGAAUUGGAUCCUAUAGGACCAUUCCAAUGGUCCUUGCUUGAGCUCUUAUACCUUAAUGACACAAUCUAUGAGGUUUGGAUUAACUUCAGGUCCACUUUUGUGCAUAAGGGCAUUUUGGUAAUUACAUAAGGUUACAUAACUGUUAGUGAAUAAAGUCUUUACAUUGAAUUAUUUAGGACCUACUUUUUACUAGAUUAAGUAGCGUAAGCCCUUGGUGGGCACAAGUCACUUAAGCUCAAGUAGGGAACCUUAUAAAUACCCCUUAGGGGUUAGGGUUUCCAUCACUUUUUGAAGUGAACCAUCUUCCACCAUCUUCCACCAUCUUGAGAGAAAGAAAAAACAAGAGCCAUAGCCUCCACCCUCCCUUCCUCCCCACUUGUUGUGUGUUAAGAUAAAAAAGAGCCAUCAAGUGGAAGAUAUUAUGUAUUUGAGACUCUAACAACUUUGAUUUUCAACUUCACUACAUGGACUAGAUUUAGGAACAUCAAAAUCUUAGAUAAUGUUUUCUAAUGCAUAUUUUGAAUCUUAUUAUUGUUUUAAAAAAUGUAAUUUGGUCUUUGUGCAUUGGAUUUAGCUUUGGAAGAUUUGCAUGUACUUAACUUGAUCCUAGAAUAGGAAAUGAAGAGAUUUGAGUUUCCCCACAUCACCUACAUGGGCAAGAGGUGUAGCUUAGAGGAAUAAAUUUGAAGUAAUAAAAAGGAGAGAGAUUUUUCACCUAUAAAUAUGGGAACUGUAGAUAGCAGUCUCUUUUACAGGGAGACUUUCUUAGAGGUGGCACCUUAUCUCUUAGAGAGGAGAUACAUUCUUUUCUUCUGGAGUAAAGGUGUUAAGAAAAUAAGUUAGUUUUUUUUUCUCUCUUUUCCUAUUCUUGUAAUUUAUUUUUUAUUUUAGUAAAGUUUUUUGUUUUUAAUUUCAAUAAAGAUUUUGGUCUUAAAUUUUAAUAAAGUUUUUUGUUUCAACUUGAUGUUUCUAUAUUCAUUUUUGUGUGUUUUCUUUUCUAUCCUUGUGUUUUUGUUUCUUAGUUUGUGAAGGGGACUAAGGUCUCGUAUCUUUGUUUGAUUCACCGUGAUUUAGCUAUCUAUGGUUGAAAAAGGCUCUACUAAGGUCUAUGGUCAUGAGAACCAAAAUGAGUCUCCACAUGCCAGAGUUAAUGGUUAUGAGGACCAAAAAGAGUAACCAUGGUCAUGAAUCUAUUAGAUAAGAACAAACUUUUUGACAUAAGAAUAAACCCAUCUAAAUCAUUUGAUUGAGAUGACCAAAAGGAGAAAUUAGAUCUAGUUGAGCCUUUGUUGAGGUGGUUGAUUCUCUUAUUAAAUAGAACCAUGUUUUUGGUGCAAAACCCUUUGCUCGAUCUAAAAGCCACAAGCACUAGGCUAGGACCAAGUGAGUGAGUUAAGCUUGAGAGAAGGAAUUUCAAUGACUUUCCUAUCUAGAAGCCUGUGUUCUUUUUCUUUUCAAUUUAUAGAUUUCCUACCUCUUCCCACCCAAAAAAAGGAAGAAAAAAAACACUAAAAAUAUGUUUCAUCCUACACACUCACACCCUAGGUUCCCACCUCUGAUAUUGUCAAUCCUAAGUUAUUUAUGGAGACGACCUAAUCUCUAUACAACUAUUAGUUCCUCUUUGUUUCUUUAGUUUAAGAACUAAAAGUUUCAAUUACUAAACUAGUUUAAAUUUUGCUUGAAUAAAAUUUUAUUAUCAAAUCAUUUUCACAUUAAUUUUAUUAUUUUAUUUUUAAACCUGCAAAUACAAACCCGAACCAAAUAACACUCUUGUUGUCACAAUACAUAGGAGUAGGACGAGAAAGAGAAACACCGAUAUCAACAAGUAACCAACAUUACAAAACUAUCUUUCUAGUGGUAGAUGGAAUAUUAUGAAACAAUAGUUUGUUUCUUGGUCUUUUUAAAACAAAAAGGCAAAUCCCCCAAUAAAAUAUACAAAAUCUAGUAAUAGACUUGAGAUCCUCAAGAUCACAAACCCAUAAUCAGUAUCAAAAUAUGCAUGCAACUCCAAAGAGGAAGUGGAUAGAAGUAGAAGGCUCCAAAAUAAAGUGCCCUUAAUAUACCAUAGAAUAUGAAGAACAACUACCCAAUGAACUAUAGUAAGGGAAGCAACAAAUUGAUUAACAAUGUGAAAAACAUAAAUAAUGUACCAUCAGAAAAAGAAUAAUGAACAUUAACUUCAAGAGGAGUAUCAAUAGUCUUAAUAUCAAUAAGGUGAGUACAAUUGAGAAUAUCAACUAUGUAUUUAAACUACGAGAGACGAAACUUUUUAGAGAAUAAGCUAUCUCAAUACCCAAAAAGCAUGGUAGAAAGCUCAAAUCCUUCAUAAGAAACUAAGUUUGAUUUCAACAUUACAAUUCCAUCAACAUCAUCACGUAUGAUAAUCAUGUCAUCAACAUGUAGAGAAAGUAGAAUACCCAUUGUAAAUUAGGUGGAAUUAAAAUGAAUGAAUGGUUUUUUCUAUUCUCUUUUUAUUUAGCAAAUCCUUUUGAUGCCCAUUGUAUGCUUCUUGUGUAGCUGGGGUAUAUAGUUUUCUUUAAAUUUUAUAAUAUGCUCUUCUAGCUUAUUAGAAAAUCAUAAAGAGGACCCCUUUGGCUUUUUUUUAUAUUAUUUUUCUAUACUUAAAUGACAAAAAUGAUGAUUGAGGUUUGGCUUUCUUGCUUAUAUAUACUCUUUUGGUAAAUGCUUCAAAGCAUAUUCAUGAUACUAUCCUCUUAAUCUUGAGGAUGAGGUAGCAAAACUUCACGAAGGUAUUUGCAAAGUAGAAUGUACAACUUCUAGAUUAAAUUUGUUUGGAACUGUUUAUAAAGUUUGGAUUUGAAAUUAUUAUGAACUAUUUUUAAUAAAGUAUGAUUUUUAGAAACCUUAUCAUGUAAUCUAUUUAUACAAAUAAUAAUAAUAAUAAUUUCGAUGUCUUCUACAAUAUGUUUUCACUUCUAUAUUGUCUAAAUAACAUUUUCUAAUAUGUUGUCAUAUGUAUGUUUUCUAAUAUUAAUUUCUUCCAAUAUUUUACUUGGGAAUGAAAAUGAAAUACUAUAAUAACAACAUUUAGUUUGAACUAAGUUAAUUUAAUUUUGUUUUUUUCCCUACACACACAUAUAUAGAGCCCAUCUAAAAAAGGAUUGAUUGGGGUUCAAUUCUUUGAACAAAUUUCAUCAUAAAUGAAAAUAUCCUAUUAAAAUUGUAACAAUGAAUCAAUUUAAUUAGUAUAAACAUAUUCUACUAAUUUAAUCAUGUAUAGUUUACUAUAAAAUAUUUCUAAUUCUUUCUUAUUUCAAACUAAAAAGUUAAUUUUUUAAUCAAAACUUUUUGUUUUUAAAAAUAAGUGAUACAAAAGGUUGACAAUUUUUUUUUAAAAAAAAAAAACAUAGAAGAAGAAUAAAUUUAUGAUAUAUGAAAUAUGUAUAUAUCUCAACUUAGAAUUAUUGUAUUCUAUGUAAAGAGGAUAUAUAAAGAGACUGGGUCAAUAAAUUAUCUUAUUGAAUAUUUGAUUGAACAUGAUAUAUGGUAAUUAAUGGAUGAGAUCAUUUACCCUAUCCUAAAGCUAACCAAUCCUAGGAUAAGAUAUGUUAUCUCAUCUCUUAUCUCAUCCAAUAUUAUGUAUAUCAAGUCAAGUAAUACAAUUGAGUUGCAUGGGAUGUGGACUACUAUUACUUUAAGAAGAAAUAUAGAAGUGAUAUAAACUAUUAAUAAGUACCAUAUGGGUAACUCUGAGUGAUUCAAUUUAACAUCCACCUAUCUAAAUAUAUUUAUAAUAGAUCAUCUUGGCUUAUGAAAAUUACAAAGUUGAAACAAAAUUUGGAGCACAACUAGUAAUAUGAAAACAAAUCAAAAUUGGUAUCAUCGCUACAUGCUAGUUACCUAAUUAUAUUUCUAGAGCAUUCAAUUGCCAAAGUGAAAUCCCAUGAAAAGGGCCAAGAAAUGGUGAUUGAGUAAGAAGCUUUGAUGAGAUGUGUUGCAUUGUUGGACGAGAUCUCGGAUUAGAAUGUAUGCAUUUGAGUGCCAACCAAACCACAAGAACUACAUCUCUAGCAACUUGUUGAUCUUGAGGAGAUGGGAGACGUGAAUCUAACAUAUCAGUGAGCAUUAUGUUUUGAGUUGAUGAGGAAGACAAUAAGGUGAAAAGUUCUCCUGGAUGCUUUCCCAUCAUUGUCUCAAGCGCCACCACUCCAAAGCUGUAAACAUCACAUUUUUCUGUCACGACCAUAGUGUAGGCAAGCUCUGUUAAGAAUCAAAACAAGAAAAAAAUAUUACACAUAUGAGCAAGAAACAUUCAUUUAGUUUUCUCAUAUUAUCCAUACUUAUAAAACGUUGAGAAUAUUUCAUAGCAUUGCAUUGACAUUUGGCUACAUUUUAUUUCUAAAUUAUGAUGAAAUUAUGUUAAUUUUUACAACUUAUAUGAAACCUUCGAAAAACCAUUCUAAGGAGAUUUUAAAAAUAUUUGGGACUUACUAGGAAAAUGAAGACAACUAUUUAGAAAAUGCUUGAGAGACCAUUGAUAAGUAUUUUGUAUAUAAAGUUCUCUUACUCUCAAAUAUCUCAAACCAUUUUUUACAACAUUUUUUAAAUAACCAUUAAGAAUUUCCUUUCUUUUUUUUUUUUUUGGAACUUUAGACGAAAUAAUUAAAAAAUAUAUAUUUAAGAUAUUUCAACUUCUAUGAAGGCCCUUUGGGCCCAUAACAAAUAAUAUCUACAUAGUUACGAGUGGGUCAUUACAAAUUGUAUUAGAGUUAAUCUAUAACCAUUAUGUAGAAGUUUGUUUGGCUCUACAAUCUCAUGGGACAUAAAUAGGAUGUUGUGUUUGCAUAAAGGAUGAGUGUGUUAUCCCACUAUAGAUAUGAAACAAAAAGUUCUGACAUUAAAUAUGAAUGAGUUUCCCUUAACCUUAUAGACAAUUUUUAAAUUCAUGUGGGCUCCUUGGACCCAAAGUGAAGAAUAUCUAUAUAGUUGGGAGCUAUUAUUUAGUUUGCAUGAGAAAUAUAAUGAAAAAUAAUAUAUUAAAGAUUUAGAAGAAUUUAUUCACUUUCAAGCUCUUCAUAAUUUUGAAAUAAGUAAUAAUAGUAGAAAAAGUUUGGUUUGGCUAGUAAUAAUAUUUCCUUUCCUUUCAUCCAACAUAAUUUGUGACUUAUAUGAAGUAUAUAAUAAGAAGUAUGAUUGUACUAAAUACUUCGAAUCUCAAAGAUAACAAACUUAUUAAAACGAAAACAACCAAAAGUUCAAAAGAUAUAUCGAAAGAGUAAAAGCUGAAAGAAAAACUGGUGUGUACUUACCUGGUGCUAUGUAACCAUAAGUGCCUGAAAGAAGGGUUUGAUUAGAUGAAUCAGGAUGUAGCAGUCUAGAGGUGCCAAAAUCCGAUAGAAAAGCAUCCAAUUUGGAGUCCAAAAGAAUAUUAUUGCUUGAUAUGUCCCUAUGAAUAAUGGGUGGAGUACAAUCAUGAUGCAUGUAGCAUACGGCAUGGACUAUGCUUUUAACCACAUUCACCCUUUUAAUCCAAUCCAAUUCCAAAGCUUCAACUUCAUUACUCAAUACACAAUACAAGCUUCCUCUUCCCAUGUAAUUGUAAAUCAAAAACAUGCAUCUUUUGUGUAGACAAUAGCCUUGAAGUUUUACAAUAUUUCGAUGGCGUAUCUUUGAUAAUAUUUGCACCUCAUUUUGAAAACUUUUCAAGUAUGUUGCCUCAUCUGUUUCCCAUCCAUGAAGCUUUUUCAGGGCUACCACAUUGCCUGUAGGCAAUUGAGCCUUGUAAACACUGCCAUAGCCUCCUGUACCUAUGCAAUAUUUGAUGUCAAAGUCUUCUGUUGCUUUAAUGAUAUCUUCAUAGGCAAUCUUCCCAUCAUAGUUCCAUACUGAAAAUAUAUCUCCAUUUUUUGUUGGUAUUUCCUUGGUUUGAAUUUUUCUUGUCUUCCGUGAAAGCAGGAGAAACCCAAGGACCACAAAAAAAAAGAAACAAGGUUGUAGACAAAGAAAUAACAAUGAUGCGUGUGGUUUUGUAUUCUUCUUUGCAAUGAGGCAAGCCUUUGAUGUCACCACAUAAACCUUUGUUAUUGUCAAAUGAACCUUGGGAAAAUUUAGACUGCAAUUCAAAGGGUAUAUGACCCUCUAAAUCAUUGUAUGAUAAAUCAAGUGAUGGCCUUAUGUGGUCAUAUAUUAGAAGAGUAGGAAUGGAACCAGAGAGUUUAUUGUGGGAGAGAUUCAAGUAUACUAAGCGCUUCAAGUUUUGGACUUGGGAAGGUAUCUUUCCAUGGAUCAAGUUGUCACUAAGGUCGAGUCUAGUUAGAUUAUUCAAAUUUCCUAUCGAAGAAGGGAUCUGACCACUGAUUUGAUUUCCACUAAUGUUGAACUCAUGUAAAUGAAUGAGAUAACCCAAAGAUGAAGGAAUAACACCGGUAAGAUUGUUGUGAUCCAAUCUAAGAUGGAUUAGAUUCUUCAGAUUCCAAAUUAUAGGAGGGAUAGAACCAUUGAUUUGAUUAUAACAAAGAUACAGAUCUGUCAAAUUGGUAAGAUGACCAAAUGACAAGGGGAUGCCACCCUGGAUUUGAUUGUUGAAGAGAUGUAAAUAAGUCAAAUUGGUAAGAUGACCCAAAGAGGAAGGAAUAGCACCGAUGAGGGAGUUAUGACUAAGGCACAAUUGAACCAAAUUCUUUAAAUUUCCGAUUUCAGAAGGGAUGGAACCGUUAAUUCGAUUGAAAUUAAGGAAUAAGUAUUCCAGAUUGCUUAAAUUGGCAAGGGGGGAAGGGAUGACACCAGAAAGAGAGUUAGAAACCAAAUACAAAUGAGUAAGAUUCUUCAAAUUCCCAAUUUGGGAAGGAAUAGAACCAUUGAUUUCAUUGAUGCUAAGGUCUAAAUAUUUCAGAUUCUUCAAAUAUCCAAGAGAGGGAGGGAUGACACCAGAGAGCCCAUAGUUAAAACUCAAAUCCAAAUGAAUAAGAUUCUUCAAAUAUCCAAGAGAGGAAGGGAUGACACCAGAGAGAUUGUUAUAAGCCAAAUCCAAUUCCUCUAAUAGAGUGAGGUUACCCAGUGAAACAGGUAGCUCACCAUAAACAUCACAUUCAGAUAUACGGAGGUAAGUGAGUUUUGUAAGCAUACCUAUCUCAUCUGGGAUGCGACCAUAGAUGGAAGAAUGGCUAACGUAGAGAUGGAGGAGGCUGGGAAAUGAAGAAAACUUCAACUUGCUAAGCUCAACCAUUUUACCAUCGAUAUAUGAAUAGGUAAUUCGAACGACAUGUCCCUCCGUAUUGCAGGUGAUGCCUUCCCAUGUGCAGUGAUGAGAAGUCGUGUUUUCCAUGUACCACCACCAAGUGGAGUUGCGGAGAGCCUCGGCCUCAGCCUCCACCUGUGCCUCCGUUGUAGCAGCAGCAGCAGGUGGUGAUGAGAUCAAGAGCAUGUUAUAUAAUAACAAUACCAUUGAAACCACCAACGCCCUACAAGUAAUGGAACACCACUCCAUUUUUGCUUGUUUUCGAUUAAUAUUGCUUUGCCCCAGUUUCAGCCUUUAUUAACUCGUGUUUCAGCGGCUGCAACUCAAGCCAGUCAAAGAAGUCGGCUGGAAAUUCAGCGGAAAUGAAGAUAAGAUCAAGAGCAUGUCAUAUAAUAACAAUACCAUUGAAACCAACCAACGCCCUACCAGUAAUGAAACACCACUCCAUUUUUUCUUGUUUUCGAUUAAUAUUGCUUUGCCCCAGUUUCAGCCUUUAUAACUCGUGUUUCAGCGGCUGCAACUCAAGCAAGUCAAAGAAGUCGGCUGCAACUCACGCAAGUCAAAGAAGUCAGCUGGAAAUUCAGCGGAAAUGAAGAUAAUUAAUAUUUUUGAAAUUUUAAAAUAAAAACUCAAACGAUAAUGAUAUUAUAAAAAAAUAAUAUUCACAAUUUUUUUUUAAAUUAAUUUUAGGAAAUAAUAAAACCUCACCUGUAUUUAGAAAAUGAUAUAAUAUUUUCUAACUCUAAAUAUAUGUAUUAUAAAAAUAUUACAAAUUUUAACGUUAUGUCAAUCAUUGCAAAAUAAAUGUUUUAUUUACCUUAUUAAUUUCAUUAAUUCUAAAAAGGAAAUCAAGGCAAAUUCUAUUUUAUCUUUUCUUCUUUUGUCUUCAAAUCAUACCUACUUUACAGGUGUUGAGCAAACUACAUAAAGUCAACCAAGUCUUCGUGGGCUCAUGUGGCUGGAAACUAGGUGGAUGAAGUAUGAAUAGAGCAAAAAUGUAUACCUAAAAAAAUAAAAAACUUCUAUAAGAAAAUGGUAGAAAUCUUGUACUGCAAUGAUACCUGAUCAACAACUCAAAUAAAAAUAAAAAUAAAAAAUUAAUUAACUUUUAGAAACUAAAUCAAAUUUUCAUCUUGAAAAAUUCCCACUUCAGUUUUACAACCACUUAAACAACAUUCCGUAGUAUGAUUUCACCAAUAGUUAUCAUGUAAGUAUAUAUAUAUAUAUAUAUAUAUGAUUGAGUGGGAAAUAUAAUUGAAAGUGAGAGUUUACAUGCGUUCUAAAUUAUAUGCAUUGCAUAAAAUACAAACUUUUCAACUCUUUUUAAUUUUUUUUAUUUUAUAAAUAUUUUUUUAAUGUAAUAUGUAACUUGAUAAAUAAGAGAACAAAAAAUGAUGAAAGUCAUAUAUAUUAAAAAUAAUAAAAAUAUAAAAUAAUUGAGGGGGAAAUACAAUUGAAAGUGAGAGUUUGCAUGUGUUUCAAUUAUAUGAAUUACACAAAGUACAAACAUUUCAAUUUUUUUAAAAAAAUUUAUUUAUUAUUUUAGAAAUAUUUUUUUAAUGUAAUAUGCAUGGUUUUAAAAACUAGAUGAGACCGUCGAUCGGUCACCGUUUCUAUCCGAUUCACACCUUUGAGUUGGACAGUUUUUGAAUCGCCUUGAGACUGAUGAACCGAUUGACCUGACCGAUUUUGGACAAAAAGAACGGUUCAAAAAAUAUAUAUCAAUCUCAAAACACUAUCACCAUGAUGACGCCAUUCUGACGGUCCUAACAUUGACUCUUCCCAUAAGUAAUAAUUCAAUAAAUUGUUUUAAAGUUUUGAUAUAGAAAUGUCAAAGUGACUAAAUUUGUGGCUCUAAAUUAAUAAUUUUGUGAAUUUUAAAUUUAGUUAUUAAAUAAGUUAAAAAAAAAUCUUGAUAUUUGAAUUGAUUAUCUUUAAAGAGAAAAACUUUAAAAUAUCCAUUAUAUACAUAUAAAUAUGUUAUUGAAUGAAAAUACCAAUUAUAUACAUAGAAGUUUGUCAUUGAUUGAAAAUAAGAUAUGUGAUAGAGAAAAGUUAUUUUUUUGGUAUCAUAAUUAAAUUUAAAAAAUAAAAUAAAAUAGUGAAUUAAUAAUUCAAUAACAUAUCAAUAUUUUAAUUUUAACAUUUCAUAUCUGUGGUUAAAUAUGAAUUAUUAAAUAAAAAUGUCAUAAAAUAAUAUUUGAAUAUACAAACCCAAGAUUAUGAGUCUUUCACUCACAUUUUUAUAUUUUUUUUUAUAUUUUAUAUUUUUAUUUUUAUUUAUUUUAUUUUUUUAUUUCCAUUAUUAUUUAUUUUCAUUUUACAAUUGUAAUUUUUUUAACUUUAUGGUUUCUAAAAUUAUAAUUUUAAUUCAAAUAAAUGAAAAUAUUAUGAUUUUAAAUAAAUUUAUGAAAAUAUUGUGUUACUCAUAAUUUAUCAUUUUUAUUUUUAAAAUUAUUUUUAAUUUUAAUAAUAUAUAAAAAUAUAUAUUUAUGACGUCACCGGUUCAAUGCCGAUCCGACUAGUGAACCGGUAACUUUUUCAUUUCAAUGAUCGAUUCGAUUAUGAAAACAUUGGUAAUAUAUCAAAGAAGAUAAAAAUCAUUUAAAUAUAUUCUAGCCUUUUACCCAUCAUUCUCUAAAAAAAGAAUGAAAUGUUGAAGAUUUUUGUAACUUGACAUGCAGAAGAUAAAUUUAUAUUUUUUGAUAUAAAAAAAUUAUAAAAAUUGAAAAAUAAAAUUAGGGACAUUGAUCAUAUAAUACAAUGGAUGUCAUUAGCAAAUUCUAAUAAGAAGGUAAAAAAAUUAUACCCUUUGUAAGUGCAUUUUUAAUUUAAGUUGAUAAUUUUAUCUUUUUUAUUCACAUGUAGGACAAUUUAUAUUACUAUAUCAUAUACUUCAUCAAAGAUUUAAUGUUUCUAAUAAUUAAUCAAGGAUGAAAAGGGUUUUUUUUUUUUUUUUUUUUUUUUUUUACAUAUAACGAAAACUAAAAUUAUUUCUUGUUUUUAUUUUUUUUACAUAAUAGCAAAUAUUUCUUAUUUUUUAUUUUAAUAGUAAUAAAUAAUAAAAUUAGAAUUAUUAAACAUUUUAAUAUAAUUAUAAACUAAAACAUACUACAUAACACAUUAAAACCAUCAACGCAUUAUUUGAUCAUUAUCUUAAUUACAUGGUUAGCCGAGAUUGUUGAGGGUUCGCAUUACCGGGACCACUGCAACUGCCUGAUGGACGCGCCUCCUCAAUUGAAGAUUAUGCUUCCUUUCUUCGACCUGCAAAAGAUGUUCGGAUAGGGCGUCCGGACACACCCUCCGAUGAUUUUGUUAGUUUUUCUCUCUUAACACUUUGAUAUUCUCUCUUGGGCCCUCCUCCUUAGGAAAAAUGCUUACCUUCUUUUAUUGUGUGGGGGCCUUUUAGAGUGCUAGGAGCUUUGUCCCUUUUAAUGGUGGGAAGACUUUUUGGCUUGUCAUGAUGGUGCUUAGAUGGUGGCAGAGCCAUCAUUAUCCUGCAGGUGGCUGUAAGAGAUUAUUGGGGGGAUGACUUGUCGUCAUCCUUGUCUUUUCAUCCUGCAGGCGGUGCAGGGCAGGUCGUGGCAAAUUGCCUGAAGUGACCUAGAAGGGUCCUGUCAAGCUAUUGAGUCUGCUUUUAGUAGUAUGAAUAAUGAUGGCCCGUGAAACGCGAUCAAGACUUUUGUCUAAGACGCUAGCCACUGAGUCCAGACAGGACAUCCGGACAAGGGAGGUGUGGAUGGCAUGCCCGUCCCAUGGUCAUCUGGAUGGAGGGUUGGACGCGCCACGUGUCCAAUGGAGGAGUGCUCUUAUGGUGGGAUAUUAGAGUAUGGGAGGAUUCUCACCUCCAUCAUUGCCAGAGUCAUAUGCUGCCAUGGUGCUUAUGCUGCUUUCACUGCACACAAGUUAUUUUGAGUUUCUAAUUAACCUUAACAGAACAAUAAAAAUUAGACUCCAAAAGAAUCAAGUGAUUAAAUUAAGUUAAAUACACACCUCUUUUAUCCACCAAAAGCAAACCUAAAUUAAAAGAUGAAAAAAAAAUAAAAAAUCAAGGAGCUGAAGUACUUACUAAGAUAAUUGGAAAUGGGUCACGAAGCUUAAGAAAAAUUUAAAAAUUAGAAAUUUAAUUCCUUCUCCAAAGCACUGCUGACAAAGGAGAGAGAACUUUAAUGUUAGCACUGAUUCAUUCCCAAUUGGUGUCUCAGCUGAUUCAUGUCCUCUCAAUGGUCCCUGAUAAUGGUACCAUUUGAUUUGUGUCCAGUUGGUGUUCCUUGAUUGUGGUCCUCAAAAGGAAGUAAUCAACAAAAUUUAUAACCUAUAUCACCAUGCAUUAGGAUAGUCUUAGCUAAUAUAGCAUAGUGGCUCUAGGAUCGUUCACUAGGAAGGGUUUUCAACUUACAACUGAUACCAAUUCAAAGUUGAAUUGGUACUUUUUCAUUUCAAGGUUAGCUUAAGAAGAAAACAUAAACUUUGGUUGAAAAAGGUUUUGUUUUAAGCUAACUAAAAAGAAAGUAAUGGAAAUUACUUAUGAAAGAAAGCAUUCCUUGGAGUUUUAGGUUCAAAGAGGAGGCUCCUCAUGCAAAAACAGAGCUCCGAUCACUUGAAUCUUUUCGUCGCAUUAGAGAAUUAACAUAUAGUUAAUUCUCUAACCGGUGUUGUACAGAUGUUUCCCUUUAAUGGAUUUCAGCACUAAUUCCCUCUCACUGAUGCAACUUGCAAUGGCUCAUGCCUCUCACCUAGCAUUUGCCAUUCAAGGUGAUCAUUAACCUUGGACUUCCCUUCUCAAGCUCCAAGAGAUAACUAAUGGAUGUCUCCUUAGAGUCCAAAAGCUUACUAAGUGUUGGCAAUUCUAGAAAAUCCUACCUUCAAGUCACCUCCCAAAAGCUCGCAAGAGAUAAACUAGUGCAUCUCCAUGGAUGGAGAUCACUUGCCUUACCAAGUGUUGGCUCAGGUGAAUUGAAGGUGUUUUAAGUUGACUAAAAACAUAGAAAUCAUUAAUGGGUCACACUUUCUCUUCAUUAAUGGCUGAAACAACAAAACUACCAAUUCUUGCAUUUGGGGCCUUACCUGGCAACCUUAGCUCCAAGGAACUAAAAGCCUAGCCACUCAUUCUCUGAGGAAACAUCCUCAGAGCUUGUUUGGCUAGUAAGAAAAAUUAAAUAAUAUACAAUACAAUCAAAACGAGAAGGUAAGGCAGAGCAAAGGCUCUGUAUUUUACUUCCUUGCAAAACUAUACAAAGGAUGUCUGAGAACAAGCUCCCGACCUCUUGUAAUGGAAAUUACAAACAAUAUAUAUGAGGGUAUUUACCCUUUGUUCUUGCUUGAUAACUAAGGAAUCCUAUGAUAGGUGGAUUACAAGGAGAGUUUGGGGAUUUAGACAUCAAAUAUCUAAAGCAAAAAAAAAAUCUAAAAAUGUCGCAAAUAUCGGGAAGCUUCAAGAGAAUUUCGCAGCCGUGCAAGAUGGCUGCAAAAUUUCGCAGCAUGAAGGACACCAUUUCGCAGCCAAAGGCUGAUUUCGCAGCCAUCCUCUUGUGAUUUCGCAGUCCGCGAAAUUGGCCUCAACUUGGAGUGAUCGGCUUCCAAUGGCUCUAACUCCUUCAUUUCAACUCCGAAUCACGUACCAUUUGAAGCGUUGGAUUUCUGACUUCCCGAGCUUCGAAACGACAUAUAGUAUACAUAAUUUGAGCUCCAUGAAGUGCUCCAAAAGUGGCUGACAGAGACUGUCCUCUAGAAUGUUUCAUGGUAGAUUUCUCUCUUUGCUUUCCCUCCUUGCAUUCUGGAUUUGCUUAUGGAAAAGGACUCUAAAGCUUCAAAGCUUUGGUUCUUCAUGUUUUUAAGCUUUCCAUUGCUUUGCCAUGGAUUCCAAAGAACUCUCCUCAAACUCGGAUUGCUUUGGUGAUCAAAUUACUAACAAAAACACCAAAACUUACACAAUUUGAUUAGAAAUGAUUGCAAAGGUCCUUAAUAUGUUAAUUGGGCUAAAAGGUAAUAACUACUACUCAAAAGUGUUUAAAAGAGUUAAUUACAAGCUAUCAAAUAGCACCUUUGAGUAGUAAUCAAGCACAAAAAGGGAUCUUCGUGAUGCUAUAUUUUACACCGCACAUGCUUGUGUCUUCUAUACCUUCCAAUUUGCAAAUAACUCUGCCUCUUCUAAUCCACAUCAAUCAAUGGUUUCCUUCUCAUAUUUCCAAUUGAUUGAUCUGAUCUGAUUUUCAAAGUGGGUACAUGCAUCUUCUUUCUAACAUGGAGAUUACUUGCCAAGCAAUUGGCUGCGCGCAUUAAUCAUUUCCCAUGAUAUCUAGUUGCAUAAAGAAAAGUAAGCUCUCAAGCCUUUUGCUAAUUGAUUAAAAUCAUAGUGAAGAAGACAAUAAUUACAUAAUAAUCAAAUACUGUUCACAGUGAAUGAGACAUGAAAGCUCUAAGCAUUUUCAAAAUUCUUCUACUAAGUGAACAACCAAAUUGUAUCCAGUGUAAAGGUCAAAUCAUCUUCAAGUAACUUGCCUGCUUCUCAUGGUGCAUUAUCUAAAAAUCUAAAAAUCUUGUGACGAAUGACUAAGGCUUCCAAGAAUAUUUGAUGUAUUGAGCCAACAAAUAUUAGACAUAGAAUCGACACACAUAAGUAUUGUAGUCCUUUGUCCUACUAAAAAGAAUGAAUAAAUUAUUAGAUCAAUUAUUAGUGUCUGAAUACUGUAAUUUAAGUGUUAUAUUCUUGCUUACUUCACCACAAUAUUAAAGAAGAUUUGACAUUAAAAAAAAGUAAUAAUUAUUCAUAUUCAUGCCAUGAACAAGGACCUCUUUUAUGUUAUGGAUAUAUAAAAUAUAUUAACAAUCCAUUAUGCUAUGUUUGAGAGCUCACACACAAAACAAAGUAUUGGAAUAAAUUAAUAUAAAUUCAGGACUGAUAGCUCCUAUCCUACUUCCGCCCUUUUUAUGAAAGCAAUUUCCCAUGCUUGGGCCAAACUUGUGAUCGGGAGGAGCAAAUUGGGGUGGGUAAGCAUAAUUGAUAUUUAUUCUUGCCCAAUUUUCCCCUCAAUUUCUGUAAUUCGAUUAUAACAAGCUAAAUUAGGUAUCAAUAAUUACUAUGAGAAAAAAAAAUGGGAUUAAAGGUAUUUCUCUUCUUAGCAAUCAUACAUUACAAAGAGAAUCAAGAUUGCUUACCUAUCAAUUUUCUUUUCUUCUACAACAAGUUAAAAUUAUAGAAUAAAAUAAAUUAAUAAAAUGAAAAUACUAGCAACCAAACUAGUAAAAAAUUUGUUGGACCUUCAAAGAGAUGAUGAAGAGAAUACUAAAAAUGAUGAAAAUAUUGUUGGCAACAACAAUAAGAGUAUAGUACUGAUGUGACAACAAUAAUGACAAAGAUUACUAUGACAUUAGAGGGAAAGAGUACCCAUGAUGCGAAUCAUUCAUAGAGAUGUGAACAACGAUAGUGAUAGAGAUGACUAUGAUACUAGAGCUAUAAUUGGAGUGAAGCUAAGAUAAGUUCCUCACAAGCGUUGAGGUUCAUUGAUAAGAAUUAUCACAUCAAUUUCUUGUCUUAAGGAUGCUCAUCUUUGCUAUAGUUUUUUUUUUUUUUUUAAUCUUUGAAUUUUGGGAUAAUUUUGUUUUGGACCCAGCUAGGCCCAAAAAUUAAGUAUUGGUCCAUAUAAGUUCACCAUUUAAGCCCAAGACCCAAAGGAAGUGUGAAAAUCGAGAAGAAGGAUAUGAAUUUUUUAUCUUUCUGAAAAUGACCUUUGUUGACUAUGAAAAAAGAAUUUAGAAAAAUCCACUCUGAAAUUCUAUUUAUGUUACCCUAAUUUUACUCUCUUCGACAUUUCAUUUCAGCCCUAGAUAGUGGCAUUUUUCAUCUCUUCCAAUUUCCUCCCUCGCUUCCAUUUCAUUUGAGGCCUAAACAUUGCCCUAAUCUCUGAGGCGAUUUCCUUAUCUCUCAAUUUCGUCUCUCCCAACCAUUUGAUUUCAAGCCAGUGGCAUUUGUCAUCUCUACUGAUACAUUACCCUCAUCAAUCCCCAUCGAUGUUACCCUUCGUGUCAUAGUAGUUGGAUAUUUGAGGUUAGUUGGUUCUCCAAUUUCAUUUUCUCUUGAUUUCGUCUCUCGACCAUUUGAUUUCAACCCAAAUACAUUGCCCUAAUUUCUCUCCUGAUUUCAAUUUGUUGUCUAUUGUUCUCUCGUCAAUCCCCACCGGCGUUGCCCUCUAUGUCAACCGUAGUUGGAUAUUUGAGGUUAGUAAGUUCUCUAAAUCUAGCCCUAGAUUUGUUUAAUCCUACAUUUUGUUUAAUUGUCAUUGGUAUGGGGAGAGAGAUUCUUGUUUUCUAUUAACCUUCAGUUUACGAAGUAAAUUUAGGGUGCUAUUAAUAUUUUUUGCAACCUAUCUGUGAAUGGAAAUAGUUUUUAUUUAUUAUAGUGUUUUUUUUUGCUGAGAUACAUAGGUGACUUAUGAAAUUUGGGUGCUUGGGUUUUCUCUUUUUACACUAAUGGAUUUUUUCGAUAGUUGAACCAAAUUCUAGGGAAGGAAUGUUUCAAAAUUAUGCACCAUCCCUACUUAAUUUUUGGAUAGUAGUAUUCAUUUGUACCCUGUUUUAUUGGUGAUACUACUAGUGGCCCCCGUUUUUUGUUCCAAGAUAAACAUGCUUAGUUGUUAUCUGCCUUUUAUGAGUGGUUAUGAAUUGUUCUCCUCAUGACAUAAAUUGAAAUUAUUAUGCGCCUAAAUAUAGUGAGUAUCUAAAUGGAAUUCGAUGAUGGCACCAAGAAAUAAAAUGUGCCAAUAUUCUUAAAAAAAUAAAAAUAAAAAUUAUUGACCAUGUUACCCUUCAACCUUGAGGACUAGGGUUAUGGAAUCAGAUUCAACCAACAUUGGCUCACACUUACCUCAAUAUGAGCAUGAACCUGUGUCCCGUGUGAAGGAAUAGAUAGCUUAUAUGACUUAUCAACACCAUUUUGUAACUACACAACACAACAAAUUUCACUGGCAGAAUUGGCAUUUCUUCAAUAAAAUAAACAGAAUAAUGCAAACUAAAACAAACUUCGAACAACUUUUAGAGACAAACAUGUGAAUAUGAAAAUAAAGUUCUAAUGAAAAAGGAAAUCAUACACUACUAUUUUCCUUAAGGAAAAGAAUUUUGUUCCAAACCUUCGGCUCAGGGUUUGAUUUCCACCUCAAAAAAAGUACUCAUCAAAUAGAAUGUAUAGAACAUCACUACAGUUCCCAUACCAAGUCAAUUUUUAAAUUUUUGUAAGCAUAAAUUGAAAUUAUAUGAACAGUAAAACUCCUAUGCAUUACAGUACCUAAAAACCGAAUCUCUUAUCUUCAUUCAUAAAAAAAAAGUGCUUACUCAAAAGUUGUAUUCAGAUCAUGAUUUAACUUCAAUUAUUUAGAGAUCUCCUUAUGGAAUAAAUAAAAGGGUUUGCUUGAACAAUGUCAAGUGUACCAAAUGGACUUGGUUUUCUUAAUCAAGUCUCUGAAUCAGUGUUAAGUUUGCUUUAAUAAUAGAAAGGUUUUUUUAUUCUGUUAGUAGUUCAGAGUCAUAUGCACACGAGCAUAGGUGUAAAUGAUGCUAUGAACAAGCUGUGGAACCUCAAAUUAGUUUAUCAAUGUAAGGUUGAAGACCUAGUCAGGUACUUCAUUCAUAGGAACAUGAAUUACUUUUAUGAAGAUUAUGGAGCAUAAGAUCACAUAUGUUAUUGAAUAAGCUAGGAUUUAGGGCUUGGUAGUUAAAAGUUGUAGUAGAAGUGAUAUUCUGAUGCCUAGGUUAAAUGUUUCAGUAGCUACUAUGUCUCAUGUAUAUGUUAUUAUUUGUUAUUAUUUGUUUCAAUCCAUUAUUCUGAUUUCAGGGAAUGUUUUAUUUUUUUUCAUGCUUGUCUUUAUGAAAAAAAAAAAAAAACUUUCAAAAGUGACCAACACUAAGUCAUGCUAGGGUGAGCAUUUCUUAGGGUCAAACAAGGCACCCACUCCACUUUAGCCCAUGUCGUUGCAAUUUUCAAUAUAAUAGAAAGAACACAAAAUACAAAAAAAGUAAAAAAAAUAUGUUUGUGUUAUUACCUAUUAUUACUUCAAUUGACUGUCAAUAGACUGCGUAAUUAAUAGUUAAAAGUUAUCCAUCUUAACUUCUCCAUUUCAGCAUGCUUAUUUGAUGUGGGUAGGCACCAUUAGUAUAGGGCCUUCCCUAUUAUUAUUCUCCUUCCUAAUACAUAAAGGGGUUUCAAUCAUACAAUUAAUGGGGUCUCAAACAUAAAGAAUUUUAACAAAUAUGGAUGUGACAAUUCAUCCCUAAACCUAAUAAAAAUACCCUCAGUCCUCCACAAACCUUGGUUCCAAUUCCAAAAACUGUACUAACCCAAAAACCACUUCAACAGAUGGAACAUAUUUUCAUGUUCAAAGGAGGUCAUUGGGCAUAUACCCCACUACCAGUUCUGCAGCGACUUUAGAUCUUCAAGGGAAUUCUUGCUUUUCAAAUUUGUUUGACCCAAAGGAAUUGUGGAGGAAUUACAUGAUCUUCACACAAUCUUUUCCCCCAAACUUCACCAUCUUUCUCCACGAACCAUACUCAAAUUCUCUCUUUGAAUUUAUUUUAUUGGACAAUAUACCCAGGUCAUAGCCACAUACACAUUUUAAAGAUAUCUAACAUGGCAACUUCAAUUGAUCGCAUAUAAAACCCAAAUUUUACAAACAUCUGCUAUGGAAAUUUGAAGGGUAUAUUUGUCUAAUAAUAUUCUAUAUCUUCUCUCUCAAUUAUGCAACUUAUAUGGCCCAAAGGUUAAUUUUUCAUUAGAAAUGAGUGUGUGAGUUCUUCAAAAGCAUUUGAAAUCCAUCAAGAUAGGUAGUCUUGUACACCCUUGUAUAGUUAACACAUUUGCCUUGUACACUUAGUGCAAAUGCCUUGUACAGUCAUAGAAAUUCCAUAUAGGUACAACUGAACAAGUGCUUAAGGGUGGGUAAACAAUGUUUCCAUUCUCAUGGAUCAAGGAAAAUGAGAAAAAAAAAUUACCUUAAUUUCGGUUCAUAUUCAUGAUUAGUGGAUGAUCUAAUAAAAUGAAUGAACAUGGUAGACAUCAAAUAAAAUGCAUGCAAUGGGUGUGUGGUCAAGCAAUGUGUGUGAAGAAUGUCCCCCAUGAUUGGAAAAAGUAAAUGAGUAAGUUCUUCAAAAUCAUUUCAAAUCCCUUAAGAUAGACACCCUUGUACACUUUUGUAUAGUUAGUACAUUUGCCUGGUACACUUUGUGUAAAUGCCUUGUAAAGUGGUAGAAAAUCGACAUAGCUACAAUUGAAAAUGAGAGCAUAUGGGUGGGGUAACCACAUUCCAAUGUCAUGGCUGAGCAAAAAUGGGGAAAAUGAAACCCAAUUUAGGUACCUAUUCAUCAUUACUACGGUAGCUCAUCCAAUGAAUGUGUACGAAGAGGAAUGAGGAAUGUCCCACAUCCUUAGAAAAGGGAAAUGAGCAAGCCAGUUUUUCAAAAGGAUUUGAAAUCCUUCAACAUAGGUACCCUUGUACACCUUUGUAUAGUAAGCACAUUUGUCUUGUACACUUAGUGUAAAUGCCUUGUAUAGUGGCAAAAAAUUGACAUAGCUACAACUGAACGCAUGCAUAUGGGUGGGCUAACCAUGUUCCAAUGUGAUGCCUAAGGUAAAAGGGGGAAAUGAAACCCAAUAUAGGUUCAUAUUCAUCAUUAGUACGGGAGGUCAUCAAAUGAACAUGUAUGAAGUAAUAAAAUUGAAUGGGAUCAGUGCGUGAUCAAGGAAUGUGUGUGACAAAUGUCCUUCAUCCUUACAAAAUGGAAAUGAUUUUAAACAGAUUUGAAAUCCUUUAAUAUAGGUACCUUUGUACACCCUUGUGCAGUUAGCACAUUUACUUUGCACAAUUAGUGUAAAUGUCUUGCACAGAGGAAGAAAUUCCAUACAACUACUACUGAAUAUCUGCUCAUACAUAGGUUAAUCAUGUUUGUAAUGUUUUAGUUCAUAAAAUAAGGAAAAACUGAAGUAUCAAUUUCUUCCCCAACUACUAGUCAUCAAACAUAAAGGAGUUUCAAUCAUACAAUUAAUGGGGUUGUGUUUUGGAUCAUAGCAUAAUAAUUUUCAUAAAUAUGAAUGUCACAAUUCAUCCCUAAACCUAAUAAAAACACACUCAAUCCUCCAUAAACCUAGGUUGGAAUGCCAUAAAAUAUAGUUACCCCACAAUUCUACUCCAAAAGGCCAUAUACCUUAUUUAACGUAUUUUCAUCUUCACAGGAGGUUGUUGAGCCACUGGCAUCAUCAUGACCACACUUGUAGCUGCUUUAGAUCUUCGUUGGAGUUAUUCCUUUUCUCUAUUUUGUGUAGUGGACCAACCUCACAAUCAUGACAACCAUCUUCUUUGCUUUUAAUAUACGUUUGAUUUGAAGGAUAGUUAUUAUGGAGGAAUUGCAUCAUCAUCAGAGAAUCUUCUUCCCCAAACUCACCGUCUCUCUCUGUCAACCAUACCCAUUUCUUUUCUUUGGACGAUUGACCCAACAAGAAGAUUUUUAAGUCGGAUUUUUAAGACAAGUGACAUGCCAAACUUAAGGAGAUCUUCUCCAUUUAUGAGUUGCUCACAAUCCUCAGUUGUUGAAGGAAUUGAUUGGGGGACGUCAGAGUCGAGGGAAAAAAAGGGGUAGGAGUGGUGACCGACCUUUAUUUCAAAUUUUUAAGAUAAGUGACGUGGCAUUUUUUUAUUGGUCUCUUAAUAUUUAUAUCCUCCCCAUCAAUUAUGCAACUUAUAUGGACCAAAGCUUAAUUUUUGGGCCCAGUUGGGUCCAAAACCAAUUGUCCCUUAAAUUUUUGCUACUUUUGUAUGUUACUAAUGGAAAUGUUCAUUAUUGAGAGUAGGAAUGACUUUGCUAAAGAUUAAAACUCAUUAUUUCAUGUCGGUGAAAAUGAGUAUGACUUCAAAGGUGGAUAGUGUGAUAAGAUUUAGGGUUUGAGAUUUGAGAGAGAGGGAGUUGUUAAUGGAAAUGGGGUUAUCUUUUUCCACUUUUCACUUUAUAUGGGGAGUAUUUGGAAAUAUUAAGAAUAUAAAAAACAAAUUAAUUUGUCUUUUUCAUUGAUAAGAGGGGCAAGUGGGAGUGGGUUAACACAACCUAAACUUGUCCAAGAUAUAUAAUCCCAUGCUUGACUUGCUUCAGUUAGGAUUUUUUCAAAUCCAUUCCAUUAGAAGUGGCAAUGAUAGCUAAUGCCACAUAUUAAAAACAAAACCAAAAUUAAGUACUAUUUAUUAUUUUUAAAAAGAAAAAUAUGAGGAUGAUGUAAAAUUAUUAGCAACAUGUGUUCAAAAAUCAUUUUGGAAACUUUUUGUCCUCUUGAAAAUGAAUAAUUUAAAAAAAAAUUGUUUUUCAAUUUGUGUUUUAAAUAAGGUAAGUUUUUAACAAUUGAAAAUGAUUAAUUAGUUUUGUAGGUACACUGGAAACUAUUGGUUAGUCGCAAAAUAAGAAUCUUCUAUAAAGUUAAACAAAUGUUUUCCUAAUGAAAUUCAUAAUUUCCCUACAGAUGAUCAAUAUAUCAAAUGCCACAAUAUUGAAGGUCCAUCAAUAAAACUGAGAAAGAUUAAGUUAGUCUAAUUGUUACGCCUACAAAUAAAAGAAAUUGCAAAAUAGCUUAUUCAAAAACCAACUAUACAGACCGAGAUGCAAUAAUACUAUCAAGACUAAGAUCCAUGUCUUUGAUAAUGUUUAUAUUCAAAGUACUUUAAAUGAAAUUCUUGAUGAAAAAAUAACUUAUUAAGCAUUUCUCCAGUAAAUACUAUAAGUGAUUUUUCAACUUUUUAAAUUUUACUAAACGCUUAUUUUUUUCUUUAAAAAUACUUUUUAAAAUUGCUAUCAAAUGGGCUCAAAGAUGAAAAGAUUUCUCAUCUCCAUAUGUCGAUGCAAAUAUAAAUAUAUGAACAUUUCAUUUAGUUUCAUAUGAUAUAGAUGGUAAAUAAUUUAAUUGGUGCAUAUUAUUUUAAAAUUAACUCUUAUAACACUAGUCAACAAUAAGAUCAUCCAAUUCUCUAGUGUGGGAUGCUCAUGUCCAUCUAGUAUGACUCUUAAUUUGUGUAGCCGUAUCUUCGUCCAUCCAUCCAAGGAUUUGGACGGAUAAAGACUAUCCAAGCACUACUUAUUACUACCUGUCAAGCACUAAAUACAAAACACAUUAAGAACAUUGAGUGUCACAACCAUUACUAAGCAUAAAUGACAGACUUUAGAGCUCAAAAACUGUUAUGCAAGCCAAUUAAAAGGCAUUAAAGGCAAUUGAAACACAUGGGACAUGUUAUGGCUUGGCUGAAGAUAAAUAGCCAUCAAACGUCAGAAUGAAGGUAGACAAUUAGAACCCAUUGACCUCUUACCCAACUCCCCUCUGUCUAAUUUAAGCUUCAGAGAGGUGUGCCUUGGAAAACCAUCUGGACACUCUUUAUUGUAGGUAUACUUGUCGUCCAAACCAAGAGGAGGCCAACCAGAUGCAAACAUUGUUGGUCAUGCACCAACAUCUAGGACUUAAAAAAAAAAGAGUGGCAAGCCCCAUGUUGCUUCAACUAGUAGUUGUCAAUUCUAAAUACCCCACACUCCAAAUAACACCCUAAUUAGUUAGGGUUGUUCCAAAUCAUCACUACUCACUCUUAGAAAUUUCAUGUUUAUUCCUUUAAGUUCUUGCCCAUACAAUCAAAAUUCAAAUAAAUUUACUAUAUAACAAAAUUAUUUCCACAUGUAUAAAACUAUUAUAUUUUAAAUAUGAGUCUUUUAUUACGAAGUUUUUUUACAAACUGAUAAAUAAAUACAACAUUAAUUUCAUUUGACAUUUGCUUCAAUAUAUCAUAUAAUGCAUUUCCUAAAUUCCUAAAUAAUUUUGUCUCAUUUAGAUUAAUUAAAUUGUCUUAUGCAUUUCUAAGCUUCCUUAGUAAUUUUAUUUUCGUUUAGAAAAUAGUAACUAGUGUUAUUUCAAUUAGGAAGGUAACUUUACUCUCAUGUGGCUACUUUAUUAAGCAUUUUACUAUUAAGGAGCAUUAUAUAUAUACCAAAAUCUUGCAAGUUUAAGCUUUUAGGAAAAUUGUUAAUUCAACAUCGUAUCAUAAAUUUAUUUCAAAUUUUAUAUAAUGAGUGGAAUUAUGCACUACAAGGAAAAAGGUAUAUGAUGACAUUUAUAACGAGUCACCAUAAACAUAAGGUGUCACUACAACAUAGCGUCACCUUCUCCACUGACACCAUAGAGGGUACCAAUUGGUGACGUAUUUGGAAGUGACACCAAAGUAGAUAAAUGGUGAUCCAUUCAGAAGUGACACCAUAUAUUUCUAGUGAUGAUAAGGUGUCACAUUAAAUACAUCAUCUUUGAGUUAUGAUGUCACAUUAAAUGCAUCACCUUUGAGUUAUGGUAUCACAUCAUUGUAAAUUAUUGUGGAAUAUAUGAUUGGUUUUAGUUGUUGAUUUUUGUAAUGCUUAUGAAUUAAUAAGAUUAAAUUGUUUAUAUUUUGUCCAUAAACAUAACAAUCAUAUUAUAUUUAACUCAUUUUUCUGUAAUGUUUCUAAAAUAACUCAUAAUACAUUGAUCAUCUACUAAUAUUUGUAUAUCAAAUGUUCACAAAAGGAUAGUACGUCCAACAUAUCAAACCCAUCAAAACUAAAAAAGAAGAGUGAAUACAUACCAAAACAUGAUUUAGAAAUGUUAAAGAUCCCAAGAUUCAUGUAUACCUCCAUUUCAUAAGCAUAAAACCAGCUAACCAUAAAAUGACAUAGAAGUCCCAUCUAAAAAUCUAAAUUUCUCAGUUGCAAUUAAAGUAACGUUUAUGUCCUACAACGUAUGACAUAAGAGUUGCAUUUAAAAACCCAAAAUCUUGUUGCCUUCUUCUUUCUUUUUAUUCUCCAUUUCACCCUCCCAAGAGUGUAUACCUGCAUUUCAAAAUUUAAUGAGUUUUAGAGAUUUUUAUUGAAGAAAAUAAGCAUGGAUCUAUGUUAUCAUAAAUGAACAAAUCUAAGAAUUAAUUUUUUUUUCAAAUAGAAACAUUAUUCAAAGAAUAAGCAUUACUAUACAAUACCUAUGGAAAAAUUCAUGUAGUAGCUAAGGGACUCACCAUGCAUGGUGAUCAUGAUGCAUCAACAUGAUUCAUGAUUAGUUGUAGCACAAAAGUAGCCCAUUCUCCUCUAAUUUCAUCGAAUUCUACUUGAGAAUAUGUUUUUUUUAUUACCAAACUGAAAUCAAAUAAGAAAAUAACAUUAAAAUGCAUAACAUUUGGAAGCCUAAAACUAUGUACAAUUCAUUAAAUAAGUAAUACCUUUGAAGCAAUAAUUGUAGGAUCAAAAAUUAUCUCUUUAAUGAAUCUCAUAACAAAGUAGCCACAUUCGAACCCUCCUUCUUGUCUUGGACAGUAAUCGAUCAAUUAUAAAAUAACAUUAGUACUCACAUAUAUAAAUGGUGCAAAUGCAUAAGCUAAUGUGUAAAGAAAAAUUUUUGGAUGUCACCUGCACUAGUUGCUAAGAUGGCUCCCUCUUAGAUGUUUUCUUUGCAGAUAUUCGAAGAGCCCUAUGUAAAUAAGUUACAUUUUUAAAAUACGUAAAUGUUAUAUGUUUUAAUAUAUAUAAAUAAUAAUAAAAAUGUGUUUGAGGUGAAUGUAUUUUUUUUUUAUUUAAAAAUAAUACUAUGAAAAAUAAUAGGAAGAACUUACAUGUUUACGAUAUCCUUUAAGUCCUCACAUGGUUUGUGAUGCAUAGGGUCAAGAUAGUGGACUAUCAUUUUCCUUGGCUCAAGCACUACCUAAAUAUAAACCCUUUAAGUCCUCAUAUCUAUUUCUAUUAACAAAAUAUAAAAACUUUCCAAAACUCAACUACUUAAAUAUAAAAACAAAAUCAAAUAAAAUAUCUAGCUAAUUGGAUUUUAGAAACUAAAUAAACUAUAAAUAAACUAAAUAAAAUAUCUAUGUCCAUGAAUUAAUUGAAGAGGAUAGAAAGACACAGAGAGAACAUGACUAUGGUUAUGAUUUCCAUCUUAUCAUUUCCUGUCAAUACCACACAUACCCAUUUUAAGGUUGGACACUACUUUUGUUGCUAGACUUGGAAAGGGAAUUUCAAAAUUGAAAACAUAAAUAAACCCUUAUGUAAAAAAAAAUAACAUUAAAAUAUAAUUGAGCAUUAAAAUAUUUACUCUCUUUCAUCACUUUCAUUUGAAUAUUAAUAAUCUCUUAUUGAGAUAGAUACUUACAAUUUAACAAAAUAGAAAUUCCUAAUAAUAAAAAAUAUAAAAAUUUCUAUUUCUAUUAACAAAAUAUAAAAACUUUCCAAAACUCAACUACUUAAAUAUAAAAAUAAAAUCAAAUAAAAUAUCUAGCUAAUUGGAUUUUAGAAACUAAAUAAACUAUAAAUAAACUAAAUAUAAAAACUAAAUAAAAUAUCUAUGUCCAUGAAUUAAUUGAAGAUGAUAGAAAGACAUAGAGAGAACAUGGCUAUGGUUAUGAUUUCCAUCUUAUCAUCUUCCGUCAAUACCACACAUGCCCAUUUUAAGGUUGGACACUACUUUUGUUGUUGGACUUGGAAAGGGAACUUCAAAAUUGAAAACAUAAAUAAACCCUUAUGUAAAAAAAAAAAUAACAUUAAAAUAUAAUUGAGCAUUAAAAUAUUUACUCUCUUUCAUCACUUUCAUUUGAAUAUUAACAAUCUCUUAUUGAGAUAGAUACUUACAAUUUAACAAAAUAGAAAUUCCUAAUAAUUAAAAAUAUAAAAAUUUCUAUUUCUAUUAACAAAAUAUAAAAAUUUUCCAAAACUCAAAUACUUAAAUAUAAAAACAAAAUCAAAUAAAAUAUCUAACUAAUUGGAUUUUAGAAACUAAAUAAACUAUAAAUAAACUAAAUAUAAAAACUAAAUAAAAUAUCUAUGCACAUGAAUUAAUUGAAGAGGAUAGAAAGACACAGAGAGAACAUGACUAUGGUUAUGAUUUCCAUCUUAUCAUCUCCCGUCAAUACCACACAUGCCUUCCCGGAUUGGUUCUUUUGGGGUUGGAUACUCUCAACGAAAUUCUAUAUCUCAUUCCCACUUAGAUACAAACAGAAAAAUCAUUCUUUUUUUUUUCCUCUCUUGUUUUUUAGAAAGGAUGAAGAUUAUGUGAUAGUAUAUCUUAAAAAAAUUCUGUACCUGUCAUUCUCACACAAAUACAUAUUAAAAAUCAUUCAUUUUUUCCUGUUUUUCACUUUUUUUUAAGGACUUGAUCAUGUGUUUGGUUUAGAUUAAAAAAAUCAAUUAAUCUAUAGUUUUUUCUUCCAUGCUGGAAGAUUAAACCUAAAUUUUUCUUCCCUACAACUCAAGAAAACACAAUUCACAAAAAUCAUAAUACAAAGAUGUUGAAACAAUUAAUAUAAUGACAUUAAUAAAAGAAAAAAAAAUUAUAGAUCCAAGAGAUUUUGGGUUACCUGGGAGUCCACAAAGUGAAGAAUGUCGGUUUUGAGCGUGUUGACUAUGGAUGGGUGAGAGAAAAGGUUGAAGAAGAUCAUGAUUUUAUAUAUAGGAUUUAUAUAUUGAGAUAUUUUGGAUUGUGGGUGAGAUAUGGAAACAAUGGGAUUUUUAUAUAGUAUCCAUCAUUAUUAAUUCUAAAAGUGGGCUCAUUAAGUUAUAAUACUUAAAAAAAUUUAUUUUAUAUGAUGUCACUUCCCAAAAAAUGACACUAUAAAUAUAAAAUUAAUAUCAUCUAACUACCUCAAUUGAAGAUUUUUUAUAUGAUGUGUCACCUUUAUUAAUUAUAAACCCUAUGGUGUCAUUAUUUUAAAAGUGACACCGUAAAUAGUGACACCAUAAACUAUUUUUGUAGUAGUGAUGAAAAAUGGAAAUGCAUGUGGAUUGAAUUCUUACCUUAAGAUCUCAAAAAUUACUUAAACAGAUUUAAAGUUCUUCCUCAACUCUCUAGAUCUUCAGACCUUUGUUUAAUAAAUCAAACCUAAAGUGAAUUAUAACUUAAUUUAAGUUAUUAAGUAGACUAAACAUAUUUGGUAAAAUAACUUAAUAUUAAAAUGCAAAAUUAAAAAUAACUUUAAGUAGUAAGUCAAAAUAAUUAACUUCUUUUUAAUCCCAAACUUUUUUUCUUUUGGUCUUAUUUACACACAUUUAAUGAGUAUAUAUUAAACAACUAUGACUCCAAAUCCAUGACUCAUUUUUUCUACUAAAUAUUUUAAGGUUAUUUUAUAAAUUUACAAUCUUUAAGUAUGGAUGUUAAAUAACAAAUUUAUUGCUUAAGAUUAAUGAAAAUAAAUAUUAAUUAAAUUUUUUAAUAAUAAACAUGAAUUAAAACUAAUGAGAUAAAUAUGUUAAUUCAAUAACUUAAAAUAAAUUCUAAGUUAAUUUUAUACCUUACUACUUAAAAUAAAAAAAUAAGUAAUAAGUUUUAAGUUAAUGACUUAAAACCAAUUUAACUUAAAGUUAACUUAAGUCAUUAAAUAAUAAGUAUUAAGUUUUACCAAACAUCCAAGUUGACUUUAAGUUAAAUUAUUCUUAAGUUGUUAACUUAAGACUUAUUACUUAAUUGUUACUUUAAGCAUUAAGGUUGUUUUGUAAAGUUAGCUUAAAGUUUAUUCUAAAUCAUCAAAUUAACUCCUUUUCCCUCAUUAAUUUUAACUAAUAUUUAUCUUUAUUGAUUUUAACUCAUAUUUAUUUUCAUUAUUUUAAACAAUAAAUUUAUUUAUAUAACAUUCAUACUUAAAGUAUUGUAGAUAUAUAAUACAACCAUAAAAUGCUUAUUACAAAAAAAUGAGUUAUGGAUGUGAAAUCACAGUUUUAAAAUGUAUUUACUGUGAGCAAAUGAGACAAAAAUAAUUUUACAUUAAGAAUAAGUUAACUAUUUUAACUUAAUACUUAAAGUUCAAAGUAACUUUAAGUUAUAAUAUUAAGUUAUUUUAUUAAGUAGACUAAAUCUAAUUUCUCAAACUUGGUUGCAGAAGCCUAAUGAUAGGAACUCUUUCUUAUUAUACAAAUAAUGAUCACAUGAAAGAGAGUCAUGAUUUUCUUUCAAAAACUUGCACAGUUAUUUCUCACUCAUAUGUUUUGAUGUCUUAUUCCAUAACUUUAGGAAAGCGUAUUGUCACGGACUUAGUCUUUUCCUAAGCUCGUGUGGCACCUAGACAAGUUAAGACACUUGAUCUUGCUAAGUCAGCCUUACUCCCAAUGCUUAGCUUACUAAGCUAAGAUACUCACAACUUGGAAACUUUAGAAGGUGUAGUAGGCAACUCUUAAAGAAUGGAAGCUUUUGUUGCUCAAAGGAAGCUUUACAAGUGCUUUGGGAACUCACUUGCUUGGUUAGGAAGUGAUUUGGGUGGUGCCUUGGCCAAAUGAGGCCUUAACCUAUUUAUAGGCACCAAUAGAACUCUUUGGAACCUUGGAGGGUUCCUUACAAAUCAAGAAUAAUCUAGAAUCUCCUACACUAGUCUAUGUACAAGGGUAUGUACAAGAUGACUUUGGAAGAUUCUAUAACACCCCACACUAUUCCAAUGCUCUCUUAGCCAAGUAUAGAGAUGUGUGGACAUCUCUAGCCCUCUCUAGAAGCUUCCAUGCUCUUCCACUUUGUAGCUAAGUGUAGAUGUUUCCAGGGGUUUCUAGAAGCUUCUCACCUCCUAUAUAAGCCCAUGGGGAGAGUCAUUUGAAGCAUCUUGUGAUUGUAUGGUCUCGAUAGCAUUCAAAUUGCCCUUUUACACUUCCUCUUGGUAUAUGUAGCAAACCUCUUCUUUUGCAACAAAUAACCUCUUUACCACUACCAAAAUAACUUUUAUAUCCUUGUUUAACUUGUGCAAAUCUAGACAUUAGUUUGAGGUUGGAACGUUGGUCUCUAGACAUACAUUAUUUAUUCAUCCUAAUUGCACCAAUGUCUCUAUCUUUGUAAUUUGAAAACAACUUCAAUUAAGGGAUAACAUGCAUGAUAUAAGGUUAUUGUCUCUACAAUCCACUCAAUUUUGUGAUCACUAAUAGGGAUUUAAUCCAAGUGUUAAGUUGACAUGAUAUAUAUAAUUGAUUCAUUACCAAAUAGCUUAAACAUUUAUAUCAUAUAUAUUGAUAGCUUAACAUGUUUUUAAAGCCUUAGUUCAAGGGAGAUCAUGCAUGAUCUUGAGCUUCACACAUAGUUAUUUCUCAUAAUUAUUGAACUUGCAUACAAACCGAAAGAAGGUUUUCUCUUAUACAAGGUAUUGAGGGUUUAGUCCAAGUGCUACCUCAUUACCAAAUAAUUUAAUUAGGGAUGACAAUACAAUAAGUUUUUUUUGGUACUCAUCUCAUCCUACCGUGAAUAGAAUAGGUUUGAAAUGAAGAUAAAUAGGUUAGGGAUAGAGAUUUUUUUACAUAUAUAAACCAAUGGUGGGUUUAGGUAUUACCUUGUACCCUCCUAUCCUAUCGCAUCCCAAGUAUAUGCAUAAUUAAAUUUAAAAAUAGUUUUUUUUUAUUUACUCAUUUUUAACACAAAAUAAUAAUUAAAACAAAAUCUACUUCUUGAAUAAAAUAAAUUAUAAAAAUUUAUAAUAUUUAUUUAUAUAUAAAAUAUAUUUACUUUUAAUAUUUUAAAAUUUUAAAAAUAAAUAGGGUUGGGUGGGGCCUGUGCAACACAAGUAAUAAGAAAUUUUCAUACCAGUAGCCUUGCCCUACCUUACACCGCCCUGUUUAAUUUUUUUAUUGGGUGGGGGUAGCAAUAGAUUUAUAUAAAUGUGACAAGAUUGGAAUAUGGGUGAUCCAUUCCAAACCCGUCCCAUUGUCAUCCCUAAGUUUAGCUUUUAGAUUAUGUUGGUAGCUUAACAAUCACCAACAUUCAAAAGUUCAUGUUGUAGUAUCCUUGUUCUAUUCCAUUACCUAAGGCUGCCUCUUCUUUUCCUUUCUGUAAACACAGUAGUUCUAUUUCAUAUGGCUUUUUUUGCCACAAUAUCCAGACAUCUAUCCACUAUUGAUACCAAACUCUCAUCAUUCUUAUAUGCAGUGGAUGUAGUAUUCUUUUUCUCUCUCCUUUUUCUUUCUUAGGUUUGCCUCCUUUAUUUCCUUUCCCAAACAACACAGUUCUUUUCUAAAUUGCUCUCUUUGCCACAAAGAGCAUUUCAUUUUCUCCUUGGAUUGAAAUCUUUCGUUGGACUUAUUAUAAUAAUUCUAUUUUCUAUCUAUUUAUAAUAUGAGUGUUCCUUCUUUUCUCUACAUCAAACAAAUACUAUUCACAAUAGAUGUCUUGCAACAAACACAAUAGCAAAGAGACUUGCAUCUCAUCAUCAAUUGCCAUUUUCGUAGUAACUAAUUGAUUUACCGUGCUUUGAAAAGCACUUCACAUGGUUGGCCACUGAAGUGUUUCCUUCGACUUCAAUCUAGUUAACACACCUCAAUGUGGUAACUGAAAUGUAACUCACUUUUUUCAGUUGCCUAACUAGACACCUCAGCCAAGUUAUUAGUUUAUUGAAUUAGAAUCUUUUUUAGAGUAAUUUUAAAAAGCGUUUCUAAUAUUUGAAAAUUUUUAUCUUUUAAAGUAUUAUAAAGGUUAAAAAUAUUUUCUAAAAUCACUAUCAAACACACUCUUAAAUUACUAAUCUUGUGAGUCUAACCUUUCACCCCGUCGCCUAGACAAAUACUUUAGUAGAGUUGCUAAAACUUAAUUGGACUGGCCUCUCUAGUUGGAGAAAAUAGCCCUUAAAUAGAUUAGAAACAAGCAAAAAGAAAAAAAAAAAAAGCUUUCUAUAGCAAGAAUUGAACAAGGACUUACAACAAUGUAGAAUAGAUCUCAACUAGAAAUUAGAAAUUAGAAUGUAAACCAACAACACAUUACGAAACACAUGAGUAUCCAUCCAAGAUAAACACCAAUGACCUUACUUGGAAAAAACCCUUCGAGGAGGUGAAAGAAGCCAUUCAAAAAUGAAUGUCCAUCAUAUAAAAUAGGAAUUAAUCGGUGUUCGUGCAAGUCUUUUUCCAAAGAUAUGGGAAGGGAACUAGAAAUGGUGUUAUUCUCAAGCUUACAAAACCAGCACACAGAGUGGAAAGGAUCUCACCAAAUACAAUUGCCACAUUUGAUAUGGAGAAAACCCUUGGUUCAACCAAAACCAAGAAUGGUGAAGAAACAUCCCUAUUCUAGCAUAAAAGCCCAACAUAAUUAGGCUCAAGUUGCUACUGGAAGAAUCAGCCCACACAAUGGGUUUCUUGCGAUAACACAGAGACAGAGGUUCACCAAAUGGUCCCCAAGGACUAGACCCCCCAUCAGAAAAAGGGAAUGUAAUGAGUGGGAAUUGCCAUCAGUAAGGCAUAUGCAGGAGACUCAACUCUCUAGCCAUUGCUCUAUGGAAAUUUAAAAUGCCUUUUGUUAGCUAAUAAUAAAUUUAUGAUUUAUGACAAUAUUCUUUGGAAGAUCUAUUACUGGGAUACAAGUUUCAGAUUUGAGUGAUUUAGCCCUAUGGCAAGAACAUGAUUCUUAAAUGUAAGACUAAAGAGUAUAUUUGUAGUGAUUCUAUGAAGGCCAAAAGUGCUCUCUAAUACUUGAAGCAUUUUUCUUAUAAAAAUUAGGGUCCUAUUCAGUUUAACUUGUUUUUUUCUUACAUUUUUAAAGAAAAUAAAGAACAAUUUGGAAAAUAUGUUUGGAUAUUUCUAUUUCUAUUUUCCCAAGAAUUGAGUUUAGAAAAUGAAAAAGGGGAAAAAUGCCAAAUUGGUAUUUUCAAAAUUUAAUUAAAAAAGUGAAAAGAGUUUCUAAAACGUAAAAACACAAAAGUAAAUAAUGUAAUUAAAAAACAUGAAAGAAAUGCAAAUAUGAAUUUGAUAAUAAUAUUACAAUAUUAUAAUCAUCUUCCUCUUUUUUACCAAUAAUAUUACAUUUUUAUAUUAAAAAAUAAAUUAUUUUAAUAAGCCAAAAUAUGCCCAAUUGAUCAAUUGCUUCGUUAAUUAUAAAUAUAUUAAAAAAAAUAUUAGAGUAUCAAAAUAGAAAUUUUUAUUAAAGUAUCAAAAUAACUAAUAAAACAAAUAAAAUAAAAAAUAAUGAAAAAUAUAAUUUCAUUAUUUUUCAUGUACAAAAAUUAGUACCAAACAAAACAACACAACAAUUGGUCAAUUCCUUUAUUAACUAUUAAUAUACUAUAUUUUUUAUUAUAUAUUAAAAUAACUAUUAGAGAUGAUAAUUGAAAGAGAAUAAUCAAUAAAUACAAUUUAAUUAUUUUCAUUGUGUUUGAUUAAAAAAUAUAUAUAUAUCCAGUACUAAACAAGGUUUCCAAAUUUUUAUUUUUUGAAAACCAGUUUUUAAUUUUUUUAAACAAAAAUAUUACAAAGAAAUGAAAACAUAGAAAAUAAAAAAUAUUUAAAGAAAAAAUUAAAAGUAGAAAAUAAAAACUAAAAAUAUUUUCCAAACCAAAGGCAACUUAAAUUACUGUGUAAUAUUUUAGAAAAUAUUUUUUAAAAAUCUCUAGAAUAAAAUAGAUAAAACAUGGAUCUAAACAUCCUUGCAUCCAUGAAAAUAUUUUUGGAGAUAAAAUCGGAAAUGAGAAUAGAAAAUUAUUUCAUUUUUAUUCAUUUUGAUGUUUAGAUCAUUUAUUAAAUAUAAAAAUAGGAAUAAAAAGUUAUUAUUAUUGGUUUUUUUUAAUAUUUGUUUAAACAGAAGAUAUGUAAAGAUACAUCAACCGAACCCAAUAGGCUUCGGAGAAUUAAAAACAAUGGCUAGUUUGAACUAGCAGACUAAUAAUAGAGACAAUUAUCCAACUUCUCAUACCAAUGUUAUCAUAAGAUAAAAGUUGAAUCAUAAAUACUUGUACAAGACAUUCAUUACUUGAAUUACAAUCUCUGUUUCCUUCUUCAAAAACCCAUAAUAUCAUAAUUAAAGCAAAAAGUGUUAUACACCAAGUAUACAUACCAUGUACAAAGGGUAAAAAAACCCAAAGGGAAAGAACCGGUGGUAAGAGGAUGCGGGGGAGGUGACAUCUCUUACUAUAUAAUCCAUUAGAAUGCCUUGGCGGCCUUGAAAGUAAGGAGCACUGCCAUGGACUUGUAUCCUUGGAGGAGUAAGAGCUGCCUGGCAAUCCUAAAUUUUGAAAUUAGAAGACUCUGCUACUCAGGAGAAGUGGAAGACUCUGCAGUUUAGUCUCCAACCUUGCAUCACUUUCUAUCAGAGAUAGUGAAUCUAAAGUUGCCAUUAUCGGAGUCGGGCCUCCACAGGCUUACUUCUAUUUCAUCAUUGCACAUUUCUGUUGUAUUUCUAGAUAUUCCUUGGCUUCUCUGGCUCUCAAAAACCUCCCUUCCUUUGAAAGUAAAUCCAUCUAUGGGUGCCCUAAAAUCUGGUUCAUAACCUGAAACAUCUUCAGGACUUGAGACAAGUGAAAAGUAUUUUUGUUUUUAAAAACUCAAUCAGGUAUGGCUAUUUGCAACUCAAUCCCAGCUCCAGAUUGUCCUCUCCAUGGACCUAUUUGUUGAAACUCUGAUUAAUUUCAACUUUAAAUUCAGAUGGGAGCUGCUUUAUUCCUUUGACAAAUAGAUGGCUUUAGCAGCAGUUGCAAAGUGACGUUUUCUCUAAACUUGCCGGCCUCAGUUCUGUGCACAAGCAUGGUAAGUUAUACUGUUCUAUUGAAUUUGCAUGCGGUUUUAUGGUUUUAAUAAAUAAAAUAAAUAUAAAGCUAAAGCUAUGUGUAAGCUCUCUUGCCAUGCUUAAUUGGACUGCUAUUAUUUAUUUAAGAUCAAGAGAUAGAAAGUUUUUCUGCAUUUCCAGUUAUAAAUCUAUAAUUGAGUUUGUUUUAUAAACAUAUUCAAGUUUAUUCUCUGUUUUUUCUUUCCUUCCUUUUAUUUUUAUGAUUUUCUAUUAUCAUUUGUGUUAUUAAAGAUGAAAGCUCAUUUUUUACUCGCUUUUAUAGAAGUACUUCUACAAUGAAGAAAUUCAGGUUAGGAUUUUGCUAACACAAUAAAAUCUUUGGCCUGCUUGAUAUCUAGUAUCAAGUUUUGCCAAAGGCCAUAGCUUCUAUUGGUUAUCUAUGAGUCAACCAUUGCUGGAUGGAUAUGAAUAGGAGCUUGUCCUGCCUAUGGGCAGGGAUAUGCGCGCAAUCACCUGUUUUCUGCUUUUUAAGUAUCAAAGUACAAACUAACUGCUUCUACAAUAUCAUUUCCAUUUUAAUCAGCAUUGAAAGUAUGUUGCUUUUUUAAGUAUCAUUUCCAUUUUAAUCAGCAUUGAGUGUGUCCUGUCAUGGUUGGUUGGACCACUUAACAAAAAAACAGCAAGGCCUUUUCUUCAAAAUCUGCAUUCGACAGGUUCUCUGUCAAUUCUUUGCUUUUGCUUUUACGAUAACUUGUUGCAAACUUAUUUAAAAAAAUUGUGCCCUUCUCUUGUUGGCUAGGUAUUUAACUUAUGCAUAAUCUUGUGAUGCAGCUAUGGCUAGAGAUACUGUACUUGUUAUGCUCUUUUCUAGUUGGGCAUGUAAAGGGCUCUAGGGAUGUCCACUUGUCUUCAAGUGCAGUUGAUUUCUUUGGUACAAAAAUGUUGACUACAACUACAGAAGAUAAACUUGAACUAGUUGUUAAGCAAACUCUUUUAUGUUAUAUUAAAAAAUUUCUAAAGAAAAUUUCUAUUGAGAAAACUAGGGAUGUUUUAACCCUCAACCAUAACUUAAUUUGUGUUUAAUGUGUGAUAUUGUCGUCUUUACUUGGAACAUGUCUAUGAUGGUGCUUGUCUAUGUUUCAUCAUUGCUUAUUUAUUUUAUGACGUCUUUGUUGAGCAUUUUAGCUCCAGGUGGAAGAGCUGUGUUGUCUGAGAUGCAUAGGGAACUGUCUCAUUAGUGACUAUGCCAAUUGGAUGAGGAUUCUGGAGAGAACUCUCUAUCUGAUCCAAGUAUCUACUGACUUCUGCCAUGAACUCUUGAAUAGAAGCAAGGAUGGAAGCUAGUUUGUCUGACAUCUCAACUGAACUGUCUAAACUUUGAUAUGAAUCUGAUAUGAUCAAUCGACCUCCAACUCUCCUCUAAGAAUAUGACUUCAAACUCAACCAACUCCUAAACUAACUCCCUACAAUGCAAACAAAAUGGAUGAAGGACAUAAGAUAAGACCCUAAAAGACAACAGUGCAACAUGCAAACACAUGGUCCUGAGGUGGCAAUCUGAAAUCUGGAUGUAUGAUGAGAGCUCUAGAGUCAUAAAGGUGUCCACUGUGAGAUGGCUACAAAUGUGACUAGAGAAUUCCUAUCAAUAAUCCAAGAUGAAAGAGGUGUGAGAAACACACUAUCACGAGAUUGAUACUCCAUCUAUAACCACAUAUCCUUGACUCAACCUUCAACCCAAGCUCCAUAAGAGAAAAGAUAAGGUGAUCAAGGCGACUCUCUCAAAAAAGGUGUGAAUGUGAAAACAUGCCUUUCACCUUUCCAUAAUGAAAAUGUGAGCAUCAAGUUGAAAAUUGAAUCAAGGAUCAAACAAAGAAUGGGAUACUAGGCUCAUGAUAAGUGUACGGUAUAAAGAGAUGAUCAUAAUCAAUGAACAUAUCCCAAAGCAUCAAGCAAGUGACAACAAAGUGAAAGGAUGUGCCAAGCCAAGAGAGGGAGACGAAAGCUCUAGGGAGAAAGCAUGCUAAACUCAUUGAGUGAAAAGAAUAAUCUAAAGCGACAUGACAAAAGGUGAUCCAACUGAUACUGAAACUUGUACCGAUCUCUGAGCACUCUCAAUUGGAAACCAAAGGUAAAAGCACUGGGUCCAGGUGAUGAGUAAGACGGCCCUGAAGGCUCUCAGAUGCACCCACGUGUGAGGAAGGAAUCCUAAUCAAAGGAUCUAAGCUCAUCCUAUAAGUUUAAGGUGGCUUUAAAAAAAGAAAGGUAGGCUUUCAAGGGUCCUUAGAAGAAGCAAUCAUACCCUUCGGUGGUACGCAACCUUCUGUACGCCUCCGAAGAGACGGGGCGCUUCCAUGCAAGGUGGACAUCACCUCCACACAUGCACUACCUCGCAUCCCAGGGGGCUCCUAUGGUGAAGGCCCUUCUAAUGGUUAGCAUAUCUCAUAACUUUGGUCACUCAUCAACAAUCUAAGGUGCAUAGUGAGUUUGUGGGUGCAUCUGAAAAUCCUAUGAAACUAAAAAGAAAACACAUUGGUCACACAAAUAUCCUAAAAUCCAGCUUUGGGCUAUACAAGUCUUCAAAGAUCGGACUCCAAUCAACAUCAAUGUGUCGGCCACCUCCAAAAUGCUCCCAAACAUAGAUAUAGCCCAUCACUAGACCUUACUUCAAAUCACUAGCUUGGUCGAAGAACAAUCAAGGUGAUAAGUCUCAUAUCAAAUAAGAGAUCAAGGGAAACAAAGUCGAUGGAGUCUAAGGAAUUGGAAAUAAGGGGAUAGGUGUGAGACCCACACGAACAAGCAAUACAUGCAUCAUGUAGAAGGAGAGUAGUCAUACAACAAACAGUUAUGCAAAGCAGGUAUAUAUCAUACAAAUCUACACACAAGCUAAGUAAGAAGUAGGAUAAUCGAGAUGAAUAUCUAGCAAGAAUAAAUGGCAUGCUCAGAGUUAAUCGAGAUAAUAUGUAACAAAGAGAAUAAACAUGUCAAGAUGAGCAACAUUGAGAAUAUACAAGUCAGGGUGAGCAGAGCAAUCACACAGUAAGGAGAGUUGAUAUGUGAACACAAACAAGAGGAUCAAAUGAUAUAAUCAAGAUGUCAAUGUCUCAAACAAAUACACAAAUCAAGCAUGCAUCAGAGAUAAACAUAUCAAAAGUUCUCAAUGUGCAAUCAACAGUCAAACAUACAAAAGCACAGAGAGAGAAGGGUACCCACUAAUCGACCAAUCAAACGUCACAUUUGCCUUAAUCUAAGUUCAAGUUUGACUGUCUAGUGAUCCCCAAUGGAGUCGCCAUUUUACGGACCCCGCAUUUCUCCACAAUGCGUUCCCACUCGAAUGGUGAUACUCACUUUUUAUUUUGAAAAAAUGACUUUUGAAAAGUUUUUGGAGUCACCACUUAUUUUUCUUUUAUUUUUAAAGGGAAAAACAAAAUAAGAAAAAAAAAACUCUAAAUGUGACUCCUGAAGGAAAAACAGGUCUGUGAAAAACCAAGUCUAGGUUCGGGAGUGAGGUUACCUAUUGAGAAAGUACGGUGAUAAGUUGUAACACCCCUCUAAGCACCUAAAAAUGGGUCUCUACUAAUCAACUAAGACAAGUGUAGCAAUUGAUUGAUUAAUUGUGGAUACCAAAUAGUGAUCAAGGGUGUGCUAGCAAGUCAUGCAUGAUAAUGGAUAAAUAAAUAAGUAUGAUUAGGUAUGAGAUGCACCUUAGCAGCGAAUAAGGAUGUGCUAUCAUGAAACGGGGUUAGCUCAAAUAUAAAGUAAUGCGUGUCACAUAUUAGAGCCAAAAAUCAAUCAAUAAACAAUCAAACAUAGCAAACAAAAUCAACAAUCGGAUGACGAAUGCCUCAUAUGUUAGGCCACACCAAUGCCCAAAUUAUUUUUGGCAUGAAUUACUUCUACAAAUUCCAUGAUUUUUGGAAUUACAGACUUGUAUUCAUGGUUAUUUAAAAACAUUUAAAAAAUCAAGAAAAAAAAAGUGAAAAAUGCUUGCCCAAGAGAAAAAUGGCAGCAAAUUUAUUAAAAAUUGGAUUUUUGGUGACCCAAAACUCUAUGGAUGAAUAAUAAUAAUAAAAAAAUUGAAUAGUUAAAAUUAUUUGAAAAUUGGAAUUAAAAAAAAAAACAAUUUUUGAAAGCGAAGGUGAAUAAUUAAGAGAACAUGGCCUAUGGGAUUGCAUGUUAAAGGUGGCUAUGCAUGGGUGUAGAAGUGGCCCAGGGUAGGUAGUGAAUUGGCCAUUGAAUCACUUUAUUGGACAUGCAACUUGCUGUAGUGGUUUGCAUCCAUGGAUAUUGACUGUACCGAAACUUGGAAUGUCGACCAUGUCGUUCAUCGGAAAUGUACCAAGUGACAUGCUUCAUGGUGGCGGGAUUCAUAUGCUGCAUCACUUUCUUCUUAUAUAAAUACUCAGCACCUUUGGCAAUGCCAUUGCACUAGAACCACUAUAAAGACCUCUAACAAUGAAUGAUGAUCUAGCCAUACACCAUUAACGAGCUUCUCACCAAACUGCUACUUGCUGAAACUGUUCUUUAUCGUGUUAUACCCAUAUCUUGCACCGUCCAUUCCAUGCAUGACUUGAUUAAGUCCUUCAAGUAAUCAGGCCAUAGCUUAGCAAAAAUAGUCCCCUGACAUCCCUUUAAGACUAGGUAUGCUGAAGUGAUUUGAGUGUCAUGAAGGAGAGGCGAAGGACGGGUAUUGCACAAUUGGAAUCGCAGCACAUGCAACCGUUCUUCUCAACCAUGGUAACAUGAAUUCUACACGUUCAUCCUUAGUUUAAGGGACAAUGGGGGUCAGUCGACAUGGCAACAAUGACAUUCAGAAAUGCAUCCCUGCAAAUCUUUCCAAUAAUCUUUCCCAGAACCACCCAACAAGCCACCUGAAGGAAAUGGAUGUCCUGGAUUAAUGUCAGAAUCCUUAUAUCUGAUAUGGACGUUACUAAUGGGAAAUCUUAAGGAUUCCAAUUAUGGUUGCAAACAGAGAACCCAACCAUGAAUUUGCAUUAGCUGGACUUCCUUCUUGCUAUUGAUGAAGUUCCAACUUCAGUUGCAGUGAAUGGUAUCCCCAACUCCGGACUACUGUCAUUUCUUGAUGGGAUUCAAGGCAUUGAACUUACAAAAUCAUCGUAGCCUUAGUCUUCAUGCACAGAAGACCUCUUUCUCUCAAACUCCUGGACACGACUUUUUCAAUAGUGGUAAGCAUCGGGAUAUCUAGCCCAUUUUCUGACCUUGUAUGAGACGCUCCCAGAAAACCCUUCAGAAUUGCUUAGGGAGUUGCAUCUUUAGGACCACCAGAAGCAUUGGGAACCUCAUACUUUUUGGUUGUCAAAGCACAAGGGUGGCAUUUGGUUUUGUCGAAUGGCACAGCUAGCUCAUCACCUAAUUUCUGACCAAUAUGAAAUGAUUGAGACACUUCAGCGAGUUCCUUGACAUCACUUCUUGUAUGAUUCAACCACUCAUUUCCUUUUUGGACAUUUGGAAUCCAUGAAUUCAAAGAACUCGUACGCAUUUUCACAGGGACCUUGAUACAUGAUUUUCCCAUAAGAGAGGAGAAUCUUAUCAUUAAAUAGGUUGCAGGUUUCUGGUACUGGUUGGAGGAGGCAGAUCAGAGCAGUUCCAUUAAGAAUGAGGAUGAACUGCCUGAGUGAACUUACAAUCUGAAAAGCUAUUGAACUAUCCAAACGAAUUACCAUUUCAUCCAUGGAAAAAAGCUCUGUUUGUUUCUCCAUCGACUAAUGCACCAAUUAUCACCCCAUCUCCUCAUUGACCAAGAGCUUUCCUGACUCCAUCUUAUCCUCAUCAAUAAUCUCCAGUAAUAGCUCUUUCCAUUCUGUCUCUAGGCAUUUCAAUGUGGUCCAUAUGGCUUACAGGUGUCUAGAAAUUUCCAACAGUAUGUAAAGUGGUUCACAUGGGGCUCUCUCAAAAGCACCCCAACCAAAAUGGCCAGCCCAAAUGGGAUACUCAACACCCCGAACUUACCAGAAUCAGGGGAAUAAGAGGAAAAAAAAAAAGAAAAGAAAAAAUAGGAGCAGAGCGAGGACUGAAGAAAUAACAAAAGGAAAUUAAGCAGAUAACGAAUAUACAAAGCCUCAUUUCAGGUGACAUCCAUGGACUAAUAACAGGUGGAAUUAACAAAGAAUGCAAGCAUGAUUCUUAUAUAUCAAGUCCAGGGAUGAAGCCAUGCAUCAACUACUUACGGGAGGAGUCAAGGAAACCAAGAUAAAAUCAAACAAAGCAUGUAUGCAAACAAACAGAUUCGGUCAAACAGACUAAUAAUCCUUCAAGUCCAAGCCAAUCAAUAAAAUAACACCCAAGAAUCUACAAAAAAAUGUAGAAGAAUAAUAUGAAAAUGAGGAAAUGUGAGGUUCAGAGAGACCUUACCUGGAAGGCUUCCUUUCGAGCAAGAUUUUUGUCCAACUUCCCAACUAUUCUUCCUCUGCUCCAACUCCCUUUAUCUCACAACUUUUCUUGCUUUCUAUGUUCCUCUAGACACUCUUUAUAGCUCCCCUUCCUUCAGCUCCCUGUUUUUCCUAUUGUUCUCCUUCUCCUCCAUUCCUCUUCUCAACGGUCUCUGAAUCCUCUCCUUACAUGUCACCUGCUGGUUUCCCACAGAAAAAAGUCCUUGCCAGCCCACUAUCUCAUACACCUGCUGCCAAAACCUCCUAAAGGGUGGUAAAAAUAUCGCCCCUAAAAUAUCCCAAAACUUCUAGAUCAAAAUGAGGGUCUACACCUUAUAUUCCACAAGCCAAACCUUUUUAGACAUACCUAUGACUUCCUAAUUGGACGAACAACAACCCUUAUUCUUAAAUGGAGAGCAAGUUACUAUCUAAACAAACUUUUAUGACCAAACAUUAAUUGGAACAAAAUUGCCAACAAUUAUAUAAGACUCAAUGUCCUAACAAUCUCCCAUUUUGGUAAUUUUAUGACAAAACAUCAUCAAUAAACCCACCUAAACUCUCAUAAUGAAGUUUACAUAAUACACAUUAAUGCUUAAUUAAAAAUAAACUAAGGGAAUGCUUUGCAAUGCUUUGUAGUACUUAUCUUCCAACCCUGUAACCUACACACAUACAAAAAAACUAUACCAAAAGUAAAGCAAUGUGAGAGAUAAAAUAAUAUUAUGAAAGCAAAAUAGGAUAGUUAGAGGUUUUUCUUGACACCUUGUGAAAGCAUGCAAAAUGAACAGAUUCCUAUAGCGACAUCAAGGUAUAAUGCAGCUUAAGAGGAAUAUAGAUGCAUGCAAAUCAACCAAAUAGAAUAUAAGCUAAAUAAGACCUAAUUAUUUAAUAGUAAAGUGAAGGGGGCGUUCAUCAACCAUAUUACUAGCAAUGAAAGCCUUAGGAAGAAGCUUCUAUGACAGAGAUUAGUUCUAGAAAGAUAGAACAUUCAAACAGUAAUAUUUUCUAGAUGAUAGGAAAAAAAAAGCUUUUAAUUCCAAAUGGUUUCUAGAUGUGAUGAACCGGGAAAGUCAAAAGAUCAAGUUAUUGGUCUGGUCAUCGUUGCUGCUGGAAUAGGUGGAGGAACGGGUACUAGUGGGGCUCCUGUGAUUGUAGCUGCAGAAUCAUUGGGGAAGGGUCCUACAUCUUGGCUGAGAAAUAGAGUUAUUGAAUCAAUAUAUAGCCUUGAGGCUCUCUUAUUGUUUCCAUUGGAAUUGUUGAUAACUAAGGAAUGGAAGAGUAUAAAGCUUGAACUUCAGCUUCUGACAUCAGGUUCACUUGACGGCUAAGCACCCAUUGCUUGAAUGGGUUGGUUAGGAAAAUCACUACCAGAAUCACCAUCACUUAGGUGGUGUUUGUUUUUUUGGCUUUUUGCUGAAAGUAAUUUAUUUUUGAAAUUUAAGUUGUUUGUUUUUCUACUUUUUUAUGACUUAUUAUAAACUUUUUACUAAAUAGAAAAAAUCAAAAUAUGUAGUUUUUUCUUAAUAGAAAAAAUAACACAUUGAUUUUUCUUUACUUUUUAAUACUUAAUAGAAAUAAAAUAUUAUAAAAACAAAUAACCUAAUAUUUAACAUUAUUAAGCAUUAAGGUUCUAUUUAGAAUUAAGUAAAAAAACAAACACCACCUAGGGUGGUGUUUGUUUUUUUACUUAGUGUUUACUAUUAUACAAACUCUGUAGCAUGGAGGUCUGAUGGAUCUAAUAAUGGUGUUUGGAGUGCUAAUAAGCCUUCUCGGUACACUGGUGCUCAUGCAAUUGCUGGAAGCAAGGCACAUGCCAGAUUUUCAAUGAAACUGAACCUCUAUUUCACUGCACUGCUUUAAGCUUAGAUCCUGGCAGUCUGUGAUAUCUCUGUUGGGGAAAGAAGUAUGAGCAAGGUGAAAUCACAACUUGGUAGAGGAGAAUAAAUGUCGAUGCAUGAAAUGGCAAACAAGAUGAUGUUUGAGCUAUAUUUUGUCAGCCUGAAGAAGCAGAGAUGCUUGGUAAAACAAUAUUGGAGACUUGCACAGAUCCCUACUCUGAUGUUAACAAACCAAAAUGAAGUUUCUGGUGAAGAACUGAAACCAUUUCCAGAGAGGCUUUAUGUGGUUCUUUCUAGAGAAACCAUUGAAGAAAUCAUUGGAACGCCAAGGGAGCUACCAUCCUUCUGAAUUUCCAUCUGGAGAGCAUCUUCUUUUGCUUAAUCCACCAAAGAAGCAAUUCAGUAGCCAAUUGCCAUCUCUCAACGGCUCACUGGAACUGCAUUGCAAAAAUUCAGCUCAGCUGAGAAGUUUGCCAUUGGAAAAUUGCAAUUUGGUUGGUCCUGUGCCAAAAUCUUCGGGGAUUGGUAAUAUUAAGACUGUCAAUGAAUAACAAGAACACAACAGCCCAGGAUCUGCUCUCUUAGCCAGCUCGUACCAAAUCAUUCUCAUUGGAAACAGCUCAGAUGGGUUUGAGCUGAAUCAUUUGGGAAAUGAAUAACUUAUGAUUGAUUGCAUAAAUGGUGGGGCCUACAAUCCAGAAGAAAACCCUCUCAGAAGACACAAGCUCCUUCCCAUUCUUUCCCAUUCUGUUUGUUUCCAGCCUUGAUACCUUCAAUACCUGGCAGUCUCCACACAACUCAUCCAAAGUCCCUCCAUCAAAUUUGAACCCAAAGCCAAACAACUCCGUGUCUAAAACCUUAGGACUAGCUCACCACCUUGUUUUUCUUCAUACCCACCACCUUCAGCUUCACUCAUCACCAAGCCAACUUCUCUCACAUCCUCCACUACUCAUUUCCUACCCAACCUAGCUCUAUCUUUCUCACUUAACAAGUGCUGGUGAUGACAGUGAAGACUGGUCACACCUCUCUUUACUCGGCUCCAGCGAUGAGACUAAUGCCUUUGAUGAUUCCGAUACUUUUGUUUCUCCAGUUCAGGGGUUUGCCUGUAUUGGAUGAAUGGCUCCAAGAGUACAUAAAGGAAAGAUUGGUGAUGUUAGUAGCCCCAAGGAUGGUGAUAAAUCUGCUGAGGAAUCCCUAUUGGUUUUACUUCAUGCACUUGAUAAGCUGCCUGUGAAUCUUCAAGCCCUUCAAAUGUGUAACAUUGGCAAAUCUGUUAAUCAUUUACGUACUCAUAAAAACUUAGAAAUUCAGAAGAAAGCAAGGAAUUUAGCUGAUACAUGGAAGAAACGAGUUGAGGCAUAAAUGAAUAUUAAUGAUGCAAAGUCUGGUUUAAGUCAGGCUGUUCCAUGGUUCUCGAGGCCACGUCUUUCUGAAGUUUCUCAUGAUGGGAACAGACACUCUGGCGGCUUCUCUGAGAUUGCCAUGGAGAGCUCAGUCAUGCAGCUUUCUUCAUCUAAAACAGCUCCAGUUAAUAAGAUUAUACUGGGGGUUGUCUUCAAUUAACUAGAUUCAAUACUAACCAUUGUUGCCUGACUUAGUGUUAGAGAUCCAUUGGACAAAGAGGAUCUUGCAGAGGCUGCAAAAGCUCAAUUUUCUCAUGACUACAGUGAUCAUCUUGCACUUGUUCGGUCUGGAAAGAUGCUGAAAAGGACCAAAUUGGAUAUGAAUAUUGAUGGAAAAAUUUUCUUUCGGCACAUUCAAUGAAAGCUAUUGAUUCUCUUCAGAAGGAGUUCUUCUCUUUGCUAAAGGAUACUGAACUGGUUGAUGACAACAUGAACACCUACAACGCAUGGAACUAUGAUGAGCAUCUCAUUUGAGCAGCUAUUUGUUGUUGUUGUAGUAUGUGGCUCAUAUUUGAGCAAAAAGACAUAUGGAGAGAAAGGGGCAAAAUGUUGGAGCGAAGUAGAGCGAUGGCAUUUUUCAUUCAGGGUUUGUACUUCUUUGUUGUGGGGCGAAUGAUAGGUUGGGGGGUGUUGCCCCCCGCAGUACAAUUCAGGGGUAUUUUUGGAAUUUCAUUCCUAAGGGUUAGUAUAAGUACCCUUUUUAUGUAACCUUAAUUUUAACAUAGUGAAAAUCCUCUUUUCCCUGUUCCCGAUGACAUAGGCUACCCGAACCACAUUAAAUCUUUGUGUUCUUCUUUCUUGCUUUUUCUAUUAUUUUUGCCAUAAAUCGUUGCACGGAUUUCAACAAUUGUGGCCCGUAUCCUGAAAUUUGCUCUGUUGUGCAAAAUGAAAUGUCAUUCUCAUUGAAAACAAUGGAGGAUGGUCAAGUGAUCUUGCAUUCGAAUUCAAUUAAUGCUCGAGAGUGUAAACUCUGUUUUCCUCUAGGAUUCAAUAGCUAUGUCUGAUUUAGUGUUUCUUCUAUUUGGGGGCGACAUCUUGAGAGAGAUUAUGAUGGGUACCUUGAAGAAUCUUGGACAUUCAGUGCUUGAAAAUAUACCAAUGACUAAGCAUUCCAGCAAGAUUUUGGAACCAAAAUGCAAUUGGAAAGGAGCAGUUUGUAAUGAGAUUGCUGGUUUGACUGCUAUUUCAGUUGAUCUUUCAUUUGUUCCUUUGGUUGAAUCUAUUGGGAUGGAAGGAAGGGACAUGGUGUUUUCUUCCAAAAGUAGCUUAUCAUCAUAAUCAAAUGCUGGAAACAUCCUCAUGGACAAUAAGGUGGGUUCACUAAUGGGGUCUCCUUUGAGAGAUAUCCAGCACAAUGAAACUGUAUAAAAUGAAGAUCUUUUGUCUCAUUCAGAAAGGUUCAAACGGUUGGAACAUAGAUGCUAUUGUGGUAAAUGAUGUCAUUGAGCAAGGAAUUGAAACCACUAGCAUCCAUAGAGUAGACACAAUUGCACCCCGACCCCCGCGUGUGCAUGGUCAUGCAUGGCCACCUUGGUGCACACUCUCCUCCACCAUAUGCUUCUUUUUGGUGACUUACACUUUUUUUGUAAUCAGAUUUUCAAACCUAUUUUCAAUUGAAUAAUCCUUGCUGUCAAAAUUUGAUUUUCGAAACUUCAGCUUUCAAAUAAUUUUAAUUCUACUCUAGUUUUCAAAUAAUUGUAAUUCCCCCAAUUUUUCUCCCUUCCUUAGAGUUUUAGGUCACCAAAAAUCCAUUUUCAAUAAACAUUUGAUGUCAUUUUUUCUUUGGCAAGCAUCUUUCACCUUUUUUCCUUGAUUUUAAAUAAAUUUAUCUAUUUUCACGUUUUUAAUGAGCAUGAAUGCAAUUUCCAUAAUUCCAAAAUAAUGAAAUUUAUGGGCUUAAUUCAUGCAAAAUCAAUUAGGCAAUGGUGGGGCCCAACAUCUGUGAUUGAUAUUGAUUAACUUAUCCACUACUCUUACAUGCAUGUGAUUAUUUUAUACAUAAGCUAACCUUUUUUUUCAUGAUAGCACAUUAUUAUUUGUUGCUAAGGUAUGCUCCCACUCCCACUUUGCUUAUUUAAUCUCUAUGAAUGACUUGCUUCCAUUAUGUGAUUAUUCCUUGGUAUCCAUUGAUCUCCUUAUCAAUUGCCACACUUACCUCACCUUAUUUAGUAUUGACCAAUUUUUAGGGGGCUUAGAGGGGUGCUACAACUUGUCGUUGUACCUUUCCAAUAGGUAACCUGACCCUCACACCUAGACUUGGUUUUCACAGACCGUCUUUUCAUAUUAGAUGUCAUAUUUAGGGUUUUUCUUUCUUAUUUUGUUUUCCCUUUAAAAAAUAAAAUAAAAUAAAAAUAAGUUGCAACUCCAAUUUUUUUUUUUCUAAAAUUCAAUUUUCUUCACAAAUAAAAAAAUGAGUCUCACCAUCGAGUGGGAACUCAUUGUGAAAAAUGUUGGUCCACAAGUAUAUUUCUCUAAAACACAAACUCGAGGUAUUACAAAUCAUGCUAAUAUAUCAAGUAAAUAAACAAUCAUAUGCCCAAAAUAAAAUAAGGCUAAAGGUAACAAAAAGAUAUAAACACUAAGCUCAACAUCUUUGAACCUAUACCUAUGAUGAGCAAUCAAUUAGGCAUAUGCCCAAGGAUUUCCUAUGGUACUUAAACCUAAGAAAUCCAGGGGUUUGGUAAGAAUAUCUGCUUAUUGAUGUUCAGUGGGGACAAACUCUAGAGAAAUUACUUUUUCUUCUACAAGAUCCCUAAUGAAAUGAUGAAGAAUUUCAAUGGGUUUACUAUAGAAAUGAAUAAUAGGAUUCUUUGAGAUAUUUGUAGUACUAGAGUUGUCAUAGUGUAUGUUUAUAGUCCCUUGUUCAAUUCCAUAGUCUUUAAGCAUUUGCUUCAUCCACAAGAGUUGUGUACAAUAGCUCUCAGUAGCGAUAUACUCAGCUUCAAAAAUAGAUAAGGAUAUAGAUUUUUGUUUCUUAUUAAGCCAAGCCACAAGACAAUCACCAAUAAAAAAACAAGCAUCAGAUGUGUUUUUUCUAUCCUCAACAUUUUCAGCCUAAUCAACAUUGGAAUAUCCAACAAUCACAAGAGAAAUUCAUACGGAUACCACAAACCAUAAUCAAGAGUAUCAUUUAUAUAAUGAAUAAUUCUUUUAACAAACAUUAAGUGUGACUCUUUGGGGUUUGCUUGAUACCUAACAUAGGCUCUAACACUAAAAGAUAUGUUAGGACGACUUGCAGUAAGGUAAACUAAGCUUCCUAUCAUACUUCUAUAAAGCUUUUGCUCAACAUCCUUUCUAGAUGCAUCCUUGUUAAGCUUAGCAGUAGUGCCCGUAGGUGUCCUAAAGGGUUUGGAGGAUUCUAGACCAAAUUUUUUAACUAAUUCCCUAGCAUACUUGGAUUGAGAAAUAAAGAUCCCAUAUUUUAGUUGCCUAAUCUGCAAUCCUAGGAAGAAUGAUAAUUCACUUACCAUGCUCAUCUCGAAUUUAGUCUUCAUCUCUUUGGCAAAACUAAGGGCAAGGCUACUAGAUGUAACUCCAAAAACUAUAUCAUCUACUUAAAUCUGAACUACUAGCAACUCACAAUUGGACCUAUUUAUAAAUAAGGUUUUAUCAACUCCCCCUAUUUCAAACUUUUUCUCCAAGAGAUAGGUUGUGAGCUUCUCAUACCAUGCUCUAAGAGCUUGCUUUAAACCAUAAAGGGCUUUCUUUAACCUAUAGACAUAAUUAAGGAAUUUCGAAUCCUCAAAUCCCUUAAGUUGCUAAACAUAAACCUCUUCACCUAGAAUCCCAUUUAGAAAUGCACUCUUAACAUCCAUUUGGUAAAGCUUUAUCCUCAAGGAGCAUGCUAUUGCCAAAAGUAUCCUAAUUGAUUCUAGUCUAUCUAUAGGUGCAAAUGUUUCUUCACAAUCAAUCCCCUCUAUCAUUGAGUAUCCUUGGGCAACUAGUCUUGUUUUGUUUCUCAUAAUAACCCCAUUCUCAUUUUGCUUGUUCUUGACUAUCCAUUUUGUACCUAUUACAUGUUUAUCUUUUGGCCUAGGGACUAAAUACCACACAUCAUUCCUAGUUAAUUGUUUUAACUUUUCCUGGAGUGUGGUACUCCAAGAUUCAUCUCCUAAAGCUUCCCCACAUUCUUUGACUCCAAUUGGGAGGUAUAGCAUACAAGACCCAUCUCAUUUAAUCUUGAUUGUCUCUUAGUAACCACUCGUUCAUUUACAUUACCUAUAACAUUUGAGAUUGGGUGGUUCUUAGGUAUCUUGGAUCUAUGUUUAUCCUUUAUUUCUUUAGGAGUGUCAUCUAAAGGUACAACUUCAUCAUUAUUAGGGUCAAUGUUUUUAUCAAGGAUGUCAUUAGGGUUUUCUUUUGUGGUCUCCAAGUCUUUAGGGUCAUUCCCAAUUGAUUCCUAGAUUAAAAUUUGAUUAUCAAUUAUAUCCUGAUCAUACCCAAUAUCAUUUAUACUACAUUAGAAGAUUCCUAGAUGAUGUGAGAAUUUUGAUUAUACACCUUAUAGGCUUAGCUAGAAGUAGAAUAGCCUAGGAAGAUACCUAAAUAAGAUUUAGCAUCAAAUUUACCAAGGUUCUCUCCAUCCCUAAGUAUAUAGCAUUCACUGCCAAAAUUCAUAAAAUAUUUAAGAUUAGGUUUUCUCCUAGUCCAUAAUUCAUAAGAUGUAUUCUUUGUUCCUAACCUGAGAAAAAUCCUAUUGGCAGAAUAACAUGUAGUAUUAAUUGCUUCUACCCAAAAUUUCAUAAGGGUAUUAUACAUAUGAAUUAUGGACUCUAUUCUCUUUUUCUACUACUUCAUUUUUUUUUAGGAGUUCUAGGGGUUGAAAACUCAUGUUUAAUUACUUUUGAUUCACAAAAGAGGUCAACAUCCAUCCACAUUGUUGAACUCUCUCUUCCCCCUAUCACUCCUAAUCCUUACAAUUGGAUGGCUAAUUUCCACUAGUAUUCUAUUAAAUAAAGACAUUAAAUGUUCUAUGGCCUCAUAUUUCUCCUUAAGAAAACUCACAUAGGAGUAUCUUGAAAAAUCAUCUACAAUCAUAAGGACAUAUCUCUUGCCACCUCUGCUUUUAGUGUGCAUUGGACCCAUAAGAUCUAUGUGAAGAAGCUCUAAAGGUCUAAUGGUCCUUAUCUCCUUAACCUUUUUGUGUGAACUCUUAGUUUGUCUUCCUUUCAUGUACUCACCACAAAUGGGUUUAGGUUCACCACUAAGUCUAGGGAUACCUCUAACCUUUUCAAUAUUCACUAAGUGCACAAAGUCCCUAUAAUUUAUAUGACCAAACCUUCUAUGCCAAAGCUCAGUAGGAUCAAGCUUAGCCUUACUACACAUAAGAGGUGUUCUAGAGUUAGGAUUUAUGGCAUAAUAGUUAUCAUCUGUCCUAUGUCUUGUGAUGACUAUUUUUCCUUCUUUAUUAACUACCUCGAAUAAGUCUUGUUGAAAAUUCACUUUAUGAUCUUUAUCCCACAUUUGACUAAUGCUUAGGAGGUUUGCUUUGAGUCCUUCAACAUAUAGAACUCCAUCUAGUUUGGGACAACCAGGGAUAACUAUACUAUCUUUGCCUUUUACUCAAGUUAGGCUUCCAUCUCCAAAAGUAACAACUCCACCAUCAUAGUUUUCUAGAGAAGUAAAGGAGGAUUUGUCUCUUGUCAUGUGUCUAAAGUACCCACUAUCAAGGUACCACUUACUAGAAGAUUUAGCUUUAAGAGCAUUGAACACAACUUGACAUUUAGACCUAUCAUUUCUCAACCAAACUUGUUAUGUCUUGGGUGGUGACUUGGAGAAACUAGAUUGACUUCUAGGUUUUUGAUUAGCUUUGUUUCCUUUCCCAUUGUUCAAGAUGUUAUUUUUAAGGGAAUUAAAUUCAUUCAUAAGUCUGUUCAUUUGAGAUUCAAACCUUUCAAGAAACCUAGUGUAGCAUCUAAAUUGAGUGUGUCCAGUUUUCUUAUAGUGUGUGCAUAGUGAUGUCUUUUUAGGAGAUUUUAUUUUUUGUUAGGGGCACCAUACUUACCUUUGACAAACAUAGUUUCUCCAUUAUAGGGAGUUUCAUCUUUAUUAGUGUACCCUAAUCCUCUUUUAUCUCCAUGGGUUUUGCAUUCAUCAAGAAUUUCAUUAAGCACUUUAGUUCCAGGGUGAAAAUUUUCAUUCGCAAAUGAAGAAGGCUUAUUAUUAUUGAUUUCUUGAGUGUGAGCAUUAUUCUUCUCAAGGAGAAAAUGAUGCUCAUAUUUAAGAAAUCUGACUUUCUCAAGAAAAUUAAACUUUUCAACAUUUAGCACAUCAAUCUUUUUUUUAUGAGCUUUAAGAACAUCAUGAUUUUUCAUAGAACUUUGGAUCAAUCUUUCAUGCUCAACAACAAGAUUACUCACAAAUUAAACCCUUUGUUCAUUAGUAAACUCAUCAUCAUCACUAUCACUAUCACUAUCACAAUCAGUAUCAUCCAUAGGUUCCAUAAACGCAACAAAAGCUAACAUGUCAUUGGAAUCAUACCUUGCAUCUUCAGAAGUUGUGGAAGCACUCUCUUUAGAGUUUGAAUCACUCCAUGUUGCCUGCAUAGACUUUUUGAUAUUUUUUUUGGGCUAGGACAAUCUUGAGCAUAGUGUCUUAGACCUCUACAAUUAAAGCAUUCAACUUUCUUACCUUUGGAGGAACAUUUUACUUUCUCAUUGGAUGAUUAUUCAUUAGGUUUUUUUCCUUCUCCAUAUUCUCGAUUAUUGUGGAACCUUUUAUUGAAUUUCAUGACCCUUUUAAUCCUUUUGGCCAUAUGGGCAAAUUCAUCCUUAGUUAUAUCAUAUGACAUUUCAAUAUAUUUUUUCUCAUCCUCAGAAGCCUUAAAAGUAGAGUCUUUAGGCUUUUGGGAACUAGGUAGGGUCAUCUCUUAUGUCUAAAAAGAGUCAACUAGUUCAUCAACUCUCAUGGAAUUGAUGUCCUUGCUCUCCUCUAUGGUAGUUAUUUUGGGUCUAAAUCUCUCUAGAAGAGAUCUCAAUAUUUUCCUAACUACAUUAGAAUAUGGAAUAGGUUCUCCAAGGUUGAAUGAAGAAUUUACAAUAUGACUUAAUUCAGAAUAAAAAGAAGAAAAAGAUUGAUUUUCAUGCAUCCUAAUAAUCUCAAACUUAGUAGCAAAUAUUUGUAACUUAGAAACCUUUAUAGCAGACGUACCUUCAUGAGUGACUUGAAGAAUAUCCCAUGUUCCUUUACACGCUUGCAAUUUGCAAUCCUAGAAAACUUGUCUAGACAAACUCCAUUAAAAAUACUAAAUAAAGCCCUAGCAUUGGCUUAACUACCUUCAUUAUCGGUUUUGUCCCAUUCAUGUUUAAGUUUAAGUUCUCCUGUUGAUCUUCCUUGAGCAUCAAGGAUCAAUGGUGGUCCCCAACUGAAUUGCAUACCCUUUUGCCUUGAAUUUUAAGGGAAAACAUCAUUCGUGCUUUCCAAUGAGAGUAAUUAUUCCCAUCAAAAUAGGGUAGACUAUUCAAAGAGGCACCACUUUUUUACUGUUCCAUAUCAGACUUACAGGAUCAAUAAAAUUUUGAUUUUUAUCCUAUAUGAUCAAUAAAAAUUUGAUUUUUAAACAAUGAAAGCUAAAUCUUUAAUCAAUAGGAUAGAGAAUCGGUUUUUUAUCUUGUUCUAAUACCAAUUGAAAAAUGGGUAUUGAUCAAAUACCUCUUAAAUAAUAAUUGAAAGUCUAAUAGGAAACACCCAAAGGGGGAGGAGAGAAUGGGUGAUUUAAAAAUUUUAAAUUAAUAUUUAUAAAUAAUAACUAACUUUUUCUUACUCUAAUAGAUAAUAGGGAUAUCCCAAAUAACUAAAUGGAUUAUACCCAAAAUAUUUAGGUUUAUAAAAAUAUGAUUUUUAACUUUUAGGGAUAUCCCGCAAUUGGUUAGGAAUAAUAUAAUUAUGAAUAUCCAAAUUAUACCUUAUGAGAUGUUAGGUAAAACAAUAAUUAGUUAUAGGUAUAACAACCAUAACCUCCAAGAUAACCAAUCCAACAAUUUCAAUAACCAAUCAAUCAUAAAGGAAUCUCAAUAACAACCUAACUAACCUAUUCAAUAUAAUCAAUAUCAUCAACUAUAAUAUAAGCAGUAAUAAAAAGAUAUGCAAUGAGGCAUAACAUUUUUACAUGGAAAACCCCCACGAAUUAUGGAAUAAAAAAACACAAGGUCUAAGACCUAUCAAUCUAAACCCAUUAUUCGAAAUCAAGUUACAUAGAUUUACAUUACAUAGAUUUACAUAGUCAUUUUACCCUAAAUACUUUCUCUCCAGCACCUGCAACUUUAUCUAUGUCUGUGAUGCAACAACUCCUUAUUUCUCCCUAGUAGAUCCUUCAGCCACUCUAAAGGGAUUAAGGUCUUCAAAAAAACAAUUGAAAUAUCCUAAUCCUUGAAUAAGAGAUUGCGAAUGGUGUGACAAUAAGGAUUUCUCUCAAUAACUCACUCCCUCAUGAAUGAAAGGUCUCAACGAUAUAUUUUCAAUCUCCCCAAAAAUCUCUACACAAUCUUUUAUCCUUAAUGGGUUAUAAGAGAUGUAUUUAUAGGCAAAAGUCAUAAGAAUUUCGAUAUCUCAAGUUUCCAAAUUUGAGUUUGAAUGAAAUUCAUCCAAAAUAUGUUUCUAAACUCGGCAAGAAUAACAUGAUUGCUUAAGUGGACUUAGACCGCUUGAGCGGUUCAUACAACUUGAGUGGGUUGACUACUUGAGCGAGAUUAACCACUUGAGCCCCUAUUUUUUGAAAAAAAAAAUAUUAUAAUUCCAAAAAUGAAACCGAACCUUUUAUACCUUAAAUAAGUCUUAUAUGCCACAACACAAACCUUUUUAGACGUAUCUGUGACUUCUUAGUUAGAUGAACAAGAACCAUUGAUCUUCAAUGGAGAGCAAGCCACUAUAUACAAAGACAUCUAUGUCCAAACAUUGAUUGGAACAAAAUUGCCAACAAUUACACAAGACUCAAUGUCCUAAUAAACAAGAUCUCUAGUUUGGGUUAAUUGAUUAAUUAGAUGAACCUAUCUAGUUAAUUAAUCAAUUAGGACCCAUUUUAGGCUAGAUUAAGUGACCCAAGCCUUGAUGAGCUUAAGUCACUUAAGCCCAAUGGGUAACCCUAUAAAUACCACUUUUAUGAGUUAGGGUCUCAUAUAACUUUUUGAUAAGAAUUGUCUUCCACCUCUAGAGAAAGAGAGAGUCAUUGCUUCCUUUCUUCCAUUAUCCACACUUUAAAGUGUUAAGAUCAUGGUUUGAGUCAUCUUCCGAAAGAUCUUGGAUGUACAAGACCUCCAGACUCUUUAGGCUUCUUCUUGAUUAGAUGGAUUUUGAUUUGGGAACAUCCAAAUCACAGGUAUGAAUACUAUAUCUCUAUAUCUAUAGUUAAUAAUAGUUUUUAUUGUCAUUUUAUUUCAUUAUGAUAGAUUUAGAGAUGCCUAGGGAUAAAGAACAGAGUACUAAGGCAUGAGAACAGAGUACUCUAGGGUUCCCAACACCAAGAUCAUCGUUUAAGUCAUCGGUCAGAAGAUCUUGGGUGUACGAGACCUUUGGUUCAUCGAGUGGAAUUGACUUAGGAACAUCUCAGUCAAAAGUAAAAUUUAGUAAUGACUUUUCUCUAGAUCGUAUAAUGUUAAAAUUUAUUUUUUACUUUCGUUACAUAAGAUCUAGAUCUAGAGGCGUAAAGAAGUUUACAUGCACCUAUACAAUCUAGGGCUUGGGAACAAAGAGAUCUAGGGUUCCUAGAAAUUGGUAUGAAUGCCCUAUGAUAAGAUUUUUCAUGUUAGAUAUGCUCUAAGGUGUGUUAACUCUAUUUUGAAAGGCUUGUUUUUCAUUUGAUGGCCCUAGGGAUGAAUAUAUGUGGGUUUUCAAUAUAAUAUGAUGGUUAUAAUUAUGAUUGGAUUGUUUUAUUUUUGCUAGAAUAGGUUGUAAGCUUCAUGUUUAGGAGCAUAGGAUUUUUCUUGGUUGUAAAAAUCUCUCCUUUAUUAGAUUGGUUGUAAACUCCAUUAAUGGAGUAUAAUAUUUUUGUGAUGUAAAAGAUCCUUUUUUUUUUUUUUAACAAUCUAAUAACUCAUGAAAGACAAGAAAGCAAUCUAAGAUGUCAUUCUUAACCAUCAUGACUCCCACACCAACCAAGGUAAGUUUUUGGUGGAGAAAACAAUCAAAAUCUACAAAAGAAAUAGUCUCAAGUGCUCAGGAAAGGUGACUUGGGUGCUCGAGCAAUCACUUAUCAUGCUCGAGCGAUAUGAUUGAUCGAGUGGUGCUUCCAAUGAUGGUAAGUUGCUUCUAGCAUCCUCAAAAAAAUUUGAGCGCUCUAGUGUAGGUGACAAUAGAUGUGCAAUAAGGAAAUACAACAACAUAAAAAUUGCAAUUCGGGAUUUUUGUAAUAGAUUAGGGUAUUUAUGUAACUAACCCUAUUUUCUGUUACAAAUAUAACUUGGGAAAAUUUGGAUUUUUUAUCCAAAUGGGUUACCAACUUUAUGUAAUAGUAUUCCCAAGGCGAUGGAAACCAGUUCAUUAAUUUAUUAUUUAUUUUAUUUCAUAUUUUUUUCUGCUUAGCAUGUGUUAAAUAAAGAAUAAAUUGGAAAAAUGAUUUUGGAUUUUUCUUAAGGAAAAUAGAUUUUCAUGAGAAACGUUUUCCAAUAUUAUUUUUCUUUUGAACUAGUCGUUGUUAAAGACAUUGUUAUUCCUUUUUGGAUUAUCCACUUGGUUAAUAGGUGGUUCUCUAAGAUCAACCCCUUAGAAAAGGAGGAAAUCAUUUUGUAUAUGGAUAGUCUAAGGAUAAAGGAAUAAGAGAGAAAUUCUUUUAUCACAAGACUCUUAAUUUAAGAAGUAAAUAACAGAAUUGGAAAAUCUCAUGAUAGAGAAUUUAUUUUAAGAAAGGUUAUCAAAAUUACUAAAAGUCACUAUUUUCAAAAUAUUAAUUAGGAGAGGGCCUUAGCAAAUACGAUAACCUCCAUUGUCAAGCCCAUCUUGAUUUGGGUUCAUCACCACCCUCACAGUGGAUUGUAAGCCCUAGGAAUCAAGGGAUAUAGACUCUCCUUAUAGACAAGGCUUUACAUGUCUGUAGUAGGAGCAACCACCCCCAUGGUGGGUUUCCUUGCUAAGUGAUAUUGAUAGCUUAAGGACAAUGGUUAUACACUUAACAUUGGAUAUUAAGUGGUUGAAUCACCCCACACAAUCCCACCUACAUAGUUCAUAGGUCAAAUAAAAAGGUAUGUUGUUCUUGCCUUUAGGUAACGUUCAUGUUUAAGGUAGGGAGAUCAAUCUGAGAGAGUCACUAACUAAUAAUAAGGUCAUGACCUAACUUAUGUAUUCCUAAACAUAACUAAGGCUAAUAAUAAGGUCACUAACUAAUAAAUCGUGUUGGAAGAAGGAAUGCCCUAAAUUCCUAAAGAGAUAGUUAGUUAUGCAUUUUUAUUUUCUAGUUGAAUCAUGUUUAGUGUUGGAUUCUACUAAUUCUUAGUGGAUAGAUUCCAGAGCUAUUGAUCAUGUUUAUAAUUCAUUACAGGGGUUUCAACUAAGCCGAAGGCUAAAUGAUUGAGAUAUGUAUCUAACAUUAGCUUCUGAAGCGAGACUUGUUGUGUAGGCAAUGGAAGAUGUUACCUUUAUAUUUUCUUAUAAUAGUCUUAUAAUAGUCUUUUAGUAUUAAAGGAUUGUCUUUAUGUUCCCGAGUUUAUGAAGAAUUUGAUUUCGAUUUCUAAUAUAUGUAAACUGAAUUAUUCAUCUUUUUUCUAUUAAACAGGUUUGUAUUAGAUUGAAUGAUUCAUUUAUAUGCUCAAGAUCAUUGAUAGAUAAUCUUUAUCGUGUUUCUCUAUUAUCUAUUUUGUGAAGUAAUGAGAGUUAUCAUAUUUCAUAGAAAAUGAAGGAACCUAGCAAUAAUCAAAUAUAACUUUAGCACUUAUACGUAGGUCAUAUAAUCUAAACAAGGCCUAAAGAUUGGUUAAGUUUAGAACUUUACCAUUCUUGAUUCAAAAGAUCUUACAGUUUGUGAAUCUUGUAUAGAACGUAAAAUGACCAAGAAGCCUUUUACUGCUAAAGAAUAUAAAGCCAAGGAAUGUUUAGAGUUAGUGCAUCUUGACAUUUGUGCAUCUUUCAAUGUCCAUGCACAAGAAGGAUAUGAGUAUUUCAUCACGUUUACAAAUGAUUACUCCAUGUUUGGAUAUGUUUACCUGAUGCAUAGGAAGUUUGAUGCCUUGAACAAAUUCAUUGAAUUUAAGACAGAAUCAGAAAACUAAUUGGGUAAAUGUAUCAAGGCACUUCAAUUUGAUAAAGGUGGUGAGUAUAUGUCUACUCAAUUUGAUUCUUUCCUUAAGGAGCACAAGAUUAUAUCCUACUUGAGUGCACUAGGAACUCCACAAUAAAAUGGAGUAAUAGAAAGAAGAAAUCGAAUGUUGAUGGACAUGAUGAGAUCUAUGAUGAGUUUCUCAUCACUCUUGUAUCCUUUUGGGGAUAUGCCUUAGAUAUUUCAUCUUACCUUCUCAUUUUCACAUUUAGGGGUGCCUAAGACAUGUGCUGAAGCUAAAGGUAGACAAAUUGAAAGCAAGGCUUGAUGUAUAUCAAUUUUUAGGUUAUACAAGAGGAAUGAGAGGCCUUUACUUUCACAUCCAGGUCGAUCAAAAGGUAUUUUUCAGUACAAAUGCCAAAUUUAUGGAAGAAGGUUAUAUGAUGAAUAAUAGGGUAAAACAUGAUAUAGAUUGGAGGACACUUGAAGACACUCCCACACUAGCACAAAGGACUAUGAGACAACAAGUUCCUACACCUACCAUUCUAGUCAAUUCUAGUACAUUCAUGGCUCAUUGUAGUGGAAGGAUUGUUAUACAACCAGACAAGUUCAUGUAUUUGAGAGAGUUUAUCAAGGCAAUUCCAAAGGAACAUGAAACCGAUCCCAUAGAUUAUAAUAACGCAAUGAGUAGUAAUGAUGUUAUUCUUUGGCAAAGAGCUAUGGAGGUAAAGUUAAAAUCUAUGUAUUCUAACAGAAUCUAGGAUCUUGUAGAAGUACCUGAACUGCUAAAACUCAUAGGCGGUCUAAAAAAGGAAGAGAAGUAAAUGGAAAGAUUGAGACAUACAAGGCUAGGCUGGUAACGAAGAGUUAUAGUCAAAAACUUGGUUUUAACUAUAAGGAGACCUUCUCACCAAUAGCCAUGCUGAAAUUCGUCUGAAUACUCCUAUCCAUUACAAUGCACCUUGAUUGUGAAAUAUGACAAAUAGAUGUCAAGACAAUGCUCUUGAAUGGUGAUCUUAAAAAGAGCAUCUAUAUGAUGUAACUAGAUGGAUUCAUAGCAAAAUGAUAAGAACAUCUUAUGUGCAAGUUGCAUAAAUCCAUUUAUAGAUUAAAUUGGGCGUCUUGCACAUGGAAUAGGCAUUUUGAUUAGGCUAUCAAGACUAUUGAUUUUGAUCAAAAUGAGGAUGAGUCUUAGGUGUACAAGAAGAUGCAGGAAAGCAUGGUUGUGUUUUUGGUCUUAUAUGUUGAUGACAUUCUAUUCAUUGGGAAUGAUGUAGGGUUAUUGUCAUCAAUUAAGAUCUGGCUAUCUACUUAAUUCUAAAUGAAAGGUCUAAGUGAGACACAAUAUAUUCUUAGAAUUAAGGUCCUUUGGGAUUGUACGAAUAGGAAGAUUGCGUUGUCUUAGGCCACCUACAUUGACAAGGUUUUGGUCAAGUAUGUGAUAAAGGACUCUAAGAAAGGUUUCUACCCUAUGCUUUUGCAAUGGGUAGCCUUAUGUAUGUGGUGCUAGGUACCAGACCAGAUGUUUUCUUUGCUAUAGGAUGGUGAGUAAAUAUUAGUCUAAUCUAGGCAUGGAGCAUUGGACAAUAAUCAAGCAUAUACUCAAGUAUCUUUGAACAACGAGGGAUUAUAUGUUAGUAUAUCAUUACGAUAAGUUGUUACUUCUUGGGUAUAUGGAUUCAUACUUUCAGUCAGAUAAAGACUCUCACAAGUUUACCUUUGAUUUUGUGUUCACUCUAGGUGGUGGGACUAUUAUUUAAAGAAGGUUGAAGCAAUCUUGUAUUGCUAACGCUACUAUGGACGAUGAGUAUAUUGCUACUUCUAAAGCAGCAAAGGAAGUUAUUUGGCUUCGAAGGUUCCUGUUAGGACUUGGGCUAGUGCUCUUGGCUAUAUCACCCCUAGUACUAUUUUGUGAUAAUAGUGGGAUGGUGGCAUAGUCUAAAGAACUAAAAAAAACCACCUGAAGAGUAUUACUUGAUACGUAAGAUAGUAAUGAAGGGAGAUGUGGUUGUGGAGAAAAUCACUUCUACUGAGAACCUGAUAGAUCCCUUCACAAAGACUUUAUUUACUAGAGUCUUUAAUGGUCAUAGGGUAGCUUUUGUGUCAAAUGUGUUCCCAACAUGCUCUAAGGCUAGUAGGAUUUUGUUGGGAUUAAGCCCUAGAAAGCAUGACAAGAUGUAAUAGAUAUAGAUUCAUUUAUAAUUUUAUUUAUUUAUGUUUCUUUAUUUUGUGUUAUUAUCCUAUUUGUAUUAAUUGGUUAUUUAAGCAUACACACCCCACAUUAAUUGCAUUGUACAUGACUUGGGUGCAUUAGGGGUUACAUAGACGAUCUAAGUCAUUGGUUUCUUAUAGAGUGAUGAGUUGUCCAUAGUCGGUUCAUAGAUUUAGGCAAUCCAUCUGAGACUAUAGUGCACUACCUCCUAAUUGGAGGAAUAACUUGUCUUAGUUGUCAAGAUGGUUUUCCCAUGGUGAGUGCACUAGUGCAUGUGAUGAACACUGCAUUAAGCCUACGGUGAAUCAUGACAUAAGGCUAUCAAUUGUCAUGAUUCACCAAGCUACUAUACUAGAUGAACUCUUAAGCUUGAGAGGAUAUUAAGCCUAUGCCAAAGUCAAUAGGAGGCUUUAACCUACAAGUGAGUUCCUAAGGUGACCAUAUAUCUCUAUGGAUUAUGUCACUAUUGAUUAAGACUGGUGACAAUAGGUAUUCUUAAUAGAGGCACCAUAAUAUCUCAUGGAUUGAGAUAGUGUGUCCCCUUCGAUGAUCCAAAGGACAUGUGAUCUAGAAGAUUUGACAUUUUCUUUAGUGGAAAUUUCACAUAUCUCCUUGGAGUUAGAGUAUGUCAAUUGAUCACAUAAUAAGUAGGAUUUGUAAUCUAAGGACUGAAGACGUAAUCUUGAUAGGUGAUAACACUAUCUUAUUAGAUUGCAGACACCAAUUCAUGGGAAGUCUACAUGUAGUGGAUAUUAGGUCACAAAUUUGAGCUUUAUAUCAUUGUUAUUUACAUAAGUAUUGGAAUGUAGUUGAUUCUCUUAAAUGAAAUGUUGAAUCAACUUCAAAAUUAGAUUUUGAGGGAUCCAUUACUCCUAUGGGUCCUAGUGAUCCCCACUCUAAGCUCAUAUAACAUGAUGACAUGAUUUUUAAGGGUUAGAUUGGCUCUAGGUUCACUCUUGUGCAUAAGGGUAUUUUGGUAAUUACGUAAGGUUGCAUAGGAGAUAGUGAACAAGGUCUCUAGAUUGGACUAAUUGAUUAAUAAGAUGGGCCUAUGUGGUUAAUUAAUUAAGACAUGUUUUAGGCUAGAUUAAGUGACUCGAGCCUUAGUAGGCUCAAGUCACUUAAGCCUAGUAGGGAGACCUUAUAAAUACCCCUUUAGGGGUCAAUGUUUCCAUCACUUUUCAAAGACAGUCGUCUUCCACUUCAGAGAGAGAGGGAGAGAGCUAGGAUUCUUCCCUUCCAAAGUCCACACUUUAGAGUACCAAGAUCGUGGUUCAAGUCAUAGGGCAAAAGAUCUUCGGUGCACGAGAUCUCCAGACUCUUCAAGCUUCAUCUUUAACUAGUGAAAUUGAUUUGGGAUGUCUAAAUCAAAUUUAAAGUUUUCUAAUGACUUUUCUUUGGAUCCUAGAAUGUUAAAAAAAAAAAAAUUCAUUUCCGUUGCAUAGGAUCUAGAGGCAUAGGGUAGUUUGCAUGCACCUAUAUGAUCCAAAGCUUGGGAACAAAGAAACCUACCCAAAAUAAAAGGUACUCGAUAUGAUGAUUUGAAAUUUUUGCAAGGAAUUACAAUUACACUGAAUGUAGCAACAACCUCAUAUGAAAUUCUCGGUGAAGUUUCUAAUUCUUCAAAGCUAGUGAAAAGGCAUUACAAAGUCUUGCAAAGCCAUGUUUGUUGAAAGGUAUUUCUACAUCCAAGUUGGAAUUUUGUGAGCACUAUAUAUUAAGCAAAAACAACAGGGUAAAGUUUGGUAUUGCAGUCCAUCGCACCAAGGAAACAUUAGAUUAUGUGUAUACAAAUGUCUAGGGACAUACAAAAACAACUUCUUUAUGAGGUAAGCAUUGGUUUGUGAAUUUUUUUUAUGAUUACUUAAGAUAUGUGUAGGUGUAUUUAAUGUGAUAUAAAAGUUAUGCUCUUAAUGUGUUUCUCAAAAGACAAUGGUAGAAAAUAAAGUUAUUAAAAAAAUAUAUAUUAAGAAGCAUAUAUUAAACAAUGAUGGGGAAUAUAAGUUAAAUCCUUUUACGCAAAUUAGAGAAAAAAAAUGAUUGUGUGACACUUACCAGUCAUGAAUAUUCUACAAGAAAACAGGGUAGUAGAGAAGACAAAUCACAAAUUGUUUGAGAAGUUGAGGUGCAUGUUGUCUAAGAGCAGAUUGAGGAAAAGAGUUUUAGGUUGAGGUUGUAACAUAUACAUGUCAUCUUAUUAAUAGAUUACCUUCUAUAAUACUUGAGAUCAAGACUCCCAUGGAGAUACGAUAUGGUACUCCAACUUCUGAUUAUGAUUCAUUACAUAUAUUCAGUUGUUCUUCUUACUACCAUAUUUAGAGAAUAAGUUAAAGCUUAGAUCCAAGAAAACAAUUUUCUUAGGUUUUAGUAGUGGUGUUAAAGGCUAUUGUUUAUGGUACUCUUUGCAAAGGAAAAUCAUUGUGAGCAUGGAUGUUGUGUUGAGUGACGAUGUUAUGUUAAAAAAGAGUUUCACAGAAGAUGGAGUUUGGAAGUCAAGUUGAAACUACUAUGAUGUCUUCUCUAGAUCAUUCAAGUAUGGAUUUAGAUGUCAUAGUAGAUGAACUAGAGUUUACUUCCCUAAGGUCCAAUGAAUAUUUUAAGUCAAUUGCAGUAAGUAGACCACAUAAAGAGAUAUUGUCACCUGCAUGACAUGUUGAAUUGGUUGCAUAUGCAUCACCCAUUGUUACUAAAGAUAUUCCAGACACUUAUAGGGAUGCAAUUCAUAGUCCUUAAAGUGAAGAUUGGAAAUUGGAAAUAUAGAAUAGAUGAACUCUCUCCACAAAAUUAAGACAUGGAAAUUAGUUCCAUUUCUUCCAUGAAGAAAGUUGUUGGAUGUAAAUGGCUAAGCAAAUAAAGAGAACUCAAUAAAAAAAAAGGUGAUAUAAGUUUCAAGGUUAUAUUAGUUGCAAAAGGGUAUGUAUAACAUAAAUAUAUUCAUGAUAAUAAAGUGUUUUAUCCUAUUGUUAAUCAUUCUUCUAUUAGAUUAUUGUUCGCUCUUAUUGCUCAAUAUGAUUUGGAGUUGUCUUAGUUAGAUGUUAAAACUGCUUUUCUCCAUGGUGAUUUAGAUGAAGAGACAUAUAUGUCUUAACUAGAAGGGUUUUAAAGAACUAAGAAAGAAUAAUUUGUUUGUAAAAUUGAACAAAUCAUUAUAUUCAUUUGAAGCAAUCCCCAUGGCAAUGGUACAAGACAUUUGAUCAAUUUAUAAUAGAAAUAAUUACAUUAGAAGUAAAUUUGAUCAUUAUGUUUAUUUUAGUAAAUUAUCUUAUGAAAAUUAUAUUUUUUUUGUUAAUAUAUGUCGAUGAUAUGUUGAUUGCUUGUAAGCCUCUGAUAGUCAUUCAUAGGUUAAAAAAUUAGUUGAGAACUAAAUUUGAAACUAAGGAUCUUAGAAUGCAUGAAAAAUUAUUGGAAUGAAGAUGACAAGGGAUAGAAGAAAGGGGAUUGAUGAAUUGUCACAACAACAAUGUUUGUAGACAUUACUUUAGCAUUGUGGUAGGACUUCCAAAAUAAAAAGUGUACUCCUUUGGCACCUCAUAUGAAACUCAAUGUAGAGAUGUCUCAUAACUUAGAUGAAGAAGUAAAGUGCAUAUGCAUAAUGUUCCAUAUGCUAGUGUCGUUUGAAGUUUGAUGCAUACCAUGGUUUGUAAUAGACUUGAUAUUCCACUUGUUGUCAUCAUGGUUAGCAGGUAUAUGCAUAAUCCAAUGGCUCUAGCAAACAGUAAAAUAAAUUUUAAGAUAUAUUCUAUGCACAACUGAUGUUGGAAUAGUAUUUCAACAAGAAUGUUCAACACAAGAUAUGGGUUAUGCAUAUUCAGACUAUACAACUAAGCUUUGUAAGUGUACGUCUAUUAUAGGUUCUGUAUUUACACUUGUAGGUAGACCUAUUUGCUAGAAAUCAACAUCUAUUGUGGCUUUGUCUGCUACAGAGCUAGAAUAUAUGAUAAUUAUAAAAGCUUUCAAGGAAGCUAUUUGGUUACAUGGUUUGGUUAAGGACUUGGGAAUCAAACAUGUCACAUCAUAACUUAUUGUGGUAGUUAAAAUGUCAUUCAUUUGGAAAAUAAUCAAAUUCAUCACUCCCAAACAAAGCAUAUUGAUGUUUGAUUUUAUUUUAUUAAAGAAAUUCUAGAAGAAGGUGAUAUCUUUCUUCAAAAGAUUGCUACUAUAGAUAAUCUAGCUCAUAUGCUGACAAAGAUAGUUUAUGGGAUCAAGUUCAAUCAUUGUGUAGACUUAAUCCAUAUUGAGAGGAUAUGAGUAUCCUCAAGUGCAUUUGGCUACAAGAUCCUUAAAAGAAUUUGUGUAGCGUUCAAUCUUGGCAAGGUGGAGAUUGUUAAAUUGGCUUCACUUAAGUUAAUCAACCAAUUGCAAGAGAAUUUUGAAGCCUUAAUAGUUGAACCAUAUAUUGUUUUUUUAGGUAAAGUCUAUAGUUACAAUGCAUGUAGUUGGAUUGAAAAGUUUCUUGGGGAACAUAGGAUAUAAUUGAUGUUCUCUACAUUGGUUUUUCUUUUUUCUUUUUUCAAUUUUGAAAUUCCAGAGAAAACUAUCUUACAAAGGAGAAAAUACCACACUUAGGACAAAGAGUACUUUGUAAUUAUUCUAUACUCUUUUGAGAUCUUUAGUGAAUGAUCUUACUAUAGGCAAAAACCUUGAAGCUUUACAACGUUAUGAUGUAGUAUUUCCAAUAAUAUAGGCACUUCAUUUUCAAAACCUUUCAAGUAUGUUGCCUCAUCUCUUUCUUGUCCAUGGAGUUUUUUUCGAGGCUACCACAUUGCCUAUACAUAAUUAAGCCUUUAAACACUACCAUAGCCUUCGAUACCUAUGUAAUUUUUUAUAUCGAAAUCUUUUGUUGCCUUGAUGAUGUCUUCAUAAGCAAUCUUACCAUCAUAGUUCCAUGCCAAAAAUAUAUAUCCUUAUGGAUGUUACUUUGGUUUGAUUUUUUCUUAUCUUCAAUGAAAGUGGGAGGGCCACAAAAGAAAGAAACAAAGUGGUAAAAAAAGAAAUAAUGAUGAUGAGUAUGAUUUUAUGUCCCUUCUUAGAAUGAGGCAAGUCUUCUAUGUCCACACAUAAACCUUUAUUGUGGUCAAAUACUGUAAAUAGAUGUUCAAACUACAUUAGAUUCUUCAAAUCCCCAAUUUCAAAAGAGCUAGCAUCGUUGAUUUGAUUGUAACAAAGAUAAAAAUGAGUCAAAUCAGUAGAUGCCCCAAAGAUGAAGGAAUAACACCAAUAAGGGAGUUAUGACUAAGAGACAAUUCCAAGAAUUCUAGGUUGGUAAAAUAUCCAAGUGAGGAAGGGAUGACUCUGGAAAAAGAGUUAGAACCCAAAUCCAAGUGAAUCAGAUUCAUUAAAUUCCCAAUCUAGUAAGGAAUAAAACCAUGGAUUUCAUUGCAACUUAGGCUUAAAUAUUUAAGCAAGUAAACAAUAAUAGCACAAAAUAAACAAGAAAAUAAUAACAUAAUUAUUUCCUCAUGGGCUUUAAGGAUCUUAUUGCAUAAUUAGUAAUAAUUUGGAUAAAAUCCAAAUAAAAAAUAUUACCAAAAAUACCUAUAACCAAAAAUAUGAUUAUAAAAUAAAAAGAAACCUUAAAAAUGAUGGGAGAAACUUGAAUCUCUUCAUUUUCCGAGCCUAGAUUAGGCUAGGAACAUGCUUAACUAUCCUAAGCUUUUCUAAAUCCCAUGCAUAGUGAAAAAAUUGCAUUUUUAAAACUUAAUAUGGAUUCAAUAAGUGCUAACGAAAACAUAAUUUGGAUUAAAAUGUUCUUAAAUCCAAUACACAUAGUGAAGAUAAAGAAGGAAGUCACAGAAGUCUCAUAUACCCGAAGUCUUCCAUUCGAUGACUUGAACCUUGAACUUAACACACUUCAGGUGGGAAUGUAAGAGAAGGUAAAGGUUAUGGCUCUCUCUCUCUCUCUCUCUAGAGGUGGAAGACAACUCUUUAAAAAAAACAAUGGAAACCCUAACCCUUAAGGGGUAUUUAUAGGGUUUCCCACUAGGCUUAAGUGACUUAAGCCCAUUAAAGGCUAGGGUCACUUAGUCUAGCAAAAAACAAGUCCUAAUUGAUUAAUUAACCUAAGAAGGCCAAUUAAUUAAUUAAUUAGUUCAAUUUAAAGAACUUGUUCACUUGCCUUGUGCAACCUUACGUAAUUACCAAAAUGUCCUAAUGCAUAAAAGUGAACCUAAAGUUAAUCCAACCUUUAUAACCCAUGCCAACAAGGUAUAUGAGCGUAGAAUAGGGACCAAUGGGGCACAUAAAAGUACUAACACCCUUAAAAUCCAAUUUUGAAGUUGAUUCAAUAUCCCACUACAGAGAAUCAACUAAACUCCAAUAUCCUAUGUGAAUAACAACAAGACACCAUGUGCUCGAGUCUAUGACCUAUUAUCCAUUACGUUCAGUCUCCCCAUAAACUUGUGUCCAUAGUCUAAUAAGGUGAAAGCUAUCAGUCUUUCAAGACUACCUCUACUAUCCUUGAGCAAUAGAUCCUUCUAUUUUGUAUUCAAUUAACAUAUCUUAGCUUUCCAAGAGCUAAUGUCAAGUUCCACUUAAAGAACUACUAUGACCAUAGUUUCCAUGAACAUACCUCCAUAGGAUCAGCCAAGGGGACACUCUAUCUCAAUCCUAUAAGAUAUCAUGGUGCCUCUAUUGAGAAUACCUAUUGCUACUAAUUUCCAUCAAUAGUGACCCAAUCCAUAGGGAAUAUAUAAUCAGCUUACGAUAUCACCUAUAGGUCAAAGUCAUUGCUAACUUGAACAUAAGCUCAAUAUUCUCUCAAGAUUGAGGGACAAUACAAUGAAGCAGCUUGGUGAAGUCAUGACUACAUGAUAGCCUUACAUCAUAACUCAUCGUAGGUCUUGUCCAAUGUGCAACCAUACACACUAAUGCACUCACCAUGGGAAACCUAUCCCAAUGGCCAAGACCAGUCAUCCCUCCAAUUAGGAGGUAGUGCACUAUAACCUCUAAUGGGUUGCCUAAGCCUAUGAACUAGUUGUGAACAAGUCAUCCAUUUGCAAGGAACCCAUGACUUAGAUCUUGAAUGCAACUCCUAAUGCACCUAAGUCACGUAUAAUGGAAAAAAUGCAUGCCAAAGUGCUUACAAGAUAUAAUGCAUAGAAAUAGGAUAACUAAAAGUAAACUAAAACUUUAUUAAAUAAAUAAUAGAAAUUCACAUGUUUAUUACAUCAUGUCAUGUUUUUAAAGGCUCUAUCCUAACAAAAAAAAUACCCUAAAAAUGUCAAAUAGCAAUCAUUUGCACUUUAGCGUCCCAAGGGUCGCUGGAAGGACUACUCUAUCACUCAUGCUGCCUAAGCACUAAUAUGAUCACUUAAGCAUUGAGGCCACUUGAGUGCUAAUCUAAGCGCUUAAGCACUACAUCCUACACAUGAGGUUGGUUCUAUAACUAUUUCAACCAUCGUUUCUAUGAAAGCCUCAUCAUUUUGGAUGACUUUUUGCACCAUAGAUGCUCGUGAAUGCUUGGAAUCUUUAAUCUUCAAGUUUUGGGUUACCAAAGACGGAUAAAAUUUCGAUUUUUACAUUAAGAAAAACCUUAUGCUUCGUUAGAUGGAGUGUACAGUCCAUCUAAGAACAAAAGACUUGAUAUUUACUUAUAAAAUUAAAAUUUUAUGCUCCUAACCAUGAAGUUUCCAACCUAGUCUAUACAAAGAACAAAUCCAAACACUUAAUCACAAUUAUAAACAUCAUAUUCAUAAAAAUAACAUCCAUACAUUCAUCCCUUUAGGUCAUGGGAUGAACAAACAUGCCUACAAAACCAAGUAAGCACACCUUAGAAUGGAUCUAAUAAGCUUUUUCGUAACCUAGGGCUUUGAUACCAAUUGUUGGGAAAACCUAGAUUGCUCCAUUAUCAUGUCUUGGAUCGUUAGGGUGCAUGAAAACCUAUUCUAGGCUCUCUAAAUCUAUCAUACAAUAGAAACAUUGCAAUUGAAACCAAAAAGAAUACCAUAGAUUUAGAGAUUAGUGCCAUACAUUUUAUUUAGAUAUUCCUAGAUCGAUUCCUAUCAUUGUAGAAAGCUCCAAAAUUGAAGAAAAUCUUAUAAACAUCAUGAUUUUCCACCCAAUGACUUCUCCUUGAGUGUAGGUGCUAAGAUGGUGGAGAUCUCAAGGGUUGGAGGCUAGGUUUCUCUCUCUAGACUAUAAGGAGAGAAUGGUAAGAUUGAACUUCACUAGAAACCCUAAUCCCCUAAAGGGGUAUUUAUGGGCUUCUUACUAGGCUCAAGUGACUUAAGCCCACUAUGGGCUUGGGUAACUUAAUUUAGCCUAAAGGGUGCUAAUUGAUUAAUUAACCCUAUAGAGCUCCAAUUAAUCCAUUAGUCUAAUCCAGAGAUAUUGCAUACUUAUCCUUAUGCAACCUUGCAUGAUUACCAAAGAGUCAUAAUAUUCAUAAGUGAACUAAAAACUCAUCCAACCCUCAUAAACUGUGUCAUCAAAGAAUAUGAGCUCAAGUGAGGACCAUUAGGACCCAUAGAAUAGUACUGGCUCUCUCAGAAUCCAAUUCUAAAGUUGACUCAAUAUCCCACUAUAGAGAGUCAAUUGCACUCCAAUACCCCAUGUAUAUUACAACGAGACACUAAGUGUUUGGGUAUGUGAGUCUCUUCAUGAACUGGUUAUUGAUAGUCUAACAAGAUGAAAGCUAUUAGCUUUUGAAGACUACCUUUACAAUCCUUAAGUUACAGAUCCUCAUCUUAUUAUGUGAACAAAUGACAUACUCUAGCUUACUAAGAGCAUGUGUCGAAUUCCACUAAAGGAAUUACUGCAAGCCCAUAAACUUCAUGAUCAUGUGUCCUUAAGAUCACCUAAGUAGACACACUAUCUCAAAGUCCAUGAGCUAUCAUGGUGUCUAUAUUGAGAAUACCUAUUACUACUAGUUCCAUCAAUAGUGACCCAAUCCAUAGGGAAUAUAUGAUCAGCUUACGAUCUCAACCAUAAGUCAAAGCCACUACUAGUUUCUACACAAAAUCAAUAUCCUCUCAAGGUGAGAGACUAUAUAGUAUAGCUACUUAGUGAUGUCAUGACUCCUUGAUAACCUUAUGUCAUGACUCAUCGUAGGUCUUGUCCAAUGUGUAAACUAUACACACUAGUGCACUUUUCAUGGGAAACUCAUCCCGACAACCAAGACUAGCCAUUUCUCUAAUUAGGAGGUGAUGAAAUACAACCCCAAAUGGAUUGCCUAAGUCCACAAACCGAUUGUGAACAAAUUAUCUACUUGCAAGGAACUCAUGACUUGUAUCUUAUGUGCAAUUGCUAAUGCACCUAAGUCAUGUACAAUGCAAGGCAAGAGAUGCUAAGCCAAAGUGGUCAUAGAGAAUAAUCCAUGGAAUAAGUAUAGAUAAGAGUGAACUUGGAAUAUCAUCAUGAAUUUCAAAUUUGUUAUAUCAUAUCAUGCUUUCAAGGAAUCUAUCCUAACACUGUGUACCUUGAGUAUAUAGUUUUCUUUAAAUUUUAUAAUAUAUUGUUGCUUUCUUAUUAAAAAAUCAUUAAAAAAAACCUCAUUUAACCCUUUGUAUAUUGUUUUUCUAUACUUGAAUGAUAGAAAUGGUGAUUUAGGUUUGGCUUUCUAGCUUAUAUGACUUUUAUGGUAAAUGCUUCAAAGCAUAUUCAUGAUACUAUCUUGCUAAUGUUGAGGAUGACGUAGCACAACUUCAAGAAGGUAUUUGCAAAGUAGAAUGUACAAUUUCUAGAUUAAAUUUUUUAGAAAUGUUUAUAAAGUUUAGAUUUGAAGAUUACUGUGGAUUAUUUUUAAUAAAAUAGAAUUUAUAGAUAUCCUAUUAUGUAAUCGCUUUAUACAAAAACAAAAAAAAAAAAAACAAAAAAACAAAAAAAAAAACAGAAACAAAAAAAACACAAAAAAAAAAAACAAAAACAAAAAAAAAGGGUUUAAUUUUGAUGUCUUCUACAAGAUGCUUUCACUUUUAUAUUAUUUAAAUAACAUUUUCCAAUAUGUUGUCAAAUAUAUGUUUUCUUAUAUUAAUUUCUUCCAAUAUUUUACUUAGGAAUAAAAAUGGAAUAUUGCUAUUAUUUUUAAUGUUGCAAUUAUUUUUCCUACACACACACAUAGAUAGAGCCUAUCUAAAAAGGGAUUGAUUAGGGUUUAAGCUUUUUCUUUGCACAAAUUUGAUCAUGAAUGAUACUUACAAUGAAUCAACUUAAUUAAUAUAAACAUCUCAUACUAAUUUAAUCAUAUAUAAUUUACUAUAAAAUAUUUCUAAUUCUUUCUUAAUUCAAACUAAAAAUUUAAUUCUUUUAAUCAAAACUUUUUGUUUUAAAAAUGAGUAAUACAAAAGGUUGACGAAAAAAUUAUAAAAAAAAUGUAGAAGAAUAAUAAAUUUAUGAUACAUGAAAUGUGUAUAUAUCUCAACUUAGAAUUAUUAUAUCCUAUAUUAAAAGGAUGUAUAAAGGGAUUGGAUCAAUAAAUUAUCUUAUUGAAUGUUUGAUUAAAUAUGAUAUAUGAUAAUUAAAGGAUGAGAUCAUUUAUCCUAUCCCAUAGCUAACCAAACAUGGGAUAUGAUAUGUUAUCUCAUCUCUUAUCUCAUCUAAUAUUAUGUAUAUUAAAUCAACUAAAUACAACCUUACUUUAGAAGGUAAUUCAAUUGAGAUGUGGGGAUGUGGACUACUAUUACUUUUAAAAGAAAUAUAGAAGUGAUAUAGACUAUUGAUAAGUUGAGUGCAUUAUGGGGGGGAUACGUUGAGUGGAUUCAAUUUGACAUCCACCUAUCUAAAUAUAUUAAUAGAUCAUCUUGGAUUAUGAAAAUUAUGAAGUUCAAAAACAAUAUGGAGCACACACUGGUAAUAUAAAAACAAAUCAAAAUUGGUAUCAUCGUUGCAUGCUAGUCACCUAAUUAUAUUUGUUGAAUAUUUAGUUGCCAAAGUGAAAUCUCAUGAAAAGAUUCAAGAAAUGGUGAUUGAGGAAGAAGCUUCGAUGAGAUGUGUUGCAUUGUUGGACGAGAUCUCGGAUUAGCAUGUAUGCAUUUCAGUGCCAACCAAACCACAAGAACUACAUCUUUAACAACUUGUUGGUCUUGAGGAGAUGAGAGAUGUGAAUCUAAUAUAUUAGUGAGCAUUAUAUUUUGAGCUGAUGAGGAAGACAAUAAAGUGACAAGUUCUCCUAGAUGUUUUCCCAUCAUUGUCUCAAGUGUAAUCACUCCAAAGUUAUAAACAUCACAUUUUUCUGUCACAAUCAUAGUAUAGGCAAGCUAUGCUAAGAAUCAAAAUAAGAAAUAAAUAUUGCACAAAUGAGAAAGUUACAUUCAUUUGAUUUUCUCAUAUUAGCCAUAACUAUAAAAUGUUAAUAAUGUUUCAUAGCAUUCCAUUGACAUUUGGCUACAUUUUAUUUCUAGGAUUGUGAUGAAAUUAAGUUAAUUUUUACAACUUAUAUGAAAUCUUUGAAAAACCAUUCUAAGGAGUUUUUAAAAAUGUUUAGGUAUUAUUAGGAAAAUGAAGACAACCAUUUGGAGAAUGCUUGAGAGACCAUUGAUAAGUAUUUUGUAUAUAAAGUUAUCUAGCUCUCUAAUAUCCUAAACCAUUUUUUUUUAUAACUUUUUAAAAUAACUAUUAAGAGUUUUCUUUUUCUUUUUCUUUUAUUUUUUUGGGAAUUUUAGAAUAAAUAAAUAAAAAAAGAGAGAAAAAUAUGUUAAAGAUAUUUCAACUUCUAUGAGGGCCCUUUGGGCAUAUAGCAAAUAAUAUUUACACAGUUGGAAGCACAUCAUUAUAAAUGAUAUAAAGUUUGUUUGGCUCUAUAAUCCCAUUGGACACAAAAAGGAUGUUAUGUUUGCAUAAGGGAUGAGUGUGAUAUCUCACAAUAGAUAUUAAAACAAACAGUUCUAAAACUACAUAUGAAUGAGCUCUUCUUAACCUUGUAAAUGCAUUUUGAAAUCGUGUGGACCCUUAAGCCUAGACCAAACAAUAUCUACGCGGUUUGGAGAUAAUAUCUAGUUUGCAUGAAAAAAUAAAGAAAAAUAAUAUAUUAAAUAUUUUAAAGAAUAUAUUUACUUUUGAGCUCUUCAUAAUUUUGAAAUAAGUAAUAAUAGUAGAAGAAGUUUUGUUUGGCUUGUAAAAAUAUUUCCUUUCACUUCAUCCAAUAUAAUAUAUCACUUCUAUGAAGUAUAUAAUGAGAGGUAUAAAAGUACUAAAUACAUCCAAUCUCAAAGAUACCAUACUAAAACGAAAAAUAGCUAGAAGUUCAAAAGAUAUAUCGGAUAAGUAAAAGUUGAAAGAAAUAUCAGUGUGUACUUACCUGGUGCUAUGUAACCAUAAGUGUCUGCAAAAAGUGUUUAAUUGGAUGAAUCAAGAUGUAGCAGUCUAGCGGUGCCAAAAUCCAAUAGAAAAGCUUCUAGUUUAAAAUCCAAAAGAAUAUUGUUGCUUGAUAUGUCCCUAUGAAUAAUGGAAGGAGUACAGUCAUGAUGCAUGUAGCAUAAGGCAUGGACUAUGCUUUUAACCACAUUCACCCUUUUAAUCCAAUCCAAUUCCAAAGCUUCAACUUCAUUGCUCAAUACACAAAAUAAGCUUCCUCUUUCCAUGUACUUUUAAAUCAAAAACAUGAAUUUUUUUUGCAGACAAUAGUCGUGAAGUUUUAUAAUAUUCUGAUGUUGUAUUUUUGACAAUAUCUGCACCUCGUUUUGAAAAGUUUUCAAGUAUGUUGCCUCAUCUAUUUCCUAUCCAUGAAACUUUUUCAGGGCUACCACAUUGCCUGUAGGCAAUUGAGCCCUAUAAACAUUGCCAUAGCCUUUGGUGCCUAUGCAAUAUUUGACAUCAAAAUCCUUUGUUGCUUCAAUGAUGUCUUCAUAAGCAAUAUUACCAUCAUAGUUCCAUAUUGAAAAUAUAUCUCCAUUUUUUGUCGAUGUUGUCUUGGUUUGAUUUUGUCUCGUAUUCUGUAAAAGCAAGAGAAACCCAAACGUCGCAAAAAGAAAUACGAUGGUAGAUAUAGCAAUAACAAUGAUGCAUAUAAUUUUAUGUCCUCUUCUACAAUGUGUUCAACCUUUGAUUUCACCACAUAAACCUUUUUUGUGGCUAAACACCUUAGGGUGAUGUUCCAACUAUAAUUCAAUGGGUAUAUGGCCCUCCAAAUCAUUAUACGACAAAUCAAUUGAUGACCACCUAUAUAUUGGAAGAGUAGGAAUGCGACCUAAGAGGUUAUUGUGAGAGAGAUUCAAGUUUUCCAAGCUCUUCAAGUUUUGGAGCUGGGAAGUUAUCUUUCCAUUGAUCAAAUUAUCACUAAGGUCUAAGAUAGCCAAAUUCUUCAAGUUCCCUAUCUCGAAAGGAAUGCAACCCUUGAUUUGAUUUCCACCAAUAUUGAACUCAGUUAAAUUAAUGAGAUAGCCCAAAAAUGAAGGAAUAACUCCCAUGAGGUUGUUAUGAUCCAAUCUGAGAUGGAUUAUAUUCUUCCAAUUCCAAAUUAUAGGAGGGAUGGAACCAUUGAUUUGAUUAUAACAAAGAUAAAAAUGUGUCAAAUUGGUAAGAAGACCAAAUGACAAGGGGAUGGACCCUGGAUUUGUUUGUUGAUGAGAUGGAAAUAAGUCAAAUUGGUAAGAUAACCCAAAGAUGAAGGAAUAACACCAACAAGGGCAUUAUGACUCAGGGACAGUUGAACCAAAAUUUUAAAAUUCCCAAUUUCAAAAGAGAUGGAACCGUUGAUUCGAUUUAAAUUAAGGUACAAGUAUUCCAAGUUGGUUAAACUUCCAAGAGAUGAAGAAAUGACAAAGGAAAGAGAGUUAGAACCCAAAUCAAAAUAAAUCAGAUUCUUUAAAUUCCCAAUUUCAUAAGGGAUGGAACCGUUGAUUCGAUUGAAAUUAAGGUAUAAGUAUUCCAGGUUGGUUAAACUUCCAAGAGAGGAAGGAAUGACACUAGAAAGAGAGUUAGAACCCAAAUUCAAAUGAAUCAAAUUCUUUAAAUAUCCAAGAGAGGAAGGGAUGGCACCAAAGAGAAAGUUAGAACCCAAAUCCAAAUGAAUCAGAUUGUUCAAAUGUCCAAGAGAGGAAGGGAUGGCACCAAAGAGAGAGUUAGAACCCAAAUCCAAAUGAAUCAGAUUCUUCAAAUAUCCAAGAGAGGAAGGGAUGACACUAGAGAGUGUAGGGAAUUAAACCGAAUUCCCAACCCGUGAGAAACAAAAAUUUAGAGAAAACACAUGCCAAAGAAAAACAAUCACACGCACAAGACAGUAUUUAUGUGGUUCGGCAAUUUGCCUACGUCCACGGAGUUGCAAGGAUAUCACUAUUAUAAGGGAAAAAUACAGAGUACAACCACAACGAUUACAAUAUUUUCUCUCUAUAUAUAACACGGCAACCACACCACACUAAAAAACCCUAAUUACAAAAGGUGGUUCCACAAUGGGCUAAAUGGGCCCAAUAGGCCUCAGUAAAUCUCCCAUUAAAAAGCCAUGCAAUAUUAUUCAGGUUGGGUAGUCAAAUCGGAUCAAAUAAAACUAGGCUCCACAAAGCCCAAAAAAUCUCCCACUUGGAGACUAGUCCAAUCACUAACAUCAAACCGCUAUCCUCCAAGAAACAAUCCCUCAUCCCUGCAACUCAUCCUCCUAUCCUCAAGCUAGAAGACCAAUUGAAGCUACGCACAACUUCAACUUCUCAAUAGUGACACCCUUAGUCAACAUGUCUGUCGGGUUCUUAAAUCCAUAAAUCUUCUCAGGUAUUACCAGUUUAUCUUCAACAAGGUAACGGAUAAAGUGGUAUUUUGUUUGUAUAUGCUUCGACUUUGAAUGAAAAGCUGAAUUUUUGGCAAGAAAAAUUGCACUCUGACUGUCACUGUGAAGAAUGUCUAUCUCCUAUUUUUUACCCAAUUCAUCUAAGAAACCAUGCAGCCAAAUCAUCUCCUUUCCAGCUUCAGUUGCUGCAACAUACUCAGCUUCUGUAGUAGACAGAGUAACAAUCUUCUGUAGAUUUGAAGCCCAUGAUAUAGCUGUACCACCUAGAGUAAAAACAAACCCAGUAGUACUCUUUCUACUAUCAAUAUCACCAGCAAAAUCAGCAUCUACAUAACCUUGUAGUUUCAAACUUGCACAUGUGAAGCAAAGACAUGUAUCUAAUGAACCCUUCAGAUAUCUUAGAAUCCACUUGACUGCCUCCCAAUGCUGCUUUCCAGGCCUACUCAUGAAUCUACUCACAACUCUCACUACAUGUGCAAUGUCUGGCUUUGUACACACCAUAGCAUACAUCAAGCUGCCAAUAGCUGAGGCAUAGGGCACCUUGCUCAUAUGGUCCCUUUCUUCUUUUGUCUUCGGUGACUGUUCUUUGCUUAGUUUGAAAUGACUGCCCAAGGGUGUGCUCACUGGUUUAGCUUCAUUCAUGUUGAACCUGCUGAGAACUUUCUUCACAUACUCUGACUGUGAAAGCUUCAAUGUACCAUUAGCUUUGUCCCUAAUAAUUCUCAUACCAAGGAUUUGUUUUGCAGCUCCCAAAUCCUUCAUUGCAAACUGUUUGGACAAUUGUUUCUUCAGAUUAUUAAUCUUUCAAUGUCAGACCCUGCAAUAAGCAUAUCAUCCACAUACAAUAGUAAUAUGAUGUAAGAAUUGUCAAAAGACUUAACAUAACAACAGUGAUCAGCUUCACAUCUCUUGAACCCAAUUCUAUGCAUAAAACUGUCAAACUUCUUGUACCACUAUCUAGAAGCUUGUUUAAGGCCAUACAAGCUUUUUCUCAGUUUGUAGACUAGAUUCUCUUGUCCUUGAGCAAUGAACCCUUCUGGUUGAAUCAUGUAAAGGUCUUCCUCCAAGUCACCAUGAAGAAAUGUUGUCUUCACAUCUAACUGCUCAAGAUGUAAGUUUUCUGCAGCUACCAUUCCCAGUACAAGUCUGAUUGUUGACAUCUUCACAACUGGAGAAAAUAUCUCUGUAUAGUCAAUGCGCUCCUUCUGCUGGAACCCUUUAACAACUAAUCUGGCCUUGUAACGUUUGCUACCAUCAUGCUCAUUCUUUAUUCUGUAUACCCACUUGUUGUGCAAAGCCUUCUUUCCUACUGGCAAUUCAGUCAGUUCCCAUGUUUAAUUCCCCAACAAGGAAUCCAUCUCAUCCUUCAUGGCUAACUCCCACUUGCUUGAAUUCUCAUCUUNNNNNNNNNNNNNNNNNNNNNNNNNNNNNNNNNNNNNNNNNNNNNNNNNNNNNNNNNNNNNNNNNNNNNNNNNNNNNNNNNNNNNNNNNNNNNNNNNNNNUCUGGCUCACCACCAUCAAUCAACAAGAGAUAAUUUAAAACAGGUGAAUAACGCUACGGAGGUCUAAUGUUCCUGGAAGAUCUGCGAACUUCAGCUACAGGUGUACUCAGAUCUACCUGUGAAUUUACAUUCUCCUUAUCUUCUUCACCCCCUUUUUGGACAGUACUUUCAGUCAAUUCAUCUAAGUUGACAAACUCAGAUUUCUUUUGAUCUAUCUCUAUAAUAUCUGACACUAUAGUUGACAUGUCCUUGUACAUAACUUGUUCAUUAAAUAUCACAUUUCUACUUCUGAUGAUUUUCCUGUUUUAUUCAUCCCAAAACCUAUAGCCAAAUUUCUCAUCACCAUAGCCAAUGAAAAAACAUAUUUUUGACUUUGCAUCAAGUUUACUACGAGCAUCAGAAUCAAUAUGAACAUAAGAAACACAACCAAAAACUUUUAAAUGUGAAAACUUCACCUCUUUGCCGCUCCAAACCUCCUCAGGAAGUCUGAACUCCAUGGGAACUGAUGGUCCUCGAUUUAUCAGGUAAGCUGCAGUGCUAAUAGCAUCAGCUCAAAAAGUUUUUGGUAGUCCAGCAUGCAACCUCAUACUUCUAGCACGCUCAUUGAGAGUUCUGUUCAUGUGCUCAGCCACACCAUUCUGUUGUGGUGUCCUAGGAAUAGUCUUCUCCAUCCUAAUUCCCUGUGCAGCACAAUACUCAUUGAACCCUCCAUCUAUGUACUCUCCUCCAUUAUUUGACCUCAAACAUUUUACUUUCAAACCUGUUUCUGUCUCAACCAUGGCCUUCCACUUCUUAAAAGUUUCAAAUUCAUCAAAUUUAUUUUUCAGAAAAUAAACUCAUACUUUUCUGCUUGAGUCAUCAAUAAAAGUGAUGUAGUACCUCGAACCUCCAAGGGAUACAACCGGAGAAGGCCCCCAUAAAUCAGUGUGUACUAGUUCCAAUUUUUCAGCCUUCAGUGUCCUGCCAGUUUUCAAGAAGCUCACAUUUUUUUACUUUCCUAAGAUGCAACUUUCACACAUGUCAAAAUCAAUGGACUUCAAUUCUGGUAGUUUUCCUUUUGACAACAGCAUCUUCAUCCCUUUCUCACUCAUGUGACCAAGUCUACGGUGCCAUAGGAUUGUAUCAGUACUUGCAUCAGCAACUGCAAUUGUGUCUCUUGGACAUGAGGUCAUAUACAAAGUACCAGUCUUCUUUCCACGAGCCAAUACCCUAGCUCCCUUUGUAACCUUCCAAGUACCACCAACAAAUAGUAUUGCAUGUCCUUCAUCAUCAAGUUGUCCAACAGAAAUCAGAUUCCUCCUCAGGUCAGGAAUAUGUCGAACCUUCUCCAGUAACCAAACAGACCCAUUGGGCAACGAUAUCUGAACGUCUCCCAGACCCACAACAUCCAAGGCUGAACCAUCAGCCAAAUACACCUUACCAAAAUCACCUGCAACAUAAUUCUGUAUGAUUUCUCGGUGUGGAGUGGUAUGAAACAAAGCUCCUGAAUCCAAAACCCAAUCAUCAAGUGGACUGUCUACUGCAAGAAGUAAUGCAUCCUAUACCUCUUCUGUUACAGCAUUAGUAGAAUCAUCCUCAUUCUUCUUCUUUGGACUUUUGCAUUGCCUUUUAAAGUGACCUGUUUUCCCACAGUUCCAGCAUUGUACUUGUUGGCCUGAUCUAGAUUUACUUCUGUUCCGAUUAGAAUUUCUAGAUUUUGAUCUACCCUGGUUUGAAUUUGUGUCAUUACCUCUGCCUCUUGUCUCAAGGUUUAGGGCAGAACCAGAUCUUGAGGUUUCGCCUACAUCUUUUUGGCGAAUCUCCUCAGCCAGAAUUAAAUCUCGUAUAUCAUUGUACUUGAGCUUUUUCUUUCCCGUAGAAUUGCUUACUGUCAUCCUCAUUGCCUCCCAACUAUUUGGCAAAGAAGCCAAGACGAUCAAAACACGAAUCUCAUCAUCAAAAUCAAUUUCUACAGAUGACAAUUGAUUUGUGAUUGUAUUAAAUUCAUUCAGAUGUUGUGCUACUGAUGCAUUCUCCGCCAUCUUCAAAUUGAACAAUUUCUUCAUUAGAUGCACCUUAUUGUUUGCGGACGACUUUUCAUACAUACCAGACAAAGCCUUCAUCAAAUCUGUUGUGGUCUUCUCCUUUACAACAUUGUGUGCAACAGACCUAGACAGAGUUAACCUAAUAACUCCUAUAACCUGUCUGUCAAGAAGCGCCCAUUCCUCAGCCUUCAUACUCUCAGGUUUCGUCCCCAAAAGAGGCAGAUGCAAUUUCCUCCCAUAGAGAUAAUCUUCAAUCUGCAUCCCCAAUACGCAAAGUUUGUGCCAUCAAACUUUUCUAUUCUAGACGCCUUUCCUGCUUCCUCUGCCAUUGCUCCCACUUAAACCUAACCCUAGGUUCUGAUACCAAUUGUAGGGAAUUAAACCGAAUUCCCAACCCGUGAGAAACAAAAAAUUAGAGAAAACACACGCCAAAGAAAAACAAUCACACGCACAAGACAGUAUUUACAUGGUUCGGCAAUUUGCCUACGUCUACGGAGUUGCAAGGAUAUCACUAUUAUCAGGGAAAAAUACAAAGUACAACCAUAGCGGCUACAAUGUUUUCUCUUUAUAUAUAACACGGCAACCACACCACACUAAAAAAUCCUAAUUACAAAAGGUGGUUCCACAAUGGGCUAACUGGGCCCAACAGGCCUCAAUAAAUCUCCCGUUAAAAAGCCAUGCAAUAUUAUUCGGGUCGGGUCAUUAAAUCGGAUCAAACAAAACUAGGCUCCACAAAGCCCAACAGAGAGCAAAUAGUUAUAACUCAAAUCCAAUUCCUCUAAAAUAGUGAGGUUACCCAGUGAAAUAGGUAGCUCACCAUCAAGUCUACAACCAAAGAUAUGAAGGUGAGUGAGUUUUGUAAGCUUACUUAUCUCAUAUGGGAUGCUACCAUAGAUGAAAGAAUGGCUAAGAUUGAGAUAGAGGAGGCUGGGAAAUGAUGAAAACUUCAACUGGCUAAGCUUACACCGUGGGCAAUAGUGAUGUGAAUAGGUAAUCUGAAUAACAUGUCCCUCCCUGUUGUAGGUGAUGUCAUCCCAUGUGCAAUGAUGAGAAGUAGUGUUUUCCAUGUACCACCACCGAGUAGAGUUGCGGAGAGCCUCGGCCUCGGCCUCCACUUGUGCGUCAGUUGUAGCAGUGAUUCGUCCCUAGCAGCGGCAGUGGCAAUGGCACCAUUUGAUUCGAGGUUCGAUCCCCGGCAACGGCGCCAUUUGAUUCAUGCCCAAUUGGUGUCUCAGCUGAUUCGUGUCCAGCUGGUGCUCCUUGAUUGAGGGAUUGAUCAACAAAAUUUAUAACCUAUUACACCAUAUACUAGGGUAGCAAAGACAAAGCUACUAUAGUAUAGUGGCUCUAGGAUCGUUCACUGGGAUGGGUUUUCAUUUCACAAAUGAUAUCAAUUCAAAGCUGAAUUGGUGCCUUUUCAUUUCAAGGUUAGCUUUAAAAGAAAACAUAAACUUGAGUUGGAAAAGGUUUGGUUUUAAACUAACCAAAAAUAGUAACUGAUUUUACUUAUAAAGAAAAGUUGUUUCUUGGAGUUCAGAUCACUAGGCUCAGAUUCCUCAUACAAAAAGGGAGUUCCGGUCACUUGUUUCUUUUCCUCGCAUUAGAGAAUUAACAUAUAGUUCCUUCUCCAACCGGUGUUGUACAGAUGCUUCCCAUUAAUGGGUUCAAACACUAAAUCCCUCUCACUGAUGCAACUUGCAAUGGUUCAUGCCUCUCACGAGCACUUACCAUUCAAGAUGAUCGUUAACCUUGGACUACCCGUCAAAAGCUCGCAAGAGAUAACUAAUGGAUGUCUUCUUGGAGUCCAAAAGCUUACCAAGUGUUGGCUAUUCUAGAAAAUCCUACCUUCAAACCACCUCUCAAAGGCUCGCAAGGGGUAAACUAGUGCAUUUCCAUGGUUGGAAAUCACUUGCCUUACCAAGUGUUGGCCCAGGUGAUUUAAAGGCGUUUUAAGUUAACUAAAAAGAUAAAAACCAUUAACGGGUCACACUUUCUCUUCAUUAAAAACUAAAACAACAAAACUUCCAAAUUAUGCAUGUGGAAACUUACCCGGCUUUCCUUACUCCAAUAGAAAAAAAGCUUAGCCUCUCAUCCUUUGAGGAAAAAUCCUCAAAGUUUGGUUGGCUAGAAAUAAAAAGAAAUGAAAAAUAAAAGAGAAGGAAAAACAGAGCAAGGCUCUGUAUAUUCUAUAUAUUGAUUGAUAUUACAUAUAUGAUGAUUUUACAGUGGAUGCAAGGGAGUUUAUAUAGGAAGAUAAUUUACCCUUCCUUGGAUAUUUUCUAGCUAAGGAAUUACAUGAGUGGUUGAAUACAAGGAGAAAAUGGAAAUUAUACAAAAAUAUCUGAAGAAAAGAUCUAAAAGAGUCGGUGCAAAAAUAUCGGGAAGCUCCAGGAACAUUUCGCAGGUGAAAAAUGGUGUCUGCGAGGAUAAACCAUCUUGCUUCAUUGGCUAUCUCUCUUGCUCUUCCUUACAUCUUUAUACACACCACUUCUAGUCCUUACAAACUCGUAUCUCUUUCAUAACUUUUUCACACUCAAGAGGGCUGCGAAAUAUUUUCGCAUCAACAAGCUGAACUCGCCCCGCUGCGAAGUUGGCUUUCAUCUUGUGGUGUUUGGCUUCCAUCGCGGCGUGAAACUUCAAGGGAAAUCCAAAGCACUGUGCAAAAAGGCUGCGAAAUUCUCGCAACAAAAGGCUGAUUCCGCAACACUUUAAAGUGAUUGACUUGCAGUGGCUGUAACUUCUUCGUUUCAACUCCGAAUCGUGCACCGUUUGAAGAAUUGGAUUCUUGACUUCCUGAGCUUUGAAAUGGUAUAUAGAAUGUACAAAAUGGACUUCGGGAAGUGCUCCAAAAGUGCACAAGAAGACUGCAGCUAGCUUUCCUCUGUUUUCUUCACUCUGUUUUUCCUCUCUCCUUGCUUCUCUCCUUGCAUACUUUGAACGACUUUGGCAAAGGGCUAUGGAGCUCCAAAGCUUUGUUCUUCAUGAAUUUAAGCUUCCAAAAGCUUUUCCAUGAACUAUAUACAGCUCUCCCUCAUUCUUGGAUUGCUUUGGUGAUCAAAAAGCUAUCAAAACACCAAAACUUAACACAAUUUGAUUAGAAUUGAUUGCAAGGGUCCUUAACAUGUUAAUUGGGUUAAAAGGCAAUAACUACUACUCAAAAGUGUUUAAAAGAGUUAAUUACAAGUUAUGAAAUAGCACUUUUUGAGUAGUAAUCAAGCAGCAGCAAGAGGUGAUGAGAUCAAGAGCAUGUUAUAUUAUAACAAUACCACUGAAACCACCAACACCCUACAAGAAUUAAUGGAACACCUCUCCAUUUUUUCUUAUUUUCGAUUAAUAUUGCUAUAUAUGCCCUAGUUGAUGGUUUUGAAAAUGUGAAUCUCAAUAAUGAACUACACCUAGAGGGGGGUGAAUAGGUGUUGUAGAACAAUUUAAAAAUUCUCCCAACAAAGAUUACCUAACCUUAGACUAUCUUAAUGUCAAGAAUUUUUUCUUCCAAUAACUUUCCAACAAAGCAAAACAUCCACAAGCAAUAAUGUAUGCAUCAACACCCUCCCAACAAUUUAUAAAUGCAAAACACAUGCAAAUGCUUCAACACCCCUCAAAAAUAAAUCAAAAUAUAGAGUGAGAGAAAGAGACAAUGAACACCGGAUUUUUAAUGUGGAAAACCUCCGAAGAUAUCAAAAACCACAAUCCUGUCACCGAUUGAAAACUCCACUAUGAAGAAUAAAAACUAAGUACAAGGUUUUACCUAGCUCAAGCCAACCAAUCCUUCCCGGAAUACUUGACUAGUACCUUCAUUUUCAGUUUCUCCUUUUGGAGCACACUUGGAGUCCACACCAAGUUCAAUCUCGGCCUCUUCUUGAAUCCACACAAGAAGAAAAUGGGUUUUUGCACAAACCCAAAUAGAAUGAGAGAUUGAGAUGUGAAUGAAGUAAUGAAUCAACCCAUUUAUUGCUCAAGAAAAUCCAUUGAAAACUAGUUUGGAAAACAUUAAGAGAAGUGGAUUUUCUUUGCAAUCAAAAACCCCAAAUUAGGAAAGCAAAAAUGAGAAAAUGAAGAACACUUGGAGUGUGGCUGCUCUCCCCACGUUUUUAGUAGUCUCUCUACACAGAAAAUGAGAGAAGAUUGGUUUUUAAAGUGUAAAAAGAAACCCUUAAUCUAAUGGCUGAGAUUUGAUAAAAAAAAACAUUAGUUGGAUAGAUCCACCCCUACACCUGGAUCGAUCCAGAAACAGAGAAAUGAAAGCCUUGCACCAAAAACCAUUUUUCCCAACUUUCUAACACAUUUAAAGAUUAAAAACCGGGUUGAUUCACAUCCAAUCACCACAAACUCGACUACAUACCUCGGUCUCUUAGCAAAGUCUUAGUCUUCAAAGUCAAGUAGUCCGAAUAGGAAUAGGAAAGCCGAGUUAGGGAGCACUUAGGAAUUUUGUCCGGAAUUGCCAACUUAGCUAAACACUCACAGGUUUUAUAGAAGUGGUGUCGGUGUUGAUCCGACAACUCUCUUCUUUCACCCACACAGCAUCUCAAGCAAGUCAAACAAGUCUUCUCCUGACUCUCCACUAGACAUUAAUUUGUUGGGAAACGAGGACGUUUAUAUAUCACCCAUAGUGAUAUAUAAAUCUUGUAUUCACAAAUUUUUUAAAAUAAAUUUUAUGAUGGGAAAUUAGUGAUCAUGAUCAAACCAUAUUUAAUUUGCUCUACCAAGACAACCACAUGAUCAAAUCGUGCAUUUUGUUUUUAUUUUGAACCAAAAAAAAAAAAGAAAAAUUUAGUAUAUAGAAACAUGCUUAAUGUUAAUGUAGACUAAAAAUACAACCCCAUAAGUACUUAUCCAAACAACAUAUUAGCUGACUAUAAUUCUUGGGUACCUGUCAGAUGGUUGCACAUGUAAUCUCUAUAUAUUAAAAAUUAAUAAAAAUAUUGAUACACAAAACAUGUAUUAAUAUUUUGUUUUUGUACUUAAAUUUUAUUUUCUACUUGUUAUAGUUAUCAAGCAUUUAUUUAUUUUUUAUUUUUUAUUAUUUAAUAGUAAUGAAUAAUGAUAAAAUUAAAAUCACAAAGCAUGUUUUAUUAAUAGCAUUUUUAUAAUUUUAUUGUUAUUCUACUUCAUGAUUAGCUUGUCUAACACUUCAUUUGAUUUUUCUUUCAAGCAAAUCAACUCAACCAAGUCUUCUUAGGCCCACUUAUUAGACUUUCGAUUAUUUUCUAUUAUGCUGCUAAUUAACUUAGAAAUUUUCCUAUCAUAGUAAUUUGAUAAAAAAAAAUUAUCAAUUUCACUAAUUUUAAACAGGAAUCAAUAAAUAAAUAAAAACAUUUGAAAAAGUUUUUCUAUUUAUUAGGCAAUCAUAAUUUUUUUUCUUUUUUGCUAAUAAAAAAAUAAAAUUAGCUCCUAUAAGCACUCCAUUUUUUUUCUCUCUUAAACAAAACAAGUCCAGUCAAGCAACCACCCUCAAAUCAUUUCUAAAACGCCAUAUUGAAAAUUUCCUAUAUGAUGACAUGUAAGACCACACAAAAAGAACACAAAAUAAUAAUAAUAAUAAUAAAUAAAUAAAUAAAUGCAAAGUAGUCCUCCCAAUUUGCAAAGUUUACUAUAUAAGGAGUCAAUGAUUUCAAAUGUUAAAAGUUGAAAAUUUUUAAUUUCUUUUUUCUUUUCUUGCUCACUUUCUAGAAUUAAUGAUGCCUUCAUAACUCUUGUUUCAGCCACGCAACAAGUCAAGCAAGUUGUCUUCCACUCUUGAUUGGGAAUUUAGUGGGAAAUGGCCAUAAUUAUUUUUGAAAUUUUUAAAUAAAAACUCAAACUAUAAUGAUAUAACAAAAUAAUUAUUCACAAUUUUUUUUUUAAAUGAAGUGUGGGAAAUACUCAUACCUCACAUGUAUUUGGAAUAUAUAUAUAUAUAUAUAUUCCAAAUAAUAAAGAUAUUAAAAAUUUUAACAUUAUCUCAAUCAUUGCAAAAUAAAUGUUUUAUUUGUCUUAUUAAUUUCACUAAUUUUAAAAAAGAAAUCAAAAUAAUUUUUUAAAUGUUUUUCUAUUUGCUACAUAACUAUUAAAUACCUAUUUUUAUUUUAAUCAUAAUAAAACAUAAAAUUACAAAUAUUAAAUACUUUAAUAUUAAUAUAAACUAAAAAUAUGUUUUAGCCAAUAUUUUAUUUGGUUCUUUUCUAAGUAAUAGGAGGUCUUUUCAAUCCCACCACCAAUGAUUUUUAAUUUCAUUUUAUGUAAAAUUCCACAAUGGUCGUGUCAUGUCCGUCAUGAUGUUUGAAAAAGUUGUUCAAAAAGGAUAAGGGUACUCUAAUUUAUUUAUUUUUUAAAGAAUUAAGACUUAAUUUUACUGACUUUCCUUCGAGUUAUUUGAUGAAAUUUCAAACAAAUGAGAACGAAGUAUAUUAAUACUUUUAUAAUCUUGGGUUUAUUUCUCUACAAAUAUUCUCAAUUUCAUGUUUUAUUCAGCACUUAAUGAUUCUAUUGAGAACUUGCAUUUUGUUACUCUUUUUUUUCACCAUUUAAAGAUUUCAUUUCACAGACUUCCUUUUUUUCAUAUUUAAAAAAGAAUUUUGUUAAUUAUAACUCCAAGGAGAGAUUGGUGUUGUUCCUUGCUUCUAAAAUGUUAUCUUUAUUAAUUUAUAUUAUAACUUUUUUUAUCAAAUAUUAUCAACAUGGUAUCAUCUUUUUUACUUCAAUUCUUUUCUAGAGCGAGGAGUUCUUAUGUGCGAUAUAUUUUCCAAUAUUGCAAUAUCAAAGAUAAUAUUUAAGAUUUAAGGAAAAAAAAACUAUAUGUAGUUCCGAUUUGAGUUUUGUUCUUCAAGAUCAAAAUUUCAAAGAUAACAUUUAAGAUUUAAAAAGAAAAAGAAAAAAAAAUGAACAUCUAAUCAACUAUAUGCACUAAUAACUCUUCAUCCUCAAAUGUAAUAAUUAUUAUAACUAGUUUAUUAAUUGUUUACUGUAAAUAAGUUAUUAAAGUCUCAUUUGGAUAUAUUUUACAUUAUUUUUAAAAAAAUAUUAUUUAAUAUUAAUGACUAUUAUAUAAAACUUGGAAACUCUUAUAAAAAAAAAUAUACAAUUACCUUAUGUUUCCCAAAAAAAAAUUUUAAAUUUUGAGAUAGUAAUUUUAAAAAAUAAAUAAAUCAAUUUUUUUUUAACCAGUUUUAAAACUUUUAAAGAGCUCUUAGAAAUUACCAAUAUUUUUUAUUUUUAAAAAUAGAAAAUAGAAAAUAGAUCUAAACAACUAUUAGUUAAUUCAUUUGUACAAUUAGUAAAAUAUAUUUCACAAGUGCAAUAAAACCCAAUAAUCUUUGUAAAACUUUCUAUUAGAUAAGACAUCUAUAAAUGAAAAAACCAAAAAGUUGAUAGGAAUGUACCCACUCCUCAUACGGUUGAAGAGAGCAUAAAUGUAGAGUCAUAGUGUGUGAUAUUAAUCCAUUUACAUUAAUAUAUAGAGUCCAUCUAAAAAGAGACUAAUUGGGAUUCAAGUUUUUUCUUUGCACAAAUUCAAUCGUGAAUGAAAAUAUUCUAUUAAAAUAUUUAUAGUGAAUUAACCCAAUUGGUAUUAACAUAUUCUAUUAAUUUAAUCAUGUAUAGUUCGCUUUAAAUAAUCUUUUUUUAAAUAGUACAUGAACUUGUUUAUGGUAUAUAUAUUUAAUUCCACCUUUUUUUGUAAUUAAAUUUUUCUCUACUUGUCAUAUAAUCACCAAAUAUUUUUUAUUUUCUAUUUUUUAAUAAUAGUGAUAAAAUUAAAAUCACUAAUAUGUUUAGCAUUGAUAUAAAUUAAAAAAAUAUUCUAUGACAAUAAAAGUCAAAAGAUUGCAUUUUUACUAUUUGGUUGUCAUCCACCUUACAUGAUUAGUUUGUUUAAGACUUUAUUUGAUUUUUCUUCCAAGCAAAGUAUGUCAACCAAGUCUUCUUAUGUCCACUUCUUAGACUACCCACUAUUUUCUAGUCAUGCUUCUAAUUAACUUGGAAAUUUCCCCGAUUUGAAAGCUUGAAAGCCCAGAUUUGAUCAUAUAUGCAUGGAUGAAGAUAUAACAUUAAAUAUUUUAAAAUUUUAUUAAAAAAUAUACAUAUGAAUCACUCUAAUUAAUACUGCCACAUUCUUCCCAUUCAAUAAACAAUAAUAGCAUAAAAUAAAUAAAGGAAUAAUAACAUAAAUAUUUCCCCAUGGCCAUUAGGGAUCUUGUUGCAUAAUGGUAAUAAUUUGGAUAAAAUCCAAGUAACUAAUAUUACCAAAAAAUCUUGCAACCAAAAAUAGGGUUAUAAAAUUUUAAAAAAAUACCCCCAAAACGUCAAAUAGGCAUCAUUUGCGCUUGAAUGUUCGAAAAGCUGCUGGAAGGACUACUUGAUCAAUUAAGCCGCUCAAGCACUAAUAUGGUCGUUUGAGCGUUUAGGCUACGCAAGCACUAAUCUAAGUGCUCGAGCACCACAUCCUACACUUGUGGAUACAAGGUUGUUUCUACCACCGUUUCUCCGAAAGUGUCACCUUUUUAGAUGCCUUUUUGCACCAUGGAUGCUUGUGAAUGCUUGGAAUCUUCAAUCUUUGCUUUUGGGUCACCAAAGAUGGAUAAAAAUCUAAUUUUUACAUUAAGAAAAAUCUUAUGCUCCAUCAAGCGAAGUGUACAAUCUAUCUAAAAACAAAAAAAAACAAAAAUAUUUUUACAUGUAAAAUAAAAAUCCUAUGCUCCUAACCAUGAAGCUUACAACCUAAUUUGUACAAAUAACAAAUCCAAACAUUCAAUCACAAUUAUAAACAUCAUAUUCAUAAAAAUAACAUCCAUAUAUUCAUCCCUUUGGGUCAUAGGAUGAAUAAACAUAUUUGCAAAACCAAGUAUGCACACCCUAAAAUGAAUCUAACAAGCUUUUCCCUAACCUAAGGCUCUAAUACCAAUUAUUGGGAAAACCUGGAUUGCUCCAUUCUCAUGCCUUAGAUUGUUAGGACGCAUGAAAACCUAUUCUAGGCUCUCUAGAUCUAUCAUACAAUGGAAACAUGGCAAUUGAAACAAAAAAUAAUACCAUAGAUUUAGAGAUUAGUGUCAUAUAUACUUGUGAUUUGGAUGUUCUUGGUCAAUUCUUAUCAUUGUAGAAAUCUCUAAAACUAAAAAAAGAUCUCGUGAACACCAUGAUCUUCCACCUAAUGAUAACUUCUCCUUGAGUCUAGGUGCAAAGAUAGUGAGAUCUCAAGGGUUGGAGGUUAGGGUUCUCUUAUUGAUUGUAGUGAGAGAAUGGCAAGACAAAACUUCACUAGAAACCAUAACCCCUAAAGGAUUAUUUAUAGGCUCCUUACUAGGCUUAAAUGACUUAAAUGACUUAAGCUCACAAUGGGCUUAGGUUAGUACUAAAUCUAGCCCAAAAAGGGCACUAAUUGAUUAAUUAACCCUAUAGGCCUCCAAUUAAUCAAUUAGCCCAGUCUAGAGAUAUUGCUCACUUACCCCUAUGCAACCUUAUAUAAUUAUCAAAAUGCCCUUAUGCAUAUAAGUGAACUAAUAACUCAUUCAACCCUUAUAAACGAUGUCAUCAAAGGAUAUCAUGAGCUCGAGUAGGGACCAUUGAACCCAUAAGACAGUAUUGUCUCUCUUAGAAUCCAAUUUUGAAGUUGACUCAACGUCCCACUAGAGAGAGCCAACUACACUCCAAUGCCCUAUAUAUAUUACAAUGAGAUACCAAGUGUUCGGGUCUAUAACCUACUAUCCACUAUAUAUAAUCUCAUUUUGAACUGGUCGUCCAUAGUCUAACAAGCUAAAAGUUAUCAACCUUUCAAGACUACCUCCAUAAUCCUUGAGUUACAGAUCUUUUUAUUAUGUAAUCAAAUGACAUACUCUAGCUCACUAAGAGCAUAUGGUGAAUUCUACUAUAGGAAUUACUACAGGCAUAUAAAUUUCAUGAUCACACAUCCUUAAGAUCACCUAAAGGAACACACUAUCUUAAAGUCCAUGAGAUAUCGUGGUAGCUAUAUUGAGAAUAACUCUUGCUAUUAGCUUCCGUCAAUAGUGGCCCAAUCCAUAAGGAAUAUAUAUGAUCAACUUAAGAUCUCACCCAUAGGUCGAAGUCAUUGUUAACUUUUGCACAAGUUCAAUAUUCUCUCAAGGUUGAAAGGCAAUACAGUAUAAUAACUAGGUGAUGUCAUAACUACCUGAUAGUCUAUAUCAUGACUCACUAUAGGUCCUAUCCAAUGUUUACACAUUAGUGCACUCUUCAUGGAAACCUCAUCCUGACAACUAAAACUAUUUAUCCCUCUAAUUAGGAGGUGGUGCACUACAAUCUCAAAUGGAUUGAGUAAGUCCACAAACCGACUAUGGACAAAUCAUUUAUUUGUAAGGAACCCAUGACUUAGAUCUUUUGUGCAACUGUUGAUACACUCAAGUCAUGUACAAUGUAAGAAUGGUAAGCUAGAAUGCCCAUAGAGAAUAAUGCAUGGAAUAAGGAUAGAUAAAAAUGAACCUAGAAUAUCAUCAAAUAAAUAAUGAAUUUCAAAUCCGUUACAUCAUGUCAUGCUUUUAAAGACUCUAUCCUAACAAUGUGUUCAUUGGUAUAUAGUUCACUUUAAAUUUUAUAAGAUACUAUUGAAUGCUUAUCAGCAAAUUACAAAAAGGACCCAUUCAGCCUUUUUUGUAUUGUUUUUCUAUACUUGAAUGAUAAAAAUGGUGAUUUAGGUGUAACUUUCUUGCUUACAUGUACUUUUACAAUAAAUGCUUCAAAACAUAUUCAUGAUACUGUCAUGUUAAUCUCAAGGAUGAGGUAAAAGAACUUUAAGAAGGUAUUUGCGAAGAAGAAUGUACAAUUUCUAGAUUAAAUUUUUUUAGAAAUGUUUAUAAAGUUUGGAUUUAAAUAUUAUUGUGGAUUAUUAUUAAUAAAAUAGAAUUUAUUAGAUAUCCUAUCAUGUAAUCUCUUUAUUUUAAAAAAAAUGUUUAAUUUUGAUUCAUUCUAGAAUAUGCUUUCACUUCUAUAUUGUCUAAUUAACAUUUUCUAAUAUGUUGUCAUAUAUAUGUUUUCUAAUAUUAAUUUCUUCCAAUAUUUUACUUAGGAAUGAAAAUGGAAUAUUGCAACAACAACAUUCAAUUUGAACUAAAUUUAAUGUUUCAACUAUUUUUCCUACACACACACACAUAUAUAGGGACCAAAAAAGGACUAAUUGGGGUUAAGCUUUUUCUUUGCACAAAUUUGAUCAUGAAUGAUAGUUACAAUGAAUCAAUUUAAUUAGUAUAAACAUAUUCUACUAAUUUAGUCAUGUAUAGUUUACUGUAAAAUAUUUCUAAUUCUUUCUUGUUUCAAACUAAAAAUUUAUUUAUUUUUAAUCAAAAGCUUUUGUUUUAAAACUGAGUAAUACAAAAGGUUGAUAAAAAAAUUGAAAAAAAUGUAGAAGAAGAAUAAAUUUAUGAUACAUGAGAUAUUUAUAUAUCUCAGCUUAGAAUUAUUAUAUCCUAUGUAAAAAGGAUAUAUAAAGAGAUUGGAUUGAUAAAUUAUCUUAUUAAAUGUUUGAUUGAACAUGAUAUAUGAUAAUUAAAUGAUAAGAUCAUUUACCUUACCCCAAAGCUAACCAAACAUGGGAUAUGAUAUGUUAUCUCAUAUCUUAUCUCAUCCAAUAUUAUGUAUAUCAAAUCAAUUAAAUAUAGCCUUACUUUAGUAGGUAAUUCACUUGAGAUGUGGGGGAUGUGAACUACUAUUACUUUUAAAAGAAAUAUAGAAGUGAUAUGGACUAUUGAUAAGUACCAUGUGGGGGAUAAGCUGAGUGGAUUCAAUUUAACAUCCACCUAUCUAAAUAUAUUAAUAGAUCAUCUUGUCUUAUAAAAAUUAUGAAGUUGAAAAACAAUAUGGAACACAUAUUGGUAAUAUCAAAGCAAAUCAAAAUUGGUAUCAUCAUUGGAUGCCAGUUACCUAAUUAUAUUUCUUGAAUAUUCAGUUGCCAAAGUGAAAUCCCAUGAAAAGGUUCAAGAAAUGGUGAUUGAAUAAGAAGCUUCGAUGAGAUGUGUUGCAUUGUUGGACGAGAUCUCGGAUUAGAAUGUAUGCAUUUAAGUGCCAACCACACAACAAGAACUACAUCUCUAGCAACUUGUCGAUCUUGAGGAGAUGGUAGACGUGAAUCUAAUAUGUCGGUGAGCAUUAUGUUUUGAGCUGAUGAGGAAGACAAUAAGGUGAAAACUUCUCUCGGAUGCUUUCCCAUCAUUGUCUCAAGCGCUACCACUCCAAAGCUGUAAACAUCACAUUUUUCCGUCACAGCCAUAGUGUAGGCAAGCUCUGUUAAGAAUCAAAACAAGAAAUAAAUAUUGCACAAAUGAGAAAGUAACAUUCAUUUAAUUUUUUUUCAUACUAGCUAUACCUAUAAAAUGUUGAGAAUGUUUCAUAGCAUUGCAUUCACAUUUGGCUACAUUUUAUUUCUAGAUUGUGAUGAAAUUAAGUUAAUUUUUACAACUUAUAUGAAACCUUUGAAAAACUAUUCUAAAGAGUUUUUAAAAAUGUUUGGGACUUAUUGGGAGAAUGAAGACAUCUAUUUGGAGAAUGCUUGAGAGACCAUUGAUAAGUAUUUUGUAUAUAAAGUUCUCUUACUCUCUAAUAUCUCAAACCAUUUUUUUACAACAUUUUUUAAAUAACUAUUAUGAGUUUCCUUUUUUUUUUUUUUCUGUUUGUUUGGACUUUAGAAGAAAUAACCAAUAUAUAUAUAUAUAUAUAUAUAUAUCAAGGCCCUUUGAGCCCAUAACAGAUAAUAUCUACACGAUCAGGAGCAGGUUAUUACAAAUGGUAUUAGGGCUUAUCUGUAACCAUAGUAUGGAAGUUUGUUUGGCUCCGCAAUCUUAUGGGAUAAGUGUGAUAUUCCAUGAUAGAUAUGGAAAAAAAAAUAAAAAUUCUAACAUUAUUUAUAAAUCAACUUCCCUUAACCUUAUAGACAUAUUUUAAAUUCAUGUAGGCUCCUUGGACCCAAAGUGAAAAAUAUUUACACAGUUGAGAGUUAUUAUCUAGUUUGCAUGAAAAAUAUAAAGAAAAAUAAUAUAUUAAAAAUUUAGAAGAAUUUAUUUACUUUCAAGCUCUUCAUAAUUUUGAAAUAAGUAAUAAUAGUAAAAAAAGUUUUGUUUGGUUGGCAAUAAUAUUUCCUUUCCCUUCAUCCAAUAGAAUUUGUGACUACUAUGAAGUAUAUAAUAAGAGGUGUAAAAGUUCUAAAUAUAUUGAAUCUCGAAGAUACCAAACUUAUUAAAACGAAAACAACCAAAAGUUCAAAAGACAUAUCGGAAGAGUAAAAGCUGAAAGAAAAACUGGUUUGUACUUACCUGGUGCUAUGUAACCAUAAGUGCCUGCAAGAAGAGUUUGAUUGGAUGAAUCAGGAUGUAGCAGUCUAGCAGUGCCAAAAUCAGAUAGAAAAGCGUCCAGUUUAAAGUCCAAAAGAAUAUUGUUACUUGAUACAUCCCUAUGAAUAAUGGGUGGAGUAGAGUCAUGAUGCAUGUAACAUAAAGCAUGGACUAUGCUUUUGAUUNNNNNNNNNNNNNNNNNNNNNNNNNNNNNNNNNNNNNNNNNNNNNNNNNNNNNNNNNNNNNNNNNNNNNNNNNNNNNNNNNNNNNNNNNNNNNNNNNNNNAUUCGAUUUCUACGAAUGUUGAACACAUUUAAAUGAAUGAGAUAGCCCAAAGAAGGAAUAACACCGGUAAGGUUGUUGUGAUCCAAUCUGAGAUGAAUUAAAUUCUUCAGAUUCCAAAUUACAGGAGGGAUGGAACCAUUGAUUUGAUUAUAACGAAGAUACAAAUGAGUCAAAUUGGUAAGAUUACCAAAUGACAAGGGGAUGAGACCCUGGAUUUGAUUGUCGAUGAGAUGGAAAUAAGUCAAAUUGAUAAGAUUACCCAAAGAUGAAGGAAUAGUACCAAGAAGGGCAUUAUGACUCAAGGACAAUUGAACCAAAUUUUUUAAAUUCCCAAUUUCAGAAGGGAUGGAACCGUUGAUUCGAUUGAAAUUAAGGUACAAGUAUUCCAGGUUGGUUAAACUUCCAAGAGAGGAAGGAAUGACACUGGAAAGAGAGUUAGAACCCAAAUCCAAAUGAAUCAGAUUCUUCAAAUAUCCAAUAGAGGAAGGGAUGGCACCAGAGAGGUAAUUAUAACUCAAAUCCAAAUGAAUAAGAUUCUUCAAAUAUCCAAGAGAGGAAGGGAUGGCACCAGAGAGGUAAUUAUAACUCAAAUGCAAAUGAAUAAGAUUCUUCAAAUAUCCAAGAGAGGAAGGGAUGGCACCAGAGAGACCGUUAAGACUCAAAUCCAAUUCCUCUAAUAGAGUGAGGUUACCCAGUGAAACAGGUAGCUCACCAUCAAGUGCACAAUAAGAGAUACGGAGGUAAGUGAGUUUUGUAAGCGUACCUAUAUCAUCUGGGAUGUGACCAUAGAUGUAAGAAUGGCUAAGGUUGAGAUGGAGGAGGCUGGGAAAUGAAGAAAACUUCAACUGGCUAAGCUUAUACCGUGGGUUAUAGUAAUCUAAAUAGGUAAUCUGAAUAACACGUCCUUCCCUGUUGCAGGUGAUGCCGUCCCAUGUGCAAUGAUGAGAAGUAGUGUUUUCCAUGUACCACCACCAAGUGGAGUUGCGGAGAGCCUCGGCCUCAGCCUCCACCUGUGCGUCAGUUGUAGCAGCAGCAGCAGCAGGAGGUGAUGAGAUCAAGAGCAUGUUAUAUGAUAACAAUACCACUGAAACCACCAACACCCUACAAGGAUUAAUGGAACACCACUCCAUUUUUUCUUAGUUUCGAUUAAUAUUGCUAUAUAUGCCCCAGUUGAUGGUUUUAUAGAAGUGGUGUUGGUGUUGAUCCAACAACUCUCUUUCUUUCACCCACACAGCAUCUCUAUCUAUUAAAAAUUAAUAAAAAUAUUGAUACCUAAAACAUGUAUUAAUAUUUUGUUUUUGUACUUAAAUUUUAUUUUCUACUUGUUAUAGUCAUCAAGCAUUUAUUUAUUUUUUAUUUUUUAUUAUUUAAUAGUAAUAAAUAAUGAUAAAAUAAAAUCACAAAACAUGUUUAAUAUUGAUACUAACUAAAAAAUAUUAUAUAAAAGUAAUAGUCAAAAGACUGCAUUUUUAUUAUGUGAUUGUUAUUCCACUUCAUGAUUAGCUUGUCUAACACUUCUUUGAAGUUUCUUCCAAGCAAAGCAAGUCAACUAAGUCUUCUUAGGCCCACUUUUUAGACUUUUGAUUGUUAGAAGGUUAUGCUGCUAAUUAACUGAGAAAUUUCCUAAUGAUAGUAACAUGUAAGGACCACAAAGAAAACUUAAAUUUGACCAUACAUGGAUCAGGAUAUACUAUUAAAUAUUUUAAAAUUUGAUUAAAAAUUAUUAAUUUCACUAAUUUUAAACAGGAAUCAAUUUUUUUUUAUUUAAAAAAGCCUUUUGAAAAAGUUUUUCUAUUUGUUAUGCAAUCAUCAUUUUUUUUUUUUUGCUUUUUUUUAACUAAUAAAAAAUAAAAUUAGCUCCUAUAAGCAGUACUCUGUUUUUUUUUUUCUCUCCUAAACAAAGCAAGUCAAGCCAAACAACCAUCCUCAAAUCAUUUCUAAAACGCGAUAUUGAAAAUUUCCUAUAUGACACGUGACAUGUGAGACCACACAAAAAGAACACAAAAUAAUAAUAAUAAAUAAAUAAAUGCAAAGAAGUCCUUCCCAAUUUGCAAAGUUUAUUAUAUAAGGAAUUAAUGAUUUGAGAUGUUAAAAGUUUAUGAUAUUUUAUUUUUUUUGCUAUACAUUUUUUACCAUGCAUCAAGGAGGAAAAAUUUUAAAUUCUUUUUUCUUUUCUUGCUCACUUUCUAGAAUUAAUAAUGCCUUCAUAACUCUUGUUUUAGCCGCGCAACAAGUCAAGCAAGUCGUCUUCCACUCUUGAUUGGAAAUUUAGUGGGAAUUGAACAUAAUUAUUUUUAAAAUUUUUAAAUAAAAACUCAAAUGAUAAUGAUAUAACAAAAUAAUUAUUCACAAUUUUUUUUUAAACAUGAAUUGUGGGAAACAAUCAUACCUCACCUGUAUUUGGAAAAUGAUAUGUUAGUUUUUUUAUGUAUAUAUAUAAUUCCAAAUAAUAAAGAUAUUAAAAUUUUUAACAUUAUAUUGUAACUAAAUGUUUUAUUUGUCUUAUUAAUUUCACUAAUUUUAAAAAGGAAAACAAAAUAAUUUUUUAAAAAGGUUUUUCUAUUUGCUACAUAAUUAGUAAAUACAUAUUUUUUAUUUUAAUAAUAAUAAAACAUAAAAUUAAAAUUAGUAAAUAUUUUAAUAUUAAUAUAAACUAAAAAUAUACUUUAGCCAAUAAUUUAUUUGGUUCUUUUCCAAGUAAUAGGGAGACAAGAAAGUCUUUUCAGUCUCAUUAUCAAUGAUUUUUAAUUUUAUUCUAUGUAAAAUUCCACAAUGAUUCGUGUCGUGUCUGUCACGAUGUUUGGAAAAGUCGUUCAAAAAGUGUACCAUCCAUAAAUUAUGUUAAUAUUUUUUCAUUUUUUAUUUUACUUUAAAUCACACCUACUUUUUCCUUGUGCAAGUCAAAGCAAGUCUUCUUAGACGCUCAGAAGCAUAAGCAUAUACCUAACAAAAUAAAAAGCUCUAAUAGGAAAAUUAUAGAAAUCCUGUAUUCCAACCAUACUCAAUCAACAACCCAAAAUAAAAAUAUUUUAAUUAACUUUUAAAAAUUAAAUCAAAUUUUAAUUUUGAAAAACUCUCAAUCCAGGUUUACAACCAAUCAACAACAUUUGGUGUCAUAUCGUAUGAUUCUACCAAAUAGAUAUCAUGUAGGUAUAUAUUAAAAAAAUAAUUAAAAAAUAACAAAAAUAUAAAAUCGAUUGAGGGGGAAUAUAAUUGAAAGUGAGAGUUUGCAUGCACAAAAUACAAACUUUUCAAUUCUUUUUUAAUUUUUAUUUAUUAUUUUAGAAAGAGUUUUUUAAAUGUAAUGUGUAACUUGAUAAAUAAGAGAAUAAGAAAUAAAAAUCAGUCGGAUACAUUCCACCAUUUUACUCAUCAUUCUCUAAAAGAGGAAUGUAAUGUUGAAGAUUUUUGUAACUUGACAUGUUGAAGAUGAAUUUCUAUUUUGUGAUGAAAGAAUAUAAAUAAAUUGAAAAAUAAAAUUAAUGACAUUGUUCACCAUAAUAUAAUAACCGUUAUUGGCAAAUACUAACAAGAAGGUAGCACAUUAUAUUAUUUAAUCUAAAUUGAUAAUUUUGUUUCAUUAUCCGCAUGUAGGGCAUUUUACAUUACUAUAUUAUACGUUUUAUUGAAGCCUUAAGGUUGCUACAUAAUUAACCAAGAUGUAAUACAUGUAAAUAUUCUAAUUAACAUUUUUAUAUAAUACAUGUAACACUUCUCAAAAAGAUGAGAAUAGAAGGUUGAAGAUUUUUAUAACUCGACGUAUUCAAGAUGAAUUUCCUUUUUGCAACAAAAAAAGAAAUAAAUAAGUUCAAAAUUGUUUAUAUAUAAAAUAAAACUAGAUCCUAUAGGCUCUCUAUAUAUUUCUCUACUAGACAAAGCAAUUUAAGUCAAGUCAAGCAACCCUUCUCAAACACUUCUAAAACACUAGGUUGGAAAUGCUUCAUUUGUUUAUUAGAUAAAGCAAUUUAAGUCAAGUCAAGCAACCCUUCUCAAACACUUCCAAAACGCUAGGUUGGAAACGCUCCAUUUGUUUCUCUCCUAGAAAAAGCAACUUGAGUCAAGUCAAGCAACCCUUCUAAAUCAACUUCCAUAAGGCUAGGCUUGAAAUUUCUUAUAUGAUAUGUGACAUGUAAGACCACAUAGAAAGAGCACAAAAUAAUAAUAAAUAAGUUCCAAGAGGUCUUCCCAAAUUUGACCCCAUGUAUAUAUAUUAAUAAAUAUUCUAAAAUUUGAUAAAUAAUUUUUAUAAACAUUAUUAUUCCUUAUUUUUCAUAGCACAUGUGAAACAAAGCUAAUUUUGAUUAAAAAAAAACACUCAUGAGGAGAUGAGUGAAAAUAACUAAUGAAAAUGAUAAGAUAUUUAUUUAAUAAAAUUUUAAACUAAUGAGAACUAGAUGUAUUUAAUCAAAACAUUAAAUGAGAAAAACGGACCAAUGGGUGGCUUUCCCGUCACUUUAUGUUGUUGGUGUUCAAGUGCUCUUUGUAAUCUUGGGUUUAUUUCUUUACAAAUGUCCUAAAUUCAAUUUUUUUUUCUUUUAAUUUAAAACAACUUGAAAAUACCCUAAAUUAUGUGUGACCUACUAGUACAUGAAAGAUACAAAUAUAUAUAUAUAUAUAUAUAUAUAUAUAUAUAUAUAUAUAUAUUUUUUUUUUUUUAAACUUGCAUUAAAAAAAAAGGCCAGUUAAUGAUUUCAUUGGACAACUUGCAUAUUGGUACUCUCUUUUUUUCACCAUUUAAAGAUUCCAUUUCACGGACUGCCCUUUUUUUAAUUAAAAAGAAAAAAGGACUUUUGUUAAUUAUAACAAGAAGUAGAGAUUGAUGUUAUUCCUUGGUUCUAAAAUGUUAUCUUUAUUAAUUUAUAUUAUUAUUAUUAUCAUUAUUUAUCAAAUAACAUCAAAACUAUGGUAUCAUCUUUCUUAUUUCAAUUCUUUUCUAGAGUAGUUCAGGUGUGCAAUAUGUUUUUGAAUAUUAUAAUUUAAAAAAUAACAUUUAAGAUUUAAGCAAAAAAAAAUGUAUUUAUUAGUUGAAUUUUUGUUCUUCAAGAUAAAAUUUAAUAUUUAAGCGAAAAAAUGUUGAACAUCAUCCGUUUAACCAUAUCCACUAAAAAGUACAUGCAUCCCCAAAUGUAAUCCUUGUUAUAAAUAACUUAUUAAUUGUUUCUUUAGGUAGGUGUGGACCCCGCAUUUCGGCUUAUGCGUUUUCCACUCGAUGGCAAGCUCGAUUUUUAUUUAAAAAAUGAUUUUAUUUUUUCAAAUGAUUUUGAGUCGCCACUUAUUUUUGUUUAAUUUUAAAAUGGUAAACAAAAUAAGAAAAAAACCCUAAAUGCGACUCCUAUUUUUGGAAAAGGUGAUUUACGAAAAACUGGAUCGGACUCGGGGAUCAGGUUACUUAUCGGGAAGGUACGGUAAAGACCGUAACAACCCUCUAAGUCCAUAAAAUUGGGUCUCUACUAAUAAAAUGAAGCUAACAUAGGAAUCAAUGAGAAAAUUAAUGACUACUCGAAUUGAUCAUACACAUAUGAGUAUCAGAACAUGCAUAGACACUGAUCAGAGUGAAAGUGGGUACGUACCUGGACAAUAAGCCAUCAUGCGCUAUCAAGAGAGAGAGUUAGUGCACAGUGAUGAAUAUAAAAUAUGUCACUCAUAUCACCAAACAAGAUGAAGAACCAUCAAUAGCAUGCAUGACAUUUCAUUUAAAUCCCUUUUUAUUUUAAAGGAAGUUUAUUUGAUGUUGGGCCCCACCAUAGCCCGAUUUAUUUUUGCAUGAAUCAAUUUUGUAAAUUUCAUUAAUUGGAAUUACAAAAUUGAAUCCUUGCUUAUUUCAAAACCUUGUAAGGAUAGAGAAAAUGUGAAAGUUGCUUGCCAUGAAGAAAAAUGGUGGCAAAAUUUUAUAUAAAAAUGGGAUUCUUGGGUGAUCCUAAAAAUUCUAAGGAUGAAAGAGGGGAAAAUUGGAAUUAUUUGAAAAUCAGAAUUUGAGAAAGAUUUUUACAAAAUGAGAUUUGAGAAAUCAUUUUCAAGAUCAGAUAAGAAGAAAUCCCAGAAUAUUACAUGGAGCAGCUUCUUGACGGGUAGAGUUUCUCUUCACAACUUUGAGAAUACGUGACAUAAAGGAGGUGCCAUCAAGAGAAAGAGCAUGUCCUGCAGCCUCUUUUGGCAUGAACUCUACAUAGUCAGACCCCUUUGGUUGCCUUGUAGCAGCAUCAGUUACUAUAAUCACUUUUACCACUUCCCCAAACUUAUUAAAAUGCCGAGAAAGACUAUCCUUGGUUGCAGUAAAAUGAACAUUGUUAACAAAGAUGGUCCGAGAAUCAGCACCCUCUAAAGGACGACCAGUAGGAUAUGAACCAGGAGCAGAUAGCUACAUCUUCUGAGACUCUCCCUGAGUAUCUACAGCAGGUUUUGCAUUUCCAUUGCCAACCGAGACAGGGUUUCCAUUUGCCUUCAUUAACUGCACACCAGAUUUGCCAGUGCCUGUUUCAUUUCCCCGCACAGGUUUCUGACCAUCCUCUUCCUCAACCUCCCUUAGUCCCUGAUAAUGAGCUGGUUUCCAUGUAUUCACAUUCACAGAGAUAUUCACAAUCUUACGAGAGGUGUUUGCUAAAGCACUAAGCUGACCCUGAUCUUUACUUCGCAUUGUUCGCAUACCUUCAUCAGCAUUCUUAGCCACACUGUACUGCACCAUUCAUCUUCCCAUGGAGAUUCACUGACCAUGAUGCAGUCAAGUCUUUCUGUACAACAAUAUCAUCAUCAAGAAACAGUAUCUUAUCUGACUUGGGAUAAACCUCAGGGAGAUAAAACCUCAGGUGGUUAAGCAUUGAGAGAUACUUGGGAUUCCUGUACUUUAGAUUAGAAGAGCCUGAUGACAGAGUACUGGGAUACCUCUGAUUGAAAUAUAAUGCUUUCAUAGCAGCAGACUCGAGCUGCCUCAGAACUGGGCAGUAGAAUGAAUUAAGCCACUUAAAUUCAUCAACGUUUUCCACAUGGAUGGUUACUUUUCCUGGGGGUUCAACAGAAACCACAUAUUCAUGGCUUCAAAAUUCAGCUCAUCAGUAACCAGAUAGAAUACAUGUUUUUCUGGUUCCUUGGCGUUCAAGAUGGUUGAGUUGACAACAACCAAUGGUCAAGCACAUAGACAAGCAGUGGAUUCCAUUAGGAAUUGUCUUGGCUGCUAAUUGACUCAGGAAUGUGCUCUGCUUUUUUCAAGCUCCUGACUUGUUCCUCUGCUGACUGAAGCAUUGCUCUCAGCUUCCCAGUGGCUUGUCUGAGGGCUCUUUGGGCUCAUUGAUCAUAUCUAGUAUCUCAGGAAAAGUCAAGCCCUUGCACUGGUCCAGACUGGUGAGUUCUUCAAUCAUAUUGGCAUUUUCAAAGUUUAUCUUGUGACUCAUUCCAUGCAAACUUUAUCAGUGGGUCAGAUUCAACUCUUCCAUUGACUUCACUUGCCACAUCUACAUGGACUACCCGUGCGUGGCCUCUGCAUGAACCCUUAGCUGAAAGAUCUUAUCUCCGCCACUGCCACCUUCGAUGCAGCCAGAAAGUUAAAACCCGAUGAAGUUGACUGUUGCUUAUUUUCUAACUGAAGCACCCGAAAACCUCCAUUGUCAGGAUCAAACCUUGCAGUAGAUCUUCCAUCUUUCUCAUGCCAGAGAUCAUGAUCAGCCUCCCCUUGAGGAAAUUGCAUAUUUGAGGCCCCUCCAGGCAGGCUCGAUCAAGGGACCAUUUGUAGGAACCAUGGCAGUCAAAUUUACCUGAGGAUAUCCCACUGAAGCUAGAAUGGAAGGUAAGAAUGGAAGAGGUAGGUGAGUGAGAAAUGGGUAUGGUAAUAUGCAUGGGGAUGCGGGUAUGAAGAGUAAUGAAUGGAGUUGUGGGUAGUAAGAAAAUUGGGUGAAUCAGGUAUUAGAGAAGGGUGACUGCAUAGAGAUAUGGAGAAUGACCUUGUAUACGUGGUAUCCAUGCAUGCGGGUAGGUGUAUUUGGGUAUGGGAUGCCGUGCUCACUAACAUCAGGUGAGAUGACAACCCUUACAUUACUGCCAGAUUGUAAAAUCUCUCUGACCUUGCUUAUAUGGUUCACAUAUGCUUCAACCAAUCCAAGCUCAUGACGUGUCCCUUCACCCGCUUGCCUUAUUUCAAGUUCACUUGUGAUAACCCCAAGUUAAGUUCCUGUAACUAGCAAAUCUCAUAUUUGCUCAUUAUAAGCUUCUAGAACACAACCAGAUGUAUCACAUCAGAGUUGCUGCAAGAGGCUUCAUUAAUUCUACCUCGGGAUUCGCUACAGUUGUAGGGGGGACGGGACUGGCAGUAUGGAACACUCCAUCAUAUCCUUCAAAGGCAGAACAAAGAGCUCCGUACUUCAGCAAAUCUGCCCUAAAAGAGUUUCAGGUUCUCAGAUGCUUUCUCAAGUUUCUUCAAAUCAGCAUCCUUUCCAUCACUGGGAUCUCUAACAGUUCCAUGGACAAUGUAGCCCUUGGAGAGAAGAAGCUUGACGACCUAUGUAGCAAUGUACCCAUCGGCGCCUGUCACACACACUCUGCCCUUCUCUGCCAUUAUCAAAUCAAUCCACAGUUUUUCUUGUUUUUAGCUCCUGACUUCCGUCCUUCAGUGUAAAGCCAUUCAAAUGUUGAAGACUUCGAGAUGAAGAAUAAACCUGCAUGCGGGCUUAGCAAUAACCCGAUUUCAUCUUCAGUAAAUGAAACUAACAGGCAGUAACCUUUAAGGGAUUGGCAAUGAGCAUCAUAUCCCAAUAUCCUAAACUUUGAGCCAAUCAUGUCAACUAGUGCACAGAUUACAUGCAUCGUUUCCUCUAGCAAAUGCCGAAAUCCUGUAGUGGUGUACCUGGAAGUGCUGAAUGGGAGGAAUGAGCAUGAAGUCGGCCAUGCGCGUGAGAUUGGUGCAAAGCAUAGCCAUGGGUGGUGUGUGAAAUUGGUCUUAGGAGUUCGGUGGGUACGAGGCGAUGGAUUUGAUGGCCAUAGGAGCAUGCAUGAUGACUACGUGCACAUGGGAUUUGAGAAAUUGGAAGGAGUGGAAUGAUGAGAGAAAUGGGUGGUGCGGUGUGUUCAAGACUAAUGAAGAAGGAAUGCAACGUGGGCAUGGUGAUUGUGAGGAUGUGGCUAACAAAUUCAGCUGGGUAUGAAAGAAGGUUUAGGUUAUUGGAAGUGAGUAAUGGCAAGGCAUGGGAAGGUUUAGAGAGAAGUGGGUAUGAGGGUGCAGAGAGAAUGAAGGCUAUGACGGCCAUGGCUUUGCUUGAGUUGUGAUUGAUAAUGGGAUGCUGCUGCCUUCAUAUGAUGCAUGGAUAGAGGAGCUUUCACGUCAAGAAACGACAAAGAAAGAACUUGGGUGCGCACCGAUGACUACUCAAGUGGUGAUGUAGCUCCUGCAAACUGAAGUCGUUAUUGUCCAACAGUGCCAACUGUGGGCCUUGAGCUUACAACUCAUUAGAAACCCAAAACUUGAUUCCCCAGCAUGAGAAAAGCACCAACGCCGUUUGCCAUCUUCCUCACUCGAGGAUAAUCAAAAUCUCAAGGAUAAACACUGCCAUCAACAAUAAGAAGUUUUGGUCUCAAUAGAUUAGUUUCUUCUCAAGCAUGUCAUAAACAGCAAGACCAAGACCUGUAGAUUCAUCGAGUCGUUGGGGCCUAGACUCACAAUAAAUUGAGGUGCCUGAUAUCCGUCUUUUAGGAGCUAUGAAACUAUGAGACAAGUGGCCUUACGAGGUAAGUCCAAGCCUAUGAUCAUGCCAUGUAGAUUGAGAAGGACAGUGCAUACUUCAAAGGUAGCUGGAGAAACUGACAAUGGUUGAACAUUGACGCCUCACGUCUUUCCCUUUAGGUGGAAUACUGCCAAAGCCCUCUUCUGACAGAGGAUUUCUAGCUCAUCAAAGAAUUCAUUGCCGCCAUAGUAUCCUCUACCAGACAAUCCCUAAGAAUAUUUGUUUGUGAGGCAAGAGCUAACAACUUCCAUCACUGCUCGGGAUAUGAAAUUCUCUGAAGCAAAUGAGUUCUAAUAUCUUCAUUUAUCGUUGUUUUUCUUUGUAAAUAAUUACACACACUUCAUGACCAGCUGCAUUCAGGCCAUAGUCAAUACAACUGACUUCGCUUCCUCCAUUUUCAGGCACAAUGAUAGACACAAAGGAAAGUAACUUCCCAGUAAUCAAGCUUCUUUCGAUAUAAGAUCUGCAUGGCUUAGCCGAGUUCAGUUUAAUUGGAUGUCGAAUCCCAUGGUCAGUAGACCCACUUGGAGCGAAACUGAACCCUUUAAUCCAAAUGGACCGUUACAGAGAGCACAAAGCAGCAGUAGUAUUCACGAAACCCAGAGCAUGAGGGCGGGCUGUGACCAUGGCAGAGAUUCCAAACUAGAAAGCAAGCACAAAACCGUCCAUGGAAGAGGUUAUCCAAGGUUUUGGAUGCUUAUGAAGUUUUCCUGCAAGUUGAACGAAUCUGUGACAUAGCCCUUUCUGAUCUAACCUGCAUCGUUUCAACAUGUACCACACCAUCCUCAUUCACGGUACCUCCAAUCACUAUGUCACCCUUCUUUCUUCACCAUGGGCAUAGCAUCCUCUGUGAGCAUGUUCUUGAACCCACACUUAUUCUCCAGCUUUACCUCAUGGAAACACGUCAACCAAAAUACCCCACCCAUCAAGUGACCAAUUCAACUCUGAUACCCAACAUCUCAAACGCACCAGCCAUAGAGGCACAAAAGGGAAGGAAAGGGGGCCAAAACAGAAAAGAAACGAGGGAAGGAUAAACGAGGAAUAAAGUAAAACAUAAGUGUAUAGAGCCUCAUUUCGGGUGACAUCCAUGGGCUAAUAUAAGUGAGGAGAUCUCAAGCUAGAGUUACAAAAUAUAUGAGGAACAGAGUUCCAUUAACUCCAAGCCAAACCACAAGAACAACAGUAAGAUCAACAACAAUAGAGUACAAAAACGAUCCAGAAAUCAACAAAAUUCAGCACGUAUGAUCCAAUCCAAAUUGACGAGCAAUGCAGAGCAAACCAAAAUAAGAAAAGGACGAGAAGAAUAUGAAUCAAAGUAAGCAAGAGAGUCACCUCAAACUCACCUGCAGACGCUCCUUUCCUCUGUUAUCUCCUCCUCCAACUGAAUAAAAUCCUCUGUAAGUCCUUCCCAAGCCACGCAGCCUGCUACAUUCCUCAGCUGAAAGGAUCUUCUCUCAUUUCCCUCAAAAAUCAAUAUCUUCUCCCACCCUCAGCCGAAUAGCCUCCUCAUCCCCCAGAAAACCUCCGUUUUCUCCCUCUAGUCUUUUUCUUCUUCUCCCAAAUAUCCCUCUGUCACAGCUGAAAAGCACCCCUUCACUCUGCAGAAGACGCUCCCCCUAACAAACUCUGAACGUCCCCUUUCCAGGUGUCCAUCUUUCAUUGGCUCUCUUAAGCACCACUGUGAUUCCUUGGCAGCCAAUCAGGAGGCAACACAUGGCUCUUGAAAAAGCCCUCCACCUGGCAAAGAAAAUAACCUGCAAGAAAAAAGUGAAUAAGCCCCAAAUGGGGGUCUACAGCAGGCUAUUGAAGUCUUGUUUGAAUACAAUAUAUAUAUAUAUAUUCUUAAAAUAUAUUUUUUUAAUAUUUGAGAUAGUUAAUUUUUUUAUAUUUAAAUUGUAUUUAAAACCUUUACUUUUUUAAUAUAAGUCUUUAUAGAAUUCUUAUAUUUUAUAUAAAAAUUACUAUUAGUUCAAUUUUUUUUAAAAAAUAAAAAUAAAAAAUGUACCAAUUUAUACAAAUUUUAAAAUAUAUUUUUGAUAAGUCAAAUAAAGCCCAAUAAUCUUUAUAAAAUUUUUCUAUUAGAUGAGACAUCUAUAAAUAAAAAAAAAAAAACGAAAUGUUGAAAGGAAUGUCCCCAACUUUCACCAUAAAUGAUACAAUAACCAAAUUAUUGAGGCAAAUAUUCGGACAAGAUUUCUUGUCAAACAAGCCUUCUCUUCUGUUGAUUGGGAAUUGAGUUGGAAAUGAAAGGAGCAUAAAUAUAGAGAGCCCAUCUAAAGAGAGACUAAUUGGGAGUCAAGCCUUUUCUAUGCACAAAUUGGAUAGUUUUGAGAAGACAAAUCAUGUUUACAUCUUCUCCCUUCUUCUUUCCCAUCUAGCAUGCUGUGCUUCCCACUAUUUCAAUUAUCAAGAUGGAAUCUCCACUCCAAAAAAGUGGAAAAUUAAAAUGAGAGGCAUAACCGGAUGAUAAUCAUAAGUAAUAUUGUUUUUUCUUUUUUUCUGAAAAAAAUUUGAUUUGUUAUCCCAAUUGACGGGUAAGCUCUCAAGUAAGUCUUCUUUGGUGACUUCUCCAACUCUUGAUUGGAAAUUAGGUGAUAAAUGAAGAAAAUAUCCAUUUUAAAAGCGGCUAAUUGUGGAAAAACAAUUUAUCUUAUUAAAUUAAUAUUUUUAAUAUAGACAUGUUAAUAUGGAUUUAUAAUAAUUUAUUUAUAAAACACUCCAAAAAUACAUGAUAAUCAUGGAAACUAAUUUGACAAAAAGUUAUAGAAUCUUUAUAAAAUUUUAAAUUAUGCUACAUGGCAUAUGGAAAGAAAAUAUGCAAGUCAAAGAAAGAAUUUAUAAGGAAUCCACCUCAAUUGGUAGAGGGAUAUUCUACCAAUGUAGAUUUGCCUAUAAUUCACUUAUGAUUAUGGAUUUUCAAAUAGUAGAUAGACUUGUUUCAAAAAUUCUUGAAGUGAUAGAAAGUGAAAAAAUACCUAAGCUUCUUUAAAGGCCACUAAAUGUGGAAAACAAUUUAGUUGUUUUGUUUUUGUUGAUUUCCGUGUGAAUAUCCCUAAUUUGUUGGGAUUUUGAUUUUGAAUUCAAAUCGGGAUUUGUUUCCCACUUUCUAUAUUGAGUUUUUUUCCUUUUCUUAGGCAUGUAUCUCCUAGAUUGUAGAUAGAUUUUUAUUUGGUAGAUUAGAUUCUUAGCUUAUAUAAUGUUGAUGUUGUACAUGCUCUAUAGAAAAAUAUAGAAAUAUAUCAAGUUUUUUGCAUGGUACCAGAGCGGUUUCCCACUAGGACAGACUCCUACUCUCCAGCAUUUGUUUUUUUUGGCAACAAGCAACUUGAAGCCCCUACUGCUAUCUCACUGUGAAUUGUCUUCUCCAACCUAGUCACAAUUUGUCCUUGGUUCAUCAGUCCAGCCAUGAUUUAGUCCAGAUGUGAUUUGAUCGUGUUACGAAUUGAUCUAGUCCAGACAAAUCUUUUGGAAUGACUAUUGAUAGUCAAAAAUCAGUCUCUAAAGUCAACUCUAGGUUGAAGACUAUCACUUCCAAUGACCAUGGAGGAUCCGAUGGCUCUUUUCUUCCCAUUGUAGGUCACAAGUUGAAUGGGAAUAACUAUCUACAAUGAUCUCAGUUCGUCCUUAUGUUUAUCAGUGGCAAGGAUAAGGAUGGCUACCUCACUGGAGAAAUUGUUCAACCCAAAAAUGAUGAUCCUAGAUUCGGAAGUUAGAAGAUAGAGAAUAAUAUGGUCAAAUCAUGGCUUAUCAAUUUCAUGACCAAUGUGAUUGGUGAAAACUUUCUUCUCUAUAAGACCGCAAAAGAGAUGUGGGAUGCAAUUAAAGAAACAUAUUCCACCAAAGAAAAAACAGCAUAACAGGUUGAUAUCGAGAUUGUUCGUCAUGAUUUCCAUCAAGAGGAUUUAACCGUCACUAAUUACUACAAUAUUCUUGGUCACCACUGGCAACAAUUGGAUGUUUGUGAGGAGUAUGAUUGGAAUUGCCCAAAGAUGCUGCCAUGUAUAAAAAGAUUGUGGAGAAAAGACAGCUUUUCAUGUUCUUAUUAGGCCUCAACAAGCACCUUAAUGAGCUCCAUGGGAGGAUCCUUGGUACCAAACCCCUUCCAACAAUCCGUGAAGCCUUUGCCACUAAAUACCUAAGCUUCUUUAAAGGCCACUAAAUGUGGAAAACAAUUUAGCUGUUUUGUUUUUGUUGAUUUCCACGUGAAUAUCCCUAAUUUGUUGGGAUUUUGAUUUUGUAUUCAAACCGGGAUUUGUUUCCCACUUUAUGUUUUGAUUUUUUUCCUUUCCUUUCAUUUUCUUAGGCAUGUAUCUUCUAAAUUGUAGCUAGAUUUUUAUUUGGUAGAUUCGAUUCUUAGCUUAUAUAAUGUCGAUGUUAUACAUGCUCUAUAGAAAAAUAUAGAAAUAUAUCAAGUUUUCUGCAUGGUAUCAGAGUGGUUUCCCACUAGGACCGACUCCUAUUCUCCAACAUCUAUUUUUUCUGGCAAUAGGCAACCUGAAACCCCUACUGCUAUCUCAUUGUGAAUUGUCUUCUCCAACUUAGUCACAAUUUGUCCUAGGUUCAUCAGUCCAACCACGAUUCAAUUAAGACGUGAUUCGAUCUUGUUACAAAUUGAUAUAGUCUAGACGAAUCUUCCAGAAUGACUACCAAUAGUAAAAAAUUAGUCUCUAAAGUCAACUCUAGGUUGGAGAUUGUCACUUCCAAUGACCAUGGAGGAUUCGAUGUCUUUUUUUUCCCCAUCAUAGGUCACAAGUUGAAUGGGAAUAACUAUCUCCAAUGGUCUCAGUUCAUUCUUAUGUUUAUCGGUGACAAAGAUAAGGAUGGCUAUCUCACAGGAGACAUUGUUCAACCCAAAAGUGAUUAUCCUAAAUUCCAAACAUAGAAAAUAGAGAAUAAUAUGGUCAAAUCAUGGCUUAUCAAUUCCAUGACCAACGAGGUCGAUGAAAACUUUCUUCUCUACAAGACCGCAGAAGAGAUAUGGGAUGUAGUUAAAGAAACAUAUUCCACCAAAGAAAAUACAAUAGAACAGGUUGAUAUCAAGACUAUUCUUCAUGAUCUCCAUCAAGGGGAUUUAACCAUCACCAAUUACUACAAUAUUCUUGGUCGCCACUGGUAACAAUUGGAUGUUUAUGAGGAGUAUGAUUGGAAGUGCCCCGAAAACGUUGCCAAGUAUCAAAAGAUUGUGGAGAAGAGACAACUUUUCAAUUUUUUAUUGGGCCUCAACAAGCACCUUGAUGAGGUCCAUGGGAGGAUCCUUGGUACCAAACCCCUUCCAAUAAUUUGUGAAGCCUUCGCAGAGGUAAAGAGAGAGGAGACCUGGAAGAAACUCAUGUUAGGCAAGCAAACUGCUAUAGCUACUACUGAAAGCUCUACUCUUACAACUCGAGGUUAGUCUAGCAACAAUUGAGGAAAUCAACAGCAACGAAAGGGAAGACUUUGGUGUGACUAUUGCAAGAAACAUGAACAUACAAAGGAUACAUGUUGGGAUAUCUAUGGUAAACUUGCAGAUUGGAAAUCAAGGUCAAAUAGACGUGAUAGUCAAACGAACAAUGCCACCACCGAUUCCACCUCCCAACCCAAAUCAAACUCGCUUAGCAAAAAGCAAUUAGAUCUUUUAUAGAAACUACUCUAACAGUCACAACAACCUAAACCACCUCAACCCACUUCCAUAAUUGGUACUAGUUUUAUUGCACAAAAAGUUAAUUUCUUGAGUGCUCUAAAUGCUAAACAGAAAGGACAAGACCAUGGAUUGUUGACUCUGGUGCAUCUGACCACAUGACGGGAGAUGCAAAUGUUUUUGACACAUAUGAUCCUUGCUCUUCGAAUUAUUUUGUCCACAUUGCUGAUGGAUCAUUGUCCAAGGUUGUUGGUUCCGGUUCAGUGACUAUUUCAAAGGACUUAACUCUUCACUCUAUCUUGUUCCAAAUCUAGAUUGCAGUUUGUUGUCCAUUAGUAAACUAACAAAAGACCUUAAGUGCGUUACUAAAUUUUUUCCUAACCACUGUGAAUUUCAGGUUAUGGAUUUGGGGAUGAUGAUUUAUUUCAAGUUAUGGAUUCAGGGAUGAUGAUUGGAAAUGCUAAGGUGCAUGAGGGGCUCUACCUACUUCAAGCUAAUGAGUAUCCUAAUCCCAGUCAUUCUCAAGCUCAUUCUAUUCAGUCCUCCAAUUCUGUUCUUUCCAUUCGUAGUGAUAAUAAAAAUGAUGCCAUAUUGUUGUGGAAUUAUAGAUUAGGCCAUCCAAAUUUUGUUUUACCUUGAGAAAAUGUUUCCAUCAUUAUUUAAUAAAAAUUCCUAGUCUUUUUAGUGUGAAAUUUGUCAAAUGUCUAAACAUGUGCAUAAUUCUUAUCCUAACCAAGUUUACAAGACUUUUCAUCAUUUUUUAAUGAUACACAGUGACCAUUUAAGAUCAAGAACAUUUAUGGAUGAAGAUGGUUUGUCACCUUUAUUGAUGAUCACACUAGAUUCACUUGGAUAUUUCUCAUGAUAGAUAAAUCUAAGGUUGGCCAAAUCUUUAUAAACUUUCAUAAAAUGAUCCAAAGUCAAUUCUAAGCCCAAAUUCAAAUUCUCAAGACCAAUAAUGGAAGAUAAUACUUCCAUUAUGCUUUGGGUACUUAUUUGAUGAAUAAUGGAAUUAUACACCAAAGUUCAUGUGCUGAUACUCCUCAACAAAAUGGACUAUCAAAGUCCUUGUCAAGUCCUUCUCUAAUCUUAUCCUAAUUCUCGGCUAAUCUCCUCCAUUCCCAUCAAAGUGUUUGGUUGCAUUGUCUUCGUCCAUAUUCAUUCCCAACAUUACUCCAAACUUGAUCCAAAAGUUGUCAAAUGUCUCUUCCUUGGGUAUUCUCUUAACCAAAAAGGGUAUAAAUGCUACUCUCCUACUCAAUGGAAAAUUUACAUAUCCAUGGAUGUAACAUUCUUUAUUAUUCAACUCGUUUACCCCAAAACUAAUAUUUAGGGGGAGAAUGGACUUAGUGAAUAUUAGUUUUUGAACAUAAAUACUGAUUUUCUUGAUACAAAUUUUGAUUCUUCCUGCCUUUCUUCAUCUUUUCUUCCACUUGAGGUUGAGACAUCUUCCAAUCUUCAAUCAAAAUCCAUUUCUGAGACCAUAUAGUCUGCACAAUCUUCAAGUGCUGACCUUCCUCUCAACCAAACUCAACAUCCAACCUCAUCUAUUGUCUAUACCAGAAAAAAAAAGGCUUAGAAGGACGAAAAAAUCCAAGUGCAUCCAAUGCAAAACUAAGAGUUUGAAUUAGAUUCAAAAGAUUCUAAAAAUUGACUAGGUAACACCACUAUUGAACCUCUUUUGGAUGAAAUUUCUAAUGAUUUAGAUUUGCCUAUUACUCUAAGAAAAAGGGUGAGGUCUUGCACUAAACAUCCUAUUCAGAACUUUGUGUCCUAUAAUGAGCUAUCUCCAUCAUAUAGGGCAUUUUCCAUGAACAUAACUGAAGUGCAAGUUCCUAGAACUAUUCAGCCAAUCAGAUUGGAGAAAAACUAUUUUUGAUGAGAUGAGUGCUUUGGAAAAGACGGGUACAUGGGAGAUUAUUGAUCUACUGAAAGAUAAAAAUACGAUGGGAUAUAAGUGGAUCUUUACAGUCAAACAUAGAGUUGAUGGAAAUGUUGAUAGGUUGAAGACACGACUUGUUCCAAAAGGAUUCACUCAAGCUUAUGGAGUUGAUUACUAAGAGACAUUUGACCUAGUUGCAAAACUCAAUACUGUUAGAGUCUUACUGUCUCUUGUUGCUAAUCUGGAUUGGUCACUAAACCAGUUAGUUGUGAAGAAUGCCUUCCUCAAUGGUGACUUGGAGGAGGAAGUGUAUAUGGAGAUUCCCCUUGGCUUUGAAAGAAACAAUGACUUUAAGAAGGUAUGUAAACUCCGAAAAGCAUUAUAUGGCCUUAAAGAAUCUACUCGUGCUCGGUUUGACAUAUUCACAAAGGUCAUCAAGAAAAAUGGUUAUAUUCAGUGCCAAUUUGAUCACACCUUGUUUGUUAAAUUCUCUAAAGGAGGAAAAAUAACUAUUCUUAUUGUGUAUGUCGAUGACAUAAUUCUUACUGGAGAUUAUGAUGAAGAGAAAGUUAGUUUGGAAAAUUUCCUCACCAAGGAAUUUGAGAUAAAAGAUUUGGAUGAUCUCAAGUAUUUCCUAUGAAUGGAAGUGGCUUGAUCUAAGAAAGGAAUUUGUAUUUCCCAAAGAAAAUACAUCCUUGAUCUUCUAGAGGAGACUGGUAUGCUUGGGUGUAAACCCUUAGACAUCCCUAUAGACUCUAAUGUCAAGCUUGGCUUAGAUCAAGAGGGUCCUUCAGUUGACAAAGGGCGAUAUCAACAACUCGUAGGGAAGUUGAUAUAUCUUACCCACACAAGACCAGAUAUUAGAUUCUCUAUUAGUUUGGUUAGCAAAUUUAUGAAUAAUCCUACCAAAGAACACUUAGAUGUUGUCUAUAAGAUCCUUCAAUAUCUUAAAUAGGCUCCUAGAGUAGGGUUAUUUUUCAAAAAGAACUCUAACAAAGAAAUUAUGAUCUACACUAACAUAGAUUGGGUUGGCUCUCCUAUAGACCAUAGAUCUACAUCUUAUUAUUGUUCAUAUGUUUGGGGCAAUCUUGUUACAUGGUGAAGCAAAAAACAAACUGUUGUUGCUAGGAGUAGUACUGAAGUUGAAUUCAGAGCUUUAGAAAAUGAAAUUUGUGAGGGCAUGUGGAUUAAAAGACUAUUGGAAGAACUCAAGUUUCCUAUUGAUAGUCCUAUGAGAAUUUUUUGUGAUAAUCAAGCAACAAUUAGCAUUGCUAAAAAUCUUGUUCAUCACGACACGAUUAAACAAGUGGAGAUUGACUGUCAUUUCACUAAAUAGAAGAUUGAUGAGGGGAUUAUCACUCUUGGAUACAUACUAACAACUCUUCAAACAAUCUACAUCCUUGCCAAAGCACUUCCUAGAGUCAACUUUGAAGAAAUGAAGUCCAAGUCGGGCAUGCUAAACAUCUAUAGCCUAGCUUGAGGGGGAGUGUUGAUUUUCGUGUGAAUAUCCCUAAUUUGUUGGGAUUUUGAUUUUGUAUUCCAACCGGGAUUUGUUUCCCACUUUCUGUUUUGAGUUUUUUUGUUUUUUUUCAUUUUCUUAGGCACGUAUCUCCUAUAUUAUAGCUAGAUUUUUAUUUCGCAAAUCCGAUUCUUAGCCUAUAUAAUGUCAAUGUUGUACAUGUUCUAUAGAGAAAUAUAGAAAUAUACCAAAUUUUCUCUAGUUUUAAAUCAUAUCAAAUUUUUUACUUCAAAAUGAUUACAUUGAAAAACUCCUAAAUUUUGACUUUGAAAUGAUUAACCUUCCAAAGAUUAUUAAAAUUGUUAUCCAUUAUUUCCAUUUACAUAGAAUUUGAGAAGGACUAUAUAAUGCUUGAAAAUUUAAACAGUAUAGAAUAAAAAUAUGAUCUAUAUUGAAUUAGAAUUUUUUUUAAAAAUAAAAUUGGGACAAGCUACCUACUUAAGGAAUCCUCAUAUAUAUAUAUAUAUACGACUAAGAAAAAUGAUAAAAAAGGGUGUACAAAUAUCACAUGUUAGAAAUUUUCAAAUAAAAUUGUAAUUUUAUUGAAUUGUAGAAAAAUCUACUUCAAAUCUCCAGUUUAAUUUCAAAUUAUUCUUUCAAUAAUUGUUGACUAAGUGCUUGCAAAAUUUUGAUCUCAAGUUCUAUUGAAGAUUUGAUGUUGCUUGCUUGAACUUCAUUUAGACUUUAACUUGCUUAUGGUUUGAGUUUGGAUUGGCUUAUUUUUUACUUACAUUUUAGAAAUGAACAACAUCUUAGUCUUUGAGAUUUGAAGCUUGAUUUUAUUCUUGGCUAGACUUGUUAGGCUUUGACUUCAUUUUAGCUUUGGCUUAAACAAUCCUAACCAAGUGCUUGAGUAAUAAUCUUAGACAACAAAAUUUAGAAGAUUUGGCUAUUAAAGUUUGAUUCUUGAUUUUUUGAAAGAUAUUCAUGAUUUGAAAAUAUUUUGAAGAAAUUAAAAACUCAUCAAAGAAAUUUUGAAGAUUUGAGUAAACUUUGAAAUCUCUUUUGAAGAUUGAAAAAGCAAUGAAUACUUUCAAAGAAGCCUUCAAUUUCACAUAAAAAUGUUUGGGAAGCUUUAAAGGAGACCAAAUUUUUUUGAAGAAGUUUGAAGGCCAUCAUAGAAGCUUUUUGAACUUAUAACAAAGCUUUCCUUCUACCUUCUUACUUAUGUAUUUUUUACUUAUUGUGUGAAAUAUACCUUCAAGGUGGUUUCCUUUAUUUAUAAAGAUAGGAAUAACAAUACUUAAACAAUUUUCUAGCUCUUGAAAUAUGUUUUUAAUUAUUUAACUAAACUUAAUUUUUAAGGAGAUAUAAAAGAACAUAUUUAGAUGGUCUUUAACCCCUUGAAAACUAUUCUUUAAGGAGAAUCGGUGAUUAACCAUUUUUUUUAAAUCAAGUCCAUUAUUGUCUUAAUUUAUUGUAAUAAUAUUCUUUUUGUUGUCAAUAUUUAUCUUUUCUUUUAUUUAAUCUAUAGAUAACUUUUUGAGGACCCAUUAAUUUGUACUUAAAUAUUGGUAUAGAUAGUUAAAAUUAUGUUUUUAAGCAUAAAAAGGAGUAAAAAUCAUUGUUUUUACCUUCAAUAUGUUAACACCCUAUUUUGGUAACUAAUGUGCUAUAUUGUGGGAACUAUAGCAAAGAGAAGAUAAACACAUGUUUUUGUUAGGAUAGAACCCUUAAAAACAUGAUAUGAAGUAACAAAUUUGGAAUUCAUUAUUUAAUGAUAUUCCCAUUUCAUUUUUAUCUAUUCUUGUUCCAUGCAUUACACUUUAUAAACAUUCUUGCCUAGCAUCUUUUGCAUUGCACGUGAUUUGGGUGCAUUAGGAAUUGCCCAAAAGAUCCAAAUCUCGAGUUCCUUGCAAAUAGAUAACUUUUUCAUAAUCGAUUCAGGUCUAGGCAUCAUGAUAUCUCAUGGUGAAAGACCACCGAAAGUCUAAUAGGGAACAUCCAAAAAGGGAAAGAGGAGUGAAUGGGUGAUAUGAAAAUUCAAAUAAAGAGUUAUAUAUAUUAUAUUCAAUUUUUCUUACCCUAAAAAAUUUUAGGGAAGUCCUAAUUUGCACUUUGGGCAAAUUUCAAACAUAUAAUCUAGUAUCUUCGGAGAAUAAGGGAUUAUAUGUUUGUGAGUCUUUGUGAUGAGUUGCUACUCUUUUCAUAUCGAGAAAUUGGACUUCAAUAUGAUAAGGACUCUUGUAGGUCUACCUUUGGGUGUGUGUGCACUGUAAGUGGUUUUUAUUUUAUUUAUUUUAUAGAAACAAAGGAAGCCUUUUGGCUUAUGGGUAGUUCCCUUGACCAUAAUGUCUAAGAUCCUAUUAUGUAAUAAUAAUGGGUUGGUGGCAUGAUCUAAAAAACUAAAGUACCACUAGGAGAGGAAACACAUAUGGAGGAAGUGUAACCUUAUUGUGAGAUAGUAUGGAGAGUUGAUGAUACAAUGGAGUAGAAUUCUUUCUACGGUUCCCAAUCUAUUUUUUGGGCUAGUGGGAUUUUGUUGGGAUUAUGCCCCUAAAAACAAGGCAUGAUGUAACAAAGUUAGACUUAACCAUCCCCUUGCUAUCCCUUUUGGUGUAUUGACAUUGCCUUGAGCAUUUAGCCCGUGUCUCAUACAUUGUACAUGACUUUUGUGUAUUAGGAGUUAUACAAAAGAUACAAGUCAUGGGUUCCUUGUAAGUAGAUAAGUUGUCCACAAUCGGUUCAUGGAUAUAAGAAAUCCAAUAGAGACUAUAGUGCAUCACCUUCUAAUUAGAGGGAUGACUUAUCUUGGCCAUCAAGAUGGGUUUCCCAUGGUGAGUGCACUAGUGUAUGUGAUGCAAAUUGGACAGGACCUAGGGUGAAUCAUGACACAAAGCUAUCAAUUAUCAUGAUUCACUAAGCUACUACACUGCAUAGACUUUCAAACAUGAGAAGAUAUUGAGUUUCUGCAAAAAUCAAUAGGAGGCUUUGACUUAUGGGUAAGACUUUAAAGUGGUCAUAUAUCCCUAUGGAUUUGGUCACUAUUGAUGGAGGUUGGUGGCAAUGGGUAUUCUCAAUAGAGACACCAUGAUAUCUCAUAAGAUUAAGACAGUGUGUCCCCUUGGGUGAUCUAAAGACAUGUGAUUGUGAAAUCUGUGGCCAUAGUAAUUACUUAAGUGGAAUUUGACAUAUUCUCUUCAAAGCUAGAGUAUGUUAUUUGAUCACAUAAUAAGUGGGAUCUAUAACUCAAGGAUUUGAGAGGUAAUCUUGAUAGGUGAAAACACUAUAUUGUUAGAUUAUGAACACUAGUUCAUGGGGAGUCUACAUGCAGUGGAUAGUAGGUCACAAACUCAAAUACUUGGUGUCUCAUUUUAAUAAAUAUAAGGUACUGGAGUGUAGUUGACUCUCUAUAGUGAGAUGCUAAGUUAAUUUCAUAAUUGAUUAUGAGAGAGCCAAUACUCCUAUGGGUCCCAAUGGUCCCCGAUCUGGGCUUAUAUUCCUUGAUGGCAUGGUUUAUGAUGGUUAGGUGGAUUUUGAAGGGAAAAACUCUGAUCACUCCACUUCCCAAGCCCAGAUUUGGGUAGCAACAUGCAUAACUAUCCUAGGCCUUUUCUAAAUCCUAUGCUCAAUGAAAAAAAUAACAUUUUUAAACCUUAAAAGGAUUCAUAAAGAGCUAACGAAAACUGAUUACUACUCAAAAAGUGCUAUUUCAUAGCUUGUAAAUAACUCUUUUAAACACUUUUGAGUAGUAGUUAUUGCCUUUUAACCCAAUUAACAUGUUAAGGACCCUUGCAAUCAAUUCUAAUCAAAUUGUGUUAAGUUUUGGUGUUUUGAUAGCUUUUUGAUCACCGAAGCAAUAUGAGAUUGAGGAGAGUUAUUUGGAAUCCAUGGCAAAGCAAUGGAAAGCUCAGAAACAUGAAGAACCAAAGCUUUGAAGUCCUUUGCCAUAAGCAAAUCCGGAAUGCAAGGAGGGGAAGCAAAGAGAAAUCUGCCAUGAAACAUUCUUGAUGUCAGUCAUGUCAGCCACUUUUGGAGCACUUCUUGGAGUUCAAUUUAUUCAUGCUAUAUGUCGUUUCGAAGCUCAGGAAGUCAGAAAUCCAAUUCUUCAAACGGUGUGUGAUUCAGAGUUGAAAUGAAGGAUUUACAGCCAUUGGAAGCCAAUCACUCCAAGCUGAAGGAAGAAUUUUGCACGGCUGCGAAAUCACCCUUUUGCUGCGAAAUGAUUUCGCAUCCAUUUUGCACAGUGCUGUGGAAUUCCUCCUGAAGUUUCCCCAUAUUUGCGACACGUUGGAAGCCGAACACUGCAAGCUGAAAGCCAACUUUGCAGCACUGCGAAAUCAGCCUUUUGCUGCGAAGUGAUUUCGCAGCCCUUUUUGUGCAUCUGCGAAAUCUCGCAAACCUCUUUUUCACCUGCGAAAUGGUCGUUAGUGCUUCUUGAUAUUUGCGACCGACAUUUUGAGAUAUUUUUCUUCAGAUAUUUUUGUAUAAAUUUUCAUUCUUCUCCUUGUAAUCCACCAACCAUAAGAUUUCUUAGCUAGGAAGGUUGGAAAAACUUCUCUAUAUAUAUUCCCUUGCAUCCAUUGUAAUAAAGAUACAUAUCAUAUAUAGAAUCAACGAACAGAGCACUUGCUCUGUUUUUCAUAUAUAUUCUUGUUUUCUCAUUAGUUUUCUUUCUAGCAAAACAUUCUCUGAGAUAUUUUCUCAGAGGAUGAGAGGCUAGGCUCUUCGUCUCUUGGAGUGAAGAAAUCCGGGUAAGCUUCCACAUGCAUAAUUUGGAAGUUUUGUUGUUUUAGUUUUUAAUGAAGAGAAAGUGUGACCCGUUAAUGGUUUUUAUCUUUUUAGUUAACUUAAAACACCUUUAAUUCACCUGAGCCAACACUUGGUAAGGCAAGUGAUCUCCGUCUAUGGAGAUGCACUAGUUUAUCUCUUGCGAGCUUUUGGUAGGUGGUUUGAAGGUAUGAUUUUCUAGAAUAGCCAACACUUGGUAAGCUUUUAGACUCCAAGGAGACAUCCAUUAGUUAUCUCUUGCGAGCUUUUGACGGGUAAUCCAAGGUUAAAGAUCACCUUGAAUGGCAAGUGCUAGGUGAGAGGUAUGAGCCAUUGCAAGGUGCAUCAAUGAGAGGGAUUUAGUGUUUGAACCCAUUAAUGGGAAGCAUCUGUACAACACCGGUUGGAGAAGGGACUAUAUGUUAAUUCUCUAAUGCGAGGAAAAGAAACAAGUGACCGGAACUCUCCUUUUUGUAUGAGGAACCUGAGCCUAGUGAUCUAAACUCCAAGAAACACUUUUCUUUGUAAGUAAAAUCAGUUACUAUUUUUGGUUAGUUUAAAACCGAACCUUUUUCAUUCAAAUAUCUUUAUGUUUUCUUUUAAAGCUAACCUUGAAAUGAAAAGGCACCAAUUCAGCUUUGAAUUAAUAUCAUUGGCAAAGUGAAAACCCAUCCCAGUGAACGAUCCUAAAGUCACUAUGCUAUAGUAGCUUUGUCUUUUCUACCCUAGUAUAUGGUGUAAUAGGUUAUAAAUUUUGUUGAUUACUCCCUCAAUCAAGGAGCACCAACUGGACACGAAUCAGCUGAGACACCAAUUGGGCAUGAAUCAAAAACCAUACCUCAGAUUCCGAUGUUCCUAAAUCAAAUCCAGGUGGUGAAAAUGAAGAAUGAAAUCACAAAAGUCUCAUAAACCUGAAGUUUUCCGUGCAAUGAAUCGAAUUGAUCUUGACACACCUCCAGUGGGGAUGGAAAGGAAUGUGGAGGCUAUAACUCUUUAUUUUUCUCUUUGGAGAUGGAAGAUGGCUCUCUAGAAAAACUAUAUGAACUUUAAGCCCUAAGAUGAGAUUUAUAGGGUUUUCUACUAGGCUUAAGUAACUUGAGCUCACUAAGUGCUUGGGUCACUUAAUCUAGCCCAAAAUGGGUCCUAAUUGAUUAAUUAACUCAAUAGGGCAUGCUAAUUAAUCAAUUAGCCCAAUCUAGAGACCUUGCUCACUUACCCUUGUGCAAUUUUUGUGUAAUUACCAAGAUGCCCUUAUGCACAAAAGUGAACCUAGAGCUAAUUCGACUCUCAUUACCCAUGCCAACAAGGUAUAUGAUUACUACCCAAAAAGUGCUAUUUUACACCUUUAAUGCAUUAUGUUUUAAGCACUUUUGUGUAGUAGUUCUCCAUCUUUAGUCCAAUUGGCAUGUUAAGGACCUAGCAAUGUCUUCUAAUCAUAUUUGUGGCUAGUUUUAGUGUUUUGACAUCUUUUUGGAUCAUUAAGACAAGCCAAUCAAAGGAGAAAAGCAAAGAGAAGCAAGGAGGAAAACAGAGGACAGCAGCUGCAGUCUUCGUUAGCACUUUUGGAGAACUUCCCGAAGUCCAUUUUCUACAUUCUAUAUACCAUUUCAAAGCUCAGGAAGUCAAGAAUCCAACGCUUCAAACCGUGUAUGAUUUGGAGCUGAAACGAGGAAGAUAUGGCUUUCGGAAGACAACUGCUCCAGGUGUGCGAAAAUUUCGCACACCCCCUUAGCUGUGCGAAUGGUGUGCGAAAUUCGCACACCCCUUGCGUGGUGCAAAUUUUGCUCUGUUUUUGCCGACUCCACUUUAGAUAUUUUCCUAUGUAUUUUUUGAUGUAAUUUCCUUUCUUAUCCUUGUAACUAACCAGUCACAAGCUUUUGCUUUUGUAAAGACUAUAUAAGGGGUGGAAAUUACCUCUUGGAUAUGAAAUAUACGUAUUACGUUUGACACUUAGAAAUUUUUACAGAGCUCUCUCGUUUUCCAUUUUCUCUCUACUAUUUUCUUUUUCUUGGAAGCCAAACAACCUCUGAGGAUGUUUUCUCAGAGGAUGAGAGGCUAAACUUUUGGUUUCUUGGAGUGAUGGAAGCUAGGUGAAAAGUCCAGAUGCAAGGUGGAAAACGCUCGUGCAUUAAAUUCAGGUAGUUGGAAUUCAUAAAUGGCUUUUAAAUCCAAAGUUUUGCUUUAAAUCCCUUAGAAUCACUUUGAAUGACCAAUACAUGGUAAGCUUUAGGUCUUUAUGGAUGCUUAUUGCUAGAUCCAUAUUAGUCCAUUAGUUAUCAUGUACGAGUCAUUGGAAAGCGGUUCAAGGUGAAGACCUAUAGUGUCUAAAGCCAUUAAUGGACUUUGACUACCAUUUAUAUUGAUUAUUAUGGAUUAAAUCUUCAUUGUUAAGCCUACACCGGUUCGGGAAAUAACUAUAGGUUAAAUUCCCAAUGCGAGGAGAAAAAUCCGGAAUUUUCCACUUUGCACUCUAAACUUGAUCCUAGCAAUCCUGAGCUCCGGGAGACUUUCCUUCUUCCAUUUUUAAUUAGUUUAUGUUAAUUUAGUUUCAAACACUUUCAAAACAAAUUUUAUUUUCUUUUAAACUCUAAGUUUUUUUUUUUUAUAAAGGAAAUCAUUAAAUUCAAUUCAUAAUCAUGAGUAUAUCACUGGUAGAAUGAAAACCCAUCCCAGAGUUCGACCCUAGAGCCACUAUACUAUAGUAGCUUUGCUACACUAGUAUGAGGUCAUAGGUUUUAUAAAUGUUUUUGAUUAAAUGACCCAUUUGGAGUUACAUGCGAAUCAGUAUAUGAGCUCAGAGCAAGGACUAUUAGGACCCAUAUGAAUAUUAGCUCCCUCACAAUCCAAUUCUAAAGUUGAUUCAACAUCCCACUAGAAAGAAUCAACUGAACUCCAGUAUCCUAUGUAAAUAGCAAUGAGACAUUAUGUGCUCAGGUUCUUGACCUGCUAUCCAUUACAUUCAGUCUCCCGAUGAACUAGUGUUCUUAGUCUAACAAGAUGAAAGCUAUCAACCUUUCAAGACUAUCUCUACUAUCUUUAAGUUAUAGAUCCUCCUAUUGUAUAUUCAACUGACACGUCUUAGCUCUCAAAGAGCCUAUGUCAAGUUUCACUUAAGGAAUUACUAUGACCAUAGUUUCUAUUAACACACCUCCUUAGGAUCACCUAAGGGGAUACACUGUCUCAAUCCCAUGAGAUAUCAUGGUGCCUAUAUUGAGAAUACUUUUUGCUACCAACUUCUAUCAACAAUGACCUGAUCCAUAAGGAAUAUAUGAUCAACUUACGAUCUCACCCGUAGGUUAAAACCAUUGCUAACUUUAGCAUACGCUUAAUAUUCUCUCAAGGUUAAGAGACAACACAAUGAAGCAAUUUGGUGAGGUCAUGACUACUUGAUAGCCUUAAGUCAUGACUCACCAUAGGUCUUAUCCAAUGUGUAACCAUACACACUAAUGCACUCACCAUGGGAAACCUCUCCCCAUAGCUAAGACAAGUCAUCACUCCAAUUAGGAAGUAGUGCACUACAACCUCUAAUGGGUUGCCUAGACCCAUGAACUAGUUGUGAACAAGUAAUCUAUUUGCAAGAAACCCAUGACUUGGAUCUUCUGUGCAACUACUAAUGCACCUAAGUCACAUACAAUGCAAAAUAUGCAAGUAGGAAUGCUCAUAAAAUAUAAUACAUGGAAUAAGGAUAGACAAAAGUGAAAUUGGAACAUCAUUUAAUAAAUAAUGAAUUCCAAAUUUAUUACAUCAUGUCAUGCUUUUAAGGGCUCUAUCCUAGCAUUCUCCUACUAGCCCUCAAAGCGUCAUGCUUAUAAAGCAUGCUAAAUACUCAUUUGAAACCUAUGCUAUCCUUGUGACUAACAAAGACUCUCCUUGUCAAUGUCUUGGUGAAGGGAUCCACCAGGUUCUCCAUAUAAGGUAUCUUGUCCCAUAUCAUGUCACCUUCUAAACUAUUUCAACACUUUGGAGCACAAGCACAUAAUCCCUCGUUCUCCUAAGAUACUUCAGUAUAUGCUUGAUAGCAGUUUAGUGUUCUGGACCUGGAUUAAACUAAUAUCUACUUACCAUACCCAUUACAACAUAAAUAUUUAGCCUAGUACAUAGCAUCGCAUGCAUAAGGCUACCCACUAUAGAGACAUAGGGUACUGAUUGGAUGCGUUUUUUCUCCUAGGUGUUUUAGGACACUGAUCCCAAGAAAGAAGAAUUCCAUGCCUAAAAUGUAACAAACCUUUCUUGGAAUCUUGCAUCACAUACUUGACCAAAAGCUUAUCUAUGUAGGUAGCUUGAGAUAGCACUAGUUUCUUAUUCUUACGGUCCCUAAGGACCUUAAUCCCAAGAAUAUACUACACUUCUCCCAAAUCCUUAAUCUGGAAUUGAGUAGAUAAACAGAACUUUACUGAUGACAAUAACCCUACAUCAUUACCAAUGAGUAAAAUGUUGUCAACAUACAAGAUCAUAAAGACCAUCAUGCUUCCGUGCUCCUUCUUUUUACACACAAGGUUCAUCCUCAUUUUGAUCAAAGUCAAAGGUCUUGACUGCCUGAUUGAAACAUUUAUUCUAUGAGUGGGAUGCUUGUUUUAGUCCAUAAAUGGAUUUAUGCAAUUUGUAUACCAUAUGCUCUUAACCCUUUGCUACAAUACCUUUUGGUUACACCAUAUAGAUGCUCUCAUCAAGAUUUCCAUUUAAGAAUACAAUCUUGACAUCCAUUUUCCAUAUCUCGUAGUCAAGAUGUGCUGCAAUGGAUAGGAGUAUUCUAAUGGACUUGAGCAUGGCUAUCGACGAGAAGGUCUCAUCAUAGUCAAAACCAAGUUUCUGACUAUAACCCUUCACUACAAGCCUAGCCUUAAAAGUCUCAACCUUUCCAUCUACUCCUCUCUUUCUCUUAUAGACCCACUUACACCUUAUGGGUUUUAUACCUUCAAGUGCUUCUACAAGCUCCUAGACUUGGUUAGAAUGCAUAGAUUCUAACUAUACUUCCAUAGUCUUUUACCAAAAAUGUGCAUCCACAUCGCUCAUUACUUCAUCGUAAUAUGUGGGAUCGAUCUCAUGUUCCUUUAGAAUGACCUCAAAAGACUCUCCCAAAACAUGAAUUGGUCUAGUUGUUUAACAACCCUCCCACUACAAUGAAGCAUCAGUGUACUAGAAAUGAGAAUGGUUGGUACUAGAUCCAUAGUAUCUAGUGUAUAGUGAAACUAUCUUCUAGAUUGUUUGCCUUAUUACAUGUCAUAGAGUCUUCAUAAAAAAUCUAGUAUUUGUAGCAAGCAACACCUUAUGAUAAUCCUGACUAUAACGUAGUAAUCCUGAAAUCCUCUUGGAUAUCCUAUAAACUAAUACACCUCUUUAGAAAAAGAAGAGGUAUUACAUAGUCUUUAAGAUAUAUCCCCAAAGAAUAUGGGAAGUAAUGAGAAACCAAUCACCGAUCUCACUUUGUCUACCAAAGUUUAAUAUAUUCUUUCCAUUACUCCAUUUUGCAAUGGAGUCCUUGGGGCACACAAUUGUGAUAUGAUCUCAUGCUUCAUUUGGAAAGAAUCAAACCUACUAGACUAACCACCUCAAUCUAAUCGAAGUGCCUUGAUAUGUUUACCCAUUAGGUUAUCCAAUUCUGCCUUAAAUUCAAUGAGUUUAUUCAAGGCAUCAUAUCUCCUAUCUAUAUAUCCAAAACUAAAGUAUUUAUCAAUAAAAUGAUCAAAGACUCACACUUUCAAUAUAUAAACACAAAAAGGUUCACAUACAUUAGUAUGCACUAACUCCAAACAUUCCUUGGUUCCAAGUCUUUUAAAAAUAAAAGGGUCUCUUAGUCAUUUUACCAUCUAUAUAAGAUUUAUAGACUAAAAGAUCUUCUAGAUUAAGAAGGUCCAAACUUAAUUAGUAUUUGGAUCAAUAUGACUUAGGUGUUAGAAGCCAAAUGUUUGAUUCGUUCUAGGUUCUUUCUUUUGGUGAGAUUUAACUAUUCUCAUUACUUGGCAAAGUGAUAAUGGAGUCUCACAUAGAAAAGGUAAUACCUCCCACUAACAUGCACAACUAAUCUUACAACUGAAGCUAAGGUAAGUACAAUCCCAUUAUGUGACCUUCUCACUUGUUGAAAACCUUGUAAAGAACUACAGAUAGUGGGCCUGGAAUCUAUCCACCACUAUGUAUUCAACAACAAGAACAUGAUGUGUACUUGUCUAUUCUUAAACACUCCAAGCAUUCCAUGUUUAAGUGUCCUAAAAGGCCAUAAAGGAAUCAUUGCCCAUGAGCUUGUUCUCUCAUUAUUUUUCUUGAACUUUCCUUAUUUGGUGUUGUUCUUUUCCUUCUUGGUAGAAGAACCUAAAGAACCUUGACUUCCAUAUGAACACCUUUCAACUCUUUGAGAAUCUUCUUAACCAUACUAAAAGAAUCCGGUAAGAUCUUUAGGAUAACAUGAAUCUUGGUGUUCAUAAUAGUCCUAAGGGCAACUUGUUUAGUUGACUUACUCUUAUUACCAAAUAACCCUUUCAACUUUAAAGAGAAUAUCAUAGACUAUGGAAAUAGACAUAUGUUGUUUUUGCAACACUUUAUCUAAAGACCCAAGUAUGAGAGACUUGGCCUUUUGAUUUGUCUUAUGCCAUAUUUGAUAUGUUUCUCUUACUUCAUGAUAGGUUUGUUCAAUGGAAAUAACAAACUCUACCAAAAUCAGCUUCUAUGCAAUUAAUACUAUACCCAGAUUAUUCAUAGUCUAUCAUUAGGUCCAAUUUAAACAAAAGAUAAUAGGCAACAAGUUAAAGACAUGAUAUCUAUAAAAAAUAUAAUAAUUCCAUGCAUUAAUAAAAAGAAAUUGAGCAUUCAAGGCAAGUUGGUAAUUAAUUUAGUAAAAAAGUAGUUCUCUCAAACUACAUAUCCUUUUGUAAGGUAUCCUAGUAUCAUAAGAAUCAAGCCAACUUUAUGUAGGUCACGACUCUUAUUACUAGGGUAGAGACCCUCUCUAAUUGAUCAACUUGCCUUAAACUUUAAAAGUUAUCAUAAGGCAUUGAUCAACAUAGCUUUAUGUUUAGCCCUUAGUCCAUGCAAGUGGGACCACUUUAGGUGAUUUUACCACUUCAUGUCUAAGUUAAGUAUGUAACCAAGAUCCUUGACAUCAAUGUUACCAAGUGAAGAGUUCCAUCUUUAGGGUUGACUAGUCUCACUAUAAACAUAUAUAGUCUUGUCCAUAAAGGAUAGUCUUUAUUCCUUGAUUCCUUGGGCCACCCUAUCUUUAAGAUGGUGAUGCACCCAAAAUCAAGAUGGGCUUGGUCUUGGAGGUUAUGGGCUUGCCUAUGGCCUACUCCUACUUAAUAUUUUGGAAAAGAGGCUUUAAGAUAAUUUUGGUAACUAUCUUAAAAUAAAUUAUCUAUCAUGAGAAUUUCCAAAACUUUUAUUUAUCACUUGAAUUGGGACUCUUGUACCAAAUAGGGAUAUAUUUCAUAUUCCUUAUCCUUGAACUUUCCUUUUCAAACUAAACAUAUUCCUCAUUCUCUUAGAGGAGAAGAUGUUGGAAGACCAAUUUAAUUGUCAUUCUCCUUCUCUCUAGGGAGGAAGGCUUGGAAAACCACUUAAGCCAAAUAAAGAAAAGUCCCAAAAGGAAUUUGAAAUUCCAAAUGAAAACAACCAAUUCCUUAAAUAAAUAAUAAUGGAAAUAAAACUCAUGAAAAUGUAUUCUUUUAAGAAAAUCCAAAAUUACCAUUUUAAUUUAUUUUAUUUGAAACAAUAUCUUGGUAAGCUAUAUUAAUAAUGAAUCAUCUAUCAUAUAUUUUUCUAAAAAUAAUUUAUUUCUUUAAAUUAGAAUCUUGUGCUAAAUAGGAAAGAUUUUAUUUCACAAAGGCUUGGAAAACUAAAACUUCUUCCUUAUAAUAAAAAAAUUCUUAGAGAUCUAAAAUCUAAAAAAAAUUAUUUUGGAAAAGAAAAUCUCUAAGAGUUUAAUUUUGAAAUGGAAGUAGGUUCCUUAUUACUUUCCAACUUAGCUUUUCUUAAAAUAAAAAUUUCUUAAUCCCUAUCACAUUCCAAUUUAAUAAAUUAUCUAAAACAAGAAAAAAAAAAUAUGAAAAUUCAUUUACUUAAGAAUGCCAAAAUAUAUUCUAUGUCAAGAAUAAAAAGGCAUAAAAGAUAUAAAAGGAAAUUAAAUAAAUAAUUUUCAUGGUCUUAUGGAUCUUGCUGCAAAUUUGGAUAAAAUCCAAAUUAUCAAAAUAGUCCUGCAACCAAAGAUAGGGUUAAUGAAAAAAGAAAAACCCAACAAGCCCAAUUGCCACAAAAAAAAAGCCUAAAAAAAAGCCCAAAAAAUUGAGCUCAAACAACCAAAAACAAUUUGGCCCAAACUCAAUCCUGUAAUUGCAUGCCCUUUGAGCAGCCUUGCUUCAAUCAACCGUAUCUCCCUCGUUUCAACUCUGAAUUGUGAUAUUUUUGAAGCAUUAAAUUCCUGUAUUCCUAAGCUUGAAAACCAUAUAUGGUUUUCCCCAAAAAUCUCAUGGGAGGUAGCCCCGAUUUUGAGUUAAAUUCAGCAUCAUUGUGCUGCCAUGGUCUUUGCGCAACCUUACUUCAAUUGAUUAUAACUCCCUUGUUUCAACUCCAAAUUGUGAUCCAUUUUAAGCCUUGGAUUCUUGACUUCCUAAGAUUGAAAACCACAUGUGGUUUGACCUAAAAAAACUCAUGGGAAGUUAUCCCGAUUUUAAUCUUAAGAUGACAAAAUUGUGCUGCCAAGGAUCUCAAAUCAAGAAUUUCCAAGAAUCUUUCUUUUCCCUUAAAUCACCAUAGGAACUUAUGAAAGAAACUUCAAGAAGCCUUAUUUUCUCUUUUCCAAAAAGGGAAUGUGAGGAAAAAUUUUGUGAUGCUUCAGACUGCUUCCAUAAUCUCCAUACGUUGCAAAAAAUGAUAAAAAAAAAAAGGAUUUGGAGUUUACAUAUCAUUCUAAGAUAAAAAUGGGAUUUUUACAAAAGAACAAAAAUCCUAUGCCUGUUUUGAGGCUUACAACCCAUCUAGAAAAAGUAAACAACAAUCCCAGUAAUUAUUACAUCCCUAAUAAAAAAAAUCACAAUAAUAAAGAAUCCACAUUAAUUAUCCCUAGUGUCAUGGGAUAAACACAUACCCUACAAAAUAAAGUUAGCACACCCUAUAAUGGUUCUAGCACGAUUACUAACCUAUGGCUCUAAUACUAGUUGAUGGGAAAAACCUGGAUAUUUCCAUUUCCCAAGCUCGAAUCAGGUUAGGAAUAUGUAUAACUAUCUUAGGCUUUUUCUAAAUCCUAUGCAUAGCGGAAAAAUAACAUUUUUAAACUUUAAAGAGAUUCAAAAGGCGUUAACAAAAACCAUACCUCAAAUUUGGAUGUUCUUGAAUCAAAUCCAUGUGGUAAAGAUGAAGAACGAAAUCGCAGAAGUCUUGUAAACCCGAAGUCUUCUGUUCGAUGACUCAAAUCUUAAUCUUGACACUUCCGGUGGGGAUGGAAGAGAGGUGAAGGCUACUGUUAGGAUAGAGCCCUUAAAAGCAUGAUAUCAUGUAAUAAACUUAAAAUUAAUUAUUUAUUUCAUGAUGUUCUAGUUUCACUUUUAUCUAUCCUUAUUCCAUGUAUUAUACUUUAUGAGCAUUCUUAUCUGCAUCUUUUGCAUUUUAUGUGACUUAGGUGCAUUAGGAGUUGCAUAGAAGAUCUAAGUCAUGGGUUCUUUGCAAAUAAAUGACUUGUUCACAACCAGUUCAUGGGUCUAGGCAACCCAUUAGAGGUUGUAGUGCACCACCUCCAAAUUGGAGGGAUGAUUAGUCUUGAAUACUGGGAUAGGUUUUCCAUGGUGAGUGCACUAGUGUGUAUGGUUACACAUUGGACAGGACCAAUGGUGAGUCAUGACUUAAGGCUAUUGAUUCGAUGCCCAGCCGGGUCUUUUAAUCAAAAACAUUUAUAAAACCUAUGACCUUAUACUGGCGUAGCAAAGCUACUAUAGUAUAGCAGUUCUAGGGUCGAACUCAGGGAUGGGUUUUCACUCUAUCAGUGACAGACUCUAAAUUAGAAAUUGAUUCUGAUGAUUUCCUUUAGCACAAACUUGAAAUUUAAAAGAAAAUAAAAUUGUUUUGAAAGUGGUGAUUUAAACUAAACUCACAUAGAACUAAGUAAAAAGUGGAAGAAAGAAAGUCUCCUGGAGUUAAAGGUUGCUAGGUUCAAGUUCCAGAUGCAAAGUGGAAAAUUCCGGAUUUUUCUCCUCGCAUUGGGGAUUUAACCUAUAGUUAUUUCCCGAACCGGUAUAGGUUUGACAAUGAAGUUUUAAUCCAUAAAAAGUCACUAGAGAUGGUAGUCAAGGUCCAUUAAUGGCUUAAGACACUAUGGGCUAUCACCUUGAAUCACUUUCCAAUGGCUCGUACAUGAUAACUAAUGGACUGAUAUGGAUCUAGCAAUAAGCAUCCACAGAGACCUUAAGCUUACCAUGUAUUGGCCAGUCAAAGUGAUUCUAAGGGAUUUAAGGCAAAACCUUGGCUUUAUAAACCAUUUAUGGACUCCAACUACCUGAAUUUAAUGCACGGAAACUUUCCAUGUUUUAAUCUGGACUUUUCACCUAGCUUCCUUUACUCCAAGAAACUAAAUGUUUAGCCUCUCAUCCUCUGGGAAAACAUCCUCAGAGGGUGUUUGGCUUGCAAGAAAAUAGAAAAUAGAAGAGAGAAAAAGAAAGCAAAAGAGAUCUCUGUAUUUCACUAAGUAUCAAAUUUACAUCAUUUGGUCUCCUGGAGAAAGCUCCCCGAAAGAUUCAUUUUCAGUGAUUACAAGAGAAUUUAUAUAGGAAGGUAAUUUUACCCUUCCUUGGAUACUUCCUAGCUAAGGAAUUACAUGAGUGGUUGAAUACAAGGAGAAAAUGGAAAUUUAGACACAAAAAUAUCAGAAGAAAAAGAGUCGGCAAAAAUAUCCAAUUUUCGCACGCUGGAGUUCCAAUUUCGCACUUUGAUUUGAGGUGUGCGAACUUUUCGCACAGUGGACUGAGGAAUUCGCACCUUGAUUUCCAUCGUGCGAAAUUGUCCCUCAACUUGAUGCAAUUGUCUUCCGAAGGCCAUAUCUUUCUCAUUUCAGCUCCAAAUCGUACAUGGUUUGAACCGUUGGAUUUUUGACUUUCUGAGCUUUGAAAUGGUAUAUAGAAUGUAAAAAAUGGACUUCGGGAAUUGCUCCAAAAGUGCAAUGAAAGACUGCAGCUGUGUCCCCUGUUUUCAUCCCCUGUUUUCCUCUUCUCCAUUGUUUCUUCCUUGUAUACUUUGAACGACUAAGGCAAAGGAUUAUGAGGCUCCAUAGCUUGAUUUCUUCAUAAAUUUAAGCUUUCAAAAGCUUUGCCAUGAACUAUAAAUAGCUCUCCCUCAUUCUUAAAUUGCUUUGGUGAGCAUAAAGCUAUCAAAAAGCACCAAAACUUAACAUAAUUGUUAGAAACGAUUGCAAGGGUCCCUAACAUGUUAAUUGGGUUAAAAGGUAAUAAUUACUACUCAAGGGUGUUUAAAAGAGCUAAUUACAAGCUACAAAAUAGCAUGUUUUGAGUAGUAAUCACUCCCCCCAACCGACAUAUUGCUAGUCCCUUAGCAAUUAAGGAGAGAAAAACUAAGCAAACGUAAUAAUAUACAUAAAAGAGGUCAUGCAAUUCAUUCCAAAAAAUAAUUGAGAGGCAUGACUGAUAUCCAAACACAUCUCCCCUGGUGAACUAAAGAUAUGAAGAUUCAAAAUGCAAUAGGAGUUGUCAAAGCUUAAAACUUAAACAAAAAGUACAAAGAGUGGAGAUUAUGCAAUUAAGUAUCAAAAGAAUCUCUACUCUCAAGGUUCCAAAUCAAACUCUUCCAUAAUAAGCUAAGUGUUAAUGAGAUUAGCUUCCGGAUAUAGUAUAUACAACUAUCCUCACCUUCCAACCUAAGCUUUUCUCGAACAUUGGCAAAAUUAAUCAACUCUUAAUAGGUUAGGAACGCACCUUCUUAUUCACAAUUCUUUUUACUCACUAAUCUUAACCAAUUCACCUAUGUAGCAAGCAGAGGAUCGAUGACUCCCAACCAAUCAAGGUUUAGGGCAUCGGGUUUUAAAGGCUUUCGCCACCCCUUCGGAUCAUGCUUAGGUUUCAAGGAAAGAAUAGAAGCUUAUUCUUUUUUUUUUUUUUUUUUUCAAAGACUCAUUGGUCUUUAUGAGGUGUCCCAACACUAUUAAAGAGAGGUUAAGUAAUGAACCAAGUCAAAAUUUUCCUAAGCUUAGAAGGUGAGAAAGUUUUACAUCAUAUAUCCGGGAUCUAAUGUGCACAGUGGUGUAAAGCUUGAAAUGGAAGAAGAAAGUUCGAAAUCAAAGAGGCUUCAAUAGAUUAUCAACUUUGAAAGCAUAAAACAAACUCUAAGACUUAAAUAAUUAAGUUAAAACUCGACUUAUCCUAUUUUAUUUUUGAGAAAUUAUCUUUAACAACCAUAGAGAAUGAUUCAAAAAACUUUUAAAAAUUUUAAAUUUUAAGCAAAAAUCAACUAAAAUACCAAAAUAACUUAGUAUUAACAACAAAACUUCCUUUCUCAACUCUCCCCCCAACCAAGUUGAACAUUGUCCUCAAUGUUUCAAAAGCGAUUAAAAAUAAAGGGAGGAAGUGGUACCUCCUGAGUGAGACAAAGUCUGAGUGUAAAGGAGGUAUGGAGUACCUUAAACCACAUGUUCCAAGGACAAAAGAGUAAUGAGAAAAGGGAAUAUAAUCAAAAAGGAUAUAUAUAUAUAUAUAUAUAUAUAUAUUACUUGUAAAAGAAAUAUACAAUGUAUGAUUUCAAGUAAUACUUCCAAUCCCAGUUUAUAACACAUGCAAAAGAUGGGAUUUACAAGUCUAAAAUAAAAAACAAGUAAAAUAUAAAAAUAUCAAAUAUGAGGGGUGUCAUGUGAUGGCUCUGCUCUGAUCUCCUCCUCUGGUAUGGGCUGCUCAGCUGGUAAGCUCUCCUUAUCUGGCACUAGAGGCUCGGAUGGUGCAGACCUAUCAUGCCCAAAAGGUGUCUGCAUACUCAAAUGCUGCUGAAUCUGAUGAAGGAUCGUGGUAUGUUGGGCCUGAGUAGCAAUGAUCUGAUCCUGGUGUGCCCGAAUAGUGGUCAUCUGGUGGAUAAUAGAAUCCUGAGCAGUGCUCAGUGUCCGCAAUGAACGCUCUAAGCCUCUGAAUUCCGUAAGAGAAACGGUGACAGUGGGCUCAGAUGAAAGAGGAGGUGCUGGGGUAGCUGGCAUGACUGGUGGAGCACCCGAAGUGAUAGAAGAAAUAGGAUGUAUAGGCUCAGGAAUAUGCUCUGAGGGGUGUUCUGCAGGGGCAGGAGGUGUGGUCUCUAUGAGAAUCUCAUCCUGCUGGGCCUGAGGCAUCUGCUCAUCUUGGGGUAGCUCUGGAGGUGCAGGCACAGCUGGGGCUCCCUGGGGUGCAAAGUAGGCUACCAAGUGAUGCCAUUUGUCGAGAGAGAAGUCCUCUCGGCAAUGGCGGCGCCUCUCAAGACGGGGCUGUUCAGGAUAGCCCAGGUGCUCUAAAAUCUGGCAGAGGAGCCUCGAAAAUAGUAAUGGGAUGCCAUCUGCCUUUUGAAGCUUCUUCUGAUGGACUUUCUCUUCAAAAUGAAGAAGAGAAGUCAUAAUCAAAUGAUGAGGGCCGAAAAAAUAGCCCUCAGAAAUCCUAAAUAACGCCUCAAGUAUAGCUCCUCGCCUCUGAACUUUGUGCUGAAGGGGGAAAAGGUUGGCACGCAGGAGCACAUCAAUAAGGAGCAUCCCAGAUGGAAGCUCUCUCCUAGUCAACACUGAGGCUGUAGAAGUCCCCCUGGACAAAAUGCGGACCAUGUCACUCUGAGAGAAUGAGGACCACUCCCUGAAGUCUGCCUGAAUCACAGGCUCAUAAGGUAUACGGAGGGCCUCAACAAUGUGACGAGCUCCAAUGGCACCCUGGCGUCCAUCUAUGGUAAAUUGGAUGAGGGUAGGAUUACGGAGGCCUCGAGUAGUCAUAGAUUGAUAAAAAUCUAUAACUACUCUGGGAUAGUAGAAUUGCCUAGGAGUGAGAAGAUCCUCCAUGUGAUACCUCUGUAGUAGUCGGAAUGAAUCUCUGAGCUCUGGCUGCUGUCUGAGGGCCUCUAUAUCAAAGUAGGUCUCGGAAUGGAAGGAUCGAUCUCUGCAAUCCAAGUUGCCCUCUAUCGGUGGUCCGGCUAUCAUGGGACGCCUGAUAACAGUCUCAGGAGUAAUCCCCACAGGAAUCCGAGAGUCCUCUGUAGGUGGCUCUGACUGAGGUGCGUGGGAUGGUUCUCCAGGACCCGAGAACUUGGUUCUCUUCGCUGGUGGCCGAGAAACAGAGUUCGUGGCUUGAUCGGCUGGUGGCACAGGGUCCGUGGGUGGUCUCCUGGUGGGGUAUCGGCGCUGAGAAGGGGCUUCCCCCUCAGAUGGGGGAAUGGCCGGGGCCUGAACAGGUGGCGAAGCUGCGGCUCCCAUGGCGGCUCGAUGUGGUCGAGGUGUCGGUGAGGAUGGGGAGCCGGAAAGGCCUCCUCUGGUCUUCGCCAUGGCCGAAAUGGAGGUGGGUGACUGUUUGGGAUUCCAGAGGCUUCUCAGCUGGUUCGUGGGGGAGUCCUUUGAGCUUCUGGACUUCAAGGGAUUAUAUAGGAAUGAGGUUUAGGGGGUUUUUUAUGUUUUAAAAUUUUCCAAGGCAACCGAAAAGUCGUUUUUGGACGUUAGGCACAAUUUCGGGGGUAAAAUUUUAAUUUAAAAGUCCGUUGAAAAUUUUUUUGGAACUUAAAAUUUUACCGUGCGAAAUUUUCGCACCUUGGUCUGCAAAUUUCGCACCUUGAAAUUAGGUGUGCGAAAAUGGCACCCCUUUAACUGAGGAUUUCGCACCUUAAAAUGAGGUGUGCGAAAUUUUCGCACCUUGAAAUCAGGUGUGCGAAAUUUUCGCACCUUGUUUCGCACGGUGCGAAAAGUGGCUUGAGGUGUGCGAAAAUGGCACUCGUGUGCCAGGAGGGGAUUUCGCACAGUGAGAAAAUUUUCGCACCUUGCACAGUGGUGUGCGAAAUUGGUUUUUAGGGAAUUCGCACCUUGAAAUCAUUUUUCGCACCUUGAAAUAAAUUUCGCACCUUGGUUUUGGGGUGUGCGAAAAUGGCUCCCUUUGGACCGAGGAUUUCGCACCUUGGUUUUGGGGUUUGCGAAAUUUUUGCACCUUGGAAUCAGGUGUGCGAAAUUUUCACACCUUGAAAUCAGGUGCUCUGUUUCCUUGGUUUUACUCCCCUUUCUUGCUUUUGAAGAGUUCUCCCCAUCUUUCAUGAUUUUUUUCUGAAAUUUAUCAUCAAAAUUGACUUGAAUUAAGACAAAAUAAACUAAGAUUGAGGAAAAAUUAUAAUAAAAAGAAAUAAAAAUAAUGAUAUAACUAUAAAAUUAUAAAAAAAUUCAUGGACUUAUUUAGCCCAUGAUACCCUGCUUUCCCUCAGAGUUGUGGUGGUUCAAGGAGGUUGAUCUCCUCCUUGUCUGUACUGUAAGGCUCUAUGAAUGGCUUGAGACGAUGGCCAUUAACUUUGAAGGUUUGAUUGCCUGUGGGAUUGAAUACUUCCACCACUCCAUUGGGGUGUACUUCAUGAAUUAUGAAAGGACCCGUCCACCUGGAUUUCAAUUUUCCUGGAAAGAGAUGAAGUUUAGAGUCAUAAAGCAAAACUUUUUGUCCUUUGGUAAAAUUUUUCUGAUUUACCAACUGAUCAUGCCAUUUUUUCAAUCUUGCUUUUGCAAUUUUUGAAUUGAGGUAUGCAUCAUUCCUCAUUUCCUCUAAUUCAUUCAAAUCCAAACAUCUCUUUAACCCGGCUUUUGUCAAAUCCAUGUUAAGCUUUUUGAUUGCCCACCAUGCUUUAUACUCAAUCUCUACUGGAAGAUGACACGCUUUGCCAUAAACAAGGCGAUAGGGAGACAUUCCUAGAAUGGUCUUGUAAGCGGUCCUAUAAGCCCAUAAGGAAUCCAGGAGCUUGAUAGACCAAUCCUUCCUAUUCACAUUGACCACCUUCAUCAAUAUAUUCUUGAUCUCUCGGUUGGCUAACUCAACUUGGCCACUUGUUUGGGGGUGAUAAGGUGUAGCUACCUUGUGCUUAACCUCAUACUUGGCUAGAAGAGUCUCAAAAGGUUUAUUGCAAAAGUGGGUUCCCCCGUCACUUAUAAUGGCUUUUGGCACUCCAAAUCUUGCAAAGAUGUGGUCCUUGAGGAAUUUAAGUACCACUUUAUGAUCAUUGCUCCUACAUGGGAUUGCUUCUACCCACUUAGAGACAUAAUCCACUCCUACCAAGAUGUAGGAAUGUCCAAAUGACAUUGGAAAUGGUCCCAUGAAGUUUAUACCCCAGACAUCAAAGAUAUCCACUAUUAAGAUGGGGUUCAAGGGCAUCAUAUUUCGGCGUGUUAGCUUACCAAGCCUUUGACACCGAUCACAUCCCUUGCACAUAGAAUGGGCAUCCUUGAAAAGAGAGGGCCACCAGAAGCCUGAUUGGAUCACUUUCAUAGCUGUUUUCUGGGAGGCAAAAUGACAUCCACAUGCACUAUCAUGGCAAUGGGAGAGAAUUCCCGAUUGCUCUUGCUCAGGAACACAUUUCCUUAUAAUUUGAUCUGCACAAUAUUUGAAAAGGAAAGGUUCCUCCCAAUAAUAGGCAUGGAUCUUAGCCAAGAAAUGCCUCUUGUCUUGAGCACUCCACUCACUUGGUACUUCUCCAGUAACCAAAAAGUUUGCAAUGUGAGAAUACCAUGGAGCUACAUCUACUGACAUGAGAGACUCCUCAGGGAAGUCAUCAUUGAUAGGCAGACCAUGUGAGUCAUGUGCUAUCACAAGUCUGGACAAGUGGUCAGCUACCACAUUUUCUACCCCCUUUUUAUCCCUGAUUUGGAGAUUGAAUUCUUGGAGCAAAAGAAUCCAUCUUAUCAAUCUUGCCUUGGCAUCCUGCUUGGUUAGCAAGUACUUCAAAGCAGAAUGGUCAGUGAACACCACUAUAGAGGACCCUACCAAAUAAGCACGAAACUUAUCCAAGGCAAAAACUACUGCCAACAGCUCCUUCUCAGUAGUUGUGUAGUUCUUUUGAGCCUCAUUCAAAGUUUUGCUUGCAUAAUAGAUCACAUAGGGCUUUCCAUUCUCUCUUUGCCCCAAAACAGCCCCCAUAGCAAGAUCACUUGAAUCACACAUUACCUCAAAAGGUAAUUUCCAAUUUGGGGCUCUCACUAUUGGUGCAGUUGUGAGGAAUUGUUUCAAUUCCUCAAAACUUCUCUGACACUUCUCAUCCCACACAAAUUUGGCAUCCUUUACCAAAAGGUCACACAGAGGUUUUGAGAUUUUUGAGAAAUCCUUAAUGAACCUCCUAUAGAACCCGGCAUGUCCAAGGAAUUGCCUAAUUCCUUUAACAUUUGUGGGAGGUGGCAACUUAACAAUCAGCUCCACCUUUGCCUUAUCUACCUCAAUGCCAUUUUUGGAGAUGAUAUGUCCUAAGACAAUUUCUUUUUGUACCAUAAAAUGACACUUCUCCCAAUUUAGCACUAGGUCUUUCUCAAUACAUCUAUGGAGAACAGCUUCUAAAUGCAUCAAACACUCCUCAUAAGAACUUCCAUAUACAGUGAUGUCAUCCAUGAAAACUUCCAUGAUGCGUUCCACCAUAUCACUGAAGAUGCUUAGCAUGCAUAUUUGGAAAGUUGCAGGAGCAUUACAUAGACCAAAGGGCAUUCUCCUAUAUGCAAAAGUACCAAAGGGACAAGUGAAGGUCGUCUUUUCUUGAUCUUCCAAAUCAAUUUCUAUUUGGAAGUACCCUGAAUAACCAUCUAGAAAACAAUAGAAAGGAUGUCCUGAGAUUCUCUCAAGGACUUGGUCCAUGAAAGGCAAUGGAAAAUGGUCCUUCCUAGUCACUGAAUUCAACCUCCUAUAGUCUAUAGACACCCUCCAUCCUGAGGUAGGACGUGUAGAGACUUCUUCCCCUUUCUCAUUCUGGAUCACAGUAAUUCCAGAUUUCUUUGGGACUACUUGGGUGGGACUCACCCACAAGCUGUCUGAAAUGGGAUAUAUGAUCCCAGCUUGAAGUAGCUUCAAAACUUCAUUCCUCACCACUUCUUGCAUGUGAGGAUUCAGUCUCCUUUGGGGUUGCCUCACUGGUUUUGCAUCUUCCUCCAUAUAAAUAUGGUGGGUGCACACCAAAGGGCUAAUCCCUUUCAGAUCAGAAAUUUGCCAUCCAAUGGCUUUCUUACAUUUUCUGAGGACUCCUAAAAGACUAUCCUCUUGAUCACUAGUGAGGGUUGAGGAAACUACCACUGGACAUUUCUCAUCAUCCUCCAAGUAUGCAUACUUCAAAUCCACAGGAAGUGGCUUUAAAAUAAGCUUUGGAGGGUCCUCCACAGUAACUCCUUGUGAGUCUUCCUGGUUGAACAGUGGUAAGAUCUCUUCCCGUCUCCUCCAAGGAGACAUUAUGGCUAGCACAUCAAAGGGUUCAGGGAACCCAUCUUCAAGGACUUCCAGGUUUUCAUUCAAGCUCUCCUCUAAACUCUUGUCACAGUGCUCUUCAACCAAAGUGUUGAUCAAGCACAUCUCCUCGAAUCCUUCCUCCUCUUCAGGGUAAAGAUGCCUCUUACAUAAAUGGAAUAUGUUUAAUUCCAAUGUCAUGUUUCCAAAUGUGAGCUGCAUCACCCCAUUCCUACAAUUAACAAUAGCAUUGGAGGUAGCUAGGAAAGGUCUCCCUAGGAUGAUUGGUACAUAAUUUUCUUCCUUGACAGUGGAAUCAGUAUCAAGCACCACAAAAUCCACAGGAUAGUAGAAUUUGUCCACUUGAACUAGAACAUCCUCUAUCACUCCCCUUGGGAUUUUGACAGACCUAUCAGCUAAAGAGAGGGUCAUGGUUGUGGGCUUUAAUCCUCCUAGUCCCAAUUGUUUAUACACAGAGUAUGGGAGCAAAUUCACACUUGCUCCCAAAUCUAAUAAAGCUUUUUCCACAUGUGUCCCUCCAAUGUUGACUGAUAUGGUGGGACAUCCCGGAUCUUUAUACUUAACUGGGGACUUACUCUAGAUGAUAGCACUCACUUGCUCAGUGAGGAAUGCAUUCUUUGUCACCUGUAAACCUCUCUUGACUGUGCACAAGUCCUUUAGAAACUUUGCAUAUGUGGGGACUUGCUUGAUCAUAUCAAGUAAAGGUAUAUUCACCUUCACUUGUCUCAGAACUUCAAGAAUUUCUGAUGAAUUCUUGAUUUCUUUCUUUCCAUGUAAAGCUUGAGGAAAAGGGGGAGGCAUAUGUUUCUUCAUCAUAUCCUCCUUAAUCACUAUCCUUGGUUCUUCUUCAAUGCUUGAUUUGGAUGCACUUUUCUUCCCACUCUGCUCUUCUUGGUUAUUGCCCUCUUUGAUCAAGGGUCUCUUUGAUCUGAGUUCUUCAUUAGGCCCCACGUUAGGCAAGGGUUGAUCAACCUCCUUCCCACUUCUCAAAGUGAUCACAGCUUUGACCUCUCUCAAAUUUGAAGACUCACCAUCUUGGGUUUCAAUUUCAUGAACACCCUUGGGAUUUUGGCUUGGUUGAGAGGGGAACUUUCCCUUCUCAAUCACUGUGUUUAGGUUGGUAAGCCUAGAGAUGGAGUACUGAAUAUUAUCUAUCUUCUGAGAUAGAUCAUUUUGCAUCCCCUCCAUUCUCUUUAUUUGAGAACUCUCAACAUUUUCAAUCUUUUGAUGCAAUUGGGAGUUAAUUGUCUUUUGUUUACCCACAAAGUCACCCAUGACUUUACUCAGGUUUACAAUGGCUUGCUCCACUGAAGAUGGUUGUUGAGGUACUUGGGUUUGGCCUUGUGGUUGGUAUGGAGGUGGCCUUGGUUUCCAAGAAAAAUUUGGGUGGUUUCUCCAGCUUGAAUUAUAGGUGUUUCCAUAAGAUGCACUGUUGUUGGGCCUAAAUUGCCCCACAACAUUUACUUGAUCACCUAACAUCUCUCUCACAGCUGGCAUGGUUGGACACUCAUCUACNNNNNNNNNNNNNNNNNNNNNNNNNNNNNNNNNNNNNNNNNNNNNNNNNNNNNNNNNNNNNNNNNNNNNNNNNNNNNNNNNNNNNNNNNNNNNNNNNNNNCAAAGUGAAAAGAUAGCUGAGUCUCAUCAAGUCUAUGAAGCUCUCCCUCUCUAAAGGUAUUACACACCUCCUCAAACUCCUUGAUGUGAGAAUAUGGAUUCUCACUCUCCAUUCCAUGGAAAGUUGGUAGGAGGGGCACAAUAUGGGGCCUUAUAACCAACUGCUCAAGUGGGGGCAGGAUGCAUGAGGGUGCACUCAUCCUUGGGGGAUGCAUUCUAUCCCUCAUGGAUAGGUAUGCAUUGGGAUUACCCCCUUGACCUUGUUGAGAAUUCUGAUCCUCUGGUGGAGGGUCCAUGAUAUUUACACAGAUAUCCAACUCUGUGUCUUGAGGAUUCUCAAUCCUUACUAAUCUUCCCUCUUGGUCCCUAAUCCAAUAGGGCAUGCACAAAUUCCUGUAAUAGUAAAAACAAAAGGAAACUAAAGAAAAGGAUAAAGUUAGGAAGAAAAUGAAAAUAAAAUUAACAAAAGGAAAAUGAAAGAAAAUGAAAUUAGUGAAAAAGAAAUUCACCCUGGUUGUGAUGAAAAUCACAAGUAGCCUCUAAAAGGUUGUAUCACUGUAUUGUGGCACCAUCCCCGGCAACGACGCCAUUUGAUUCGAUGCCCAGCCGGGUCUUUUAAUCAAAAACAUUUAUAAAACCUAUGACCUUAUACUGGCGUAGCAAAGCUACUAUAGUAUAGCAGUUCUAGGGUCGAACUCAGGGAUGAGUUUUCACUCUAUCAGUGACAGACUCUAAAUUAGAAAUUGAUUCUGAUGAUUUCCUUUAGCACAAACUUGAAAUUUAAAAGAAAAUAAAAUUGUUUUGAAAGUGGUGAUUUAAACUAAACUCACAUAGAACUAAGUAAAAAGUGGAAGAAAGAAAGUCUCCUGGAGUUAAAGGUUGCUAGGUUCAAGUUCCAGAUGCAAAGUGGAAAAUUCCGGAUUUUUCUCCUCGCAUUGGGGAUUUAACCUAUAGUUAUUUCCCGAACCGGUAUAGGUUUGACAAUGAAGUUUUAAUCCAUAAAAAGUCACUAGAGAUGGUAGUCAAGGUCCAUUAAUGGCUUAAGACACUAUGGGCUAUCACCUUGAAUCACUUUCCAAUGGCUCGUACAUGAUAACUAAUGGACUGAUAUNNNNNNNNNNNNNNNNNNNNNNNNNNNNNNNNNNNNNNNNNNNNNNNNNNNNNNNNNNNNNNNNNNNNNNNNNNNNNNNNNNNNNNNNNNNNNNNNNNNNAUCUUUCUCAUUUCAGCUCCAAAUCGUACAUGGUUUGAACCGUUGGAUUCUUGACUUUCUGAGCUUUGAAAUGGUAUAUAGAAUGUAAAAAAUGGACUUCGGGAAUUGCUCCAAAAGUGCAAUGAAAGACUGCAGCUGUGUCCCCUGUUUUCAUCCCCUGUUUUCCUCUUCUCCAUUGUUUCUUCCUUGUAUACUUUGAACGACUAAGGCAAAGGAUUAUGAGGCUCCAUAGCUUGAUUUCUUCAUAAAUUUAAGCUUUCAAAAGCUUUGCCAUGAACUAUAAAUAGCUCUCCCUCAUUCUUAAAUUGCUUUGGUGAGCAUAAAGCUAUCAAAAAGCACCAAAACUUAACAUAAUUGUUAGAAACGAUUGCAAGGGUCCCUAACAUGUUAAUUGGGUUAAAAGGUAAUAAUUACUACUCAAGGGUGUUUAAAAGAGCUAAUUACAAGCUACAAAAUAGCAUGUUUUGAGUAGUAAUCAGCUAUCAAGUAGUCAUGAUCUCGCCAAGUUGCUUCACUGUGUUGUCUCUCAACCUUGAGAGAAUAUUAAGCUUGUGCUAAAGUUAGUGGUGGUUUUGACCUAUGGGUGAGAUCGUAAGCUGAUCAUAUAUUCCCUAUUGAUUAGGUCAUUAUUGAUGAAAGUUGGUAGCAAUAGGUAUUUCCAAUAGAGGUACUAUGAUAUCUCUUGGAAACUAUGGGCAUAGUAGUUCCUUAAGUGGAGCUUAACGUAAGCUCUUUGAGAGUUAAAACAUGUCAGUUGAAUACACAAUAGGAGAAUCUGUAACUUAAGGAUGGUAGAGGUAGUCUUGAAAGGAUGAUAGCUUUCACCUUGUUAGACUAUGGACACCAAUUCAUGAGGAAACUAAACAUUAUAGAUGGCAGGUCAUAGACCUGAGCACGUAAUGUUUCAUUGUUAACAUAGGAUACUAGAGUUUAGUUGAUUCUUUAUAGUGGGAUGUUAAAUCAACUUCAGAAUUAGAUUAUGAGGAAGCUAGUAUUCUAUGAGCCCUAAUGGUUCCCGCUUUGAGCUCAUAUACCUUUUUGGCAUGGAUCAUGAGGGUCGGACUAGCUCUAAGUUCACUUUUGUGCAUAAGGGCACUUUGGUAAUUAUAUAGGUUGCACAAGGGUAAGUGAACAAGGUCUCUAGAUUGGGCUAAUUGAUUAAUUAGUAGGUCUUGUUGGGUUAAUUAAUCAAUUAGGACUUAUUUGGGCUAGAUUAAGUAACCCAAGCCCAUGUGGGCUCAAGUCACUUAAGCCCACUUAGGAACCAUAUAAAUACCCUUUAGGGGUUAGGGUUUCUAUAGUUUUUGUCUUCCACCAUCCAGAAAGAUAGAGAGUCAUAGCCUUCACCAUUUUUUCCUUCCCAUCGGAAGUGUGUCAAGAUCAAGGUUCGAGUCAUCGGGUGGAAAACUUCAGGUUUAUGAGACUUUUGGUAUUUCUUUCUUCAUCUUCACUACAUGGAUUUGAUUUGGGAACAUCCGAAUCUGAGGUAUGGUUUUCUUAGCAUUUUUUUAAUCCCUUAGAAUUUUAAAAAUAAAAAUUUUCUGUUGUAUAUAUCCUUUAGAAAAGGCUUAGGAUAGUUAUGCAUGUUCCUAACUUGAUCUGGGCUUGGGAAACAGAGAGAUUCGGGCUUUUCCCAUCAGCUAUGGCUUUCUAUCUUUCUAGAUGGUGGAAGACAAAAGCUAAUGAAACCCUAACCCUUGGGGUAUUUAUAAGGUUCCUAAGUCAGCUUAAGUGACUUGAACCUACAUGGGCUUGAGUCACUUAAUCUAGCCCAAAAUGGGUCUUAAUCGAUUAAUUAACCCAAUGAGGUCUACUAAUUAAUCAAUUAGCCAAAUCCAGAGACCUUGUUCAGUUAUCCCUAUGUAAUCUUGCGUAAUUACAAAAAUGCCCUUAUCACAAAAGUGAACUUAAAGUGGAUCCGAUCCUCAUAAUCCAUGCCAACAAAAUAUAUGAGCUCAAAGCGAGGACCACUAGGACCCAUAGGAAUACCGGCUCACUCAGAAUACAAUUAUAAAGUUAAUUCAACAUCCCAUUGUAGAAAAUUAAUUGAGCUCCAAUAUCCUAUGUAAAUAAAAAUGAGACAACAAGUCCUCGGGUUUGUGACUUGCCAUCCAUUAUGUUCAGUCUCCUUAUGAACUAGUGUUCGUAGUCUAUCAAGGUGAAAGCUAUCAACCUUUCAAGACUACCACUAUCAUCCUUGAGUUAAAAACCUCCUAUUGUGUGUUCAAUUAACAUAUCUUAGCUCUCAAAGAGCCUAUGUCAAGUUCCACUUAAGGAACUACUAUGCUAUAGUUUCCAUGAAUACACCUCCUUAGGAUCACCCAAGGGGACACACUAUCUCAAUCCCAAGAGAUAUCAUGGUCCCUCUAUUGAGAAUAUCUAUUGCUACCGACUUCCAUCAAUAGUGAUCCAAUCCAUAGGGAAUAUAUAAUCAGCUUAUGAUCUCACACGUAGGUCAAAGCCACUGCUAACUUCAAUACAAGCUCAAUAUUCUCUCAUGGCUGAGAAACAACAUAAUGAGGUAGCUUGGUGAAGUCAUAAAUACUUGAUAGCCUUAAGUCAUAACUCGCCAUAGGUCUUAUCUAAUGUGCAACCAUACACACUAGUGCACUGACCAUGAGAAACCCAUCCCAAUAGCGAAGACCAACCAUCCCUCUAAUUAGGAAGUGGUGCACUAUAACCUCUAAUGGGUUGCAUAGACUGAUGAAUUGGUUGUGAACAAGUCAUCUAUUUGUAAGGAACACAUGACUUAGAUAUUUUGUGAAACUCCUAAUGCAUCUAAGUCAGUUACAAUGCAAAAGAAGCAGACAAGAAUGCUCAUAAAGUAUAAUACAUGAAAUAAGGAUAGAUAAAAGUGAAAUUAAAAUAUCUUUAAAUAAAUAAUGAAUUCCAAAUUCAUUACAUCAUGUCAUACUUGUAAGGGCUCUAUCCUAACAGUUGUCUCUCAACCUUGAGAGAAUAUUGAGCUUGUGUUGAAGUUAGCAGUGACUUUGACCUACAAGUGAGAUCGUAAGUUGAUCAUAUAUUCCCUAUGGAUUGGGUCAUUGUUGAUGGAAGCCAAUAGUAAUAGGUAUUUUCAAUAGAGACACCAUGAUACCUCUUGGGAUUGAGAUAGUGUUUUCCUUUGGGUGAUCAUAAGAAGGUGUGUUCAUGGAAACUAUGAUCAUUGAAGUUUCUUAAGUGAAACUUGAAAGACUGAUAGGUUUCACCUUGUUAGACUAUGAACACUAGUUCAUAGGGAGACUGAACACAAUGGAUAGUAGGUCAUGGACCCGAGCACUUGGUGUCUUGUUGUUAUUUACAUAGGAUACUGAAGUUCAAUCGAUUCUCUGUAGUAGGAUGUUGAAUCAAAUUUAGAAUUGGAUUGUGAAGGAGCUCAUAUUCCUAUGGGUACCAAUGGUCCUUGCUUUGAGCUCACAUACCUUAUUGUCAUGGGUUAUAAGGAUGGGAUUAGCUCUAGGUUCACUUUUGUGAGUAAGGGUGUUUUGGUAAUUAUGUAAGGUUGCACAAGGAUAAUUGAAGAAGGUCUUUAGAUUGGGUUAGUUGAUUAAUUAGUAAGCCUUGUUAGGUUAAUUAAUCAAUUAAGACCCCAUUUUGGGCUAGAUUGAGUGACCCAAGCCCUCAGUGGGCUCAAGUCACUUAAUCCUAGUAGGAAACACUAUAAAUACUCCCUUAAGGGUUAGGGUUCCCGUAGUUUUUUCUAGAGAGCCGUUUUCCAUUUCUAGAAAAAGAGAAAGAGAGAGAGAGAGUCAUAGCUUCCACCCUUCCUUUCAUCUCCAUUGGAAGUGUGUCAAGAUCAAGGUUCGAGUCAUUGGGCAGAAGACUUUGGGUUUACAAGACUUAUACGAUUUUGUUCUUCAUCUUCACCAUGUGGAUUUGAUUCGGGAACAUCUGAAUCUAAGAUAUGGUUUUUGUUAUUACUUUCUGAAUCCCUUUAAAGUUUAAAAAUGUUAUUUUUCCAUUGAGCAUAGGAUUUAGAAAAAGCCUAAGAUAGUCAUGCAUGUUCCUAACCUAAUCUAGGCUUGGGAAAUGGAGAGAUUCAUGUUUUUCCAAUCACACAUAGCAUCACAUACUUAAGACUAUCCAUUUUAGAGUCAUAGGAUACCGCUUUAAUGUGAUUUUUUUCCUAUGAUGUCCAAGGACAUUGAUCUUGAGAAAGAUAGCCCUAAACCCAAAGGGUAACAAACCCUUCUUGGAGUUUUACAUUAUGUCCUUAACCAAAUACUCAUCAAUGUAGGUGACAUGACAUAAGUUUCCUAUUCUUAUAGUCCUAAAGGACCUUAACCCAAGAAUAUAUUAUGUCUUUCUCUAGAUUUUCAUCUAGAAUUGAGUAGGCUAGUAGGUCUUUACUAAUGACAAUAUCCCUACAUCAUAUCCAAUGAGUAGAGUGUCAUCUACUUGUGCUCUAACCAUGCAUCCCUACACCUUAUUGUACACAUAAGGCCCUUUGCUAUGAAAAUAUUUGGUUGUUAUAUCUUAUAAACGAGACACACUACAAUAGAUAGGAGUAACGUAAUGGAUUUAAAUAUGUGUUGAAAAGGUUUUCCAUAGUUGAAACAAAGUUUCAAACUAUAACCUUUAGCGACAGUCUUAGCCACAUAAAACUCAAGUUUUCCAUUUACUCCUAUGUUCCUCUUGUAGACCAACUUACACCUAUAGGUUUUAUCCCUUUAGAUGCUUUUAUAGGAACUCAAACUAUAUUAGAAUAUAAAGAUUCUAACUACCUCUUCAUAGCUCCUUGCCUUAAUGUGAGCAAAACACUGUUCAUUGCUUCAUCAUAAUCUAUGAGAUAUAAAACUCCCACUAUGAUGAGGCAGUAGUAUACUAGAAAUCAUAGGAAAUGUAUGCCUUUAAUCCUUUGGCUCUGUAUUAUCCUAUAUAAUGUGGGACUAUCUUCUAAUAUAUCCUCCAAUCUGUCUCACUUUUUACCUUAUUCUUUAUCAUAUAAUCUUCAUAAAAAAUCUUAUAUUUGUGUUAACAAAUAUCUUCUAAUGAUCUUAACUAUAAAUGUAACAACCAAAAAAUCUUCUUAUAUAUCCUAUAAAUUGAUAUACCCCUUUAGAAAAAAAAAAUUAUACAGUCUAUAAGAAAUAUCUUGAAAAAAAUCUGGGAAAAUAUGAGAAACCUAAUCCACGAUCUCACUAUUUCCAUCAAAGUUUGAUAUCUUCCUUUCACCUCUCUAUUUUAUAAUAGAGACACUAGUGUAUGUUGUUGGGAACAUUGGAUUACUCUGUUCCCAUGCCUAGGAUCAUGUAGGGUGCAUUCAAAUAUAUCAUAGGCUCUCUAAAUCUAUUGCGAUGAAUAAACAAGUAUUAAAAAAAAUAAGGAUACCAUAGAAAAUAUAGAAAUAUAUAAUAAAACAACAUACCUUUGAUCCGGAUGUUCCUGAAUCAAUUCUAAUCGAUGUAGAUAACUCCAAAGUCAUAAUGAAUCUCAUAAACACCAUGAUUUUCUACUCAAUGACUCUUCCUUGUGUCUAGGCACUGAGAUGGUGGAUAUCUCAAGUGUGGAGGUUAGGGUUCUCUCUCUAAAUUGAAGAGGAGAAUAACAAGAAUUAGAAACCCUAACCCCAAAAGGGGUAUUUAUAGGCUUCAUAUUAGGCUGAAGUGACUUAAGCCCACCAUGGGCUUGGGUCACUUAAUCUAGCACAAAAAGGUUACUAAUUGAUUAAUUAACCAUACAAGACCAGAUUAAUCAAUUAGCCCAAUUAAAGGAUAGCACUCACUUAUCCCUGUGCAACCUUAUAUAAUUACCAAAACACCUUUAUGCACAAAAGUGAAUAAAAAACCCAUCCAACCCUUAUAAGUCAUGCCAACAAGGAAUAUGAGCUUAGAGUGGGGACCAUUGAGACCCAUAAGAGCACUAGCUUUCUCAAAAUCAAAUUCUGAAAUUGACUCAACAUCCCACUACAAAGAGUCAACUGCAUUCCAAUACACUAUGUAUAUUACAAUGAGACACCAAGUGCUCAGGUCCAUGACUUACUAUCCACUGCACGUAGACUCCCUAUGAACUAGUGUCCAUAAUCUAACAAGGUAGUGCUAUUACCUAUCAAGAUUACCUCUCAAAUCCUUGAGUUACACAUCCCACUUGUUAUUGGAUCAACUAAUAUAUCCUAACUCCAAGAAGCAUAUGUUAAAUUCCACUAAAGAAAUUACUAUGGCCACAGAUUUCAUGAUCACAUGUCCUUUAGAUCACCCAAGAGGACACACUGUCUCAAUCCCAUGAAAUAUCAUGGUGCCUCUAUUGAGAAUACCUAUUGCUAACAAUCUUCGUCAACAAUGACCCAAUCCAUAGGGAUAUAUGACCACUUUAAGGUCUCACCCAUAGGUUAAAUCCUCCAGUUGAUUUUGGCACAGACUCAAUAUCCUCUAAAGGUUGAGAGUCCAUGCAAUAUAGUAGCUUGGUGAAUCAUGAAAAUUGAUAGUCUUGUGUUAUAAUUCAUCGUAGGUCCUACCUAGUGUGCAUCACAUACACUAGUACACUCAUCAUGGAAAACUCAUCCUGACAACCAAGGCAAUUUAUCUUUCUAAUUAAGAGGUGGUAAACUAUAGUCUCUACUAGAUUGCUCAAAUCUAUGAACCAAUUGUGGACAAUUUAUCUACUUAAAAGAAACCCAUGGCUUGUAUCUUCUGUGCAACUCUUAAUACACCUAAGUCAUGUACAAUGUAAGAGACAUGGGUUGAAUGCUCAAAUCAAUGUCAAUACACCAAAGAGAUAACAUGGGGAUAGUUAAGUCUAACUUUGUUAAAUCAUGUCUUGAUUUUAGGGGCUCAAUCCCAACUAACUUCCACUAGCCCCGAAAGCAGAUUGGGUACUAUAGAAAGAUUCUGCUUCACAAUCAUAUCACUUCUCUGUACUAUCUCACAAUAAGGCUACACUUCUUCUUUGUGAGGUUCUUUUUCUAGUGGUAUUUCAGUUCUUUAGACCAUGCAAUUGUCUCACUGUUAUCACUUAAUAAGAUCUUAGACGAUAUAGCCAAGGAAACUACCUAUAAGCCAAAAGGUUUCCUUUGUUGCUAUAGAAACAACAAAAAACCAUUUAGAGUGUACACAUACCCAGAAGUAGACUUGUGAGAGUCUUUGUCAAACUGAAGUCCAAUUUUCUGGUACAAAAGGAGUACUAACUCAUUACAAAGACUUACAAACAUAUAAUCCCUCAUUCUCAAAGACAUUAGAGUAUAUGUUUGACAUCGAACCAAAGUUCUAAGCAGGAAAUGGACUAAUAUCCACUUAUUAUUCCUAUAACAAAGCUAAUAUUUGGUUUAGCACAUAAUAUUGCAUACUUAAGGCCAUCUAUAGCAGAGGCCUUAGAUACUGCCUUGAUGCGAUCUCUUUUCAUAAAUGUUUAAGGACGUUGAUCCUAAGAAAAAAAACUCCAAAUCCAAAGAGUAACAAACCCUUCUGGGAGUUUUACAUCAUGUAGUUGACCAAAUGCUCAUCUAUGUAGAUGACAUUACACAAUUUUCCUAUUCUUAUAGUUCUAAAGGACCUUAACCCCAAGAAUAUAUUGUGUCUUCCUCUAGAUUUCAUCUAGAACUAAGUAGACUACCAGAUCUUGACUGAUGACAAUAUCCCUACAUCCUAUCCAAUGAGUAGAUUGUCAUCUACCUGCAAGAUCUUAGAGCAUCACCACGCUUCCCUUUGGCUUCUUGUACACACAAGGCCCUUUGCUAUGAAAAUGUUUGGUUGUUAUAUCUCAUAAAUGAGACACACUACAAUAGAUAGGAGUAAUAUGAUGGAUUUGAGUAUGACCACUAUUGAAAAGGUUUUCUUUCGUUGAAACAAAGUUUCAAACUAUAAUCUUUAGCUACAGUCUCAGCAACAUAAACCUCAAGCUUUCCAUCUACUCCUAUGUUCAUAGGUCUUAUCACUUUAGGUGCUUCUAUAGGAACCUAAACUAUGUUAGAAUAUAAAGAUUCUAACUACCUCUUCAUAGCUCCUUGCCUUGAGUGAGCAUAAACAUUGCUUAUUACUUUAUCACAAUCUAUGGGAUAUGAACCUCCCACUAUGAUGAGGCACUAGUGUACUAGAAAUCAUAGGAAUGGUAUGUCUUUAACCCUCUGGAUCCAUAGUAUCCUAUUCAAUAUGAGACAAUCUUCUAAUAUAUCCUUCAAUUUGUAUCACUCUUUGCCAUAUUCCUCAUCAUAUAGUCUCAUAAAAAAAAUCUAACAUUUAUGUCAACAAAUAUAUUUUGAUGAUCCUAACUAUAAAGGUAAUAACCCAAAAAUCCUCUUAGAUAUCCUAUAAACGGAUAUAUCUUUUAGGAAAAAGAGGUAUUACAUAGUCUAUAAGACAUAUCCCUAAAAGAAUCCAGGAAAAGAUGAGAAAUCUAUCCAUGAUCUCACUAUGUCCAACCAAAUUUGAUAUUUCCACCUUUUUGUUUUGCAACGGAGACCCUGGUGCACAUGACUAGGAAAUAAUCUCAUGCUUCAAAGGAAAGAAUCAAACUUACUAGACAUAUCACCUUGAUCUAAUCGAAGUGACUUGGUAUGUAUGUCCAAUAGGUUAUUCAAUCCCGCCUUAAAUUUAAUGAAUGUAUCCAAGGCAUCAAAUCUUCUAUGGACAUAUCCAAACCUAGAGUAAUCAUCACUAAAAGUGAUGAAAUACCCAUACCCUCCCCAUGCAUAGACACUAAAAGUUUCAUACAUGUUAGUAUGCACUAACUCCAAACAUUCCUUGGCUUUAAUCCUCUUAGUCAUUUUACCGUCUAUACAGGAUUCGUAAACUAAAAGAUCUUUUCAAAUUAAAGAGUCUAGACAUUACCAAUCUUUGGAUCCUAUUUAGAUUAAUAUGACCUAGGUCUAGAAACCAAAUAUUUAAUUAAUGCUAGGUUUAAUCCUGAGAUUUGACUAUUCUCAUCACUUGGCAAAGUAAUAAUGGAAUACAUAUAAAGGAAGAGGAUAUUACCUCCCACUAACAUGCAUAAAUAACCUUGCAUUUGAAGUUAAGGUAACUAUAAUCCCAUCAUUUAACCUUCUCAUUUGUUGAAUAUCCUAUAAGGACUUACAGACAGUGGACCUGGAAUCUAUCCACCAUAAAUGGUGAAAUCCACCACUAAAUAUUCAACAGUGAGAAAAUGAUGUAUACUUUCCGUUUUCUUUAGGUAAAUUGGCCAUUUCUUUUCUAAUGCCUAAAAGGUCACAAAGGAAUCACUUGCCCUUGACCUUGCUCUCUUAUUCCUUAUCUUGAACUUUCCUUAUUUGGUAUUGUUCUUCUUCUUCUUGAGAGAAGAACCCGAAGAACCUUUGACUACCAUAUGAACACCCUAUAAUCUUUGAGAGUUAGCCAUCUCAAAGGAAAAUGGUGAGGUCUCUAAGAUCAUAUGUAUACUUGGUGUUCAUAAUAGUCCUAAGAGUAGCUUUUCAAGGCUGAUCUACUCUUAUUACCAAAUAACCAUUGCAAGCUAGAAAGAGAAUAUCAAAGUCUCUAAUAAUAGAAAUGUGUUGCUAUUGCAACACAUUAUCCAAAGUUCCAAGUAUUAGACGCUUGGUCUUUUGAUCCAUCUAAUACCGCUUUGAUAUUCCACUCUUUCCUCUUGCUAGGUUAGUUCAUAAGGAAUAGCUAGCUCUACCUAAACUAGCUUCUGUGCAAUUACUUACUAUAUCUAGAAUACAAUUAGUCCAAUUGAUUAGUUAGGUUUGGCCUAUUAUGAGAAAAAGAGUGAUAAUAAAACCAACAUGAUAUCCAUAACAAAGAAUAUGACCAAGCAUAUGACAUAAUUGAGCAUUCAAGGCAUUUGGUAAUUAAUUUAGCAAAAAUGUAGUGUUCCCAAACUAUAUAUCCUUUUGCAAGGUAUCCUAGUAUUAUAAGAAUCAAGCCUAGGUGGGACAGGUCAUGACCUUAUUACUAGUAAGAGACCCUCUUAGAUUGAUCUCCCCACCUUAUCCAUAAAAGUAUCUUAAGGCAAGAUUAACAUACCUUUUAUUUAGCCCAUAGACUAUGAAAGUGGGACCACGUGGGGCAAUUCUAUCACUUCAUAUCCAAUGUCAAGUGUAUAACCAUUGUCCUUGAAUUAUCAAUGUCACCAAGUAAAGAACUCCACCUAGGGGUAGUCGCUCCCACUACAGACAUAUCUAGUCUCGUCCAUGCAGAGAGUCCAUAUCUCUUGAUUCUUAAGGCUAACCCACCGUAAGGGUGGUGAUGAACCCAAAUCAAGAUGGGCUCAACAAUGGAUGUCUUGGGCAUGCCUAAGGCCUUCUCCCACUUAAUGUUUUGAGAUAAAUAAGAGCAUUUUAAAACCAUUAGUAAUUUCCCUGAUGAAUAAAUUAUCUACUUUGAAAAUUUUCAAAAAUAUUUAUUUUCUAAUUGAAACCUAGUGUAAUAGGAGAAGACCAACAUGAAAAAUUUUAAAUUUCCAUGACAGUAAUUUUCAAAAAGAAUUUUUAUAAAAUAUCCACUUUCAAAAUUUUAAAAUCUAUUUUCAUUACAUUAUCCUUCUAUAUAUAAUUCCAAUUAAUAAAUAUUUUAUCUAGGAAAUGUUUCAAAUAAAUUUAUUUCCAUCAAAUUACUAAGCCUUUUGCUAAUAAUCUUGUAAUGAUAAAUUAUCUUUAAUGAAAAUUUUCAAAAUAUUUUUUUUCCAAAUUGGAAACUCUAGUGUAAUAAGAAAAUUACUAAUUCAUGAUAUUUUGAAUAAUCUUGAGAGCAACUUAUCCAAGAAAGGAACUUUUGCUUCUCAUAUUAAAAAAUCCUCAUAAGAUUUACUUUCCUUAUUCCUUACACUUUUCCAACUUAAUAAAUAUUUCCAUGAAAAUUUCAUAAUAAUUUAUGUCAUUAAAUACUACCAAAAGUAGGACCUUUUAAUAAUUUCUUAAUAGAUAAAAUAUUCUCCAUGAAAAACUCCUAAAAAUGCUUAUUUCUAAAAAGGAAUUAAACAAUCCAUUGUGGAAAGUAUUUUUAAAAUAUUUUGUAUCUUCAUUAAAUUACUAAAACUUUCCAAAGUUAUUUUGGUAACCCUUCUUAUCAUAAAAUCUUUAUCAUGAGAUUUUCAAAACCUUAAUUACUUCUAAACCAGGAUUCCUGUGCUAAAAGAAUUGCUUUCUUAUUCCUUAUCAUUGAAUUAUUCAAACAGAAUGGUUUCCUCCCUUUCUUUGAGGAAGAGAGCCUAGAGGACAAACUGUAGGUAUAGUUUAAAAAAUAGAUAGUUCUAAAGAAAUAACAAUCUUCUUAGCAACAACAAAUUUAAAAAGAUAAUCUUAGAAAAUAUAUUCUCAUGAAAAUUUACUAAGAAUACCAAAAAACUUUUCUUUAGGUUCUAAAACUUAUUUUGGUAACCACUCUUAAUUAUAAGUUAUUUAUCAUGAAUUUUCAAAAUUAACUUUUUUUCUUUCAAUUAGAAAUCCUAUGCAAAAUAGGAAAAAUACUAUUUUAUAAAGAUUUGGAAAAAUAAGAGCUUUUCCUUAAGAGAAAGAUUUUAUUCUUAGAGAUCUCAAAGAUUUGAGAAGAUUUUAAGUAAAGUUUAAAUCUCUAAGAAUUAAUUUUAAAAGGGAAGAAAGCUCUUAGUCCUUUGCCAACUUAUCUUUUUCUUUAAAAUAUAAUUUCCUAACUAUGCACAUUCCAAUUUAAAUAAGUUUUCCAAUUUUGAAAAAAACACGAAAAUUUAUUUUCAAUUAAGAAUACCAAAUCUUGAGGCCACAUAUACAAUCUAUCAAUAUAUAUAUAAGGGAAUAACUAAAUAGAAAAUUUCUCAUGGCUUUCAAGGAUCCAAUUGCAUAUUUGGUAAUUAAAAUUUGGAUAAAAUCCAAAUUACCAAAAAUAGUCCUACAACCAAAAAUAGGGUUAGUAAAAAUAGAAAACUCAAAUGGCCUAAUUGCCACAAAAAAUUGAGCCCAAGAAGAGGCCCAAAAUUCAGCCCAAACAACGAAAAGAAUCGGGCAUGUAUGCAAUCUCGUAACAGCAUGCUCUUUGAGCAGUAUUGCUUCAAUUGGUCAUAUCUUCCUCAUUUAAACUCCAAAUUAUUAUUCGGUUAAAGUAUUGGAUUCCUAACCUCCUAAGCUUCAAAACCAUAUGUGAUUUGCCUCAACAAAAUUAUUGGAAAUGGCUGUGAUUUUGACUCAAAUUUGACAUCACUGUGCUGCCAUGCACUUUGCACAACCUUGCUUCUUUUGACCAUAUCUCCCUCAUUUCAACUCCGAAUUGCAAUCUACUUGAUCCAUUGGAUUCAUGACUUCCCAAGCUUCAAAUCUAUAUAUGGAUUGCCUCAAGAAACUUUUAUGAGGUAGUCCCAAUUUUGAGUUCAAUUCAACAUCAUUGUGUUGCCAUGGAUCUCAAACCAAGAACUUCCAAGAUUGCUUCUUUCUUCUUUAACCACCAUAGAAUCACAAAAAGAACUUUCAAGAUUCCUUCUACAAUAGAAGGAUGUAAAAAAUUAAAAUUUUUACACUAAUAAAAAUUCCUAUGCUCCUUUAAUGGAGCUUAUAGCCCAUCUAUUGAAAAGAAAAUAUUUUUACAUUCAAAUAAAAAUCUUAUACCCCUUAUGUGGUGUACAACCCAAUCUAGAAAACAAAAGGUAAAGAAGAUAUCCAUUCAUAUUCAUUCAUUCAAAUGAAUCAAUAACAAUAAACCAAUCCAAAUAUAUUAAUACAUUAAAAUGAUUCUUCAUUCAUUCAUCCAUUAGGGUCAUGGAAUGAAUAAAACAACCCUGCAAACUAGAGUUAGCACAUCCUAAACAGAUCUAACAAGAUAGAAUCUACCCUAGGGCUCUGAUACCAAUUGUUGGAAACCCUAGGUUACUUCGUUCCCAUGCCUUGGAUCGUGUAGGGUGCAUACAAAUCUAUCAUAAACUCUUUAAAUCUAUCACAACGGAUAAAUAGGUAUUAAAAAAAAAUAAGAAUACCAUAGAAAACAUAGAAAUAGAAAAUAAAGCCACGUAGCUUUGAUCUAGAUGUUCCUAGAUCAAUUCUAAUCAAUGUAGUUAACUCCAAAGUCAUAAUGGAUCUCAUAAACACCAUGAUCUUCCACCCGAUGAUUUUUCCUUAUGUUUAGGCACUGAGAUAGUGGAGAUCUCAAGGAUGGACGCUAAUGUUCUCUUUCUAUACUAAAGGGGAGAAUAGUAAGACUUAGAAACCCUAACCCCAAAAUGGGUAUUUAUAGGUUACCUGUUAGGCUUAAGUGACUUAAGCCCAUCAUGGGCUUGGGUCACUUAAUCUAGCACAAAAAGGUUGCUAAUUAAUUAAUUAACCAUAUAAGGCCUAAUUAAUUAAUUAGCCUAGUCAAGAGAUAUUACUCAUCCAUGUGCAACCUUACGUAAUUACCAAAAUGCCCUUAUGCACAAAAGUGAACGAAAAACCCAUCCAACCCUCAUAAGCCAUGCCAACAAGGAAUAUGAGCUCAGAACGAGGACACUAGGACCCAUAAGAGUACUGGCCACUCAAAACUAAAUUAUGAAAUUGACUUAACAUCCCACUACAAAGAGUCAACUACACUCCAGUACCCUAUGUAUAUUACAAUGAGACACUAAGUGCUCAAGUCUGUGACCUACUAUCCACUGCAUGUAGACUUCCCAUGAAUUGGUGUUUGUAAUCUAACAAGGUAGUGUUAUCACCUAUCAAGAUUAUCUCCCAAAUCCUUGAGUUACAGAUCCCACUUACUAUAUGAUCAAAUGACAUAUCCUAGCUCUAAUAAGCAUAUGUCAAAUUUCACUAAAAGAAUUACUAUGGCCACAGAUUUCAUGAUCACAUGUUCUUUGGAUUACCCAAGGGGAUACACUAUCUCAAUCCCAUAAGGUAUCAUGGUGUCUCUAUUAAGAAUACCUGUUGCCACCAACCUUCAUCAACAGUGACCUAAUCCAUAGGGAUAUAUGACCAUUUUAGGUUCUCACCCAUAGGUUAAAGCCUCUAGUUGAUUUUGGCACAUGCUUAAUAUCCUCUCAAGGUUGAGAGUCUAUGCAGUAUAGUAGCUUGGUGAAUCAUGACAAUGGAUAACCUUGCAUCACGAUUCGUCAUAGGUCCUAUCUAGUGUGCAUUACAUACACUAUUACACUCACCAUAGGUAACCCAUCCCGAUGAUGAAGACAAGUUAUCCCUCCAAUUAAGAGGUGGUGCACUACUGUCUUUACUGGAUUGCCCAAAUCCAUGAACCAAAUAUAGACAACUUAUCUACUUACAAGGAACCCAUGACUUAUAUCUUCUGUGCAACUCCUAAUGCACCCAAGCUAUGUACCAUGCAAGAGAUAUAGAUUGAAUGCUCAAAUCAAUGUUAAUACACCAAAGAGAUAGCAAGGGGAUAGUUAAGUCUAACUUUGUUACAUCAUGUCUUGCUUUUAGGGGCUCAAUCCCAACAUACAUAACUGGGAAAUAAUUCCAUGCUCUAAUAGAAAGAAUCAAACUUAUUAGACAUAUCACCUUAAUCUAAUCGAAGUGACUUGGCAUGUAUACUCGAUAGGUUAUCCAAUCAUGCCUUAAAUUCAAUGAAUGUAUCCAAAACAUCAAAUUUCCUAUGUACAUAUCCAAACCUAGAGUAAUCAUCACUAAAAGUGAUGAAAUACCCAUACUCUUCCCAUGCAUGGACACUAAAAGUCUCAUACAUGUUAGUAUGCACUAACUCCAAACAUUCCUUGACUUUAUUCCUUUUAGUCAUUUUACCAUCUAUACAGAAUUUGUAAGCUGGAUGGUUUUUUGGAAUCAAAUAGUUCAAACUUUAUCAGUCUUUAGAUCUUAUUUAGAUUAUUAUGACCUAAGUUUAGAUACCAAAUGUUUAAUUAGUGCUAGGUUCAAUCCUGAGAUCUGACUAUCUUUCUCACUUGACAAAGUGAUAAUGGAAUACAUAUAAAAGAAGAGGAUAUUACCUCCCACUCACCUGCAUAACUAACCUUACAUUUGAAGCUAAGAUAAGUAUAAUCCCAUCACUUAACCUUCUCACUUGUUGAAUAUCCUAUAAGGACUUACAAACAGUGGGCCUAGAAUUUAUUCACCAUAAAUGGUGAAAUCUACCACAAAUGGUGAAAUUCACCACUAAAUAUUCUACAAUGAGAAAAUGAUGUAUACUUUCCUUUUUUCUUUAGGUAACUAAGCAUUCAUUUUCUAAUGUCCUAAAAGGUCAUAAUGGAAUCACUUGCUUCUGAGCUUGUUCUCUUAUUCCUUCCCUUAAACUUUCCUUAUUUGGUGUUGUUGUUCUUCUUCUUGAUAGAAGAACCUGAAGAACUUUUGACUUCCAUAUGAACACCUUAUAAUCUUUGAGAAUCCCCUUAGCCAUCUCGAAGAAAAAUGGCAAAGUCUCUAAGAUAAUAUGAAUACUGGUGUUUAUAACAGUCCUAAGAGUAGUUUUUCAAAGCUAACCUACCCUUAUCACCAAAUAACCAUUGCAAACUAGAAAGAGAAUAUCAAAGUCUCUAGUAAUAGACAUGUGUUGCUAUUGCAACACAUUAUCCAAAGAUCCAAGUAUUAGAAACUUGGUCAUCUGAUCCAUCUAAUACCACCUCGGCAUACCACUCUUUCUUUUUUCCAAGUUAGUUCAUAAGGAAUAGCCUGUUUUUCCUAAACUAUCUUCUAUGCCAUUAAUUACUAUAUCCAGAAUAAAAUCAAGUCCAAAUGAUUAGUUAGGCUUGGUUCAAAGUGAGAAAGAGAGUGAUUAUAAAUAACAUGAUAUUUGUAACAAAGAAUAUAACCAAACAUAUGACAUAAUUGAGCAUUCAAGACAAUUGGACUUAAUUUAACAAAAAUGUAGCCCUCUCAAACUACAUGUCCUUUUGCAAGAUAUCCUAGUAUCAUAAGAAUCAAGCUUAUGUGGGUAGGUCAUGACCUUAUAACUAGUUAGAGACCCUCUCAGAUUGAUCUCCUUGCCUUAACCAUAAAGGUAUCUAAAAGCAAGAUCAACAUACCUUUUAUUUGGCCCAUAGACUAUGCAAAUGGGACCGCGUGGGGGAAAUUCUAUCACUUCAUAUCCAAUGUCAAUUGUAUAACCAUUGUCCUUGAACUAUCAAUGUCACUAAGUAAAGAACCCACCGUAGAGUGGUCACUUUUAGUACAAACAUAUUUAGUCUUAUCCAUGUGGAGAAUCCAUAUCUCUUGAUUCUUAAGCCUAACCCACUGUGGGGUGGUAAUGAACCCAAAUCAAGAUGGGCUCGACAAUGGAGGUCGUGGGCAUGUCUAAGGCCCUCUCUCACUAAGUCUUUUUAGAUAAAUAGAUGCAUUUUAAAACAUUAGUAAUUACCUUAGUGAAUAAAUUAUCUUCUUUGAGAAUUUCCAAAAAUAUUUAUUUCCUAAUUGGAAACCUAGUGUUAUAGAAGAAUGUCCAUAUGCAAAAUUUAAAAUUUCUAUGAGAGUAUUUUAUCCAAAAAGGAAUUUUGAUAAAAUGUCUACUCUCAAAUUUUAAAAUCUAAUUGCAUAAAAAAUUCUCUUUCUUCACAUAAUUUCAAUUAAUAAAUAUUUUGUCUAAGAAAUAUUUUCAAAGAAAUUUAUUUCCAUCAAAUUACUAAAUAUCUUCUUCGUAAUAACCUUUAAUGAUAAAUUAUUUCUAAUGAAAAUUUCCAUAAGAUAUUUAUUAUCAAAAUUGAAAACUUAGCGUAAUAAGGAAACCUCUGAUUUAUAAAAUUUUGAAAAUUUGAGAGCACCUAAUCCAAUUAGGAAAAAUGUAAUUCUUCAAGGAUUCUCAUAAUUUUUUUUUAAAAAUAUUUUAAAUCCUUAAGAAUAAAUUUAGAAAUGAACUUUAGCUCUCAUACUCAAGAUUCCUUAUAAAUUUAAUUUCCUUAUUCCUACAUCUUUCCAAUUUAAUAAAUAUUCUUAAAUAUGAAAUCUAAUUUUCAUAAUAAUCUAUUCCAUUAAAAUUACUAAAAAUAAAACUUUUAAUAAUUCCCUUAAUGAUGAAUUAUCCAUCUUGAAAAUUUCCAAAAACAAAUAUUUACUCUCCAAAUUAAGGAUUAGUGUAAUAAGAAAGUUUCCAAAAACUUGAAAAAUAAAAACUAGAGAGCUCUUUAUCCAAAAGGGAAACUUUUAUUCUACAAGAAUUCUUACAAAAAAAAUUAAAGAAAAUAAUUUAGAAUCCUUUGAAAUAAUCUAGAAAAGGAAACUUUGCUCUCUAAUUUAUUUCCACAAGUUUUUUUUCUUAAUCUACACUAUUCCAAAAUUAAGUAAACAACAAGCUUUGGAAUUUAAUUUUCAAGAAAAUUUAUAUCCAUUAAGAUUACUAAGAGUUUCAUGGAACUUUCAUAAGAAGCUUUCAAUAAUUUUGGUGACCUUCUUAAAAUAAAUUAUCUAUCAUGAGAAUUUUCAAAAGCUUUGUUUAUUCACUAAAUUGGAAUACUUGUGCUUAUAAGGAAUAUCCAAUUUUAUAAAAAUUUUAAAAUAAAAGUGUAUUCCCUUAAUAUAGAAACUCAAGUCCUUGAAGAUCUCAAAAUUAGAAACUUUGAAAAAAAGAUCUUCUAAGUAUUUUUUGAAAAGGAAACUAGAUUCUCUCACAAAUUUUAAAAUAUCUUUCCAUAUAAAAAUUCCUUAAUAGUGACAUCAUUCUAAUUUUGAAUCAAACUUUCAUUUGUAAAUAGCUUUCUCAUAAAAACUUUUUUUCCAUAAGAAAAUCCAAAAUUAGUAACUUUCAAAGCACUUCUCAUCACAUGCAAUAUAACAAUAUGCAUAAAAAAUAAAAUAAAAAAAGAAAUAUUCAAAAAGAGAUCCCAUGGCCAAGGGAUAUUUUUUACGACUUUCCAAUUGUGAACCAAAGCCAUUUGUCUUCAACUUGGCACCAAUAUUUGGCAUCAAAACUUGCCAAAAGAAGCUCUUGCAUAGCUGCCACAAUUCAAUAACUUUCAAGCCCAACAAGUGGCCUAAGAAAUGAGUCCAAACAAGCAAAAAGAAUCAGACUCGUAUGCAAUCCCGUAAUAGAAUAACCUCUAUGCAACUUUGCGUCAAAUGACUAUAUCUCCCUCGUUUCAACAAUGAAUCACAAGUCGUUUACACCAUUGGAUUCCUGACUUCAUAAGCUUCAAAACCAUAUGCAACUUGCCUAAAGAAAAUCAUAAGAGGCAGCCCCGAUUUGGAGUCAAAUUGAAUGUUGCUAUGCAAUCAUGGAUCUCACAAAAACAAAACUUUUUUAUUAUUAUUAUUCAAUCAAAAGAAGGAUUCAACCUUUCUUCCACAUCCAUUAAAAUCCUUGAAUCUUCAUAAAUGAUGCUUUAAUAAAGAUCCAAUCUUUAUUGACAUCAUUAAGGAAUUCUUCUCUUGUAGCUCUCCAUAGAUAAUAAAAAACAUGACUUUAUAUCAUAAAAGAAAUCAUAUGCUCAUAUAAUGGAGCUAAUAACCCAAUCUCUAGAAAAGAUUAAAACUUUACAAGAGUGUAGACCCUCAAUUUUGUCCCUUUAGCACAUGUCUUUAAAUUCGUUUUCAAUGCCCCAUAGUAACUCUUUGGUGGCCCAUUACUACUCGUACGACUUACCUUUUUCUGAGUCACCCUGGAGAUUUUAGCUGAGGGAUUAUCUGACCUCUUAUUGCAACCUUUGGAAGCCCUAUUUUAGAGUUAGGCUUUUCAUUCAUUUUUAAGAUAGCUUUUAGGGUAGUCUACUUAGGUCUACUUAGGCACCCUAAGCCCACUUAGGCACUUAGGCCCAUUUAUGCACCCUAGGUCCAUUUAGGCACUCUUGGCCCAUUAGGCAACACCCUAGACCCCCUAGAUUCACCUUGACCCCUUUAGAUCCACCUAGACACCUUCUAACUUUCAUACAUUCACCUUAUGUCACUUAGGUCACUUAGACACCUUUUCAGAAUAGGUCCAUUUAGACACUCCAUUAGGCUUAACUUUUUAUAUAAUCUUUUUAUUACUAUUGCAUGAAUUCGAUAAUUACAUUUAUUCUGUUUAUUCAUUUUCAUUUUUACUUUUUAUUUGUUUAUUAUUAUUUUUAUUAUUAUAUUUAUUUAUUUAUUUAUCUAAUGGAAAAUUGCUUAAAUUGCUUAGACUUCAAAUGCGCAUACGACCCCUUAUUAAAUUAUGGAAUUAUAUAAUACGGUCUCUUUUGUUUCCUUUUCUUUUAAUCAUCUUUUAUUUUAUUACCAAUCUCGUAAUUUUCAUGAGUUACUUUUCUUUUAAUUUUUUAACCUUAUUUUAUUCUGUUUUGCAUGAGGAAACAAGCUGUCAUCUAUUUGGAAGGAAGAUCACCAGAAUUUUAGAGAUAAGAAAGUGACAACUACAUUAUUCUAUAAAGUUACCUCCACCAUGCAUAGAAGGAAGACACGACCACAAGGAAGAGGAAGAAGUUGCUGCCCAUAGAAAAAUAUAUGGAAACUUCCAUACAAAAGGGAAUUAUUGGAGAGACGCAAUCUCCAUAGAUGGGCAGAUACAUGGGAAGAAAGAUGAGAUUUUAUUAUUUUCUAAUUAGAGGCACAAAUAGCAAGGAGAUUCGAUACUAAGAUCAGGCACUAAAAGGAAGGCAUGCAUUGUAUCCUUUAAAAGCAUCUCCACGUCUACAGAGGAAGGGGCUCUCUUGGUCGUUUUUGGGGUUUUUUUUUCAAGAAAGAGACUGGCACCAUUCGGAGGGGGAAGGGAGAAGUACCAGAAUUUCAGAGGGAGGAUAAGGGAACACGCAUUCAUGGGGAAUGACGGCUGCCAAUGCGUGCAUUGCUAGGGGUCCUGCAUCAUUGAUAACAGGAACAUGCUGUCACUUUGAGGAUCCACCACGCACAGAUGGGAAAGACGCAUAAGAAGCGGGGAUGAUAAGGGUGAGAGCAGGAGACUUUUGGAGAGGGAACGGGUGCACAGUUUGGGGUAUGAGAAUGAGGUGAUCUUGUUUAUGGAGAGAGAAUCAGUGCAUGGUUCAAGAAAGAAGAAGACAAAAGGAAACUAGAUUUUUUAUUAAUCUCCAUGGGGCGCACUAUGAGUUUGAUGAAAAGACAAGUGACAGCAUUCAAUUUUUUUUGGAACACAACCGUACAGUGGGGAUUCUCCAAGGCUGCCACUUUAGGGUGAAGUUUUUUUUUUGAAAGAAAAGUGGCAGCAGGCUGCUACUUUAAGGUGAGUUUUUCUUGAAAGGAAAGUGGCAGUAGGCUGCCACUUUAGGGUGAAUUUUUUUUGAAAGGAAAGUGGCAGCAAACUGCUACUUUAUGAUGAGAUUUUUUUAAAGAAAAGUGGCAGCAGAUUACCACUUUAGGGUGAGAUUUGUUUUUAAAAAAAGUGGCAGCAAGUUGCAUUUUGAGGGGGGGAGAUUUUUUUGAAAGAAAAAUGGCAGCAAGUUGCACUUUUAGAUGGUGAGAUUUUUUGAAGGAAAAAUGGCAGCAGGUUGCAUUUAAGGGGUCCAUACCUCAAUUUCCAUAAAGAUCUUCAUGGUAUCUUCAAGAGAACCAUGAACGCCAUUGAUCCCCAAAACGAGUAGGCUGCAUCUUCCAAAGGUAAGUGAGUUUCCUUGUUCUUGAGUUUUUGAGAAAAUUGGAGCUUUGUUUGCUAAUUUUUUACUCUAUUAAGUUUUCGAGUCUCUCAAGUUUUAGUCGAUUAAUUUAUUUGGUUUUAUGUCAUCAUCAUCUUGUUUUAUUUAAUUUUAGUUCAUGGGUUCAUCCUAAUUAAUUCGUGUGAUGCUUUAAAAUUUUAAUGGAUUAAUUUAUUUGAUUCUAUGUCAUUAUCAUCAUGUUAUUUUAUUCUUUUUUUUUUUUUUUUUUUUAUCUUAGCUGAUUCAUGUGAUGCUUUAUGUUUUUAGGUGAUUAAUUCAUUUGGUUCUAUAUCAUUAUCACUAUGUUUAUUAAUUUCAGUUAUUUUUAUUUUUACUUAUUUAUUUAUUUUUUGAUUCAUCAUAUUUGGUUUAUGAGUCUUUAGAAUUUUAAUUAUUUAAUUUAUUUGACCCCCUGUCAUUAUAUCCAUGUUUUAAGUGUGUUAAGCUCUAGUUCCUGAUUGAUCCUUACUCAGUUCAAGUGUUUUAGAAUUGUAAGUUCUUAUGGUAUUAUAUUUAACAUUACCUUAAUCAUAGGUUUGUGUGUUCGACUAAUCUAAUUUAAUUAUUGAUUAUAUCCUCAAUUUAUACGCUUGACUAAUCUUCGUUAGCUUUUGAUUGAUAUCUAGUUGACUUUAUUUGAUCUAAGGCCAUUUAGUUAUUUUCUUUGACAUUUGUUCGUUUAUAUUUGAUUCAUGGGGGCCAUCGGAAAAUUGUGAAGAUUGGCCUCCAUUCACACCAUUUUAGUUUGCUUGGUUGCCAAAAAUUUUAUUUUAUGAUUUUGUUUCUAUUUGUUUUGUUUGGUACAAUUUUUCUCAUACGUUUUAUUGUUCUCAAAUUAAUUUCUCUUAUUUUAAAAUAAAAUACUUUUCUCAAAAUGUUCCUCAUAAAAACCUAUUUUAAAAAUUCAUUUAGAGUCCUUAGAAUCAAAAACCCCAUUUUCUUAAAAUAAUAUGCAACCAUUUUUUGAUUAGUUUGCAUCUUUCUCGGUUUUUAACGAAAAUUUUGGUUUGAAAUCAGACACGAAUCAAAGCUUGUGGUCCCACAUAAAUGGGAUAAUUUUGAGCUAAAUUCGUGUAUAUCAAUUGGGGAAUUGGUGAAACCCCUACAUAAGAAAAUCUUUUCAAAAAUUAUUUUUGUUGCCACUUUUGUCACUUGUUGAAAUUAUGUCUAUCUUUUUUUAGAAAUUGUAUACCAGAUGAGUGUGAUAAUUAUUGUUUUCAUAUACUGUGAUCGCUUUUACUAUGCUAAUUAGAUAAUGAGCAUGUUAGGAUUUCUAUAUUUUAUUAUUUAUUAUCUAACCCCUUACAACUUGAGGAAGCACGCUACAAAUUAUCUAUGCUAUCCAGGUAUGUCCUCUAUCAUCUACUUUCUGAAUUCUGUGAAUAUGCUUGUCAUUGUGAAAUAAUACUUAUGUCUAAUAAUGCUUGAGUGUCUUGAUAUGCAUGUUUCAUUGUUUGAUUAUUUCCAAUAAAAUACAUGUUGGAUGAUAUAUUGUUUAAAUUAACCGUUUAUGUUUUAUGAUAGCGCUUGAAGAGCGGUUCAGGUACGCACCCUAACUCUCCUUUAUUGUGAUUUGAUCUUGUUUAGCAUGCAACUUUUUUUGAAAUCACCUAGCCUACUUAGGUAUCCAUGAUCGACCAUUUAAUUGCCAUGCUUCCCUUAACUUAGUCAGUAGAGACCUUUUUAGGGCUUAGAGGGGUGCUACCUUUUAAAGGUACCUUCCCAAUAGGUAACCUGAUCCCCGGACUUAGACUCGGGUUUUUCAAAGACAUACUUUUUCCAAAAAUUAUGGAGUCACAUUUUAGGGUUUUUCUUUCUUGUUUUAUUUUCCCUUUAAAAUAAAAAUAAAAUAAGUGGCGGCUCCAACCUUUUUCCCAAAAAUUAAUUUUUCACAAAUAAAAAGCGAGUCUCGCCGAUCGAGUGGGGACGCACGUGAAAAAUGCGGGUCCACAAAGAGAAGAAGAAAACUUAUGCUCCUUUAAUGGAACUUACAACCAAAUCUAUGAAGAAACGAAGAAAACAAAUUAUCCCAUUUAAUCACCACAAACAAUAAUAAAAAGAAACAUACAUGCUUCUCUUGUCCAUGGGAUAACAUCAAGGUUGCAAAAAAGAUAUUAGCACGCCCUAAAUAGAGAUCUAAGCAUGUUUAUAACAUUAUGCUCUAAUACCAAUUGUUAGUAUCUUAGAUCUAAGCAAUACUAAUUUUUAUAAAAUUGAUCUUUUAGGGUUAAAGUACUAACCUUUAGGUUUGGAUGUUCCCAAACCUUAAAUUCCACUUAUUGAAGACAACCUUGAAGUUGUUGAAAGUCUCAUAAACUUAUGACUCAUUCUAUACUUGAUCAAAGAGGUAGACUUCUUAAGUUGAACUCAUAAAGUUGACUUUGAUUACUUUCAAAGGAUUUUUUGUCAUGCUCAAACCUUAUUAUCCACAUACCUUGUUUGACUAUGAUUAUUAUUUGUUUCCCGGGGUGAGUUAGUACAAAAUAUUGAAUCUUUGGUUAAGCAAAACUCUUUUACUUUUAUCUAAGAUUUAUGCUCUUAAAUGCAUACUGCUCACUUAUAACAUUUGGAAACACCAUCAAAGUGGACACAAAGGCAACCAUGAAUGAAAACAAAAAGAAAAAUCAAUUGACCAUGGUGUACAAUGCCUCCACUUUCAAAAAGAAAAAGAAAAAGAAAAAGAAAAGAAUAGGAGGAUGAUAUCAUACUAAGGGGGAGUCAAGUUAUGUUGUAUGUAGAUCAACGAGGCCAUGUUAAAUAUAAAUCUGAUGAUCUUAGUUCAAAUUGACUGGAUGUGUUCUUUAAUUUGACCAAAGGCAUGAGUAGAUCUCUUCUAAGUAAUUAAUUUUGAAAUAUUGAACUAGACAGUAAGUCAUAUUUCCUUGAAAAUCAAUAUUGAUGUUUCUAUGUUGACUCUCUUAUACAUUUAUAGUUAUGCAUUAGGUUUUCAAAUCUGAAAUUAUGAUUAACUCUGAUCAUUCAUCUUGAAAUUUCAUUCUUGAUGGAUCAACAUAUACUAUAUGAAGUAACAUACUUCAUCUAUUCCUAAUUCAGCUAAUGUUGAAAGUUUAUGACCUUAACUAUCUACUCUUUAUCGUUAAAAUUUGUUUCAAUUGGUGUCAAUUCUUGUUUAUAUGUUAGUUAGUUGAGUAUUCUAUCCAUUGUUAGAACUUUUUUUGGCUUUGGUUGCUCAAGCGCUAUAUUUAGCGUCCUUCAUGCUCAAGCACUCAAGCCUCAUCAAACGUCUCUACUGCUCAAGCGCUCUAAGUUGCAUCUAGUGGCGCAUCCAUUGAGCGUCUUGCUCGAGUGUUAAUCUGUAUCGGUAUGUCUGAGUAUAAAAAUCCAUUCAACGUGUCUUUUUUCUUUUCAAACAUUUUCCUAUUCUCUCAAGAGCUCUGGGACUUUUUUUAUUUUUUAUUUUUUUUUAUCAUUUGAGGUCAAGUUUCCUUGUUUUUCACAUUUUCGACUUCAUGGUAUUGUUCUACACAUUGUUUAGGGCAUUUCUAGCGGUUUAGAUUUUUUCUGAAAUCUUCUUGGUUUUCGAAUCCUUUGGUAUUCUCUUGGAUAUGGCUAAGAUGACCCCAUCUGGGACACCCAAACCCCUUAAAGGAUUUUCACUUCAUUUUUCUUUCGAUUUUGUGGCUCUACCAAUGAAUUUUUACUUUAUCAAAAGCCCCUAGUUCAAUAUUAUUUUUUUAUCCAUUGCUGUCACAUUGUGUUUGUGGGUUCAUUUCCUCAUUUGACCCUAGAACCUCAUAGAAUCAUAUUAUAUAGAGAUGGCGUCAGUGAAGUUCAACUCAUUCCAGUUUUGAUGCAUAAGAUGAAUUCAAUAAGAAAGGCUUGUGCAUCACUAGAGGAUGAGUGUUACUAACUCUUCCCAUACAUAUACUUUAGUACCGCCUUAUCCUUAGUAUUUCCCAUCUUCACAUGCAAAAUUUUUUUGUUGAUCUUAUAAUGGCUAUGUGCGUCAAGUUUUGCUCUGCCGCCACUGAACCUUUAGUGAAUUUGUUUUUUUGUUUUUUUUUUAUUUGGAUGUUUUUUCAUUACUUAUCUUAUGUAUCAAGAAUCAUAUUUUUAAUAUACAUAUUUUGUUCAUCUUUCUUCUUAUCUCUUAUGUGCUUUGGUAGUUAUAUUUCUAAUACUUUGUCAUUUUGUGACAAAAAAAAGAGAUAAUUGCAUAUUUAAUAUUUAACUCUGUUAAAUUAAUAUAAAAGAGAGAUAACAUUAAAUAUUUAGUUCACCUAAAAAUGAGGAGUUAAAAAAUGGUGAAAAUAAAAAGCUCCUUGAUUUAAGGGAAGUUAGUUUUUGAAUUAUUUGAUUCAUUAAUUUAGGUAAUUUAAUUGAAAUAUUGGAAGAAACUAAACAUAAGACAUUGAAGUAAAUCAAAUCAGCCUUAGGAAAUAUGACUUUACGAUUCAAGAGAGAUACCUAACACGGAUGUUUCCUGCAAAUUACUUUUGUUAGAAUUGUCGAUCUCUCUCUAGAACUAAUCCUAGUUGUAGAAGCUUUUUCCCAAGGCUUUCACUACUUACCUUAUUGCUGGAGAAUGCCCCCUGCUCUUUACUAAUAAAUUAUUAGGUCUCAUCUAUCUUCGAAUAUGUUUGGUUGAUUUGCAUACAUUCAAAUUCCUCUCGACCUUUUCUUUGUACCUUGGUGUCAUUAAAGGACUCUGUUUUUUUCAUGCUUUCAUAAGACAUCAAACAAAGUCUCCAACUAUCCUGUUUUGUUUUCAUAAUAUUAUUUUAUCCUUCACACUACUUUGCCUUUGGUAUAAUUUCUUGUAUGUGUUCAGGUUACAAGGUUGGAAGAUAAGUACUUCAAAGCAUUACAAAGUUUUCCCUUAAUUCAAUUUUAGUUGAGUGUUAAUGUGUGUUAUGUGAACUCUAUUAUGAGGAUCGAUAUUGAAAGGCUUAUGGCAUUGUAAAGUGCUUCAUAGGUACAUCUAAAAAAGUUUGGCUUAUGGCAUUGAAAGACUUAUUUGAGGUAUAAAAGGAUCGGUAUCAUUUUUUAACUGGUUAAUCUGCUCAGGCAGUCAACCCAUUCAAGCAGAGAGCUCUCAAGCGGUCUAAGUUUGGUCAAGCGGUCAUGACAACCCUAUCGAGUUUAAAAAUGUAUUUUCAAUGAAUUUCAACCCAACUAUAAUUUGGAAACUUAAGAUAUUGAUAUCCUUAUAGCUUUUGCCUAUAAUUUUUUAAAUCACCCAUUCACUCCUCUCAUCUCCCCCUUUCUAGGUGUUCCCUAUUGGACUUUCAAUUAUUCCAUUUUUUUUUUAUAAUUGUAAGAUUUACUUAUGUGAUAAAAAUUGAGAAAAUAAAAAAUUGAUAAAAUCUAAGGAAAACCAAGGAAAGUGCAUGUCAAAGGAAAAUGACAACAACAAGUAUUUAAAAAACAAAAUUUUAUCAACCUAGGAUGUCUAAGUGGGAAUGUACAAAAGUAGAAAAUUAAAUCAUGUGAAGAAAAACAUUGAAAAUCAUUUUAAAAUCAUGGAAAAUCACAAAGAGAACAUAAGUUAUGCAACCAGAGAGGAAGACAAUAUCUAUGUUUAAGAAAGAGUGUGCAUUAAGGAGAAAAUUGUGCAUUAAGGAUGAAGACACAUGCAAAAGGAAAAUAUGUGCUAAAAGAGUACACAAGAGGAAUUGUGCAUCGAGGGAAACGCCAAGUGUGCAUUAGAAAAUAAAAGAGGAGCACGCACAAAAAGAUAGUGCACUAAAGUAGCUUGCAUGCUUGGGAAUCACAUGCCUAAGAAGCACUACUAUGCGAAUGAAAGUGCGUGUGAAAAUUAUGCACUGAAGAGCUACACUAAUGUGCGCAAUAAUGCACUAAAGAAAGUUAGACUAUGCAUUGAAAAGUGCACACUACAAGACACCAGUGUGUGCACUAGAUUAUGCAUUAGAUGAAAAAGUGCACAUAAUUGCUUGUGUACUGAAGAACAAGUUGUGCACUAAAGGACUUGCACAUAUGAAAUGUGCACCUAAAUGAAGGCUAAGGAGCACAUAAAGAUUGUGCAUUAAAGAGGAGCUAUUGUGACAUGGGAAAAUCCUAAACCUCUCUGGUCCCCAAGCCCGAAUCAAGUUAGGAACAUAUGAAAAUAUCUUAGGCUUUUCUAAAUACUAUGCACAACAAAAAAAAAAAUUACAUUUUAAAACUUUAAAGGGAUUCAAAAAGUGCUAACAAAAGACUUACUUUAGAUUCAAAUGUUCCUAAAUCAAAUCCAUGUGAUGAAAAACGAAGUUGUAGAAGUCCCAUAAACCUAGAGUCUUCCACUCGAAGACUCGAACUUUGAUUUUGACACACUUAUGAUAGUAAUCAAUUAGGGUGGAGGCUAUAGCUCUCUCUCUAAAGGAGAAAGAUGAAUCUUUAGAAAAAGCUAUGAAAACUCUAACCCCUAAAGGGGUAUUUAUGGGGUUCCCCAUUGGGUUAAUUAACUUAAGCCCACUAAGGGCUUGGGUCACUUAAAUUAGCACAAAAUAGGUCAUAAUUGAUUAAUUAACCUAACAGAACCUACUAAGUAAUCAAUUAGAUGUGUAAUCCUGCUUAAUUACCAAAGUGCCCUUAUGCAAAAAAGUGAACCUAGAGCUAAUCUAACCCUCUUAACUCAUGCCAACAAGGUAUAUUAGCUUAGAGUGGGGACCAUUAUGACCCAUAGGACUACUGGCUCCAUUAAAAUCCAAUUCUGAAGUUGAUUUAAUAUCCUACUAUAGCGAAUCAACUAAACUCUAGUAUCCCAUGUAAAUAACAAUGAGUUGGGUCUGUGAUUUGUCAUUAAUUAUGUUCAAUUUCCCAAUGAACUGGUGUUCGUAGUCUAACAAGGUGAAAACUAUCAGCCUUUCAAGACUACCCUACUAUCCUUAAGUUGCAAUCCUUCUAUUAUGUGUAUAACUAACAUGUCUUAGCUUUCUAAGAACUUAUGUCAAGUUCUACUUAAGGAACUACUAUGGUCAUAGUUUCCAUGAACACGUGUCCUUAGAAUGAUCCAAGGGGAUACACUAUCUCAAUACCAAGAGAUAUCAUGGUACCUUUAUUAAGAAUACCUAUUACUACCAACUUUCAUUAAUAGUGACCCAAACCAUAGGGAACAUAUGAUCAGCUUAUGAUCUCACCCAUUAAUCAAAAGUCAUUGUGUGGACCCGCAUUUUUCACGUGCGUCCCCACUCGAUCGGCGAGACUCGCUUUUUUAUUUGUGAAAAAUUGAUUUUUGAAAAAAAGUUGGAGUCGCCACUUAUUUUAUUUUUAUUUUUGAAGGGAAAAUAAAACAAGAAAUAAAACCCUAAAAAAAUGACUCCAUAAUUUUUGGAAAAAACGUGUCUUUGAAAAACCCGAGUCUAAGUCCGGGGAUCAGGUUACUUAUUGGGAAGGUACCUCUAGGAGGUAGCACCCCUCUAAGCCCUAAAGAGGUCUCUACUGACUAAGUUAAGGGAAGCAUGACAAUUAAAUGGUUGAUCAUGGAUACCUAAGUAGGCUAGGUGAUUCCAAAAACAUAACAUAUCAAACAAGGUCAAAUCACAAUUAAGGAGAGUUAAAAGUGCGUACCUGGACGGCUUCCCAAGCGCUAUCAUAAAACAUAAGAGAUUAGUUUGGAGAUACAUCACACAACAUUUGUUUUAUUCAAGCAAAUCAGGCAUAUAUCAAGACAUUCAAGCAUCACGUCAAAUAUGGAUAUGGUCAUCAAUGACAUACAAGUCCAUAGAGUUCUAAAAAAAUAGAUGAGAAGAGACCGUACCUGGAUAGCAAGCUAGUACUCCUCUAUGGGAAACAAGAGCAUCUCAACAAUAAAUAUUAAGUGAAUUCAAGUAUUUCAUCAAGAAGAAUAAAAAAAUCAACAUAUCAAGUAAACGGUAUUGAAGUGAGUGUUAUGAAUGUCGGGCCCCCACCAAAGCCCUAAUUAAUUUUGCAUGAAUUGAUUCCAUAAAUUCCAUGAUUUGGAAUUAUGAAUUUUAUUCAUGCUUGUUGAAAAAUCAAGAAAACCAUGAAAAAUAGUUGAAAAUGGUGAAAAUGCAUGCCGGAAGGGAAAAUGGCAGCAAAUAGUAUGUUAAAAAAAAUCUGGAUUUUAGUGACUAAAAGGGCUCUAAAGAUUGAUUUUUCAAAGCUGGAAAUAUUUAAUUGAGAAAAAGAUUCAAAGAUUCAAUUUAAAAUAGGGAAUUCCUAAUCAAAGAAGCAAAAGGAGGAGGUGUGUGUAGCAAGGUAGGUAUGAUGGAGGGGAGUUGGGAGGUUUGGCUAUGACCGCAUUGCUGGUAAUUGCAGGUGCUGCUGUUAUUCUCUCUAAAUUUUCUCUUUCUACUCUGGUUGCAUGCAUUCAAGCACCAUACAUCGCUGCAUUCCCGGGCCUUUUCCGAUUCCUUGAAGUUCCCUAUAUGCGGACUUACUUCCAAGAGCUUUGGCAUUAAUUCCCCAUAUGAAUCUCUGAAAUUUGCUGAGAAAUUUAGUCUUUCUGGAUUGCCAUUUAUGAUAACUAGAGCAUUGAAAGUUGGGGAAUCACAUCCAAUUGGUUUUAGCUUUAGAGGGUGACCAUCGGUCAUGGUAAAAAAAUGAAAUCAAUUUCUGUUUCCUCAUGCCUGUUUCAAACUAUCCCGUUGUUGCACCAAGGACUUCCCUUUUCUAACUGCAACAUUUAACUUCUUUCUCAAAGAAGCUGACUUCUGCUCCUCUUGAUCAAGUGGAACUUGCGUCUCCUCCCUUUUCUGAUCCAAUGCUUCAACUUCACAUAACAAAGAUUGCAUCUUCCCCAUAUACCUAUCUCUCUCCCCCUUUGCUUCAGUCAGAUCACCCAAAGCCUCCUCUAAUUCUUUCUUCAAAACCACCACAUCUAGAUCCUUGGUAUCUGGUGCAUCUAUGGCUCUUGGUUCAUCACUAGAUGUAUCAGCAUUUUCGGUAUGGCACUCAUCAAUCCCUUCCCUAAGCACAGUUUUUCCCAAGGAAAGUCUAGUGUGAUUCUCUAUAAACUUCCUUAGCAUUGCAGACAGCGUGUAUAGCUGUAGAAGGGUCUCUUAGUGCGUAAGUUACAUCUCCAAUGCAACCAUGUGUGGUAUUGAAAGGUGGCAGCCUUCAAGUUCUGAAUGUUGCGGCUGUCUUCGAAUUUGAGAUGGUGCGUGGUGUAGAUGGAUGCAGCCCAUGAAGAAACCUGUGCAUAGAGUCCUUUGGUGCUCACAACUUCUUAAAAAAAAUUCUGGGGGUUCCUCUAGAAAGUGGACUAUGCAUGUACGUGUGUUCUCUGAAAAUCAAAACUGUGCGUGGGCUUCUUCAUGCGGCUGUGAAGACUUCCCGAGGUGGCGUGUUUCUGUUAGUGCGUGGUCCCCAUGGGAGUGCAGGCUGCCCCUCAAUCCGUGCUCUUGGAUUUCAAGUGUCCAUCCAAAGUGGCAACAUGAGAUGUUUGUUUCUCUCAAAGUGGGUUCAAAUUUUUGUUUCUCUAUAUUGAUGAUGCGACUGUUUCUCAGAAAAUCCUCACUUGGUACCCUCUCCUCCAUAUUCAGGUACGGAGCAAUGAACCCUCAAAGACUCCUUGGGAUCAAAUUUAAGAGACUGAACGUGAAUACCAGAAAUUCUGAUAAGCUAUGACAUUGUGUUUAAGUCUUUUGGAAAGUGACUUUAGAAAAGACUUCAAGGCAGAAUUCUGAACUGCAAUGUAAUGUGCAUGACAACCUUGGAAGUCUCAUCAGAAAAAGUUCAAAUUUCUUCCAUUGGAGGCCUCAAAUUCAACAACUUCUUGAUUCGUCAAAGAGGGUACCCUCAUCACUAGAGUUUUCCAUUACACUUCGAGAAUUUUCUGGUCUGUAUUAACUUUGAAAUUUUUCUGGCCCAUGUUCAGUUGAAUGAAUAUAUCCCCAAGGAGGUAUUCCAUGACUGCCCACAAUGAGAAACACCAAAGAGUAUAUGUGCAUUAAUCCAUAUGAAAUGUACAAAUGACCCAAAUGUUGUUUCAGAAGAGGAGGCAUCAACACUUAAUUCUUUCUCUUCCAGUUCUUCCUAAGUCUAUGUAGACUUCCUCAGAUACUAUAUUUAAUUCACAAACCUCAGACAUCAAUUGAUACUGAUCCAGAAUUCCAUGACACCCUUUCAGUACCUUUUGAAAUGCCCCUUCACCUGUUAGAUUCAAAUAGCUCAUUCGACAAACUUGGCUGCCACACAAACAAACAGAUACCUCAUACUCUUUCUUACUCUCUGUGACUGAGUUAUAAUCAAAGAUGAUCUCCUCACCACAUUGAAUUUGACGUACGGUGUAGAUUCCAAUCUGGUACUGACCUUCUACAGCAGUAAUUUUGGCUUCACGGUUAGGUCUACAUAAAUGACAAAUUCGGCUUGCAUAGUUAGCCUUGUGUAUUGCAUCAACAACUAAAUUCCACGGAUUCGGCUCUUGAUCCAAUUUUAGGUUCAAUAAAAGUUACUUUAUUCUGUGGUUGAAUUUUAACAGCAGCAUCAGGAACAUCUGCAGCAAAGGUAAUUGGAAUCCAAAUUUUAUUAAUUUUUCCUAAAACACUACUAUGCUUCUGAAUUGAAUCUUGAUCAACUAAAGAUUGGAGCUCUGAAAAUGAUGAGGGCCAUUGCUCAUGUCCAGCGCCAUCAAGAUAAUACCAGUCACUAAAAUCACCAAAGGCAAAGGCAUAAUCCUUGUCAGAGAAUGUGCUCAACCUAGAAUCCAAAGCUUCUUUUGACGUGAUUUCUGGGUAUCUGAAAAAUCUAUCUAUUCUUUGAUCAGGCUGUCCUCCAAUACGAAGUUGAUGCCAGGAUAAACCUUCAGCUCCCAAUUUCUCCCACUGUGCAUGCUCAAACGACGCCUGCAAAACUUCCCCCAGAGUCUCCAGCUCCCUGCCAGGAAUGAAGGUAAAACUCUUUAAUAAAGCUCUAACCCUUUCAUCAAUCUGAAGACCCUCUAAUGGCUCGGAUGCAAUGGAAUUGUCAUUGUUGCAAGACAUCGAUUGCAGCAAAAGUGGUAGGUGUUUCCUCUUCUAGCAGUUUGUUGGACUCUGUGGUAUCUCCAGCCCCGGCCAAUGGAUUACCAGGAGCCUCUGGAGGACUCACCAGUUGAGUUACAGUGUCUGAAACAAAGGGUGGGAAGUUCACAGGCACUAACAGAGAAGCUGCGUUUUUAAUAGUUAACCAUCUGUAGUAAACCUUUCUCUAUGAAAUUUCUUUCUCUCACCGAAGAACACAGAUAUUAACAAAACAUCAUUAAGAUCAAACAGAUCCUUGGGUUUGGGAAGAUCUAUGGAGAAUUCAUCAAAAUUCCUUACAAAUCUAGUCUCCUUCAAAAACUUCAACUACCGAAGAAUCUACCUGUAGGUCUUGCCAAUUCAUGUAAAGAUAUAUUAGGAUAUCCUCCUGUUCAGCCUGAGGCUUGCCUUCAAACCCAGGGGAUCCCAAUUUGACCAAGAUCUGUUGAUCUUGCAGCUCAGGGACUACAAGGGCUCUAAAUAAUGAACUUUCCACAGAAUCUGUAGGAUAUGAAAGGCAACACUCACCACAUGGCUUGAGGAAUGAACCAGACGGGAUCAUACACAGAUCUUGAUUUCGCAAUUGAAUGUAUGACUCUGUAACCAUUUUGUAUAUAGGCAGAGCACGUAAAACUUCAAGCUCUUCCCUUCUAUACUUAGAGCCAUUAGAAGAGAAAUCAGAAGCAAAAAGUGUACAGAGUUCCAUACGCUCUGAAGUUAGAAAAGAAUUAAGUUCAGGGAAAAUAGACAACCUGUUUAGCAACAAGCUUUCAAGCAAUAAUCUGCCCUAAUGACUGAUCAAGUGUAGAGAGGUAAUUACAUUAAGCCGCGCAUUCUAUGAAACAGCGUUUCUUUUUGACAUACUCUCAAACAAUUGCCUCGCAAUACCCAUGCAUCCAGAUUUUGAGUACACGUCAACCAAAGCCGUCUCCACAAACACAUUACCUUCAAAACCACCCCGAGCCCAAAAGAAUAGUGCACUGAUUUCGCAAUCUGGGUCAAGCCUAGAAACACUGCCUUCCGACAAGAGGAUCUCCUUUGGUUUUGUAUUCUCUGAUUUUUCCCACUAAUUUUCCUGUGCUUCCUUCCUCUUCUCACCAAAAUGAUCCCCACCCCCUUUUUUUCUUUCUUUUCUUUUCAAUGUCGUUUUCUCCCGUGCUCCCCAAUAUAUUCUCAGUGUAGAUACCCUGGAAUAAUCGAAUUCCAAGGAGCCACAUCUCUAAUCCCCAUAUGAACUCACAAAUUUACGUUAUGGUAACCAAACUUAGCAAGUGCAAUAAACAGCCGACAUACCUUUCGGACAAUCUUCUCUAGAUCCCAUAUUGUGAUAGCAGUUCCAGAAUUUUGAAGUGUUUGACCUCUUUGCUGAAUCUCAUGACUAUAUUCCCAAGCCUUGGAGUCACCCCCAUAUCAACAAUUGAUGGCUAUAUGACGGGUAGGAAGAAAGGCAAAACAGAUAUGGUAGAGAGUAGAGGAAACGAUGGGAAAACAGACAUGGGAGAUUAAAAGAAAAUAAAACCACAUCUCAUGAUUUUUCAAUAGGCUCAAGUUAGUGGGAACAGGCAUGGAGUUAUAUGCUUCCGAAGACAUUAAUGACAUCCAAAAUCAAAACAAGGCAAACAGGCAAGUAGCCAAUCUCAACAAAGCCAAUUGUGGCCCUUUUCGUCUACACAAAAAUCAACAAAACAAUUAAAUAUUCAGGAAUCGAACACACGGAAAAAUCAAAUAUAGGUAAGAAUUCCAAAAGGAACGAGGUGCAUACCUGGACAGCUUUGGUUGCAAUGGCUCGGCUUUUGGCUAUCUUUCCUCUUCCUUCUGAAGACAAUUCCCAGAUAAAAAUCCUCUUUUUGCUUGUUCUUUCUUCUUCCUCCUCCCUCUCUAGACUCCAAUACGUGUUGCUCACCCCCUAUUCUUUUCCUUUUCUCACCUAUAUAUAUCACCUAUUCUCUUCAAGACCUAAAUUUUCUUCCAAAAAGGAAAAUUUUCCUAUUUCCUUUCUUCUUCUCUUCUUUUUUUAAAUCCUCCAAUCAAAAGCAAUCUUCCCAAUUUCAAAUUCUCCUCCAAAACCUUCCAAGGAGAGUCCCACUUUCCUUAAACUCCAAUGGUAAGUUUCCUUGCAAAAACAUGAAAUUUUAGAAGUUAAAUAAUUGCAUGAAUAGAUAAAUAAGUAAAUAAAUUAGAAAAUGGUAAAAAUAAUAAAUAAAUAAAUAAGUUAAGGAAAAUAAUAUAAAGAGGAAAAUAAAAUAAAAUAAAAUAAAAAUAAACAAAUUAACAAAAAAUGGGCCCUAUGAGCCAUGCAAACACGCAAGUCAUAUAAGUCACGCUAAAAAAUGUCCAAAUGGGCCAAGUGUGCCUAAAUGGCCUAUGAUGAGACUAAGUGGGCCUAGGGUGGUGCCUAAUGGGCCAAGUGUAUCUAAAAGCUAUCCUAAAAAAAACAAGAAAAGCCUAAGUCUAAGUUAGGGCUGCCAAGGGUCACAAUAAGGGAUCAAAUAAUCCCUCAACCAAAGUCUCCAAGGUGACUCAAAAAAAGGUAAGUGGUAUGAGUAGCCAUGGGCCACCAAGGAACUAUUGUGGAGCAUUGAAAACGAAUUUUAAAGACAUGUGCUAAAGGGACAAAAUUGAGGGUCUACACAUUGCUAACUUCAACAUAAGUUCAAUAUUCUCUCAAGGUUGAGAGAUAACACAAUGAAGCAGUCUAGUAGGGUGAUGACUACUUGAUAGCAUUAAGUCAUAACUUACCAUAGAUCCUAUCCAGUGUGUAACCAUACAGACUAGUGUUCUCAUCGUGGGAAACCCAUUCGAUAACUAAGACUAGUCAUCCCUCCAAUUAGGAAGUGGUGCACUACAACCUCCAAUAGGUUGCCUAGACCCACAAACCAACAUGAACUAAUCAUUUAUUUACAAGGAACCCAUGACUUAAAUCUUUUAUACAACUCCUAAUAUACCCAAGUCACAUAUAAUGCAAAAGAUGAAACCAAAGUGCUUACAAAGUAUAAUGCAUGGAAGUAAGAUAGAUAAAAGUGAAAUGCAACUUUAUUAAAUAAAUAAUAAAAUCCAAAAGUCUAUUACAUCAUGUCAUGCUUUUAAGGGUUCUAUCAUAACAGCAUGCACAUAAGAACUAUGCAUUGAGAAGAGAUGGUCUAGGUACUAGGUAGCAUGUGGAGGGAAAUGUGCACUAAGAAUAAGAAUGGCAUACCAAGAAGCAUGCACACGUAAGAUAAAAUCACACUAAGAGGACAUAGAAUGUGUGCAAAUAUAUGAAAUUUGCACUUAAAGAACUGCCAAUGUUUGUAUGCAAAGACAUUGUGGACCGAAAAUCGCAUACUAAAGAAAAGUGUGCUCACAUAAGAGAAAAAGAGAGACAUGCAUGCAAGUGUACAAAUUGGAAAACAAUUCAAGAUGUACAUACUAAGAUAAGGAUGCACAAAAUACAACCUAAAUGAAGAGAUGCACACGUGUAAUGCACACCAAGAAGUUAUGUGCAUGAGAAAGACGCACAAAUAUUUCAUCUAAAGAGGAAAGUUGUGCACUAUUCAAUGCACCAAAACAAGACAUGAAGUGGGCAUAAAAAAAUACGCAAAACAAAGCAAGACACCAAGUGCAAGCCUACUACUCAAGAGAAAGAACAAAGUAUGCAAACCAAAAAUGCAAAAUAAGAGGAUGCACUAAUAGGGCAAAUGACUUGUGCAAUUUGACAUGCAAUACAAAACGAACACUAGAAAAAAAACAGACGUGCGCAACCCAAUUCACAAACAUAGUCAAACAUCGGUUGAAUGUACAACUUAGUGCAUAAAAACAAAAUAGAAUGUGUAAUCCUCAGCACAACAUGAAUAGAAUAUAGGGAGCAUGCAAUCUAGGUUCACAGUCAUGAACAUCAAAUACACUAACAAAAACGUGCAAAUCCUAAUAUGUGAACACAAUGAAACAAAGCCUAAGAUAUGCAGUCUUGAUGCACAAUCUUGAGCACUACAGAAGACCAAAGCAAAUAGGUAGCCACAGAGAACCAACUACAAAUGAGUGGCUUCAAAAUGCACACUAACCAAUUCACAAAACAAACAAUAAUCACAAGAAAAUCAAAUGAGCAAAGAAAAAACUCAAAAUACAAUAGGUAAAAAAUAAGAAAAGCCUCAUAUCAUGCGUUAUCAGUGGGCUUAAAAAACAAGUGAGAUAUCCAAACUAGAUUUAAAACAAGAACAAAAACAAGAUUUCAAGAUGUUAUAUGGAAAGAACGAACUAAAUUCAGGUUAAUCUCAAAUAAACUAAAGAAAAAUAGGGUGAACAGAACAAUGACAAGCCUAUAAACAUCCCAGAAUUGAAAAAUUAAUGUGUGGCCUCUAAUAUCCAUAUCCAAUCAACAAGCAACUUUUAACGAUAUCUAAUGAAAGAAAAACAUAACCAAAUAUGGGUCUCAUAAUGAAAAGAGCUUAACUGAGAAGAGAUGUAUUAGUUAACCUUUUCUUCUCUUUGUUUGGUUCUUUACUUUCCUUCUCUUUCAUUUUCUUCUUUCUCUAGUCCUUUUCUUUUUUUCCCUAAGCUCUUUCUCUCUAUCUCUCUUUUUACCCAACAAAUCCCUAAUGACUAGAAUAUUUUUGUGCAUCUCUCUCUCUCACACACAACAAUGUAGAAUGUGCUCUCAUACCUCUUAAAAAUGAGAGAAAAAUCCCCUACAAAAUGCCAAAAGGACCUUCCGAGCAAGGAUCCUACGUUAAGGCUCAUAACCAAAUUAAUGAACGUAGGUUAAACCUAAGGUGCCAUAGAAAGUCAUGCUAGAAUCAACAAAAAUUUCCCUAAUGGUCUCUAAAAAAUGGCUCAAAUAACAACGAACUACCAAGGGACAUGAUAAAUGGAAGGGAUCCUAAGUGCAUGUUAUGAAAGAGUAUAGGGCAAGGGGAAAAUAAACAUGAAAUAACAUAUGCUGGGAGGACAAAAUGGAAGGGAUCCUAAGUGCAUGUUAUGAAAGAGUAUAGGGCAAGGGGAAAAUAAACAUGAAAUAACAUGUGCUGAGAGGACAAAAUGAAGGGUCCGUAGGUUCCACAAUCCAACUGUUAGGAUAUUGCCCUUAAAAACAUGACAUGAUGUAAUAAAUUUGGAAUUCAUUAUUUAUUUAAUGAUGUUCCAAUUUUACUUUUAACCAUUCUUAUUCCAUGUAUUACACUUUAUGAACAUUUUGACCUACAUCUUUUGUAUUGUAUGUGACUUAGGUGCAUUAGGAGUUGCACAAAAGAUCUAAAUCAUGGGUUCCUUGCAAAUAGAUGACUUAUUCACAACUGGUUCAUGGGUCUAGGCAACCAAUUAAAGGUAGUAGUGCAUCACAUCCUAAUUUAAGGGAUGACUUGUCUUGGCUAUCAGGAUAGGUUUCCCAAGGUGAGUGCAAUGUGUGUAUGGUUACACAUUGGACAAGGCCUAUGAUGAGUCAUAACUUAAGGCUAUCAAGUAGUCAUGAUCUCACUAAACUACUCCAUUGUGUUGUCUCUUAACCUUGAGAGAAUAUUAAGUUUGUGCUAAAGUUAGCAGUGGCUUUGACUUAUGGGUGAGAUCGUAAGUUGAUCAUAUAUUCCCUAUGGAUUAGGUCACUACUAAUAAAAUUCGGUAACAAUAAGUAUUUUCAAUAAAGGCACCAUGAUAUCUCAUGGGAUUGAGAUAGUGUGUCCCCUUGGGUGAUUCUAAGAAGGUGUGUCAAUGGAAACUAUGGCCAUAGUAGUUCCUUAAGUGGAACUUGACAUAGGUUCUUAACCAAGAUAUGCCAAUUGAAUACACAAUAGAAAGAUUUGUAACUUAAGGAUAGUAGAGUUAAUCUUGAAAGAUUGAUAGCUUUCACCUUGUUAGACUACGAACACACCAGUUCAUAGGGAGAUUAAAGAUAAUGGAUAACAAGUCGCAAACCCGAGCAUGUAAUGUCUUAUUGUUAUUUACAUAAAAUACUAAAAUUCAGUUAAUUCUCUAUAGUGGGAUAUUGAAUCAACUUUUGAAUUGGAUUCUGAGAUAUCCAACUUAGUGGUCCCUACUCUAAGCUCAUAUACCUUGAUGUCAUAGAUUGUGAAGGUCAAAUUGGUUAUAGGUUCACUUUUUUGCAUAAGAGUGUUUUGGUAAUUAUGCAAGGUUGCACAGGGGUAAGUAAACAAGAUCUUUAGAUUGGGCUAGUUGAUUAAUUAGUAGGCCUUAUUGGAUUAAUUAGUCAAUUAGAACUCAUUUUGGGCUGAAUUAAGUGACCUAAGCUCAUGAGGGCUCAAGUCACUUAAGCUUAAUUAGGAACCUUAUAAAUACCACCUAGGAGUUAGAGUUUCCAUCACUUUUGUCUUCCACCAUUCAAAGAGAAAGAGAGUCAUAACCUCCAACAUUUUUCCUGCUUAUCAAAAGUGUGCUAAGAAUAAGAUUGAGUCAUCGGGCGAAAGAUCAUGGGUUUACGAGACUUCUAACAAUCUUAAGGUCAUCUUCAACACUUGGAAUUUAAGAUUUGGGAACAUCCAAACCUAAAAGGUUAGUACUUUAACCCUAAAAGAUCAAUUUUUUAAAAACUGAUAUUACUUCCCUUGCUUAGAUCUAAGAUGUCAACAUGGAGUGCAAGAUCACGGUUUGAGUCAUCAAGCAAAAAAUCUUAGGUGUACGAGACUUCCAAAUUCAUUGUUCAACACCUUCACUACGUAGAAUUGAUUUGGGAACAUCAAAAUCAAAGGAAAAUUUCUCUAAUGACUUUUCUCUUGAUCCUAGAAUGGUAAAAAAUUGAUUUUGCUUCUGUUGCAUAGGAUCUAGAGCCUUAGGGUAUUUUUGCAUGCACCUAUACGAUAUAGGGUAAGGGAAUGGAGAAAUCCAAGGUUCCUAGCAACGUCUCUUUUCCAUAAUUUUCUUUCUCAUUUCUCAUGUUAUGCAUUCCUUUAUUUGUCUUUGUUGCAUCUUUUCCCCCUCUCAAACUUGAGACUUAUCUCAAAAUAUAUGGAUAGGGUUUUUUUAAAUAAUUCAAGUUAAUUUAGGUAUUAGAAUAGAGCCCUUAAAAGCAUGACAUGAUUUAAAAAAUUUUGAAUUGAUUAUUUAUUUAGUGAUAUUCCAGUUUCACUUUUCUAUAUCCUUAUUCCAUCCAUUAUGCUUUAUAAGCAUUCUUACCUAGAAUGUUUUGCAUUGUACAUGACUUGGAUGCAUCAGGAGUUGUAUAGAAGAUCCAAGUUAUAGGUCUUUUGCAAGUAGAUAACUUGUUCACAACUGAUUCAUGGACUUAAGCAAUUCAUUUGAGGCAAUAGUCUACUACCUCAAAAUUAGAGGGAUGGCUAGCCUUUGCGAUCAGGAUAGGUUUCCCAUGGUAAGUGCACUAAUGUGUAUGGUUACACAUUGAAUAAGACCUACAAUGAGUCAUGACAUAAGACUAUCAAGUUGUCAUGAUUUCACCAAGCUGCUUUAUUAUAUUGUCUCUCAACCUUAAGAGAAUACUAAGCUUCUGGCCAACUUAGUAGUGGCUUUGCCCUAUGGGUGAGAUCUUAAAGUGAUCAUAUAUUCCUCUAUAGAUUAGGUCACUUUUGAUGAAAGCUGAUAGCAAUAAGUAUUCUUAAUAAAGGCAUCAUGAUAUCUCAUGGGAUUGAGAUAAAUUGUUCUUUUGGGUUGUUAGGAUAUUGAGUCUUGUUUAUAUGUUGUUAAUUUUGUUCUUUUUUAUGUUUGGUCAUAGCAGUCUUUUUAGAUAGCAACUUGCUCUACAUUCAAGAUCAAGUGUUGCAAUCUAUCUAAUCGGGAAGUCAUAAGUAUGUCUAAAAAGGUUUAACUUGUGGCAAUUUAGGAUCCAUUGAGGUAUAAAGAGGAUUGGUAAGUUUUUUGAACUUAAAAUUAAUUUUUAUAAAGUUUUUGAAAAAUAGAGGACACUCAAUGAUUCGUGCCCAACUGGUGUAUGCCUUGUUGAUUGGUGUUCAAUCAACUAGUGCACUCUGAUUUCAGUCCUCAGAUGGGAGUAAUCAACAAAAUUUAUAAACCUAUUUCACCAUAUACUAGGGUAGUAUUAGCUAGCAUAGCAUAGUGGCUCUAGGAUCCUCCACAAGGAUGGGCUUUCAAAUUACAACUGAUAUUAGUUCAAAAACUGAAUUGGUGCUUUUUCUUUUCAAGGUUAGCUUUAAAAGAAAACAUAAAUAUGUUUGAAAAGGUUGGUUUUAAGUGAAACCAAAAAUAAAGUAACUAAAAUUACUUACAAAGAAAAGUGCUUCUUGGAGUUUUAGAUCACUAGGCUCAGGUUUGUCAUACAAAAAAGGAGAUUCUGGUCAUUUGGAUCUUUUCAUCGCAUUGGGGAUUUAACAUAUAGUUAUUUCCUGAACCAGUGUGGUACAUAUUCUUCCCCUUAAUGGUUUCAAACACUAAAUCUCUAUCACUGAAUCAUCUUGCAAUGGUUCAUACCUCUCACUUAGUAUUAGCCAUUCAGGGUGAUCCUUAACCUUGGAUUACCCGUCAAAAGCUCGCAAGAGAUAACUAAUGGAUGCCUCUUGGGAGUCCAAAAGCUUACCAAGUGUUGGCUAUUCUAGAUAAUCCUACCUUUAAACCACCUUCCAAAGGCUCGCAAGAGAUAAACUAGUAUAUCUCAAUGGAUGGAGACCACUUGCCUUACCAAGUGUUGGCCUAGGUGAUUUUAAGGGAUUUUAAGUUAACUAAAAAGAUAAAAACUAUUAACGGGUCACACUUUCUCUUUAUUAAAAACUAAAACAACAGAACUUCCACUUUUGCAUUGGGAACCUUACCUAGCUUCCUUCAUUCCAAGAAAUAAAAAUCCUAGCCACUCAUCCUCUGGGAAAACAUCAUGAGAGUUCGAUUUGCUAGAAAUAAAAAUAACGAGAAAAAAAAAUGAGAAGUUAAGGCAGAGCAAAGCUCUGUGUAUUACUUUUUGAAAAACUAUACAAAGUGUCGUCUCCGAGAAAAAAUCCCGAGAGAUCCUUUUAAAAGAAAAAUUACAAUAGAUAUUAUAUAGAGAGAGGCUAUUCACCCCUCCUGCUAACUUCCUAACCAAGAAAACUUGUCAUUGGUGGGUUACAAGGAGAAAAUAGGGAUUUACACACAAAUAUCUAAAGAUAAAUAUCAAACGGAGUCAGUGCACAAAUAUCUCAAAUUAUAGGUGGAUCUCGCAAGUUCAAAUGCAACUUGCGAAAAUUUCACAAGUUGAAAUUAUCCAUUUCGCAAGUUGCGUAAUUGUCCUACAACUUAUCAGCUCUCUGUCCUACAACGAUUCCUUUCCUCUUCCUAUUUUGCAAGUAACGAAAAUUUCGCAAGUUGGAUUCCACAACUUACGAAAUUGCUAGAUGGUUGAUUUCUUUUGUGCUUUUCUUCAUUGCAUACUCGUUUGGUUUUGGCAAAGGGUUAUGAAGCUCCAAAGCUUAGUUUCUUCAGGAGUUUGAGCUUCAACUUGCUUUGCCAUGAACUAUACAAAGAUCUCCCUCAUUCUUGGAUUGUUUUGGUGAUCAAAAAGCUAUCAAAAACACCAAAACUUAACACAAUUUGAUUAGAAACGAUUGAAAGGGUCCUUAACAUGCCAAUUGAGUUAAAAGGUAAUAACUACUACUCAAAAGUGUUUAAAAGAGUUAAUUACAAGCUAUAAAAUAACACUUUUUGAGUAGUAAUCACUCCCCCCAACCGACACAUUACUAGUCCCUUAGCAAUGAAGGAGAGAAAAAUAAAAAUAAAUAGUACUAUAAUUUACAACAUCAUGCUGAUCACUACAAAAAAUUUCAAGUGGCAUGAUGAUCAAACUUUCACAUGAGACAUUAAAGAUAUAAAACUCAAACUUCAACAAGAGUUAUCAAAUAACUUGCCUAAUCACAAUUCAUAAAGAGAAGGCAUUAUGCAAAUUUAAGUUUUAAAAGAAUUUCCAUUCCCAAAGGGUCAAUCCUUACUCUUCUACAAAAAUCUAAGUGUUACUUAUUAGUUUCUGAAUACAAAAAGUAAAUAGAUGAUCAGGUAGUGGUGGGAGGAUCAUGUGGAGACGAUGGCUUUGCUGUGGUCUCCUGAGUGCUUUGGAUAGGAGUCUCGACCUCUGCUGUAGUAGUCUCCUCAUAGGGCAUAGUCUGCUCUGCUGGAGUAGCCUCCUGAGAUGGAAUAGCUUGCUCAGCUAGAGUAGCCUCCUCAGAUGGAGCUGUAGGCUCUAAUGGACUAGGCAUAUCAUGCUCAGAUGGUGGCAGAAUACCUAAAUGCUUCCGUAUUUGACUAAGGAUCGUAGUAUGUUGGGUUUGCAUGGCAAUAAGUUGAUCCUGACAUGCACGUAUGACUGUUAUCUAUUGGGCGAGAACACUUUGAGUAGUGCUCAAUGUCUGCAAUGUAUGACAUAGGCCUCUAAACUCUAAACUACAUAUAGUGAUAGAAGACUCAGAUGGAGGAGGUGCUAAUGUAGCUGGUACAACUAGUAAAGCUUCAAAAGUGGUAGAAGGAGCAGAAGAUGUAGCCUCGGGCGUGGGCACUGUAGAAGGUACUGUAGGGGUAGGUGGUAUGAUCUCUGUAGGUAUCUCAGCUUGUUGUGCCUGUGGUGGCUGCUCAUCUUGUGGUAACUCUGGAGGUGUUGGCACAUCUGGGGCCCUUGGGGGUGCAACAUAGGUUGUCAAAUGAUUCCAUUUGUCGAGAAUGAAUAGCUCUCGAAAAAUACGGCGGCGCUCAAGCUGAGGCUCAGAAGGAUGGCCCAAAUGCUCUAAUAUCUAACAGAGCAGCUUGGAAAAAAGUAAUGGAAUGGCAUCUACUCUUUGGAGCUUCUUCCUGUGGACCUUCUCUUCAAAGUAGAAAAGAGAGGUCAUAAUCAAAAUAUGAGGGCCAAAGUAGAAACCCUCUGAUAUUCGGAAUAAAGCCUCCAAUAUAGCUCAUCUCCUCUGCACCAUAUGCUGAAGUGGAAAUAUGUUGGAACACAACACCACAUCUAGAAGAAGCAUCACAAGUGGAAGCUCCUUCCUAAGAAGAAAUGAGCGUGUAGAGGUCCCCCUGGACAAUAUACGGACCAUGUCUCUCUGAGAGAAAUGGGACCACUCUCUGUAAUCUGCUAGACUCAUAGGCUCAUAUGGCAUGUGCAGGGCCUCUGCAAUGUGUCUAGCUCCUAGGAUACCAUGGCGUCCAUCAAUAGUGAAAUGGAUGACAGUAGGAUCCCAGACGCGACGAGUAGUCAUAGACUGAUAAAAGUCUAGUGCUACUCUGGGAUAGAAGAAGUCCCUAGGAGUCAUCAGGUGCUCCAAAUGGUAUCUCUGCAGUAGGCGGAAUGAAUCUCUAAGUUCCGGCUGCUGUUUGAAAGUCUCCAUAUCAAAACAUAGCUCAGAGUGGAAUGGCCUAGCUCAGCAAUCCAAAUUUCCCUCUAUAGGUGGCUGUGUAACCAUAGGUCGCCUGAUAAUCACUUCUAGAGUCAUCCCAGAAGGAAUCUGAGACUUUGUAGCAAGAGGCUGAGGCUGUGGAGGUGCAGAUGACUCUCCUGGGCCUGAAACUCUGGCUUUCUUUGCAGGAGGGCAAUGAACUGAUUUCUUGGGACGUAAAAUGCUUGCCCUAGGUGUAGUAGGUGGUCUCCUCGUCUCGUGCCUACGCUGAGGAGGGCUAGAUGGCACUCCACCCUCAGAAUGUGGAAUGGCAGAGGCCUGUGGAGCCUCAGAUGUGGAAUCCCGUGCAGGUGAAGCUCUUGGCCUUGGAUUGCAGGUUGAUGAAGACGCGAUGUAGGCUCCUCUUGUCUUGGCCAUGGCUGAAAUGGAGAGGCUUGUGUUCCACAAGGUGCGUGGAGGUGUGCGGAGUGGUUCUUCUUCAAACGCACAACUUUUGGGCUUCCAACUCUAGAAUUUGGGGGACUUUGCAACUUACAAGGUUAUUUUGCAACUUGAAAGGGCUAUGCGACAUGAAAAUGGAAAAAAUAAGAGGUUUAAAUAUGAAUUUAAACGUCGGUUGGCAUUUUCACAAGUUGGCCUGAAUUCGCAAGUUGGUUCGCAAGUUGCCCAUUUUCGCAACUUGAUUCACAGGUUGCGAAACUUGAAAUUGAACUUACGAAAUGGCACAUGUGUGCUUGGAGGUGCUUUCGCAGGCUCCAAAAAUUUUCACAAGUUGAAUAGUGGACUUGUGAAUUUGAGCUUUGAGGAUUUCGCAAGUUGGACCCUAUUUUCACAAGUUGGAAUUUCAGCUUGCGAAAUUUUCGCAAAUUGAAAUAUUGCUCUGUAUUUCAGGCUUUUUCUCCUUCUUUGGUUCUUUAAGGCUUUCCUCCAAUUCCUUUGAAGUUCCUCCUAAUUUUGAUCAUCCAAAAAGUCUAAGUUAAAUCAAAAUAAAAUAAAUUAAAGCUAGAAUUAAAAUUAAAACAAAUAAUAAAGCUUUUAAAUCAACAAAAUUGAAACAAAAAACAUGGACUUUGGUUAGUCUUCAAAAAGACUAAGUCCAUCUACUCCUUUUUGGUUAAGAUUGUUGUGGCUCAAGAAGACUGACUUCCUCCUUAUCUUGAUUGAAAGGCUCCAUGAAUGGCUUGAGACGGUGGCCAUUGACUUUGAAAGUGUUUGUGCUAUUGGAAUUGAGUAGUUCAACUACUCCAUUGGAAUGCACUUGGUGAAUAAUGAAAGGGCCUAUCCACCUUGAUUUUAGCUUUCCUGGAAAGAUGUGGAGCCUAGAGUCAUAGAGUAAGACUCUUUGUCCCUUUUGAAAUUCUUUGUUGGAGAUUAACUGAUCAUGCCAUCUCUUCAUCCUCUGUUUUGCAAUUUUGGAAUUGAUGUAGGCAUCAUUUCUCAAUUCAUCCAUCUCAUUAAGGUCUAAGCAUCUCUUCAUCCCAGCUCUGUUCAAGUCCAUGUUUACCUUCUUAAUUGCCCACCAAGCCUUAUAUUCAACUUCCACAGGGAGAUGGCAUGUUUUGCCAUAGACUAGGCGAUAAGGAGACAUGCCAAGAAUAGUCUUGUAAGUUGUUCUGUAUGCCCAUAGUGAAUCAUGGAGCUUAACAUACCAAUCUCUUCUGCUCGUGUUCACCACCUUCAUCAAUAUAUUCUUGAUUUCCGUAUUUGCUAACUCAACUUGCCCAGAAGUCUGAGGGUGGUAAGGUGUAGCUACCUUGUGCUUCACCCCAUACUUGGCUAAGAGAGUUUCAAAAGGCUUGUUGCAAAAAUGAGUACCUCUAUCACUGAUUAUGACCUUGGGCACCCUAAAUCUUGAGAAGAUGUUCUCGUUGAGAAACUUGAGAACAACUCUGUGGUCAUUUUGUUUACACGGGAUUGCCUCAACCCAUUUAGAAACAUAGUCUACCCCCACCAAAAUGUAAGAGUUACCAAAAGACAUAGGGAAAGGUCCCAUGAAGUCAAUGCCCCAAACAUUGAAAAGAUCAACUAUAAAAUGGGGUUCAUAAGCAUUUGGUUCCUACGUGUUAACUUCCUAAGCCUUUGGCAUCUAUCACAGCUCCUGCACAUGGCGUGAGCAUCUUUGAAAAGUGAUGGCCAACUGAAACUUGAUUGCAACACUUUCAUGGCUAUUUUCUAAUAGGCAAAGUGGCCUCCACAUGAGCUUUCGAGGCAAUGACUGAGGAUCCCCUGUUGCUCUUGUUUAGGGACACACUUCCUUAUUAUUCGAUAUGCACAAUACUUGAAAAGGAAAGGUUAUUCCCAAUAGUAGGCAUGAAUUUUUGUAAAGAAGUGCUUCCUAUCUUGUGCUAUCCACUCACUUGGAAUUUCACCAGUAACUAGAUAGUUAGCAAUAUGAGCAUACCAAGGAGUAUCUUCUAACAACAUGAGUGACUCCUUCAGAAAAUCAUCAUUAAUAGGUAAACCAUGGGAAUUAUGCGAUAUAGCCAGCCUAGAAAGGUGGUCAGCUACCACAUUCUCCACUCAUUUCUUGUCUUUGAUUUGGAGAUUGAACUCUUGCAGUAAGAGAAUCCAUCUAAUCAGCCUUGCUUUUGCAUCUUGCUUUGUCAAUAAGUACUUCAAAGCUGAGUGGUCAGUGAAAACCACAAUGAAAGACCUUACCAGAUAAGCACGAAAUUUGUCCACGGCAAAAACUACAGCCAACAAUUCUUUCUCUAUGGUUGUGUAGUUUCUUUGCGCUUCAUUCAAUGUUUUACUUGCAUAGUAGAUCACAUAGGGCUUUCCAUCAUCUCUUUGACCAAGAACAACUCCUAUAGCAAAGUCACUGGCAUCACACAUCACUUCAAAAAGUAGUUGCCCGUUAGGAGCCCUUACUAUUGGAGCGAUUGUCAAGAACUGCUUCAGUUGCUCAAACCUCUUUCGAUAUCUUUCAUCCCAUACAAAUUUAGCAUCCUUCAGUAAUAGUUCACAAAGAGGCUUUGAAAGUUUAAAGAAAUCUUUAAUAAACCUCCUGUAGAACCCAACAUGGCUAAGGAAUUGCCUCACUCCUUUUACAGUUGUUGGGGAUGGCAAUUGAUUACUACUCAAAAAGUGAUAUUUCAUAGCUUGUAAUUAACUCUUUUAAACACUUUUGAGUAGUAUUUAUUACCUUUUAACUCAAUUGGCAUGUUAAGGACCCUUGCAAUCAAUUCUAAUCAAAUUGUGUUAAGUUUUGGUGUUUUGAUAGCUUUUUUAUCACCAAAGCAAUCCAAGAUUGAGGAGAGUUCUUUGGAAUCCAUGGCAAAGCAAUGGAAAGCUCAGAAACAUGAAUAACCAAAGCUUUGAAGUCCUUUGCCAUAAGCAAAUCCGGAAUGCAAGGAGGGAAAGCAAAGAGAAAUCUGCCAUGAAGCAUUCUUGAUGACAGUCAUGUUAGCCACUUUUGGAGCACUUCCUGGAGUCCAAUUUAUGCAUGCUAUAUGUCGUUUCGAAGCUCAGGAAGUCAACAAUCCAAUGCUUCGAAAUGAAAUGAAGGAGUUAUAGCCAUUGGAAGCCGAUCACUCCAAGCUGAAGGAAGAAUUUUGAACGGCUGCGAAAUCACCCUUUUGCUGCGAAAUGAUUUCGCAACCAUUUUGCACAGUGCAACAAAAUUUCUCCUGAAGUUUCCCGAUAUUUGCGACCGACACUUUUGGAUAUUUUGCUUCAGAUUUUUGAUGUCUAAAUCCCCAUUUUCUCCUUGUAACCCACCAAUUAUAGGAUUCCUUAGUUAUUAAGUUUGGAAAAUGGGUGAAUAACCUCAGAUAUUUUGUUUUGUAAUUUUCUUUAUAUAUAGCUCUCGGGAGCUUGUUCUCAGAGCAUCAUGUAAUCCAACGGGAUAUAGAUAUAUAAAUAUAUAGAAUAUACAGAGCCUUGCUCUGUUUUUCCUUCUUUUUCAUUUUCUUUUUCUUUCUAGCCAACCAAACUCUGAGGAUUUUUCCUCAGAGAAUGAGAGGCUAGGCUUUUCGUCUCUUGGAGUGAGGAAAGCCGGGUAAGUUUCCGAAUGCAAAAUUGGAAGUUUUGUUGUUUUAGUUUUUAAUGAAGAGAAAGUGUGACCCGUUCAUGGUUUUUAUUUUUUUAGUUAACUUAAAACGCCUUUAAAUCACCUAGGCCAACACUUGGUAAGGCAAGUGAUCUCCGUCCAUGGAGAUUCACUAGUUUAUCUCUUGCGAGCCUUUGGGAGGUGGUUUGAAGGUAGGAUUUUCUAGAAUAGCCAACACUUGGUAAGCUUUUGGACUCCAAGGAGACAUCCAUUAGUUAUCUCUUGCGAGCUUUUGACGGGUAAUCCAAGGUUAAAGAUCACCUUGAAUGGCAAGUGCUAGGUGAGAGGUAUGAGCCAUUGCAAGGUGCAUCAGUGAGAGGGAUUUAGUGUUUGAACCCAUUAAUGGGAAGCAUCUGUACAAUACCGGUUGGAGAAGGAACUAUAUGUUAAUUCUCUAAUGCAAGGAAAAGAAACAAGUGACCGGAACUCCCUUUUUGUAUGAGGAAUCUGAGCCUAGUGAUCUGAAACUCCAAGAAAUACUUUUCUUUGUAGUUAAAAUCAGUUACUAUUUUUGGUUAGCUUAAAACCAACCUUUUCAACCAAUGAUUAUGUUUUCUUUUAAAGCUAACCUUGAAAUGAAAAGGCACCAAUUCACUUUGAAUUAAUAUCAUUUGUGAAGUGAAAACCCAUCCCAGUGAACGAUCCUAGAGCCACUAUGCUAUAGUAGCUUUGUCUUUGCUACCCUAGUUCAUGGUGUAAUAGGUUAUAAAUUUUGUUGAUUACUCCCUCAAUCAAGGAGCACCAGCUGGACACGAAUCAGCUGAGACACCAAUUGGGCAUGAAUCAAAUGGCGUCGUUGCCGGGGAUGGUGCCACUUUACAAUGAUAUCACCUUUUCAGAGUACUUGUGAUCUUUAUCACAAGUUUGGUGACUUUUCUUUUCUCUUUACUAACUCUUUUUAUUUGUUUCUUUUUCUUUGUUCAUAUUUUAGUAUAGUUUUUAUUUAGUUUUUAGUUAAUCUUAAGAAUUUUUUUUUUGUUCUCUAUAAUUUUUGUUUCUUUUGUUUUGUUUUGUUUUCUCUGUUUUUUAUGCUCAAAUUGCUAGUUGUGCAUGCCAUAUUGAAUACGAGAUAGCAGAGGAAGCUAUGAAUUUCAUGAAUUAUGUGGCUGAAGUUUCAAGAGGAUGUGAUGAACCAAAUGCUAGAGAUAUGGGAAGAAUGACGUCUCAACCUAAUGCUAAGGGUGAGAUGUAUAUUUUGAAUGAUGACAUAGACAUGAAGGCAAAGAUUGCAGCUAUGGCAAGGAGAUUGGAAGAGCUAGAAAUGAAGAAGAUGCAAGAAGUGCAAGCCAUCUCUCAGACACCAUUGCAAGCUAUGCCUUGUGCCAUUUGUCUAUCUUAUGAGCACUUGGUGGAAGAGUGUCCUAUCAUUCCAACGGUGAGAGAAAUGUUUGGUGAUUGCAACACCUACAAUUCCAAUUGGAGGGACCAUCCAAAUUUCUCUUGGAAACCACAACUGUCUCAGUACAAGCAACAUGUUCAAGCACUUCCGCAAGCCUCAAACCUUGAACAAGCUAUGGUGAAUCUUAGCAAGGUCGUGGGAGACUUUGUUGGAGCUCAAAAAUCUAUCAAUGCUCAUCUCAGUCAAAGAAUUGACAGUGUAGAGAGUUCAUUGAACAAAAAGAUGGAUGGAAUACAAAAUGAUCUAUCUCAGAAGAUAGAUAAUCUCCAAUAUUCAAUCUCAAGGUUUGCCAACCUCAACACAAUGCAAGAGAAAGAAAACUCUCUUUCUCAACCUCAUCAAAAUUCCAAGGGUAUCCAUGAAAUGGAGGCUAAGGAGGGAGAACCUUCACAAAAGAGGGAAGUCAAAGAAGUGAUCACUCUGAGGAGUGGUAAAGAGGUUGAUAUGCCCACAUCCAAGCUAGAGCAUAUGGUAGAGAAUGAAACAGAGAAAGAAAAGAGGGAGGAAAUCAAAGGAAAGAAAAUGGGGAAAAGUAUAGAGAAAGAUGACUAUGAUUUUAAUAUAGAAGGAGAACCACAGAGGAUAGUCAUCAAGGAAGAAUUGAUGAAGAAACACAUGCCUCCACUUUUCCUCCAAGCUUUGUAUGGCAAAAUCAUACAGAGCAAGUCUCAAGUGAGAGAUGCAAACUUCAUAUGGGAUCCGAGCAAGCUGAACCAAGGAUCAGAUUUUUUGAUGGACUUAGUCUUUUUAAAGACUAGCUAGUCCAUAUCUUUUUGUUUUAUUUAUUACUUGUUUUAAUUUUGAUUUCAAUGCUUUAAUUCUAAUUUGUUUUGAUGUAAUAUAGGUUUUUGGAUGAUCAAAAUCAAGAGGAAUGUCAAAAGAAGUGAAAGAAGGAAGUUGGGAAUCAAGAGGAGCUCAAAAGCAUAAAAAUUCAGUGGUUUGUGAAAUUUCGCAACCAAAAAUAGCCCCCUGCGAAAUCGCCACUUUGUUGCGAAAUUAUUUCGCAGCCCCAAGAAGUCGCUGCGAAAACGCCACUUUGCUGCGAAAUGAUUUCGCAGCCCCAUGCUCCCCUCUGCGAAAAUUUUCACAGCUGCGAAACCACCUCUUGGCACACGAGUGCCAUUUCGCAACCUCAUACCCUCAUUUCGCAGCUGCGAAAUGGCCGCAAAAUCUCCAAAGCGUAAAAACUCCCACUUUUCGCAGCCAAAGCCUCAUUCCGCAAGGAGUUUCGCAACUGAGAAACCAUUCUUUGGCACACGAGUGCCAUUUCGAAGCCCCGUACACUCAUUUUGCAGCUGUGAAAUGGUUGCGAAAUCCUCCAUGCCUUAAAAUCCUUCAGCGCGCACACCAUGAAGCCGCACCCCCAUUUCGGCAACUAUUGGACACAUUUAGAUCACUUCCUGAAGUCCAUUUCAUGCAUAAAAUCUGUCAUUUCAAAUCUUGGGAAGUCAGGAGUCCAACGCUUCAAACGGUGCUCAAUUUGGAGUUGAAACGAAGAAGUUAUGGCUGUUUAAGACGAACACGCAAAGCUAAGCGAAAAUUUCGCAGCCAAAGCCCCAUUUCGCAGGGUGUUUCGCACACGAGUGCCUUUGGCACACGAGUGCCAUUUCGCAGCCACCCAACCCCAUUUCGCAGCUAUGAAAUGGGCUGCGAAAAUGGCACCCGGCCGCGAAAAUCCCAUUUGGUUGCGAAAUGUUUUCACAGCCCCAUAGCUACCCCCUGCCAAAUCCUCCAUUUGCUGCGAAAAUGGUUGUUUGUUGCCAAAUGAUUUUCAAACUUCCAAAUGGCUAUGAAAUGAUCUCCAAGCUUUGAAAUGGUUGUGAAAUGAUUUUCAAGCUUCAAAAUGGGUUGCGAAAAUGUUUCUAUUUUUUCCAUGGGCUGCAAAAAUGUUUUUCUUUUUUCCCUUUGGCUGCAAAAUGAUCUCCAAACUAUGAAAUGACCUCCAUGCUAUAAAAAUGACUUGCAAAAUGAAGAGAGGUUUGCAAAAACACUUUGAAAAGCCAAGGGAAGUUCCGAAAAUGCCAACAUAGCCCCGCAACCAUGCAUCUAAAGAGGAGAGCCCUCUCACUAAGAUCACACACAUGAAGCCUCUCACUCCAUUUCUGACCUCCUUAAACCAUUAGAGCCCAUAGCUCCAGCUAAGGAGACUAUGCCACCUAAGGAGACUACCAGAACAGAGGCCAAAGUCCUGAUCCAACCCAUUCAAGAGGCCACCACAGAUGCAUCAGCUCCAUAGGACCUUACCAUUACUUGAUCAUCUCUUUAUUUUUUGUCUUUACAUAUUAUAUUAGUAUAAAUAAUUCCAUAUUUUGAUGUCUUAUAUUCUGAGAUUGGAUGUAUUACUAAUGAUGCAUCAUAUAUAGACAUCAUUUUUGUUAAAACUUAGCGUUUUUCUAUUUCCUCUACUCACUAACUCUUAUGUUUUCUUUGAAACAUGUGGUUUCUCCUAUACGACUCAGACUCCAUGUCACUCAGGAGGUACCACUUCCUCCCUAUUUUUCAAUCGCUUUUGUCACAUUGAGGACAAUGUUCAGCUUGGUUGGGGGGAGAGUUGAGGAAGUAAGUAUUGUUAAUAAUGCUAAGUUAUUUUGGUAAUUUAGUUGUUUUUUGCUUAAUUUUUUUUUAAAAAAAAUUUUAAAGUUUUUAUUCUACUCUCCAUGGUUAUUAAGGAAAAAUUUUCAAAAUAAAAAGGGAGAAAUUGAAUUUUUGUCUUUUUACUUGACUUAGAUUUUGUAUUAUGCUUACUAAAGUUGAUGAAUUGUUGAAACUUCUAUUGAAUUCAACCUUAGUUCUUCCACUUUAAGCUAUUCACACACUGUGCACAAUAGGUUCCGAGUAUAAGAUGAAAAACUAUUUCCCUCUUGACUUAGGAAAAUUUUAGACUUGGUACCUUUGACCUCAUUUAAUAGUGUUGGGACACCUUGUAAAAGGCCAAUGAGUAUUUGAAAAGAAAGAAAGAAAGAAAGAAAAAUGUUUGCUUGCCUUGAAACCCGAGCAAGGUCUGAGGGGUAUAUGGUGAAAAUCUUUAAAACCUGGUGCCCUAAGCCUUAAUUGGUUGGGAGUCACCGACCUCAAUGCUCGUUACAUGGGUGAAUAGGUGGAGUUUAACAUACUGUAGGUGCUUGGGUAUUAAAAAUUCAUUCUCAAAAGUCCGGGGUAAAAUCCGAGGAGUUAGUGGUUUAAAGAUCUUUAAAGCUUGAUGCCCUAAACCUUAAUUGGUUGGGAGUCAUCGAUAGACCCCCGUUACAUGGACAAUUUAGAAAAAAUACCUUUAAGCCUUGUACUCCUACAAUGAAAAAAAUUGUGAAAAAAGAGGUGCGUUCUUAGCCUAUUGGAGGUUCAUCAGUUUGCUAAGCUUUGAAAAAGAACUAGGUUGGGGGGAGAGAUUAGUUCAACAUACUAUAUUCGGAAGCUAAUAAGUAAUACUUAGAUUUUUGUGGAAGAGUAAGGUUUGAUCCUUUGGAAGUGGAAAUGAUUUUAAAGCUUAAAUUUGCAUAAUGCCUUCUCUUUAAGAAUUGUGAUUAGACAAGUUAUUUGAUAACUCUUGUUGAAGUUUGAGUUUUAUUUCUUUAAUGUUCCAUGUGAGAGUUAGAUCAUCAUGCCACUUGGAAAUUGUUUUUUGAUCAGCAUGAUGUUGUAAAUUAUAGUACUUUUUAUUUUUAUUUUUUCUCUCCUUCAUUGCUAAGGGACUAGCAAUAUGUCGGUUGGGGGGAGUGAUUACUACUCAAAAAGUGCUAUUUCAUAGCUUGUAAUUAACUCUUUUAAAUACUUUUGAGUAGUAGUUAUUACCUUUUAACUCAAUUGGCAUGUUAAGGACCCUUGCAAUCAAUUCUAAUCAAAUUGUGUUAAGUUUUGGUGUUUUGAUAGCUUUUUUAUCACCAAAGCAAUCCAAGAUUGAGGAGAGUUCUUUGGAAUCCAUGGCAAAGCAAUGGAAAGCUCAGAAACAUGAAUAACCAAAGCUUUGAAGUCCUUUGCCAUAAGCAAAUCCGGAAUGCAAGGAGGGAAAGCAAAGAGAAAUCUGCCAUGAAGCAUUCUUGAUGACAGUCAUGUUAGCCACUUUUGGAGCACUUCCUGGAGUCCAAUUUAUGCAUGAUAUAUGUCGUUUCGAAGCUCAGGAAGUCAACAAUCUAAUGCUUCGAAAUGAAAUGAAGGAGUUACAGCCAUUGGAAGCCGAUCACUCCAAGCUGAAGGAAGAAUUUUGAACGGCUGCAAAAUCACCCUUUUACUGCGAAAUGAUUUCGCAGCCAUUUUGCACAGUGCAACGAAAUUUCUCCUGAAGUUUCCCGAUAUUUGCGACCGACACUUUUGGAUAUUUUGCUUCAGAUUUUCGAUGUCUAAAUCCCCAUUUUCUCCUUGUAACCCACCAAUUAUAGGAUUCCUUAGUUAUUAAGUUUGGAAAAGGGGUGAAUAACCUCAGAUAUUUUGUUUUCUAAUUUUCUUUAUAUAUAGCUCUCGGGAGCUUGUUCUCAGAGCAUCAUGUAAUCCGACGGGAUAUAGAUAUAUAAAUAUAUAGAAUAUACAUAGCCUUGCUAUAUUUUUCCUUCUUUUUCAUUUUCUUUUUCUUUCUAGCUAACCAAACUCUGAGGAUUUUUCCUUAGAGGAUGAGAGGCUAGACUUUUCGUCUCUUGGAGUGAAGAAAGCCGGGUAAGUUUCCGAAUGCAAAAUUGGAAGUUUUGUUGUUUUAGUUUUUAAUGAAGAGAAAGUGUGACCCGUUAAUGGUUUUUAUUUUUUUAGUUAACUUAAAACACCUUUAAAUCAUCUAGGCCAACACUUGGUAAGGCAAGUGAUCUCCGUCCAUGGAGAUUCACUAGUUUAUCUCUUGCGAGCCUUUGGGAGGUGGUUUGAAGGUAGGAUUUUCUAGAAUAGCCAACACUUGGUAAGCUUUUAGACUCCAAGGAGACAUCCAUUAGUUAUCUCUUGUGAGCUUUUGACGGGUAAUCCAAGGUUAAAGAUCACCUUGAAUGGCAAGUGCUAGGUUAGAGGUAUGAGCCAUUGCAAGGUACAUCAGUGAGAGGGAUUUAGUGUUUGAACCCAUUAAUGGGAAGCAUCUGUACAACACCGGUUGGAGAAGGAACUAUAUGUUAAUUCUCUAAUGCUAGGAAAAGAAACAAGUGAUCGAAACUCCCUUUUUGUAUGAGGAAUCUGAGCCUAGUGAUCUGAAACUCCAAGAAAUACUUUUCUUUGUGGUUAAAAUCAGUUACUAUUUUUUGUUAGCUUAAAACCAACCUUUUCAACCAAUGAUUAUGUUUUCUUUUAAAGCUAACCUUGAAAUGAAAAGGCACCAAUUCACUUUAAAUGAAUAUCAUUUGUGAAGUGAAAACCCAUCCCAGUGAACGAUCCUAAAGCCACUAUGCUAUAGUAGCUUUGUCUUUGCUACCCUAGUUCAUGGUGUAAUAGGUUAUAAAUUUUGUUGAUUACUCUCUCAAUCAAGGAGCACCAGCUAGACACGAAUCAGCUGAGACACCAAUUGGGCACGAAUCAGCAAUUUGACAAUAAGUUCCACCUUUGCUUUAUCAACUUCAAUGCCUUUCUUGGAGAUGAUGUGGCCAAGGACAAUUCCUUGUUGUACCAUAAAAUGGCAUUUCUCCUACUUAAGCACUAAGUCUUUUUCAAUGCAUCGGUUUAGAACAACUUCCAAGUUGACUAAACAUUCCUCAAAUGUGCUUCCAUAUAUGGUUAUAUCAUCUAUAAAAACUACCGUAAUACGCUCCACCAUAUCACUGAAAAUGCUUAACAUACAUCAUUGGAAUGUUGCAGGUGCAUUGCAUAAACCAAAAGACAUUCUUCUAUAGGCAUAUGUUCCAAAUGGACAUGUGAAAGUGGUUUUCUCCUAGUCUUUAACAUCAAUUUCUAUUUGAAAAUACCCGGAGAAGCCAUCUAAGAAACAAUAGAAAGGAUGGCCUGAGACUCUCUCCAACACUUGAUCAAUAAAUGGCAAUGGAAAAUGAUCAUUCCUUGUCACAACAUUCCAUUUUCUAUAAUCAAUACACACCCUCCAACCUGAAGUGAGGUGUGUAGCAACUUCUUCUCCCUUAUCAUUUUGCACCAUUGUGAUCUCUGAUUUCUUUGGCACUACUUGAGUAGGACUCACCCAUGGGCUAUCUUAUAUGGGGUAGAUAAUACCAGCCUGAAGUAGCUUAAGAACUUCAACUUGCACCACCUCUUGCAUAUGAGGAUUCAAUCUUCUUAAAGGUUGACGAAUUGACUUAGUUUCUUCUUCUAUGUAUAUAUGAUGCGUACAGACUAAAGGGUUGAUACCUUUCAAGUCAGAUAUUUGCCAUCCUAUUGCUUUCUUACAUCUCCUGAGAACUUCAAGUAAACACUCCUCCUAAGGAGUGGUAAGAGAUGAAGAUAUAACAACAGGGCACUUCGUAUUCUUUUCUAGGUAUGGAUACUUCAACUCCGUGGGUAAUGGCUUUAAACUAAGCUUUGGGGCCUCCUCUUUAACAGCUUCUUGUAUCUCCUCCUCAUUGAACAAAGGUAGAAUUUCUUCUAUCCUCCUCCAACCUGGUAGAGUAGUAAGCAAAUCUGAGGGUUCAAGCAACCCUUCAUCAAGAUCCCUAAGACUUUCAUUCAAUUUCUUUUGUACUUUCUGAUUACAAUGCUCCUUCACUAAAGUGUCAAUGAUGCACACCUCUUCUAGACCUUCUUCUUCCAACUUGAUUGGCUUCUUGGACAUAUAGUAGAUAUUGAGUUCCAAUGUCAUGUUCCCAAACGUGAGUUGCAUGAGUCCAUUCCUACAAUUGAUGAUUGCAUUUGAUGUAGCUAGGAAUGGUCUUCCAAGUAUGAUAGAAACAUAAUUAGUUUCCUUGACAAUUGGGUCCGUAUCAAGAACAAAAAAAUCCAUUGGAUAGUAGAAAUUGUCAACUUGAACUAAGACAUCUUCAAUCAUCUCUAUUGGAAUCUUCCCUUGUCUAUCUGCUAGAGAUAGAGUGAUUGAUGUUGGCUUCAAUUCACCAAGUUCCAAUUGCUUGUAGACAGAGUAUGGUAGCAAAUUCACACUUGCCCCCAAGUCCAACAAAGCUUUCUCCAAUAAAGUCCCUCCAAUCAUCACUGAGAUGGUAGGGCAGCCCGAAUCUUUGUACUUCACUGGAGACUUGCACUGUAUGAUGGCACUUACUUGCUCAGUCAAGAAGGUUUUCUUAUUCACAUUCAACCCUCUUUUGAUAGUGCACAAGUCCUUCAAGAAAUUUUCAUAAGUCGGCACUUGUUUGAUCAUGUCUAGCAAUGGGAUGUUGACCUUCACUUGCCUCAAUACUUCAAGAAUUUCUGAUGCAUUGCUGAUUCCCUUUUUCCCAUGCAAAGCUUGAGGAAAAUGUGGAGGCAUGUAUUUCUUCAUCACAUCUCCAUUGAUAACUAUCUUCUCUGGAUCUUCAUUCACUGUUGAAUCAUGGUCUUCUUUCCUUCCACUACUUCCUUUCUUAUUUCCUUUUAUUUCCUCCUUCUUCUCUAUCUCUUUUUCACUCUUUGUUUCAUCAUGUGGCUUGGGUGUUGGUAGCUCAACCUCUUUACCACUCCUCAAAGUGAUCAUGGCUUUGAUGUCUCUCACCUGUGAAGAUUCUCCCUCAUGAGCUUCCACUUCAUGGAUACCCUUAGGGUUUUGGUGAGGUUGAGAAGGAAACCUUCCCUUCUCUUGCACUGUGUUAAGGUUGGUGAGCCUUGAGAUUGAGUAUUGGAGAUUAUCUAUCUUCUGAGAUAAAUUUUUUUGCAUUCCAUCCAUCCUUUUAUUCAAUGUAUUCUCUACACUAUCAAUUCUUUGAUUGAGUUGAGCAUUGAUGGAUUUCUGGCCUCCAACAAAAUCUCCCACGACCUUGCUUAGAUUCACUAUUGCUUGCUCAAGAUUGGAAGCUUGUUGAGAUGCUUGGCCUGGUUACAUGUACUGAAGUGCUCUUAGUUUCCAAGAGAAAUUUGGAUGGUUCCUCCAAUUUGAAUUGUAGGUAUUUCCAUAUGAAGCAUUGUUAUUGGGCUUGAAUUGUCCAAUGAUAUUCGCUUGAUCUCCAAACAUUUCUCUAACAACUGGAAUUGUAGGACACUCCUCCACCAAGUGCUCAUAAGAUUGACAAAUGGAACAAGGCAUAACUUGCAUUGGUGUUUCAAAAACAGCUUGCACUUCACGUAUCUUUUUCAGUUUUAGCUCCUCCAAUCUUCUUGUCAUAACUCCAACUUUUGCUUUCAUGUCAAUAUCUUCAUUCAAGGUAUACAUCCCAGCCUUAGCAUUAAGAGCAUUUGGUUGAGACUUCAUUUUUCCCACUUCUCCCUUGUUCGGUUCAUCCCAUCCUCUUGAAACUUCAGCAACAUAAUUCAAGAAAUCCAUGGCUUCCUCUGGAUUCUUACUCAUGAAAUCUCCUCUACACGUAGUCUCUAGGAGUUGCUUCAUUGAGGAAGACAUACCGUCAUAAAAGUAGCUUACCAAUAGCCAUGUAUCAAAGCCAUGGUGAGGAUAAGCAUUGAUAGCUUCCAUGUAUCUCUCCCAACACUCAGAAUUUCUCAUUCUCUUUAGCUAAGAAGUUUGAAAUUUGCCUUUUCAAGCCAUUGGUCCUAUGAGUAGGAAAAAAUUUCUUGAGAAAUUUAGCUUGCAAAUUAGUCCAAGUUCAGAUAUUCCUUGGCCUUAAAGAAUUAAGCCAAAUCUUGGCCUUAUCCUUCAAAGUGAAAGAAAAUAGCUUUAGCCUCAUCAAGUCAAUUGAAGCUUCUGCCUCUUGGAAUGUAUUACAAACAUCUUCAAAUUCUUUGAUAUGCGCGUAGGGAUUCUCACUUUCCAUCCCAUGGAAAGUAGGUAGAAGUGGCACAAUAUGCAGUCUGAUUACUAGCUGCUCUGUAAGAGGCACUAUGCAUGAUGAUGCACUCAUACGAGGUGGACGCAUGCGGUCCCUCAUUGAUCUGAAUGCAUUGGGAUUGUCCUGUUGACCAUGGUGACUAUGCUAAUCUUCAGGUGUAGCUUCCAUGAUGUUCAAGCACAAUUCCAACUCUGUUUAGUGAGGUGUUUCAAUUUUUACAAGUCUUCCUCCACUAUCUCGUAUCCAAUAUGGCAUACACAACUAGUAACAACUGUAACAAAAACAAAGAAAACAAAAGAAAACAAUACUACAAAAAAAAAAAACUAAGAUUAACUAAAAACUAAAUUAAAAGAUAGGCUAAAAUAUGAACAAGUAAAAGAAACAAUUAAAAAUAGUUAGUAAAAGAAAAGAAAAAUCACCAAACUUGUGAUGAAGAUCACAAGUGUUUUGGAAAAGGUUAUAUCACUGUAAAUUUGGCACCAUCCUCGGCAACGGCGCCAUUUGAUUCGUGCCCAGCUGGUGUAUGCCUUGUUGAUUGGUGUUCAAUCAACUGGUGUACUAUGAUUUCGGUCCUCAGAUGGGAGUAAUCAACAAAAUUUGUAAACCUAUUUCCCCAUAUACUAGGGUAGCAUUAGCUAGCAUAGCAUAGUGGCUCUAGGAUCGUCCACAGGGAUGGGUUUUGAAAUUACAACUGAUAUUAGUUCAAAAACUGAAUUGGUGCUUUUUUUUUUUCAAGGUUAGCUUUAAAAGAAAACAUAAAUAUGUUUGAAAAGGUUGGUUUUAAGUGAAACCAAAAAUAAAGUAACUGAAAUUACUUACAAAGAAAACUGCUUCUUGAAGUUUUAGAUCACCAGGCUCAAGUUCGUCAUACAAAAAAGGAUAUUUCGGUCACUUGGAUCUUUUCCUCGCAUUGAGGAUUUAACAUAUAGUUAUUUCUCGAACCGGUGUGGUACAGAUGCUUCCCCUUAAUGGUUUCAAACACUAAAUCCCUGUCACUGAAUCAUCUUGCAAUGGUUCAUACCUCUCACCUAGUAUUGGCCAUUCAGGGUGAUCCUUAACCUUGGCCGUCAAAAGCUCACAAGAGAUAACUAAUGGAUGUCUCCUGGGAGUCCAAAAGCUUACCAAGUGUUGGCUAUUCUAGAUAAUCCUACCUUUAAACCACCUCCCAAAGGCUUGCAAGAGAUAAACUAGUGUAUCUCAAUGGACGGAGACCACUUGCCUUACCAAGUGUUGGCCUAGGUGAUUUUAAGGGAUUUUAAGUUAACUAAAAAGAUAAAAACCAUUAAUGGGUCACACUUUCUCUUCAUUAAAAACUAAAAUAACAAAACUUCCACUUUUGCAUUUGGAACCUUACCUAGCUUCCUUCACUCUAAGAAAUAAAAAGCCUAGCCACUCAUCCUCUGGGAAAACAUCAUCAGAGUUCAAUUUGCUAGAAAUAAAAAUAACAAGAAAACAAAAUGAGAAGGUAAGGUGGAGCAAAGCUCUGUGUAUUACUUUCUAAAAAACUAUACAAAGUGUUGUCUUUGAGAAAAACUCCUAAGAGAUCCUUUUAAAAGAAAAAUUACAAUAGAUAUUAUAUAGAGAGGCUAUUCACCCCUCCUACUAACUUCCCAACCAAGAAAACUUGUCAUUGGUGGGUUACAAGGACAAAAUAGGGAUUUACACACAAAUAUCUGAAGAUAAAUAUCAAACGGAGUCGGUGUGCAAAUAUCUCAAAUUACAGGUGGAUUUCGUAAGUUCAAAUGCAACUUGCGAAAAUUUCGCAAGUUGAAAUUAUCCGUUUCGCAAGUUGCGUAAUUGUCCUGCAACUUAUCAGCUCUAUGUCGUGCAGCGAUUCCUUUCCUCUUUCUAUUUCGCAAGUUGGAUUCCAUAACUUGCGAAAUUGUCCAACUUGCGAAAUUGCUGCAUGGUUGAUUUCUUCUGUGCUUUUCUUCCUUGCAUCCUCAUUUGAUUUUGGAAAAGGGUUAUGAAGCUCCAAAGCUUAGUUUCUUCAGGAAUUUGAGCUUCAACUUGCUUUGCCAUGAACUAUACAAAGAUCUCCCUCAUUCUUGGAUUGCUUUGGUGAUAGAAAAAAGCUAUCAAAAAUACCAAAACUUAACACAAUUUGAUUAGAAACGAUUGAAAGGGUCCUUAACAUGCCAAUUGAGUUAAAAGAUAAUAACUACUACUCAAAAGUGUUUAAAAGAGUUAAUUACAAGCUAUAAAAUAACACUUUUUGAGUAGUAAUCACUCAAGCAAGGAGAAGUGAUCAACCCACCAAAGUGGGCUUGAGAGGUAAUGAAUUUUCAGCCAAGAUUCUUUCACAUAAAUUUGAUUUGGAAGUCUUUUAAAACCAAACCUCUUUGAGAUUUAAUUCUAUAUAUACCUCCUUAUAAUCCCUUAAGGGUUAGAGAUCGAAAAGAGAUCAUAAAGAGUUUAAAGAGAUUUCAAAAUGGAGUCUCCUAGAGUGAAAGCCUAAAGGGCCACAACAUUCAUAAUCUCUCAUUCAAGGAUUUGAUAUUUGAAUCUUGGUUUGAAGACCUUCAUCCCUUCAACAAGGCUGAAGUGUAUUCAUUGGAGCAAUCAGAGGUUGCUACAUCGUGGAUGUGGUUCAAGUUGUAGGUACUGAAGAGCAAGUCUUUAGGGUAAAGGAGCCAGGUAAAUCUGUGUAACUUGAUUUCAUAUAAUGGGUUUAGAUUACUGGGUCUUAGACCUCGUGGUUUUUUAUCUCCAUAGUUAAUGUGGGGGGUUUUCCAUGUAAAAAUUCGAUGCCCAUUGCAUAUCUGUUAAUGUCAUUGCUAUAUCUUUGAAUACUUGAUUAUCAUUGUUAUCCCUAACAACUUGUAGGUUAUCCCUAAUAGAUUAAAAUUAUAUUUUAAUUCUUAAAGAUUUCAAGUAUAAUUCAUUUGGUUAUACAAGGUAUCCUUGGGAUCUCUUAGGAUAAAAUUUGAGGAUCAUAUAUAUAAAUAUUUAUUUUGAAUUUUAAAAACACCCAUUCAUCCACCCUUUGGGUGUUCCCUAUUGGAGUUUCGAUUUUUUAUGGGUGAUCCUAAAUUAAGGAAUUACUAAAAGGUUGUGAUUUUGGUAGUAUUUAAUGGAAUAAAUUCUUAUGAAGUUUUCAUGAGAGUAUUUAUUAAAUUGGAAAGGUGCAUGGACAAGGAGAGUAAAUUUGUGAGGAAUUUUAAAUAUGAGAGAAAUAUUUCCUUUAGUGGAUAAGGUGCUCUCAAGAUUUUCAAAAUCUCAUAAAUUGUUAAUUUCCUUAUUUCACUAGAGUUUCCAAUUUGGAAAUUUUCAUUAGAGAUAAUUUAUCAUUAAAAGAUUAUUACCAAAAGGCUUAGUAAUUUGAUGGAAAUAAUUUUUUUUUGAAACAUUUCCAAGAUAAAAUAUUUAUUAAUUGGAUUUGUGUAAGAGAAAGAGAAUUCAUUCUAUUAUUACACUAGGUUUCCAAUUAUGAAAUAAAUAUUUUUGGAAAUUCUCAAAAAUAGAUAAUUUAUUCAUCAAAGUAAUUACUAAGGAUUUAAAAUGUUUUUAUCUAUCUUAAAAUAUUAAGUGGGAGAGGGUUCUAAGCAAGCCCACGACCUCCAUUGUCAAGCCCAUUUUGAUUUGGGUUCAUCACCACCCUUUCAAGAUGUAUUGGAAAAAAGAACUAGAUUGUGUAAUGAUGCACAAAAAAGAAUACAUGCCUAAAAUAUAUGAUCCUUUCUUGAGUAGACCAUAUCAUGGAACAAUAAAAAAAAAUGUUUUCACCUUCAAUCAUAAAUGACACUUCUAGAGAAAAUUAUAUUAGACAUGUUUGCAGUGGGAGUGACCACCGCUUCAAUGAGGUUCUUUACUUGGUGACAUUGAUAGUUCAAGAACAAUGGUUAUACACUUGACAUUGCAUAUGAAGUAGUAGAAUCACCCCCAUGCGGUCCUGUUUGCAUUGUCCAUAGGCCAAAUUUAGAAAGUAUGUUGAUCUUACCUUUAUAUACCUUCAUGUUUAAGAUAGGAAGAUCGAUUUGAGAGGGUCUCUAACUAGUAAUAAUGUCAUGAUAUGCCCUACGUAAGCUUGAUUCUUAUGAUACUAGGAUACUUUUCAAAAGGACAUGUAGUUUGAGAGCACUAGAUUUUUGCUAAAUUAAUUACCAAUUGCCUUGAAUGCACAAUUAUGUCAUAUGCAUGGUUAUUUUCUUUGUUACAUAUAUCAUAUUGGUUAUUUAUUAUCACUUUGGACAAAACCCAACUAAUCAUUUGGACUUAGUAUUAUUCUAGAUAUAAUAACUAUGUACUUGCAUAGAAGCUAGUUUAAGUAGAGCUAGCUAAUCCUUAUGAAUAACCUAGCAAAAAAAAAGAGUGGCGUAUCAGAGGUGGUAUUAGAAGAGUUAGAAAACCAAGUGUUUAAUACUUUAUCUUUAGAUAAUGUGUUGCAAUAACAACACAUGUCUAUUAGUAGGAACUUUGAUAUUCUAUUUUUAGUCUACAAGGAUUAUUUGGUUAUAAGGGCAGGUUAGCUUAAAGAAGCUACCCUUAGGACUAUUAUGAACAUCGGAUUUUAUAUGAUCUUGAGGACCUUGCCAGUUUCUUCAGGAUGGUUAAAGGGAUUCUUAAAGAACAUAGGGUUAUAUAAAUACUUUCUUACCAAAUCAAGAUGACCCUUUUGGGCUAGAUUAAGUGACCCAAGCCUUGAUGGGCUCAAGUCACUUAAGCCCAGUGGACAAUGCUAUAAAUACCCCCUUAUUCAAUUAGUCGUCUUCCACUUUUAGAAAGAAAAAGAGAGCUAAAGCUUUUUUCUUUCCAUUACCCAUAGUUUGGAAUGCCAAGAUUGUGGUUCAAGUCUUCGGACGAAAGAUCUUGGGUGUACAAGACCUUUAAACUUUUUCUUUUCCACGUGGAAUUGAUCUAGGAACAUCCAGAUCCAAGUAUGAGUACUACAUAUCUAGAUCUAUAAUUAAUGAUGAUUUUUAUUGCCAUUUUACUCACUAUGAUAGAUUUAAAGAUGCCUAGGGAUAGAUGCAUGCACCCCACAAGAUCUAGGGACAAGGAAUAGAGAUAUUUAGGUUUCCCAACACUAUCACCAAUAACACACUAAGAGCCAUAAAUUAUGCACUCAGUGAAAUAUAAUGAGAACAGCACCCUCUAAGGGCGAUAAACAAUAUUUUACACUUAGAGAGCACUUCAAUAGCGCAACUUUAAGUGAUAGUGUAGAUUGCAUGUUUAGGAAGCCACCAUAUUACACACUUAAAGAACUCUUCUCAAAUUGCACUUGGUCAAAUAGUGCACAUUUCUUAGGCAUCCAACAAUGGCACACCCAACAUAGGAGAACCCUUUGUAGGUUGUACACUCCAAAGGUAUCAAUCCACAUUGUACACUUGGAGAAGUGCACUUAAAGUGUGCACCAUUGAGUAAAGGUUUAGAUUGCUCACCUAAGAGUUAGGCUACAUAGUGUACCUCCUAUUAUGCACUAGCGGAACCUUUAUCAAGCUACGCACCAUUCAAGCGCACCUCAUCCCAACAUGUAUAGUGCUCACAAAACUAGUAACCAUUAGUGCAUUAUUCAUUCAACAAUAAAUCAAAUGCAUAUCAAUAUUCAUUAAUGUGCAAUUUUGUCACCAAUAACUUAGUACACUCCCCCUUAAUAAAGCGUCUUCUCUCACUUCAAGAAGUGCACCCCAUAACUCAUCUCACUACAUUAUCUUAAUAGCUUCACCAGGCAUGAGCUCCAAAAAUUACUCUUUCAUCAAGUUGCAUACCAAAUAGUGCCCUUGAGGCUCCUAAAUGUUCGAUCAUCACAUCAUUAUGCUGCCACACUAACAAAACAAGAAGUGCAACCACCAUUCAUACUACACUGACAUGUUUUGACUAAAACGACCACAUUGAUACGUUACUUAUUAGGAUAGAGCCUUUAAAAGGAUGAUGUGAUGUAAUAAAAUUUUGGAUUUUAUUGUUUAUUAAUAAAAUUUCUAGUUCACUUUUAUAUAUCCUAAUUUCGCACAUUAUACUUUGUAAGAAAUCUAGUCUGUAUCUUUUGCAUUGUAUAUGAUUUGGGUGCUUUGGCAGUUGCACGAAAGAUUCAAGUCACGAGUUCCUUGCAAGUAGAUGACUAAUUAACAACCAGUUUGUGGGCUUCCCAUUAGAAGUUCUAGUGCACUACCUCCUAAUUCAAGAGAUGGUUAGUCUUGGUCAUUAGGAUGGGUUUCUCAUGGUGAGUGUACUAGUAUAUAUAGCUACACAUUGGAUAAGACAUACGACGAGUCAUGAUUUAAGGCAAUGAAGUAGUCAUGACAUUACCAAGAUUCUUUAUUAUAUUGUUUCUCACCCUUGAGAGAAUAUUAAGAUUGUGUUAAAGUUAGCAGUAGCUUUGACCAAUAGGUGAGAUCAUAAGUUGAUCAUAUAUUUCUUAUCGAUUAGGUCACUAUUAGUGGAAGUUGGUAGUAAUAUGCAUCUUGAUAGAGGCACCAUGAUAUCUCAUGGGAUUGAAAUAGAGUGUCUCUUUGGUGAUCUUAAGGAGAUGUGUUCAUGUAAAAUAUGAUUAUAAUAAUUCCUUAAGUGGAACUUGGCAUAUGAUCUUAGAGAACUAAGAUAUGUUAGUUGAACACACAAUAGGAAGAUCUAUAACUCAAAGAUAUUAGAGCUAGUAUUGAGACGUUGAUAACUUUCAUCUUAUUAGAUUAUGGACACCAAUUUAUAGGGAGAUUGAAUGCAAUAGAUGGUAGAUCACGAACCCGAGCACUUAAUGUCUCAUUAUUAUUAACAUAAGGUAAAUCUCUAUAAUAGGAUGUUGAAUCAACUUUAGAAUUGGAUCCUAUAAGACCAUUCCAAUGGUCCUUGCUUGAGCUCUUAUAACUUAAUGACACAAUCUAUGAGGUUUGGAUUAACUUCAAGUCCACUUUUGUGCAUAAGGGCAUUUUGGUAAUUACAUAAGGUUACAUAACUGUUAGUGAAUAAAGUCUUUAAAUUGAAUUAUUUAGGACCUAUUUUUUACUAGAUUAAGUAGCGUAAGCCCUUGGUGGGCACAAGUCACUUAAGCUCAAGUAGGGAACCUUAUAAAUACCCCUUAGGGGUUAGGGUUUCCAUCACUUUUUAAAGUGAACCAUCUUCCACCAUCUUGAGAGAAAGAAAAAACAAGAGCCAUAGCCUCCACCCUCCCUUCCUCCCCACUUGUUGUGUGUCAAGAUAAAAAAGAGCCAUUAAGUGGAAGAUCUUAGGUAUUUGAGACUCUAACAACUUUGAUUUUCAUCUUCACUGCAUGGACUAGAUUUAGGAACAUCAAAAUCUUAGAUAAUGUUUUCUAAUGCAUAUUUUGAAUCUUAUUAUUGUUUUAAAAAAUGUAAUUUGGUCUUUGUGCAUUGGAUUUAGCUUUGGAAGAUUCGCAUGUACCUAACUUGAUCCUAAAAUAGGAAAUGAAGAGAUUUGACUUUCCCCACAUCACCUACAUGGGCAAGAGGUGUAGCUUAGAGGAAUAAAUUUGAAGUAAUAAAGAGAAGAGAGAUUUUUCACCUAUAAAUAUGGGAACUGUAGAUAGCAGUCUCUUUUAGAAGGAGACUUUCUUAGAGGUGGCACCUUAUCUCUUAGAGAGGAGAUACGUUCUUUUCUUCUGGAGUAAAGGUGUUAAGAAAAUAAGUUAGUUUUUUUUUCUCUCUUUCCUAUUCUUGUAAUUUAUUUUUUAUUUUAGUAAAGUCUUUUGUUUUUAAUUUCAAUAAAGGUUUUGGUUUUAAAUUUUAAUAAAGUUUUUUGUUUCAACUUUAUGUUUCUAUAUUCAUUGUUGUGUGUUUUCUUUUCUAUCCUUAUGUUUUUGUUUCUUAGUUUGUGAAGGGGACUAAGGUCUCCUAUCUUUGUUUGAUUCACCGUGAUUUAGCUAUCUAUGGUUGAAAAAAGCUCUACUAAGGUCUAUGGUCAUGAGAACCAAAAUGAGUCUCCACAUGCCAGAGUUAAUGGUUAUGAGGACCAAAAAGAGUAACCAUGGUCAUGAAUCUAUUAGACAAGAACAAACUUUUUGACAUAAGAAUAAACCCAUCUAAAUCAUUUGAUUGAGAUGACCAAAAGGAGAAAUUAGAUCUAGUUGAGCCUUUGUUGAGGUGGUUGAUUCUCUUAUUAACUAGAACCAUGUUUUUGGUGCAAAACCCUUUGCUCGAUCUAAAAGCCACAAGCACUAGGCCAGGACCAAGUGAGUGAGUUAAGCUUGAGAGAAGGAAUUUCAAUGACUUUCCUAUCUAGAAGCCUGUGUUCUUUUUCUUUUCAAUUUAUAGAUUUCCUACCUCCUCCCACCCCAAAAAAAAAAAAAAAACUAAAAAUAUGUUUCAUCCUACACACUCACACCCUAGGUUCCCACCUCUGAUAUUGUCAAUCCUAAGUUAUUUAUGGAGACGACCUAAUCUCUACACAACUAUUAGUUCCUCUUUGUUUCUUUAGUUUAAGAACUAAAAGUUUCAAUUACUAAACUAGUUUAAAUUUUGCUUGAAUAAAAUUUUACUAUCAAAUCAUUUUCAUAUUAAUUUUAUUGUUUUAUUUUUAAACCAGCAAAUACAAACCCGAACCAAAUAACACUCUUGUUGUCACAAUACAUAGGAGUAGGACGAGAAAGAGAAACACCCAUAUCAACAAGUAACCAACAUUACAAAACUAUCUUUCUAGUGGUAGAUGGAAUAUUAUGAAACAAUAGUUUGUUUCUUGGUCUUUUAAAAAAAUAAGCAAAUCCCCCAAUAAAAUAUACAAAAUCUAGUAAUAGACUUGAGAUCUUCAAGAUCACAAACCCAUAAUCAGUAUCAAAAUAUGCAUGCAACUCCAAAGAGGAAGUGGAUAGAAGUAGAAGGCUCCAAAAUAGAGUGCCCUUAAUAUACCAUAGAAUAUGAAGAACAACUACCCAAUGAACUAUAGUAAGGGAAGCAACAAAUUGAUUAACAAUGUGAAAAACAUAAAUAAUGUACCAUCAGAAAAAGAAUAAUGAACAUUAACUUCAAGAGGAGUAUCAAUAGUCUUAAUAUCAAUAAGGUGAGUACAAUUGAGAAUACCAACUAUGUAUUUAAACUACGAGAGACGAAACUUUUUACAGAAUAAGCUAUCUCAAUACCCAAAAAGUAUGGUAGAAAGCUCAAAUCCUUCAUUCUAACACAAGAAACUAAGUUUGAUUUCAACAUUACAAUUCCAUCAACAUCAUCACGUAUGAUAAUCAUGUCAUCAACAUGUAGAGAAAGUAGAAUACCCAUUGUAAAUUAGGUGGAAUUAAAACGAAUGAAUGGUUUUUUCUAUUCUCUUUUUAUUUAGCAAAUCCUUUUGAUGCACAUUAUAUGCUUCUUGUGUAGCUAGGGUAUAUAGUUUUCUUUAAAUUUUAUAAUAUGCUCUUCUAGCUUAUUAGAAAAUCAUAAAGAGGACCCCUUUGGCUUUUUUUUAUAUUAUUUUUCUAUACUUAAAUGACAAAAAUGAUGAUUGAGGUUUGGCUUUCUUGCUUAUAUAUACUCUUUUGGUAAAUGCUUCAAAGCAUAUUCAUGAUACUAUCCUCCUAAUCUUGAGGAUGAGGUAGCAAAACUUCACGAAGGUAUUUGCAAAGUAGAAUGUACAACUUCUAGAUUAAAUUUGUUUGGAACUAUUUAUAAAGUUUGGAUUUGAAAUCAUUAUGAACUAUUUUUAAUAAAGUAUGAUUUCUAGAAACCUUAUCAUGUAAUCUCUUUAUACAAAUAAUAAUAAUAAUUUUGAUGUCUUCUACAAUAUGUUUUCACUUCUAUAUUGUCUAAUUAUUUUUUAAUAUGUUGUCAUAUGUAUGUUUUCUAAUAUUAAUUUCUUCCAAUAUUUUACUUGGGAAUGAAAAUGAAAUACUGUAAUAACAACAUUUAGUUUGAACUAAGUUAAUUUAAUUUUGUCCUUUUUUUUCCUACACACACAUAUAUAGAGCCCAUCUAAAAAGGGAUUGAUUGGGGUUCAAUUCUUUGAACAAAUUUGAUCAUAAAUGAAAAUAUCCUAUUAAAAUUGUAACAAUGAAUCAAUUUAAUUAGUAUAAACAUAUUCUACUAAUUUAAUCAUGUAUAGUUUACUAUAAAAUAUUUCUAAUUCUUUCUUAUUUCAAACUAAAAAGUUAAUUUUUUAAUCAAAACUUUUUGUUUUUAAAAAUAAGUGAUACAAAAGGUUGACAAUUUUUUUUUAAAAAAAAAAACAUAGAAGAAGAAUAAAUUUAUGAUAUAUGAAAUAUGUAUAUAUCUCAACUUAGAAUUAUUGUAUUCUAUGUAAAGAGGAUAUAUAAAGAGACUGGGUCAAUAAAUUAUCUUAUUGAAUAUUUGAUUGAACAUGAUAUAUGGCAAUUAAUGGAUGAGAUCAUUUACCCUAUCCUAAAGCUAACCAAUCCUGGGAUAAGAUAUGUUAUCUCAUCUCUUAUCUCAUCCAAUAUUAUGUAUAUCAAGUCAACUAAAUAUUGUCUUACUUUAGUAAGUAAUACAAUUGAGAUGCAGGGGAUGUGGACUACUAUUACUUUAAGAAGAAAUAUAGAAGUGAUAUAAACUAUUAAUAAGUACCAUAUGGGUAACUCUAAGUGAUUCAAUUUAACAUCCACCUAUCUAAAUAUAUUUAUAAUAGAUCAUCUUGGCUUAUGAAAAUUACAAAGUUGAAACAAAAUUUGGAGCACAACUAGUAAUAAUAUGAAAACAAAUCAAAAUUGGUAUCAUCGCUGCAUGCUAGUUACCUAACUAUAUUUCUAGAGCAGUCAAUUGGCAAAGUGAAAUCCAAUUAAAAGGGCCAAGAAAUGGUGAUUGAGUAAGAAGCUUUGAUAAGAUGUGUUGCAUUGUUGGACGAGAUCUCGGAUUAGAAUGUAUGCAUUUGAGUGCCAACCAAACCACAAGAACUACAUCUCUAGCAACUUGUUGAUCUUGAGGAGAUGGGAGACGUGAAUCUAAUAUAUUAGUGAGCAUUAUGUUUUGAGUUGAUGAGGAAGACAAUAAGGUGAAAAGUUCUCCUGGAUGCUUUCCCAUCAUUGUCUCAAGCGCCACCACUCCAAAGCUGUAAACAUCACAUUUUUCUGUCACGACCAUAGUGUAGGCAAGCUCUGUUAAGAAUCAAAACAAGAAAAAAAUAUUACACAAAUGAGAAAGAAACAUUCAUUUAGUUUUCUCAUAUUAUCCAUACUUAUAAAAUGUUGAGAAUAUUUCAUAGCAUUGCAUUGACAUUUGGCUACAUUUUAUUUCUAAAUUAUGAUGAAAUUAUGUUAAUUUUUACAACUUAUAUGAAACCUUCGAAAAACCAUUCUAAGGAGAUUUUAAAAAUAUUUGGGACUUACUAGGAAAAUGAAGACAACUAUUUAGAAAAUGCUUGAGAGACCAUUGAUAAGUAUUUUGUAUAUAAAGUUCUCUUACUCUCAAAUAUCUCAAACCAUUUUUUACAACAUUUUUUAAAUAACCAUUAAGAAUUUCUUUUUUUUUUUUUUUGGAACUUUAGACGAAAUAAUUAAAAAAUAUAUAUUAAAGAUAUUUCAACUUCUAUGAAGGCCCUUUGGGCCCAUAACAAAUAAUAUCUACAUAAUUAGGAGUGGGUCAUUACAAAUUGUAUUAGAGUUAAUCUAUAACCAUUAUGUGGAAAUUUGUUUGACUCUACAAUCUCAUGGGACAUAAAUAAGAUGUUGUGUUUGCAUAAAGGAUGAGUGUGAUAUCCCACUAUAGAUAUGAAACAAAAAGUUCUGACAUUAAAUAUGAAUGAGUUUCCCUUAACCUUAUAGACAAUUUUUAUAAUCAUGUGGGCUCCUUGGACCCAAAGUGAAGAAUAUCUAUAUAGUUGGGAGCUAUUAUUUAGUUUGCAUGAAAAAUAUAAUGAAAAAUAAUAUGUUAAAGAUUUAGAAGAAUUUAUUCACUUUCAAGCUCUUCAUAAUUUUGAAAUAAGUAAUAAUAGUAGAAAAAGUUUGGUUUGGCUAGUAAUAAUAUUUCGUUUCCUUUCAUCCAACAUAAUUUGUGACUUAUAUGAAGUAUAUAAUAAGAAGUAUGAAAGUACUAAAUACUUCGAAUCUCAAAGAUAACAAACUUAUUAAAACGAAAACAACCAAAAGUUCAAAAGAUAUAUCGAAAGAGUAAAAGCUGAAAGAAAAACUGGUGUGUACUUACCUGGUGCUAUGUAACCAUAAGUGCCUGCAAGAAGGGUUUGAUUAGAUGAAUCAGGAUGUAGCAGUCUAGCGGUGCCAAAAUCCGAUAGAAAAGCAUCCAAUUUGGAGUCCAAAAGAAUAUUAUUGCUUGAUAUGUCCCUAUGAAUAAUGGGUGGAGUACAAUCAUGAUGCAUGUAGCAUACGGCAUGGACUAUGCUUUUAACCACAUUCACCCUUUUAAUCCAAUCCAAUUCCAAAGCUUCAACUUCAUUACUCAAUACACAAUACAAGCUUCCUCUUCCCAUGUAAUUGUAAAUCAAAAACAUGCAUCUUUUGUGUAGACAAUAGCCUUGAAGUUUUACAAUAUUUCGAUGGCGUAUCUUUGAUAAUAUUUGCACCUCAUUUUGAAAACUUUUCAAGUAUAUUGCCUCAUCUCUUUCCCAUCCAUGAAGCUUUUUCAGGGCUACCACAUUGCCUGUAGGCAAUUGAGCCUUGUAAACACUGCCAUAGCCUCCUGUACCUAUGCAAUAUUUGAUGUCAAAGUCUUCUGUUGCUUUAAUGAUAUCUUCAUAAGCAAUCUUCCCAUCAUAGUUCCAUACUGAAAAUAUAUCUCCAUUUUUUGUUGGUAUUUCCUUGGUUUGAAUUUUUCUUGUCUUCCGUGAAAGCAGGAGAAACCCAAGGACCACAAAAAAAAGAAACAAGGUUGUAGACAAAGAAAUAACAAUGAUGCGUGUGGUUUUGUAUUCUUCUUUGCAAUGAGGCAAGCCUUUGAUGUCACCACAUAAACCUUUGUUAUUGUCAAAUGAACCUUGGGAAAAUUUAGACUGCAAUUCAAAGGGUAUAUGACCCUCUAAAUCAUUGUGUGAUAAAUCAAGUGAUGGCUUUAUGUGGUCAUAUAUUAAAAGAGUAGGAAUGGAACCAGAGAGUUUAUUGUGGGAGAGAUUCAAGUAUGUUAAGCGCUUCAAGUUUUGGACUUGGGAAGGUAUCUUUCCAUGGAUCAAGUUAGCACUAAGGUCGAGUCUAGUUAGAUUAUUCAAAUUUCCUAUCGUAGAAGGGAUGUGACCAUUGAUUCGAUUUCCACUAAUGUUGAACUCAUUUAAAUGAAUGAGAUAACCCAAAGAUGAAGGAAUAACACCAGUAAGAUUGUUGUGAUCCAACCUAAGAUGGAUUAGAUUCUUCAGAUUCCAAAUUAUAGGAGGGAUAGAACCAUUGAUUUGAUUAUCACAAAGAUUCAAAUCUGUCAAUUUGGUAAGAUGACCAAAUGACAAGGGGAUGCCGCCCUGGAUUUGAUUGUUGAAGAGAUGUAAAUAAGUCAAAUUGGUAAGAUGACCCAAAGAGGGAGGAAUAGUACCAAUGAGAGAGUUAUGACUAAAGCAUAGUUGAACCAAAUUCUUUAAAUUCCCGAUUUCAGAAGGGAUGGAACCAUUAAUUCGAUUGAAAUUAAGGAAUAAGUAUUCUAGAUUGCUUAAAUUGGCAAGGGAGGAAGGGAUGACACCAGAAAGAGAGUUAGAAACCAAAUACAAAUGAGUAAGAUUCUUCAAAUUCCCAAUUUGGUAAGGAAUAGAACCAUUGAUUUCAUUGAUGCUAAGGUCUAAAUAUUUCAGAUUCUUCAAAUAUCCAAGAGAGGAAGGGAUGACACCAGAGAGCCCAUAGUUAAAACUCAAAUCCAAAUGAAUAAGAUUCUUCAAAUAUCCAAGAGAGGAAGGGAUGACACCAGAGAGAUUGUUAUAAGCCAAAUCCAAUUCCUCUAAUAGAGUAAGGUUACCCAGUGAAACAGGUAGCUCACCAUGAACAUCACAUUCAGAUAUACGGAGGUAAGUGAGUUUUGUAAGCAUACCUAUCUCAUCUGGGAUGCGACCAUAGAUGGAAGAAUGGCUAACGUUGAGAUGGAGGAGGCUGGGAAAUGAAGAAAACUUCAACUUGCUAAGCUCAACCAUUUUACCAUCGAUAUAUGAAUAGGUAAUUCGAACGACAUGUCCCUCCGUGUUGCAGGUGAUGCCUUCCCAUGUGCAGUGAUGAGAAGUAGUGUUUUCCAUGUACCACCACCAAGUGGAGUUGCGGAGAGCCUCGGCCUCAGCCUCCACCUGUGCCUCAGUUGUAGCAGCAGCAGCAGGUGGUGAUGAGAUCAAGAGCAUGUUAUAUAAUAACAAUACCAUUGAAACCACCAACGCCCUACAAGUAAUGGAACACCACUCCAUUUUUGCUUGUUUUCGAUUAAUAUUGCUUUGCCCCAGUUUCAGCCUUUAUUAACUCGUGUUUCAGCGGCUGCAACUCAAGCCAGUCAAAGAAGUCGGCUGGAAAUUCAGCGGAAAUGAAGAUAAGAUCAAGAGCAUGUCAUAUAAUAACAAUACCAUUGAAACCAACCAACGCCCUACCAGUAAUGAAACACCACUCCAUUUUUUCUUCUUUUCGAUUAAUAUUGCUUUGCCCCAGUUUCAGCCUUCAUAACUCGUGUUUCAGCGGCUGCAACUCAAGCAAGUCAAAGAAGUCGGCUGCAACUCACGCAAGUCAAAGAAGUCAGCUGGAAAUUCAGCGGAAAUGAAGAUAAUUAAUAUUUUUGAAAUUUUAAAAUAAAAACUCAAACGAUAAUGAUAUUAUAAAAAAUAAUAAUAUUCACAAUUUUUUUUAAAUUAAUUUUAGGAAAUAAUAAAACCUCACCUGUAUUUAGAAAAUGAUAUAAUAUUUUCUAACUCUAAAUAUAUGUAUUAUAAAAAUAUUACAAAGUUUAACGUUAUGUCAAUCAUUGCAAAAUAAAUGUUUUAUUUACCUUAUUAAUUUCAUUAAUUCUAAAAAGGAAAUCAAGACAAAUUCUAUUUUUUCUUUUCUUCUUUUGUCUUUAAAUCAUACCUACUUUACAGGUGUUGAGGAAACUACAUUAAGUCAACCAAGUCUUCGUGGGCUCACGUGGCUGGAAAGUAGGUGGAUGAAGUAUGAACAGAGCAAGAAUGUAUACCUAAAAAAAUAAAAACUUCUUAUAAGAAAAUGGUAGAAAUCUUGUACUGCAAUGAUACUUGAUCAACAACUCAAAUAAAAAAAAAAUUAAUUAACUUUUAGAAACUAAAUCAAAUUUUCAUCUUGAAAAAUUCCCACUUCAGUUUUACAACCACUUAACAACAUUCCGUAGUAUGAUUCAACUCUUUUUAAUUUUUUUUAUUUUAUAAAUAUUUUUUAGUGUAAUAUGUAAUUUGAUAAAUAAGAGAACAAAAAAAGAUGAAAGUCAUAUAUAUUAAAAAAUAAUAAAAAUAUAAAAUAAUUGAGGGGAAAUACAAUUGAAAGUGAGAGUUUGCAUGUGUUUCAAUUAUAUGAAUUACACAAAGUACAAACAUUUCAAUUUUUUUUUAAAUUUUUAUUUAUUAUUUUAUAAAUAUUUUUUUAAUGUAAUAUGCAUGGUUUUAAAAACUAGAUUAGACCAUCGGUCACCGUUUCUGUCCGAUUCGCACCUUUGAGUUGGACAGUUUUUGAAUCGCCUGAAACCGCCAGACUCGAUGGUCAAACUGGUGAAUCGAUUGACCCGACCACUUUUGGACAAAAAGAACGGUUCAAAAAAUAUAUAUCAAUCUCAAAACACCAUCACCAUGAUGAUGCCAUUCUGACGGUCCUAACAUCGACUCUUCCCAUAAGUAAUAAUUCAAUAAUUCAAUAGAUUAUUUUAAAGUUUUGAUAUAGAAAUGUCAAAAUGACUAAAUUUGUGGCUCUAAAUUAAUAAUUUUGUGAAUUUUAAAUUUGGUUAUUAAAUAAGUUAAAAAAAAUCUUGAUAUUUGAAUUGAUUAUCUUUAAAGAGAAAAACUUUAAAAUAUCCAUUUGUGGACCUUGCAUUUUGCUCGAUGCAUUCCUACUCAAUGGUGAAACUCGCUUUUUAUUUUAUUUGAUGAAAAUUUGAUUUUUAGAAAAAAAACUUGGAGUCGCCACUUAUUUUUGUUUUAUUUUUUUUUAAGGGAAAAUCCAAAUAAGAAAGAAAACCCUAAGUAUGACUCCUGAAGGAAAAAAACAGGUUUGUGAAAAACCAAGUCUAGGUCCGGGGGUUAGGUUACUUAUUGGGAAGGUAUGGUGGUAAGUCGUAGCACCCUUCUAAGCCCGCAUACGUAUGACCUCUACUAAACGAAUUGAAGAAAUUGUGACAAUUAAUUAUUUAAUUAUGGAUACCAAGAAAAAUAAUCAAUAUACAAGUCAUGGUGAGAAUUAAUAUGCACAAAAACAAUUAUGAAAUCUAAUUACAAAAAUACACAAUAUAAAUAAUAAGAUAAUUAUGCAAAAUGAUUUAUUGAAUUAAAUAAAUAAAAGAUAUUAAAAAAAGUUUUAAAGAAACUUCAAAAGAUUUUAUUAAAAAUGAUUUUGAAUUAAUGAUUUCCAUUUAUUUACUUAUAAAAAGAAACAAUUUAUUUUCUCAAUUUUAAUUGUAUUCAAUUUAAAAAAAAAAAAAAAACUAUUUACACUUAUUGUAUCAAAAGAAUUCAUUACAAAAUUUCAAUUUGGGCACAAAAAUUAUUUUUUACUUGCUUUUACUAGAAAAUAAUGAAUUUUUGUAAUUUUAUUUACAAAAGUAUUUAGAUUCAUUUUCAUUUAAAAGAGUGAUUUUUACAAAUUAUUUAAAAUGAUAUAACUUCACUUGCAAAAGAAAUUUUAAUUAAAAGGAAAAAAAAUAAAAAUAAAAAUAAAAAUAAAAAUAAAAAUAAAAAUAAAAAUAAAUAAAUUAAUCAUCUAUUUCUAAAAAUGACUUUUAAUCCAAUUUUAAUUAAGUAAAAAGAAUUAAAAAAAACAUUUUUUUGGACGAUUUUAUUAAAAAUUAAUUUUUGGGAUAACUUUAUUUACUUUAUAUUCGGAAAAUUUUUGUUAAACAAAGAAAUUUUUGGACAAAUAUUAUUUAAAAACAAAUUUUCAAAUUCCAUUAAAAACAUUUCUUUUGGAUUUUUCUAAAUGCAUUUUUUUGAAUUUUUAUAAAUAAAAAAUAAAAUAAAAUAAAAACUUUCUUUUAUUAAAAAUAAUAUUUUAAAAUUGUUGUUUUAUUAAAACGCAUUUACUGACUUCUUCCUCUCAUUUAAACAAAAUUUCUAGUUUGUUCGAUGUUAAAUUUUGUACACACUCAAUAAAUACAUGCGAACGAAUAUUUAUACAACUGAUAAAAAUAAAACCAAAUAAAAAGUGAGAAAUAAAAUAUGUACCCAAAUAAACUUACAAUAAGUUUCACGUGUCAUCAAUUCGUACUCAGCCAACAAGAUUGCAGAGUGGGUUCAUGCAAAAAACAAGAAUAGCACAGAUGUAAAUAUCCAGAGAUGUAUAAAAUCCCAGACAAAUAUCAAACCCAAAUUCCAAUUUCAAAUUAGUCCCAUAAAUUUUAUCAAUUAAAAUGAGCCCAAAUUACUAUCAGUCUUAACCCAGAACAUCCAAAUUAAUAACAAAAAAUACAAACACAAUCAACCAAACCUAAAAUUGGAUAAAUUAAAAUAAAUUCUACUAUACCUAAAUUUAAUAUUUCAUAAUCUAAGCCUAGUUUAAUAUACACCACAAUUGUCCCAUGUCCAAAUUAAGCAAUUCAAAUUGGUCAAGCCUAUAUCAAAUAUUCAAAUAAUCCAACAAAUUUCACCCACAUUAUGGGCCCCAAAAUUCACAUCAAUUAACAAGCCCACAUAAAAAAAUACAUAGUCAAGAGAAAUAAUAUUUCAAGCCCAAUCCAAUAAGCCCAAACAAAUAACAACUUAACAAUAGGCCCAAGUCCAAAUAAACAAUAUGCAAUUGAUAUAAUCCAAAUAUGUCCAAAUUAAUCAUCAAAUACAAUAUGCCCACAAAUCCAAAUUAACAAAUUUCAAAUUAAUUCACUAACAAUAAAUUAAAUCAAAUUACAUAUUGAUCUACCAAUAACAGAUUAACCCCAAAUUUCAUAUUAAUUCAACAAUCCAAAUUUCACAAACAACAAUUACUAUUAAAAUAAAAUAAAAUAACAACAUUAACAAUAAUAAUAAUAAUAAUAAUAAUAAUGGGAAACCAAUGAGUGGCUCGCCCGCGGCGAUUGACCGGUGGCUUUAUCAACGACAAUGAGGGUGAACGGGUUUUCAGGAAGCAAAAUAAAAUAAAAUAAAAAUGGGAGGAAGAAAAUGGGGAUGGAGGGAGGAAGAAGAUGGAGAAGGAAAGAAAAAAAGAAAAAGAAAAAGAAAAAAAAAAAGGAAGAUCCCCGAGUGGGGUGUCGGCCGCGUGAGAGGAAGAAGAGCGAAUAGAGGGAUGAAAAAUAAAAAGAAAUGAAUUCGGGCGCUUGCUGAGAAUCGGAGUGGAGUUGCAGAGAGGGGGAAAAGAGAGAAAAAAAAUUGGGGGGCCGCUCGUUCGGAGGUCGGGGGGGAGCUCAGGAAAAAAAAAAAAAAAAAUCUCCCCCAAAGCCUUAGGUCGAGUGCUGGCCGUGUGAGAGUGAAUGGAGGGAGGAGGGAGGAGAGAGAAGAGAGGAGGGAAAAAAAUGGGGGAAAAGAAAAGUGGGGCCGGGGGGGGGGGGGGGGGCCAAAGAGAGUUUUUGAGGAAGAGAGAGAAGAGAGUGGGAGGAAAAAAAAAAUUUGGGGAAAAAUUUAAGUGGCCGGUGGUGAGGAGAGAGAAGAAGUGGGUGGGUGAGGGCAGGUAGAGGAGAAAAAAGAAGAGAGGAGAGAGAAAAAAAAAUAUAAAAAUAUAAUAUAAUAUAAUGUAAUAAUAAUAAUAAUAAGUAAAAUUAAUAAGUAAAAAUAAUAUAAAUAAAUAAAUAAAAAUAAUAAUUUACAAAAUAAUGAAAACUAAAAAUUAAAGGGUGAGGGAGUCUAAAAUAACACAUGUAAUCGGGAUUUAGAAUUGAGCUCAAAAUUAAUGUAGAGAUAAAAUUGGGACAAAUUUUGGGGUCCACACCAUUAUAUACAUAGAAGUUUGUCAUUGAUUGAAAAUAAGAUAUGUGAUAGAGAAAAGUUAUUUUUUUAGUAUCAUAAUUAAAUUAAAAAAAUAAAAUAAAAUAGUGAAUUAAUAAUUCAAUAACAUAUCAAUAUUUUGAUUUUAACAUUUCAUAUCCGUGGUUAAAUAUGAAUUAUUAAAUAAAAAUGUCAUAAAAUAAUAUUUAAAUAUACAAACCCGAGAUUAUGAGUCUUUCACUCACAUUUUUAUAUUUUUUUUAUAUUUUAUAUUUUUAUUUAUUUUAUUAUUUUAUUUCCAUUAUUAUUUAUUUUUAUUUUACAAUUGUAAUUUUUUUAACUUUAUGGUUUCUAAAAUUUUAAUUUUAAUUCAAAUAAAUGAAAAUAUUAUGAUUUUAAAUAAAUUUAUGAAAAUAUUAUGUUACUCAUAAUUUAUCAUUUUUAUUUUUAAAAUUAUUUUUAAUUUUAAUAAUAUAUGAAAAUAUAUAUUUAUGACGCCACCAGUUCCACCGCCGGUCCGACUAGUGAACCGUGAACCGGUAACUUUUUCAUUUUAAUGACCGGUCCGGUUAUGAAAAUAUUGGUAAUAUAUCAAAGAAGAUAAAAAUCAUUUAAAUAUAUUCUAGCCUUUUACCCAUCAUUCAUCAAAAAAAGAAUGAAAUGUUGAAGAUUUUUGUAACUUGACAUGCUGAAGAUAAAUUUAUAUUUUCUGAUGUAAAAAAAUUAUAAAAAUUGAAAAACAAAAUUAGUGAAAUUGAUCAUAUAAUAUAAUGGAUGUCAUUAGCAAAUUCUAAUAAGAAGGUAAAAAAUUUAUUCCAUUCGUAAGUGCAUUUUUAAUUUAAAUUGAUAAUUUUAUCUUUUUUAUUCACAUGUAGGACAACUUAUAUUACUAUAUCAUAUACUUCAUCGAAGAUUUAAUGUUUCUAAUAAUCAAUCAAGGAUGAAAAAGGUUAUUUUAUUUUUUUUUACAUAUAAUGAAAACUAAAAUUAUUUCUUGUUUUUAUUUUUUUUACAUAAUAGUAAAUAUUUCUUAUUUUUUAUUUUAAUAGUAAUAAAUAAUAAAAUUAGAAUUAUUAAACAUUUUAAUAUAAUUAUAAACUAAAACAUACUACAUAACGCAUUAAAACCAUCAACGCAUUAUUUGAUCAUUAUCUUAAUUACUCACUGUGAGUGAAAUUCCAUGGUGAUCCUUGUCCUACAUAUUCGAAAAAAUUAUUCCAAAAGUUAUAUAUAUAUAUAUCAAUGACUUCAGUUGAGUGAAAUUCCAUAGCAAUUGUGUCUUCUAUGUCUUUUUUAAUUUUAAUUUUAUUUUAUUUUCUAAAAAGUUAUUCCAAAAACUAUAUAUAUAUAUUUCAAUUUCAUUGUCAGUGAAAUUCAAGGGUGACCAAGUCUUUCAUGUUGUUUGAAAUCUGGAAUCAAGGUAUAAAGGUAUAAACAAAUGAAAUUAGAAAACAAAUAAUGAAACUUGAAAAUAUGUACUUAAUACCACCACACCUUUUCCAAUAUCCAAUAGGUACUUAAAAAAUAUACUUGAAUACUAUAAUCAAAUCCUAAAUUAUGUCAACACUUUUUCUUUUAUCUUUAAAUGGUAGGUACUUUAUUAAAUUACCCUCUUAUGGUGGAAUAUUAGAGUAUGGGAGGAUUCUCACCACCAUCAUUGCCAGUCAUUUGCUGCCAUGGUGCUUAUGCUGCUUUCACUGCACACAAGUUAUUUUGAGUUUCUAAUUAACCUUAACAGAACAAUAAAAAUUAGACUCCAAAAAGAAUCAAGUGAUUAAAAUUAAGUGAAAAACAUACCUCUUUUAUCCACCAAAAGCUUGAGCACAUGAUAUCUAGUUGCAUAAAGAAAAGUAAGCUCUCAAGCCUUUUGCUACUUGAUUAAAACCAUAGUGAAGAAGACAAUAAUUACAUAAUAAUCAAAUACUGUUCACAUUGAAUGAGACACGAAAGCUCUAAGCAUUUUCAAAAUUCUUCUACUAAGUGAACAGCCGAAUUGUAUCCAUUGUAAAGGUCAAAUAAUCUUCAAGUAACUUACCCGCUUCUCAUGGUGCAUUAUCUAAAAAUCUAAAAAUCUCGUGACGAAUGACUAAGGCUUCCAAGAAUAUUUGAUGUAUUGAGCCAACAAAUAUUAGACAUAGAAUCCACACACAUGAGUAUUGUAGUCCUUUGUCCUACUAAAAAGAAUGAAUAAAUUAUUAGAUCAAUUCUUAGUGUCUGAAUACUGUAAUUUAAGUGUUAUAUUCUCGCUUACUUCACCACAAUAUUAAAGAAGAUCUGACAUUAAAAAAAAGUAAUAAUUAUUCAUAUUCAUGCCAUGAACAAGGAGCUCUUUUAUGUUAUGGAUAUAUAAAAUAUAUUAACAAUCCAUUAUGCCAUGUUUGAGAGCUCACACACAAAACAAAGUAUUGGAAUAAAUUAAUAUAAAUUCAGGACUGAUAGCUCCUAUCCUACUUCCGCCCUUUUUAUCAAAGCAAUUUCCCAUGCUUGGGCCAAACUUGUGAUGGGGAGGAGCAAAUUGGGGUGGGUAAGCACAAUUGAUAUUUAUUCUUGCCCAAUUUUCCCCUCAAUUUCUGUAAUUCGAUUAUAACAAGCUGAAUUAGGUAUCAAUAAUUACUAUGAGAAAAAAAAAACAAGGGAUUAAAGGUAUUUCUCUUCUUAGCAAUCAUACAUUACAAAGAGAAUCAAGAUUGCUUACCUAUCAAUUUUCUUUUCUUCUGCAUCAAGUUAAAAUUAUAGAAUAAAAGAAAUUAAUAAAAUGAAAAUACUAGCAACCAAACUAGUAAAAAGUUUGUUGGACCUUCAAAGAGAUGAUGAAGAGAAUACUAAAAAUGAUGAAAAUAUUGUUGGCAACAACAAUAAGAGUAUAGUAGUGAUGUGACAACAAUAAUGACGAAGAUUACUAGCUAUGACAUUAGAGGGAAAGAGUACCCAUGAUGUGAAUCAUUCAUAGAGAUGUGAACAACGAUAGUGAUAGAGAUGACUAUCAUACUAGAGCUAUAAUUGGAGUGAAGCUAAGAUAAGUUCCUCACAAGCGUUGAGGUUCAUUGAUAAGAAUUGUCACAUCAAUUUCUUGUCUUAAGGAUGCUCAUCUUUGCUAUAGUUUUUUUUUUUUAAUCUUUAAAUUUUGGGAUAAUUGUGUUUUGGAUUCAGUUAGACCCAAAAAUUAAACUUUGGUCCAUAUAAGUUCACUAUUUAAGCCCAAGACCCAAAGGAAGUGUAAAAAUUGAGAAGAAGGAUAUGAAUUUUUUAUCUUUUCGAAAAUGACAUUUGUUAACUAUGAAAAAAAAAAUCAGAAAAAUCCACUCUAAAAUUCCAUUUAUGUUACCCUAAUUUUACUCUCUCUGGCAUUUCAUUUCAGCCCUAGACAGUGGCGUUUUUCAUCUCUCCCGAUUUUCUCCCUCGCUUCCAUUUCAUUUGAGGCCUAAACAUUGCCCUAAUCUCUAUGGCGAUUUCCUUAUCUCUCAAUUUCAUCUCUCCCAACCAUUUGAUUUCAGGCCAGUGGCAUUUGUCAUCUCUACUGAUACAUUGCCCUCGUCGAUCCCCACCGGUGUUACCCUUUGUGUCAUAGUAGUUGGAUAUUUGAGGUUAGUUGGUUCUCCAAUUUCGUUUUCUCCUGAUUUCAUCUCUCUCGACCAUUUGAUUUCAACCCAAAUACAUUGCCCUAAUUUCUCUCCUGAUUUUAGUUCGUUGUUUAUUGUUCCCUCGUCAAUCCCCACCGGCGUUGCCCUCUAUGUCAACCGUAGUUGGAUAUUUGAGGUUAGUAGGUUCUCUAAAUCUAGCCCUAGAUUUGUUUAAUCCUAUAUUUUGUUUAAUCGUCGUUGGUAUGGGGAGAGGGAUUCUUGUUUUCUAUUAACCUUCAGUUUACGAAGUCAAUUUAAGGUGCUAUUAAUAUUUUUUGCAAACCUAUCUGUGAAUGGAAAUAGUUCUUAUUUAUUAUAGUGUUUUUGAUGCUGAGAUACAUAGGUGACUUAUGAAUUUUGGGUGCUUAGGUUUUCUCUUUUUACACUAAUGGAUUUUUUCGACAGUUGAACCAAAUUCUAGGGAUGGAAUGUUUCAAAAUUAUGCACCAUCCCUACUUAAUUUUUAGAUAGUAGUAUUCAUUUGUACCCUGUUUUAUUGGUGAUAGUCACUAGUGGCCCCCGUUUUUUGUUCCAAGAUUAACAGGCUUAGUUUUUAUCUACCUUUUAUGAGUGGUUAUGAAUUGUUCUCCUUAUGACAUAAAUUGAAAUUAUUCAUGCGCUUGAAUAUAAUGAGUAUCUAAAUGGAAUUCUAUGAUGGCACCAAGAAAUGCAAUGUGCCAAUAUUCUUAAAAAAAAAUAAAAAAUUAUUGACCAUGUUACCCUUUAGCCUUGAGGACUAGGGUUAUGGAAUCAAAUUCAAUCAACAUUGGCUCACACUUACCUCAAUAUGAGCAUGAACCUAUGUCCCGUGUGAAGGAAUAGUAGCUUAUAUGACUCAUCAACACCAUUUUGUAACUACACAACACAACAAAUUUCACUGGCAGAAUUGACAUUUCUUCAAUAAAUAAACAGAAUAGUGCAAACUGAAACAAACUUCGAACAACUUUUAGAGACAAACAUGUGAAUAUGAAAAUAAAGUUCUAAUGAAAAAGGAAAUCAUACACUACUAUUUUCCUUAAAGAAAAGAAUUUUGUUCCAAACCUUCGGCUCAGGGUUUGAUUUCCACCUCAAAAAAGGUACUUAUCAAAUAGAAUGUACAGAACAUCACUAUAGUUCCCAUACCAAGUCAAUUUUUAAAUUUUUGUAAGCAUAAAUUGAAAUUAUAUGAACAGUAAAACUCCUAUGCAUUACAGUACCUGAAAACCGAAUCUCUUAUCUUUAUUCACAAAGAAAAAGUGCUUAUUCAAAAGUUGUAUUCAGAUCAUGAUUUAACUUCAAUUAUUUAGAGACCUCCUUAUGGAAUAAAUAAAAGGGUUUGCUUGAACAAUGUCAAGUGUACCAAAUGGACUUGGUUUUCUUAAUCAAGUCUCUGAAUCAGUGUUAAGUUUGCUUUAAUAAUAGAAAGUUUUUUAUUCUGUUAGUAGUUCUGAGUCAUAUGCGCAUGAGCAUAGGUGUAAAUGAUGCUAUGAACAAGCUAUGGAACCUCAAAUUAGUUUAUCAAUGUAAGGUUGAAGACCUAGUCGGGUACUUCAUUCAUAGGAACCUGAAUUGGUUUUAUGAAGAUUAUGGAGCAUAAGAUCACAUAUGUUAUUGAAUAAGCUGGGAUUCAAGGCUUGGCAGUUAAAAGUUGUAGUAGAAGUGAUAUUCUGAUGCCUAGGUUAAAUGUUUCAGCAGGUACUAUGUCUCAUGUAUUUGUUAUUUAUUUGUUUCAGUCCAUUAUUCUGAUUUCAGGGAAUGUUUUAUUUUUUUUCAUGCUUGUCUUUAUGAAAAAAAAAACUUUCAAAAGUGACCAACACUAAGUCAUGCUAGGGUGAGCAUUUCUUAGGGUUAGACAAGGCACCCACUCCACUUUAGCUCAUGUUGUUGCAAUUUUCAAUAUAAUAGAAAGAACACAAAAUACAAAAAAAGUAAACAAAUAUGUUUGUGUUAUUACCUAUUAUUACAUCAAUUGACUGUCAAUAGACUGCAUAAUUAAUAGUUAACAGUUAUCCAUUUUCACAUCUCCAUUUCAGCAUGCUUAUUUGAUGUGGGUAGGCACCAUUACUUUAGGGCCUUUAUCUAGCAAAAUUGCCCUUUAUUCUUCACAACAUAUGUCUUGCUCUAAUCUUGCAGCUAAUGUUUCUUUCAUUCUCCAUAUAUCAGUGAUCUGUUCAAAGAGAACCAAAUAGUCACUUGGGCAUCAAUUCUUACAAUUCCUCCACUUCUACUCCUAUAAAUAUUUUAAAAUUCUACUGUAGGCUUAUUUGUUUUUCUUUUUUUUGGAUAGGAAAACAAGAAUAUAUAAAAGAUGCCAAUCAAAGAACACUGCAAGUACACGAGACAAUUCUACUAUAGUUAGUGAAGUUAUAUUUUAUAAAAUUUAAAUUCUGUUUAAUUUAAAAUCCUUAGAUUCAAAGGCUUGUUUUCACAGUUAUAACUUAAAUAAAAUCUAAACGACAUAAAGACCACAUAGGAAAAAAAAUAAGGCUCUAAUGUGAACCUUAAGAUAACCACGAUUUGGAAUUGAUUUGCUUAUCUCUCUUUCAAUACUCAUGUUUUUCAAUGUAUUAGUUCUUUAUAACAUUAAUAUAUCUUGUGUCCAUACUCUCAUUCAAAACUUGAACUUCUUGUCCUUCCAUCCAUCAAAUCAGUUAUGAAUACAAGUUAAUGAAAUUGGGAUGGAUGGGAGGGAUAAAAGCAUUUCAAAUAGAGCUCUCACUAACAUCAGAUUCCUUGUUUUUGAUAAAAGUCCUUUCCUCUAAGAGACAGUCUAUCUUUUAACCUUUCCUAUCACUUCUACGAUCAAUGCAAAGAAGAUUGAGCAGUUGCUUGUUAGGGAUGUGGAGGGAGAGGGUAUAAAACCUUGCAAAGUUGUUUGGUUGCGGGAAAGUGUCAUUCCAACUGCCUUUUCAGAUUCCUUUGAGGUGAAAGCAACAUGGAGUGUAGAAUUGGGGAGGUUAGCAUAUUAGAAAAACAUGAUGAGGUUCGAACUCAUGACCUUCUAACAAUUAAGGCUCUAAUAGCAUUUUAAGCUAUGGCAUUGCCCCAAAUCAGCUUGAUGUGCAUUAUGGCCCCAUCAUUACCUAACAUCGGCAAACUUUUCAAUCAACUUUGUAGCUUAACUUUGUAUGAAGGGCCAAGUUGUCAAGAAGUCAGAAGUUCAAACCUCACUGUAUUGUUUAUUUUCCCAAUUUAUUGAAGUUAUGUGCAAUUUCAAAAGAAAUAAAGUAAAUGCAUGCUGAUUCGUCCCUAGCAGUGUCUCAGCUGAUUUGUGUUCAGCUGGUGCUCCUUGAUUGAGGAAGUGAUCAACAAAAUUUAUACCUAUAACACCAUACACUAGGGUAGCAAAGACAAAGCUACUAUAGCAUAGUGGCUCUAGGAUCGUUCACUGGGAUGGGUUUUCACUUCACAAAUGAUAUUAAUUCAAAGUUGAAUUGGUGUCUUUUCAUUUCAAGGUUAGCUUUAAAAGAAAACAUAAAGAUGAGUUGGAAAAGGUUUGGUUUUAAACUAACCACAAAUAGUAACUAAUUUUAUUUAUAAAGAAAAGAUGUUUCUUGGAGUUCAGAUCACUAGGCCCGUUCCUCAUACAAAAUGGAGAGUUCCGGUCACUUGUUUAUUUUCCUCGCAUUAGAGAAUUAACAUAUAGUUCCUUCUCCAACCGGUGUUGUACAGAUGUUUCCCAUUAAUGGGUUCAAACACUAAAUCCCUCUCACUGAUGCACCUUGCAAUGGCUCAUACCUCUCACUUAGCACUUGCCAUUCAAGGUGAUCUUUAACCUUGGAUUACCCGUCAAAAGCUCGCAAGAGAUAACUAAUGGAUGUCUCCUUGGAGUCCAAAAGCUUACCAAGUGUUGGCUAUUCUAGAAAAUCCUACCUUCAAGUCACCUCCCAAAGGCUCGCAAGGGGUAAACUAGUGAAUCUCCAUGGACGGAGAUCACUUGCCUUACCAAGUGUUGGCCCAGGUGAUUUAAAGGCGUUUUAAGUUAACUAAAAAUAUGAAAACCAUUAACGGGUCACACUUUCUCUUCAUUAAAAACUAAAACAACAAAACUUCCAAAUUAUACAUGUGGAAACUUACCCGGCUUUCCUUACUCCAAGAGACAAAGAGCCUAGCCUCUCAUCCUCUGAGGAAAAAUCCUCAAAGUUUGGUUGGCUAGAAAAUGAAAAUGAAGGAGAAGACAAGAAUAUAUAUGAAAAACAGAGCAAGUGCUCUGUUCGUUGAUUCUAUAUAUUAGAUUACAUAUAUUUUUACAUUGGAUGCAAGGGAAUAUAUAUAGAGGAGUUUUUCCAACCUUCCUAGCUAAGAAAUCUUAUGGUUGGUGGCUUACAAGGAGAAGAAUGGAAAUUUAUACAAAAAUAUCUGAAGAAAAGAUCUAAAAGAGUCGGUGCACAAAUAUCAGGAAGCACUAAGGACAUUUCGUAGGUGAAAAUGGUGUCUGCGAGAUUUCGCAGACACUCAAGAGGGCUGCGAAAUAUUUUCGCAACAACAAGUUAAACUCGCAGGGCUGCGAAAUUGGCUUCCACCUUGAGGUUCUCAGCGUUCCAGCUUGCGGCAUGUAUCGGGUAGCUUCAGGAGGAAUUCCAUAGCACUGUACAAAAAGGCUGCGAAAUUCUCGCAACAAAAGGCUGAUUUCGCAACACUUUGGAGUGAUCUGCUUGCAGUGGCUGUAACUUCUUCGUUUCAACUCCAAAUCGCGCACCGUUUGAAGAAUUGGAUUCUUGACUUCCUGAGCUUUGAAAUGAUAUAUAGAAUGUAGAAAAUGGACUUCUGGAAGUGCUCCAAAAGUGCACAAGAAGACUGCAGCUGCUGUCCUCUGUUUUCUUCACUCUGUUUUCCUCUUCUCCUUGCUUCUCUCCUUGCAUACUUUGAACGACUAAGGCAAAGGAAUAUGAGGCUCCAAAGCUUGGUUUCUUCAUGAAUUUGAGCUUCCAAAAGCUUUGCCAUAACUUGUUCAAGUAGCUCCUCCAUCAUUUGGCAUGCUUGAAUUGAUUCAUAAGUUGAUAAAAACAUGUAAACUUGCCACAAAAUGGUUAAAACCAAUUACUAAGGACCUUAAUGAAUUAAUUGGGUUAAAUGAAUAUGAUUACUACUCAAAGGUGCUUAAAACCAUUAUAAUUAGGUCUACAAAAUAGCACUUUUUGGUAGUAAUCACACCCCCCAACCGACUCAUUGCUAGUCCCUUAGCAAUGGAGGAGAUAAAAACUAAGUAAACUAUAAUAAUAUACAUAAAAGGGAUCAUGAAAAUCACUCCAAAAAAUGAUAUGAGUGGCAUGAUGGACAUCCAUGGAUCAAUAAAGAUGUGAAACUCAACCUAUAAUAAGAGUUGUCAAAGCAUUCACUUGAUCAUAGAGUACAAAGAACGGAUAUUAUGCAAGUUUAAGCAUCAAAAGAAUUUCCACUCUCAAAGAUCCAAAUCAAAUUCUUCCACUAAAAGCUAANNNNNNNNNNNNNNNNNNNNNNNNNNNNNNNNNNNNNNNNNNNNNNNNNNNNNNNNNNNNNNNNNNNNNNNNNNNNNNNNNNNNNNNNNNNNNNNNNNNNAGAGUUCCGGUCACUUGUUUAUUUUCCUCGCAUUAGAGAAUUAACAUAUAGUUCCUUCUCCAACCGGUGUUGUACAGAUGUUUCCCAUUAAUGGGUUCAAACACUAAAUCCCUCUCACUGAUGCACCUUGCAAUGGCUCAUACCUCUCACUUAGCACUUGCCAUUCAAGGUGAUCUUUAACCUUGGAUUACCCGUCAAAAGCUCGCAAGAGAUAACUAAUGGAUGUCUCCUUGGAGUCCAAAAGCUUACCAAGUGUUGGCUAUUCUAGAAAAUCCUACCUUCAAGUCACCUCCCAAAGGCUCGCAAGGGGUAAACUAGUGAAUCUCCAUGGACGGAGAUCACUUGCCUUACCAAGUGUUGGCCCAGGUGAUUUAAAGGCGUUUUAAGUUAACUAAAAAUAUGAAAACCAUUAACGGGUCACACUUUCUCUUCAUUAAAAACUAAAACAACAAAACUUCCAAAUUAUACAUGUGGAAACUUACCCGGCUUUCCUUACUCCAAGAGACAAAGAGCCUAGCCUCUCAUCCUCUGAGGAAAAAUCCUCAAAGUUUGGUUGGCUAGAAAAUGAAAAUGAAGGAGAAGACAAGAAUAUAUAUGAAAAACAGAGCAAGUGCUCUGUUCGUUGAUUCUAUAUAUUAGAUUACAUAUAUUUUUACAUUGGAUUGCAAGGGAAUAUAUAUAGAGGAGUUUUUCCAACCUUCCUAGCUAAGAAAUCUUAUGGUUGGUGGCUUACAAGGAGAAGAAUGGAAAUUUAUACAAAAAUAUUUGAAGAAAAGAUCUAAAAGAGUCGGUGCACAAAUAUCAGGAAGCACUAAGGACAUUUCGCAGGUGAAAAUGGUGUCUGCGAGAUUUCGCAGACACUCAAGAGGGCUGCGAAAUAUUUUCGCAACAACAAGUUAAACUCGCAGGGCUGCGAAAUUGGCUUCCACCUUGAGGUUCUCAGCGUUCCAGCUUGCGGCAUGUAUCGGGUAGCUUCAGGAGGAAUUCCAUAGCACUGUACAAAAAGGCUGCGAAAUUCUCGCAACAAAAGGCUGAUUUCGCAACACUUUGGAGUGAUCUGCUUGCAGUGGCUGUAACUUCUUCGUUUCAACUCCGAAUCGUGCACCGUUUGAAGAAUUGGAUUCUUGACUUCCUGAGCUUUGAAAUGAUAUAUAGAAUGUAGAAAAUGGACUUCUGGAAGUGCUCCAAAAGUGCACAAGAAGACUGCAGCUGCUGUCCUCUGUUUUCUUCACUCUGUUUUCCUCUUCUCCUUGCUUCUCUCCUUGCAUACUUUGAACGACUAAGGCAAAGGAAUAUGAGGCUCCAAAGCUUGGUUUCUUCAUGAAUUUGAGCUUCCAAAAGCUUUGCCAUAACUUGUUCAAGUAGCUCCUCCAUCAUUUGGCAUGCUUGAAUUGAUUCAUAAGUUGAUAAAAACAUGUAAACUUGCCACAAAAUGGUUAAAACCAAUUACUAAGGACCUUAAUGAAUUAAUUGGGUUAAAUGAAUAUGAUUACUACUCAAAGGUGCUUAAAACCAUUAUAAUUAGGUCUACAAAAUAGCACUUUUUGGUAGUAAUCACACCCCCCAACCGACUCAUUGCUAGUCCCUUAGCAAUGGAGGAGAUAAAAACUAAGUAAACUAUAAUAAUAUACAUAAAAGGGAUCAUGAAAAUCACUCCAAAAAAUGAUAUGAGUGGCAUGAUGGACAUCCAUGGAUCAAUAAAGAUGUGAAACUCAACCUAUAAUAAGAGUUGUCAAAGCAUUCACUUGAUCAUAGAGUACAAAGAACGGAUAUUAUGCAAGUUUAAGCAUCAAAAGAAUUUCCACUCUCAAAAGAUCCAAAUCAAAUUCUUCCACUAAAAGCUAAGUGUUAAUGUGAUUAGCUUCCAAGAAUAGUAUGGAUAACUAUCAUCUCCCCCCAACCUAAGUCUUUCUUUAAGCUUAGCAAAAUUAACCAUCUCUUGAUAGGCUAGGAACGCACCUCUUAUUCACAAUUCUUUUCACUUACUAAACUUAACCAAUUCACCCAUGUAACAAGCAGAGGAUCGGUGACUCCCAACCAAUAAAGGCUUAGGGCACCAGGCUUUAAAGGCUUUCGCCACCCCUUUGGACCAUGCUCAGGUUUCAAGGCAAGUAAAGAAGUUUAUUCUAUUUAUUUAUUUUUAUUUUUUUUUUUUUUUCUAUUUUUUCAAAGACUCAUUGGUCUUUAUGAGGUGUCCCAACACUAUUAAAGAGAGGUUAAAGGUGUCAAAUUAUGAUUUCUCAAGCUUAGAGGGUGAGAUAGUUUCACAUCUUAUAACCGGAAUCUAAUGUAUGUGUGUGCGAAUAGCUUAAGGUGGAAGAGAUAAGUUUGCAUGCAAUGGGAGUUUCAACAAUUCAUCAACUUUUAGAAGAGCAUAAUACAAACUCUAAGACUCAUGUGAUCAAGUUGAAACUCGACUUCUCUCAUUUAAUUUUGAGAGUUAAUCCUUAAUAUCCAUGGAGUUUAAAGCAAAAAUUUUAAAAUUUAAACAAAAAGUAGCUAAUUUACCAAAAUAACUUAGCAUUAAUAACAAAACUUACUUCCUCAACUCUCCCCCCAACCAAGCUGAACAUUGUCCUCAAUGUGACAAAAGCGAUUAAAAAAUAGGGAGGAAGUGGUACCUCUUUAGUGACAUGGAGUUUAAGUCGUAUAGGAGAAACCACAUGUUUCAAAGAAAACAUAAGAGUUAGUGAGUAGAGGAAAUAGAAAAAUGCUAAGUUUAAACAAAAAUGAUGUCUAUGUAUGAUGUAUCAUCAGUAAUACAUCCAAUCUCAAAAUGUAAGACAUCAAAAUAUGGAAUUAUGUAUAAUAUAUAAAGACAAAAAAUAAAGAGAUGAUCAAGUAAUGGUAGGGUCCUGUGGAGCUGAUGUGUCUGUGGUGGCCUCUUGAAUGGGUUGGAUCAGGACUUUGGCCUCUGUUCUGGUAGUCUCCUUAGGUGGCAUAGUCUCCUCAGCUGGAGCUCUCAGCGGGAGCUAUGGGCUCUGAUGGUUUUAGGAGGUUAGAAAUGGAGUGAGAGGCUUGGUGUGUGUGAUCCCAGGGUGUGCGGGGCUCUCAUCUUCAUAUUCAUGGUUGCAGGGCUCUGAUGGCAUUUUAACAACUUCCCUUGGCUUUGCAAGGUGUUUUUGCAAACCUUCCUCCAUUUCGCAAGUCAAUUUCUCAACUUGAAGGCCAUUUCAACUUUUGGAGGUGAUUUCGCAGCCAUUUCGAUGCUCAAAAGUGAUUUCGCAGCUCUAAAAUGAGUGUACGGGGCUGCAAAAUGGCUCUCAUGUGCCAAAAAGUGGUUUCGCAGCUCAAAGGUGAUUUCGCAGCUGUAUCGCAGCUUCGAAAUGAAGGGAACUAUGCUGCAAAAUGGCACUUGUGUGCCAAAAGUAGUUUCGCAGCUGCAAAACACCCUUCCAAAUGGCGUCUCGGCUGCGAAAUUCCCGCUUAGCUUUGCGCGCUUGUCUUCAAACGACCAUAUCUUCUUCAUUUCACCUCCAAAUCGCAUACCGUUUGAAGCGCUGGACUCCUGACUUCCCAAGCUUUGAAACGAGAUAUCGUAUGUAUAAUUUGAGCUCCAGGAAGUGCUUCAAAAAUGUGUCCAACAGUAGCAAAAUGGAGGUGCGACAUUUCCGUUCAUGGUUUGCACAGUCAUCUUCAAACAGCCAUAACUUUUCCGUUUCAAAUCCAAAUCUAGCACCGUUUGAAGCUAUGGACUCCUGACUUCCCAAGCUUUCAAAAAAGAUAUCGUAUGUAUAAUUUGAACUUCGGGAAGUGAUUGAAAUGUGUCCAACAAUUGCCGAAAUGGGGGUGUGGCUGUGAAAUUGGGAUUUUUCACGUUUUGGGACUUCGCAGCCGUUUUGCAACUGCGAAAUUGGGGUCACUGUGCUGCGAAAUGGCACUCGUGUGCCAAAAGUGCUUUCGCAGCCGCGAAAUCCUCUGCGGAAUGGGGCUUUGGCUGCCAAAAAAAAUGAAUUUUUUUUUUUUUUUUUUUUUUUUUGGGUUUCGCAGCCAUUUUCGCAGCUGCGAAAUGAGGGUACUGUGCUGCGAAAUGGCACUCGUGUGCCAAAAGUUGGCUUCGCAGCUGCGAAACACCCUUCCAAAUGGAGCUUUCCUUGCGAAAUGGAGGAUUUCAUGCUUUGGUGGUUCGCAGCCGCUUUCGUAGUUGCGAAAUGGGGGCUCCUGUCCUGCGAAGUGGCACUCGUGUGCCAAAAGUGGUUUCGCAGCUGCGAAAAUUUUCGCAGAGAGGGCAUUUGGGCUGCGAACUGGUUUCGCAGCAAAGUGCCGAUUUCGCAGAGGCUGCGAAAUUUCGCAGACCCCUGUUUUUCCCCUGUUUUUGCUCUGUUUGACUCCGAUUUUGCUCCGAUUUUUCUCCGAAAGACUUCCUUCAAUUUCUUUACAAUUCCUCUUGAUUUUGAUCAUCCAAAAACCUAUAUUACAUCAAAACAAACUAGAAUUAAAGCAUUGAAAUCAAAAUUAAAGCAUUGAAAUCCAAAUUAAAACAUUGAAAUCAAAAUUAAAACAAGUAAAAAGUAAAAUAAAAAGAUAUGGACUAGCUAGUCUUUAGAAAGACUAAGUCCAUCAAAAAAUUUGCUCCUGAUUUAGCUUGCCCGGAUCCCAUAUGAAGUUUGCAUCCUUCAAUUGAGACUUGGUUUGUAUGAUUUUCCCAUACAAAGCUUGGAGAAAAGGUGGAGGCAUGUGUUUCUUCAUCAAUUCUUCCUUGAUGACUAUCUUCUGUGGUUUUCUUUGUACAUUAACAUCAUAACCAUCUUUCUCUAUGCUUUUCCCCUUUUUCUUUCCUUUGAUUUCCUCCCUCUUUUCUUUCUCUGUUUCAUUCUCUACCUUAUGCUCUAGCUUGCAUGUGGGCAGAUCAACCUCUUUACCACUCCUCAGAGUGAUCACUUCUUCAAUUUCCUUCACCAUUGAAGAUUCUCCCUCUUGAGCCUCCAUUUCAUGGAUACUCAUGGAAUUUUGAUAAGGUUGAGAAGGAGAGUUUUCUUUCUCUUGCACUGUGUUCAAAUUUAUGAGCCUUGAAAUUGAAUAUUGGAUGUUGUCAAAAUUUUGGGCCAUAUCAUUUUGCAUUCCAUCCAUCCUUUGAUCAAGUCGAGCAUUGGUGGCUUCUUGCUUUCCAAUAAAAUCUCCCACGACCUUGCAAAGAUUCACCAUAGCUUGUUCAAGGAUUGAGGCUUGCUGUGGUGCUUGAGCAGGUUGCUGAUACUGAGGUGGCUGUGGUUUCCAAGAGAAAUUUGGAUGGUCCCUCCAAUUGGAAUUGUAGGUGUUGCAAUCACCAAACAUUUCCCUCUCGGCUGGAAUGGUAGGACACUUAUCCACCAAGUGCUCAUAAGAUAGACAAAUGGCACAAGGCAUUGGUAGCAAUGGUGUUUGAGAGAUGGCUUGCACUGGUUGCAUAUUCGUCAUUUCUAGCUUUUCCAAUCUCCUUUCCAUAGCUGCAAUUUCUGCCUUCAUGUUCAUACCAUCAUUCAAAAUAUACAUCUCACCCUUAGCUUUAGGUUGAGACAUCAUUCUUUCCAUAUCUCUAGCAUUUGGUUCAUCCCAUCCUCUUGAGACUUCAGCCACAUAACUCAUGAAGUUCAUAGCUUCCUCUGCUAUCUCUUAAUCAAUAUAGCAUGCACAACUAGCAAUUUGUGAAUUAAAUACAGAGAACACAAAAGAAAACAAAAGAAAAACAAUUCAAAGAAAGAAAAUUAAGGUAAACUAAAAACUAAAUAAAAGGUAUACUAAAAUAUGAACAAUAAAGAAAUAAAAAGAGUUAGUAAAAGAAAAAGAGUUAGUAAAAGGAAAAGAAAAGUCACCAAACUUGUGAUGAAGAUCACAAGUACUCUAGAAAGGUGAUAUCACAAGUACUCUAGUAUAGUGGUGAGUGUCCCCGGCAACGGCGCCAUUUGAUUCGUCCCUAGCAGUGUCUCAGCUGAUUUGUGUUCAGCUGGUGCUCCUUGAUUGAGGAAGUGAUCAACAAAAUUUAUACCUAUAACACCAUACACUAGGGUAGCAAAGACAAAGCUACUAUAGCAUAGUGGCUCUAGGAUCGUUCACUGGGAUGGGUUUUCACUUCACAAAUGAUAUUAAUUCAAAGUUGAAUUGGUGUCUUUUCAUUUCAAGGUUAGCUUUAAAAGAAAACAUAAAGAUGAGUUGGAAAAGGUUUGGUUUUAAACUAACCACAAAUAGUAACUAAUUUUACUUAUAAAGAAAAGAUGUUUCUUGGAGUUCAGAUCACUAGGCCCGUUCCUCAUACAAAAUGGAGAGUUCCGGUCACUUGUUUAUUUUCCUCGCAUUAGAGAAUUAACAUAUAGUUCCUUCUCCAACCGGUGUUGUACAGAUGUUUCCCAUUAAUGGGUUCAAACACUAAAUCCCUCUCACUGAUGCACCUUGCAAUGGCUCAUACCUCUCACUUAGCACUUGCCAUUCAAGGUGAUCUUUAACCUUGGAUUACCCGUCAAAAGCUCGCAAGAGAUAACUAAUGGAUGUCUCCUUGGAGUCCAAAAGCUUACCAAGUGUUGGCUAUUCUAGAAAAUCCUACCUUCAAGUCACCUCCCAANNNNNNNNNNNNNNNNNNNNNNNNNNNNNNNNNNNNNNNNNNNNNNNNNNNNNNNNNNNNNNNNNNNNNNNNNNNNNNNNNNNNNNNNNNNNNNNNNNNNCAGCUUGCGGCAUGUAUCGGGUAGCUUCAGGAGGAAUUCCAUAGCACUGUACAAAAAGGCUGCGAAAUUCUCGCAACAAAAGGCUGAUUUCGCAACACUUUGGAGUGAUCUGCUUGCAGUGGCUGUAACUUCUUCGUUUCAACUCCAAAUCGCGCACCGUUUGAAGAAUUGGAUUCUUGACUUCCUGAGCUUUGAAAUGAUAUAUAGAAUGUAGAAAAUGGACUUCUGGAAGUGCUCCAAAAGUGCACAAGAAGACUGCAGCUGCUGUCCUCUGUUUUCUUCACUCUGUUUUCCUCUUCUCCUUGCUUCUCUCCUUGCAUACUUUGAACGACUAAGGCAAAGGAAUAUGAGGCUCCAAAGCUUGGUUUCUUCAUGAAUUUGAGCUUCCAAAAGCUUUGCCAUAACUUGUUCAAGUAGCUCCUCCAUCAUUUGGCAUGCUUGAAUUGAUUCAUAAGUUGAUAAAAACAUGUAAACUUGCCACAAAAUGGUUAAAACCAAUUACUAAGGACCUUAAUGAAUUAAUUGGGUUAAAUGAAUAUGAUUACUACUCAAAGGUGCUUAAAACCAUUAUAAUUAGGUCUACAAAAUAGCACUUUUUGGUAGUAAUCACAUGCAUUUUUCCUAACUUUCAUAAUUUAUGGUUGAUAUGCAUAAAUGUUGAUUACUUGGGGUUUGUUUGGAUAUAUUUAUUAGCUAUUUUUUGUGUCUAAAAUCAUAAAUCAGAGCAUAGUAGGUAUUUUUAUAAAAUAUGUAAAAACUCUUUAAGGUUGAUAAAUAAAUAUUUGUGGGAAAAAUUAAGGUAUUAUAAAACUUUAAGUAGUUUAAAAUUUCUCAUCAUUAAAAAAUGAUUUUUCAUGCUAAAGUUAAAUUUUUGUAUAUAUAAAUUGUUGUUUUUAAUAUAAAAUGUUUUAUGUAUUAUUCAUCAAUUUUUAGAAAUAGAGCGUGGGAAAUGUAUUUAUAUCAAUUUACAUGAUGCAUUUUAAGGAAUGUACAUUGUGAGGCAUUGGGAGUGUUAUGUUACUUAGGGCUAUAAAUUAUGCAAUUGGCAAGACUAGAAAAUUGUCUUAGUCAAUGAAUUAGGCUUGCAAUAUGCAUUAUGCAGUUAUGUUAUUUUAUUUUAUUUUCUAUUGAGAACAUUAGAAGGUCAAAAAGAGUUAUACAUCCAAAUGACUUAAGAUAAAUGCAUAUGAUAAUCAAUGAACAUGACUCAAACUCAACAAUUUUUUCACAGGUUUGGUUUAAGUAUAAAUGAGUUUGAGUUAAAUUCAUACCGCUUUGUUUAAACCUAUUUAAUAAGUAGGUAGUUUAUUUUGUCAAUCGACAUAAUAUAAAUGUUAAUAUUGUGAGUUGGUAGCUAGGUAAAGAUGGGUGUCAAGUGUUUUUAGAAUCACUUUGUAAUUGGGAAUGUCCAAACCAAUCUUUGCAGUGGUCCAUCUACCAACUGAAAUUGGUGAGGGCAGAGGCUAGACUACUCAAGGUAGGGUGCAUGUGGUGUUUGUGGUGAUACCCCUACGUGAAAAAAAAGAAAACUCCAUCCUCAUCCACUUCAUUCUACAACCCAUUCUCUUUUCCCAAAUACCGAAUAAAUACCACCAUCAUCAGAAUAUGUUUUAUGUUUCCAAAUGAUGUUCAAAUUGAUUACCUCCACUAUUAAAAUUUAAGCCCAGUUGUACUUGAGGUGGAGACAUAAUCGCCCACGUGUCAAUUCCCAUUGUGGCCGCCUAAUUUCUCUCCCAAGCUCUCAACUAGAUAGGCCUGCUUGCCUGCUAUGUGAGAGUGACUCUACUCUUUAUAGUCUCUACUCUCUCCUCUAUAUAAAAAGGUUAUGGUCUGUGGCAGAAGGUGCUGACAUUCAAGAUUGAAGUUUCUCAUUUCUCUGCAUUUUCGCUACAUCUUACCCAUUUUCCUUUUUACUGCCACUACUUGCUUCAUCGUCCUCCCAGAAAACCCUAUAAACUCAAAUUAAGGAUAGGUUCAGAUGCAAGUGCAGACAAAUGACAUAUUCAUUUUAUCAUGAUCACUAGCAGCAUCCCCACUUGACUUGGCUCAUUUCCCCUUCUACCUUCCAUUUCACAUGCUUCUUUUUAAUUACUUGUUGUUGGCUUCAAGUUAAAGGAAUGAAAAAAUAGGCCUCACACUCUGUUUGAACAAUAAAUCUUGGUGAUAAAAUGUUGGUGAUAUUAAUUUGUAUGGGAACAUUACCUAUUAUGAGACGAAAAAACUUUUCGGAUGACAUUGAAUAUGCAUAAUUGUUUGUUCAACAAUAUGAAUUUUUUACUUUGUUUGAAUAGGUUGAUGGACGCUACAAAUAGGAUAUACUGUUACAUUUUUGUGGGAGGCAAACUUGUCUAAAAAAAUUAUGGGCAAUGGGAAUACGUGUGUGGAAUAAGCAAAGGUAUUCACAAAUAUAAAGGAAUACCAUUUGAAGAAUUCACUAAAAAAGUCUUAGAGAAAUUCGACAUCUUCCUUGAUGUGAUGAAGAUGCACUACACCCUCAAGUUUAACCCUAGAGUCAUCCAAGAUUUAGAAGAUGAGGAUGACUUGGAUAAUGUGGUUUCCCACAGUGAUGACUUUGCAAAUGUGUACAUAAUAGAGUCACCCCGUGUGGAAGCCAUUGAGGCAAAUGUACCAAAUACACAGUUGGCAUUUGGGUAAUGCGUUUUGACAUGAAUGUCCAUUUAAAAUAAUGUGAAUAUCAAUUUUACGCAUGAUGUAGUCUAAUGUUGUUUAUGUAUGUAAAUGCAGAGGUCUACCUCCCACGUUUCCUUCCUCUAAUGCAUCAUGCGAUGCAAUUCCUAAUACUAUGAUGCUAUCAAGAGGUUUUGCAUCGCGUUGUGCAUAUAAUGAGUACACCCCUUUGGAAUUGAAUUAGUUUCAUGAGGCAAUAUUAAGGGCAGGACAUACAUUUAAAAAUAUUGAGGAGUUUUGAAAUGCAAUAUACUAGAUGUCAUUAGGUGAGAGGUUUCAAUAGAAGUACAAGAAAAAUUCACCUACUCAUAUGUCCAUAAAGUGUUCGGUUGAGGGUUGUCCUUGGAAGAUAACAGUUCACGCUGUAGAAGGGAAUGUAAUCUUGUGAGUUCAUACUUACCAAGUGAAUCGUAAUCAUAUAGCUCAAGAUGAGUGUUCAUCUAAGGUGAGGGUUACUUCAAAGAGAGGCAUUGUUAUUGUUGAAGAUGUGUUUAGAACCACUCCAGAAUAUCUUCCUUGUCAAAUAUGCAAGGAUUUGAAUGUGAUCAUGGAGUUGAAUUGACAUAUAACCAAGCAUGGCACCUUAAAGAGAAGGAAAAAUAGCACAUAUAUGGAGCUCCACGUGAGUCCUACGUGUUUUUGCCUUGGUUAUGCCAUAGACUAAGGGAAAUAAACCUUGGAACUAUUGUGGAGUACACUUCUCAUAAAGGUCAUUUCAUGCAAUUGUUCAUUGACCAUGCAUUUUCAAUUCAAGGGUUCAUCAUGGGGUGUCGAUCGAUAUUGGCAAUUGAUUCUUGCCACCUAAGCGGUCCAUAUAAGGGAGCUCUUUUGUCUACCAUUGCAUAUAAUGUAAACGAUAGAAUGUUCCCUCUAGCUCUUGGUGUGGUCAGUUUAGAAAAUUAUGAAGACUAGUAUUUAUUCUUGGAGAAAUUAAAGGGGGUCCUAGAUGGUAAAGAAGUAAUUAUUAUAUCAGAUAGACAUCAGGGGAUAUUCUAUAAUGUUUCCAAGUUGUUUGGGACAGAAAAUCAUGCAUAUUGUUAUCGACAUGUGAAGAAAAACUUUUCUAGCUUUUUCAAUAGGCAAAACAUUAGAGGAAAGAAAGGGAAAGAAGAUGCUUUGUUGCUUUUGGACAACAUUGUGUAUGCUAGGUUGGGUAUAGACUACAAUGAGCCAUUUGAAAAACUUGUGCACUUCAAUGACAACCUAGCAAAAUGGGUUAUGGAAAACAAUCCCAAGCAUUAGGCGAUGUCAAAGUUCCUUAAAAAAUUUUGGGAUAAAAAGACAACUAAUAUUGUAGAGUCCUUCAAUGCAUGGUUAAGAGAUGAGCGCCACCAAACAAUUUAUACGUUGUUGUUGAUGCACAUGGAUAAGCUUGUAGGCAUAUUGGACACCCAUAUUCGUGGCUACCUUAUUUGGGGGAGGGGAGGGGAGGGGGGGGAGGGGGGGGGGGGGGACAUUUAAGGGGUUUAUUGGGGAGGUUUAUUUGGUUGUGGAUAUGCAUCAACGUAUGUGUACUUGUAUGACAUGGAAAAUGUCCGGAUUGCCCUGUGCCCCUGUAUGUGCUGUCAUCCCCCCAAUGGGACCCCACGUGUAUGAGUUUAUCGACCCCUGUUUUCAUGUUUCCCCUCCACCUUUGAUUUACUCGGGAUAAUUUCAACCCUUNNNNNNNNNNNNNNNNNNNNNNNNNNNNNNNNNNNNNNNNNNNNNNNNNNNNNNNNNNNNNNNNNNNNNNNNNNNNNNNNNNNNNNNNNNNNNNNNNNNNUAGGUUGGGUAUAGACUACAAUGAGCCAUUUGAAAAACUUGUGCACUUCAAUGACAACCUAGCAAAAUGGGUUAUGGAAAACAAUCCCAAGCAUUAGGCGAUGUCAAAGUUCCUUAAAAAAUUUUGGGAUAAAAAGACAACUAAUAUUGUAGAGUCCUUCAAUGCAUGGUUAAGAGAUGAGCGCCACCAAACAAUUUAUACGUUGUUGUUGAUGCACAUGGAUAAGCUUGUAGGCAUAUUGGACACCCAUAUUCGUGGCUACCUUAUUUGGGGGAGGGGAGGGGAGGGGGGGGAGGGGGGGGGGGGGGACCUUUUAAGGGUUUUUUGGGGAGGGUUUUUUUGUUGUGGAUAUGCCUCCACCUAUGUGUACUUUUUUUAAAUGGAAAAUGUCCCGAUUGCCCUGUGCCCCUGUUUUUGCCGUCCUCCCCCCCAUGAGACCCCACCUGUAUGAAUAUAUCCACCCCUGUUUUCCUGUCCCCCCCCCACAUUUUAUUUUCCCCGGAUAAUUUCCACCCUUUCCCAUGCCCCACAUGCCCCAAGUUUGUGAGGAUGGGAGUUUGCCACCCCCCCCUGUGUGACCUCCCCCCGGAAGAUCCCCACCAAAGCCCCUUUAGUCCUAAUUUUGUCCUAAAAAAACAAUUCCUUUCUCCCCAUGUAAUGGCCAAAGUAAAAACCACCCCAAAAAUAAAAAUUCCUUGUUGUGACAUGUCCCCUUUUUUGCUUGUAAGGUUUUCUUAUUUUUUACCCUCCCNNNNNNNNNNNNNNNNNNNNNNNNNNNNNNNNNNNNNNNNNNNNNNNNNNNNNNNNNNNNNNNNNNNNNNNNNNNNNNNNNNNNNNNNNNNNNNNNNNNNAGACUAUAAAGAGUAGAGUCACUCUCACUUAGCAGGCAAGCAGGCCUAUCUAGUUGAGAGCUUGGGAGAGAAAUUAGGCGGCCACAAUGGGAAUUGACACGUGGGCGAUUAUGUCUCCACCUCAAGUACAACUGGGCUUAAAUUUUAAUAGUGGAGGUAAUCAAUUUGAACAUCAUUUGGAAACAUAAAACAUAUUCUGAUGAUGGUGGUAUUUAUUCGGUAUUUGGGAAAAGAGAAUGGGUUGUAGAAUGAAGUGGAUGAGGAUGGAGUUUUCUUUUUGGGGGGGGGGGGGGGGGACAUUUAAGGUGUUUAUUGGGGAGGUUUAUUUGGUUGUGGAUAUGCAUCAACGUAUGUGUACUUGUAUGACAUGGAAAAUGUCCGGAUUGCCAUGUGCACAUGUAUGUGCUGUCAUCCGCACAAUGAGACACGACGUGUAUGAGUAUAUCGACCCAUGUUUUCAUGUCUCCACUCAACAUUUGAUUUACUCGGGAUAGUUUCAACCAUUACCAAUGCACAACAUGCCCAAAGUUUGUGAGGAUGGGAGUUUGCAACCUCCACAUGUGUGACGUCCUCCAGGAAGAUCCCGACAAAGGCGCAUUGAGUCAUAAUUUAGUCAUAAGAGAACAAUUCAUUGCUCUCGAUGUAAUGGCAUAGGUAAUAACUACUCUAAAUAUAAUAAUUCAUUGUUGUGACAUGUCCCUUUUUGUGCUUGUAAGGUUUUCUUAUUUUGUACCAUCCCUCAUUAUUCCAUUCUAUGGUAUAUGGUAGGGGGGGUUAAUUGAUUUUGGUUCUUAUGUAUUGGUCUUGUUAUAGGCACGAUGAACUAUCUUUUUAUUUUUACAAUUCAGUGUUGGUUUGAUUAAUCACUUUAAUUGAAAGUACAAUUUGAAUGUGGUAUCUUUUCACUUGUUGUUUAAUUUCAUAAAGGUGUCUACAUUAUGAUGUAUUUCUUGUUUUGCAUUAUCAAAAUAAUGUUGAAUAUUAAGAGGGAGUAGGGUUGUUGAGGUUAUCGAUCUCAAUCUUGAUUAAUUUCAAGGUGUAAUUGUUCUCAUAGAUUUCAUCAAUGAAGAUCUCUAUUUAGCCAGAAUCACUAACUUUUAGUUAAUGAAAACAAUAGAAUACCUACAUUGUCACAUUUACAUUUACUUCUAUGCACUCUGGUAUGGCCAUUUUUUCACAUCUUGAAUGGUUAGAUGGACAAAACAUCAUUGUUAGUCCAACAACUUUUAGUUGGACAUGUUCUUACAAAUAUUGGGGCUGAAUAAAGUGCAUAUAGCAUCUCUUUCUCGUUGAAUUAACUGUGCUUUAUAUGUACGUACUUUUCUUGCUACUAAACUACAAAAGCAGUUGCAACAAUUGUCUUGUUGUGUGAAGCAUUAUUCAUGCCAGAAAAUAAGUCCACCAUUGUAUAAUAUUUUAGAGUGAACCAUGUAAUUGAUUGGCAUGUCACUAUAGAAUCAAUUUUUUAACAAUGUUUAAACUUCUCUUCAUUUUAAUAUGAUAUUGUUAUGCUCUUCUCAUCCUUAAGGUUCAUUAUAUUGAACUAAUACAUAUUAGACAAUGUCAAAUUUGUAAUAUAAUUUAUUAUUGAGUUGCAACUCUCAUCCUCAAACAAUUUUUGCAGUUUGACUGGUUUUUUAACAAUUUUUUUGCUUUGGGAUGUCAAUUAUUUAGAACCAGAUUCCAUUGGUUUAGUGAUGUCUUUGAUAAAUAUCUUCAUGUUCAGUAGUUGUUGUAUUUAAAGUUGAGGGUCUACUCUAAUGUAAUGUAAACUUGAGAUAAAUCUAUCCCAAGGAUAAAUGAAUUUUUGAAUUGCUAAUUUGCUAAAAAUGUUAGUAGUUUGAUUGGUUCAUGGUUGAAUUAGUGUGUUGCAAUGUGUUUUAGAUUUGUUAGAGAUUUUUUUGUGUUUCACAUUUGAGAAACUAACUAUCAAUUAAAUAUAGAUUGUCCCCAGUAAACUUGUCUCUUCUCCGCAUAUCACUAUCCACAUGGUUGAGGUGUUCAGAUGCAUGGAUAGUUGUUGUCAGCUCUUGAUGUUGUAUCUCUUUGAAGCCUAAAUGAGAAAGAAAGUUUGUUAUUAAAUUAUGCCACUUAUUGGUCUUGGUCUUUUUUUUUUUUUUUUGGGAGAGAGAGGGGGAGGGUUUGUCCUUUAUUAUUUCCACUUUUUGGUCUUUUCUUCUUAUCGCAUCACAUUAUGCUUGCACCUAUUUGAAGUCGUGAUGAACUCCGAACAUGUAAGAAAAUCUGUCUUUCAAGGUCUCUCCAAUGAGAUAUACUUGUUACGUAGCUUGACCCUAGGGUUAUUCUAUAUUAAAUUCUUCAUUAUGUGAAUUCUGGUAAGUUGGCAAAAGAAUAGUAGUUCAUAUAAGUACUUGCUUCCGAAGUGGAAGUUCUAUCCUAAAUUGCCAUUUUUUGGGUUUAAUUCAUUGAUUUUUUCCUUAUAAAUCUGAAUAUGGUGUGCCAUUACCAAAUUUAUCAGUCUGAUGAAUGGUAUGGCUGUUUAAAUGACCAUUCACUUUAUUAUGAGUUAUUCUAGGUGGGAAAUAACUACUAUAAACCAGAUUUCAAGUAAGCAGUUGCUGCAAGGUUGAAGCCUACAAGGAUAUUUUCAUUCUUCAAUGGCCUCUGUGGAGGUAAUGUAUUAUUUCAUGUAUUUUAUUUUCAUCAAUUUUCUCUAGAACUUAAGAUUUUAGCCUACUUGAGACAAUUAAUUGUGUUAUGUGUUAAGGAUUGUUUAUUGCAUGAGCAUUCACUUUCAAAUUAUUGAUCCACAUGAGCUCAUUGUCAGGACAAACUAUAACUAGGCAGCUAUUAUGCAAUUUGUUAGAACAUCUAGUACAAAAUUUAAUUCCGCGUUCAAUGGCAACAGUUAUAUACUCUUUUUUAGGCUACAUGAGAUUGAACCUAAGACUUCUUUAUAUUAACCAUUCCUUAAUCUCUAACUUCUUCCAUCUUUAUUCCCUUAAGUUUUCAAAUCCAAUCAUUAGGGACAUUGCAUUAGGCCCUAUUCAGAUUUGAACUAUUAUUGGCUACAAAAUAAUACACCCAUAUUACUAAUUCAAAUCAUUUAUACUAGAAAUAGAGAAUGUAAAAUUUAUGACAUAUGAAAUAGAUUACACUAAAUUUUAUAGAAAACAUUCAGGAAUUUGUAGCACUAGUUAAGAAAGGAACCUUACCUCGUGAAAUUGAUGCUCUAGCUCCAACUUUGACCAACCACGUCAUGAAAUUAGAUUAAAAUCCAUGGCAGUGGCGAUUAAUUAGAUAAAAAGGCAUAGAUCAUGAACAGUAAGAAGCUUCAAUGCACAGUCCAUUUUUCUCAUGUCCACUACAAUUUAGACCUAUACUAUUUCUCCACAAUACUUAAUUAGCAGCUGUAUUUAUGUUAAUGGUUUUUGAGACUAUUGAUCUCCAACAAUUUUAAAGCAGGCCACCAGAUUGUCGACACACUGCUCAACUUCAAGAUUCCUAAAACUAUGCAAUAGGUUACCGAAUGAUAAAUUGGAAGUGGUUCAAGACCUCCAGUUUGGAGGUCUUCUUAACAUAAACUAUAAGGAGAUAUGCCACAAUAUGUCUUUGGCUAAUCCACCAUUUUAAUGUUGGAUUCGGAUGCAUAGACAUCUCAGCCGACAAAAAAAUAUGAUGUUAUAGCUGUUGAUGUGGGGCUUGUCUUUGGCCUUCCGAAAAAUCGGAUGAAUUCUACCAAUUGCAUCAACCCCAUUUGAUCUUCCGUUCGGUACAAUCUGCACAUGUGAGGAGAGGCUCCUUAACUUACUUGUUGGAGAGGAGUUCUGAAUAUGCUUCAUUUACUACAUUUGUGCGACAAUAUUGGCCCCCACCUCAAGAAUUGAUGGAUGUCGAAACUUAUGGCAUACCAUCCAUGAAGAUGGUUUCAUAAAUGAUGUUAACUGGGGCCAAUUUGUUAUUAACAUGCUUGUAGAGGGUAUAAAAUGAUACAAGCAAAGUAAUAGUGCUUGGGUACAUGGUUGCAUCCUCUUUCUACAGGUAUUGCAUUUUUUUUACAUGUGUUACUUGAUAAUUUUUGAAUUGUUAACAUCAAUAGCCCCAACUAACCAUUGCACAUAUGUUUAUUUGCAUGGUGCAACUCCAUUAUGUCAUGAAAUUCAAGAUUCCUUCCAUCCAUAUUCCCAUUACAGUGCCCUAACUGUCAGCAUAGACAAAUAAGUUGAUAAAUCAGCAACUAGCUGUUGAGAUCAAGGAGUUUGGAACUUUUGGACAUGGCGAGGUAGUCAUAUAGUCUAUAUGCAUGUAGAAAUGUAAUUUGAUGACAUGCCAAUUGAACACUUUAAAGGUCUAUGUGUUCUAAACAAGCGUCAUGUUCUUAAUUGUAGGGGUUCGAUGAAUCGCCACCACCACCUACACAUGUGAAGGCCGAGAGUAGGCCCAUGAGUAGUGAUGUACGCAUGAUUUGUUGUUAUUUUACGACUUCAAUCCAUUUCAAUGGGAUUAUAAUUGGGCUUACUUAUCAAAAUAUUGUAAAAUAAGGGUUUUAAAUUUCUUUUAAAAGAUUUUUAUACUGAAUAGACUUGUGCACUUCGGUUGACAUGUGAUAGGAAAUCUAGGAGCAAUACCAUAAAGUAGAACACACAAUAACGAACUAUCAGAAGGGCAUACAAUAGCAACCUGGCGUCAUACGUGGGCUAAUGCAAAGAUUGGGGGCUCGAAGAGAAAUAGGUGUACCUUCGAGUGUUACUGGUCACUCUGGGUAUUCAUCUGAUGUCUUUCUCGUGCCCGAGUAGCAUCCAAACUCUGCCUAAGAUGACAUGGCAUGGCAUGGUACACAAGACGUACCUGACACACCACUUAGGUAGCUAACCCUAGAUUUUCAUACGGAGGUCGAAGAGUCAAAGUCAAAACUUAAUGGUAACAUUCUAGGGGACAUUCAUUACUGCAAUAGUUCCUACAAAAUAACUAAUGUAAUAGUGUCCUUUAUUAAACUGAUUAGUUGUUAGUCCAAACCAACAAAUGAUGAAGUAGUUGUCCAUGACAUAAUUCCUUUGCGUUCUGUGAUUUUGGCCCCGUCCGAGAGGGGAGGGAGGAGAUAGAGAGUGCAUUAGAUGGCUCCCAAUCUAUUGUCACCAUUCAUAGCGCAGCCACAAAUACGACAGUCUACCAUAAAGAUGGACCUGAAACAAGCAGUUGUAGUUGUAUUUGAUGGGGAUUUGGACCCAAGGUAUGUAGAACCAUAUUCUACUCCAAUUUCAAUUAUAUGAACUUGAAAAAAUUUGUAUUACCCUAACAUAUAUGUUUAUGGUGACAGUGAGGAACUAGUGGCAAUGCAUGACACAAGUUUAAGUAGAGGCAAUCUCGCCUUUUUAGAAUGAGACAAUUGGAUUAGGAAUGAUGUUAAUAUCACAAUUGAUCCAUGAUCUUCCAUUAUUUUAAGUUUCAAUUCAAGUAACAACUGGUCAUUAGUGAUUGUUAAUCUUGCUUACACAUUAAUCAUUUUUUGCCUUAGGUCGUGGAUGCAUAUUGUAGGAUGCUGCAGUUUGAAGAUGUAUCAAAGAUAAAACUGUUUUUUUUUUUUUUUUUUGAUAUACAUAGUUGUAAUGAAGAACUUUUAUAGAGAUUGAAUUUCAAUGAUUAGUUGUUAUAACAUGUACAAAAGUUUUGCUAAAUUUGAAAGCUUUAAUUGUUUCCAUAUGAUAUGUAGGAAAUGGUCAUGUGCUCCAACACUAAACACUUGACGAGAGAAGCACUAAUAGCCCGUUUUGAACCACAUUUGUAUCCCAUGGAUGUUUCAUAUCGGAAUGUGAAUGAGGUGAGGUGGACUGCAUUGUUUUAUGUUUGUAAUAUUAUAAUCUCAUUAACCCAAUAUUGGUUGUAAUUGAUUGUAAGUCGAAUAAUACAGGUCUACUUACCGGUUAGUGUAAAGAACCAUUGGACACUAUAUGUUUAUGACUUGCAGAACAAGAGAAUCCAACUCCUGGAUUCUCGUUUGAGAAGGAGGAGGAGUUGUAUGAGUGGAAUACAACAUAAUUUGGUAAAGUAGCUUGUAGUUGGGUAUACUUUUUUGCAUUGUACAUAAGAAUGGAAGUUUAAAUUUGUGAAAGAAUUGAUUGUUUCAGGCGAAGGUUGUACUAUGGCUUGCUACCCACAAGAAGGAAGUAUUGGAUAUAGAUUUGAAGAUGUUCAGUUUCAUGACGCCAAAUGUACUGGCCCAGCCAAAUGAGUGAGUGUUUAGGUUGCAGUCCAAAAUAAUGUUUAAAUUGAUUGAAACUUAUUUUAAGUAUAUUAUAAUUGUCAUUCCACAAAUAAUGAAUAAUCUGUCGUAAUAUUCUAUGUUAGCCAUAACUACAGAAUAUUUAUUAUGAAAUUCAUGGACUACUGGUCAAUGGGAGGAUUCUCCAAAUCCAUUGAUGUGGUAUGUACAUGCACCAAAGUAUUAUAAUCUCAUUUAUAUGAAAUUAGCAUUACAUAGGCAACUUAAUUAACAUUUUCUUAUAUGUCUUUUAAACUUGAAUGAAUAUAGGGCAAGUUGAAGAAGUAUAGACUGAAGAUUAUGGGCAUAUUGUUGUUUUCCACAUAGAAUCAACAUCGACAUUGAUUUAUGGCAGAAUGAUGGGGAUUGUUGAAUUGGAUGUGACGAGGUUAAAUUGAGAUGGUUGUACAUUAUUUGAGAAAAACAAAUUGAUGUAAAUGUAUGCAUAUGUUAUUUGGUAGUAUUUGGGGCAGAAUACAUAGAUAGAUUACAAGUUAAGACCGAUUUAAAUUAAAACUGACCACAAUGAAAUGGUGAAGACUUCAGACUGAUUUUGGACAUAAUCACAAGUGAAAUGAAGUUGUAUAAUAGAACUAUGUCAUAUAUUACUACCUCAGCUAUGGUGACUUGAUUUUUCAAGUAACACGGUGUUAUUGGGAAUGUGGAAAUAGGUGUGGAGGUUGAUUUUGGACAUGUAGAUUACGAUGAUAGUGACAAUUACACAAUGUGAUCUUAUAGGAAAGCUAUUGUUCAAAACUGAAUGUAAUUGUAUGGCAAUUGUACAAGGACUUUGGUUAAAGUGUUUUUUUUUUUUUUGUUUAAAAGUAUAUUGAUUGUAUAAGAGAGUAUUGUCAUUUGAAUUAUGUAAGGAGUUUAAUUAAGGUUGAUAUUACAAUUGAUAAGAAGGUAUUAGGUGGUGGGUGUUUAAUUGAAUUAAUUGUCUUCUAGUUUUAAUAUAUUAUGUCUACCAUAUUAGUUACACUAAACUUUAUGCCCAAGUAUGUUGGGUUUAAUAAUAUUUGUGUACUUCUAGUGGGAAAACUAGAUAGGUAUAUGGAUUUACCUUAGGGAUUAAAUAUCUCCAUUUAAUUGAGGUAUUACUUCCAGGUAAUAGGUAGAGAAUUGUAAUGAAAACCCAAAAACUCCUUUAACUGCUUGUUUCAUGUCAAAAAUUAUAUUGUUCCAACCCAUCUACAUUUUCACUGUAAAGAGCAGCAAAAGGUUCCUUUUCAGUGGGACCAAACCAAAUAGGAAAGCUGUAAAUUGAAGUUUGAAUCAAAGUUGAAAAUGAUACAAAUAGAUUAAGGAAAAUUAAGGUUAGACUUGAGAGUAGGGAUUUAGGAUGUCCAAGCGGACAAGUAGAAUGAAUUUGAUGUAUCUUUAUGGGACAUAAGAUACAGUAGAUAUCAUUGAAGUCAUGUGACAUUCAUCAUUAGGAGGAACAUAAACAAAAGUCAAUAAAGAUGAAUCAAGUCCAUUGCAAGAAUGGUUAAUUUGAUCAAUUUAAUGAAUGUGCCAUUGCAAUGCAGUGUUGAAGUAGGAUGGUAACUUGUUUAGCAUCAUAUGCCAUGAGGCGUGUGUCCUUAGGAUUCUAAUUUACUAUCUAACUUUAUUGAAUAUAAUUGCAUGGUUUGUUGUACCAAACUCCCAAUCAAAAGACAACAAACAAUAAAAGAGUCAAAACAUUUUAUCCCAUUUGGAGGCUUAUUGAAUAUAUGAUGACCAUUCCCACUUGGUGAACCAUCUUAUGUAUCAUGCCCCCUGCACAUAUGGAUGCUUCAAAUUUCCUACUUUUCUAUAAUAAUAAUAUAUCUUAAUAGGUUUAUAAUUAUCACAAUCAGAAUGGUUUGACAAGAUUUAUAUCUUAUAAUGGAAAAGAGAAUAUAACAUAGAACUGGUUACAUGGAAGGACAUAAAUAGUGUAACUCGAAUCUAAUCGGACAUGUAUUCAAGUAUGCGCAAAAUGUUUUCAUACUCCCACAUUGACAAAUCCUGACCAUUGUCUUAUGCAAAUUGGAUGCAAAUACGCAAUAAUGACUCACGAGCUCUAUGAUGCAUCAUUCGAUUAUUUGCUAUGUGUAUCUCAACUAAUGCAUAUUCAAAUGCAAACAUUCUUUCAUGAUGCAUGUGAACAACAAUUAAUGGGGGAACCUCGACAAGUAGCUGUUGUAAUUCCAUGACUAAAUCAAUUUGUUGUUGCAUAUUAUAAGCCCACUCUCUACGCAUUAUUCGUAAUUGAUCAUUGAAGCUAGCACCAUGUGGAACGCUUAAGAUGUCUUCAACUAGGAUCUAAUUCCUUCUUGAAUCCAUCCUCUUAUGAACAAAUAAAUUGAAUGAUGGCAAAAGAAAUUCGUAUAACACAAGAAACCCUUAUUGUAAGGCGAUAUUGUAAAUGUCAUGGAUAGAGUUCUAUAUAUAUAUAUAUAACAAAUGCAGUAAGAAACAUUCAUUUCAUUGAAUAUUUAGUGUAAUGAAAAUAAGAAGAAAAAAAAAUGAGGUUGGAUUUUGAUAGUGCUCUAUUAGAUGUGACUAGACAUACAUAUUUUAAUGACAAGACAAUGAUGUUCUCCAUUUCCCAAUGGCAUUACAAAUUUUAAAUGUUACCAUUGUAAUGGAAGUUGGUGCACAUGAGUGUUAAUAUGAAAAGACAACAAAAAGUAUUGUCACAAGUUGGCAUAGAUGCAUGUGCCAGUCUGAAAUUGAGAAGACAAUAAAAAAGACUCAUCUAAAGUUGACAAGAUUAGACUAAAGUACUUUGAAUGGCCCACAAAUCACUAUCGAGAUUCAUUGUAUGCAAUUGUCAUAGGAAACAGUGAAAAUAUGACAUGAUAUGUACACAACAGAGACACUAUAGCAUAUAUUUAUUUGAAAGUAAGGAAAUUGAAAUUUUAACUGUCUUCAGUUGUUAAUCAAAAUUUUGGGCAUAUGCACACUUCUUUGGCAGGUUCAACUGUUAUUGUAAGUGAUAGACGAUAGAAGGGGUAGACGAUAUCUUCACUUAGGGAAGUACUAUUGGCCAAGGGAUAUAUUUGAGCUAUCAAGCCCAUAUUGGGCAUUAGGAGAUGAUAAUUUCAUGUACUUACUAAAGCCAUUGGAGAAGUAUUUGGAUGUGACCAUGUGCACCAUGGAAAAUGAGUAGAUGCAUUUGGGGGAGGAAUCAACAAUUCUAGUCCAACAACUGACUAUUUUAAGUGUACAUGUACCACGUAGAAAUUCGUUGUCUGUUCGUCAAUACAAUCAAAUUAGUUUAUCCGAAGCACUUAAUAAGAUCAGGGAGGAAAACAACAUGAUGGCUAUUAAAAAAAAUAGGGUAAUAAUGUUGGAAGAGGCAUGGAACAAGGCAUUGGCAAAUGGUAAAGAACUCAAUGAAGAGGAAGAAGCAAAAAUUUUGUCUCUACUAUAAUGCAAAUUGGAUUUUGAAAUCUCUGGUGAGGAGUAGUAACAUAUAUGAAUGACCUUACCUGAAUGAACCUUAUGUAACGUAUGUAAUAUUGUACUCCGAAUUUUGGGAUAUUUGUUGCAACUUAAGUAAGCAAAUGGCUAAUAAUUAAUGAUCAACUUUGAUUCCAAAUGUCCCAUUAUUAACUGACCACCCCAUGGUAUAACAUUCAAAUUAACGUCACAUAUUGUUAGUCUUACAAUCAAUUUUAAAUAACAUUGGCAUAUUACAUGUCAUGGCGUAUCGAAUAUAUUCAUUCUGUACACAUUAUAGGUGAAGUACAAUUUGGUUAAGAAAAAUUAAUAACUAUCUUUUUGAAUUUACCAAUGAUUCACAUUUUGCCACUUUUUGUCAAUAUGUGAUAGCAAAAUAAAAUAAUAAUAAUAAUAAUAAUAAUAUAUAUGUUAUAGCAAACCGAAUCGAAUAUAUUCGUUCUAAAGAUCUUUCCGGGAGCCAGAUAUGACGUUAUAAUGUAGGUGAAGAACACUUUGAUCAUAGGAUAUUAUUAACUUUUACCAAUGACUGAAAGUGAGGGUUCACGAGAACACUAUUCAUCUUAAAAUUGACUACACAAUGACACUUUUAAAAAGCACACGUAUUUAUAUUUAAAAUUUUAAUGUAGGUCUUGUACUUUUAUGUGUGUAUUGCAGAUAGGCCCUCAUGCCAAUAUUAUGACUAGGCCCUCCAACCAUUCUUAAAACUAUAUAAAUGCUAUAACCUCAACUUUAACACCAUUGUCUGGUUCAAAGCACCAUGUAAAGAACCUUGAUUCCAAACGGAUAACAACCAUAUUGUUCAAGUAUGUUUGAAGACAUAAAUUUAUAUUUCAUUUCUUCAAUUAAGCAUAUUAUCAAUGUUAUUGGCAAAUAUGAAAGAAAUACUCAUGCAAAGAUUGUGUGAACCCGCAUUUUUCACGUGUACCCCCACUCGAUCGGCGAGACUUGCUUUCAUUUGGUGAAGAUUUUGUUUUUGGAAAAGUCGGAGUCGCCACUUAUUUUACUUUAUUUUUAAAGGGAAAAUAAAACAAGAAAUAAAACCCUAAAAAAUGACUCCAUAGUUUUUGGAAAAGCAUGUCUUUGAAAAACCCGAGUCUAGGUCUAGGGAUCGGGUUACUUAUUGAGAAGGUGCCUCUAGGAGAUAGCACCCCUCUAAGCCCUAGAAAGGUCUCUACUGACUACGUUGAAGGAAAUGUGGCAAUCAACUGAUUAAUUGAGGGUACCUAGGUAGGCUAAGGUGAUAUCAAAACUAGCAUGCCAAACAAGAAAAACCAAUCACACCCAUAAAGGAAAGUUAGGAUGCGUACCUAGACCAUUUCUUAAGCGCUAUCAUAAAACAUCAAUGGUUAGUUUAGAUAAUAUAUCACUCAACAUGAAUUUUAUCAUGAAUGAUCAAACAAUGUAGCAAAUAUCAAGAUAUCCCAAGCAUUCUCAAACAUAGGUAUAAUUCAUAAUGACAAUCAUAUUUACAGAAUUUAGAAGGUAGGUGACAAGAGACGUACUUGGAUAGCAUAGAUAACUUGUAACAUGCUUCCACAAGACAUGAAAGGUUAGAUAACAAACAAUAAAAUAAGAAGUCCUAGCAUGCUUGUUAUCUAAUUAGCAUAGAAAAAAAUUAUCACAAUAUACGAAACCAUCAAUUAUCACUUAUAUCUUCUAUAUAAUUCCUAAAAAUUAAAUAGACAUGAGUUCAUCAAAUAGCAAAGGGGGCAACAAAGAUGAGUUUUGAAAAUUUUCCUUAUGUAGGGGUUUCACCAAUUCCCCGAUUGAUAUACAAAAAUCUAGCCUAGAAUUAUCCCAUUUGUUUGGGACCACAAGCUUGGAUUCAUGUCUUACUCAAAACUUUAAUUUUAUUUGCAAUUUAAGAAAGAUGCGAACUGAUCAAAACAUGGUUGCACAUUAUUUGAGAAAAUGAGAUUUCGAUUCUAAGAACUCUAAAUGAAUUUUUGAAAUGGAUUUUUAAAGGGGUCUUUUGAGAAUAGUGUUAUGUUUUAAAAAUAAAAGAAAUUAAUUUGAAAACAUAUAAAACAUAUGAAUCAAAAUACCAAGCAAAACAAAAGAAAACAAAAUCACAAAGUAGAAUUUUUUAUAACCGAGAAAAUUGAAGUGGUGAGAAUGGAGGCCAAUCUUCACUAUUUUCUGAUGGCCUCCUAAAAUUAAAUUUUACCAAAUACUACCAAAGCAAUAAACUAUUCAAACUUAGAUCAAAUAAGCUAACGAGAUACCCACCAAGAAUUAAUGACGAAUAUUCAAGAAACACAUCCAUUAAGAAUAACAAUCAAGAAUUAGCAUGAGAUCAAUUAAACACACAAACACAUCUAGAUUGAUUAAAAUGAACCAAAUUAAAUCAAAGCAAACAAUAAUUUUCAAACAUAGAAUUAACUUUAUUAAUGAACUAAUAUUAUAUAAAAUACCUAAAUCGAAAAGAUGUGUGAAACUAAAUUAGAGUAAACUAAAGGCAUGAAUUUUCAAAUAUAGAUUGAUUUUAUUAAUGACCUAAAAUUAUACAAACUCCUAAAAUAAUUAAAAUGAAUCAAUUUAAACGAAAGGAAACUAAAACAAAAUAUGAAUUCAAGGAAUCUAAUUUCGAAAUAAACUUACAUUAUUAAAAUGAAAUAUAGGCUUAAAAAAAAUAUAUUCAAACAUAGAAUUAACUUUAUUAAUGAACUAAUAUUAUAUAAAAUCACUAAAUCGAAUAGAUGCAUGAAACUAAAUCGGAGUAAACUAAAGGCAUGAAUUUUCAAAUAUAGAAUUGAUUUUAUUAAUGACCUAAAAUUAUACAAACUCCUAAAAUAAUUAAAAUGAAUCAAUUUAAAUGAAAGGAAACUAAAACAAAAUAUGAAUUUAGGGAAUCUAAUUUCGAAAUAAACUUACAUUAUUAAAAUGAAAUCUAGGCUUAAAAAAAAAUUUCAAACAUAGAAUUAACUUUAUUAAUGAACUAAUACUAUAUAAAAUACCUAAAUCGAAUAGAUGUGUGAAACUAAAUAAGAGUAAACUAAAGGCAUGAAUUUUCAAAUAUAGAAUUGAUUUUAUUAAUGACCUAAAAUUAUACAAACUCCUAAAAUAAUUAAAAUGAAUCAAUUUAAACGAAAAGAAACUAAAACAAAAUAUGAAUUCAGGGAAUCUAAUUUCGAAAUAAACUUACAUUAUUAAAAUGUAAUCUAGGCUUAAAAAAAAAAUUCAAACAUAGAAUUAACUUUAUUAAUGAACUAAUAUUAUAUAAAAUACCUAAAUCAAAUAGAUGUGUAAAGCUAAAUAAGAGUAAACUAAAGGCAUGAAUUUUCAAAUAUAGAAUUGAUUUUAUUAAUGACCUAAAAUUAUACAAACUCCUAAAAUAAUUAAAAUGAAUUAAUUUAAAUGAAAGGAAACUAAAACAAAAUAUGAAUUCAGGGAAUCUAAUUUUGAAAUAAACUUACAUUAUUAAAAUGAAAUCUAGGCUUAAAAAAAAAUUUUCAAACAUAGAAUUAACUUUAUUAAUGAACUAAUAUUAUAUAAAAUACCUAAAUCGAAUAGAUGUGUGAAACUAAAUCAGAGUAAACUAAAGGCAUGAAUUUUCAAAUAUAGAAUUGAUUUUAUUAAUGACCUAAAAUUAUACAAACUCGUAAAAUAAUUAAAAUGAAUCAAUUUAAAUGAAAGGAAACUAAAACAAAAUAUGAAUUCAGAGAAUCUAAUUUCGAAAUAAACUUACAUAAUUAAAAUGAAAUCUAGGCCUAAAAUAUAUAUAUAUAUAUAUUUAACACUAAUAAAGGCAAGUCUAAAAUCAAAUAUUUAACACCUAAUAUUAAUUAUUUUAACGAACAAAAAUUUUACAAGAGCACCUAAACCUGAAGUUAAACAAAAACACUAACCAUAAUAUAUUUUAAAACAAGAUCUCUAACCUAUAGAAUUAAUUUUAUUGACAUAUGGAUAAAUAGACAACACAAAAAUAAAUAAUAUAAUUAAAAAAAACAUGAAUUAAUGGAAUCAAUUUUCUAAAUAAACUUACAUUAUAAAAAUGAAAUCCAAGCUUAAAAUGAAUUAAACACUAAUUAAAGCCAAUCUAAACUUAAAUUCUUAAUACACAUGAUCAAUUAUUUUAACAAACUAAAAUUUUACGUUAACCACAAAUUAAAUUAAUGGAAUCAAUUUUCUAAAUAAACUUACAUUAUAAAAAUGAAAUCUAAGCUUAAAAUGAAUUAAACACUAAUUAAAGCCAAUUUAAACUUAAAUUCUUAAUACACAUGAUCAGUUAUUUUAACAAACUAAAAUUUUACCUUAACCACAAAUUAAAUUAAAAAACUACUUGAGAUAAAUUUCUAACCUAUAAAAUUAAACUCAUAAUCAAAUGGUUAAGUUGAUGACACAGACAAAAAAAUAUGAAUGAACUAAAAUAUGAAUGAAAUAAAAUAUGAAUGAAAUGAAAUACAAACUCAAGGAAUUAAAUAUUUUUUUUAAUAAACUUAUGUUAGUAAAAUAAAUUUGAGCUUAACAAACAUUUUUAUCACUAAUUAAGGCAAUUUUAAAAUAUAAUACUUAACACAUAAAAAUCAAUCAUUUCAACAAACUAUAAUUUUAACUAAACCUAAAACCAAUUCAAACCACCUUCAAUAGAUUUUAUUUUAUUUUAUUUUAAACUGAAUUUUUAACCCAUAGGUUCAAUCUCAUUAAUAAAUAAAUAAAUAAAUAAGUUACAAAGCAUUAGAUUAGUAGCAAAUAAAUAAAUAAACAACUAAUAAUUAAAUGAAUCAAAACUAAAUUAAAUAAAGAUCAAACUAUAUGUUUUUUCUUAAAGUAAAACUACAUAAAAAAAAUUAUGUUUUCCAAAUUUAAUAUAAUAAAUCAAAAACUAACCCUAAACACAAUUCUCAUGUUGCCAUAUUAAAACGAAACAAAUACAUGUUGGCACUAGUAAUAAAAGUCAAUCCACUUACCUAUUAUAAUAAUAAUUCCACUAAAGAAAAAUAUCCAAACUUGCACUGUUACAUAAACCUAAAUAACAAUUCUAGUCUUUAAACUCAUGCUACCAUAUUCAAAAUCAAUACACGCCGGAACUUGUAAAAGUCAAACCACUUACCUUUAUAAUAAUAUUUCCACUAAAAACAUAUCCAAACUUGCAUUGUUACAUGAAACACAUGCUGCCAUAUAUAUAUAAAAAAUGACUCACCUAGCUUACCAAAACAACAAUAUGUAGAUAUUUUCUCCAAUAUGCUCGGGAACCAAGGUGUUUUGGUAUGUGUGUUCAACCAAAUGGUUUCGUUGGUGAGUUCAAACGGCCGCUCCUCUAUUCUCAAAUCUCCUUACACCGAUCCUUUCACACAAUCUCUCUUGCUUGUGAUGAUCUCUGGAAGCAGUAGUAGUCCCCUGAUCUAAAUAAAAAUCAGCAGCAGCAGCAACCCGCUCCUCCAUUUUCUUCUUUCUUAAUGACGCCCUUUCGCUCUGAAAAAUUCCUUGCAUAGAUCCAAAACGACAACUCCCUCUCACGCUCUCAAAGCUCACUCUUUCGAUCCCUUCAAACAACCCAUCUCACGCUCUCAAAACUCUCUCUUCAGAUCGUCUCAAACAACAACUUCUCACGUUCUGAAAACGUGGACUGAUCUUUGUUCGAAUAGCAGCCUAUGAUCUUUUCAACAUGCCUACUGAUCUCUUUCCAAAUGGUCGUCUCUAGUCCCCUCCAUUUUUCAUUCGAUGAUCCCCCUUCCAGAAUGAUAAAAAAAAUUGAAUUCACAACCGUCAGAGGAUCAAAAAGCUCUCUUCUUCCCCUUUGGUGAUGAGAAAAUAUAUCCCUCCCCAUGUCAGCAACCCGCUCAUUUUUUUCUUUCUUUUAUUUUUUUCCUUUUUCUGAAAAUUUCCUUUCCCUAAAAAAAAAAAAAAAAACAACUCAAGUGGUUAAAAGUCAACAUUGGUUUCACUAAAGUUUGAAGAAGUGAUUAAAUAAGUAAAUAAGAAAAUAUGAAUAAAUAGAUGAAAAGGAUAAUAAAUAAAUAUUAGACAUAUUCAAUAAAAAAGAAAUUAAACUAAUGCAACAUAUAAUAAUAAUCAAAGCGUCAAACUCGAACCACCAAAAAUUUAAAAAUUCCUUUCAUGCAAUCAUAAAAUAAAAUAAAUAAACAAAAAAAUAUAAAUGAUAAUGAUAUAAAAUAAAUCAAAACUCACUUAAUCCUAAAAUUAAUCAAUAAAAUAAAUGAAUAAAGAAAAAAAUGAGAAAACAAAUCUAAGUGAAACUAAACCUAGAAAAGUGUCUAAGUGGACUUAAGGUUCUGCCUAAUGGGCCAAGUGCACCUAGAUGAGCCUAAAGUACCUAAGUGAACCUAGGAUGGUGCCUAAUGGGCCUAAAGUGCCUAAGUGGGCCUAGGGUGGUGCCUAAGUGUAUCUAAGUGAACCUAAAGUGCCUAAGUGGGUCUAGGAUGGCUAAGUGAGCCUUGGGUGCCUAAAUAGCCCUCGGGUGCCUAAGUGAGCCUAAGUCUAAAUUAGGGUUGCCAAGAGUCACAAUGGGGUUAAAUGAACCCCUCAACCCAAGUCCCCGAGGUGGCUUAAAAAAGAUAGGCCACACGAGUAGUAAUGGGCCACCAGGGAAUUGCUGUAAAGGACAUGUGCUAGGAGGACAAAAUGGAGGGUCUACAAAUAUGCCCCUCUUCGGUAGAGAUCACGAGUGUAAGGAAUGUGAGUAAAAUAUGAAUAAUGAGUGGAACGAAGUGAACUAUACCGAAGAAAAAAAAUAAAAGGACCAAAGAUUUUGUCCUAGCACAUGACGAGAGUAAGCUCGGAACACAAGGUCGCAAUCACAAAAAUGGAACAACUCUAGGUCGUGAGCUCAAGGCUCUACGUGGAAAGAAUGACUCUGGGUCAUAGAUGAGAAAACGACUCUGGGUCAAGAGAUUUACGCUCUAAAUGGAAAAGAAAUGACUCUGGGUCAUAGAUGAAAAAACACGACUCCGGGUCGAGAGCUCUGGGCUCUAAAUGAAAAAUAAAUUACUCUGGGUCAUAAAUGAAAAAAAAAACGACCCUAGGUCGAGAGCUCUGGGCUCUAAAUGGAAAAGAAAAGACUCUGGGUCAUGAAUGUAAAACGACUCUGGGUCGAGAGCUCCGGGCUCUAAAUGGAAAAGAAAUGACCUUGGGUCAUAAAUGAAAAUCGACUCUGGGUCGAGAGCUCUGGACUCUAAAUGAAAAAUAAAUUACUCUGGGUCAUAAAUGAAAAAAAAUGACUCUGGGUCGAGAGCUCUAGGCUCUAAAUGGAAAAGAAAGGACUUUGGGUCAUGAAUGAAAAACGACUCUAGGUCGAGAACUCUGGGCUCUAGAUGGAAAAGAAAUGACCCUGGGUCAUAAAUGAAAAUUGACUCUAGGUCAAGAGCUCUGGGCUCUAAAUGGAAAAGAAAUGACUCUGGAUCAUAAAUGGAAAAUCGACUCUGGGUCGAGAGCUCUGGGCUCUAAAUGGAAAAGAAAUGACUCUGGGUCAUAAAUGAAAAACGACUCUAGGUCGAGAGCUCCGGGCUCUAAAUGGAAAAGAAAUGACUCUAGGUCAUAAAUGAAAAACGACUCUAGGUCGAGAGCUCUCGGCUUUAAAUGAAAAAUAAAUGACUCUGGGUCAUAAAUGAAAAUCGACUCUGGGUCGAGAGCUCUGGGCUCUAAAUGGAAAAUAAAUGACUCUGGGUCAUAUAUGAAAAUCGACUCUAAGUCGAGAGCUUUAGGCUCUAAAUGGAAAAGAAAUGACCUUGGGUCAUAAAUGAAAAUUGACUCUAAGUCAAGAGCUCUGGGCUCUAAAUGGAAAAGAAAUGACUCUGGAUCAUAAAUGGAAAAUCGACUUUGGGUCGAGAGCUCUGGGCUCUAAAUGGAAAAGAAAUGACUCUGGAUCAUAAAUGAAAAACGACUCUAGGUCGAGAGCUCCGGGCUCUAAAUGGAAAAGAAAUGACUCUAGGUCAUAAAUGAAAAAUCGACUCUGGGUCGAGAGCUCUGGGCUCUAAAUGGAAAAGAAAUGACUCUGGGUCAUAAAUGAAAAACGACUCUAGGUCGAGAGGUCCGGGCUCUAAAUGGAAAAGAAAUGACUCUAGUUCAUAAAUGAAAAACGACUCUAGGUUGAGAGCUCUAGGCUCUAAAUGGAAAAGAAAUUACUCUGGUUCAUAAAUGAAAAUCGACUCUAGGUCGAAAGCUUUGGGCUCUAAAUGGAAAAAAAAUGAAGACUAACUCGAAAGUGGAUAUGAAGCAAAUGAGCUCAAAGUCGUAUACUCGAAAUGCCAAGGGUCAGACUAUUGAACUUGGGAAAUGAAAUAUGCCCCAGUAUCCAGGGUGCUCACAAUGCUGAAACAACCAAUAAACCAAUCAUCCACUGAAAUCAAUGAGUCAGAAACUGAUGCAGCAUGACAAACCUCUAAAAAAAAACUAAACCGAAAGAACUCUCUAUGUCUCACAAGCUGCUCUAGCAACAAACCCUCUAAAUGUAAAUCUCACAGUGUGUAUCGCAACUUAUCCAAAAGCAGAUCUCGAAGUGUACAAAGAAUACUGCUCAUCUAGAUAACCCAAUCUGUAAUGUAACAAUGACGAAAGCAAUCUAUCUCAUGAGCAUCCGACUAAAGAAUCCACCCAUGCUCAUACCGCCACGCAAACAAAAUCUCAUCAAGAGAGCAGUAUGCCCCAGUAUAGUAUCUAAUGUCAGAGUCUUGAGGCAAAUAACCAACAAUGUUCAUCCAUCUAUGUAUAACCCCAUCGAGGAGAGAGAAAUAUGCCCCAGUAUGGAUAUCUGGUGCACAAUAAAGAACAUGACAUCGUCAACCAAACAUCUGUCAACGUCAAUCAAUCACCUGAUAACAUCAAUCAAACAUCUCAAUGAUCAAGAUCAAGGAUAGCCACACAACCCAACCACGAUUAAGGAUAUUGGAGCAAAGGGAAAAUAUGCCCCAGUGUGGAUAUCUGAUGCACAAUAAAAGGAUUAAUCUAACAUCAUCAAAGGACUGUCUCCAAAUAAAAAAUCCAGUAAACAUUGAUAUACCAAGCAAGAGAGAGAAAUGAAAUGCUUCCAAAAGUAUCUCCCAUAAAAGAAAGCAUAGUAACGACUAUACUUCAACCAAUCUACAUAAGCCCACCCAAGUGAAAACUGUCUAAGAUAGCGUCUGAUCUCAUGGCCUCAGGGUGGUCUUAAGACACGGGAUGUAAUGUAGGCCAAGGUGAUAGGGUGAAAGAAAUGAAAGGAAACUAGGUUCAAAUACCCAAUAAUCAAACCCAUACCCUCAUGUACAAGAUGUAAUGCAUAGAAGAAUUCUCAUGAGCCAUGGACCUAAAGGUCGUCAAAAGAAAUGUCGAUGGAGAAAUAAGAGAAAGAAUAAGUGGUCAAAACAUGAAUGAAACAUGUGAAAGAUGUGAAGAAGGUAUCAAAUAAAAAAUGUGUAUCAAUAUGUAGGAAAUGGACAAAAGGUGGAAAACAAAAGAUCUGGAAAGAGGUGAUGACACCCAAAAUAAGGCAAUGAGAAAAUGGAAUGAAUGAUGAUCAAUGCAUAUUAAUGCAAUAAAGGAAAGUCAUAUAACCAAUGAUCGAAUUGUGGGUAAGACAAUGAUCCGGAGACCCUAGUAAAAGGUUACUCAUCUCUCAUACCUAAUACAUAUCAACCGUGAUCCAAGAAGCAUAAGAUCUCAUAGACCUUACAUAUGAACUCUCAACACUCCAAAUGCAUAACAAAAGUGGCUUAAAGAACACAAAAAAAAGUCAUCAUGGAAAACUCGCACAAACUCUCAGUGACAAACCCAAUAAACCCUUAAAUAACAACACAUGCUCAAUGGAGUAGGAUGUUAAAUACAAACAUAUUUUUUUUUCUUUUUUUUUUGUUUUGUUUUUGUUUUUGUUUUUUGUUUUUGUUUUUUUUCUUUUUUUUUUUUGUGCGCAUAUUCUAGUCAUCAAUAAGUCAUACUCCAAUGAGAAACUACAAGGAAUGAAUAAACUCUCUCAAAUCAUUGAUGAACACACGAAACCCUAUCCUAUGAGACAACCUCUCAAGCUAAAGUCUCCAAAUCAAUGCCAAAUGAUGGAAUAAAGAGAGUGAUACAACUACCCAAUAUGCAUCAAUAUGUGAAGAAUCAACAUUCCAUGUGAAGAAAAUAUGAAGUGUAACAACAAAUGAUAAGAUUCGAGAUCAAGAUAAAAAUGUGGAAAUAAUGGAGUGCAACAGACAGGGUGAUGAAGUGAUAAUAGAAAAGAUGAGAAAGAUAAACCUAUAAGUCCACAACUCAUGAGGCUUUACUAGCAAAUCAUAACUAUACAUCAAAGGGCCCCAACCCGGGUAUAGAAAUGAUAAGCAAGGCUAUAGAAAAGAAAAAGUUAUAACAUACCACGCGAGGCUCAAUAGGCUAGCAAUGGUCUAAUAUAUCAAUAAAGGUGACAAGGUGUAAGGCUAACCGAUAUGACGACCACCCAUCCUGCGACCAUAAUCUCAAACGUAAUACUUCUUCAACUGAUCCACAUUGGUAGGCUCUGAAAAUUGGUUUCCAUCUAAGUCAGUCAACCAUGCAACCUCUUCUAGAGUUAACUCUUGAAUAACAUAAGGCCCACUCCAACUAGGUCUGAACUUCCUCUAGGGUCUCCAACUAAGCCUCUAAGAAUCCUCAAAACCAAAUCUCCUUUCUGUAAUGGUCUCGGCUUAACUCGUUUCCUGAAAGCACGAGCCAUCUUUCUUUGAUAGGAUUGAACAUGAUUAGUUGCUUUCAAUCUCUUCUCAUCUAAAAGGUUAAGUUGAUCAAAUCGAGCUUGAGCCCACUCUGUCUCAGAGAUUUUCUGCUCGAGAGCUACUCUCAAUGAACCCAUCUUUGUCUCAACUGGUAAAACAGCCUCCAUACCAUACAUCAGAGAAUAAGGCGUAGCUCCUGUAGAGGUGCAAAAAGAGGUAUGAUAUGCCCACAAUGUAAAAGAGAGUUUCUCUGAUCAAUGUUGAGAGGUUUCAACCAUCUUCCUCAAAAUCUUCUUAAUAUUUUUAUUUGCGGCCUCUACUGCCCCAUUAAUCUGUGGCCUGUAUGCAGAAGAUCUAUGAUGUCGGAUGCCAUAUUUCUGCAACAAAGUGUCAACCUCAGCUCGAAUGUGUACCCCUCUGUCAGAAAUCAACUCAUGUGGCACCCUAUAAUGACAAAUGAUGUGUGAUUUGAUUAAAUUGGCGACUCUAGCAGAUGUUAACUUUCCAUAUGAUGCAGCUUCCACCCACUUGGUGAAAUAAUCUAUGGCAACUAAGAUAAACUCAUGACCACUAGAAGAUUUCGAUGAAAUCUUCCCAAUAAUAUCAAUACCCCAUAUUGAAAAUGGCCAUGGCAAAGUCAAAGCAUGUAACUCUGAUAGUGGUGCAUGAAUGAGAUCACCAUGAGUCUGGCACUCGGGACAUCUCUGAACAAACUGACAACAAUCUAUCUCCAUAGUCAUCUAGAAGUAACUAGUCCUCAUAAUCUUAUGGGCCAGCAUGUGUCUUCCCAUGUGUGAACCAUAAACUCCAGUAUAAACCUCUCUCAUCACUCGAUUUGCAGAGGUUCGAUCUAAACAUAAUAAAAGCAUACCAUCAUUUGAUCGCCUAUAUAGAGUCUCUCCACAAAUAAAAAAUCUUAUGGCCAACUACCUCAAUGCCCUUCGAUCCUUGGUUGUGGUUGCCACUGGGUAUGUGCUAGAUCUAAGGAGCUGAUAAAUGUCAUGAUACCAAGGUAGAUCAUCCUGAGUCUCCGUCUCUCCAACCAGACAAUAGUAAACGGGUGCAAACCUCAACUCAAUCAGCAAUAGACGUAUAACCACAUUCAUUGGAAUGUCCACGGAAGAAGUUAAGAUAGCUAAGGCAUUAGCAAACUGGUUUUGCGCUCUAGGUAGACGAGUGUAUCUCAAGUCAUCAAACCUCUCAACCAGUAACUCUAAAUAAGCAUGUAAGCUUUACAUCCCUAGUCCUCCAAUCACCCUGAAUCUGUCUAAGUACGAGAUUGGAGUCACCAAAUACUUCCAUCUGUCUAAUGCCAAGCUCCAAUGCAGUCUCUAAACCAAGGAUACAAGCCUCAUACUCAACUAUGUUGUUCGUGGUGGGAUAUUGAUCUGAAAACGUCAAGCGAACUGACUUCAGAAUAUAAUCACCCUAGGGGGAUAUCAACAAAACACCUAUCCCAAACCCUGAGUGGUUAGCUGCACCAUCAAAGUACAUACACCAACCGGAUAAGCUAGUCAUAGCAAUGAACUCUUCAUCUGGAAAAUCAUCAUCAACUGGUUUACUAUCAGAUAUCGGUAAUGAGGCCAAGUGAUCGGCGACAAUACUUCCCUUAAUAGACUUUUGAGAAACGUAUUGAAUAUCAAACUCUGUCAAAAGUACGAACCAUCUCAUCAAUCUACCAGUCAAUGCGGGUCUGUCAAACAAAUACUUCAAUGGAUCUAGCCGAGAAAUCAAACACACUGAAUACUAGAUCAUGUAAUGCCUCAAUCUCUUGGUGGCCCAAACUAACGCUAAGCAAAGGUGCUCAAUCAUAACAUAUCUCAUCUCAUACUCCAACAUCCUCUUACUCAAAUAGUAAAUAGCUCACUCCUUCCCAGAGUCAUCGAGCUGAGCUAGCAUGCAUCCCAAGGCCAUGUCUGAAACUGACAAGUACAGAAGAAAUGGACGUCCUGGCAUAAAAGGCACUAAAACAAGAGGAGAAAGCAAGUACUCCUUGAUCUUCUCGAAUGCAAUCUGGCAAUCAUCAUUCCAAACCGUUGGCUGAUUCUUCCUCAAAAGACGAAAGAUGGGCUCACAUAUGUCUGUCAAUCUUGCUAUGAAACGACUUAUAUAUUGUAACCUGCCUAGAAAACCCCUGAUCUCUUUCUCAGUCCUGGGCAAUGUCAAGUAUGGCUUUGAUCUUAUCUGGGUCAACCUCUAUACCCUGCUUACUGACCAUAUGCCCCAAUAAUUUCCCAGAAGUCAUUGUAAAUGUGCACUUCUUGGGAUUCAACCUCAAUCUGAAUUUUUGAAUCCUUUCAAAGAAUCUCUCUAGAACCGCUAGGUGAUCUGCUCUGCUUCAGGAUUUCACAAUCAUAUCAUCUACAUAAACUUCCACAUCCCUAUGCAUCAUGUCAUGACACAAAGUGGUAGCGGCUCUCUGAUAAGUAGCUCCUGUAUUCUUCAACCUAAAUGGCGUAACUCUGUAACAAUAGGUACCCUUCUCGGUAAUGAAGUCUGUCUUCUCCAUAUCCUCUAGAGCCAUCAAAAUCUAAUUGUACCCCGAAAAUCCAUCCAUGAAAGACAACAUCGAAUGACCUAUAGUGCUAUCGACCAACAAAUCAAUAUAUGGGAAAUGAAAAUCAUCCUUAGGGCUGGCUUUAUUAAGGUCUCUGAAAUUGACACAAACUCUAACCUUGCCAUCCUUUUUAGGAACUGGGACGACAUUAGCCAAACACUUUGGAUACUCAACCAUUGAUAUAAACCCAACACUAAGUUGUUUCUGAAUCUCCUCUUUCACCUGUAGACUCUAAUGUGGGUGCAAUCGUCUCAAUUUCUGCUUAACUGGUUUGACAUUUGGCAAGAUAGACAAAUGGUGUUGGAUGAUAGAAGGAUAUAGACCUGGCAUGUCCUCAUAAGACCAUGCAAAAACAUCCAAGUAUGACCUAAGUAAAUGAAUAAGUCUAUCUCUCUCGUCUGUAGAUAGUGGUGAACCAAUCUUCAGCUCUCUAGGCUAAUCCUUUGUGCUAAAAUCAAUAGUCUCAACAUCCCCUACAGUAGGUGAAACUCUCUCAUCUAUCGGAUCUGAAUCACGAUCAAAAGAACCUCUAUCUGAAUCAGGCUGCAUGAUCUCAUCAUCUAUAUCCAGUAUCUGUGGACUGAGUGAGUAUGGUGUAGAUAUAUAAAUACUAUCACAAGAGACAGGUAAAUACUCGAAAAUACUCAAAUCCAUAGAUAUGGAAUCAUAAACAUCGUCAGAGCGGGAAAUAAAUCCCGAUAAAAUGUCAAAUGAAAGAGGUAGGUCCAUAAAGUCGGACGUUCCUUCAAUAAAGCCAAAAAUAUCCUCAAACUCAUCAUCACCAAUUGUAACAUCCUCCAUAAGCUCUAGAAAGAGAAUUGUCUGGGUCUCCUUUGCAACCUCAAUAGCAGACACCCCGAACAGAUCGAACGAUGAAGCAAACUCAGGCUGAACCACCUCGGCAAUCUGACUCAUACUCAUAUCCACCUCAUCCCAAUACUCGUCCUGAGGAACAACUCCAUUAGUCACCCCACUAGACUCAAUGUCUACUCCAUAAUCAGUAGUCUCCUCUAGAAAGCAUAAUGAUAAGAAACUGGCUCGAUCUGGUGACGAAUGAGCAAUCAUCACUGAAACUGGUGCACCAGAAGUCUCAUCUCCUAACUAUAAAUGAUGAAACUGAUGCUGAAGCUCAUCCACUCCCUUUAUAUCAGUUGCAGCGUCAAAAUCCCCCAUAUGAGGAUGGGCCUCUGAUCCUCUAACAAAAUAGUCUGCCAAGCUCAUCCCAUAAGGACAAACAAGAUAAUCGAAUGGUGUGUAUGUCAGACGGGCUCUCACUCUCUCCCAGUGCAGACGUGCCAUAUACUUAUAGUUAGCCUCUAUAGGAACAAACCCAAGCCCAAAUGGUGUAUCAUGAUCGACAGUAGCCACAAACUCCAUGGGUCCAUGCUAAUGUCACCCUAACCCUAAACCAGGCAUAAAAGACAUACCCUUCAUCAUGUCAAUUACCACCAUACUGCUAUGCUGAUCAAAUGACAUAGCUACGAGAUCUCUACAGAAGUCCUCAACCUCGAGAGUCUGCACCUCAUCAAAUGUAAACCAGGACAAAAAUAGGUCCUCCUCACUAUGACUGAUCUAAAACACCUGCUUGGAUGAGGCAAACAUAUCUUUAGGAGACUGUACCGUGAUGACCUGCCCGUCAUGUAUAAACUUCACCUUCUGAUGAAGAGAAGAUGGAAUAGCCCCGACCUUAUGAAUUCAUGGUUGGCCCAGAAGCAAGUUAAAGGACGUGGGAAUCCUCAAAACCUGGAAUAGGACAUCAAAGUAUCCAUGACCUCUCUCUUAGUACUAUCAUAUGCUCUGACCAUCUGUGUAGAGGGACCGAAGUCUGAAGGUGCAUAACUAAAGGCAAUAGCAGUAGUCAAUGGGCAAACGUUCAAGGCUUAGCCAUUGUCCAAUAGGACGGAUGGAACUCUGUGGCCUGAAUUACCAACUGUAAUAUAUAGAGGGCGUGUAUGGUCUGAACCCUCUGGUGGCAAGUCAUCAUCUGAAAACACAAUACAUGUGGCCCUGUCGGCCGUCAUCAUAUGAAUCAACCCUUUCGGGGUAGUGGUGGUCUCCACGUGGAUCUGGCUCAAAGCCCAAAUCAAUGCAUCUCUAUGAGUACUAGAAGAUGCUAGCAAACUCCAGAUAGAUAUGCGGGCUUGUGUACUCUGUAACUGCCUCAGUAUCUCAUCAUCCUCUCUCUUAACCUCCUCAUGAGAAACUGCGCCAUCAAAUGGCCUAGCUACUAGAGGUGGGGGUUGAGCUACUCUCCCACUACAGGUCACAAUCUAUACAUCUCUCCCUUCUAAAUCAUCAUCAUCUAUGAUUCGUGCCCAAUUGGUGUCUCAGCUGAUUCAUGUCCAGCUGGUGCUCCUUGAUUGAGGGAGUAAUCAACAAAAUUUAUAACCUAUAACACCAUACACUAGGGUAGCAAAGAAAAAGCUACUAUAGUAUAGUGGCUCUAGAAUCGUUCACUGGGAAUGAUUAACAAGCUAUCAAUGAUACCAAUUCAAAGUGAAUUGGUCUUGUUUCAUUUCAAGGUUAGCUUAAGAAAUAAAACACAAACUUUGAUUGGUAAAGGUUUAGACUUAAACUAACUAACACAACAAGUAAUAGGAAUAACUUAGGAAGAAAAACAUUCCUUGGAGAAUUAGGUUCACUGGGGUGGUUCCUCAUGCAAAAGACAUAGCUCCGGUCAGAUGGUUCAUUUCCUCGCGUUAGAGAUUCAACAUAUAGUCAAUUCUCUAACCGGUGUUGUACAAAUACAUCCUUCAAUUUGAUUUCACUUUAAUUCUCUCACUGAUGCAACUUGCAAUGGUUUAAGCCUCUCACUAAGCCUUAACCAUUCAAGGUGAUCUUUAACCUUGGAUUACCCGUCAAAAGCUCGCAAGAGAUAACUAAUGGAUGUCUCCUAGGAGUCCAAAAGCUUACCAAGUGUUGGCUAUUCUAGAAAAUCCUACCUUAAAGUCACCUCCCAGAGGCUCGCAAGGGGUAAACUAGUGCAUUUCCAUGGUUGGAAAUCACUUGCCUUACCAAGUGUUGGCCCAGGUGACUCUAAGGUGUUUUAAGUUAACUAAAAACAUAGAAAUCACUAAAGGAUUUCACUUCCUCUUCAUUACUAGCUAAAACCACAAAGCUUUGCAUUCUUGCACUUGGAACCUUCCCCAGCAACCUUAGCUCCAAGGAAUUAGAGGUUUAGUUACUCAUUCUUUGGGGAAAACUCCUCAGAGAGUUCAUAACUUAGUAAUAAAUAAAAAAUACAAAGUGAUAAGAUAAGGCAAUACAAAGAACUGAACUUUACUUGCUUACCCAAAACUUUACAAAAGGAUCUCCUCCCUGAGAACAGGCUCCCGAGAGGUAUAUAUAUGAACAUAAUAUAAAACUAAUUAUUACAUAGAUAUUUUCUCUUUUUUACUAACUUAAAAGCUAAGGAAUCUUGUAAUUGGUGGCUUACAAGGAGUAUUUUGGGAUUUAGACAACAAAAAUCUGAUGUAAAAUAUCUCCCAAUGUCGGUAGCAAAUAUCGGGAGGCUCCAGGAACCAUUUCGCAAGAGAAAAUGGUGUCUGCGAGAUUUCGCAGAUACUCAAGAGGGCUGCGAAAUCAUUUCGCAACAACAUGCUAUCUUCGCAGGGCUGCGAAGUUGGCUUCCACCUUGAGGUUCCCAGCUUCCCUCUCGCGGUAUAUGUCGGGCAACUUUAGAAGGAAAUACACCCUACUGUACAAAAAGGCUGCGGAAUCACUUCGCAACAAAAGGGUUAUUUCGCAGCACUUUGCAAAAUGCUUCCUUCAGCUCGGAGUGAUUGGCUUGCAAUGGCUGCAACUUCUUCGUUUCAACUCCGAAUUGCUCACCGUUUGAAGCAUUGGAUUGUUGACUUCCUGAGCAUUGAAAUGGUAUAUAGCAUACAUCAAUUGAACUUCAAAAAGUGCUCCAAAAGUGGCUGCUACGACUGUCAUCAAGAAUAUGCUUCAUGGCAGAUUCUCUUUACUUUUUCUCCUUGCAAUCCGGAUUUACUCUUGGCAAAUGACUCUUAAGCUUUGCCCAAGAUUCCUCAUAACUCUCCUCAGUCUUGACUUGCUUUGGUGAUCAAAUUACUAACAAAAACACCAAAACUUACAUAAAGUGAUUAAAAUCCCUUUCAAGGGUCCUUAACAUGCCAACUGAGUUAAAAGGCCUAAACUACUACUCAAAAGUGUUUAAAAGGAUUAAUUAUAGGCUAUCAAAUAGCACUUUUUGAGUAGUAAUCAAUCUAGUCGUAGGAUAAAUGGGACUGGUGGGCCCUAACGUGCUAUAGUCGACAGUGCAGUAGGAGUCAACUCAAAUGGUAACGGCACCAUUUGAUUCGAGGUUCGAUCCCCGGCAACGGCGCCAUUUGAUUCAUGCCCAAUUGGUGUCUCAGCUGAUUCGUGUCCAGCUGGUGCUCCUUGAUUGAGGGAGUAAUCAACAAAAUUUAUUACCUAUAACACCAUACACUAGGGUAGCAAAGAAAAAGCUACUAUAGUAUAGUGGCUCUAGGAUCGUUCACUGGGAAUGAUUAACAAGCAAUCAAUGAUACCAAUUCCAAGUGAAUUGGUCUUGUUUCAUUUCAAGGUUAGCUUAAGAAGUAAAACACAAAAUUUGAUUGGUAAAGGUUUAGACUUAAACUAACUAACAUAACAGAAGUUUGGAAUAAUUUAGGAAGAGAAGCAUUCCUUGGAGAAUUAGGUUCACUGGGGUGGUUCCUCAUGCAAAAGACAUAGCUCCGGUCAGAUGGUUCAUUUCCUCGCGUUAGAGAUUCAACAUAUAGUCAAUUCUCUAACCGGUGUUGUACAGAGACUCCUUCAAUUAGAUUUCACUUUAAUUCUCUCACUGAUGCACUUUGCAAUGGUUUAAGCCUCUCACUAAGCCUUAACCAUUCAAGGUGAUCUUUAACCUUGGAUUACCCGUCAAAAGCUCGCAAGAGAUAACUAAUGGAUGCCUCCUAGGAGUCCAAAAGCUUACCAAGUGUUGGCUAUUCUAGAAAAUCCUACCCUGAAGUCACCUACCAGAGGCUCGCAAGGGGUAAACUAGUGCAUUUCCAUGGUUGGAAAUCACUUGCCUUACCAAGUGUUGGCCCAGGUGACUCUAAGGUGUUUUAAGUUAACUAAAAACAAAGAACUCUUCAUUAAUAGCUAAAACCACAAAGCUUUGCAUUCUUGCACUUGGAACCUCCCCCGGCAAACUUAGCUCCAAGGAAUUGGAGGUUUAGUUACUCAUUCUCUGGGGAAAACUCCUCAGAGAAUUCAAAACUUAGAAAUAAAAUGAAAAUACAAAGUGAGAAGGUAAGGUAGUAGAAAGAAAAUAGACUUUACUUGCUUACCCAAACGUUUACAGAAGGAACUCCUCUUUGAGAAUAGGCUCCCGAGAGGUAUAUAUAUGAACAUAAUAUAAAACUAAUUAUUACAUAGAUAUUUAGUCUUUUUACUAACUUAAAAACUAAGGAAUCAUGUAAUUGGUGGUUUACAAGGAGUAUUUUGGGAUUUAGACAACAAAAAUCUAAUGGAAAAUAUCUCUCAAUGUCAGUAGCAAAUAUCGGGAGGCUUCAGGAACCAUUUCGCAGGAGAAAAAUGGUGUCUGCGAGAUUUCGCAGACACUCAAGAGGGUUGCGAAAUAUUUUCGCAACACCAAGCUAUCUUCACAAGGCUGCAAAGUUGGCUUCUACCUUGAGGUUCCUAGCUUCCUUCUCGCGGCAUAAAUCGUGCAUCAUCAGAAGGAGAACCACCUUACUGUACAAAAAUGCUGCGAAAUCACUUCGCAACAAAAGGGUGAUUUCGCAACACUUUGCAAAAUGCUUCCUUCAGCUCAGAGUGACUGGCUUGUAAUGGCUGCAACUUCUUCGUUUCAACUCCGAAUUGCACACCAUUUGAAGCAUUGGAUUGUUGACUUCCUGAGCUUUGAAAUGGUAUAUAGCAUGCAUCAUUUGGACUUCACAAAGUGCUCCAAAAGUGGCUGCUACGACUGUCAUCAAGAAUAUGCUUUAUGGCAGAUUCUCUUUGCUUUUUCUCCUUGCAAUCCGGAUUUACUCUUGGCAAAUGACUUCUAAGCUUUGCCCAAGAUUCCUCAUAGCUCUCCUCAGUCUUGACUUGCUUUGGUGAUCAAAAUACUAACAAAAACACCAAAACUUACACAAAGUGAUCAAAAUUGCUUUCAAGGGUCCUUAACAUGCCAAUUGAGUUAAAAGGCCAAAACUACUACUCAAAAGUGUUUAAAAGGAUUAAUUAUAGGCUAUCAAAUAACACUUUUUGAGUAGUAAUCAACUACUACUCAAAAGUGUUUAAAAGGAUUAAUUAUAGGCUAUCAAAUAGCACUUUUUGAGUAGUAAUCACUCCCCCCAACCGACAUAUUGCUAGUCCCUUAGCAAUAUAGGAGAGAAAAAAUGAAAAUAAAAAGCAACCUAUACUAAAAUUUACAACAUCAUGCUGAUCAAAAACAAUUCUCAAGCAGCAUGAUGAUCUAAUUCUCUCAUGAAACAUUAAAGAAAUACAAAUCCAAAUUUCAACAAGAGUUAUAACAAACUAUGCUAAACACUUUCAAUCAAGGGAGUGCAUUAUGCAAACUGAAGUUUUAAAAUCAUUUCCACUUUCAAAGAACCAAACUUUAAUCUUCCACAAAAAUCUAUGUGUAUUGGUUCCUUAGGUUCCGAGAAUAAUAUGCUAAACUAAUCUCUCCCCCCAACCUAUCUCUUUUCAACACUUAGCAAAUUGACCAAAAUCAAUAAAGAAAGAACACACCUUUUUUUUUUUUUUUUUUUUUUUUUUUUUUACAGAGGCUUUAUGGGAUACUCUUUCUGAAUUGUCCAUGUAAUGGGGGUCCAUCGAUGACUCCCAACCAAUUAAGGUUUAGGGCACCAAGAUUUAAGGAUCUUCCAACCACUAACUCCUCGGAUUUUACCCCGGACUUUUAAGAAUGAAUUUCUAAUACCCAAGCAUCUACCAUAUGCUAGCUCUACCUAUUCACCCUUAUAACGAGCAUUGAGGUCAGUGACUCCCAACCAAUUAAGGCUUAGGGCACCAAGCUUUAAAGAUUUUCACCAUAUACCCCUCAGACCUUGCUCGGGUUUCAAGGCAAGCAAACAACUUUCUUUAUUUCAAAGGCUCAUUGGCCUUUUGCAGGGUGUUUCAAUUUUUAUCAAAUGAGGUCAAAUAUACCAAGUCCCAAAAUUAUCCUAAGUCAAGAGGGAAAUAGCUUUUCAUCUUAUAAUCGGAAUCUAAUGUGCACAGUGUGUGAAUAGCUUAAAGUGGAAGAACUAAAUUCAAUUUCAAUAGAAGCUUCAACAAUUGAACCACUUUAGUGAGCAUAAUCCAUACUCUAAGUCAAGUGAAAAACAACAGUUCAAUUUCUCCUAGUUUAAUUUGAAAAUUUUUCCUCAAAAUUCAUGGAGAUUAGAGUAAAAAGAGUAAAAAGUAAAAAUUACAACUAAUUUACCAAAAUAAUUGCAUUACCAAAAAGAUUUAGCAUACUUCCUUCCUCAUUCCCCCCCAACCGAAUUGAGCAUUGUCCUCAAUGUGAUAUGAGUGACUGUAAUUAAAGGGAGGAAGUGGUACCUCCUGAGUGAUAUCAAAUUCGAAUAUUGAUUGGAGAAACCACAUGUUUCAAAAAGAAUAGAAUAUGUGAGAAAAGGAAAUAAGGAUAACUUAAUGCUAACUGUUAACAAGAAAUAUUAAACUUGUAUUACUUUAAAUCCAUUCAAGUACAAUGCAAAAGAAAAGUAAUACAAGCAAUCCCAAAUAUAGUACCAAAAUAAUGGGAUUUCUUUCCAACUAAACAAAACAAAAUACAUAAAACAAAAAUAGUAGAUAUAUAAUAGUCUGAUGAGUGGGUGGUGCUGGGGCUAGGCAGAUGGGUCUGCCUCUUCAGUAGGUGCUUCAGCUGGGGCUUGGGGCUCUGGAGGAUGAGACUCUGAGGGAUGAGAGUGUGGCACUGCUGGAGUAGAAGUGGAGGGCUCUACAGCUGGUGGCAAAUCGAAAUGAAGCUGGAGCUGCCUUAAAAUGGCAGUGUGUUGAGCCUGAGUAGCCAACAUCUGCUCUUGGCAUGCUCUAAUGGCUGCCAUCUCUUGAGCAAGACUGCUCUGAGAAGCUGUGAGAGUGUCCAAUGAACGGCACAACACUCUAUAUUCUGAUAUAGGAAUGGCCAUCCUCGGUUCAGCUGAAGUGGAUGGCUGAGAUGAAGCUGGUGCAGCUGGUGGAGCACUAGGAAUGGCAGGAGCUGCAACUGUUAUACCCUCAGGUAUGUGUCGUGGGGAUGCUCUCCUUGCAACAAGCUGAGGCUGCUCAGGCUGAUAAACUUUGUAAGCUGUCAUGUUGUUCCAUUUGUCGAGAGUAAAAAGCUCACGGCAAAUGCGCUUUCGCUCCAGCUGAGGCUCAGAAGGAUAUCCCAAGUGCUCCAGAAUUUGGCAUAGCAGCCUUGGAAAGAGGAGGGGAAUGCAAUCAGCUCUCUGAAGCUUCUUUUUGUGUACCUUCUCUUCGAAAUAGAGAAGGGCUGCCAAAAUCAGAUGAUGAGGCCCAAAGAAAAAUCCCUCUGACAUCUUGUACAAGGCUUCUAAGAGGACUCCUCUUCUUUGAGUCCAAUGCUGCAAUGGGUAGAGAUUAUGACGCAAAAAUGCAUCAAUCAAAAACAUAAUUGGAGGAAGCUCCCCCCUCAAUAGAUGUGAUCGAUUGGCAGCUCCUCUAGAAAGGGUGCGCACAUCUCCAGCUCAGUAGGAUUGGUCCAAGCUCUAAAAUUAUCGAAUUGGGUCGGCUCAUAGGGAAUUUGCAAGGCUUCAGCUAUAUGGCGUGCUCCCAAUAUGCCAUGCCUCCCAUCAAUAGUGAAAUGAAUUAAAGUUGGAUCCCUGACCUGGUUGGUUGUCAUGGAUUGAUAGAAAUCCAUGGCCACCCUUGGGUAGAAAAAGUCUCUCGGAGUCAGCAAGUGCUCCAUGUGGUACCUUCUCAGCAGGUUGAAUGACUGUGUAAGCUCCGGCUGCAAUCGGAAUGCGGCUAUGUCAAAGCAUAGCUCAGAGUGGAAUGGCCGAGCUCUACAGUCCAAAUUUCCCUCAAUUGGGGGCUGAGUUAGCAUUGGCCUCCUGAUUACUUCUUCCGGAGCUAUUUCAACUGGAAUUUGGGGCUCGAGAAGUGGCGCUUGAGGCUCCUGAGAUUUUGCUUGCGGUGCCAGAGAUGGCACCGGCGACAGAAGUGGCAUGGGAAUCGGCGAGGGAACUGGAGUUGGAACCGGUGAUGGAAUUGGUGAAGGCUCUGGAGAUUGCUCCGUCAAGUCGAUGGGUUCUGAGCUUUCAACCCUGGGUCUCUUUUGUAGUGGUCGACCCCCUGACCUGGUAAGGUAACGCCUCGCCGGAGGCUUUGUCGGCGCUGGCUUCACCGGAGGAGGAAUUGCUUUCGGCUACGAAGGCUCAGAAGCAGAAUCUGGAACUGGCUCAUUUCGCAGGCUUUUCUUGCGGUUUGAAGGGGAGGAAGACUUAGUCCCUCUGGUUCGCGCCAUUUCGGGUUGCCGAAAUUUUGCCGGAACGGAUAAUCGGAGAAGAUAACCGGAGGCUUGCGCGGUGAGGCUUGAGGAAGGAGAUGGACGGUCUGCGAGAAUGGCGCGCUCUGAUUUUGAAACCCUUUUCGCAGCAAAAAAUGACCGGUAUAAAUAGGAAUAACGGAAGACUAAGGGUCAGUUUGAGUUUCGCAACAAAACGCCAAUUUCGCAGCAAAAUGCCAAUUUCGCAGCCACUUCGCAAUGCGUUUCGCAGCUGCGAAAUUAAUGUUACUGUGUUGCGAAGUGGCACACGUGUGCCAAAAUCACUUUCGCAAUUGCGAAAUACCCUGCGGAAUGGGACUUUUGUUGCGAAAUCAGGCUUUACCACUUCGCAAUGCAUUUCGCAGCUGCCAAAUGAGGGCUCCUGUGUUGCGAAGUGGCACUCGUGUGCCAAACUCGCCUUCGCAGCUGCGAAAAUUCUCGUAGAGAAUCCCAAAGUGUUGCGGAAUGGUUUGGCAACAAAAUGCUCAUUUCGCAGAAGUUUUCUUCAGCCUGCGAAAUCUCGUAGAGCUCUGUUUUUCCUCUGUUUUCACUCUGUUUUUGCUCCGAUUUCGAUCCGAUUUUUUUUCUUUCAAUUUCCUUGUAAUUUCUUUCACCUAGGAUCAUUCAAAAAGAUUAAAAUAUACAUAAAAACAUGAUUUAAGAUCAAAAACUAAGAUCAAAAGUAUGGAAAAAACUUGAAAAUUUACAAAAUUUACAAAAAUUUUGGACUGUGGUAAAACCACGUCCAGCAAACCCUUCUUUGCUUAGGCUUUUUGAGGCUCAAGGAGGUUGAUCUACUCCUUUUCUGGUUUGAAUGGCUCCAUGAAUGGCUUGAGACGAUAUCCAUUGACUUUGAAGGUGUCCUUGCCAUUGGAAUUCAAUAAUUCCACCACUCCAUUGGAACAUACUCGGUGAAUUAUGAACGGGCCUAUCCACCUUGACUUGAGCUUCCCAGGAAAGAUAUGGAGUCUUGUGUCAUACAGUAAAAAUCUUUGCCCUUCCUGAAAUUCCUUGUUGGAGAUGAGUUGGUCAUGCCACUUCUUCAUCCUCUGUUUUGCAACUUUGGAAUUGAUAUAAGCAUUAUUUCUUAAUUCCUCCAUCUCAUUAAGGUCUAGAUAUCUCUUUUCUCCUGCCUUGAUCAAGUCCAUAUUCAACUUCUUUAUUGCCCACCAAGCUUUGUAUUCAACUUCCACAGGGAGAUGACAUGCUUUGCCAUAGACAAGACGAUAAGGAGACAUCCCAAGAAUAGUCUUAUAAGCUGUUCUAUAUGCCCACAAUGAAUCAUGAAGCCUAAUAGACUAAUCCUUUCUGUUGGAAUUCACCACUUUCAUCAAUAUGUUCUUUAUUUCCCUGUUAGCUAGCUCAACUUGCCCGGAAGUCUGAGGAUGAUAAGGUGUAGCCACCUUAUGCUUCACUCCAUACUUGGAUAACAGAGCUUCAAAAGGUUUGUUGCAAAAAUGAGCACCUCCAUCACUGAUUAUGGCUUUGGGCACCCCAAAUCUUGAGAAAAUGUUCUCUUUAAGAAACUUGAGAACCACCCUGUGAUCAUUUUGUUUACAGGGGAUUGCCUCAACCCAUUUGGAAACAUAAUCCACCCCCACCAGGAUGUAAGAAUUACCAAAAGACAUUGGGAAAGGUCUCAUGAAGUCAAUGCCCCAUACAUCAAAUAACUCAACUAUUAGAAUGGGGUUCAUAGACAUUUGAUUUCGUUUUGUUAGCUUUCCAAGCCUUUGGCAUCUAUCACAACUUCUACACAUGAUGUGGGCAUCUUUGAAAAGAGAUGGCCAAGUAAACCCUGAUUGCAAUACCUUCAUAGCUGUUUUCUGAGAGGCAAAGUGGCCUCCACAUGCAUUCUCAUGACAAUGAGAUAAAAUCCCUUGCUGCUCAUCUUCAGGGACACACUUCCUAAUUAUCUGAUCUGCACAAUACUUAAAAAGAAAGGACUCUUCCCAAUAAUAAGCAUGAAUUUUGGCAAAGAAGUGCUUCUUGUCCUGUGCAUUCCAUUCACUUGGAAUUUCACCAGUUACUAAAUAAUUAGCAAUAUGAGCAUACCAAGGAGUUUUCACUAGGAACAUGAGUGAUUCUUCAGGAAAAUCAUCAUUGAUAGGCAAGGGAUGGGAAUUAUGUGCUAUAACUAACCUUGAAAGGUGGUCAGCUACUACAUUCUCCACUCAUUUCUUAUCUUUGAUUUGGAGAUCGAAUUCAUGUAACAAAAGAAUCCAUCUAAUCAACCUUGCUUUUGCAUCUUGCUUUGUCAAUAAAUACUUCAAGGCUGAAUGGUCAGUAAAGACAAUGAUGAAAGACCCCACUAAAUAAGCACGAAAUUUGUCCAAAGCAAAUACCACAGCUAACAAUUCUUUCUCUAUAGUUGUGUAGUUCCUUUGAGCUUCAUUCAGUGUUUUGCUUGCAUAGUAAAUCACAUAGGGCUUCCCAUCUUCCCUUUGGCCAAGCACAGCUCCUAUAGCAAAGUCACUGGCAUCACACAUCAGUUCAAAAGGUAAUUGCCAGUUAGGGGCUCUCACUAUUGGAGUUGUUGUUAAAAAUUUCUUCAGUUGAUCAAAGCUACUUUGACACCUUUCAUCCCAUAUAAACUUAGCAUCCUUAGCUAACAGCUCACAAAGGGGUUUUGAAAGACUUGAAAAACCUUUUAUAAACCGCCUAUAGAACCCUGCAUGGCCAAGGAACUGUCUUACUCCUUUCACAGUUGUUGGAGAUGGUAAUUUGACAAUGAGCUCCACCUUUGCUUUAUCAACUUCAAUGCCUUUUCAGAGAUGAUAUAGCCAAGGACAAUUCCUUGACGUACCAUAAAAUGGCAUUUCUCCCAGUUGAGCACCAGGUCUUUUUCAAUGCAUCUGUGAAGAACUGCUUCCAAAUUAACUAAGCAUUCCUCAAAUGUACCUCCAUAUACGGUGAUGUCAUCCAUGAAAACCUCCAUAAUUCACUCCACCAUAUCACUGAAAAUACUCAACAUACAUCUUUGAAAUGUAGCAGGUGCAUUGCAUAAACCAAAAGGCAUUCUCCUAUAAGCAUAUGUUCCAAAUGGACAUGUAAAAGUGGUCUUUUCCUGAUCUGCCAAAUCAAUUUCAAUCUGAAAAUACCCUGAAUACCCAUCCAAGAAAUAAUAGAAUGGAUGUCCAGAGACUCUCUCCAGCACUUGGUCAAUAAAUGGCAAUGGAAAAUGAUCUUUCUUGGUUACAGCAUUCAGCUUUCUAUAAUCAAUACACACCCUCCAACCUGAAGUGAGGCGUGUAGUAAUUUAUUCCCCUUUUUCAUUCUGAACCACUGUGAUCCCUGACUUCUUUGGUACCACUUGAGUAGGACUCAUCCAAGGGCUAUCAGAUAUAGGGUAGAUGAUUCCUGCUUGAAGUAGCUUCAGCACUUCAGCUCGCACCACCUCUUGUAGAUGAGGAUUCAACCUUCUUUGAAAUUGACGAAUUGGCUUUGCUUCCUCCUCCAUAUAGAUAUGAUGAGUACAAACUAAAGGACUAAUGCCUUUCAAGUCAGAUAUUUGCCAUCCUAUUGCCUUCUUACACCUCUUGAGAACUUCCAUUAAACAAUUCUCUUGAUGACUGGUCAGAGAUGAAGAUAUCACAACAGGACAUUGAUUAUUUUCUUCAAGAUAUGUAUAUUUCAGCUCCACGGGUAAAGGCUUCAGAUUGAGUUUUGGAAUUUCUUUUUCAGCAGCUGCCUCCGCUUCUUUAUUGAACAAAGGUAGAAUCACUUCUAUCUUUCUCCAACUUUGUAGAGUAGCAAGCCCAAUAGGAGAUUCAGACAAACCGUCUCAAAAUCCACAAGACUUUCAUUCAACUUGUCUUGCAUAUUUUGAUUACAAUGCUCCUCCACCAAAGUAUCAAUAAUGCACAGCUCUUCUGGACCCUCUUCUUCUUCCGGAAUGAUUUGCUUUUUAGACAUAUAGAAAAUAUUGAGAUCCAAUGUCAUGUUGCCAAAAGUGAGUUGCAUCAGCCCAUUCCUGCAGUUGAUGAUUGCAUUUGAGGUAGCAAGAAAUGGCCUUCCAAGGAUGAUAGGAACUAAAUUAGCUUCCUUUACAGUAGGAUCUGUAUCAAGAACUAUAAAAUCUACUGGAUAGUAGAAAUUAUCCACUUGAACCAAUACAUCCUCAAUUACCCCUCUUGGAAUUUUCACUGAUCUAUCUGCCAGAGAUAGAGUGAUUGCUGUUGGCUUCAACUCCCCAAGUCCCAAUUGCUUGUAGACGGAAUAUGGAAGCAAAUUCACACUUGCUCCUAAAUCUAACAAGGCUUUCUCCACUACCUUUCCUCCAAUCAUGACUGAAAUGGUAGGACUUCCCGGGUCUUUGUACUUCAAAGGAGACUUACAUUGUAAGAUUGCACUUACUUGCUCAGUCAAGAAGGCUUUCUUAUUUACAGUCAACCCUCUUUUGAUAGUACAUAAGUCCUUUAGGAAUUUUGCAUACGUUGGAACUUGUUUAAUCAUAUCCAGCAGUGGAAUAUUGACUUUCACUUGUCUCAAUACUUCAAGGAUUUCAGCUGCAUUUCUAAUCCCUUUUUCCCAUGUAAUGCUUGAGGAAAAGGUGGAGAGGUUGAUUUUUUCAGCAUUUCUUCCUUCAUAAGUUCCUUCUCUGGAAUUGCAUUGAUUGUUGAAUCAGAGUCCUUCUUUUCUUCACUGAUCUCACUCUCUUUAUCUUCCAUUUCCUUCCCUUUCUUUAUCUCUUCUUCUUUCUCAACAUGUGGCUUGGGUGUUGGCUGCUCAAUUUUUUUACCACUCCUUAUAGUGAUCAAGGCUUUGACAUCUUUCACCUGUGAUGAUUCUUCCUCCUAGCUUUCCACUUCAUGGACACCUUUGGGGUUUUGGUGGGGUUGAGAAGGAAAUCUUACCUUUUCUUGCAGUGUAUUCAAAUUUGUAAGCCUUGAAAUUGAAUAUUGGAUGUUAUCAAACUUUUGGUUCAUAUCAUUUUUCAUUCCAUCCAUCCUUUUAUUCAACAUACUCUCCACUCUAUCAAUUCUUUGAUUGAUUUGAGCAUUGGUGGCUUCUUGCUUUCCAACAAAAUCUCCCACUACCUUGCUGAGAUUAGCCGUUGCUUGUUCAAGACUUGAAGAUUGUUGAGAUGGUGGAUCCAGCUAUUGGUACUGAGUUGCUCUGGCUUUCCAUGAGAAAUUUGGAUGAUUCCUCCAACUCGAGUUGUAGGUAUUUCCAUAAGGCACAUUGUUAUUGGGCUUGAAUUGUCCAACAACAUUUGCUUGAUCUCUAAACAUUUCCCUUUCAGCUGAAAUUGCAGGGCAUUCUUCCACCAAAUGUUCAUAUGAUUGACAAUUAGGACACAACUUCACUUGUACUGGUGCUUCAGCAACAGCUUGCACUUCAUGUAUUCUUUUCAGCUCCAGCUCCUCCAAUCUUCUUGUCAUAGCUGCCAACUUUGCUUUCAUAUCAUCAUCUUCUUUCAAGGUAUACAUCCCAGCCUUUGUAUUGAAAGCAUUCAGUUGAGACUUCAUCUUACCCACUUCUCCUUUGGUUGGUUCAUCCCAUCCCCUUGAAACUUCAGCCACAUAGCUCAAGAAAUCCAUAGCUUCCUCUGGAUUUUUGCUCAUGAAGUCUUCUCCACACAUUGUCUCGAGGAGUUGCUUCAUUGAGGAGGACAUACCAUCAUAGAAAUAACUCACUAGUAGCCAAGUAUCAAAGCCAUGGUGAGGACAAGCAUUUAUAGCUUCCAUGUAUCUUUCCCAACACUCAUAGAAUUUCUCAUUCUCUUUAGCUGAGAAGUUUGAAAUUUGCCUUUUCAAGCCAUUUGUUCUAUGAGUGGGAAAAAAUUUCUUGAGGAAUUCAGCUUGUAAAUCAGUCCAAGAACGGAUACUCCUUGGCCUUAAAGAAUUAAGCCAAACUUUGGCCUUAUCCUUUAAAGUAAAAGGAAAUAACUUAAGCCUCAUCAAAUCAAUUGAAGCUCCUCCCUCUUGGAAUGUAUUACAAACAUCUUCAAAUUCCUUGAUGUGUGCAUACGGAUUCUCACUCUCCAUCCCAUGGAAAGUUGGUAGAAGUGGAACAAGAUACGGUCUGAUCACUAGCUGCUCUGUAGGGGGCACUAUACAUGAUGGUGCACUCAUACGAGGUGGAUGCAUACGAUCCCUCAUUGAUCUGAAUUCAUUGAGAUUAUCUUGAUGACCUUGGUGACUAUGCUGAUAUUCAGGUGUAGCUUCCAUGAUAUUCAAGCUCAAUUCAAAUUCUUUGUUCUGAGGUGUAUCACACUUAACAAGCCUUCCUCCACUGUCUCGUAUCCACUUUGGCAUACACAACUAGUAUCUAUCUGCAACUUAAAUGAAAAUAAAGAACAACAACAGAAACAGGGCUACAACAACAAAAUUAAACUAGGCUAAAUUUUAAAAUAUAAACUUAGAUUAUGAAUAAAUAAAGAAAGAAUGAGAAUUAGUAAAGUGAAAGAAACUUUACCAACUUGUGAUGAAAAUCACAAGUGCUCAAAAAUGGUAUCACUAUAAACUUGACACAGUCCCCGGCAACGGCGCCAUUUGAUUCGUGCCCAAUUGGUGUCUCAGCUGAUUCAUGUCCAGCUGGUGCUCCUUGAUUGAGGGAGUAAUCAACAAAAUUUAUAACCUAUAACACCAUACACUAGGGUAGCAAAGAAAAAGCUACUAUAGUAUAGUGGCUCUAGGAUCGUUCACUGGGAAUGAUUAACAAGCUAUCAAUGAUACCAAUUCAAAGUGAAUUGGUCUUGUUUCAUUUCAAGGUUAGCUUAAGAAAUAAAACACAAACUUUGAUUGGUAAAGGUUUAGACUUAAACUAACUAACACAACAAGUAAUAGGAAUAACUUAGGAAGAAAAACAUUCCUUGGAGAAUUAGGUUCACUGGGGUGGUUCCUCAUGCAAAAGACAUAGCUCCGGUCAGAUGGUUCAUUUCCUCGCGUUAGAGAUUCAACAUAUAGUCAAUUCUCUAACCGGUGUUGUACAAAUACAUCCUUCAAUUUGAUUGCACUUUAAUUCUCUCACUGAUGCAACUUGCAAUGGUUUAAGCCUCUCACUAAGCCUUAACCAUUCAAGGUGAUCUUUAACCUUGGAUUACCCGUCAAAAGCUCGCAAGAGAUAACUAAUGGAUGUCUCCUAGGAGUCCAAAAGCUUACCAAGUGUUGGCUAUUCUAGAAAAUCCUACCUUGAAGUCACCUCCCAGAGGCUCGCAAGGGGUAAACUAGUGCAUUUCCAUGGUUGGAAAUCACUUGCCUUACCAAGUGUUGGCCCAGGUGACUCUAAGGUGUUUUAAGUUAACUAAAAACAUAGAAAUCACUAAAGGAUUUCACUUCCUCUUCAUUACUAGCUAAAACCACAAAGCUUUGCAUUCUUGCACUUGGAACCUUCCCCGGCAACCUUAGCUCCAAGGAAUUAGAGGUUUAGUUACUCAUUCUUUGGGGAAAACUCCUCAGAGAGUUCAUAAUUUAGUAAUAAAUAAAAAAUACAAAGUGAUAAGGUAAGGCAAUACAAAGAACUGAACUUUACUUGCUUACCCAAAACUUUACAAAAGGAUCUCCUCCCUGAGAACAGGCUCCCGAGAGGUAUAUAUAUGAACAUAAUAUAAAACUAAUUAUUACAUAGAUAUUUUCUCUUUUUUACUAACUUAAAAGCUAAGGAAUCUUGUAAUUGGUGGCUUACAAGGAGUAUUUUGGGAUUUAGACAACAAAAAUCUGAUGUAAAAUAUCUCCCAAUGUCGGUAGCAAAUAUCGGGAGGCUCCAGGAACCAUUUCGCAAGAGAAAAUGGUGUCUACGAGAUUUCGCAGAUACUCAAGAAGGCUGCGAAAUCAUUUCGCAACAACAUGCUAUCUUCGCAGGGCUGCGAAGUUGGCUUCCACCUUGAGGUUCCCAGCUUCCCUCUCGCGGUAUAUGUCAGGCAACUUCAGAAGGAAAUACACCCUACUAUACAAAAAGGCUGCGGAAUCACUUCGCAACAACAGGGUAAUUUCGCAGCACUUUGCAAAAUGCUUCCUUCAGCUCGGAGUGAUUGGCUUGCAAUGGCUGCAACUUCUUCGUUUCAACUCCGAAUUGCACACCGUUUGAAGCAUUGGAUUGUUGACUUCCUGAGCUUUGAAAUGGUAUAUAGCAUGCAUCAAUUGAACUUCAUAAAGUUCUCCAAAAGUGGCUGCUACGACUGUCAUCAAGAAUAUGCUUCAUGGCAGAUUCUCUUUACUUUUUCUCCUUGCAAUCCGGAUUUACUCUUGGCAAAUGACUCUUAAGCUUUGCCCAAGAUUCCUCAUAACUCUCCUCAGUCUUGACUUGCUUUGGUGAUCAAAUUACUAACAAAAACACCAAAACUUACAUAAAGUGAUUAAAAUCCCUUUCAAGGGUCCUUAACAUGCCAACUGAGUUAAAAGGCCUAAACUACUACUCAAAAGUGUUUAAAAGGAUUAAUUAUAGGCUAUCAAAUAGCACUUUUUGAGUAGUAAUCAAUCUAGUCGUAGGAUAAAUGGGACUGGUGGGCCCUAACGUGCUAUAGUCGACAGUGCAGUAGGAGUCAACUCAAAUGGUAUCCAAUCUGAAAUCAAACUUAAUGGAGUAGAAGUCUAUGAACACACUGUGUCAACCUCAUAACUAUCAUCUAAAACAAUCAGCUCUGGCAAUCCAUCAUCCCAACUCAUCAUGUGUAUGUUGUCAUCCUCUACAAAAUCUAUGUGAUGGAUACCGCCCGGGGGUGGUGGCACUGCAUGCAUAAAGUGAGCCGGUAGAGGGUUCAUGGUUACACUUGGCUACCCCAAGUUAACCAGACCCUGAUCUAUCAAGUCCUGUAUAGCAUGUCUCAAGGCGGCUCAAUGAUCCGUGUCAUGCCCUGGACCCUGAUGGUAGGAACAAUGCAGAUCCAUCCUGAAGCACGAUGGCACGGGUUGAGGUAUAGGCCUAGGUGCCAACUAAGUCAACAAACCACCCUCUACAAGAUUUUGGAAAGCUCGACUCAAAGGCAUACCUAGAUGGGAGAACUGUCAUGUUAGCCUCUGUACAAGAGGAAUAGUAGUAUGUGGGGCUCUAGGCCGAGAGUAUAAAGUAGGAGGCCUCUUAGAGACCUAUGCAGUAAAAACAGGCUUUGAGGUGUGGUGUAGGUAUGUAGGAGCCAUGGGCCUGGGCAGUCUAUACUGAACAUAAUGUUGUGGGUAAUAGGCUCCUGAAGUCUGCCUAAAUGUCUGAUAGUGCCUGGGAGAUCUUGAUCCUACUGAAUUGAUAGUACCCACAUCUCCUGGUCUCUGUCCUCCUGAGGGCUUCUUCCCCUUUGAAUCAGAAGGGGAAGACUUGGGUCACAAUCCUCUAGCAAUGUCCUCCUCUAUACUGUACAAGGCCUGUACCAAGGAUCCAAAAUCCGUAUAAGGAAAUCCCAUCAAAUGUCUAGCAAAUCUGGGCUAUAAGUUCUUUAAAAUCAUACUAAUCCGGUCCUUCUCUGAAGGACGAUCAACAAUCUGGGCGAUCUUCUCCCUCCAUCGGGAGAUAAAUGAAGUCACUGACUCAUCUGGUCCUUGUCUCAAGGCCUCUAACUCUCUCUUCAAGACAUCAAUGACAAUAUUAAAGGGGAACUGUCUCAAAAAUUCUUGGGCCAAGUCAUCCCAAGUCCUACGACGUGAAGCGACUAAAGAAACAAACCAACGCUGUGCUGCACCACUCAAGGACAUGGGAAAAAGCAUAAUCAAGUGGGCCUCAUCCAACCCGUGGGCCCUCAUCACACUACUGUAUAGCCUCAAAUGAAUCUUAGGGCAACUUAUGCCCGUGUACCUCUCAAUCUCUGGCAUCAUGAACUGGGCCGGUAAACUGGCUAUCGGUGCUCCAUCAAAAUCAUCCCAACUGAUAGCUCCAUCCGAAACCCUGAUCUGUCUCAUCCUUUGCUUGAGUCUAUCCAUACGAGCAUGUGCACCCUUUAAGGCCUAAAUGGGUGUUACGACAGGAAGUGGGGUAGCAUCAGUCUAACUAUGUAAAACAUACGGUGCCAGGUGUGGAACCGACUGACUGAGUGGAGGGGGUGGUGGUGCCGCAGAGUCAUACCGUGCACUAUCCUGAGGCUGGGCCUGCUGCCCAUCUAUCUUUUGGCCAAGGCCGGUUAUAGCCUCCUGAAUCGAAGCCAUGGCCGCGGCAAACUGGUCGACAAUGACUACUUGGGAAUCCAUAUCUCUUUGAUCUACUCUCUAGUCUGGCUGAUCUGAUACUCUAGUCAACCUGCCUCUAACUCUAGCCCACGAAGGCGAAUCCAGACUGGCCAUAAAAAAUACUCCUAUAAACACGGAACCACUAGAUGAGACAUUGUACAAGGGUAGCUCUGUAGGAAUUGACUAAAAGGUAAUCAAGCAUAUAACCCAUGUAUACUCAAACUGAUACCCGUAUUUGAUCAUGCCAAAAUGAGACUAUGGAGAGGGUAACAAAACCCAAUAGUAACCAAGGCAGCUCUGAAGGUCCACAGAUGCACCUACGUGUAGGAAUGAAAUCCUAAUUAGGUCUAGCCUAGCCUACAAGGUUGUGGUGGUUAUAUAAAAUAAAAAUGGGUGGGUUAAAGGAAUCCUAGUAGAAGCGAUCAUACCCUCUGGUGGUACACAACCCUCUGCACACCUCCAAGAAGAUGGGGUGCUUCCAUGCAAGGUGGUCAUCACCUCCACACAUGCACUUCCUCGCGUUCCCAGGGGGUUUCCUAACGGUGAAGACUCUCCCAUCUCUCAACACUUAGGGAUAAUCUAAAGUGCAUAGUGAAGGAUGUGGGUGCAUCCGAAAAAUCUAAGAUCUAAAGUGAGUGAACAAAGACAAUCAUACAAUCAUGCAAGAGAAAUGGUUGUCAUGCAACAGGUAGUCAUACGAAGCAGAUAAAUAUCAAAUGAUCAAAGACCUAUCUAUCAUAUGUGAGAGUGAAUCAUGCCAAAGUAAACAAAGCAGUCAAGGAAUCAUUCAAGGCAAUCAAACAUGUUAGGAUAGCAAAGCAAUCAAGCAAGCUAACUAAAUCACCUUCCCUAAAAGAUGAGGUACCCUCUAAUUGACCAAUUAAACGCCACAUUUUCCUCAAAUAGUGUUCAAGUUUGAUCCUCAAUAUCCGCAGCAGAGUCACCAAUUUGUGGACCCGCAUUUUUCACGUGUGCCCCCACUCAAUCGAUGAGACUCGUUUUUAUUUGGUGAAGAUUUUGUUUUUGGAAAAGUCAGAAUCGCCACUUAUUUUAUUUUAUUUUAAAGGGAAAAUAAAACAAAAAAUAAAACCCUAAAAAAUGACUCCAUAGUUUUUGGAAAAACAUGUCUUUGAAAAACCUGACUCUAGGUCCAGGGAUCAGGUUACCUAUUGGGAAGGUACCUCUAGGAGAUAGCACCCCUCGAAGCCUUACAAAGGUCUCUAUUGACUACGUUGAAGGAAAUGUGGCAAUCAACUGAUUAAUUGAGGGUACCUAGGUAGGCUAAGGUGAUCUCAAAACUAGCAUGCCAAACAAGAAAAACCAAUCACGCCCAUAAAGGAAAGUUAGGAUGCUCACCUAGACCAUUUCUUAAGCGCUAUCAUAAAACAUCAAUGGUUAGUUUAGAUAAUAUAUCACUCAACAUGCAUUUUAUCAUGAAUGAUCAAACAAUGUAGCAAAUAUCAAGACAUCCCAAGCGUUCUCAAACAUAGGUAUAAUUCAUAAUGACAAUCAUAUUUACAGAAUUUAGAAGGUAGGUGACAGAAGACGUACUUGGAUAGCAUAGAUAACUUGUAACGUGCUUCCACAAGACAUGAAAGGUUAGAUAAAAAACAAUAAAAUAAGAAGUCCUAGCAUGCUUGUUAUCUAAUUAGCAUAGAAAAAAAAUUAUCACAAUAUACGAAAGCAUCAAUUAUCACUUAUAUCUUCUAUAUAAUUCCUAAAAAAUAAAAAGACAUGAGUUCAUCAAAUAGCAAAGGGGGCAACAAAGAUGAGUUUUGAAAAAUUUCCUUAUGGGCCUAAGUGGACCUAAAGUUCUGCCUAAUGGGCUAAGUGCACCUAGAUGAGCCUAAAGUGCCUAAGUGGGCCUAGGAUGGUGCCUAAUGGGCCUAAAGUGCCUAAGUGGGCCUAGGAUGGCUAAGUGAGCCUUGGGUGCCUAAAUGGGCCUAGGGUGCCUAAGUGGGUCUAGGGUGCCUAAGUGAGCCUAAGUCUAAAUUAGGACUGCCAAGAGUCACAAUGGGGUUAAAUGAACCCCUCAACCCAAGUCCCCGAGGUGGCUUAAAAAAGAUAGGCCACGCAAGUAGUAAUUGGCCACCAGGGAAUUGCUGUAAAGGACACAUGCCAGGAGGACAAAAUGAAGGGUCUACAGAUUAUUUAUUUGUUUGCAUCAGUAUAAACAAGUACAUGACAAAUGAAGACAAGUUCUACGUUGUUUUUGUUGGAAGGAGAUCUGGUGUAUACACAACUUAGCCUGAAUGUCAAGCUCAAGUCAUUGGUUAUAAGGGUAACGUUUAUAAAUCCGACAAAACUCAUCGUGAGGUUGUAUCGACAUGGGUGAUGUACGAGCCUCGAUGGAAAUACCUUAUGCACUUAUUGAAUCCUCCGAGCCAAAAGAGGUUAACUAGGUUAUUGGCCAACUAGUAGAUGACCAAGUAUUAAAGAAGACUACAGAUCGAAAACAAAAUUUCCUUGCUCCUUUUGUCCUCGGAUGUAUUGUAACAUUCACGAUUAUGUUUGUUGUUCAGAAUUUCUUUUAGGUAUGCUCAAAUGUGGUGUGACUAAGCUACACGUUGUACUUGUUUUACAUCUCUUGAAUGCAAUGGUGCUUUGGCCUUUCAUCCUUCAUUAUUUAUUUUAGUUUUAAAACAAUACUAAAAUGACAUAAAACAAAAUAAGAAGUUAUAAAUUGUCGAUGAUGAAAUUUAAGAGGGAAAUGACUAAAUGAGUUCUUCAAAAUUCUAUAUAAUCCUUUAGGAUAGGCUACCUUGUACACCUUGUACAAUUAGCACAUGUACCUUGUACAGUUAGUGUAACUGCCUUGUAUAGUUGCACAAUUCACAUAAACCUAUAAUGCAAUGUGUGCAUAUGGGUGGGUUAACUAUGUUUCCAUUGUCAUGGCUCAGGAAAAUAGGUAAAAAAAAUAAAAAUGAAAUCAAACCCAACCAUGUAUCCCUAAUCAUCAUUUAUGAAUACAAGGUGAUGAAAUAAACAUAUAUGAGGUCAAAUAAAUGGAAAAGCUAGACGUGAUCAAUCAAUAUGUGUGAGGAAUGUCUCUCAUCGUCAAAAGAGGGAAAUGACAAAGCUAGUUCCUCAAAAUCAUUUCAAAUACAUCGAGACAAGUACCCUUGUACAUCCUUGUACAGUUAGCAUAUUUUACUUGUACACUUAGUGUAAAUGCCUUGUACAAUGGCAUAAAUUCCAUACACUAACAACAUGUGAAUCCAUAUGGGUGGGCGAACCAUGUUCCAAUGUCAUGAGUGAACAAAAUUUGAAAAAAUUGAUGCCAAAUUACGUUUCUAUUCAUCAUUACUAUGGUAAGUAAUAUGAUGAACAUGUACGAACUCACAAAAAUGAAUGGUAUGAGUGUGUGAUCAAGUAAUGUGUGUGAAAAAUGACCCUCAUCAUUGGAAUAUGGAAAUGAGCAAGCGAGUUCUUCAUAUACCUUUGAAAUCCUUAUGGAUAGCUACCUUGUACACUUAGUGUAAAUGCCUUAUACACUUGCACAUUUACAUACACCCAUAAUGCAAUGUGUGCAUAUGGGUGGUUUAACUAUAAUUCCAUUCUCACGCCUCAGGAAAAGAGGUAAAAAAAAUUUAAAUCGAACCCAACCAUAUAUCUUUAAUCAUCAUUUAUGAAUACAAGGUUUAAAUAGUGAACAUGUAUGGGGUUAAAUAAAUGCAUAGGUUGCACGUGAUCAACCAAUAUGUGUGACGAAUGUCUCUCAUCUUUAAAAAGGAAAUGAGCGAGUCAUUUCCUCAAAAUCAUUUGAAAUCCUUUAAGACAGGUACCCUUGUACACCCUUGUACAAUUAGCAUAUUUUUCUUAUACACUUAGUAUAAAUGCCUUGUAUAGUGGCAAAAAUUCGACAUAGCUAAAGCUGAACAUGUGCAUAUGGGUGGGUUAACCAUGUUCCAAUGUCAUGCUUGAGGGAAAAGGGGGAAAAUUAAACCCAAAUUAGCUUCGUAUUCAUCAUUAGUAAAGGUGGGUCAUCUAAUGAACAUGUAUAAGGUAAUAAAAAUUGAAUGGGAUGAGAGAGUGAUCAAGAAAUGUUUGUAAGGAAUGUCCCCCAUCCUUACAAAAGAGAAAUGAGCAAGCCAGCUUUUAAUUAAAAAAGAUUUGAAAUCCUUUAACAUCAGUACACUUGUACACCCUUGUAUAGUUACCAUAUUUGUCUUGUACACUUAGUGUAAGUACCUUGUAUAAUGGUAAAAAUUAAACUUAGCUACACCUGAACAUUUGCUCAUACACGGGUUAACCAUAUUUGCAAUGUUUUGGUUCAUAAAAUGAGGAAAAAGUGAAGUCUAAAUUUGUUCCCCAACUACUAGUCAUCAUAUAAUUAAAAAACAACUACUAGUUCACGAGUCUUACACAAUAAUCAUACAAACAAAUCAGUGAAUGAUGCAUAUGAAAAACCUUUCUACUGACUUCCUACAUGCACAACAUUUGAUAUUCAAAAAAAAAAUUCCCUAUUAUUAUUCUCCUUCCUAAUACAUAAAGGUGUUUCAAUCAUACAAUUAAUGGGGUCCCAAACAUAAAGAAUUUUAACAAAUAUGUAUGUGACAAUUCAUCCCUAAACCUAAUAAAAACACCCUCAAUCCUCCACAAACCUCGGUUCCAAUUCCAAAAACUAUACUAACCCGAAAACCACUUCAAUAUAUGGAACAUAUUUUCAUGUUCAAAGGAGGUCAUUAGGCAUAUACCCCACUACCAGUGCUGCAGCAACUUUAGAUCUUCAAGGGAAUUCUUGUUUUUCAAAUUCGUUUGACCCAAAGGAAUUGUGGAGGAAUUACAUGAUCUUCACACAAUUGUUUUUCCCAAACUUCACCAUCUCUCUCUGCGAACCAUACUCUAAUUCUCUCUCUAAAUUUAUUUUAUUGGACAAUAGACCCAGGUCAUAGCCACAUACACAUUUUAAAGACAUCUAGCAUGGCAAAUUCAAUUGAUCACAUAUGAAACCCAAAUUUUACAAACAUCUCCUAUGGAAAUUUGAAGGGUAUAUUUGUCUAAUGAUAUUCUACAUCCUCUCUCUCAAUUAUGCAACUUAUAUGGCCGAAAGGUUAAUUUUUCAUUGGAAAUGAGUGUGUAAGUUCUUCAAAAGCAUUUGAAAUCCAUCAAGAUAGGUAGCCUUGUACACCCUUGUACAGUUAACACAUUUGCCUUGUACACUUAGUGUAAAUGCCUUGUACAGUCAUAGAAAUUCCACAUAGGUACAAGUGAACGAGUGCUUAAGGGUGGGUAAACAAUGUUUCCAUUCUCAUGGAUUAGGGAAAAGGAAGAAAAAUUUUACCCUAAUUUCAGUUCAUAUUCAUGAUUAGUGGAUGAGCUAAUAGAAUGAAUGAACAUGGCAGACAUCAAAUAAAAUGCAUGUAAUGGGUGUGUGGUCAAGCAAUGUGUGUGAGGAAUGUCCCCCAUGAUUGGAAAAAGCAAAUAAGUUCUUCAAAAUCAUUUCAAAUCCCUUAAGAUAGACACCCUUGUACACUUUUGUAUAGUUAGUACAUUUGCCUAGUACACUUAGUGUAAAUGCCUUGUAAAGUGGUAGAAAGUUGACAUAACUACAAUUGAAAAUGAGUGCAUAUGGGUAGGUUAACCACAUUCCAAUGUCAUGGCUGAGCAAAAAAGGGGAAAAUGAAACCCAAUUUAGGUACCUAUUCAUCAUUACUACGGUAGCUCAUCCAAUGAAUGUGUACGAAGAGGAAUGAGGAAUGUCCCCCAUAUUUAGAAAAGGGAAAUGAGCAAGCCAGUUUUUUAAAAGGAUAUGAAAUCCUUUAACAUAGGUACCCUUGUACACCUUUGUACAGUAAGCACAUUUGUCUUGUACACUUAGUGUAAAUGCCUUAUACAGUGACAAAAAAUUGACAUAGCUACAACUGAACACAUACAUAUGAGUGGGCUAACCAUGUUCCAAUGUGAUGCCUAAGGGAAAAAGGGGAAAUGAAACCUAAUAUAGGUUCAUAUUCAUCAUUAGUGCGGGAGGUCAUCAAAUGAACAUGUAUGAAGUGAUAAAAUUGAAUGGGAUGAGUGCGUGAUCAAGGAAUGUGUGUGACAAAUGUCCCUCAUCCUUACAAAAUGGAAAUGAUUUUAAACGGAUUUGAAAUCCUUUAAUAUAGGUACCUUUGUACACCCUUGUGCAGUUAACACAUUUACCUUGCACAAUUAGUGUAAAUGUCUUGCACAGAGGAAGAAAUUCCAUACAACUACUACUGAAUAUCUGCUCAUACAUAGGUUAAUCAUGUUUGUAAUUUUUUAGUUCAUAAAAUAAGGAAAAAAUGAAGUAUCAAUUUCUUCCCCAACUACUAGUCAUCAAACAUAAAGGAGUUUUAAUCAUACAAUUAAUGGGGUUGUGCUUUGGAUCAUAGUAUAAUCAUUUUCACAAAUAUGAAUGUCACAAUUCAUCCCUAAACCUAAUAAAAACACACUCAAUUCUCCAUAAACCUAGGUUGGAAUGCCAUAAAAUAUACUUACCCCACAAUUCUACUCCAAAAGGCCAUAUACCUUAUUUAAUGUAUUUUCAUCUUCACAAGAGGUUGCUGAGCCACUGUCAUCAUCAUGACCACACCUAUAGUUGCUUUAGAUCUUCAUUGGAGUUAUUCAUUUUCUCUAUUUUGUGUAGUGGACCAACCUCACAAUCAUGACAACCAUCUUCUUUGCUUUUAAUAUACGUUUGAUUCGAAGGAUAGCUAUUAUGGAGGAAUUGCAUCAUCAUCAGAGAAUCUUCUUUCCCAAACUCACCGUCUCUCUCCGUCAACCAUGCCCAUUUCUUUUCUUUGGACGAUUGACCCAACAAGCAUAUUUUAAAGUCAAAAUUUUAAGACAGGUGACAUGCCAAACUUGAGGAGAUCUUCUCCAUUUUUGAGUUGCUCACAAUCCUCAGCUGCUGAAGGAAUUGAUUGGGGGACGUCAUAGUUGAGGGAAAUAAAGAGAUAAGGGGUGGUGACCGACCUUUAUUUCAAAUUUUUAAGAUAGGUGACAUGACAUUUUUUUUAUUGGUCUCUUAAUAUUUUAUAUCCUCCCCAUCAAUUAUGCAACUUAUAUGAACCAAAGCUUAAUUUUUGGGUCCAGUUGGGUCCAAAACCAAUUGUCCCUUAAACUUUUGCUACUUUUGUAUGUUACUAAUGGAAAUGUUCAUAAUUGAGAGUAGGAAUGACUCUGCUAAAUAUUAAAACUCAUUAUUUCAUGUCGGAGAAAAUGAAGAUGACUUCAAUGGUGGAUAGUGUGAUAAGAUUUAGGGUUUGAGAUUUGAUAGAGAGAGAGUUGUUAAUGGAAAUGGGGCUAUCUUUUUCCACUUUUCACUUUAUAUGGGGAGUAUUUUGAAAUAUUAAGAAUAUGAAAAACAAAUUAAUUUGUCUUUUUCAUUGAUAAGAGGGGCAAGUGAGGAUGGGUUAACACAACCUAAACUUGUCCAAGAUAUAUAAUCCAUGCUUGACUUGCUUCAGUUAGGAUUUUUUCAAAUCCAUUCCAUUAGAAGUGGUAAUGAUAGCUAAUGCCACAUAUUAAAAACAAAACCAAAAUUAAGUACUAUUUAAUAUUUUAAAAAAGAAAAAUAUGAAGAUGAUGUAAAAUUAUUAGCAACAUGUGUUCAAAAAUCAUUUUUGAAACUUUUUGUUCUCUUUGAAAAUGAAUAAUUUUUUUAAAAAAAAAUUCGAUUUGUGUUUUAAAUAUGGUAAGUUUUCAACAGUUGAAAAUGAUUAAUUAGUUUUGCAGGUACACUGGAAACUAUUGGUUAGUCGCAAAAUAAGAAUUUUCUAUAAAGUUAAACAAAUGUUUUCCUAAUGAAAUUCAUAAUUUCCCUAUAGAUGAUCAAUAUAUCAAAUGCCACAAUAUUGAAGGUCCAACAAUAAAAAUGAGAAAGAUUAAGUUAGUCUAAUUGUUACGCCUACAAAUAAAAGAAAUUGCAAAAUAGCUUAUUCAAAAACCAACUAUAUAGACCGAGAUGCAAUAAUACUAUCAAGACUAAGAUUUGUGUCUUUGAUAAUGUUUAUAUUCAAAGUACUUUAAAUGAAAGUCUUGAUGAAAAAAUAACUUAUUAAGCAUUUCUCCAGUAAAUACCAUAAGUGAUUUUUCAACUUUUUAAACAUAUUUUUUAAAUUUUACUAAACGCUUAUUUUUUUCUUUAAAAAUACUUUUUAAAAUUGUUACCAAAUAGGCUCAAAGAUGAAAAUAUUUCUCAUCUCCAUAUGUCAAUGCAAAUAUAAAUACAUGAACAUUUCAUUUAGUUUCAUAUAAUAUAGAUGGUAAAUAAUUUAAUUGGUGCAUAUUAUUUUAAAAUUAACUCUUAUAACACUAGUCAACAAUAAGGUCAUCCAAUUCUCUAGUGUGGGAUGCUCACGUCCGUCUAGCAUGACUCUUAUUUUGUGUAGCCGUAUCUUCGUCCAUCCGUUCAAGGAUUUGGACGGAUAAAGACUAUCCGAGCACUACUUAUUACUACCUGUCAAACACUAAAUAUGAAACACAUUAAGAACAUUGAGUGUCACAACCAUUACUAAGCAUAAAUGACAGACUUUAGAGCUUAAAAACUGUUAUGCAAGCCAAUUAAAAGGCAUUAAAGACAAUUGAAACACAUGGGACAUGUUAUGGCUUGGCUGAAGAUAAAUAGCCAUCAAACGUCAGAAUGAAGGUAGGCAAUUAGAACCCAGUGACCUCUUACCCAACUCCCCUUUGUCUAAUUUAAGCUUCAGAGGGUUGUGCCCGGAAAAACCAUCCGAACACUCCUUAUUGUAGGUGUACUCGUCGUCCAAACCAAGAGGAGGCCAGCCGGAUGCAAACAUUGUUGGUCAUGCACCAACAUCUAGGACUUAAAAAAAAAAAGUGGCAAGCCCCAUGUUGCUUCAACUAGUAGUUGUCAAUUCUAAAUACCCCGCACUCCAAAUAACACCCUAAUUAGUUAGGGUUGUUCCAAAUCAUCACUACUCACUCUUAGAAAUUUCACGCCUAUUCCUUUAAGUUCUUGCCCAUACAAUCAAAAUUCAAAUAAAUUUACUAUAUAACAAAAUUAUUUACACAUGUAUAAAACUAUUAUAUUUUAAAUAUGAGUCUUUUAUUACGAAUUUUUUUUACAAACUGAUAAAUAAAUACAACAUUAAUUUCAUUUGACAUUUGCUUCAAUUUAUCAUAUAAUGCAUUUCCUAAAUUCCUAAAUAAUUUUGUCUCAUUUAGAGUAAUUAAAUUGUCUUAUGCAUUUCUAAGCUUCCUUAGUAAUUUUAUUUUCGUUUAGAAAAUAGUAACUAAUGUUAUUUCAAUUAGGAAGGUAACUUUACUCUCAUGUGGCUACUUUAUUCAGCAUUUUACUAUUAAGGAGUAUUAUAUAUAUAUACCAAAAUCUUGCAAGUUUAAGCUUUUAGGAAAAUUGGUAAUUCAAAAUCAUAUCAUAACUUUAUUUCAAAUUUUAUUUAAUGAGUGGAAUUAUGAAAAAUGGAAAUGCAUGUAGAUUGAAUUCUGACGUUAAGAUCUCAAAAAUUACUUGAAGAGAUUUAAAGUUCUUCCUCAACUCUCUAGAUUUAAAGAGAUUUAAGUAUGGAUCUUAAAUAACAAGUUUAUUGCUUAAGAUUAAUGAAAAUAAAUAUUAAUUAAAAUUUUUAAUAAUAAACAUGAAUUAAAACUAAUAGGAUAAAUAUGUCAAUUCAAUAACUUAAAAUAAAUUCCAAGUUAAUUUUAUACCUUACUACUUAAAAUAAAAAAAUAAGUAAUAAGUUUUAAGUUAAUGACUUAAAACCAAUUUAACUUAAAGUCAACUUAAGUCAUUAAAUAAUAAGUAUUAAGUUUUACCAAACAUCCAAGUUGACUUUAAGUUAAAUUAUUCUUAAGUUGUUAACUUAAGACUUAUUACUUAAUUGUUACUUCAAGCAUUAAGGUUGUUUUGUAAACUUAGCUUAAAGUUUAUUCUAAAUCAUCAAAUUAACUCAUUUUCCCUCAUUAAUUUUAACUAAUAUUUAUCCUUAUUGAUUUUAACUCAUAUUUAUUUUCAUUAGUUUUAAGCAAUAAAUUUAUUUAUAUAACAUUCAUACUUAAAGUAUUGUAGAUAUAUAAUACAACCAUAAAAUGUUUAUUACAAAAAAUGAGUUAUGGAUGUGAAGUCACAGUUUUAAAAUGCAUUUACUGUGAGCAAAUGAGACAAAAAGAAUUUUACAUUAAGAAUAAGUUAACUAUUUUAACUUAAUACUUAAAGUUCAAAGUGAUUUUAAGUUAUAAUAUUAAGUUAUUUUACUAAUUUAAUCUAUUUAAUGACUUAAGUUAUUAAGUCAUUAAGUUUAUUUACCAAACAUCCCCUAUGUCUAUUACUUUUUCUUGACCAAGCAAAUUUAUAUUUUUUAGUAUAGAAAUAACUAUUGAUAUGUAAAGCUUAAUUAAAUGAAGGUGACCAUACAUCCUAUAAUUUAGAACUAAAAUGACAACCAAGUCAGACCACAUAUUUUUAUCUUCCUAAUCGAUUUAUACACACAUCUUUAAGCUUAGACUAGCUUAUAAUACCCAAACACCCAAAACUAAACAUUAAUAAAAAUAUUUUCAUAAUUAUGUACCGAAUACUAUUUUUUUUUCCAAUAGAAAGCUUAGUAAUUUAUGAAACCUCAAAUACUAAGAUCAUAUUUGGCAUGUGUGAAUCACGAGUGAAUAGAUAUCUAAUUCAUCUUCUCAUCCAUUUUCAUAGUUGGAUAACUCAAGUGAUGAUGGAAUAAAAUUAAUAACGAUUUCAAAGGAAAUGAAAUCUCACUUAUAAGUGAGAUUUCAAUUUAUUUCUAGUAGGAGGCAUUUUUGAUUCCCUAUGUUGAUUCCUACAAGUUAUUUUUAAAAGCACUUUUCAAAAAAAAAAAUAAAAAAAAAAAACCUUUUUAGAUAAGUUGUUUUUUAAAAUAAUUUUUGUAUUUUGAUUUUAUAAAAAAUAAAUUGUAAUUUAGUUUAUAUAAUAUGAACUAAAUUUAAUUCAAGUCUUAAUAAAAAUAAAAAUAAUUUUAUAAUUAAAUAAAUAAAUAAUAAAUAGUGUUUAAUAAAAUAUGAAUAGUAAUAUUAUAAUAAAAUCAUAAAUUACAUAUAUGUUUUUAUAAAUAUUAUAAAAAUAUAGAUUUUAUUUUGUUAAAAAUAAAUCAAAUUCAAAAUUAAUAAUUACUAAUGCUAUUUUAUGUUAAAUGAAUUUAUAAACAAACAAAAUUAAAUUUUUUUAGUAUAUAAAUGAGUCAAAAUUUUCAUUACAUGCAUACAUUUAGUACUCAAUAUAUGGUAUUAUGAAAGUUUUAAUUUAACCUAUAAUUAAUUAAUUGAUUUUUUGAAUUUCAAAUUAUUCUUAGAAAUUAGAGGAUUCAUUAAAGAAUUUAAAGCAUUAAUUAUAUCUAUUAUCUUUUAUAGUCAUUAUAUAUAUAUAUAUAUAUAUAUAUAUAUAGUUUCAAUUUUAAUUAGAAGUUUCAUAUUUUUAAAAUUAUUUUUAGUCAUCAUAGAUAAUUAAUUGAAACUUCUUAAUAAAUUUAUUACAAAGUCUUGUUUGAUUUGAAAUUCAUUUUUUCUAGUAAAAAAAUUGGAAAAACAAUAUUCUAUUUUACUUUAAUUUUAAAAAUUAUUUUGCAGCCACUCCUCACAAGAAGCUAUCUCAGGUACUUAAAAAUAUAUUCAAAAAUUAAGGGGAACGAGCAAAAUACUUGGCUAACAUAUAAAAGCCAUACACUUUUUGUGGAGGAGGUUGAGAUGUUAAUGAGAGAGUGCCCCUUGCGUCUAAAAUAAUUUAAAAUAAAAUUUGUUUUAAACUAUAGAUACAAAUAUUAUUGUUAAUUUAUUUCUUUUUUCAUUUUCAUUCCAAAUAUUACUUAAGAUUGAAAUGAAAACUAAUAAUCAUUCCGACCGUACAUUCCUAUAUAUAUAUCCAAGCAUAAGAAUUAGAAUCACUAAAUUCAUUAAUGUAAAAUGAGAAAUAGGAAUGGAUCGAAAUAAAAUACUCACUUUCAUUCCUCAUUCCAAUGUACCAAAAAUGACCUAAGGUUUUUUUUUAUUUGUUGGAAUCAUGAUCUGAAAUGGUUGAAAAUAUUAAAAGAAUUGAUUUUUUUUGUCCUAGACAAGUAUGUCCAUACUUUCUGUGUAGCCUCGUCAAUAACAAAACUAUCAAAAUGUACGUGUUUUCUUUAAUGGACUUGACAUCUAUGGGUUCCAAUAUCGUAGUAGAAUAAUUCUAAUUUCUCAUACUUGGUUGCAAAAGCCUAAUGAUAGGAACUCUUUCUUAUUAUACAAAUAAUGAUCACAUGAAAGAGAGUCAUGAUUUUCUUUCAAAACUUGCACAGUUAUUUCUCACCCAUUUCUAAUGUCUUAUUCCAUAACUUUAGGAAAGUGUAUUGUCACGGACUUAGUCUUUUCCUAAGCUCGUGCGAUACCUAGAUAAGUCAAGACACUUGAUCUUACUAAGUCAGCCUUACUCCCAAUGCUUAGCUUACUAAGCUUAGAUGCUCACGACUUGGAAACUUUAGAAGGUAUAGUAGGCAACUCUUAAAGAAUGGAAGCUUUUAUUGCUCAAAGGAAGCUUUACAAGUGCUUUGGGAACUCACUUGCUUGGUUAGGAAUUGAUUUGGGUGGUGCCUUGGCCAAAUGAGGCCUUAACCUAUUUAUAGGCACCAAUGGAACUCUUUGAAACCUUGGAGGGUUCCUUACAAAUCAAGAAUAAUCUAGAAGCUCCUACACUAGUCUAUGUACAAGGGUAUGUACAAGAUGACUUUGGAAGAUUCUAGAACACCCCACACUAUUCCAAUGCUCUCCUAGCCAAGUGUAGAGAUGUGUGGACAUCUCUAGCCCUCUCUAGAAGCUUCCAUGCUCUUCCACUUUGUAGCUAAGUGUAGAUGUCUCCAGGGUUUCUAGAAGCUUCUCACCUCCUAUAUAAGCCCGUGGGGAGGGUCAUUUGAAGCAUCUUGUGAUAGUAUGGUCUCGAUAGCAUUCAAAUUGCCCUUUUACACUUCCUCUUGGUAUAUGUAGCAAACCUCUUCUUUUGCAACAAAUAACCUCUUCACCACUACCAAAAUAACUUUUAUAUCCUUGUUUAACUUGUGCAAAUCUAGACAUUAGUUUGAGGUUGGAACGUUGGUCUCCAAACAUAUAUUAUUUAUGCAUAUAUUCUUAGAGCCACUAGACUUUCUCAUCCUAAUUGCACCAAUGUCUCUAUCUUUGUAAUUUGAAAACAACUUCAAUUAAGGGAUAACAUGCAUGAUAUAAGGUUAUGGUCUCUACAAUGCACUCAAUUCUAUGAUCACUAAUAGGGAUUUAAUCCAAGUGUUAAUUUGACAUGAUAUAUAUAACUGAUUCAUUACCAAAUAGCUUAAACAUUUAUAUCAUAUAUAUUGAUAGCUUAACAUGUUUUUAAAGCCUUAGUUCAAGGGAGAUCAUGAUCUUGAGCUUCACACAUGGUUAUUUCUCAUACUUAUUGAACCUGCAUACAAACUGAAAGAAGGUUUUCUCUUAUACAAGGUAUUGAGGGUUUAGUCCAAGUGCUACCUCAUUACCAAAUAAUUUAAUUAGGGAUGACAAUACAAUAAGUUUUUUUAGGUACUCAUCUCAUCCUACCGUGAAUAGAAUAGGUUUGAAAUGAAGAUAAAUAGGUUAGGGAUAGAGAUUUUUUUACAUAUAUAAACCAAUGGUGGGUUUAGGUAUUACCUUGUACCCUCCUAUCCUAUCGCAUCCCAAGUAUAUGCAUAAUUAAAUUUAAAAAUAGUUUUAUUUUUUAUUUACUCAUUUUUAACACAAAAUAAUAAUAAUAAAAUCUACUUCUUGAAUAAAAUAAAUUAUAAAAAUUUAUAAUAUUUAUUUAUAUAUAAAAUAUAUUUACUUUUAAUAUUUUAAAAUUUUAAAAAUAAAUAGGGUUGGGUGGGGCCUGUGCAACACAAGUAAUAAGAAAUUUUCAUACCGGUAGCCUUGCCCUACCUUACACCGCCCUGUUUAAUUUUUUUUAUUGGGUGGGGGUAGCAAUAGAUUUAUAUAAAUGUGACAAGAUUGGAAUAUGGGUGAUGCAUUCCAAACCCGUCCCAUUGUCAUCCCUAAGUUUAGCUUUUAGAUUAUGUUGGUAGCUUAACAAUCACCAACAUUCAAAAGUUCAUGUUGUAGUAUCCUUGUUCUAUUCCAUUACCUGAGGCUGCCUCUUCUUUUCCUUUCUGUAAACACAGUAGUUCUAUUUCAUAUGGCCUUUUUUGCCACAAUAUCCAGACAUCUAUCCACUAUUGAUACCAAACUCUCAUCAUGCUUAUAUGCAGCGGAUGUAGUAUUCUUUUUCUCUCUCCUUUUUCUUUCUUAGGUUUGCCUCCUUUAUUUCCUUUCCCAAACAACAUAGUUCUUUUCUAAAUUGCUUUCUGCCACAAUGAGCAUUUCAUUUUCUCCUUGGAUUGAAAUCUUUCAUUGGACUUAUUAUAAUAAUUCUAUCCUCUGCCUUUAUUCCUCCCUCUAUUUUCUAUCUAUUUAUAAUAUGAGUGUUCCUUCUUGUCUCUACAUCAAACAAAUACUAUUCACAAUAGAUGUCUUGCAACGAACACAACAACAAAGAGACUUGCAUCUCAUCAUCAAUUGCCAUUUUCGUAGUAACUAAUUGAUUUACCGUGCUUUGAAAAGCACUUCACAUGGUUGGCCACUGAAGUGUUUCCUUCGACUUCAAUCUAGUUAAGUUAACACACCUCAAUGUGGUAACUAAAAUGUAACUCACUUUUUUCAGUUGCCUAACUAGACACCUCAGCCAAGUUAUUAGUUUAUUGAAUUAGAAUUUUUUUUAAAGUAAUUUUAAAAAGCGUUUCUAACAUUUGAAAUUUUUUAUCUUUCAAAGUAUUAGAAAGGUUAAAAAUAUUUUCUAAAAUCACUAUCAAACACACUCUUAAAUUACUAGUCUUGUGAAUAUGACCUUUCACCCCGUCACCUAGACAAAUACUUUAGUAGAGUUGCUAAAACUUAAUUGGACUGGCCUCUCCUGUUGGAGAAAAUAGCCCUUAAAUAGAUUAGAAACAAGCAAAAAGCAAAAAAAAGCUUUCUAUAGCAAGAAUUGAACAAGGACCUACAACAAUGUAGAAUAGAUCUCAACUAGAAAUUAGAAAUUAGAUUGUAAACCAACAACACAUUAUGAAACGCAUGAGUAUCCAUCCAAGAUAAACACCAAUGACCUUACUUGGAAAAAACCCUUCGAGGAGGUGAAAGAAGCCAUUCAAAAAUGAAUGUCCAUCAUAUAAAAUAGGAAUUAAUCGGUGUUCGUGCAAGUCUUUUUCCAAAGAUAUGGGAAGGGAACUAGAAAUGGUGUUAUUCUCAAGCUUACAAAACCAGCACACAGAGUGGAAAGGAUCUCACCAAAUACAAUUGCCACAUUUGAUAUGGAGAAAACCCUUGGUUCAACCAAAACCAAGAAUGGUGAAGAAUCCCUAUUCUAGCAUAAAAGCCUAACAUAAUUAGGCUCAAGUUGCUACUGGAAGAAUCAGCCCACACAUUGGGUUUCUUGAGAUAACACAGAGACAGAGGUUCACUAAAUGAUCCCCAAGGACUAGACCCCCCAUCAGAAAAAGGAAAUGUAAUGAGUGGGAAUUGCCAUCAGUAAGGCAUAUGCAGGAGACUCAACUCUCUAGCCAUUGCUCUAUGGAAAUUUAAAAUGCCUUUUGUUAGCUAAUAAUAAAUUUAUGAUUUAUGACAAUAUUCUUUGGAAGAUCUAUUACUGGGAUACAAGUUUCAGAUUUGGGUGAUUUAGCCCUAUGGCAAGAACAUGAUUCUUAAAUGUAAGACUAAAGAGUAUAUUUGUAGUGAUUCUAUGAAGGCCAAAAGUGCUCUCUAAUACUUGAAGCAUUUUCUUAUAAAAAUUAGGGUCGUAUUCAGUUUAACUUGUUUUUUUCUUACAUUUUUAAAGAAAAUAAAGAACAAUUUGGAAAAUAUGUUUGGAUAUUUCUAUUUCUAUUUUCCCAAGAAUUGAGUUUAGAAAAUGGAAAAGGGGAAAAAUGCCAAAUUGGUAUUUUCAAAAUUUAAUUAAAAAAGUGAAAAGAGUUUCUAAAACGUAAAAAUACAAAAGUAAAUAAUACAUGAAAGAAAUGCAAAUAUGAAUUUGAUAAUAAUAUUACAAUAUUAUAAUCAUCUUCCUCUUUUUUACUAAUAAUAUUACAUUUUUAUAUUAAAAAAUAAAUUAUUUUAAUAAGCCAAAUAUCCCCAAUUGAUCAAUUGCUUCGUUAAUUAUAAAUAUAUUAGAGUAUCAAAAUAAAAUUUUUUAUUAAAGUAUCAAAAUAACUAAUAAAACAAAUAAAAUAAAAAAUAAUGAAAAAUAUAAUUUCAUUAUUUUUCAUGUACAAAAAUUAGUACCUAACAAAACAACACAACAAUUGGUCAAUUCCUUUAUUAACUAUUAAUAUACUAUAUUUUUUAUUAUAUAUUAAAAUAACUAUAAGAGAUGAUAAUUGAAAGAGAAUAAUCAAUAAAUACAAUUUAAUUAUUUUCAUUGUGUUUGAUUUAAAAAUAUAUAUAUCCAGUACCAAACAAGGUUUCCAAAUUUUUAUUUUUUGAAAACCAGUUUUUAUUUUUAUUUUUAAACAAAAAUAUUAAUUACAAGAAAUGAAAACAAAGAAAACAAAAACAAUUUUUAGAAAAAAUUAAAAGUAGAAAAUAAAAACUAAAAAUAUUUUCCAAACCAAAGGCAACUUAAAUUACUGUGUAAUAUUUUAGAAAAUAUUUUUUUUUUAAAUCUCUAGAAUAAAAUAGAUAAAACAUGGAUCUAAACAUCCUUGCAUCCAUGAAAAUAUUUUUGGAGAUAAAAUCGGAAAUGAGAAUAGAAAAUUAUUUCAUUUUUUAUUCAUUUUGAUGUUUAGAUCAUUUAUUAAAUAUAAAAAUAGGAAUAAAAAGUUAUUAUUAUUGUUUUUUUUUAAUAUUUGUUUAAACAAAAAUAUGUAAAGAUACAUCAACCGAACCCAAUAGGCUUCGGAGAAUUAAAAACAAUGGCUAGUUUGAACUAGCAGACUAAUAAUAGAGACAAUUAUCCAACUUCUCAUACCAAUGUUAUCAUAAGAUAAAAGUUGAAUCAUAAAUACUUGUACAAGACAUUCAUUACUUGAAUUACAAUCUCUGUUUCCUUCUUCAAAAACACAUAAUAUCAUAAUUAAAGCAAAAAAGUGUUAUACACCAAGUAUACAUACCAUGCAGGAAGGGUAAAAAAAACCCGAAGGGAAAGAACAACCAAAAAACAAUCACUCCCUCCCUCAUCAAGAACCUACCCAAUCUACAAAUUUAAUAAGAGACGUUGAUCUACCUCUAUAUACAUGUUACCUCGAGACAUUGAUCCUACCUGUAUAUACAUUUUACCUCAUGACAAUAGAUUACUAAGGAAUAAGUGUUUCAGUGAUUGAAUCGGCUGCUCCUUGCUUUCCAAUACUCUGUGGUUUCUUUCCUUCCGAAUUGUUCAAAAAAUACAGAGGGAAGUUUCUCUCUAAACUCUCUUCCUAUGUCUUCCCAUAAAAGAACCAUACCACCCUGAUAUAGUAUCUCUUACCAAAGAAAGGACCUAAGCAAGGACGAACAAAUUAAAUCAAGAUAACAAUGUCUUUGUUCAACCCAGAGAGGUAGGUUUUUCAUUUUUGAAAUUUUAAUUUGAGUGAUAGAUUGGUUAAUUCAAAGGGGGUUGUUGCUCCAACCUAAUGUCGCCUUGCAUCAUGGAGUGGAAGAACAUCCAGCCGAGUGAAGAGGGUCGUGCAUAAACUCAUCACAGGUAACAGAGUGUAUGUAUCAAGGAUGUUCUUUUUCUGACUAUAAUAUCCAUUCUUAGAUUAAUAGGUCUGUCUGCUGCAACAUUCUCAACGCUUGAAAUCAGGAAAUUUCCUACUCCGAAAACCGGUGGUAAGAGGAUGCGGGGGAGGUGACAUCUCUUACUAUAUAAUCCAUUAGAAUGCCUUGGCGGCCUUGAAAGUAAGGAGCACUGCCAUGGACUUGUAUCCUUGGAGGAGUAAGAGCUGCCUGGCAAUCCUAAAUUUUGAAAUUAGAAGACUGCUAAUCAGGAGAAGCGGAAGACUCUGCAGUUUAGUCUCCAACCUUGCAUCACUUUCUAUCAGAGAUAGUGGAUCUAAAGUUGCCAUUAUCGGAGUUGGGCCUCCACAGGCUUACUUCUAUUUCAUCAUUGUACAUUUCUGGUGUAUUUCUAGAUAUUCCUUGGCUUCUCUGGCUCUCAAAAACCUCCCUUCCUUUGAAAGUAAAUCCAUCUAUGGGUGCCCUAAAAUCUGGUUCAUAACCUGAAACAUCUUCAGGACUUGAGACAAGUGAAAAGUAUUUUUGUUUUUAAAAACUCAAUCAGGUAUGGCUAUUUGCAACUCAAUCCCAGCUCCAGAUUGUCCUCUCCAUGGACCUAUUUGUUGAAAAUCUGAUUAAUUUCAACUUUAAAUUCAGAUGGGAGCUGCUUUAUUCCUUUGACAAAUAGAUGGCUUUAGCAGCAGUUGCAAAGUGACAUUUUCUCUAAACUUGCCGGCCUCAGUUAUACUGUUCUAUUGAAUUUGCAUGCGGUUUUAUGGUUUUAAUAAAUAAAAUAAAUAUAAAGCUAAAACUAUGUGUAAGCUCUCUUGCCAUGUUUAAUUGGACUGCUAUUAUUUAUUUAAGAUCAAGAGAUAGAAAGUUUUUCUGCAUUUCCAGUUAUAAUUGAGUUUGUUUUAUAAACAUAUUCAAGUUUAUUCUCUGUUUUUUCUUUCCUUCCUUUUAUUUUUAUGAUUUUCUAUUAUCAUUUGUGUUAUUAAAGAUGAAAGCUCAUUUUUUACUCGCUUUUAUAGAAGUACUUCUACAAUGAAGAAAUUCAGGUUAGGAUUUUGCUAACACAAUAAAAUCUUUGGCCUGCUUGAUAUCUAGUAUCAAGUUUUGCCAAAGGCCAUAACUUCUAUUGGUUAUCUAUGAGUCAACCAUUGCUGGAUGGAUAUGAAUAGGAGCUUGUCCUGCCUAUGGGCAGGGAUAUGCGCGCAAUCACCUGUUUUCUGCUUUUUAAGUAAUGAAGUACCAACUAACUGCUUCUACAAUAUCAUUUCCAUUUUAAUCAGCAUUGAGUGUGUCCUGUCAUGGUUGGUUGGACCACUUAACAAAAAAAACAGCAAGGGCUUUUCUUCAAAAUCUGCAUUCGACAGGUUCUCUGUUAAUUCUUUGCUUUUGCUUUUACGAUAACUUGUUGCAAACUUAUUUAAAAAAAUUGUGCCCUUCUCUUGUUGACUAGGUAUUUAACUUAUGCAUAAUCUUGUGAUGCAGCUAUGGCUAGAGAUACUGUACUUGUCACGCUCUUUUCUAAUUGGGCAUGUAAAGGGCUCUAGGGAUGUCCACUUGUCUUCAAGUACAGUUGAUUUCUUUGGUACAAAAAUGCUGACUACAACUACAGAAGAUAAACUUGAACUAGUUGUUAAGCGAACUCUUUUAUGUUAUAUUAAAAAAUUUCUAAAGAAAAUUUCUAUUGAGAAAACUAGGGAUGUUUUAACCAUCAACCUUAACUUAAUUUGUGUUUAAUGUGUGAUACUGUCCUCUUUACUUGGAAUAUGUCUAUGAUGGUGCUUGUCUAUGCUUCAUCAUUGCUUAUUUAUUUUAUGACGUCUUUGUUGAGCGUUUUAGCUCCAGGUGGAAGAGCUGUGUUGUCUGAGAUGCAUAGGGAACUGUCUCAUCAGUGACUAUGCCAAUUGGAUGAGGAUUCUGGAGAGAACUCUCUAUCUGAUCCAAGUGUCUCCUGACUUCUACCAUAAACUCCUGAAUAGAAGCAAGCUUGUUUGACGUCUCAACUAAACUGUCUGAACUAUUUGAACUUUGAUAUGAAUCUGAUAUGAUCAAUCGACCUCCAACUCUCCUCUAAGAAUGUGACUCCCUAUAAUGCAAACAAAAUGGAUGAAGGACAUAAGAUAAGACCCUAAAAGACAACAGUGCAACAUGCAAACACAUGGUCCUGAGGUGGCAAUCUGAAAUCUGGAUGUAUGAUGAGAGCUCUAGAGACAUAAAGGUGUCCACUGUGAGAUGGCUACAAAUGUGACUAAAGAAUUCCUAUCAAUAAUCCAAGAUGAAAGAGGUGUGAGAAACACACUAUCAUGAGAUUGAUACUCCAUCUAUAACCACAUAUCCUUGACUCAACCUUCAACCCAAGCUCCAUAAGAGAAAAGAUAAGGUGAUCAAGGCGACUCUCAAAAAAGGUGUGAAUGUGAAAACGUGCCUUUCACCUUUCCGUAAUGAAAAUGUGAGCAUCGAGUUGAAAAUUGAAUCAAGGAUCAAACAAAGAAUAGGAUACUAGGCUCAUGAUAAGUGUACGGUAUAAAGAGAUGAUCAUAAUCAAUGAACAUAUCCUAAAGCAUCAAGCAAGUGACAACAAAGUGAAAGGAUGUGCCAAGCCAAGAGAGGGAGACGAAAGCUCUAUGGAGAAAGCAUGCUAAACUCAUCAAGUGAAAAGAAUAAUCUAAAGCGACAUGACAAAAGGUGAUCCAACUGAUACUGAAACUUGUACCGAUCUCUGAGCACUCUCAACUGGAAACCAAAGGUAAAAGCACUGGGUCCAGGUGGUGAGUAAGACGGCCCUGAAGGCUCUCAGAUGCACCCACGUGUGAGGAAGGAAUCCUAAUCAAAGGAUCUAAGCUCAUCCUAUAAGGUUAAGGUGGCUUUAAAAAGAGAAAGGUAGGCUUUCAAGGGUCCUUAGAAGAAGCGAUCAUACCCUUUGGUGGUAUGCAACCCUCUGCACGCCUCUAAAGAGAUGGGGCGCUUCUCAUCACCUCCACACAUGCACUACCUCGCAUCCCAAGGGGCUCCUAUGGUGAAGGCUCUUCUAAUGGCUGGCAUAUCUCAUAACUUUGGUCACUCAUCAACAAUCUAAGGUGCAUAGUGAGUUGUGUGGGUGCAUCCGAAAAUCCUAUGAAACUAAAAAGAAAACACAUUGGUCACACAAAUAUCCUAAAAUCCAGCUUUGGGCUAUACAAGUCUUCAAAGAUCGGACCCCAAUCAACAUCAAUGUGUCGGCCAUCUCCAAAAUGCUCCCAAACAUAGAUAUAAUCCAUCAUUAGACCUUACUUCAAAUCACUAGCUUGGUCGAAGAACAAUCAAGGUGAUAAGUCUCAUGUCAAAUAAGAGAUCAAGGGAAACAAAGUCGAUUGAGACUAGGGAAUUGGAAAUAAGGGGAUAGGUGUGAGACCCACAUGGACAAACAAUACAUGCAUCAUGUAGAAGGAGAGUAGUCAUAUAACAAACAGUUAUGCAAAGCAGGUAUAUAUCAUACAAAUCUACACAUAAGCUAAGUAAGAAGAUAAUCGAGAUGAAUAUCUAGCAAGAAUAAAUGGCAUGCUCAGAGUUAAUCGAGGUAAUAUGUAACAAAGAGAAUAAACAUGUCAAGAUGAGCAACAAUGAGAAUAUACAAGUCAGGGUGAGCAGAGCAAUCACACAGUAAGGAGAGUUGAUAUGUGAACACAAACAAGAGGAUCAAAUGAUAUAAUCAAGAUGUCAAUGUCUCAAACAAAUACACAAAUCAAGCAUGCAUCAGAGAUAAACAUAUCAAAAGUUCUCAAUGUGCAAUCAAUAGUCAAACAUACAAAAGCACAGAGAGAGAAGGGUACCCACUGAUCAACCAAUCAAACAUCACAUUUGCCUUAAUCUAAGUUCAAGCUUGACUAUCUAGUGAUCCCCAAUGGAGUCACCAUUUUGCGGAACCCGUAUUUCUCCACAAUGCGUUCCCACUCGAAUGGUGAUACUCACUUUUUAUUUUGAAAAAAUGACUUUUGAAAAGUUUUUGGAGUCGCCACUUAUUUUUCUUUUAUUUUUAAAGGGAAAAACAGGUCUGUGAAAAACCAAGUCUAGGUUCGGGAGUGAGGUUACCUAUUGAGAAGGUACGAUGAUAAGCUGUAACACCCCUCUAAGCACCUAAAAAUGGGUCUCUAGUAAUCAGAUAAGACAAGCGUAGCAAUUGAUUGAUUAAUUGUGGAUACCAAAUAGUGAUCAAGGGUGUACUAGCAAGUCAUGCAUGAUAAUGGAUAAAUAAAUAAGUAUGAUUAUGUAUGAGAUGCACCUUAGCAGCGAAUAAUGAUGUGCUAUCAUAAAACGGGGUUAGCUCAAAUAUAAAGUAAUGCGUGUCACAUAUUAGAGCCAAAAAUCAAUCAAUAAACAAUCAAACAAAAUCAACAAUCAGAUGACGAAUGUCUCAUAUGUUAGGCCACACCAAUGCCCAAAUUAUUUUCGGCAUGAAUUACUUCUACAAAUUCCAUGAUUUUUGGAAUUAUAGACUUGUAUUCAUGGUUAUUUAAAAACAUUUAAAAAAUCAAGAAAAAAAAAAGUGAAAAAUGCUUGCCCAAAAGAAAAAUGGCAGCAAGUUUAUCAAAAAAUGGAUUUUUGAUGACCCAAAACUCUAUGGAUGAAUAAUAAUAAAAAAAACUGAAUAGUUAAAAUUAUUUGAAAAUUGGAAUUAAAAAAAAAAAACAAUUUUUGAAAGCAAAGGUGAAUAAUUAAGAGAACAUGGCCUAUGGGAUUGCAUGUCAAAGUUGGCCCAGGGUAGGUAGUGAAUUGGCCAUUGAAUCACUUUAUUGGACAUGCAACUUGCUGUAGUGGUUUGCAUCCAUGGAUAUUGACUGUACCGAAACUUGGAAUGUCGACCAUGUCGUUCAUUGGAGAUGUACCAAGUGACAUGCUUCAUGGUGGCGGGAUUUAUAUGCUGCAUCACUUUCUUCUUAUAUAAAUACUCAGCACCUUUGGCAAUGCCAUUGCACUAGAACCACUACAAAGACCUCUAACAAUGAAUGAUGAUCUAGCCAUACAGCAUUAACGAGCUUCUCACCAAACUGCUACUUGCUGAAACCGUUCUUUAUCGUGUUAUACCCAUAUCUUGCACCGUCCAUUCCAUGCAUGACUUGAUUAAGUCCUUCAAGUAAGUAUUCAGGCCAUAGCUUAGCAAAAAUAGAGUCCCCUGACAUCCCUUUAAGACUAGGUCUGCUGAAGUGAUUUAAGUGUCAUGAAGGAGAGGUGAAGGACGGGUAUUGCACAAUUGGAAUCGCAGCACAUGCAACCGUUCUUCUCAACCAUGGUAACAUGAAUUCUACACGUUCAUCCUUAGUUUAAGGGACAAUGGGGGUCAGUCGACAUGGCAACAAUGACAUUCAGAAAUGCAUCCCUGCAAAUCUUUCCAAUAAUCUUUCCCAGAACCACCCAACAAGCCACCUGAAGGAAAUGGAUGUCCUGAAUUAAUGUCAGAAUCCUUAUAUCUGAUAUGGACGUUACUAAUGGGAAAUCUUAAGGAUUCCAAUUAUGGUUGCAAACAGAGAACCCAACCAUGAAUUUGCAUCAGCUGGACUUCCUUCUUGAUAUUGAUGAAGUUCCAACUUCAGUUGCAGUAAAUGGUAUCCCCAACUCCGGACUACUGUCAUUUCUUGAUGGGAUUCAAGGCAUUGAACUUACAAAAUCAUCGUAGCCUUAGUCUUCGUGCACAGAAGACCUCUUUCUCUCAAACUCCUGGACACGACUUUUUCAAUAGGGGUAAGCAUCGGGAUAUCUAGCCCAUUUUCUGACCUUGUAUGAGACGCUCCCAGAAAACCCUUCAGAAUUGUUUAGUGAGUUGCAUCUUUAGGACCACCAGAAGCAUUAAAAAGCUCAUAGUUUUUGGUUGUCAAAGCACAAGGGUGGCAUUUGGUUUUGUCGAAUGGCACAGCUAGCUCAUCACCUAAUUUCUGACCAAUAUGAAAUGAUUGAGACACUUCAGCGAGUUCCUUGACAUCACUUCUUGUAUGAUUCAGCCACUCAUUUCCUUUUUGGACAUUUGGAAUCCAUGAAUUCAAAGAACUCGUACGCAUUUUCACAGGGACCUUGAUACAUGAUUUUCCCAUAAGAGAGGAGAAUCUUAUCAUUAAAUAGGUUGCAGGUUUCUGGUACUGGUUGGAGGAGGGAGAUCAAAGCAGUUCCAUUAAGAAUGAGGAUGAACUGCCUGAGUGAACUUACAAUCUGAAAAGCUGUUGAACUAUCCAAACGAAUUACCAUUUCAUCCAUGGAAAAAAGCUCUGUUUGUUUCUCCAUCGACUAGUGCACCAAUUAUCACCCCAUCUCCUCAUUGACCAAGAGCUUUCCUGACUCCAUCUUAUCAUCAUCAAUAAUCUCCAGUAAUAGCUCUUUCCAUUCUGUCUCUAGACAUUUCAAUGUGGUCCAUAUGGCUUACAGGUGUCUAGAAAUUUCCAACAGUAUGUAAAGUGGUUCACAUGGGGCUCUCUCAAAAGCACCCCAACCAAAAUGGCCAGCCCAAAUGGGGAUACUCAACACCCCGAACUUACCAGAAUCAGGCGAAUAAGAGGAAAAAAAAAAAAGAAAAGAAAAAAUAGGAGCAGAGCGAGGACUGAAGAAAUAGCAAAAGGAAAUUAAGCAGAUAACAAAUAUACAAAGCCUCAUUUCAGGUGACAUCCAUGGACUAAUAACAUGUGGAAUUAACAAAGAAUGCAAGCAUGAUUCUUAUAUAUCAAGUCCAGGGAUGAAGCCAUGCAUCAACUACUUACAGGAGGAGUCAAGUAAACCAAGAUAAAAUCAAACAAAGCAUGUAUGCAAACAAACAGAUUCGGUCAAACAGACUAAUAAUCCUUCAAGUCCAAGCCAAUCAAUAAAAUAACACCCAAGAAUCUACAGAAAAAUGUAGAAGAAUAAUAUGAAAAUGAGAAAUGUGAGGUUCAGAUAGACCUUACCUGGAAGACUUCCUUUCGAGCAAGAUUUUUGUCCAACUUCCCAACUAUUCUUCCUCUGCUCCAACUCUCUUUAUCUCACAACUUUUCUUGCUUUCUCUGCUCCUCUAGACACUCUUUAUAGCUCCCCUUCCUUCAGCUCCCUGUUUUUCCUAUUGUCCUCCUUCUCCUCCAUUCCUCUUCUCAACGGUCUCUGAAUCCUCUCCUUACAUGUCACCUGCUGGUUUCCCACAGAAAAAAGUCCUUGCCAGCCCACUAUCUCAUACACCUGCUGCCAAAACCUCUUAAAGGGUGGUAAAAAUAUGGCCCCUAAAAUAUCCCAAAACUUCUAGAUCAAAAUGAGGGUCUACACCUUAUAUUCCACAAGCUAAACCUUUUUAGACAUACCUAUGACUUCCUAAUUGGAUGAACAACAACCCUAAUUCUUAAAUGGAGAGCAAGUUACUAUCUAAACAAACUUUUAUGACCAAACAUUAAUUGGAACAAAAUUGCCAACAAUUACAUAAGACUCAAUGUCCUAACAAUCUCCCAUUUUGGUAAUUUUAUGACAAAACGUCAUUAAUAAACCCACCUAAACUCUCAUAAUGAAGUUUACAUAAUACACAUUAAUGCUUAAUUAAAAAUAAACUAAGGGAAUGCUUUGCAAUGCUUUGUAGUACUUAUCUUCCAACCCUUUAACCUACACACAUACAAAAAAACUAUACCAAAAUUAAAGCAAUGUGAGAGAUAAAAUAAUAUCAUGAAAGCAAAAUAGGAUAGUUAGAGGUUUUUCUUGACACCUUGUGAAAGCAUGCUAAAUGAACAGAUUCCUAUAGCGCCAUCAAGGUAUAAUGCUAAGCUCAAGAGGAAUAUAGAUGCAUGCAAAUCAACCAAAUAGAAUAUAAGCUAAAUAAGACCUAAUUAUUUAAUAGUAAAGUGAAGGGGGCGUUCACCAACCAUAUUACUAGCAAUGAAAGCCUUAGGAAGAAGCUUCUAUGACAAUGAUUAGUUAUAGAAAGAUAGAACAUUCAAAUAGUAAUAUUUUGCAGGGAACAUCCGUGUUAGGUAUCUCUCUAAACUAUCUAAGUCAUUCUUCCAAAGGUUUAUUUAGUUUACUCCAAUGUCUCAUGUUCAAUUUCCUCCAAUAUUUCAAUUAAGUUCCCUUAAUAAAUGAAUUAAAGAAUUCAAAUAAUUCAAAAAUUAACUAACUCCCCCUAAAUUCAGGAGUUUCUAUGAUCACUUUAUCUCCCUAUUUAUAACUCUCUCCCCAUUUUUAAAUGAAUUAAAUACUAACUCCCCCUAAAUUAAGAAGUUUCUAUGAUCACCAUAUCUCUCUAUUUAUAACUCCUCCUUUUUAAAUGAAUUAAAUAUUCAAUGUGCUCCUCCUGUUUCUUUAUUUAAGAGAGUUAACUAUUCAAUUUUCUUUCCCUUUUUGUCACAAAAAUGGUAAAGUAACAUAAAUAUAAACACGAAAAAGCACAUAAGAAAUAAAGAGAAAGAUGAACAACAUAUAUAUAUAUAUCAAAAACCUGAUUUUGGAUACAAGAUAAGCAAUUAAUAAACAUCCAUAUCAACAAAAAUAGAUAGAAAGAUAAACUAAAUAUCUAAACAUCAAGAGGAAGUGGAGAAGGGAAUGAGCUUGAACUGCUUUGAGCAUGGAUCCACAAAAUAAUGUAAGUCAAUUGACCUUAGAUCUCAUGAAGUUGAAUGUCCUGUGAGUCUAACCUUUGAAGCACUAUAGUCAUGGGAUCCAUUUCUUGUGUAGUUGGGCCUAUAGAAGUUGAUGCCCCAUGAGAAGCUCUAGAUUUGCGAGCACGACCUUGAUUGGAGCAAGUCCUAGGUGCAACCUCAAGAACAGGUGCAUCCUGCUCCAUAGCUCGGAUCUCAUCCUCUUCUACAAGUGCCUAUUGACCAGCCUAUUGACCUGGUGCAACAUCUUGGGGGCCAUCAGGAACCAAAGGAGCCAUGGGACCAUACACAUGGUUGUAAUGUUUGGCCCAAGAGCUCUCUUCCAACAAGGUAUGAACAGCUUGGACCCUCUAUGCAAUAAUAUUCUUAAAGCUAAUAUGCUUUAACAGUCUAAAGAUGAGGAGUCUGAAAGGAAGUGCACCACAUCAGAAAGAGAAGUCUCAGUAUGGGGUGAUGGUAUCGAUAAUGACUUGUCCUAUGUCGAACUGUUGUCCCGAGAGUAUGGUGUGGAAGAAAUGAGCAGUCGAUCGACGAAUCUUGGUAAGAUUGGAUGAGAGAUAGAAAGAAUAUGUAAGGAAAGUAGUAAGAAUCCAAGAUGGCUUAGAGAAGCUAGCUAAAGGAAUAUAUGCAAGAAACUCACAAGAAGCACCAUACAAAAAAACCAGAAUUGAAAUGAGCUUUCCAUGAUUGAGAAACUAAACCCCUGGAAGGAAAGAAGGAAGACAAGCAUCAAGUUUUGGUAUGUCGAGUACAUGCUUGAUUGAUAAAGAGGUGAUAUGAAAGGACUAACUAAACAUGUUUGCAUAGAACAUGAGAACUAGAAGAGGAUAACAAGAACCUUGCAAAGUGAACAAGGAUUCCCAUUCUUUUUCUCCGAGAAUGGCGGAAGAAGAGUGUCCUAAAAGGCACAAAGGUUAAUCGAGCAUUCAACCUUAAUAAGACAGAUCUAAAAAUGAGCAUAGAAACGAUCACAUGACUUUUGAGAGUAGAAGCACUCUAUGGGAAGACCAGAAGGAUAAAAAGGACUCUAAAGAGUGAUGCCUUAAAUGGGCUCAGGUGACUUAGGAGGAGUCACCUCUUGUUGAUGCCUACAACUAGACAUAACUAGUGGAAUAUAAAAAGACACAAAAACCAAGAAAAAUAUGAAAAAAAAAUCUAAACCACUAGGCAUGUCCUAAAUGAGGUGUAGAAUAAUACUAUAAAGUCAAAAACACAAAAAAACAAAGAAAACUAACCUUAAAUGACAAAGUAACAAAGUGUUAGAGCACUUGAGAGAAUAGGAAAAUGUUUGAAAUGUCAAAAGUCUUGUCAGAUAGGUUUUUAUACUCAGAUGUACCACUAGAUUCAAAUUAGUGCUCGAGCAGGGCACUCGAUGGAUGCACCACUUGAUGUAACUUAUAGUGCUUGAGUGGUAGAGUCGUUGGUUGUGGCUUGAGUACUUGAGCGUUAAGGACAUUGGAUGCAACACUCAAGCAAUUAGAGCCUAAUUUCAAUUCUAAUAGGGAUAAAAUACUCAACUAACUAACAUAUAAAUAAGGAUUGACACCAAUUAAAACAAAUAUUUAACAACAAACUAAAAAAAGCAGAUAACUAAAUUCAUAAACUCUUAGAUCAAUCGGUAACAACUUAAGUAAGUUACUUCAGAUAGUACACAUCAAUCCAUUAAGAAAGAAGUUUUGAGUUCACAAGUUAGAGUUAAUCAUAAUCUCAAAUUCAAGAACCCAAUGGAUAACUAUCAAUGUAUAAGAUAGUCAGCAUAGAAACAUAAAUAUUGAUGUUCAAGGGAAUACGAUUUACUAUCUAGUUCUAUAUUUCAAAAUUGAUCACUUAGAAGAGAUCCAAUCAUGCCUUUGGUCAAAUUAAAGAAUACAUCCAGUCAAUUUGAACUAAGAUUGUCAAAUUUCUAUUUAACACAACCUCAUUGAUCUACAUACAACACAACUUAACUCCCCCUUAAUUUGAUAUCUUUUUCUUUUCUUUUCUUUUCUUUUUUGAAAUUUGAGUCAUUAUACACCAUGAUCAAUUGAUUUUUCUUUUUAUAUUCAUUAUUGGUUGCCUUUGUAUCCACUUUGGGGGUGUUUCCAAAUGUUGCAAGUGAGCAAUAUACAUUUAAAAGCAUGAAUCUUGGACAAGAGUAUAAGAGCUAUGCUUAACCAAAGAUUCAAUGUUUUGUAUCAACUCACCUCAAGAAACAAAUAAUGAUCAUAGUCAAACAAGAUAUGUGGAUAAUAAGAUUUGAGCAUAACAACGGAUCCUUCCAAAGCAACCAAAGUCUACUUUAUGAGUUAAACUUAAGAAGUCUCCCUUGUGAUCAAUUACAAGAUGUAACUAAUAUUGAUAUUCCCACAUACAAGGACAUUUAAUUAUCAAGAAUCAAAUACAUCAAUAGUGAUUAACAAAUAUCUAUGAAUCCAUCCUCAUCAAAUCUUAUAGAUAUAGUAUUGUAGAUCCUCUAUUUUGUCCCUAGUACACACGUAUUUUUUAUUUUUUAUUUUUUGUCUCACUUUGCUCCUUUUUAACGUAUGUUUAGGAUCCCUUUUUACUCAAUUUUUCAUCGUCCCUUAGUGGUCCAUGUCUACUCGGCUCAUUAUUGAUUUUUGAGCUACAUUUUGGAGACCAUCAGGAGAUUAUUUUGGGUUCAAGCACGAUUAUUGGAGGCCUCAAGAUUGUUUUUUUAGAGUAUGUUUUUAGAGCUUUAGAGCUCUUUUGGGCAGUUUGGUUGGGAUUAGGACACAUGUCCUCAUCCUAGCCGUCACUUUCUCUUCUAAUUUUGCCUUUUACAAGGGGCCUUUUUAGGCCUACCUUUUUGGAGCACGUUUUGGAGAGGAGAGUGGGGAGACAAUUUUUGUAGGGAGUAGGAGGUUGGUUAGGACAGGGGAGGGAUAUUCUCUACAGUGGUGACACGUAGCAGAGAGACAGGAGGUUUUUUUUUUUUGGGUUUGUUAGAGAGGAGAUGAACUGCAGGUCACUUGAGGUGGAGUGCAGAGAAUAUUCAGGUGGCCGGAGCUGAGAGAAAGAAAAAGAAGGAGCUAUGAACGAGAGUGAGAGGGUGAGGUAGCUGUUUUGAGAAAGCCAUUUUGAGAGAGAGAGAGCUGUGAGCUGAGGAGGUGAGCCUAAUGAUUUUCCUGGAUUUUAGAGAGUGAGUUGAGUGGAGAUUUUGAAAAAAAAAAUGAGAGUGAGUGGAAGAAAAAGUAUUCGGUAGGGAGGUUUUUGGGGGAGAGCUUGAGAUAGAAUGGACUGAGUUGUGAGAACAGAGAGAUUCAACAGGAAGGUUUUUGGGGGGAGUAGGAGGCUUUCCAUGUAGCUGUUGGAAGAAGGAACAAAACAGUGAGAGAGAAAAAAAAUGAGAGGAAAAACAGAGAGAAGUUUAGAGGGGGUGAGCUAGGCAUGGAGGUGGAUUCUUGUCUAGGUUUGAGUGUGAGAGGCUUCUGAAAGAAGGUUUUAGAGAGACUGUUAGUAGGAGAGAGGGGAUUGACGAUUAUGGAGAAAGCUUGAAAGGAAGAGGGAAGGUGGUGUCUGAAGGAAGAAAGUCUACCAGAGGGCUUUUUCAGGUAAGUUUGCUGGAUACUUCUCUUGUUCGUUCUCACUUCCUCUGCUCUUCAUCAUCUGUUUUUGCUACUUGAGCAUCAUUAGUUUGUGUGGUUAUGGAUUGAGUUUGGCUGAAUCUGAGUUUGUUUUCAUGGUUGCUCUGUUUUGGUUGUUUCAUGCUUUCUUUGAUUUCUCUCAUAAAUAAUUGAAGUGUGGAUUGUUUUUUUAACUUAUUACUUGAUCAAUCAAGUCAUUGCUCUCUACUUGUCUCACCCGUUUAUACCCGUUGAGUGCAGCAUGAAAUGGGGUCUUGAUAGUGGAUUGCUUAUUUUGUUUGAACAUGCUCUGCUUCUUGAGUCCUCCCCUUUUGCUUUUGAAAAAUACCAACCAUUACUUUUGUAAACUAUCUGGAAGCUCCAGAAUGAUGGGAAAAAAAAAAUGCUUUUAAUUCCCAAUGGUUUCUAGAUGUGAUGAACCGGGAAAGUCAAAAGAUCAAGUUAUUGGUCUGGUCAUCGUUGCUGCUGGAAUAGGUGGAGGAACGGGUACUAGUGGGGCUCCUGUGAUUGUAGCUGCAGAAUCAUUGGGGAAGGGUCCUACAUCUUGGCUGAGAAAUAGAGUUAUUGAAUCAAUAUAUAGCCUUGAGGCUCUCUUAUUGUUUCCAUUGGAAUUGUUGAUAACUAAGGAAUGGAAGAGUAUAAAGCUUGAACUUCAGCUUCUGACAUCAGGUUCACUUGACGGCUAAGCACCCAUUGCUUGAAUGGGUUGGUUAGGAAAAUCACUACCAGAAUCACCAUCACUUAGGUGGUGUUUGUUUUUUUGGCUUUUUGCUGAAAAUAAUUUAUUUUUAGAAUUUAAGUUGUUUGUUUUUUUACUUUUUCAUGACUUAUUAUAAACUUUUUACUAAAUAGAAAAAACCAAAAUAUGUAGUUUUUUCUUAAUAGAAAAAAUAACAUUGAUUUUUCUUUACUUUUUAAUACUUAAUAGAAAUAAAAUAUUACAAAAACAAACAACUUAAUAUUUAACACUAUUAAGCAUUAAGAUUCUAUUUAGAAUUAAGUAAAAAAACAAACACUACCUUAGGUGGUGUUUGUUUUUUUACUUAGUGUUUCCUAUUAUACAAACUCUGUAGCAUGGAGGUGUAAUGGGUCUAAUAAUGGUGUUUGGAGUGCUAAUAAGCCUGCUCGGUACACUGGUGCUCAUGCAAUUGCUGGAAGCAAGGCACAUGCCAGAUUUUCAAUGAAACUGAACCUCUAUUUCACUGCACUGCUUUAAGCUUAGAUCCUGGCAGUCUGUGAUAUCUUUGUUGGGGAAAGAAGUAUGAGCAAGAUGAAAUCACAACUUGGUAGAGGAGAAUAAAUGUCAAUGCAUGAAAUGGCAAACAAGAUGAUGUUUGAGCUAUAUUUUGUCAGCCUGAAGAAGCAGAGAUGCUUGGUAAAACAAUAUUGGAGACUUGCACAGAUCCCUACUCUGCUGUUAACAAACCAAAAUGAAGUUUCUGGUGAAGAACUGAAACCAUUUCCAGAGAGGCUUUAUGUGGUUCUUUCUAGAGAAACCAUUGAAGAAAUCAUUGGAACGCCAAGGGAGCUACCAUCCUUCUGAAUUUUCAUCUGGAGAGCAUCUUCUUUUGCUUAAUCCACCAAAGAAGCAAUUCAGUGGCCAAUUGCCAUCUCUCAACGCCUCACUGGAACUGCAUUGCAAAAAUUCAGCUCAGCUGAGAAGUUUGCCAUUGGAAAAUUGCAAUUUGGUUGGUCCUGUGCCAAAAUCUUCGGGGAUUGGUAAUAUUAAGACUGUCAAUGAAUGGCAAGAACACAACAGCCCAGGAUCUGCUCUCAUAGCCAGCUUCGUACCAAAUCUUUCUCAUUGGAAACAGUUCAGAUGGGUUUGAGCUGAAUCAUUUGGGAAAUGAAUAACUUAUGAUUGAUUGCAUAAAUGGUGGGGCCUACAAUCCAGAAGAAAACCCUCUCAGAAGACACAAACUCCUUCCCAUUCUUUCCCAUUCUGUUUGUUCCCAGCCUUGAUACCUUCAAUACCUGGCAGUCUCCACACAACUCAUCCAAAAUCCCUCCAUCAAAUUUGAACCCAAAGCCAAACAACUCCGUGUCUAAAACCUUGGGACUAGCUCACCACCUUGUUUUUCUUCAUACCCACCACCUUCAGCUUCACUCAUCACCAAGCCAACUUCUCUCACAUCCUCCACUACUCAUUUCCUACCCAACCUAGCUCUAUCUUUCUCACCUAACAAGUGCUGGUGAUGACAGUGAAGACUGGUCACGCUCUCUUUACUCAGCUCCAGCGAUAAGACUAAUGCCUUCGAUGAUUCCGAUACUUUUGUUUCUCCAGUUCAGGGGUUUGCCUGUAUUAGAUGAAUGGCUCCAAGAGUACAUGAAGGAAAGAUUGGUGAUGUUAGUAGCCCCAAGGAUGGUGAUAAAUCUGCUGAGGAAUCCCUAUUGGUUUUACUUCAUGCACUUGAUAAGCUGCCUGUGAAUCUUCAAGCCCUUCAAAUGUGUAACAUUGGCAAAUCUGUUAAUCAUUUACGUACUCAUAAAAACUUAGAAAUUCAGAAGAAAGCAAGGAAUUUAGUUGAUACAUGGAAGAAACGUGUUGAGGCAGAAAUGAAUAUUAAUGAUGCAAAGUCUGGUUUAAGUCAGGCUGUUCCAUGGUUCUCGAGGCCACGUCUUUCUGAAGUUUCUCAUGAUGGGAACAGACACUCUGGAGGCUCCUCUGAGAUUGCCAUGAAGAGCUCAGUCAUGCAGCUUUCUUCAUCUAAAACAGCUCCAGUUAAUAAGAUUAUACUGGGGGUUGUCUUCAAUUAACUAGAUUCAAUACUAACCAUUGUUGCCCGACUAAGUGUUUAGAGAUCCAUUCUUAACACCAUUGGACAAAGAGGAUCUUGCAGAGGCUGGAAAAGCUCAAUUUUCUCAUGACUACAGUGAUCAUCUUGCACUUGUUCGGGCUGGAAAGAUGCUGAAAAGGACCAAAUUGGAUAUGAAUAUUGAUGGAAAAAUUUUCUUUCGGCACAUUCAAUGAAAGCUAUUGAUUCUCUUCGGAAGGAGUUCUUCUCUUUGCUAAAGGAUACUGACCUGGUUGAUGACAACAUGAACACCUACAAUGCAUGGAGCUAUGAUGAGCAUCUCAUUUGAGCAGCUAUUUGUUGUUGUUGUAGUAUGUGGCUCAUAUUUGAGCAAACAGAAAUAUGGAGAGAAAGGGGCAAAAUGUCGGAGCAAAGCAGAGCAAUGGCAUUUGCCAUUUAGGGUUGUACUUCUUUGUUGUGGGGCAAACGAUAGGUUGGGGGGNNNNNNNNNNNNNNNNNNNNNNNNNNNNNNNNNNNNNNNNNNNNNNNNNNNNNNNNNNNNNNNNNNNNNNNNNNNNNNNNNNNNNNNNNNNNNNNNNNNNGGGGGGGGGGGGGGGGGGGGGGGGUUGGAGGGGGCAUUGCCCCCCACAGUACAAUUCAGGGGUAUUUUUUGAAUUUCAUUCCUAAGGGUUAGUAUAUAUACCCUUUUUAUGUAACCCUAAUUGUAACAUAGUGAAAAUCCUCUUUUCCCUGUUCCCGAUGACAUAGGCUAGCCAAACCACGUUAAAUCUGUGUUCUUCUUUCUCGCUUUUUCUAUUAUUUUUGCCAUAAAUCGUUGCACAGAUUUCAACAAUUGUGGCAUGUAUCCUGAAAUUUGCUCUGUUGUGCAAAAUGAAAUGUCAUUCUCAUUGAAAACAAUGGAGGAUGGUCAAGUGAUCUUGCAUUCGAAUUCAAUUAAUGCUCAAGAGUGUAAACUAUGUUUUCCUCCAGGAUUCAAUAGUUAUGUCUGAUUUAGUGUUUCUUCUAUUUGGGGGCGACAUCUUGAGAGAGAAUAUGAUGGGUACCUUGAAGAAUCUUGGAUAGUCAGUGCUUGAAAAUAUAUCAAUGACUAAGCAUUCCAGCAAGAUUUUGGGACCAAAAUGCAAUUGGAAAGGAGCAGUUUGUAAUAAGAUUGCUGGUUUGACUGCUAUUUCAGUUGAUCUUUCAUUUGUUCCUUUGGUUGAAUCUAUUGGGAUGGAAGGAAGGGACAUGGCGUUUUCUUCCAAAAGUAGCUUAUCAUCAUAAUCAAAUGCUGGAAACAUCCUCAUGGACAAUGCGGUGGGUUCACUAAUGGGGUCUCCUUUGAGAGAUAUCCAAUGAAACUGUAUAAACUGAGGAUCUUUUGUCUCAUUCAGAAAGGUUCAGACGACUGGAACAUAGAUGCUAUUGUGGUAAAUGAUGUCACUGAGCAAGGAAUUGAAACCACUAGCAUCCAUAGAGUAGACACAAUUGCACCCUGACCCCCACGUGUGCAUGGUCAUGCAUGGCCACCUUGGUGCACACUCUCCUCCACCAUAUGCUUCUUUUUGGUGACUUACACUUUUUUUUUAAUCAGAUUUUCAAACCUAUUUUCAAUUGAAUAAUCCUUGCUGUCAAAAUUUGAUUUUCAAAACUUCAGCUUUCAAAUAAUUUUAAUUCUACUCUAGUUUUCAAAUAAUUGUAAUUCCCCAAUUUUUCUCCCUUCCUUAGAGUUUUAGGUCACCAAAAAUCCAUUUUCAAUAAACAUUUGCUAUCAUUUUUUCUCUGGCAAGCAUCUUUCACCUUUUUUCCUUGAUUUUAAAUAAGUUUAUCUAUUUUCACGUUUUUAAUGAGCAUGAAUGCAAUUUUCAUAAUUCCAAAAUAAUGAAAUUUAUGGGCUUAAUUCAUGCAAAAUCAAUUAGGCAAUGGUGGGGCCCAACAUCUGUGAUUGAUAUUGAUUAACUUAUCCCCUACUCUUACAUGCAUGUGAUUAUUUUAUACAUAAGCUAACCUUUUUUUUCAUGAUAGCACAUUAUUAUUUGUUGCUAAGGUAUGCUCCCACUCCCACUUUGCUUAUUUAACCUCUAUGAAUGACUUGCUUCCAUUAUGUGAUUAUUCCUUGGUAUCCAUUGAUCUCCUUAUCAAUUGCCACACUUACCUCACCUUAUUUAGUAUAGACCAAUUUUUAGGGGGCUUAGAGGGGUGCUAUAACUUGUUGUUGUACCUUUCCAAUAGGUAACCUGACCCUCAGACCUAGACUUGGUUUUCACAGACCGUCUUUUCAUAUUAGAUCUCAUAUUUAGGGUUUUUCUUUCCUAUUUUGUUUGCCCUUUAAAAAAUAAAAUAAAAUAAAACUAAGUUGCGACUCCAAUUCUUUUUUCUAAAAAUCAAUUUUCUUCACAAAUAAAAAAAUGAGUCUCGCCAUCGAGUGGGAACUCAUUGUGAAAAAUGUUGGUCCACAAGUAUAUUUCUUUAAAACACAAACUCAAGGUAUUACAAAUCAUGCUAAUAUAUCAAGUAAAUAAACAAUCAUAUGCCCAAAAUAAAAUAAGGCUAAAGGUAACAAAAAGAUAUAAACACUAAGCUUAACAUCUUUGAACCUAUACCUAUGAUGAGCAAUCAAUUAGGCAUAUGCCCAAGGAUUUCCUAUGGUACUUAAACCUAAGAAAUCCAAGGGUUUGGUAAGAAUAUCUGGUUAUUGAUGUUCAGUGAGGACAAACUCUAGAGAAAUUACCUUUUCUUCUACAAGAUCCCUAAUGAAAUGAUGAAGAAUUUCAAUGGGUUUACUAUAGGAAUGAAAAAUAGGAUUCUUUGAGAUAUUUGUAGUACUAGAGUUGUCAUAGUGUAUGUUUAUAGUCCCUUGUUCAAUUCCAUAGUCUUUAAGCAUUUGCUUCAUCCAAAAGAGUUGUGUACCAUAGCUCCCAGUAGCGAUAUACUCAGCUUCAAAAAUAGAUAAGGAUAUAGAGUUUUGUUUCUUACUAAGCCAAGCCACAAGACAAUCACCAAUAAAAAAACAAGCAUCAGAUGUGUUUUUUCUAUCCUCAACAUUUUCGGCCUAAUCAACAUCGGAAUAUCCAACAAUCAUAAGAGAAAUUCAUACGGAUACCACAAACCAUAAUCCAGAGUAUCAUUUAUAUAAUGAAUAAUUCUUUUAACAAACAUUAAGUGUGACUCUUUGGGGUUUGCUUAAUACCUAACAUAGGCUCUAACACUAAAAGAUAUGUUAGGACGACUUGCAGUGAGGUAAACUAAGCUUCCUAUCAUACUUCUAUAAAGCUUUUGCUCAACAUCCUUUCUAGAUGCAUCCUUGCUAAGCUUAGCAAUAGUGCCCGUAGGUGUCCUAGAGUGUUUAAUUUGGAGGAUUCUAGACCAAAUUUUUUAACUAAUUCCCUAGCAUACUUGGAUUGAGAAAUAAAGAUCCCAUCUUUUAGUUGCCUAAUCUGCAAUCCUAGGAAGAAUGAUAAUUCACUUACCAUGCUCAUCUCGAAUUUAGUCUUCAUCUCUUUGAAAAAACUAAGGGCAAGGCCACUAGAUGUAACUCCAAAAACUAUAUCAUCUACAUAAAUUUGAACUACUAGCAACUCAUAAUUGGAGCUAUUUAUAAACAAGGUUUUGUCAACUCCCCCUAUUUCAAACUUUUUAUCCAAGAGAUAGGUUUGCCUCUCAUACCAUGCUCUAAAAGCUUGCUUUAAACCAUAAAGGGCUUUCUUUAACCUAUAGACAUAAUUAGGGAAUUUCGAAUCCUCAAAUCCCUUAAGUUGCUAAACAUAAACCUCUUCACCUAGAAUCCCAUUUAGAAAUGAACUCUUAACAUCCAUUUGGUAAAGCUUUAUCCUCAAGGAGCAUGCUAUUGCCAAAAGUAUCCUAAUUGAUUCUAGUCUAUCUAUAGGUGCAAAUGUUUCUUCACAGUCAAUCUCCUCUAUCAUUGAGUAUCCUUGGGCAACUAGUCUUGUUUUGUUUCUCAUAAUAACCUCAUUCUCAUUUUGCUUGUUCUUGACUAUCCAUUUUGUACCUAUUACAUGUUUAUCUUUUGGCCUAGGGACUAAAUACCACACAUCAUUCCUAGUUAAUUGAUUUAACUUUUCCUGGAGUGUAGUACUCCAAGAUUCAUCUCCUAAAGCUUCCCCACAUUCUUUGGCUCCAAUUGGGAGGUAUAGCAUACAAGACCCAUCUCAUUUAAUCUUGAUUGUCUCUUAGUAACCACUCAUUCAUUUACAUUACCUAUAACAUUUGAGAUUGGGUGGUUCUUAGGUAUCUUGGAUCUAUGUUUAUCCUUUAUUUCUUUAGGAGUGUCAUCUAAAGGUACAACUUCAUCAUUAUUAGGGUCAAUGUUUCUAUCAAGGAUGUCAUUAGGGUUUUCUUUUGUGGUCUCCAAGUCUUUAGGGUCAUUCCCAAUUGAUUCCUAGAUUAAAAUUUGAUUAUCAAUUAUAUCCUGAUCAUACCCAAUAUCAUUUAUACUACAUUAGAAGGUUCCUAGAUGAUGUGAGAAUUUUGAUUAUACACCUUAUAGGCUUAGCUAGAAGUAGAAUAGCCUAGGAAGAUACCUAAAUUAGAUUUAGCAUCAAAUUUACCAAGGUUCUCUCCAUCCCUAAGUAUAUAGCAUUCACUGCCAAAAUUCAUAAAAUAUUUAAGAUUAGGUUUUCUCUUAGUCCAUAAUUCAUAAGAUGUAUUCUUUGUUCCUAACCUAAGAAAAAUCCUAUUGGCAGAAUAACAUGUAGUAUUAAUUGCUUCUACCCAAAAUUGCAUAGGGGUAUUAUACAUAUGAAUUAUGGACUUUGUUCUCUUUUUCUGCUACUUCAUUUUUUUUAGGAGUUCUAGGGGUUGAAAACUCAUGUUUAAUUACUUUUGAUUCACAAAAGAGGUCAACAUCCAUCCACAUUGUUGAACUCUCUCUCUCUCUCUCUCUCUCUCUCCCCUAUUACUCCUAAUCCUUACAAUUGGAUGGCUAAUUUCCACUAGUAUUCUAUUAAAUAAAGACAUUAAAUGUUCUAUGGCCUCAUAUUUCUCCUUAAGAAAACUCACAAAGGAGUAUCUUGAAAAAUCAUCUACAAUCAUAAGGACAUAUCUCUUGCCACCUCUACUUUUAGUGUGCAUUGGACCCAUAAGAUCUAUGUGAAGAAGCUCUAAAGGUCUAAUGGUCCUUAUCUCCUUAACCUUUUUGUGUGAACUCUUAGUUUGUCUUCCUUUCAUGUACUCACCACAAAUGGGUUUAGGUUCACCACUAAGUCUAAGGAUACCUCUAACCUUUUCAAUAUUCACUAAGUGCACAAAGUCCCUAUAAUUUAUAUGACCAAACCUUCUAUGCCAAAGCUCAGUAGGAUCAAGCUUAGCCCUACUACACAUAAGAGGUGUUCUAGAGUUAGGAUUUAUGGCAUAAUAGUUAUCAUCUGUCCUAUGUCCUAUGAUGACUAUUUUUCCUUCUUUAUUAACUACCUCGAAUAAGUCUUGGUGAAAAUUCACUUUAUGAUCUUUAUCGCACAUUUGACUAAUGCUUAGGAGGUUUGCUUUGAGUCCUUCAACAUAUAGAACUCCAUCUAGUUUGGGACAACCAGGGAUAACUAUACUAUCUUUGCCUUUUACUCAAGUUAGGCUUCCAUCUCCAAAAGUAACAACUCCACCAUCAUAGUUUUCUAGAGAAGUAAAGGAGGAUUUGUCUCUUGUCAUGUGUCUAGAGUACCCACUAUCAAGGCACCACUUACUAGAAGAUUUAGCUUUAAGAGCAUUGAACACAACUUGACAUUUAGACCUAUCAUUUCUUAACCAAACUUGUUAUGUCUUGGGUGGUGACUUGGAGAAACUAGAUUGACUUCUAGGUUUUUGAUUAGUUUUGUUCCCUUUCCCAUUGUUCAAGAUGUUAUUUUUAAGGGAAUUAAAUUCAUUCAUAAGUCUGUUCAUUUGAGAUUCAAACCUUUCAAGAAACCUAGUGUAGCAUCUAAAUUGAGUGUGUCCAGUUUUCUUAUAGUGUGUGCAUAGUGAUGUCUUUUUAGGAGAUUUUACUUUUUGUUAGGGGCACCGUACUUACCUUUGACAAACAUAGUUUCUCCACUAUAGGGAGUUUCAUUUUUAUUAGUGUACCCUAACCCUCUUUUAUCUCCAUGGGUUUUGCAUUCAUUAAGAAUUUCAUUAAGCACUUUAGUUCCAGGGUGAAAAUUUUCAUUCACAAAUGAAGAAGUCUUAUUAUUCUUGAUAUCUUGAGUGCGAGCAUUAUUCUUCUCAAGGAGAAAAUGAUGCUCAUAUUUAAGAAAGCUGGCUUUCUCAAGCAAAUUAGACUUUUCAACAUUUAGCACAUCAAUAUUUUUUUUAUGAGCUUUAAGAACAUCAUGAUUUUUCAUAGAACUUUGGAUCAAUCUUUCAUGCUCAACAAUAAGAUUACUCACAAAUUAAACCUUUUGUUCAUUAGUAAACUCAUCAUCAUCACUAUCACUAUCACAAUCAGUAUCAUUCACAGGUUCCAUAAACGCAACAAAAGCUAACAUGUCAUUAGAAUCAUACCUUGCAUCUUCAGAAGUUGUGGAAGCACUCUCUUUAGAGUUUGAAUCACUCCAUGUUGCCUACAUAGACUUUUUGAUAUUUUUUUUGGGCUAGGACAAUCUUGAGCAUAGUGUCUUAGACCUCUACAAUGAAAGCAUUCAACUUUCUUACCUUUGAGGAACAUUUUACUUUCUCAUUGGAUGAUUAUCCAUUAGGUUUUUUUCCUUUUCCAUAUUCUCGAUUAUUGUGGAACCUUUUAUUGAAUUUCAUGACGCUUUUAAUCCUUUUGGCCAUAUGGGCAAAUUCAUCCCUAGUUAUAUCAUAUGACAUUUCAAUAUAUUUUUUUCUCAUCCUCAGAAGCCUUAAAGGUAAAGUCUUUAGGCUUUUGGAAACUAGGCAGGGUCAUCUCUUAUGUCUAAAAGGAGCCAACGAGUUCAUCAACUCUCAUGGAAUUGAUGUCCUUGCUCUCCUCUAUGGUAGUUACUUUGGGUCUAAAUCUCUCUAGAAGAGAUCUCAAUAUUUUCCUAACUACAUUAGAAUAUGGAAUAGGUUCUCCAAGGUUGAAUGAAGAAUUUACAAUAUGACUUAAUUCAAAAUAAAAAGAAGAAAAAGAUUGAUUUUCAUGCAUCCUAAUAAUCUCAAACUUAGUAGCAAAUAUUUGUAACUUAGAAACCUUUACAGCAGACGUACCUUCAUGAGUGACUUGAAGAAUAUCCCAUGCUUCCUUUACACGCUUGCAAUUUGCAAUCCUAGAAAACUUGUCUAGACAAACUCCAUUAAAAAUACUAAAUAAAGCCCUAGCAUUGGCUUAACUACCUUCAUUAUCGGCUUUGUCCCAUUCAUGUUUAGGUUUAAGUUCUCCUGUUGAUCUUCCUUGAGCAUCAAGGAUCAAUGGUGGUCCCCAACCAUAUUCAACUGAAUUGCAUACCCUUUUGCCUUGAAUUUUAAGGGAAAACAUCAUUCGUGCUUUCCAAUGAGAGUAAUUAUUCCCAUCAAAAUAGAGUGGACUAUUCAAAGAGGCACCACUUUUUUACUGUUCCAUAUCAGACUUAUAAGAUCAAUAAAAUUUUGAUUUUUAUCCUAUAUGAUCAAUAAAAAUUUGAUUUUUAAACAAUGAAAGCUAAAUCUUUAAUCAAUAGGAUAGAGAAUCGGUUUUUUAUCUUGUUCUAAUACCAAUUGAAAAAUGGGUAUUGCUCAAAUACCUCUUGAAUAAUAAUUGAAAGUCCAAUAGGAAACACCCAAAGGGGGAGGAGAGAAUGGGUGAUUUAAAAAAUUUAAAUUAAUAUUUAUAAGUAAUAACUAACUUUUUCUUACUCUAAUAGAUAAUAGGGAUAUCGCAAAUAACUAAAUAGAUUAUACCCAAAAUAUUUAGGUUUAUAAAAAUAUCUUGUGUCCUUAAGUUUAUUGAGAAUCUGUUGAACAUUGAUAACGAAUUGGAUGAUGAAGACAUCACUAUCGAAAAGGAAAGAAAGUUCAGAAUUCUAAUGCAUGUGUAGAAGCUUUGCAACUUAUUCGAGAUAUUAUGCCAGUUUCAGGGAGUGGAACUUCUCCAAAAAAAAAUCUUGAAUGCCAUUUCUCCUCUGCUAAUUUCUGCUAGACUGGAUAUACGUUUGUUUAUUUGUGGCCUUCUUGGUGAUCUUGCUGAAACUGACCCUUAGGUACUCUCUGUGGAAAAUCUCAUAAAUGAAUUGAAUGUGACCUCUGUUAUGGAAACGAGUGGCCUGGAUCAUGACACCAUAGUUUAUGCUUAUGAAAAGAUUAGCAUGGAGUUCUUUAAUAAUAUCUCAGAGAAUCAGGCACUGGUCAUUUUGUCGCGUUGUAUAUAUGAUAUGUCAUCCAAUGAACUGAUCUUAAGGCAUAAUGCAUAUAGGUUAUUAGUCUCUUCUGCUGAACUCUCCGUCCAAAUUCCUAAACUUGAAGUGAAGAGUGACCAUGAAACGCCUGAAGCAACGAUAACAUUCAUAGCUGAUGGUUGGUAGAUUUAAGCAUGUAUUCAGCGCAUGAUAAACAAAUUCCUUUUGAAGCAUAUGGCAGAUGUAGUGAGCAAGGAAAAUUUUGUUCAGAAGGAAUGGGUUGAUUUACUCUGAGAAAUGGUGCUGAAGCUUCCAGAUGUGCUAAGUCUUCACUCAUUCAGGAUCCUGUAUUGUCUGAAUGUGUUAAUAAAAUUGGACCAAUGGAAGAUGCUGUGAAGGCUCUAUUUGCCUAUGGGCUCCAUCUAACUGGCCGGUAUAGGUUUUCUGAAUGAGAUGAUCAUGGGAAUGGCCAAAUUUGGGAUUUCCGCAAGGUAAGAUUACAGUUAUUGCAGUUUAGGGACAGGCUGGAGACAUUCCUUGGGAACAAUGGGAUGAUAAUUUAGAGUCACCAAGAAGACUUAAUGAGGCUGCUGCAAUGGAAAUGGAUCUUGAAGACAAAGAAAAGGAUGGCCUUUGCUGUAGUUGCUUUGAUGAGUUCAGUUGUAGUAGACAUCAAUAAUAAGCAGCUCGUUCAACUCUCCAUCUUUCAUGUGACCACACUGGUUAAUAGAACUUUGGAAAAUUCUGAAAUUUGUCGACUAUUUGUGGAAAAUCAGGGAUUGAAGUUCUAUUCGAACUACUGUCGUGACUUAAUUUUUCCUGUUUUUCUGAAGUAAUGCCUAUUGCUCUACACAAUAUCCCGGUUGGCAAAAGGCUUUACUCAUCAUCAUCCAGCAUUAGUACUACGUAAAACCGGCCAACAAUUCUACAAGUCUCCAAGGCUUCCUCGUUCUCAAUACUAAUGGUGGUGGUGUUUUCUCUGGUUUGGGUUCACUUUUUUUAGCAUCUCUCUAUUGAGUAUUCCAAGAAAGACGGAAAUUUCAUAUAGGCCAUGUCCUCGCAGGUUUCCCUGAGAUUAAAAAUCCAUGAACAAGGAUUUUCUGGAUCAUCUAAAUUUUCCUAGUCAUAUUCUUAAAGAUUCUAGUGAAAUGAAAAGAGGAUUUUUCCCCAGAUCAGUUGAUAUCUAUAUCUAAAACAAGACUGCUCAAUCAAGUCAGAAUUGCUUGAACUUCUUCGUAAGAUGGAUCAAUCAAGGGAUCGAAGUGCAGCAUGCUCAGUCCAGUUCUUCAGAGAGGAAUUCAUUAUUUGAAAUACCAGAACCAGAAAUUUUUAUGGGACCGUAGAUCACUUUCAGUGAAAUCAACCCUCUGCUUCUCAAGAUUUGUUAACAACCUUUGGCUCCUCUUUGGCAUCAGUUAUGGAGAUGCACAAAUUAAGAUUUGGGGUAUUUUGAAUGGUCAGAUUCAGAUUGAAUUUGCAGACAUCAUAUCAACAGACGCAACUAAUUUAUACAACAAACCUGAAAGAGGCCACCUUUCAGUCGAUUAUACUUGUUUAAAAAUGGUUGUUUCUGGACAGCAAGACAAAGAAAAGGGAAGCUUCAAUGUUCGUUAUUAGUGUUGGGAACAGGCAGCGGUGAUGCUUUAACACUUGAUGUAGCUGUUGGUGAGUUGAUGGUGGAGAAAUUAGGGAAGUAUGUUUCACUGCUGUAGCUGAUCAACUCUACAAUCAGAUUGAAACUAGUAAAGUGUAUUUAAUUUCCAAAGGGAGCCUGGAACCUGCUCGUCACUUUCAAUCACCCUCGCAACGAUCACAGGGGUCCAGAAGAUGGUGAUGAUGGUUCUGAGCAUGAAGGUGGCAACACAGAUGGCUCAGAUGCUGGAAAUAAUUUUUACAAGGAUGAAGAUGAUAGUUCAAAAAUUUAUCAGGGAGUCAGAUUGAAUGGAUUGGACUCGUUAUCAUAUUGAACUCAUGAUGUUUGAUAUGAGGGUUCAGCUACAAUUCUAGGUGCAGCAAAAACCAUUGUUCAAAUUAAACCUUCUGGAGUGGAAGUUCAUUGCACUGUCAUAGCUUUAAAUGGAAAGACAAUUGAGGCCAAUAAUUUUUCAGAGGGCAAAGGUUCAUAAAUCCAUUACGAAAACAGACAGCUUGGAAAGAGUAGGGUGUAUUUGAUAUCAAACAGGUUGGUAAGUCCGAUAGAGGGAACGAUGAAGCUGCUGAUACUAUUGCCUCAAAAUAAGAACAAACUUUGUUGGAGGUGAUCUUCAUAAUGAGAUCCAAAUAGAAGAACAAGGACUGUCAUACCUAGAAAAUCCUGAUAUUCACUUUGAGUAGGUUGUCGAUGUCCAGCUUGAAUCACAGGAAACUAAUAAAAUGCGAGAAGAGAAUUUUUGUGAAAUAUUGAAAAACCUCUCAACGUUUAUUCAUAUGCUGCUAAGUGCUGACUAUCAUUUCAAAGUGGGGACUUGAUUGUUCUCAAUGGAUUCGGCUACUCCAAAAUAAUGAAAGGAACUAGUUCAGUCUAGUCAUGGGAUAAUGCUUACUGUGUUCUGGGAAAAGAUCAGUCGCCUAUGGGCUUUGCUUUAGAAAAUGCUGGUGCAAUUGCAAACGACAAGGUCUUCAUGAUGGAUUUUCUCUUCAUUUUUUUUAUUUUUUUUUCUGCUCCUUCAAUCUGUGAAUUCUCCAAGGAUCCCUGGUUAGAUCAGUCCAAGAAUCAGUACUAAUCAAGGAAACGAUCAAGAAAUUGCACUCAGGGAGGAAUAUUGAAGUAUUUGGGAUUCAAGGAAACUCAACCAACUAGCAAACCAAGGGGCUUAGGAUAUAUGACGAAGAUCGUGGUUAUCCAAUCUGAAGAUGACUCGGACUCAUCAAAUGGAAGAGCCCAGGGUAUGGAGGGGGCCCUAGAAUAUCAAGCACAGCUCAUAGACCAAUAUGGGACAAAGAAAGAAAACACAAGAAGGAAGAAGGAGAAAAUCCAGAGAGAAUAACACCAGUGAUUUGCAGAGGUCUUCUCGAAUCUGUUUCAGCAAUGCAGUCUCAAGUGCACCUCCAAACCUCACUCACAUAGUGGCCACCUUGCCACGCAUCAUACUCCUCCUAAUGCUUCUUCCUUUUCUUUUUUUUUUUCUUUUUUUUUUUGUGAUCUUACACAUCUUAAAUAUGAAUUUCAAAACCGUUUUCCUUAAAAAAUAACUCUAGUUUUCUUUAAAAUUCCUUAAGAGUUUCUAGGCAUAAAAUUUAGAUUUUUUUUUAAUAAACUCUUUGCCGCCAUUUCUCUCCCGGCAUGCCUUCUCAUCUUUUUCAACUAAUUUUAACAGCUUUUCUCGUUUUUUUACAAGCAUGAACAAACUUCGUGAUUCCAAAUAAUAGAAUUCGUAGAAUAAAUUCAUGCAAAAUUAAUUAGGGCAUUAGAGGGGGGCCCGACAUUCAUGAUAUUCUCUUCGAUAGUGUUUGUUUGAUAAUUGAUUGAUUGUGCUUCCUCUUUGUGUUAUAUAUGAGAUUAUUUUGAAUUAGUUAUUGAGCUAACUUUGUUUCCCAUAGAGGAGUAUUAACUCGCUAAUCAGGUACGCUCUUCCCACCCUACAACUCUAAAAUUCUAUGAAUGUGUACGUUAUCAUGAGCCAUGACUAUGUUUGAUGCCAUAAUUGAUUGCCUUGAUGUUUGUUUGAUCAUCUUUGAUAAAAUACAUAUUAUGUGUCAUAUUUUCAAGCUAAUCUCUCAUGUUUUAUGAUAGCGCUUGAGAAGCCGUUCAGGUACGCACUUCGACUCUUUCUUAUGGUUGGUUUUCUUGUUAGGCAUGCAAUAUUCGAAAUCACCUAGCCUACUUAGGUAUCCAUAAUUAACUGACUAAUGGCCACACUUCCCUUAACUUUGUCAGUAGAGACCUUUAUAGGGCUUAGAGGGGUGCUACCUCCUAGAGGUACCUUCCCAAUAAGUAACCUGAUUCCCGGACUUAGACUCGGGUUUUUCAAAGACAUGCUUUUCCAAAAAUUAUGGAGUCACUUUUUUUUUAGGGUUUUAUUUCUUGUUUUAUUUUCCCUUUAAAAUAAAAAUAAAAUAAGUGGCGGCUCCAACUUUUCCAAAACUAAAUAAUUUUUCACAAAUAAAAAAGCGAGUCUCGCCGAUCGAGUGGGGACGCACGUGAAAAAUGCGGGUCCACAGAGGCAUAACUUUUUUACAUGGAAAACCCCCCACAAAUUGUGGAGAUAAAAAAACACAAGGUCUAAGACCUAUCAAUCUAAACCCACUAUUCAAAAUCAAGUUACAUAGAUUUACAUUACAUAGAUUUACAUAGUUACUUUACCCUAAAUACUUACUCUACAACACCUGCAACUUGAUCUACGUCUGUGAUGCAACAACUCCUUAUUUCUCCCUAGUAGAUCCUUCGACCACUCUAAAGGGAUUAAGGUCUUCAACCAACAAUUCAAAUAUCCAAAUCCUUGAAUAAGAGAUUGCGAAUGGUGUGACAAUAAGGAUUUCUCUCAAUAACUCCCUCCCUCAUGAAUGAAAGGUCUCAACGAUAUAUUUUCAAUCUCCCCAAAAAUUUCUACACAAUCUUUUAUCCUUAAUGGGUUAUAAGAGAUGUAUUUAUAGGCAAAAGUCGUAAGAAUUUCGAUAUCUCAAGUUUCCAAAUUUGAGUUUGAAUGAAAUUCAUCCAAAAUAUGUUUCUAAACUCGGCAAGAAUAACAUGAUUGCUUAAGUGGACUUAGACAUCUUGAGCGGUUCAUACAAUUUGAGCGGGUUGACUGCUUGAGCAAGAUUAACCACUUGAGCCCCUAUUUUUUGAAAAAAAAAAUAACAUUAUAAGUCCAAAAAUGAAACCGAACCUUUUAUACCUUAAAUAAGUCUUAUAUGCCACAAGACAAACCUUUUUAGAUGUAUCUGUGACUUCUUGGUUAGAUGAACAAGAACCAUUGAUCUUCAAUGGAGAGCAAGCCACUAUAUACAAAGACUUCUAUGUCCAAACAUUGAUUGGAACAAAAUUGCCAACAAUUUCACAAGACUCAAUGUCCUAAUAAACAAGAUCUCUAGUUUGGGUUAAUUGAUUAAUUAGAUGACCCUAUCUAGUUAAUUAAUCAAUUAGGACCCAUUUUAGGCUAGAUUAAGUGACCCAAGCCUUAAUGAGCUUAAGUCACUUAAGCCUAAUGGUUAACCUUAUAAAUACCACUUUUAGAGUUAGGGUCUCAUAUAACUUUUUGAUAAGAAUUGUCUUCCACCUCUAGAGAAAGAGAGAGUCAUUGCUUCAUUUCUUCCAUUAUCCACACUUUAGAGUGUCAAGAUCAUGGUUUGAGUCAUCUUCCGGAAGAUCUUAGGUGUACAAGACCUCCAGACUCUUUAGGCUUCUUCUUGAUUAGAUGGAUUUUGAUUUGGGAACAUCCAAAUCACAAGUAUGAAUACUAUAUCUCUAGAUCUAUGGUUAUUAAUAGUUUUUAUUGUCAUUUUAUUUCAUUAUGAUAGAUUUAGAGAUGCCUAGGGAUAAAGAACAUAGUACUAAGGCAUGAGAAUAGAGUACUCUAGGGUUCCCAACACCAAGAUCAUCGUUUAAGUCAUCGAUCAGAAGAUCUUAGGUGUACGAGACCUUUGGUUCAUCGAGUGGAAUUGACUUGGGAACGUCUCAGUCAAAAGUAAAAUUUAGUAAUGACUUUUCUCUAGAUCGUAUAAUGUUAAAAUUUAUUUUUUACUUUCGUUACAUAAGAUCUAGAGGCGUAGAGAAGUUUACAUGCACCUAUACAAUCUAGGGCUUGGGAACAAAGAGAUCUAGGGUUCCUAGAAAUUGGUAUCGAUGCCCUAUGAUAAGAUUUUGUAUGUUAGAUAUGCUCUAAGGUGUGUUAACUCUAUUUUGAAAGGCUUGUUUUUCAUUUGAUGGCCCUAGGGAUGAAUAUAUGUGGGUUUUCAAUAUAAUAUGAUGGUUAUAAUUAUGAUUGGAUUGUUUUAUUUUUGCUAGAAUAGGUUGUAAGCUUCAUGUUUAGGAGCAUAGGAUUUUUCUUGGUUGUAAAAAUCUCUCUUUUAUUAGAUUGGUUGUAAACUCCAUUAAUGGAGUAUAAUAUUUUUGUGAUGUAAAAGAUCUUUUUUUUUUUUUAACAAUCUAGUAACUCAUGAAAGACAAGAAAGCAAUCUAAGAUGUCAUUUUUAACCAUCAUGACUCCCACACCAGCCAAGGUAAGUUUUCUAUGGAGAAAACAAUCAAAAUCUACAAAAGAAAUAGUCUCAAGUGCUUAGGAAAGGUGACUUGGGUGCUCGAGCAAUCACUUAUAAUGCUCGAGAGAUAUGAUUGAUCGAGUGGUGCUUCCAAUGAUGGUAAGUUGCUUCUAGCAUCCUCAAAAAAUUUUGAGCGCUCUAGUGUAGGUGACAAUAGAUGUAUAAUAAGGAAAGACAACAACAUAAAAAUUGCAAUUCGGGAUUUUUGUAAUAGAUUAGGGUAUUUAUGUAACUAACCCUAUUUUCUGUUACAAAUAUAACUUGGGUAAAUUUGGAUUUUUUAUCCAAAUGGGUUACCAACUUUAUGUAACAAGAUCCCCAAGGUGAUGGAAACCAGUUCAUUAAUUUAUUUAUUUUUUUCUGCUUAGCAUGUGUUAAAUAAAGAAUAAAUUGGAAAAAUGAUUUUGGAUUUUUCUUAAGGAAAAUAGAUUAUCAUGAGAAACUUUUUCCAAUAUUAUUUUUCUUUUGAACUAGUUGUUGUUAAAGACAUUGUUAUUCCUUUUUGGAUUAUCCACUUGGUUAAUAGGUGGUUCUCUAAGAUCAACCCCUUAGAAAAGGAGGAAAUUGUUUUGUAUAUGGAUAGUCUAAGGAUAAAGGAAUAAGAGAGAAAUUCUUUUAGCACAAGACUCCUAAUUUAAGAAGUAAAUAACAGAAUUGGAAAAUCUCAUGAUAGAGAAUUUAUUUUAAGAAAGGUUAUCAAAAUUACUAAAAGUCACUCUUUUCAAAAUAUUAAUUAGGAGAGGGCCUUAGCAAAGACGAUAACCUCCAUUGUCAAGCCCAUCUUGAUUUGGGUUCAUCACCAUCCUCACAGUGGAUUGUAAGCCCUAGGAAUCAAGGGAUAUGGACUCUCCUUAUGGACAAGGCUUCACAUGUCUGUAGUAGGAGCAACCACCCCCAUGGUGGGUUUCCUUGCCAGGUGAUAUUGAUAGCUUAAGGACAAUGGUUAUACACUUAACAUUGGAUAUUAAGUGGUUGAAUCACCCCACACAAUCCCACUUGCAUAGUUCAUAGGUCAAAUAAAAAGGUAUGUUGUUCUUUCCUUUAGGUAACAUUCAUGGUUAAGGUAGGGAGAUCAGUCUGAGAGAGUCACUAACUAAUAAUAAGGUCAUGACCUAACUUAUGUAUUCCUAAACAUAACUAAGGCUAAUAAUAAGGUCACUAACUAAUAAACUGUGUUGGAAGAAGGAAUGCCCUAAAUUCCUAAAGAGAUAGUUAGUAAUGCAUUUUUCUUUUCUAGUUGAAUCAUGUUUAGUGUUGGAUUCUACUAAUUCUUAGUGGAUAGAUUCCAAAGCUUUUGAUCAUGUCUAUAAUUCAUUACAGGGGUUUCAACUAAGCCGAAGGCUAAAUGAUUGAGAUAUGUAUCUAACAUUAGCUUCUAAAGCGAGACUUGUUGUGCAGGCAAUGGAAGAUGUUACCUUUAUAUUUUCUUAUAAUAGUCUUUUAGUAUUAAAGGAUUUUCUUUAUGUUCCCGAGAUUAUGAAGAAUUUGAUUUCAAUUUCUAAUAUAUGUAAACUGAAUUAUUCAUUUUUUUUUCUAUUAAACAGGUUUGUAUUAGAUUGAAUGAUUCAUUUAUAUGCUCAAGAUGAUUGAUAGAUAAUCUUUAUCGUGUUUCUCUAUUAUGUAUUUUGUGAAGUAAUGAGAGUUAUCUUAUUUCAUAGAAAAUGAAGAAAUCUAGCAAUAAUCAAAUACAACUUUAGCACUUAUACGUAGGUCAUAUAAUCUAAACAAGGCCUAAAGAUUGGUUAAGUUUAUAACUUUACCAUUCUUGAUUCAAAAGAUCUUACAGUUUGUGAAUCUUGUAUAGAACGUAAAAUGACCAAGAAGCCUUUUACUGCUUGAUUACUACUCAAAAAGUGCUCUUUGAUAGCUUGUAAUAAACUCUUUUAAACACUUUUGAGUAGUAGUUAUUGCCUUUUAACCCAAUUAACAUGUUAAGGAUCCUUGCAAUCAAUUUUAAUCAAAUUGUGUUAAGUUUUGGUGUUUUGAUAGCUUUUGAUCACCAAAGCAAUCCGAGAUUGAGGAGAGUUAUAUGGAAUCUUGGGCAAAGCAAUUGGAAGCUCAGAAACAUGAAUAACUAAAGCUUUGAAGCCCUUUGCCAAGAGUAAAUCCGGAAUGCAAGGAGAAGAAAGAAAGAGAAUCUGCCAUGAAGCAUAUUCUUGAUGACAGUCGUGUCAGCCACUUUUGGAGCACUUUCUGAAGUCCAAUUGAUGCAUGCUAUAUACCAUUUCAAAUCUCAGGAAGUCAACAAUCCAAUGCUUCAAACGGUGCACAAUUUAGAGUUGAAACGAAGAAGUUACAGCCACUGCAAGUCAAUCACUCUAAGCUGAAGGAAGCAUUUUGCAAAGUGUUGCGAAAUCACCCUUUUGUUGCGAAAUGAUUUCGAAGCCUUUUUGUACAGUGUCGUGGAUUUCCUCCUGAAGUUGCCCGAUAUAUGCCGCAAGUUGGAAGCUGAGAACCUCAAGAUGAAAGCCAACUUCGCAGCCCUGCGAGAAUAGCCUUUUGUUGCGAAGUGAUUUCGCAGCCCUUUUUGUAUGUCUGCGAAAUCUCGCAGACAUCAUUUUCUCUUUCGAAAUGGUCCGUAGUGCUUCCCGAUAUUUGCUACUGACAUUGGGAGAUAUUUUCCAUCAGAUUUUUGUUGUCUAAAUCCCAAAAUUCUCCUUGUAAGCCACCAAUUACAAGAUUCCUUAGCUUUUAAGUUAGUAAAAAGAAUGAAUAUCCAUGUAAUAAUUAGUUUUGUAUUAUGUUCAUAUAUAUACCCCUCGAGAGUCUGUUCUCAGAGGAGGAGACCCUUUGUAAAGUUUUGGGAAAGCAAGUAAAGUUCAGGUCCUUUGUUUUGCCUUACCUUCUCACUUUUUAUUUUUUAUUUCUUACUAAGUUAUGAACUCUCUGAGGAAUUUUCCCCAGAGAAUGAGUAACUAAACCUUUAGUUCCUUGGAGCUAAGGUUGCCGGGGAAGGUUCCAAGUGCAAGAAUGCAAAGCUUUGUGGUUUCAGCCAUUAAUGAAGAGGAAGUGAAAUCCUUCAGUGAUUUCUAUGUUUUUAGUUAACUUAAAACACCUUAGAGUCACUUGGGCCAACACUUGGUAAGGCAAGUGAUCUCCAACCAAGGAGAUGCACUAGUUUACCCCUUGCGAGCCUCUGGGAGGUGACUUUAAGGUAGGAUUUUCUGGAAUUGCCAACACUUGGUAAGCUUUUGGACUCCAAGGAGACAUCCAUUAGUUAUCUCUUGCGAGCUUGAGAAGGGAAGUCCAAGGUUAAAGAUCACCUUGAAUGUUUAAGGCUUAGUGAGAGGCUUGAACCAUUGCAAGUUGUAUCAGUGAGAGAAUUAAAGUUGAAAUCUAAUUAAAGGAUGUAUCUGUACAACACCGGUUAGAGAAUUGACUAUAUGUUGAAUCUCUAACGCGAGGAAAUGAACCAUCUGACCGGAGCUAUGUCUUUUGCAUGAGGAACCACCCCAAUGAACCUGACCCUCCAAGGAAUGUUUUUCUUCCUAAGUUAUUCCCAUUACUUGUUUUGUAGUUAGUUUAAAUCUAAAUCUUUACCAAUUAAAGUUUGUGUUUUAUUUCUUAAGCUAACCUUGAAAUGAAACAAGACCAAUUCACUUUGAAUUGGUAUCAUUGAUAAUUUGCUAAUCCUUCCCAGUGAACGAUCCUAGAGCCGCUAUCUUAUAGUAGCUUUUUCUUUGCUACCCUAGUAUAUGGUGUAAUAGGUUAUAAAUUUUGUUGAUUACUCCCUCAUCCAAGGAGCACCAGCUGGACACGAAUCAGCUGAGACACCAAUUGGGCAUGAAUCACUGCUAAAGAAUAUAAAGCCAAGGAAUGUUUGGAGUUAGUCAAUCUUGACAUUUGUGCAUCUUUCAAUGUCCAUGCACAAGAAGGAUAUGAGUAUUUCGUCACGUUUACAAAUGAUUACUCCAUGUUUUGAUAUGUUUACCUGAUGCAUAGGAAGUCUGAUGCCUUGAACAAAUUCAUUGAAUUUAAGACAAAAUCAGAAAACUAAUUGGGUAAAUGUAUCAAGGCACUUCAAUCUGAUCGAGAUGGUGAGUAUAUGUCUACUCAAUUUGAUUCUUUCCUUAAGGAGCACAAGAUUAUAUCCUACUUGAGUGCACUAGGAACUCCACAAUAAAAUGGAGUAAUAGAAAGAAGAAAUCAAAUGUUGAUGGACAUGAUGAGAUAUAUGAUGAGUUUCUCAUCACUCUUGUAUCCUUUUGGGGAUAUGACUUAGAUAUUUCAUCUUACCUUCUCAUUUUCACAUUUAGGGGUGCCUAGGACAUGUGCUGAAGCUAAAGGUAGACAAAUUGAAAGCAAGGCUUGAUGUAUAUCAGUUUGUAGGUUAUACAAGAGGAAUGAGAGGCCUUUACUUUCACAUCCAGGUCAACCAAAAGGUAUUUUUCAGUACAAAUGCCAAAUUUCUGGAAGAAGGUUAUAUGAUGAAUGAUAGGGUAAAACAUGAUAUAGAUUAGAGGACACUUGAAGACACUCCCACAUUAGCACAAAGAACUAUGAGCCAACAAGUUCCUACACCUACCAUUCUAGUCAAUUCUAGUACAUUUAUGCCUCAUUGUAGUGGAAGGAUUGUUAUACAACCAGACAAGUUCAUGUAUUUGAGAGAGUUUAUCAAGGCAAUUCCAAAGGAACAUGAAACCGAUCUCAUAGAUUAUAAUAACGCAAUGAGUAGUAAUGAUGUUAUUCUUUGGCAAAGAGCUAUGGAGGUAAAGUUAGAAUCUAUGUAUUCUAAUGGAAUUUGGGAUCUUGUAGAAGUACCUGAACUGCUAAAACUCAUAGGCGGUUUAAAAAAAUGAAGAGAAGUAAAUGGAAAGAUUGAGACAUACAAGGCUAGGCUGGUAACGAAGAGUUAUAGUCAAAAACUUGGUUUUAACUAUAAGGAGACCUUCUCACCAAUAGCCAUGCUAAAAUUCGUCUAAAUACUCCUAUCAAUUACAAUGCACCUUGAUUGUGAAAUAUGAAAAAUAGAUCUCAGGACAAUGCUCUUGAAUGGUGAUCUUAAAAAGAGCAUCUAUAUGAUGUAACUAGAUGGAUUCAUAGCAAAAUGAUAAGAACAUCUUAUGUGCAAGUUGCAUAAAUCCAUUUAUAGAUUAAAUUGGGCAUCUUGCACAUGGAAUAGGCAUUUUGAUUAGGCUAUCAAGACUAUUGAUUUUGAUCAAAAUCAGGAUGAGUCUUAGGUGUACAAGAAGAUGCAGGAAAGCAUGGUGGUGUUUUUGGUCUUAUAUGUUGAUGACAUUCUAUUCAUUGGGAAUGAUGUAGGGUUAUUGUCAUCAAUUAAGAUCUGGCUAUCUACUUAAUUCUAAAUGAAAGGUCUAAGUGAGACACAAUAUAUUCUUAGAAUUAAGGUCCUUUGGGAUUGUACGAAUAGGAAGAUUGCGUUGUCAUAGGCCACCUACAUUGACAAGGUUUUGGUCAAGUAUGUGAUAAAGGACUCCAAGAAAGGUUUCUACCCUAUGCUUUUGCAAUGGGUAGCCUUAUGUAUGUGAUGCUAGGUACCAGACUAGAUGUUUUCUUUGCUAUAGGAUGGUGAGUAAAUAUUAGUCCAAUCUAGGUAUGGAGCAUUGGACAAUAGUCAAAUAUACUCAAGUAUCUUUGAACAACGAGGGAUUAUAUGUUGGUAUAUCAUUACGAUAAGUUGUUACUUCUUGGGUAUAUGGAUUCAUACUUUCAGUCAAAUAAAGACUCUCACAAGUUUACCUUUGAUUUUGUGUUCACUCUAGGUGGUGGGAAUAUUAUUUAGAAAAGGUUGAAGCAAUCUUGUAUUGCUAACGCUACUAUGGACAAUGAGUAUAUUGCUACUUCUAAAGCAGCAAAGGAAGUUGUUUGGCUUCAAAGGUUCCUGUUAGGACUUGGGCUAGUGCUCUUGGCUAUAUCACCCCUGGUACUAUUUUGUGAUAAUAGUGGGAUGGUGGCAUAGUCUAAAGAACUAAAACAACAACCUGAAGAGUAUUACUUGAUACGUGAGAUAGUAAUGAAGGGAGAUGUAGUUGUGGAGAAAAUCACUUCUACUGAGAACUUGAUAGAUCCCUUCACAAAGACUUUAUUUACUAGAGUCUUUAAUGGUCAUAGGGAUAGCUUUUGUGUCAAAUGUGUUCCCAACAUGCUCUAAGGCUAGUAGGAGUUUGUUGGGAUUAAGCCCUAGAAAGCAUGACAAGAUGUAACAGAUAGAGAUUCAUUUAUAAUUUUAUUUAUUUGUGUUUCUUUAUUGUGUUAUUAUCCUAUUUGUAUUAAUUGGUUAUUUAAGCAUACACACCUCACAUUAAUUGCAUUGUACAUGACUUGGGUGCAUUAGGGGUUACAUAGACCAUCUAAGUCAUUGGUUUCUUAUAGAGUGAUGAGUUGUCCAUAGUUGGUUCAUGGAUUUAGGAAAUCCAUCUGAGACUAUAGUGCACUACCUCCUAAUUGGAGGAAUAACUUGUCUUAGUCGUCAAGAUGGUUUUCCCAUGGUGAGUGCACUAGUGCAUGUGAUGAACACUGCAUUAGGCCUACGGUGAAUCAUGACAUAAGGCUAUCAAUUGUCAUGAUUCACUAAGCUACUAACUAGAUGAACUCUUAAGCUUGAGAGGAUAUUGAGCCUAUGCCAAAGUCAAUAGGAGGCUUUAACCUACGAGUGAGUUCCUAAGGUGAUCAUAUAUCUCUAUGAAUUAUGUCACUAUUGAUUAAGACUGGUGACAAUAGGUAUUCUUAAUAGAGGCACCAUGAUAUCUCAUGGAUUGAGAUAGUGUGUCCCCUUCGAUGAUCCAAAGGACAUGUGAUCUAGAAGAUUUGACAUUUUCUUUAAUGGAAAUUUGACAUAUGCUCCUUGGAGUUAGAGUAUGUCAAUUGAUCACAUAAUAAGUAGGAUUUGUAAUCCAAGGACUAAAGACAUAAUCUUAAUAGGUGAUAACACUAUCUUAUUAGAUUGCAGACACCAGUUCAUGGGAAGUCUGCAUGUAGUGGAUAUUAGGUAACAAAUUUGAGCUUUAUAUCAUUGUUAUUUACAUAAGUAUUGGAAUGUAGUUGAUUCUCUUAAAUGAAAUGUUGAAUCAACUUCAAAAUUAAAUUUUAAGGGAUCCAUUACUCCUAUGGGCCUAGUGAUCCCCACUCUAAGCUCAUAUAACAUGAUGACAUGAUUUUUAAGGGUUAGAUUGGCUCUAGGUUCACUCUUGUGCAUAAGAGUAUUUUGGUAAUUAUGUAAGGUUGCAUAGGAGAUAGUGAACAAGGUCUCUAGAUUUGACUAAUUGAUUAAUAAGAUGGCCCUAUGUGGUUAAUUAAUUAAGACAUGUUUUAGGCUAGAUGAAGUGACUCGAGCCUUUGUAGGCUCAAGUCACUUUAGCCUAGUAGGGAGACCUUAUAAAUACCCUUUUAGGGGUCAGUGUUUCCAUCACUUUUCAAAGACGGUCGUUGAUUACUACCAAAAAGUGCUAUUUUGUAGACCUAAUAAUAAUGGUUUUAAGCACCUUUGAGUAGUAAUCAUAUUCAUUUAACCCAAUUAAUUCAUUAAGGUCCUUAGUAAUUGGUUUUAACCAUUUUGUGGCAAGUUUACAUGUUUUUAUCAGCUUAUGAAUCGAUUCAAGCAUGCCAAUUGAUGGAGGAGCUACUUGGGCGAGUUAAGCAAGGAUUUUGUACGUUUAUAGGCUUGAAUUUCAAGUGGAAACACGAGCACAAGCAAUGGAGAAGAGGAAAACAGAGUGAAGAAAACAGAGUGAAGAAAACAGCUGCAGUCUUCCUUUGAACUUUUUGAGCACUUUCCGAAGUCCAUUUUUUUCAUACUAUAUACCAUUUGAAAGCUUAGGAAGUCAAGAAUCCAACGCUUCAAACCGUGUAUGAUUUGGAGCUGAAAUGAGGAAGAUAUGGCCUUUGGAAGGCAACUGCAUCAUGUCAAAUGCCCAAUUUCGCAAUGUGAAUUUCACAUUGCGAAAAUUUCGCAAGGAGAUUUUCUUCAUGGUGCGAAAUUUUGCCAUUUCGCAAUGUGAAUUUCACAUUGCGAAAAUUUCGCAAGGGGAUUUUCAUGGUGCGAAAUUUUGCCAUUUCGCAAUGUGAAUUUCACAUUGCGAAAAUUUCGCAAGGAGGAUUUAGUCACAUUGCGAAAUUCCUUUGAAUCCCCUGUUUUGAGACGUUGUUGAUGUUAUUCCACUACCGGUUCUCCAAGAUAUUUUGCUUGAUUUUUAGCUUUGUAAAUACCUAUUUUACCCUUGUAAUCAACCAAUGAAUAGGUUGCUUUUGUAAUAGCUCUUGUAAUUUAGCUUGUUAUUGUCUUUAAAUAGAGGUGAAGAGCCUCAGAUGAUCGAAUCUUGUAACCUGUAACUUUAUAAGUUAUAAGAGCACUUUUGUUCAUACGCUUCUUUUCUCUUUUCUUUCUCAUUUUCUUAGUAGCCAAACAUCCUUGGAGGAUGAAAUCCCCAAGGAUGAGAGGCUAAAACCUUUUAGUUUCUUGAAGUAAUGGAUGCCAUGUGAAGCUCCCGUGUCAGGAUGGAGAUUUCCAAGCCAUGAAUGUAAGUAGCUGAGCGUCAUAAAUGUUUUCAUUCAAAGUAAAGCUUUUAAUCCCUCUGACUUGCUUUGAAUGGCCAAUACUUGAUAAUCUUUUGGUCUCAGUGGAUUCUUAUUGUUAGAUCCACUGAUGUUCAUUAGUUAUCCCCUACGAGCCAUUGUAUUGCAAGUCGAGGAGAUGACCUAUAUCAUUAAAAGAGCAUUUAUGAGGUUCAACUACCCUUUUUGUAAGUUUUCAAGGACUAAAACUCAGUUGUUAAACUCAUACCGGUUCGGGAAGUAAGCAUCACCUUAGUUGCUUCCCCAACUCGAGGUGAAAAGUCCCAAAAUCUCCAUUUUUACAUAGUGAGUUAAGCAUGGCUAUCCAAAGCUUUGAGAAACUUCUUUUUCCAUAUUUUAACCUAUUUUCAUGUUAGUUUAGUUUACACACCUUCAUCUUUAUAUGUUUUCAUCUUAACUUAAUUUUUAUUAAGAAAAGUUCACUCCAUCCUCCGAACUUCACCAGUUAAAGUAAAAACCCUUCCCAGUGUUCGAUCCUAGAGCCACUAUGCUAUAGUAGCUUUGCUACUUUAGUGUAAGGACGUUAGGUAUAAAUUUUGUUGAUACCCUUACAUGCCAAGCUACCAAGAGUCGGGUUAUCAAAUGGCGCCGUUGCCUGGGAAGGUGCUACUUCACUGUGAAUACAUCAGCCGGAGGUAACUUGUGAGACUUCUCAUGAGUGAGGUGAAUUCUAUCUCAUUUUCCUUUUACUAACUUUUUAUUUUAUUUUAUUUUUCUUUGUUCAUGUGUUAGUAUAUCUUUUAUUUAGUUUUUAGUUAAUCUUAAUAAUUUUUUUUUUUCUUUAGAAUUUUAUUUUCUUUUAUUUUCUUUUGUUUUCUCUGUUUUUAAUUCACAAAUUGCUAGUUGUGCAUGCCAUAUUGAAUAUGAGAUAGCAGAGGAAGCCAUGAACUUCAGUUAUGUGGCUGAAUUUUCAAGAGAAUGGGGUGAACCAAAUGCUAGAGAUAUGGGAAGAAUGACGUCUCAACCUAAAGCUAAGGGUGAGAUGUAUAUUUUGAAUGAUGGCAUGGACAUGAAGGCAAAGAUUGCAGCUAUGGAAAGGAGAUUGGAAGAGCUAGAAAAGAACCAGAUGCAAGAAGUGCAAGCCAUCUCUCAGACACCAUUGCAAGCUAUGCUUUGUGCCAUUUGUCAGUCUUUUGAGCACUUAGUGGAGGAGUGUCCUACCAUUCCAGUGGUGAGGAAAAUGUUUGGUGAUUGCAACACCUACAAUUCCAAUUGGAGGAAACAUCCAAAGUUCUCUUGGAAACCACAGCCACCUCAGUACCAGCAACCUGCUCAAGCACCACAGCAAGCCUUAAACCUUGAACAAGCUAUGAUGAAUCUUAACAAAGUCAUGGAAGACUUUGUUGAACCUCAGAAAUCCAUCAAUGCUCAGCUCAGUCAAAAAAUAUCACUCCCUGACAGAGUAGAGAGUUCAUUGAAUAAAAAGAUGGAUGGAGUGCAACAUGAUCUAUCUCAAAAGAUAGAUAAUAUCCAAGAUUCAAUCUCAAGGUUUUCCAACCUCAACACAAUGCAAGAGAAAGAAAACUCUCCUUCUCAACCUCAUCAAAAUCAAAAGGGUAUCCAUGAAAUGGAGGCUAAGGAGGGAGAUAAAGAGGUUGAUCUGCCCACAUGCAAACUAGAGCAUGAGGUAGAGAGUGAAACAGAGAAAGAAAAGAGGGAGGAAAUCAAAGGAAAGAAAAAGGGGAAAAGCAUAGAGAAAGAUGACUAUAUAGACGAAGAACCUCAGAAGAUAGUCAUCAAAGAAGAAAUAAUGAAGAAACAGAUGCAUCCAUUUUUCCCCCAAGCUUUGUAUGGCAAGAUCAUACAAAGCAAGUCUCAAGUGAGGGAUGCCAAUUUUGUUUGGGAUCCAGGGGGAAUUCAGCAUGAAGUGGGUGUGUGAGUGAGGAUGAGCUAAAUAGUUCAUCUUCUUUUUGGGGUACAUGCUAUCAGCUUCAUUUAAAUUCUAUGCUUUCUUUAAAUUUAUGCAUGUUUUAGUUUGAAUUUUUAGCUUUAAUUUAGUUUUAAUAUGUUUUUAAGAUGAGUUUUGAAGUGUUCAUGCAGGUACAAUGCAUGCAAAAAUCGAAAUGGAGGUGAAACAGAGGAAACAGGGGAGCCAAAAUGCAUAAGCAAAGCUCUCAGUGGAAUUUCGCACCAUAAACACACUCAGUGCGAAUUUUUCGCACAGUGACAGUGCAUGGUGCGAAAAGGAAUUUCUAUACAUUUUGGAAAGCCAAGCCUCUCGGGAUGCUAUCUUCGCACCUCAAUUACCAGUGCGAAAACUUUAGCACCUUGUUUAUCUUGGUGCGAAAUGAUUUUCAAACUAAUUUCUAAAAACAAAGCUCUCGGGAAGGCCUUUUUCUUGAAUUCCAUGUUUUUCCAAGUUUAAAAAUUCAUGAAUGCAUUUCCAAACCUUUUGUUUUCAAAUCCCAUCCAUCCAAAACUUUUUAAAAAUCAAAUUUCAAAACCAUUCCAUGCAUGGCCAUCCACUUUGAUUUUCAUUUUCCAUCAUUUAAUUUUGUUUUCCAUCAUUUAAAAACUACCCAAACACCUUAGGAAUCUUGUUUAGAGCCUAACCAUACCUUUUAAAAAACCAUUUUUGAAUUUUUUCCCAAAACUUGGAAAACGCACAGUCGGGCUUCAAAGGAGGUGAACAGUGACUGUGCCAAUUUUGGCACUCACUGUUCACUCCUCCUUUGUUUUCCCCUGUUUGAGCCAAAAAUCUCCAAUUUUAACACCCUGCAAGCUACAUUCAAAUGUCAUUGCAACUUAUAUGAAUAUACCAUCAUGGCAUGGACCCUUUGAGCCUUGUCCUCAGCUGCUCAAAGUGGGGCCCACUCAUCAUUUUUGUAAAUAUUUAGUAUAAAUUCCUCUCUCAUUCAAUUUUUGAAUUUUGAAACAGGUGGUUCAACCUUCUCAACUCCAAGUCCACAUCACAUGAGGUACCACUUCCUUCCUCCUUAUUUUCGAUUCAAACAUUGAGGACAAUGUUCAUCUCGGUUGGGGGGAGAGAUGAGGAAGUAAGUAUUAGUUUAAAUUUUUAUCAUACUUAGUUAAAUUAGCUACUUUUUGUUUAAAUUUAGAAAUUUUUGCUUUAAACUCCAUGGAUAUUAAGGAUUAACUCUCAAAAUUAAAUGAGAGAAGUCGAGUUGCAACUUGAUUACAUGAGUCUUAGAGUUUGUAUUAUGCUCUUCUAAAAGUUGAUGAAUUGUUGAAACUCCCAUUGCAUGCAAACUUAUCUCUUCCACCUUAAGCUAUUCGCACACACAUACAUUAGAUUCCGGUAAUAAGAUGUGAAACUAUCUCACCCUCUAAGCUUGAGAAAUCAUAAUUUGACACCUUUAAUCUCUCUUUAAUAGUGUUGGGACACCUCAUAAAGACCAAUGAGUCUUUGAAAAAAAAUAGAAAAAAAGAAAAAGAAAAAGAAAAAAUAUAUAUAUAUAUAAUAAACUUCUUUACUUGCCUUGAAACCUGAGCAUGGUCCGAAGGGGUGGCGAAAGCCUUUAAAGCCUGGUGCCCUAAGCCUUUAUUGGUUGGGAGUCAUCGAUCCUCUGCUUGUUACAUGGGUGAAUUGGUUAAGUUUAGUAAGUGAAAAGAAUUGUGAAUAAGAGGUGCGUUCCUAGCCUAUCAAGAGAUGGUUAAUUUUGCUAAGCUUAAAGAAAGACUUAGGUUGGGGGGAGAUGAUAGUUAUCCAUACUAUACUCGGAAGCUAAUCACAUUAACACUUAGCUUGUAGUGGAAGAAUUUGAUUUGGAUCUUUUGAGAGUGGAAAUUCUUUUGAUGCUUAAACUUGCAUAAUAUCCAUUCUUUGUACUCUAUGAUCAAGUGAAUGCUUUGACAACUCUUAUUAUAGGUUGAGUUUCACAUCUUUAUUGAUCCAUGGAUGUCCAUCAUGCCACUCAUGUCAUUUUUUGGAGUGAUUUGCAUGAUCCCUUUUAUGUAUAUUAUUAUAGUUUAUUUAGUUUUUAUCUCCUCCAUUGCUAAGGGACUAGCAAUGAGUCGGUUGGGGGGUGUGAUUACUACCAAAAAGUGCUAUUUUGUAGACCUAAUUAUAAUGGUUUUAAGCACCUUUGAGUAGUAAUCAUAUUCAUUUAACCCAAUUAAUUCAUUAAGGUCCUUAGUAAUUGGUUUUAACCUUUUUGUGGCAAAGUUGACAUGUUUUUAUCAGCUUAUGAAUCGAUUCAAGCAUGCCAAUUGAUGGAGGAGCUACUUGGACGAGUUAAGCAAGGAUUUUGUACGUUUAUAGGCUUGAAUUUCAAGUGGAAACACGAGCACAAGCAAUGGAGAAGAGGAAAACAGAGUGAAGAAAACAGAGUGAAGAAAACAGCUGCAGUCUUCCUUUGAACUUUUGGAGCACUUCCCGAAGUCCAUUUUUUGCAUGCUAUAUACCAUUUGAAAGCUUAGGAAGUUAAGAAUCCAACGCUUCAAACCGUGUAUGAUUUGGAGCUGAAAUGAGGAAGAUAUGGCCUUUGGAAGGCAACUGCAUCAUGUCAAAUGACCAAUUUCGCAACGAGAUUUUCUUCAUGGUGCGAAAUUUUGCCAUUUCGCAAGGGGAUUUUUCUUCAUGGUGCGAAAUUUUGCCAUUUCGCAAUGUGAAUUUCACAUUGCGAAAAUUUCGCAAGGAGGAUUUAGGCACAUUGCGAAAUUCCUUUGAAUCCCCUGUUUUGAGACGUUGUUGAUGUUAUUCCACUACCGGUUCUCCAAGAUAUUUUGCUUGAUUUUUAGCUUUGUAAAUACCUAUUUUACCCUUGUAAUCAACCAAUGAAUAGGUUGCUUUUGUAAUAGCUCUUGUAAUUUAGCUUGUUAUUGUCUUUAAAUAGAGGUGAAGAGCCUCAGAUCAUAAAAUCUUGUAACCUGUAACUUUAUAAGUUAUAAGAGCACUUUUGUUCAUACGCUUCUUUUCUCUUUUCUUUCUCAUUUUCUUAGUAGCCAAACAUCCUUGGAGGAUGAAAUCCCCAAGGAUGAGAGGCUAAAACCUUUUAGUUUCUUGAAGUAAUGGAUGCCAUGUGAAGCUCCCGUGUCAGGAUGGAGAUUUCCAAGCCAUGAAUGUAAGUAGCUGAGCGUCAUAAAUGUUUUCAUUCAAAGUAAAGCUUUUAAUCCCUCUGACUUGCUUUGAAUGGCCAAUACUUGAUAAUCUUUUGGUCUCAGUGGAUUCUUAUUGUUAGAUCCACUGAUGUUCAUUAGUUAUCCCCUACGAGCCAUUGUAUUGCAAGUCGAGGAGAUGACCUAUAUCAUUAAAAGAGCAUUUAUGAGGUUCAACUACCCUUUUUGUAAGUUUUCAAGGACUAAAACUCAGUUGUUAAACUCAUACCGGUUCGGGAAGUAAGCAUCACCUUAGUUGCUUCCCCAACUCGAGGUGAAAAGUCCCAAAAUCUCCAUUUUUACAUAGUGAGUUAAGCAUGGCUAUCCAAAGCUUUGAGAAACUUCUUUUUCCAUAUUUUAACCUAUUUUCAUGUUAGUUUAGUUUACACACCUUCAUCUUUAUAUGUUUUCAUCUUAACUUAAUUUUUAUUAAGAAAAGUUCACUCCAUCCUCCGAACUUCACCAGUUAAAGUAAAAACCCUUCCCAGUGUUCGAUCCUAGAGCCACUAUGCUAUAGUAGCUUUGCUACUUUAGUGUAUGGACGUUAGGUAUAAAUUUUGUUGAUACCCUUACAUGCCAAGCUACCAAGAGUCGGGUUAUCAGUCGUCUUCCACUUCAGAGAGAGAGGGAGAGAGCUAGGAUUCUUCCCUUCCAAAGUCCACACUUUGGAGUACAAAGAUCGUGGUUCAAGUCAUAGGGCAAAAGAUCUUCGGUGCACGAGACCUCCAAACUCUUCAAGCUUCAUCUUUAACUAGUGAAAUUGAUUUGGGAUGUCUAAAUUAAAUUUAAAGUUUUCUAAUGACUUUUCUUUGGAUCCUAGAAUGUUAAAAAAAAAAAAAAAAAAAUUCAUUUCCGUUGCAUAAGAUCUAGAGGCAUAAGGUAGUUUGCAUGCACCUAUAUGAUCCAAAGCUUGGGAACAAGGAAACCUACCCAAAAUAAAAGGUACUCGAUAUGAUGAUUUGAAAUUUUUGCAAGGAAUUACAAUUGCAAUGAAUGUAGCAACAACCUCAUAUGAAAUUCUCGGUGAAGUUUCUAAUUCUUCAAAGCUAGUGAAAAGGCAUUACAAAGUCUUGCAAAGCCAUGUUUGUUGAAAGGUAUUUCUACAUCCAAGUUGGAAUUUUGUGAGCACUAUCUAUUAAGAAAAAACACCAGGGUAAAGUUUGGUAUUGCAGUCCAUCGCACCAAGGAAACAUUAGAUUAUGUGUAUACAAAUGUCUAGGGACAUACAAAAACAACUUCUUUAUGAGGUAAGCAUUGGUUUGUGAUUUUUUUUUGUGAUUACUUAAGAUAUGUGUAGGUGCAUUUAAUGUGAUAUAAAAGUUAUGCUCUUAAUGUGUUUCUCAAAAGACAAUGGUAGAAAAUAAAGUUAUUAAAAAAAAUAUUAAGAAGCAUAUAUUAAACAAUUAUGGGGAAUAUAAGUUAAAUCCUUUUACGCAAAUUAGAGAAAAAAAAAUGAUUGUGUGACAUUUGCCAAUCAUGAAUAUUCUACAAGAAAACGGGGUAGUAGAGAAGACAAAUCACAAAUUGUUUGAGAAGUUGAGGUGCAUGUUGUCUAAGAGCAUAUUGAGGAAAAGAGUUUUAGGUUGAGGUUGUAACAUAUACAUGCCAUCUUAUUAAUAGAUUACCUUCUAUAAUACUUGAGAUCAAGACUCCCAUGGAGAUACGAUAUGGUACUCCAGUUUCUGAUUAUGAUUCAUUACAUAUAUUCAGUUGUUCUUCUUACUACCAUGUUUUAGAGAAUAAGUUAAAGCUUAGAUCCAAGAAAAUAAUUUUCUUAGGUUUUAGUAGUGGUGUUAAAGGCUAUUGUUUAUGGUACUCUUUGCAAAGGAAAAUCAUUGUGAGCAUGGAUGUUGUGUUGAGUGACGAUGUUAUGUUAAAAAAGAGUUUCACAGAAGAUGGAGUUUGGAAGUCAAGUUGAAACUACUAAGAUGUCUCCUCUAGAUCAUUUAGGUAUGGAUUUAGAUGUCAUAGUAGAUGAACUAGAGUUUACUUCCCCAAGGUCCAAUGAAUAUUUUAAGUCAAUUGCAGUAAGUAGACCACAUAAAGAGAUAUUGUCACCUGCAUGAGAUGUUGAAUUGGUUGCAUAUGCAUCACCCAUUGUUACUAAAGAUAUUCCAUACACUUAUAGGGAUGCAAUUCAAAGUCCUUAAAGUGAAGAUUGGAAAUUGGAAAUAUAGAAUAGAUGAACUCUCUCCACAAAAUUAAGACAUGGAAAUUAGUUCCAUUUCCUCCAUGAAGAAAGUUGUUGGAUGUAAAUGGGUGAUUACUACUCAAAAAGUGCUUGUAAUUAACUCUUUUAAACACUUUUGAGUAUUAGUUAUUACCUUUUAACUCAAUUAGCAUAUUAAGUACCUUUGCAAUCGUUUCUAAUCAAAUUGUGUAAGUUUUGGUGCUUUUGAUAGUAAUUUGAUCACCAAAGCAAUCCAAGAUUAAGGAGAACUCUAUGGAAUCCUUGGCAAAGAAAUUGGAAGCUCAUUUACAUGAAUAAUUCAAGCUUUGGAGCUUUAUAGUCCUUUGCCAUAAACAAAUCAUGAAUGCAAGGAUGAAAGCAAAGAGAGAAAUCUAACAUGAAGAAUCCAAGAAUACAUCAACUGUUUGACACUUUUGGAGCACUUCCUGGAGUCCAUUUGAUGCAUAAUAUAUGUCUUUUUGAAGCUCGAGAAGUCAGCAAUCCAACACUUCAAACGAUACAUGAAUCGGAGUUGAAAUGAAGAAGUUAGAGCCAUUGGAAGCCGAUCACACCAAGCUGAAGGCCAAUUUCGCAAGCUGCGAAAUCAACCUUUGGCUGCGAAAUGAUUUCGCAGUCAUCUCGUGCGUCUGCGAAAUUUUGCAGCCAUCUUGUGCACCUACGAAAUGCUCCUGAAUGCUUCCAAAUAUUUGCGACCGACAUUUUUAGAUAUUUUUGCUUCAGAUUUUUGAUGUCUAAAUCCUCAUUUUCUCCUUGUAAUCCACCAAUUAUAGGAUUCCUUAGUUAUUAAGUAAGAGAAAAGGGUGAAUAACCUCAUAUAUAUUGUUUUGUAAUUUUCAUUACAGAGAUUUAUCGGGAGCUUGUUCUCAGAGACGAACAUCUUUUUGUAUAGUUUUGAAGGAAGUAAAAUACAAAGCUUUGCUCUGCCUUACCUACUCAAUUUGAUUGUAUUUUUCUUACUAGCCAAACAAGCUCUAAGGAUGUUUCCUCAUAGAAUGGGUGGCUAGGAUUUUUGUCUCUUGGAGCUAAGGUAGCUGGGUAAGGUGCCGAAUGCAAGAAUUGGUAAUUUUGUUAUUUCAGCUAUUAAUGAAGAGAAAGUGUAACCCGUUUAUGGUUUCUAUGUUUUUAGUUAACUUAAAACGCCUUCAAUUCACCUAGGCCAACACUUGGUAAGGCAAGUGAUCUCCGUCCAUUGAGAUGCAUUAGUUUACCUCUUGCGAGCCUUUGGGAGGUGACUUGAAGGUAGGAUUUUCUAGAAUUGCCAACACUUGGUAAGCUUUUGGAUUCUAAGGAGACAUCUAUUAGUUAUCUCUUGCGAGCUUGAGAAGGGAAGUCCAAGGUUAAUGAUCACCUUGAAUGGAAAAUGCUAGGUGAGAGGCAUGAGCCAUUGCAAGAUGCAUCAGUGAGAGGGAAUUAGUGCUGAAAUCCAUGGAAGGGAUAUAUCUGUACAACACCGGUUGGAGAAUGAACUAUAUGUUAAUUCUCUAAUGCGAGGAAGAGAACCAAAGUGAUCGAAACUCUGUUUUUGCAUGAGGAUCCUGACCCCAGUGAUCCUAAAACUCCAAGAAAUGCUUUUCUUUAUAAGUAAUUCCCAUUGCUUUCUUUUUCGUUAGCUUGAAACCAAACCUUUUUCAACCAAAGUUUAUGUUUUCUUUUGAAGCUAACCUCGAAAUGAAAAAGACCAAUUCAACUUUGAAUUGGUAUCAGUUGUAAGUUGAAAACCCUUCCCAGUGAACGAUCCUAGAGCCACUAUGCUAUACUAGCUUAUGUUAUCCUAGUGCAUGGUGAUAUAGGUUAUAAAUUUUGUUGAUUACUCCUGUCUGAGGACCAAACUCAAGGUACACCAAUUGGGCAUGAAUCAAAUGGCGCCGUUGCCGGGGAAGGUGCUAAUUUUACAGUGAUAUUAUUUCAGAGUACUUGUGAUUUUCAUCACAAGUUUGGUGACUUUUCUUUCAUUUUACUAAUUUUUGUUUUUAAUUGUUUCUUUACUUGUUCAUAUUCUAAUAUAUCUUUUAAUUCAGUUUUAGUUCAUUUUAGUCUUUUUGUAGUCUUGUUUUCUUUUGUUUUCUUUUGUUUUUGUUUUAGUUACAGUUGAUACUAGUUGUGUAUGACAAAUUGGAUACGAGAUAGUGGAGAAAGGCUUGUUAAACGUGAUACACCUCAUAACAAGGAAUUGGAAUUGAGCUUGAAUAUCAUGGAAGCUACGCCUGAAGAUCAGCAUAGUCACCAUAGUCACUAGGACAAUCCCAAUGCUUUCAGAUCAAUGAGGGACAACAUGCAUCCACCUCGUAUGAGUGCACCAUCAUGUAUAGUGGCCCCUACAGAGCAACUAGUGAUCAGACCGCAUAUUGUUCCACUUCUACAAACUUUCCAUGGGAUGGAAAGUGAGAAUCCCUAUGCACAUAUCAAGGAAUUUGAAGAUGUUUGUAAUACAUUCCAAGAAGGAGGAGCUUCAAUCGACUUGAUGAGGCUUAAGUUAUUUCCUUUCACUUUAAAGGAUAAGGCCAAGAUUUGGCUUAAUUCUUUAAGGCCAAGGAGUAUCCGUACUUGGACUGAUUUACAAGCUGAAUCCCUCAAGAAGUUUUUUCCUACUCAUAGAACAAAUGGCUUGAAAAGGAAAAUUUCAAACUUCUCAGCUAAAGAGAAUGAGAAAUUCUAUGAGUGUUGGGAAAGAUACAUGGAAGCCAUCAAUGCUUGUCCUCACCAUGGUUUUGAUACGUGGCUAUUGGUGAGUUAUUUCUAUGAUGGGAUGUCUUCCUCAAUGAAGCAACUCCUCGAGACAAUGUGUGGAGGAGAUUUCAUGAGUAAGAAUCCGGAGGAAGCUAUGGAUUUCUUGAGUUAUGUGGCUGAAGUUUCAAGGGGAUGGGAUGAACCAAACAAAGGAGAAGUGGGAAAGAUGAAGUCUCAACUGAGUGCUUUUAAUGCUAAGGUUGGGAUGUACACCUUGAAUGAAGAUGUUGAUAUGAAAGCAAAGUUUGCAGCUAUGACAAGAAGAUUGGAGGAGCUAGAACUGAAAAAAAUGCAUGAAGUGCAAGCUGUUGCUGAAACACCAGUGCAAGUACAGCCAUGUCCUAUUUGUCAAUCUUAUGAACACUUGGUGGAGGAGUGCCCUACAAUUCCAGCUGCUAGGGAAAUGUUUGGAGAUCAAGCAAAUGUCAUUGGACAAUUCAAGCCCAAUAACAAUGCUCCGUAUGGAAAUACUUACAACUCAAGUUGGAGGAAUCAUCCAAAUUUCUCAUGGAAGCAAAGAGCACCUCAGUACCAACAGCCGGCUCAACCAUCUCAACAAGCUUCAAGCCUUGAACAAGCAAUAGUGAAUCUCAGCAAGGUUGUGGGAGAUUUUGUUAGAGACCAAAAAGCCAUCAAUGCUCAACUCAGUCAAAAAAUUGACAGUGUAGAGAAUACUUUGAAUAAAAUGAUGGAUGGGCUGCAAAAUGACUUAUCUCAAAAGAUAGAUAACCUCCAAUACUCAAUCUCAAGGCUCACUAACUUGAACACAGUACAAGAGAAGGGUAGAUUUCAUUCUCAACCUCACCAAAACCCUAAGGGUAUCCAUGAAGUGGAAACUCAUGAAGGAGAAUCUUCACAGGUGAGAGAUGUCAAAGCCUUGAUCACUCUAUGGAGUGGUAAAAAAGUUGAGCUGCCAACACCCAAGCCACAUGUUGAAGAGGAAGAAGAAGAAGAGACAAAGAAGAGGGAGGAAAUCAAAGGAAAGAAGAAAGAUAUCAGUGAAGGAAAGAGGACCAUGAUUCAAUAGUAAAUGCAAAUCCAGAGAAAGUACUUAUUAAGGAAGAAAUGUUGAAGAAACACACCUCUCCACCUUUUCCUCAAGCUUUGCAUGGGAAAAAGGGGAUUAGAAAUGCAUCAGAAAUUCUUGAAGUAUUGAGACAAGUGAAAGUCAAUAUUCCAUUGCUGGAUAUGAUUAAACAAGUCCCAACAUAUGCAAAAUUCCUAAAGGACUUGUGUACUAUCAAAAGAGAGUUAAAUGUGAACAAGAAAGCCUUCAUGACUAAGCAAGUGAGUGCUAUCAUACAAUGCAAGUCUCCUUUGAAGUACAAAGAUCCGGGAUGUCCUACCAUUUCAGUCAUGAUUGGAGGAAAGGUAGUGGAGAAAGCCUUGUUAGACUUGGGAGCAAGUGUGAAUUUGCUACCAUACUCUGUCUACAAGCAAUUGGGACUUGGUGAAUUGAAGCCAACAUCAAUCACUCUAUCUCUAGCAGAUAGAUCAGUGAAAAUUCCAAGGGGGAUAAUUGAAGAUGUCUUAGUUCAAGUUGAUAAUUUCUACUAUCCAAUAGAUUUUGUUGUUCUUGAUACGGACCCCAUUGUCAAGAAAGCUAAUUAUGUUCCUAUCAUCCUUGGAAGGCCAUUCCUUGCUACCUCAAAUGCAGUCAUCAACUGUAGGAAUGGACUUAUGCAACUCACUUUUGGCAACACGACACUUGAGCUCAAUAUCUUUUAUAUGUCUGAAAAGCAAAUCACUCCGGAAGAAGAAGAAGGUCCAGAGGAGGUAUGCAUUAUUGACACUCUAGUGGAGGAACACUGUAAUCAAAAUAUGCAAGACAAGUUGAAUGAAAGUCUUGGGGAUCUUUAAGAAGGGUUACCUGAACCCUCUGAUGUGCUUGCUACUCUACAAGGUUGGAGGAGGAGAGAAGAGAUUCUACCUUUGUUCAAUAAAGAGGAGGCACAAGAAGCUGCUAAAGAAGAGACCCCAAAGCUCAAUUUGAAGCCUCUGCCCAUGGAGUUGAAAUACACAUACCUAGAAGAGAAUAAACAAUGCCCUGUUGUUAUAUCUUCAUCUCUUACUAGUCAUUAGGAAAAGUGUCUACUUGAAGUUCUCAAGAGGUGUAAGAAAGCAAUAGGAUGGAAAAUAUCUGACUUGAAAGGCAUUAGUCCUUUGGUUUGUACACAUCAUAUAUACAUGGAGGAAGAAGCUAAACCAAUUCGUUAACCUCAAAGAAGAUUGAAUCCUCAUUUGCAAGAGGUGGUGCGAGUUGAAGUGUUGAAGCUACUUCAAGCAGGUAUUAUCUACCCCAUAUCUGACAGCCCUUGGGUGAGUCCUACUCAAGUGGUACCAAAGAAGUCAGGGAUCACUGUGGUUCAAAAUGAAAAAGGAGAAGAAAUUACUACACGCCUCACUUCAGGUUGGAGAGUGUGUAUUGAUUAUAGAAAAUUGAAUGUUGUGACAAGGAAAGAUCAUUUUCCAUUGCCAUUUAUUGAUCAAGUCUUGGAGAGAGUCUCUAGCCAUUCUUUCUAUUAUUUCUUGGACGGGUACUCCAGAUAUUUUCAAAUUGAAAUUGAUGUUGAAGAUCAGGAGAAAACCACUUUUACAUGUCCAUUUGGAACAUCUGCCUAUAGAAGAAUGCCUUUUGGUUUAUGCAAUGCACCUGCAACAUUCCAAAGAUGUAUGCUAAGUAUCUUUACUGAUAUAGUGGAGCGAAUUAUGGAGGUACAUUUGAAGAAUGCUUAGUCAACUUAGAAGCGGUUCUUAACAGAUGCAUUGAGGAGGACUUGGUGCUCAACUGGGAGAAAUGCAAUUUUAUGGUACAUCAAGGAAUUGUCCUUGGCCAUAUCAUCUCCGAGAAAGGCAUUGAAGUUGAUAAAGCAAAGAUGGAACUUAUUGUCAAAUUGCUGUCCCCAACAACUGUAAAAGGAGUAAGGCAAUUCCUUGGCCAUGCAGGGUUCUAUAGGAGAUUUAUAAAAGAUUUCUCUAAUCUUUCAAAACCUCUUUGUGAACUUUUGGCUAAGGAUGCUAAGUUUAUAUGGGAUGAAAGAUGCCAAAAGAGUUUUGAUCAACUGAAGCAAUUCUUGACAACAACUCUAAUAGUGCGGGCUCCUAACUAGCAACUACCCUUUGAAGUAAUGUGUGAUGCCAGUGACUUUGCUAUAGAAGCUGUGCUUGGCCAAAGAGAAGAUGGAAAGCCCUAUGUGAUCUACUAUGCAAGCAAGACAUUGAACGAAGCUCAAAGGAACUACACAACUACAGAGAAAGAAUUGUUAGCUGUAGUGUUUGUCUUAGACAAGUUUCGUGCUUAUUUGGUAGGGUCUUUCAUCAUUGUUUUCACAGACCAUUCAGCCUUGAAGUAUUUAUUGACAAAACAAGAUGCAAAAGCAAGGUUGAUUAGAUGGAUUCUCUUAUUACAAGAGUUCGAUCUCCAAAUCAGAGAUAAGAAAGGAGUGGAGAAUGUGGUAGCUGACCACCUUUCAAGGUUAGUUAUAGCACACAAUUCCCAUGUCCUACCUAUUAAUGAUGACUUUCCUGAGGAAUCACUUAUGUUGCUAGCAAAAACUCCUUGGUAUGCUCAUAUUGCUAACUAUCUAGUUACUGGUGAAGUUCCAAGUGAGUGGAAAGCACAAGACAGGAAGCACUUCUUUGCAAAGAUUCAUGCUUAUUAUUGGGAAGAGUCUUUCCUUUUCAAGUAUUGUGCAGAUCAAAUUAUACGGAAGUGUGUCCCUGAAGAAGAGCAACAAGGAAUCCUCAGCCAUUGCCAUGAAAGUGCAUGUGGAGGCCACUUUGCCUCUCAGAAAACAGCCAUGAAGGUGUUGCAAUCAGGGUUUACUUGGCCAUCACUCUUCAAAGAUGCCCACAUCAUGUGUAGGAGCUGUGAUAGAUGCCAAAGGCUCGGGAAGCUAACAAGAAGGAAUCAAAUGCCUAUGAACCCCAUUCUAAUAGUUGAUCUCUUUGAUGUUUGGGCCAUUGACUUCAUGGGACCUUUCCCAAUGUCUUUUGGUAACUCUUAUAUCUUGGUGGGGGUGGACUAUGUUUCUAAAUGGGUUAAGGCAAUCCCCUGUAAACACAAUGAUCACAGGGUGGUUCUCAAGUUUCUUAAGGAGAACAUCUUCUCAAGAUUUGGGGUGCCCAUGGCCAUAAUCAGUGAUGGAGGUACUCAUUUUUGCAACAGACCUUUUGAAACCCUAUUAGCCAAGUAUGGAGUGAAGCAUAAGGUAGCUACACCUUAUCACCCUCAGACUUCCGGGCAAGUUGAGCUAGCAAACAGGGAAAUCAAGAAUAUAUUGAUGAAUGUGGUGAUCACGAGUAGAAGAGAUUGGUCUAUUAAGCUUCAAGACUCACUAUGGGCAUAUAGAAUGAUUCGUGCCCAAUUGGUGUCUCAGCUGAUUUGUGUUCAGCUGGUGCUCCUUGAUUGAGGGAGUAAUCAACAAAAUUUAUAACCUAUAACACCCUAUACUAGGGUAGCAAAGAAAAAGCUACUAUAGUAUAGUGGCUCUAGGAUCGUCCACUGGGAAAGAUUAACAAGCUCUCAAUGAUACCAAUUCCAAGUGAAUUGGUUUUGUUUCAUUUCAUGGUUAGCUUAAGAAGUAAAACACAAGCUUUGAUUGGUAAAGGUUUAGACUUAAACUAACUAACACAACAGAAGUUUGGAAUAAUUUAGGAAGAAAAGCAUUCCCUGGACAGUUAGGUUCACUAGGGUGGUUCCUCAUGCAAAAGACACGGCUCUGGUCAGAUGGUUCAUUUCCUCGCGUUAGAGAUUCAACAUAUAGUCAAUUCUCUAACCGGUGCUGUACAGAGACUCCUUCAAUUAGAUUUCACUUUAAUUCUCUCACUGAUGCAACUUGCAAUGGUUUAAGCCUCUCACUAAGCCUUAACCAUUCAAGGUGAUCUUUAACCUUGGAUUACCCGUCAAAAGCUCGCAAGAGAUAACUAAUGGAUGUCUCCUUGGAGUCCAAAAGCUUAUCAAGUGUUGGCUAUUCUAGAAAAUCCUACCUUGAAGUCACCUCCCAGAGGCUCGCAAGGGGUAAACUAGUGCAUUUCCAUGGUUGGAAAUUACUUGCCUUACCAAGUGUUGGCCCAGGUGACUCUAAGGUGUUUUAAGUUAACUAAAAACAUAGAAAUCACUAAAGGAUUUCAAUUCCUCUUCAUUACUAGCAAAAACCACAGAGCUUUGCAUUCUUGCACUUGGAACCUUCCCCGGCAACCUUAGCUCCAAGGAAUUAGAGGUUUAGUUACUCAUUCUCUGGGGAAAACUCCUCAGAGAAUUCAUAACUUAGUAAGAAAAUAAAAAUACAAAGUGAGAAGGUAAGGCAGUAGAAAGAAAUAGACUUUACUUGUUUACCCAAACUUUUACAGAAGGAACUCCUCUCUGAGAACAGGCUCCCGAGAGGUAUAUAUAUGUACAUAAUUUAAAACUAAUUAUUACAUAGAUAUUUAGUCUUUUUACUAACUUAAAAACUAAGGAAUCAUGUAAUUGGUGGUUUACAAGGAGUAUUUUGGGAUUUCGACAACAAAAAUCUAAUGGAAAAUAUCUCCCAAUGUUGGUAGCAAAUAUCGGGAGGCUUCAGGAACCAUUUCGCAGGAGAAAAAUGGUGUCUGCGAGAUUUCGCAGACACUCAAGAGGGCUGCGAAAUAAUUUCGCAACACCAAGCUAAACUCGCAGGGCUGCGAAGUUGGCUUCCACCUUGAGGUUCCAAGCUUCCUUCUCGCGGUAUAUGUCGGGCAUUGUCAGAAGGAGAAACAUCACACUGUACAAAAAGGCUGCGAAAUCACUUCGCAACAAAAGGGUGAUUUCGCAACACUUUGCAAAAUGCUUCCUUCAACUCAGAGUGAUUGGCUUGUAAUGGCUGCAACUUCUUCGUUUCAACUCCGAAUUGCACAUCGUUUGAAGAAUUGGAUUGUUGACUUCCUGAGCUUUGAAAUGGUAUAUAGCAUGCAUCAUUUGGACUUCAGAAAGUGCUCCAAAAGUGGCUGCUAUGACUAUCAUCAAGAAUAUGCUUUAUGGCAGAUUCUCUUUGCUUUUUCUCCUUGCAAUCCGGAUUUACUCUUGGAAAAUGACUUCUAAGCUUUGCCCAAGAUUCCUCAUAGCUCUCCUCAGUCUUGACUUGCUUUGGUGAUCAAAAUACUAACAAAAACACCAAAACUUACACAAAGUGAUCAAAAUUGCUUUCAAGGGUCCUUAACAUGCCAAUUGAGUUAAAAGGCCAAAACUACUACUCAAAAGUGUUUAAAAGGAUUAAUUAUAGGCUAUCAAAUAGCACUUUUUGAGUAGUAAUCAUAGAACAGCUUAUAAAACUAUUCUUGGCAUGUCUCCCUAUCACCUAGUCUAUGGCAAAGCAUGCCAUCUCCCUGUGGAAGUUGAAUAUAAGGCUUGGUGGGCAAUCAAGAAGUUAAACAUGGACUUGAUCAGAGCCAGGGCAAAGAGGUGCUUAGACCUUAAUGAGAUAGAGGAAUUAAGAAAUGAUGCUUACAACAAUUCCAAAGUUGCAAAACAGAGGAUGAAGAGGUGGCAUGAUCAAUUAAUCUCCAACAAAGAAUUCCGAAAAGGACAAAGAGUCUUACUCUAUGAUUCAAGGCUCCAUAUCUUUCCUAGGAAGCUCAAGUCAAGGUGGAUAGGCCUUUUCAUUAUUCACCAAGUGCAUCCCAAUGGAGUGGUGGAAUUACUGAAUUCCAACAGCACUGACACUUUCAAGAUCAAUGGUCAUCGUCUCAAGCCAUUCAUUGAGCCAUUCAAGCAAGAAAAAGGAGGAAAUCAACCUCCUUGAGCCACAGAAAGCCUAAUCAGAAACAGGUUAAAUGGACUUGGUUUCACCAAAGUCCAUAUUUUUUGUUAAAUUUUGUUAAUUUAAAAGCUUUGUUAAUUCUUUUGAUUUUAAUUUUGGUCUUAAAUUGUGUUAUUUAUAUGUAACUUAAUCUUUUUGAAUGAUCUAAUUUAGAAGGAAUUGCAAAGAAAAUGAAGGAAGGUCUCUUGGAGCUAAAAGGAUUUCAAAAGCAAAGGAAAAUUCAUGGCCUGCGAGAUUUCGCAGCCCAAAGGAAGCCUCUGCGAAAAUGGCCCUUGGUUACGAAAUGAUUUCGCAGCCCCAAGAAGAGCGCUGCGAAAUGAGGUAUCCGUUGCGAAAACGCCCCUUGGCUGCGAAAUGAUUUCGUAGCCCCAAGCCCCCACUCUGCGAAAAUUUUCGCAGCUGCGAAACACGCCUUUGGCACACGAGUGCCAUUUCGCAGGCCCCCACUUUAUUUCGCAGCUGCGAAAUAGGCUGCGAAAUCCCCAAGCUUUAAAACUCCAAUUUUCGCAACCCCAAGGAAGCCGCUGCGAAAUCAGGCCUCCGCUGCGAAAUAGCCCCUUGGCUGUGAAAUGAUUUCGCAGCCUCAUAGCUCCCUCUGCGAAACCACCUAUUAGCACACGAGUGCCAUUUCGCAACCUCCUACCCUCAUUUCGCAGCUGCAAAAUGGCUGCGAAAUCCUCAAAGCCUUAAAAACUCCAUUUUCGCAGCCAAAGCCCAAUUUCGCAGGGUGUUUCGCAGCUGCGAAACACCCCUUUGGCACACAAGUGCCAUUUCGCAGCACACCCCCCUCAUUUCGCAGCUACGAAAUGGGUUGCGAAAAUGCCUUUUGUUGCGAAAUCGGCCCUCCGCUGCGAAAUCGGCCCUCCUCUGCGAAAAUUAAAACGACCCUUGGCAUCCAUUUUAGAACUUUAUAAAUUCCACCUUUCUUUUUAAAACUGGUCAUUUGAAUUGCAAAAAGGUGCCAAAGAGGAGCCAAGCCAAAGUGAUUACUACCAAAAAGUGCUAUUUUGUAGACCUAAUUAUAAUGGUUUUAAGCACCUUUGAGUAGUAAUCAUAUUCAUUUAACCCAAUUAAUUCAUUAAGGUCCUUAGUAAUUGGUUUUAACCUUUUUGUGGCAAAGUUGACAUGUUUUUUAUCAGCUUAUGAAUCGAUUCAAGCAUGCCAAUUGAUGGAGGAGCUACUUGGGCGAGUUAAGCAAGGAUUUUGUACGUUUAUAGGCUUGAAUUUCAAGUGGAAACACGAGCACAAGCAAUGGGGAAGAGGAAAACAGAGUGAAGAAAACAGAGUGAAGAAAACAGCUGCAGUCUUCUUUUGAACUUUUGGAGCACUUCACGAAGUCCAUUUUUUGCAUGCUAUAUACCAUUUGAAAGCUUAGGAAGUCAAGAAUCCAACGCUUCAAACCGUGUAUGAUUUUGAGCUGAAAUGAGGAAUAUAUGGCCUUUGGAAGGCAACUGCAUCAUGUCAAAUGACCAAUUUCGCAAUGUGAAUUUCACAUUGCGAAAAUUUCGCAAGGAGAUUUUCUUCAUGGUGCGAAAUUUUGCCACUUCGCACCAUGAAGAAACACAUUGCGAAAAUUUCGCAAGGAGGAUUUAGGCACAUUGCGAAAUUCCUUUGAAUCCCCUGUUUUGAGACGUUGUUGAUGUUAUUCCACUAUCGGUUCUCCAAGAUAUUUUGCUUGAUUUUUAGCUUUGUAAAUACCUAUUUUACCCUUGUAAUCAACCAAUGAAUAGGUAUCUUUUGUAAUAGCUCUUGUAAUUUAGCUUGUUAUUGUCUUGAAAUAGAGGUGAAGAGCCUCAGACAAUCAUCUAAUCUUGUAACCUGUAACUUUAUAAGUUAUAAGAGCACUUUUGUUCAUACGUUUCUUUCUCAUUUUCUUAGUAGCCAAACAUCCUUGGGGGAUGAAAUCCCUAAGGAUGAGAGGCUAAAACCUUUUAGUUUCUUGAAGUAAUGGAUGCCAUGUGAAGCUCCCGUGUCAGGAUGGAGAUUUCCAAGCCAUAAAUGUAAGUAGCUGAGCGUCAUAAAUGUUUUCAUUCAAAGUAAAGCUUUUAAUCCCCCUGACUUGCUUUGAAUGGCCAAUACUUGAUAAUCUUUUGGUCUUAGUGGAUUCUUAUUGUUAGAUCCACUGACGUUCAUUAGUUAUCUCCUACGAGCCAUUGUAUUGCAAGUCGAGGAGAUGACCUAUAUCAUUAAAAGGGCAUUUAUGAGGUUCAGCUACCCUUUUUGUAAGUUUUCAAGGACUAAAACUCAGUUGUUAAACUCAUACCGGUUCGGGAAGUAAGCAUCACCUUAGUUGCUUCCCCAACUCGAGGUGAAAAAUCCCAAAAUCUCCAUUUUUACACAGUGAGUUAAGCAUGGCUAUCCAAAGCUUUGAGAAACUUCUUUUUCCAUCUUUUAACCUAUUUUCAUGUUAGUUUAAGUUUACAACACCUUCAUCUUUUUAUGUUUUCAUCUUAACCUAAUUUUUAUUAAGAAAAGUUCACUCCAUCCUCCGAACUUCACCAGUUAAAGUAAAAACCCUUCCCAGUGUUCGAUCCUAGAGCCACUAUGCUAUAGUAGCUUUGCUACUUUAGUGUAAGGACCUUAGGUAUAAAUUUUGUUGAUACCCUUACAUGCCAAGCUACCAAGAGUCGGGUUAUCACAAAGAAACCGUCCAUUUGCUCCCCCAUCUGAGCCCAAGCCGCGCGCACCUUCGGCUGCUUUCCGUCAGUCAGCCAUGGCAAGAACCCAAGGAGUUAAGUCCUCGUCUCUGUCAGACCGCAAGAGAGCCCCAAAAGAGACCCCUGUUCAAAGCUCCAUGUCCGAGCCUCCGCGACCACUAGUCGUCCCACCUCCGGUUGAGGACACACCAUUGAGUCCUCCGGCAAGGAGCUAUCAGACAAGGUCAAGUAGCCAUCCCCCAAAGAAGAAAGCCACGGUAUCAGAGCCAGAGCUAAUUGACUUAUUAGAGCCGUCUUCAGAGCCUCCAUCAAAGCCGCAACCAUCUCAACCGCCACCCACACAGUCUCAGAUUCCCUCAUGCAUGACUCCUGAGGUGCUUAUCAGGCGUCCCAUGGUCACUCAGAUGCCCAUUGAGGGUAAUUUGGAUUGCAGGGCUAGGUCAUUCCACUCCGAGCUCUGUUUUGACACAGCCACUUUCAGACUUCAGCCAAAGCUCAGGGACUCCUUCCAUCUACUGCAGAGGUACCAUAUGGAGCAUUUGCUGACUCCCAGGGAUUUUUUCUAUCCCCGUGUAGCAAUGGACUUCUAUUAGUCCAUGACCACACACCAGGUCCGAGAUCCUACUGUUAUCCACUUCACCAUAGACGGACGUCAUGGUAUUCUGGGAGCUAGACACAUAGCAGAGGCAUUGCGUAUUCCCUACGAGCCAGCCCGUCCAGAGGAUUAUCGAGUCUGGACUCAUCCUGCCCAGAGCGACAUAGUUCAUAUUAUGUCUAGAGGAGCAUCCACACGCCAGUAUCUGUUGAGGAAGGAGCUCCCUCCUAGCAUGUUUUUCAUAGAUGCACUCCUGCGCCAUAACAUUUUUUCACUUCAGCAUUGGGUACAGAGGAGAGGAGUUUUACUAGAGGCAUUGUUCAGGAUAUCCGAGAGAUUCUUCUUUGGCCCUCAUCAUCUCAUUAUGGUCGCUCUUCUGUACUUUGAAGAGAAGGUCCAUAGCAAGAAGCUGCUCAGAGCGGAUGCAAUUCCACUUCUUUUCCCCAGAUUGCUAUGUCAAAUUUUGGAGCACUUGAGGUACCCAUCAGAGCCUCAGCUUGAGCGCAAAUGCAUUUUCCGAGAGAUAUUCACUCUCGACAAAUGGACGAGUAUGACAGCCUAUAGUGCAGAGCAGGGAGCCCCAGCUGGAGCAGAGCAUCUAGAUAUUCCACAUCCAGAGCAGCCAGAGGAGCCACAGCCGGUUGAGAUACCAGCUGACAUGAGAGCACCUGCCCCUAUAAUGCCUUCUACAGAGCCUAUACCAGAGGUUGCACCCUCUGCUCCUCCUGCCACACCACGGACUCCCCCUGUUAUUCCAGCUACAUCAGAGCCCUCUUCUUCAUCUGAGCCUAGGAUUGCCAUAUCCAUUUCCGAGUACAGAGGUCUAUGUCACACUUUGCAAACAUUGACCACUUCUCAUAGCAUCCUUGCUCAGGAGAUGACAGCUCUUCGUGCUCAUCAGGAGCAGAUUAUCGCCACUCAGACUCAGCAUACUGCCAUCCUGACGCAGAUUCAGCAUCAUCUGGGUAUUCCAUCAGCUCCUGAGCACCCCAUGCCUGUCCUCUCAGAGCCCACAGAGCCAUCACAGGCCCCUCCUUUCGUGGAGCACACUAUGCCCUCUGAGGAGCCGACUACAGGAGAUGCAAAGACAUCCACCUGAGCCAUCAUCUUCCCAUCAUCAUCCUCUCACUAUCUGAUCAUUUGCAUAAUUUCCUUUAUGUAUUUCCUUUAUGUAUUUCCUUUAUGUAUUUCCUUACUAUAGUAGCACUUGUAAUCCCAUGCUUUUGAUAAUUUAUAUAUUGGGAUUGGUUGUAUUACUUGUUUUCCUUUAUAUUGUACUUUCAUGAAGUAAUACAAAUCUAUCAAUUUUUUAGCACUCUUAGCAUUAUUUUAUUUUAAUUCCUCUACUCAUAUCUUUUGUUCUUUUUGAAACAUGUGGUUUCUCCUAUUCCACUCGAACUUCAUAUCACUCAGGAGGCACCACUUCCUCCCUGUAAUUUCAAUCGCUCAUGCCACAUUGAGGACAAUGUUCAACUUGGUUAGGGAAAGAGUUGAGGAAGGAAGUUUUUUGUUGUUAAUACUAAGUAUUUUGGUAAUUUAGUUUAUUUUUGUUUAAUUUUAAUUUUUUUUUAAGUUUUUAUUCUACUCUCCAUGGUUAUUAAGGAAAAAUUCUCAAAUUAAAAUAAGAGAAAUCGAAUUUUUGUUUUUACUUGACUUAGAUUUUGUAUUAUGCUUAUUAAAGAUGAUGAAUUGUUGAAACUUCUAUUGAAUUCAACCUUAGUUCUUCCACUUUAAGCUAUUCACACACUGUGCACAAUAGGUUCCGAUUAUAAGAUGAAAAACUAUUUCCCUCUUGACUUAGUAAAAUUUAGACUUGGUACCUUUGACCUCAUUUUAAUAGUGUUGGGACACCUUAUGAAAGGCCAAUGAGCUUUUGAAAAAAACAGAAAGAAAGAAAAAUGUUUGCUUGCCUUGAAACCCGAGCAAGGUCUGAGGGGUAUAUGGUGAAAAUCUUUAAAACCUGGUGCCCUAAGCCUUCAUUGGUUGGGAGUCACCGACCUCAAUGCUCGUUACAAGGGUGAAUAGGUGGAGUUAAACAUAUUGUAGGUGCUUGGGUAUUAAAAUUCAUUCUCAAAAGUCCAGGGUAAAAUCCGAGGAGUUAGUGGUUGAAAGAUCCUUAAAGCUUGAUGCCCUAAACCUUAAUUGGUUGGGAGUCAUCGAUGGACCCCCGUUACAUGGACAAUUUAGAAAAGAAUACCUUUAAGCCUUGUACUCCUACAAUGAAAAAAAAAUUGUGAAAUAAAAGGGUGCGUUCUUAGCCUAUUGAAUUUGGUCAGUUUGCUAAGUGUUGGAAAAGAACUAGGUUGGAGGGAGAGAUUAGUUUAGCAUACUAUAUUCGGAAGCUAUCAAGUAACACUUAGAUUUUUGUGGAAGAGUAAGGUUUGGUCCUUUGAAAGUGGAAAUGAUUUUAAAGCUUCAAUUUGCAUAAUACCUUCUCUUUAUGAAUUGUGAUUAGGUAAAGUAUUUGAUAACUCUUGCUGAAAUUUGAGUUUUAUAUCUUUAAUUUCCCAUGUGAGAGCUUGAUCAUCAUGCCACUUAAAAUUUUUUGAAGUGAUCAGCAUGAUUUUGUAAAGUAUAUUACUGUUUAGUUUAUUUUUUUCUCUCCUUUAUUGCUAAGGGACUAGCAAUAUGUCGGUUGGGGGGAGUGAUUACUACUCAAAAAGUGCUAUUUGAUAGCUUGUAAUUAACUCUUUUAAACACUUUUGAGUAUUAGUUAUUACCUUUUAACUCAAUUAGCUUAUUAAGUACCUUUGCAAUCGUUUCUAAUCAAAGUGUGUAAGUUUUGGUGCUUUUGAUAGUAAUUUGAUCACCAAAGCAAUCCAAGAUUAAGGAGAGCUCUAUGGAAUCCUUGGCAAAGCAAUUGGAAGCUCAUUUACAUGAAGAAUUCAAGCUUUGGAGCUUUAUAGUCCUUUACCAUAAACAAAUCAUGAAUGCAAGGAUGAAAGCAAAGAGAGAAAUCUAACAUGAAGAAUCCAAGAAGACAUCAAUUGUUUGACACUUUUGGAGCACUUUCUGGAGUCCAUUUUAUGCAUACUAUAUUUCUUUUUGAAGCUCGGGAAGUCAUCAAUCCAAUGCUUCAAAUGCUGCGCGAAUCGGAGUUGAAAUGAAGAAGUUAGAGCCAUUGGAAGCCGAUCACACCAAGCUGAAGGCCAAUUUCGCAGGUUGCGAAAAGCUGCGAAAUGAUUUCGCAGCCAUCUCGUGCGUCUGCGAAAUUUUGCAGCCAUCUUGUGCGCCUGCGAAAUGCUCCUAAAUGCUUCCAGAUAUUUGCGACCGACAUUUUUAGAUAUUUUUACUUCAGAUUUUUGAUGUCUAAAUCCCCAUUUUCUCCUUGUAAUCCACCAAUUAUAGGAUUCCUUAGUUAUUAAGUAAGAGAAAAGGGUGAAUAACCUCAUAUAUAUUGUUUUGUAAUUUUCAUUACAAAGAUAUCUCGGGAGCUUGUUCUUAGAGACGAACAUCUUUUUGUAUAGUUUUGAAGGAAGUAAAAUACAGAGCUUUGCUCUGCCUUACCUACUCAAUUUGAUUGUAUUUUUCUUACUAGCCAAACAAGCUCUAAGGAUGUUUCCUCAUAGAAUGGGUGGCUAGGAUUUUUGUCUCUUGGAGCUAAGGUAGCUGGGUAAGGUGUCGAAUGCAAGAAUUGGUAGUUUUGUUGUUUUAGUUGUUAAUGAAGAGAAAGUGUAACCCGUUUAUGGUUUCUAUGUUUUUAGUUAACUUAAAACGCCUUCAAUUCACCUAGGCCAACACUUGGUAAGGCAAGUGAUCUCCGUCCAUUGAGAUGCACUAGUUUACCUCUUGCGAGCCUUUGGGAGGUGACUUGAAGGUAGGAUUUUCUAGAAUUGCCAACACUUGGUAAGCUUUUAGACUCUAAGUAGACAUCCAUUAGUUAUCUCUUGCGAGCUUGAGAAGGGAAGUCCAAGGUUAAUGAUCACCUUGAAUGGCAAAUGCUAGGUGAGAGGCACGAGCCAUUGCAAGAUACAUCAGUGAGAGGGAAUUAGUGCUGAAAUCCAUGGAAGGGAUAUAUCUGUACAACACCGGUUGGAGAAUGAACUAUAUGUUAAUUCUCCAAUGCGAGGAAGAGAACCAAAGUGACCGAAACUCUGUUUUUGCAUGAGGAGCCUGACCCCAGUGAUCCUAAAACUCCAAGAAACGCUUUUCUUUAUAAGUAAUUCCCAUUUCUUUCUUUUUCGUUAGCUUGAAACCAAACCUUUUUCAACCAAAGUUUAUGUUUUCUUUUGAAGCUAACCUUGAAAUGAAAAAGCACCAAUUCAACUUUGAAUUGGUAUCAGUUGUAAGUUGAAAACCCUUCCCAGUGAACGAUCUUAGAGCCACUAUGUUAUACUAGCUUAUGCUAUCUUAGUGCAUGGUGAUAUAGGUUAUAAAUUUUGUUGAUUACUCUUGUCUGAGGACCAAACUCAAGGUACACCAACUGGGCAUGAAUCAAUGGGUAAGCAAAUAAAGAGAACUCAAUAAAAAAAGGUGGUAUAAGUUUCAAGGUUAUAUUAGUUGCAAAAGGGUACGCAUAACAUAAAUAUAUUCAUGAUAAUAAAGUGUUUUAUCCUAUUGUUAAUCAUUCUUCUAUUAGAUUAUUGUUUGCUCUUAUUGCUCAAUAUGAUUUGGAGUUGUCUUAGUUAGAUGUUAAAAUUGAUUUUCUCCAUGGUGAUUUAGAUGAAGAGACAUCUAUGUCUUAACUGGAAAGGUUUUAAAGAACCAAGAAAGAAUAAUUUGUUUGUAAAAUUAAACAAAUCAUUAUAUCAUUUGAAGCAAUCCCCAUGGCAAUGGUACAAGACAUUUGAUCAAUUUAUAAUAGGAAGAAUUACAUUAGAAGUAAAGUUGAUCAUUAUGUUUAUUUUAGUAAAUUAUCUUAUGAAAAUUAUAUUUCUUUGUUAAUAUAUGUCGAUGAUAUGUUGAUUGCUUGUAAGCCUCUGAUAGUCAUUCAUAGGUUAAAAAAUUAGUUGAGAACUAAAUUUGAAACUAAGGAUCUUAGAAUGCAUGAAAAAUUAUUGGAAUGGAGAUGACAAGGGAUAGAAGAAAGGGGAUUGAUGAAUUGUCACAACAACAAUGUUUGUAGACAUUACUUUAGCAUUGUGGUAGGACUUCCAAAAUAAAAAGUGUACUCCUUUGGCACCUCAUAUGAAACUCAAUGUAGAGAUGUCUCAUAACUUAGAUGAAGAAGUAGAGUACAUAUGCAUAAUGUUCCAUAUGCUAGUGUCGUUCGAAGUUUGAUGCAUACCAUGGUUUAUAGUAGACUUGAUAUUCCACUUGUUGUCAUCAUGGUUAGCAGGUAUAUGCAUAAUCCAAUGGCUCUAGCAAACAGUAAAAUAAAUUUCAAGAUAUAUUCUAUGCACAACUGAUGUUGGAAUAGUAUUUCAACAAGGAUGUUCAACACAAGAUAUGGGUUAUGCAUAUUUAGACUAUACAACUAAGCCUUGUAAGUGUACGUCUAUUAUAGGUUCUGUAUUUACACUUGUAGGUAGACCUAUUUGCUAGAGAUCAACAUCUAUUGUGGCUUUGUCUGCUACAGAGCUAGAAUAUAUGAUAAUUAUAAAAGCUUUCAAGGAAGCUAUUUGGUUACAUGGUUUGGUUAAGGACUUGGGAAUCAAACAUGUCACAUCAUAACUUAUUGUGGUAGUUAAAGUGUCAUUCAUUUGGAAAAGAAUCAAAUUCAUCACUCCCAAACAAAGCAUAUUGAUGUUUGAUUUUAUUUUAUUAAAGAAAUUCUAUAAGGUGAUAUCUUUCUUCAAAAGAUUGCUACUAUAGAUAAUCUAGCUUAUAUGUUGACAAAGAUAGUUUAUGGGAUCAAGUUCAAUCAUUGUGUAGACUUAAUCCAUAUUGAGAGGAUAUGAGUAUCCUCAAGUGCAUUUGGCUACAAGAUCCUUAAAAGAAUUUGUGUAGCGUUCAAUCUUGGCAAGGUGGAGAUUGUUAAAUUGGCUUCACUUGAGUUAAUCAACCAAAUAUUGCAAGAGAAUUUUGAAGCCUUAAUAGUUAAACCAUAUAUUGUUUUUUUAGGUGAUGGUUGAAGAAUAAAGUCUAUAGUUACAAUGCAUGUAGUUGGUUUGAAAAGUUUCUUGAGGAACAUAGGAUAUAAUUGAUGUUCUCUACAUUGGUUUUUCUUUUUUCUUUUUUCAAUUUUGAAAUUCCAGAGAAAACUAUCUUACAAAGGAGAAAAUACCACACUUAGGACAAAGAGUACUUUGUAAUUAUUCUAUACUCUUUUGAGAUCUUUAGUGAAUGAUCUUACUAUAGGCAAAAACCUUAAAGUUUUACAACGUUAUGAUGUAGUAUUUCCAAUAAUAUAUGCACUUCAUUUUCAAAACCUUUCAAGUAUGUUGCCUCAUCUCUUUCUUGUCCAUGGAGUUUUUUCGAGGCUACCACAUUGCCUAUACAUAAUUAAGCCUUUAAACACUACCAUAGCCUUCGAUACCUAUGUAAUUUUUGAUAUUGAAAUCUUCUGUUGCCUUGAUGAUGUCUUCAUAAGCAAUCUUACCAUCAUAGUUCCAUGCCAAAAAUAUAUAUCCUUAUGGAUGUUACUUUGGUUUGAUUUUUUCUUAUCUUCAAUGAAAGUGGGAGGGCCAUAAAAGAAAGAAACAAAGUGGUAAAAAUAAUAAUAAUAAUGAUGAGUAUGAUUUUAUGUCCCUUCUUAGAAUGAGGCAAGUCUUCUAUGUCCACACAUAAACCUUUAUUGUGGUCAAAUACUGUAAAUAGAUGUUCAAACUGCAUUAGAUUCUUCAAAUCCCCAAUUUCAAAAGAGCUAGCAUCGUUGAUUUGAUUGUAACAAAGAUAAAAAUGAGUCAAAUCAGUAGAUGCCCCAAAGAUGAAGGAAUAACACCAAUAAGGGAGUUAUGACUAAAAGACAAUUCCAAGAAUUCUAGGUUGGUAAAAUAUCCAAGUGAGGAAGGGAUGACUCUGGAAAAAGAGUUAGAACCCAAAUCCAAGUGAAUCAGAUUCAUUAAAUUCCCAAUCUAGUAAGGAAUAAAACCAUGGAUUUCAUUGUAGCUUAGGCUUAAAUAUUUAAGCAAGUAAACAAUAAUAGCACAAAAUAAACAAGAAAAUAAUAACAUAAUUAUUUCCUCAUGGGCUUUAAGGAUCUUAUUGCACAAUUAGUAAUAAUUUGGAUAAAAUCCAAAUAACGAAUAUUACCAAAAAUACCUAUAACCAAAAAUAUGAUUAUAAAAUAAAAAGAAACCUUAAAAAUGAUGGGAAAAACUUGAAUCUCUCCAUUUUCCGAGCCUAGAUCAGGCUAGGAACAUGCUUAACUAUCCUAAGCUUUUCUAAAUCCCAUGCAUAGUGAAAAAAUUGCAUCUUUAAAACUUAAUAUGGAUUUAAUAAGUGCUAACGAAAACAUAAUUUGGAUUCAAAUGUUCUUAAAUCCAAUCCACAUAGUGAAUAUAAAGAAGGAAUUCAUAGAAGUCUCAUAAACUCAAAGUCUUCCAUUCGAUGACUUGAACCUUGAACUUAACACACUUCAGGUGGGAAUGUAAGAUAGGGUAAAGGCUAUGGCUCUCUCUCUCUCUAGAGGUGAAAGACAACUCUCUCAAAAAAACAAUGGAAACCCUAACCCUUAAGGGGUAUUUAUAGGGUUUCCCACUAGGCUUAAGUAACUUAAGCCCAUUAAAGGCUUGGGUCACUUAGUCUAGAAAAAAACAAGUCCUAAUUGAUUAAUUAACCUAAUAAGGCCAAUUAAUUAAUUAAUUAGUUCAAUUUAGAGAACUUGUUCACUUGCCUUGUGCAACCUUACGUAAUUACCAAAAUGUCCUUAUGCAUAAAAGUGAACCUAAAGUUAAUCCAACCUUUAUUACCCAUGCCAACAAGGUAUAUGAGCGUAGAAUAGGGACCAAUGGGACACAUAAAAGUAAUGACACCCUUAAAAUCCAAUUUUGAAGUUGAUUCAACAUCCCACUACAGAGAAUCAACUGAACUCCAAUAUCCUAUGUGAAUAACAACAAGACACCAUGUGCUUGAAUCUGUGACCUGUUAUCCAUUACGUUCAGUCUCCCCAUAAACUUGUGUCCAUAGUCUAAUAAGGUGAAAGCUAUCAGUCUUUCAAGACUACCUUUGCUAUCCUUGAGUUAUAGAUCCUUCUAUUUUGUUUUCAAUUAACAUAUCUUAGCUUUCCAAGAGCUAAUGUCAAGUUCCACUUAAAGAACUACUAUGACCAUAGUUUCCAUGAACAUACCUCCAUAGGAUUAGCCAAGGGGACACUCUAUCUCAAUCCCAUAAGAUAUCAUGGUGCCUCUAUUGAGAAUACCUAUUGCUACUAAUUUCCAUCAAUAGUGACCCAAUCCAUAAGGAAUAUAUAAUCAGCUUACGAUAUCACCUAUAGGUCAAAGUCAUUGCUAACUUGAACAUAAGCUCAACAUUCUCUCAAGAUUGAGGGACAAUACAAUGAAGCAGCUUGGUGAAGUCAUGACUACAUGAUAGCCUUACAUCAUAACUCAUCGUAGGUCUUGUCCAAUGUGCAACCAUACACACUAAUGCACUCACCAUGGGAAACCUAUCCUAAUGGCCAAGACCAGUCAUCCCUCCAAUUAGGAGGUAGUGCACUAUAACCUCUAAUGGGUUGCCUAAGCCUAUGAACUAGCUGUGAACAAGUCAUCCAUUUGCAAGGAACCCAUGACUUAGAUCUUGAAUGCAACUCCUAAUGCACCUAAGUCACAUAUAAUGGAAAAAAUGCAUGCCAAAGUGCUUACAAGAUAUAAUGCAUAGAAAUAGGAUAACUAAAAGUAAACUAAAACUUUAUUAAAUAAAUAAUAGAAAUUCACAUGUUUAUUACAUCAUGUCAUGUUUUUAAAGGCUCUAUCCUAACAAAAAAAAAUACCUUAAAAAUGUCAAAUAGCAAUCAUUUGCACUUUAGCGUCCCAAGGGUCGUUGGAAGGACUACUCAAUCACUUAAGCAUUGAGGCCACUUGAGUGCUAAUCUAAGUGCUUAAGCACUACAUCCUACACAUGAGGUUGUUUCUAUAACUAUUUUAACCAUCGUUUCUAUGAAAGCCUCAUCAUUUUGGAUGACUUUUUGCACCAUGGAUGCUCGUGAAUGCUUGGAAUCUUUAAUCUUCAAGUUUUGGGUCACCAAAGACGGAUAAAAUUUUGAUUUUUACAUUAAGAAAAAUCUUAUGCUUCGUUAGAUGGAGUGUACAGUCCAUCUAAGAACAAAAGACUUGAUAUUUACUUAUAAAAUCAAAAUUUUAUGCUCCUAACCACAAAGUUUCCAACCUAGUCUAUACAAAGAACAAAUCCAAACACUUAAUCACAAUUAUAAACAUCAUAUUCAUAAAAAUAACAUCCAUGCAUUCAUCCCUUUAGGUCAUGGGAUGAACAAACAUGCCUACAAAACCAAGUAAGCACACCUUAGAAUGGAUCUAAUAAGCUUUUUUGUAACCUAGGGCUUUGAUACCAAUUGUUGGGAAAACCUGGAUUGCUCCAUUAUCAUGUCUUGGAUCGUUAGUGUGCAUGAAAACCUAUUCUAGGCUCUCUAAAUCUAUCAUACAAUAGAAACAUUGCAAUUGAAACCAAAAAGAAUACCAUAGAUUUAGAGAUUAGUGCCAUACAUGUUAUUUAGAUAUUCCUAGAUUGAUUCCUAUCAUUGUAGAAAGCUCCAAAAUUGAAGAAAAUUUAUAAACAUCAUGAUUUUCCACCCAAUGACUUCUCCUUGAGUGUAGGUGCUAAGAUGGUGGAGAUCUCAAGGGUUGGAGGCUAGGUUUCUCUCUCUAGACUAUAAGGAGAGAAUGGUAAGAUUGAACUUCACUAGAAACCCUAAUCCCCUAAAGGAGUAUUUAUGGGCUUCUUACUAGGCUCAAGUGACUUAAGCCCACUAUGGACUUGCGUAAGUUAAUUUAGCCUAAAAGGGUGCUAAUUGAUUAAUUAACCCUAUAGAGCUCCAAUUAAUCCAUUAGUCUAAUCCAGAGAUAUUGCAUACUUAUCCUUAUGCAACCUUGCAUGAUUACCAAAGAGUCAUAAUAUUCAUAAGUGAACUAAAAACUCAUCCAACCCUCAUAAACUGUGUCAUCAAAGAAUAUGAGCUCAAGUGAGGACCAUUAGGACCCAUAGGAUAGAACUAGCUCUCUCAGAAUCCAAUUCUAAAGUUGACUCAAUAUCCCACUAUAGAGAGUCAAUUGCACUCCAAUACCCCAGGUAUAUUACAACGAGACACUAAGUACUUGGGUACGUGAGUCUCUUCAUGAACUGGUUAUUGAUAGUCUAACAAGAUGAAAGCUAUUAGCUUUUGAAGACUACCUUUACAAUCCUUAAGUUACAGAUCCUCAUCUUAUUAUGUGAACAAAUGACAUACUCUAGCUUACUAAGAGCAUGUGUCGAAUUCCACUAAAGGAAUUACUACAAGCCCAUAAACUUCAUGAUCACGUGUCCUUAAGAUCACCUAAGUGGACAUACUAUCUCAAAGUCCAUGAGCUAUCAUGGUGUCUAUAUUGAGAAUACCUGUUACUACUGGUUUCCAUCAACAGUGACCCAAUCCAUAGGGAAUAUAUGAUCAGCUUACGAUCUCAACCAUAAGUCAAAGCCACUACUAGUUUCUACACAAAAUCAAUAUCCUCUCAAGGUGAGAGACUAUAUAGUAUAGCAACUUAGUGAUGUCAUGACUCCUUGAUAACCUUAUGUCAUGACUCAUCGUAGGUCUUGUCCAAUGUGUAACUAUACGCACUAGUGCACUUUUCAUGGGAAACUCAUCCUGACAACCAAGACUAGCCAUUUCUCUAAUUAGGAGGUGGUGAAAUACAACCCCAAAUGGAUUGCCUAAGUCCACAAACCGAUUGUGAACAAAUUAUCUACUUGCAAGGAACUCAUGACUUGUAUCUUAUGUGCAAUUGCUAAUGCACCUAAGUCAUGUACAAUGCAAGGCAAGAGAUGCUAAGCCAAAGUGGUCAUAGAGAAUAAUCCAUGGAAUAAGUAUAGAUAAGAGUGAACUUGGAAUAUCAUCAUGAAUUUCAAAUUUGUUAUACCAUCUCAUGCUUUUAAGGAUUCUAUCCUAACACUGUGUACCUUGAGUAUAUAGUUUUCUUUAAAUUUUAAAAUAUAUUGUUGCUUUCUUAUUAAAAAAUCAUUUAAAAAAACCUCAUUUGACCCUUUGUAUAUUGUUUUUCUAUACUUGAAUGAUAGAAAUGGUGAUUUAGGUUUGGCUUUCUAGCUUAUAUGACUUUUAUGGUAAAUGCUUCAAAGCAUAUUCAUGAUACUAUCUUGCUAAUGUUGAGGAUGACGUAGCAUAACUUCAAGAAGGUAUUUGCAAAGUAGAAUGUACAAUUUCUAGAUUAAAUUUUUUAGAAAUGUUUAUAAAGUUUAGAUUUGAAGAUUACUAUGGCUUAUUUUUAAUAAAAUAGAAUUUGUAGAUAUCCUAUUAUGUUAUUGCUUAAUACAAAAACAAAAAAACAAAAAGAAAAAAAAACAAAAACAAAAAAACAAAAACAAAAACAAAAACAAAAACAAAAAGAAACACAAAAAAAACACAAAAAAAAAAACAAAAAAAAGGGUUUAAUUUUGAUGUCUUCUACAAGAUGCAUUCACUUUUAUAUUAUUUAAAUAACAUUUUCCAAUAUGUUGUCAAAUAUAUGUUUUCUUAUAUUAAUUUCUUCCAAUAUUUUACUUAGGAAUAAAAAUGGAAUAUUGCAAUUAUUUUUAAUGUUGCAAUUAUUUUUCCUACACACACACAUAUAUAGAGCCUAUCUAAAAAGGGAUUGAUUAGGGUUUAAGCUUUUUCUUUGCACAAAUUUGAUCAUGAAUGAUACUUACAAUGAAUCAACUUAAUUAAUAUAAACAUCUCAUACUAAUUUAAUCAUAUAUAAUUUACUAUAAAAUAUUUCUAAUUCUUUCUUAAUUCAAACUAAAAAUUUAAUUCUUUUAAUCAAAACUUUUUGUUUUAAAAAUGAGUAAUACAAAAGGUUGACGAAAAAAUUAAAAAAAAAAUGUAGAAGAAUAAUAAAUUUAUGAUACAUGAAAUGUGUAUAUAUCUCAACUUAGAAUUAUUAUAUCCUAUAUUAAAAGGAUGUAUAAAGGGAUUGGAUCAAUAAAUUAUCUUAUUGAAUGUUUGAUUAAAUAUGAUAUAUGAUAAUUAAAGGAUGAGAUCAUUUAUCCUAUCCCAUAGCUAACCAAACAUGGGAUAGGAUAUGUUAUCUCAUCUCUUAUCUCAUCUAAUAUUAUGUAUAUUAAAUCAACUAAAUACAACCUUACUUUAGAAGGUAAUUCAAUUGAGAUGUGGGGAUGUGGACUACUAUUACUUUUAAAAGAAAUAUAGAAGUGAUAUAGACUAUUGAUAAGUUGAGUGGAUUAUGGGGGGGAUACGUUGAGUGGGUUCAAUUUGACAUCCACCUAUCUAAAUAUAUUAAUAGAUCAUCUUGGAUUAUGAAAAUUAUGAAGUUGAAAAACAAUAUGGAGCACACACUGGUAAUAUAAAAACAAAUCAAAAUUGGUAUCAUCAUUGCAUGCUAGUUACCUAAUUAUAUUUGUUGAAUAUUUAGUUGCCAAAGUGAAAUCUCAUGAAAAGAUUCAAGAAAUGGUGAUUGAGUAAGAAGCUUCGAUGAGAUGUGUUGUUGGACGAGAUCUCGGAUUAGCAUGUAUGCAUUUCAGUGCCAACCAAACCACAAGAACUACAUCUUUAACAACUUGUUAGUCUUGAGGAGAUGGGAGAUGUGAAUCUAAUAUAUUAGUGAGCAUUAUGUUUUGAGCUGAUGAGGAAGACAGUAAGGUGAAAAGUUCUCCUGGAUGUUUUCCCAUCAUUGUCUCAAGUGCAACUACUCCAAAGCUAUAAACAUCACAUUUUUCUGUCACAAUCAUAGUAUAGGCAAGCUAUGCUAAGAAUCAAAAUAAGAAAUAAAUAUUGCACAAAUGAGAAAGUUACAUUCAUUUGAUUUUCUCGUAUUAGCCAUAACUAUAAAAUGUUAAUAAUGUUUCAUAGCAUUCCAUUGACAUUUGGCUACAUUUUAUUUCUAGGAUUGUGAUGAAAUUAAGUUAAUUUUUACAACUUAUAUGAAAUCUUUGAAAAACCAUUCUAAGGAGUUUUUAAAAAUGUUUAGGUAUUAUUAGGAAAAUGAAGACAACCAUUUGGAGAAUGCUUGAGAGACCAUUGAUAAGUAUUUUCUAUAUAAAGUUGUCUAGCUCUCUAAUAUCCUAAACCUUUUUUUUUAUAACUUUUUAAAAUAACUAUUAAGAGUUUUCUUUUUCUUUUCUUUUUUUUGGGAAUUUUAGAAUAAAUAAAUAAAUAAAAAGAGAAAAAUAUGUUAAAGAUAUUUCAACUUCUAUGAGGGCCCUUUGGGCAUAUAGCAAAUAAUAUUUACACAGUUGGAAGCACAUCAUUAUAAAUAAUAUAAAGUUUGUUUGGCUCUGUAAUCCCAUUGGACACAAAAAGGAUGUUAUGCCUGCAUAAGGGAUGAGUGUGAUAUCUCACAAUAGAUAUUAAAACAAACAGUUCUAAAACUACAUAUGAACGAGUUCUUCUUAACCUUGUAAAUGCAUUUUGAAGUCGUGUGAACCCUUAAGCCUAGACUAAACAAUAUCUACGCGGUUUGGAGAUAAUAUCUAGUUUGCAUGAAAAAAUAAAGAAAAAUAAUGUAUUAAAUAUUUUAAAGAAUAUAUUUACUUUUGAGCUCUUCAUAAUUUUGAAAUAAGUAAUAAUAUUAGAAGUUUUGUUUGGCUUGUAAAAAUAUUUCCUUUCCGUUCAUCCAAUAUAAUAUAUCACUUCUAUGAAGUACAUAAUGAGAGGUAUAAAAGUACUAAAUACAUCAAAUCUCAAAGAUACCAUACUAAAACGAAAAUAGCUAGAAGUUCAAAAGAUAUAUCCGAAAAGUAAAAGUUGAAAGAAAUAUUAGUGUGUACUUACCUGGUGCUAUGUAACAGUGUCUGCAAAAAGUGUUUGGUUUGAUGAAUCAAGAUGUAGCAGUCUAGCAGUGCCAAAAUCCAAUAGAAAAGCGUCUAGUUUAAAAUCCAAAAGAAUAUUGUUGCUUGAUAUGUCCCUAUGAAUAAUGGAGGGAGUACAGUCAUGAUGCAUGUAGCAUAAGGCAUGGACUAUGCUUUUGACCACAUUCACCCUUUUAAUCCAAUCCAAUUCCAAAGCUUCAACUUCAUUGCUCAAUACACAAAAUAAGCUUCCUCUUUCCAUGUACUUUUAAAUCAAAAACAUGCAUUUUUUUUGCAGACAAUAGUCGUGAAGUUUUAUAAUAUUCUGAUGUUGUAUUUUUGACAAUAUCUGCACCUCGUUUUGAAAACUUUUCAAGUAUGUUGCAUCAUCUAUUUCCUAUCCAUGAAACUUUUUCAGGGCUACCACAUUGCCUGUAGGCAAUUGAGCCCUAUAAACAUUGCCAUAGCCUUUGGUGCCUAUGCAAUAUUUGAUAUCAAAAUCCUUUGUUGCUUCAAUGAUGUCUUCAUAAGCAAUCCUACCAUCAUAGUUCCACAUUGAAAAUAUAUCUCCAUUUUUUGUCGAUGUUGUCUUGGUUUGAUUUUGUCUCGUAUUCUGUAAAAACAAGAGAAACCCAAACGUCGCAAAAAGAAAUAAGAUGGUAGAUAUAGCAAUAACAAUGAUGCAUAUAAUUUUAUGUCCUCUUCUACAAUGUGUCCAACCUUUGAUUUCACCACAUAAACCUUUUUUGUGGCUAAACACCUUAGGGUGAUGUUCCAACUGUAAUUCAAUGGGUAUAUGACCCUCCAAAUCAUUGUACGACAAAUCAAUUGAUGACCACCUAUAUAUUGGAAGAGUAGGAAUGCGACCUAAGAGGUUAUUGUGGGAGAGAUUCAAGUUUUGGAGCUGGGAAGGUAUCUUUCCAUUGAUCAAAUGCAAAUAUCAAAGUUGCGGGUGUUUGAAUAUAUAUUCUCGUUAUGGCAAGCUGAAGCGUGAAUUUCAUUGAGUCUAUGGACCUACUGCUGCCCCUAUGCUGGACCAAAACGCACAGCCAUUAGUGACAUUCCUUGUUUGGCGACUCAUUUAAAAGAUGAUUAAAAUUGGGUCAAAGCUAGACACUGACAGCUAUGCAAGAAUGUUGGGUUUCUUGAUUUUGGUGCCUUUGGCUCUCGUCCGUUCUGGUUGGCGGGUCUAUUCUCAGUCAAUUUUCACGUCAAUACAGUGCUUGAUUCGAUGAGAGUUUUUCUUUUUCUUCUUCUUCUUUCGAUAUUGCGUUCGAGGUCAAAGAAGUCACAGCUUCGAUUCCUCUAUCUGAAACCAAAUGGACCUAAUAUCAAUGUCCCCAAAAUUGGUGCUGCUGGUCUAAUCAGAAAAGAUUCAUUAUCCUUGUUCCGCUGUUUGGAGGAUGUUGAGCCGCUUAUCUAUGGUUCUUUUGAUGAACUUGGUGAUUUUGUGAACUCUGGGUUUGAUCUGUAUGGCGAUGAUCUAGAACGCGAAAUUCUUUUUUGAAGUGCUCCGACGCAUUAGUAGUAUCAGCCGACAACUGGGCAAAACCGCUUCAGCACUGUUUUAUGAAUCUCUUAUUGGUGCAUCAAUUAUUUCACCUGAAGAAGUUGUUCCUCGCAGUUUCUCCACCCCCUCAAACUGUCAGAGACCGAAGAUGCCACGUGUUUCUGGACCAUCAGAAGCUCCUCAAAAUUCAGAGGUGGCUGAAAAUGUUACUUCAUCACCUCUAACACCAAUUUCUUUAUCAAACAUCCAGCCGGUAUCAACUUCUUCUGUCAAUGAUACUAGUCAACACUUGGAGAGAAAAGUUUCGUUGGAAUUCCUGAUAAAACUUCUGGUACAAUCAAAGAGCAACUUGCAUCAGUCACACCACUAAUAGAAGAUCUAAAAUCGAAGUUUGGUGGAUGUUCCGGGUAUUUGGGCAUGAGAGAAUCUGGAUGUUGAUGGGCAAUGCAUUAGUCAACCUCCUUACUUUUCAUCUGGAUAUCUUCAGCAACCUGUUCCUUAUGGGACAGAAGCCGUACCGUGUUAUUCAUGAUUUGACUUACAUUGGAGAUGCUACAAAUGGAACCAUGCAUGUAUAGUCAUUCAUCCCUACCCGUGCCAUUACUCACCUCCAUUAACCUAAACCUCCCUUCAUACCCACUGCUCGUUUCCCAUUGAUUUAAUUCCUACCCUACCCUAUCCUACAUGCAGGACCAUCCUCCAUAAUACCCAUGUACAUACCCAUUUUCCAUACCCAUUAAAUCAUCUAUCUCUCCCCCAUCUCACUACAUUUUUUUUUUUAUCUUUUUACACUCUCAUCAUCCACUUCCCUCACUAUUUUCCAUCACCCGUCUAUCCCUCAUUUCCUACCCGUUUGGCUUCAUUACCUACGUCCUCAAUACCCACCUCAUCCUUCAUAACCCUCCACACCUAUACCCAUCCUUCAUGCCAUGCCCAUCAUCACCCUCUUCAGUGAGCUCCACCAUCUUAAUUCAGAGGAAACAGUUUGGACAGAUGGGUCACUUCCAGUACAUAGCUUCAUGAGCAUUAUAAAAAGAAAGUUCUCCGUAGAUGAGUCCGGAUCAGAUUUGAAGAACACUAUCAGUAUAUCCUAUCAAAAUGACGCUGCUAUUGCUCACAGUAUUGACAGGGAUACGAUCAGUGGCGAUGAGAAGAACGUGUUACAAAUGCAGGGGAACCAUCCAAAUGAAAGACGGCAGCCUUGCCAAGACCAGUGGAAGUGCCUACAUUAGUGAUCGUGUUGAAUUUGUUGAGAUUAGCAAGAGCAGUAUGUGCAGAGGUAGCACAAGCAGUGACGUGAGCGAGGCUUCGGUUCUAGAGGAUGCCUAUGCUGCAUGAGAAAUAGACUGCGUUGCAGUGAAGCACAACUGAGAGUGUGGUACAAGCCAAUUCAGACUUCAAGUCCCAAGACAUUGACCUCGAGAUGACCGGUGGCGCCAGCGCUUCUCGGAGAGAAUCAUUCGAGUUUAAUCUGUUUGAUGUUCAGUAUUUCAAGGUUAUGGACUCAGCGGAGCAGUUCGUUGUUGUCCAGUUCGGUGUUUGUCUCUUUCUAUGGGACAGUUAUAGACAUUGCUUCGCAGCUCAUCCGCAUAAUUUUUGCGCAUUUCCUCGGUAGGAGCUUCCAGUUGAUGACCCCUUCAUAUGAGUUCCUCUGCCAGAGAACAAGAGAAUGAAAUGCUGAUGUCUGAAUUCUGAAUGUGACGAAAUGCUGAGAUGCCUGAAUUCUGAAUGUGAUGAUGAGAUGUCACUGUUGUGGCAUAACAUGAAAGAAGUUAAAUACAUUCCAUUAGUUAGUAUGGCAGAUGUUUUCUUCAGCAAAAGAAUGAAGGCACGGCACCCGAUGAGGAUAAUAGGCGAAUAAUCUACUGCUGCUUUACAGGAAAUGGUUGGCAUUUUUGAAUCAAGGGAAUGUGAUCAUCACGGCCUUUUCAAAAGUGGUGGGCCUUGUGUUUUAGGCCACCGAUAUUCUGUCAAAAGAUGGAAUCCAUGUUGAAGAGUUUGCGCUCAUUUAAGCCCUUGGGCCUCUCUCCUAUACAUAUCCAUGCCUGUCCAUCUCCCUAAACCCUUUUCAUGGCCCAUACAGAAAGCUCACAUGAUUCAGUUGAAGAUGGGCUAUUGGUACAGUGAACACAUGCAACAAUCUGAGAUUCACACCUAAGUGGUCAUCAUUCCCCAUCUCUUCCACUUAUGCAUGAAUUUUAUAGCAACUUUUAGGCCGCAUGUCUUUCUGCCAUUGCUCCAUCUUUGACUUUGGAAAAUAAUUGCCUCAUUUCCCAUUUUGUGAAUGUUUUUUUUUUUUAAAUUCCAAUUUUCAAAUAAUCCCAACUUUCCCCUCCUUCAUCCUUAGACUGUUUAGGUUUCAAAAUUCCUUUCAUUUUUAAUAAAAUUUUGCUGCCACUUUUCUUCCUGGUAAGCCAUUUUCACAUCUUUUCUGUUUUUUAAAAUGUUUUUUUAAAUAAGCAAUAAUCAAAUUUUGUAAUUCCAAGUGAUGGAAUCCAUGAAAUUGAUUCAUGCAAAAAUAAAAUAGGCAUUGGUGGGGGCCCAACAUCAAAUAAAUUUUCGUUAAAAUGAAAAUGAAUUUUGAAUGAAGUGUCGUGCGUACUAUUAGUGGAUUUUCAUCUGGUUCGAUGAUAUGAGUGACAUAUUUUGUAUUCAUUACUAUGCACUAACCUCAUUUCUUGAUAGUGCUUUAUGGAUCACUGCCCUAGUACGCAUCCAUUCCACUUUGGUCAUUUUCUAUGCAUGAACUGAUUCUCAUAUGUGCACGAUCGAUUUGAGUAUUCAUUGUUUUCCUUAUUAGAUGUCAUGAUUACUUCAUUUCAUUAGUAGAGACCCGACUUUAGGGGCUUAAAGGGGUGCUACGAUCUUUACCGUACCUUCCCGAUAAGUAACCUGACCCUCGAACCCGAUCCGAUUUUUCACGGACCACCUUUUUCAAACAAAGAGUCACACUUAGGGUUUUCUUUUUUAUUUUGUUUACCCUUUAAAAAUAAAACAAAAAUAAGUGGCAACUUCAAGUCAUUUUCUAAUAAAUAAAAUCAUUUUUUCAAAUAAAAAUCAAGCUCGCCAUCGAGUGGAAGCGCAUGAGCCGAAAUGCGGGGCCCACAGGUAUAUAUAUUUAAUUCCACCUUUUUUUGUAAUUAAAUUUUUCUCUACUUGUCAUAUAAUCACCAAAUAUUUUUUAUUUUCUAUUUUAUAAUAAUAGUGAUAAAAUUAAAAUCACUAAUAUGUUUAGCAUUGAUAUAAAUUAAAAAAAUAUUCUAUGACAAUAAAAGUCAAAAGAUUGCAUUUUUACUAUUUGGUUGUCAUCCACCUUACAUGAUUAGUUUGUUUAAGACUUUAUUUGAUUUUUCUUCCAAGCAAAGAAUGUCAACCAAGUCUUCUUAUGUCCACUUCUUAGACCACCCACUGUUUUCUAGUCAUGCUUCUAAUUAACUUGGAAAUUUCCCCGAUUUGAAAGCUUGAAAGCCCAGAUUUGAUCAUAUAUGUAUGGAUGAAGAUAUAACAUUAAAUAUUUUAAAAUUUUAUUAAAAAAUAUACAUAUGAAUCACCCUAAUUAAUACUGCCACAUUCUUCCCAUUCAAUAAACAAUAAUAGCAUAAAAUAAAUAAAGGAAUAAGAACAUAAAUAUUUCCCCAUGGCCGUUAGGGAUCUUGUUGCAUAAUGGUAAUAAUUUGGAUAAAAUCCAAGUAACUAAUAUUACCAAAAAAUCUUGCAACCAAAAAUAGGGUUAUAAAAUUUAAAAAAAAAAUACCCCCAAAACGUCAAAUAGGCAUCAUUUGCGCUUGAAUGUUCGAAAGGCUGCUGGAAGGACUACUCGAUCAAUUAAGCCGCUCAAACACUAACAUGGUCGUUUGAGCGGUGAGGCCACGCAAGCACUAAUCUAAGUGCUCAAGCACCACAUCCUACACUUGUGCAUACAAGGUUGUUUCUACCACCGUUUCUCCGAAAGUGUCACCUUUUCAGAUGCCUUUUUGCACAAUGGAUGCUUGUGAAUGCUUGGAAUCUUCAAUCUUUGCUUUUGGGUCACCAAAGAUGGAUAAAAAUCUGAUUUUUACAUUAAGAAAAAUCUUAUGCUCCAUCAAACGAAGUGUACGAUCUAUCUAAAAACAAAAAAAAAAAUUAUUUUUACAUGUAAAAUAAAAAUCCUAUGCUCCUAACCAUGAAGCUUACAACCCAAUCUGUACAAAGAACAAAUCCAAACAUUCAAUCACAAUUAUAAACAUCAUAUUCAUAAAAAUAACAUCCAUAUAUUCAUCCCUUUGGGUAAUAGGAUGAAUAAACAUAUUUGCAAAACCAAGUAAGCACACCCUAAAAUGAAUCUAACAAGCUUUUCCCUAACCUAGGGCUCUAAUACCAAUUAUUGGGAAAACCUGGAUUGCUCCAUUCUCAUGCCUUAGAUUGUUCGAACGCAUGAAAACCUAUUCUAGGCUCUCUAGAUCUAUCAUACAACGGAAACAUGGCAAUUGAAACAAAAAAUAAUACCAUAGAUUUAGAGAUUAGUGUCAUACUUGUGAUUUGGAUGUUCUUGGUCAAUUCUUAUCAUUGUAGAAAUCUCUAAAACUGAAGAAGAUCUCGUGAACACCAUGAUCUUCCACCUAAUGAUAACUUCUCCUUGAGUCUAGGUGCAAAGAUAGUGAGAUCUCAAGGGUUGGAGGUUAGGGUUCUCUUAUUGACUGUAGUGAGAGAAUGGCAAGACAAAACUUCACUAGAAACCAUAACCGCUAAAGGAUUAUUUAUAGGCUCCUUACUAGGCUUAAAUGACUUAAAUGACUUAUGCUCACAAUGGGCUUAGGUCAGUACUGAAUCUAGCCCAAAAAGGGCACUAAUUGAUUAAUUAACCUUAUAGGCCUCCAAUUAAUCAAUUAGCCCAGUCUAGAGAUAUUGCUCACUUACCCCUAUGCAACCUUAUAUAAUUACCAAAAUGCCCUUAUGCAUAUAAGUGAACUAACAACUCAUUCAACCCUUAUAAACUAUGUCAUCAAAGGAUAUCAUGAGCUCAAGCAAGGACCACUGAACCCAUAAGACAAUAUUGUCUCUCUUAGAAUCCAUUUUUGAAGUUGACUCAACAUCCCACUAGAGAGAGUCAACUACACUCCAGUGCCCUAUAUUUAUUACAAUGAGAUACCAAGUGUUCGGGUCUGUAACCUACUAUCCACUGUAUAUAAUCUCCUUUUGAACCAGUCGUCGAUAGUCUAACAAGCUGAAAGUUAUCAACCUUUCAAGAUUACCUCCACAAUCCUUGAGUUACAGAUCUUUUCAUUAUGUAAUCAAAUGACAUACUCUAGCUCACUAAGAGCAUAUGUUGAAUUCUACAAAAGGAAUUACUAUGGGCAUAUAAAUUUCAUGAUCACACAUCCUUAGGAUCACCUAAAGGAACACACUAUCUUAAAGUCCAUGAGAUAUCGUGGUGGCUAUAUUGAGAAUAACUCUUGCUAUUAGCUUCCGUCAAUAGUGGCCAAAUCCAUAGGGAAUAUAUAUGAUCAACUUAAGAUCUCACCCAUAGGUCGAAGUCAUUGUUAACUUUUGCACAAGUUCAAUAUUCUCUCAAGGUUGAAAGACAAUAUAGUAUAAUAACUUGGUGAUGUCAUAACUACUUGAUAGUCUAUAUCAUGACUCACUAUAGGUCCUAUCCAAUGUGUACACAUUAGUGCACUCUUCAUGGGAACCUCAUCCUGACAACUAAAACUAUUUAUCCCUCCAAUUAGGAGGUGGUGCACUACAAUCUCAAAUGGAUUGAGUAAGUCCACAAACCAACUAUGGACAAAUCAUUUAUUUGUAAGGAACCCAUGACUUAGAUCUUUUAUGCAAUUGUUAAUACACUCAAGUCAUGUACAAUGUAAGAAAUGGUAAGCUAGAAUGUUCAUAGAGAAUAAUGCAUGGAAUAAGGAUAGAUAAAAAUGAACCUAGAAUAUCAUCAAAUAAAUAAUGAAUUUCAAAUCUGUUACAUCAUGUCAUGCUUUUAAAGGCUCUAUCCUAACAAUGUGUUCAUUGGUAUAUAGUUCACUUUAAAUUCUAUAAGAUACUAUUGAAUGCUUAUCAUCAAAUUACAAAAGGACCCAUUCAGCCUUUUUUAUAUUGUUUUUCUAUACUUGAAUGAUAAAAAUGGUGAUUUAGGUUUAACUUUCUUGCUUACAUGUACUUUUACAAUAAAUGCUUCAAAACAUAUUCAUGAUACUAUCAUGUUAAUCUCAAGGAUGAGGUAACAGAACUUCAAGAAGGUAUUUGCGAAGAAGAAUGUACAAUUUCUAGAUUAAAUUUUGUUUAAAAUGUUUAUAAAGUUUGGAUUUAAAUAUUAUUGUGGAUUAUUAUUAAUAAAAUAGAAUUUAUUAGAUAUCCUAUCAUGUAAUCUCUUUAUUUAAAAAAAAAUGUUUAAUUUUGAUUCAUUCUGCAAUAUGCUUUCACUUCUAUACUGUCUAAUUAACAUUUUCUAAUAUGUUGUCAUAUAUAUGUUUUCUAAUAUUAAUUUCUUCCAAUAUUUUACUUAGGAAUGAAAAUGGAAUAUUGCAACAACAACAUUCAAUUUGAACUAAAUUUAAUGUUUCAAUUAUUUUUCCUACACACACACACACAUAUAUAGGGACCAAAAAAGGACUAAUUGGGGUUAAGCUUUUUCUUUGCACAAAUUUGAUCAUGAAUGAUAGUUACAAUGAAUCAAUUUAAUUAGUAUAAACAUAUUCUACUAAUUUAGUCAUGUAUAGUUUACUAUAAAAUAUUUCUAAUUCUUUCUUGUUUCAAACUAAAAAUUUAAUUUUUUUUAAUCAAAAGCUUUUGUUUUAAAACUGAGUAAUACAAAAGAUAGAUAAAAAAAUUGAAAAAAAAAAUGUAGAAGAAGAAUAAAUUUAUGAUACAUGAGAUAUUUAUAUAUCUCAGCUUAGAAUUAUUAUAUCCUAUGUAAAAAUGAUAUAUCAAGAGAUUGGAUUGAUAAAUUAUCUUAUUAAAUGUUUGAUUGAACAUGAGAUAUGAUAAUUAAAGGAUAAGAUCAUUUACCUUACCCCAAAGCUAACCAAACAUGGGAUAUGAUAUGUUAUCUCAUAUCUUAUCUCAUCCAAUAUUAUGUAUAUCAAAUCAAUUAAAUAUAGCCUUACUUUAGUAGGUAAUUCACUUGAGAUGUGGGGGAUGUGAACUACUAUUACUUUUAAAAGAAAUAUAGAAGUGAUAUGGACUAUUGAUAAGUACCAUGUGGGGGAUAAGCUGAGUGGAUUCAAUUUAACAUCCACCUAUCUAAAUAUAUUAAUAGAUCAUCUUGUCUUAUAAAAAUUAUGAAGUUGAAAAACAAUAUGGAACACAUAUUGGUAAUAUCAAAGCAAAUCAAAAUUGGUAUCAUCAUUGGAUGCCAGUUACCUAAUUAUAUUUCUUGAAUAUUUAGUUGCCAAAGUGAAAUCCCAUGAAAAGGUUCAAGAAAUGGUGAUUGAAUAAGAAGCUUCGAUGAGAUGUGUUGCAUCGUUGGACGAGAUCUUGGAUUAGAAUGUAUGCAUUUAAGUGCCAACCACACAACAAGAACUACAUCUCUAGCAACUUGUCGAUCUUGAGGAGAUGGUAGACGUGAAUCUAAUAUGUCGGUGAGCAUUAUGUUUUGAGCUGAUGAGGAAGACAAUAAGGUGAAAAGUUCUCUCGGAUGCCUUCCCAUCAUUGUCUCAAGCGCUACCACUCCAAAGCUGUAAACAUCACAUUUUUCCGUCACAGCCAUAGUGUAGGCAAGCUCUGUUAAGAAUCAAAACAAGAAAUAAAUAUUGCACAAAUGAGAAAGUAACAUUCAUUUAAUUUUUUUUCAUAUUAGCUAUACCUAUAAAAUGUUGAGAAUGUUUCAUAGCAUUGCAUUCACAUUUGGCUACAUUUUAUUUCUAGAUUAUGAUGAAAUUAAGUUAAUUUUUACAACUUAUAUGAAACCUUUGAAAAACUAUUCUAAAGAGUUUUUAAAAAUGUUUGGGACUUAUUGGGAGAAUGAAGACAUCUAUUUGGAGAAUGCUUGAGAGACCAUUGAUAAGUAUUUUGUAUCUAAAGUUCUCUUACUCUCUAAUAUCUCAAAUCAUUUUUUUACAACAUUUUUUAAAUAACUAUUAUGAGUUUCCUUUUUUUUUUUUUCUGUUUGUUUGGAACUUUAGAAGAAAUAACCAAUAUAUAUAUAUAUAUAUUAAGUCCCUUUGAGCCCAUAACAGAUAAUAUCUACACGAUCAGGAGCAGGUUAUUACAAAUGGUAUUAGGGCUUAUCUGUAACCAUAGUAUGGAAGUUUGUUUGGCUCCACAAUCUUAUGGGAUAAGUGUGAUAUCCCACGAUAGAUAUGGAAAAAAAAAAAAAAUUCUAACAUUAUUUAUAAAUCAACUUCCCUUAACCUUAUAGACAUAUUUUAAAUUCAUGUAGGCUCCUUGGACCCAAAGUGAAAAAUAUUUACACAGUUGAGAGUUAUUAUCUAGUUUGCAUGAAAAAUAUAAAGAAAAAUAAUAUAUUAAAAAUUUAGAAGAAUUUAUUUACUUUCAAGCUCUUCAUAAUUUUGAAAUAAGUAAUAAUAGUAAAAAAAGUUUUGUUUGGUUGGCAAUAAUAUUUCCUUUCCCUUCAUCCAAUAGAAUUUGUGACUACUAUGAAGUAUAUAAUAAGAGGUGUAAAAGUUCUAAAUAUAUUGAAUCUCGAAGAUACCAAACUUAUUAAAACGAAAACAACCAAAAGUUCAAAAGACAUAUCGGAAGAGUAAAAGCUGAAAGAAAAACUGGUUUGUACUUACCUGGUGCUAUGUAACCAUAAGUGCCUGCAAGAAGAGUUUGAUUGGAUGAAUCAGGAUGUAGCAGUCUAGCAGUGCCAAAAUCAGAUAGAAAAGCGUCCAGUUUAAAGUCCAAAAGAAUAUUGUUACUUGAUACAUCCCUAUGAAUAAUGGGUGGAGUAGAGUCAUGAUGCAUGUAACAUAAAGCAUGGACUAUGCUUUUGAUUACAUUCACCCUUUUAAUCCAAUCCAAUUCCAAAGCUUCAACUUCAUUGCUCAAUACACAGUAUAAGCUUCCUCUUUCCAUGUACUUGUAAAUCAAAAACAUGCAUCUUUUGUGCAGACAAUAGCCGUGAAGUUUUAUGAUAUUCCGAUGUUGUAUUUUUGACAAAACCUGCACCUCAUUUUGAAAACUUUUCAAGUAUGUUGCCUCAUCUCUUUCCCAUCCAUGAAGCUUUUUCAAGGCUACCACAUUACCUGUAGGCAAUUGAGCCUUGUAAACACUGCCAUAACCUCCAGUACCUAUGCAAUAUUUGAUAUCGAAAUCUUCUGUUGCUUCAAUGAUAUCUUCAUAAGCAAUCUUACCAUCAUAGUUCCACACUGAAAAUAUAUCUCCAUUUUUUGUCGAAGUUGCCUUGGUUUGAUUUCUUCUUGUCUUCCGUGAAAGCAAGAGAAUCCCAAGGGCCACAAAAGAAAGAAACAAGAUGGUAGAUAAAGAAAUGAUGAGAAUAGUUUUGUGUCCUCUUUUGCAAUGAGGCAAGCCUUCCCUUUCACCACAUAAACCUUUAUUGUGGCCAAAAACCCUUGGUGGAUAUACAAACUGCAAUUCAUGGGGUAUAUGACCCUCAAAAUCAUUGUGUGAAAAAUCAAUGGAUGACCCUUUGUGGAUAUAUAUAGAAAGAGGAGGAAUGUGACCCGAGAGUUUAUUGUGGGAGAGGUUCAAGCUUUCUAAACUCUUCAAAUUUUGGAGCUGGGAAGGUAUCUUUCCAUCGAUCAAGUUAUCACUAAGGUCGAGGCUAGUCAGAUUAUUCAAAUUUCCUAUCUUAGAAGGAAUGUGACCUCUGAUUCGAUUUCUACGAAUGUUGAACACAUUUAAAUGAAUGAGAUAGCCCAAAGAAGGAAUAACACCGGUAAGGUUGUUGUGAUCCAAUCUGAGAUGAAUUAAAUUCUUCAGAUUCCAAAUUACAGGAGGGAUGGAACCAUUGAUUUGAUUAUAACGAAGAUACAAAUGAGUCAAAUUGGUAAGAUUACCAAAUGACAAGGGGAUGAGACCCUGGAUUUGAUUGUCGAUGAGAUGGAAAUAAGUCAAAUUGAUAAGAUUACCCAAAGAUGAAGGAAUAGUACCAAGAAGGGCAUUAUGACUCAAGGACAAUUGAACCAAAUUUUUUAAAUUCCCAAUUUCAGAAGGGAUGGAACCGUUGAUUCGAUUGAAAUUAAGGUACAAGUAUUCCAGGUUGGUUAAACUUCCAAGAGAGGAAGGAAUGACACUGGAAAGAGAGUUAGAACCCAAAUCCAAAUGAAUCAGAUUCUUCAAAUAUCCAAUAGAGGAAGGGAUGGCACCAGAGAGGUAAUAGUUAUAACUCAAAUCCAAAUGAAUUAGAUUCUUUAAAUUCCCAAUUUCAGAAGGGAUGGAACCGUUGAUUCGAUUGAAAUUAAGGGAUAAGUAUACCAGGUUGGUUAAAUUUCCAAGAGAGGAAGGAAUGACACCAUAGAGGUCAGAGUUAUGACUCAAAUCCAAAUGAAUAAGAUUCUUCAAAUAUCCAAGAGAGGAAGGGAUGGCACCAUAGAGGCUAUAGCAAUGACUCAAAUCCAAAUGAAUAAGAUUCUUCAAAUAUCCAAGAGAGGAAGGGAUGGCACCAGAGAGGUAAUAGUUAUAACUCAAAUCCAAAUGAAUUAGAUUCUUUAAAUUCCCAAUUUCAGAAGGGAUGGAACCGUUGAUUCGAUUGAAAUUAAGGGAUAAGUAUACUAAUAGAGUGAGGUUACCCAGUGAAACAGGUAGCUCACCAUCAAGUCCACAAUCAGAGAUACUGAGGUAAGUGAGUUUUGUAAGCGUACCUAUCUCAUCUGGGAUGCGACCAUAGAUGGAAGAAUAACUAAGGUUGAGAUGGAGGAGGCUGGGAAAUGAAGAAACUUCAACUGGCUAAGCAUACACCGUGG